rnacentral:lncRNA from 1 species
UAGAAUCAUAAUAUUGUUCUUUAUAAACUUAAUCAAACUUAAGAAUGUUUGACCGAUGAGCAAGAUCCCAACACAGUAUGUACAAGCCAGAUGAGCAGGGUUAUGUACACAGAACUAGGUUUUCCCUAAGCAUAUUAUAUGGUUCACCACGAUGGUUAACAGAGCCGUCUUCCAGAGAGGGCGGCAGCACGCUAAUAAACUGAAUACGGGCGCCCACUGAGAUGUCGUCUUCAGUUAAAGCGAGUAUGGGUGCCCGCUAUUCAGAACUCUGCGAAUGACGUCCGUGUUCCAUCCAAAUACAGAAUCCGAGCUGUCAACACGUCCAAGGAAAAGGGGUCACCUGUUGAUCGAGAUAUAUGUAGAGAAUCUUAACAAAACAAAAAAAUUGUUUAGGCUAACUAAGGAUGGGCCUUAUCACAGGCCGACCAAUAUCAAAUAUAUCACUCACCUUGGGAUCAUGAUCUCGUGAUUGAAAAUCCUGUCAGGGAUAGCAGGAAUGUGGUCCUUUUUCUCGUUGGCGAACUUUAUGAUCUGGAACAGCACUUCGUUAAUCGACGCCUCCAAUGCAGCACGCCUUGUGCUGGUCUCCUCCACGGCAUUUGCUAGGAGCAUAUUGCACAAAAUGUUACUGCUACAUUCUAUAUGCUUAUGGUAGCCUCAUGACGUCUGUGAAACUUUAGUUAACAAAAUUACCUUGGAUGUUUGUCAGCCCUUUGGAGCUGUUUGACUUGCUGUAUCUUUUGGGGAACAUGACUUGCAAAUUGAUGAACCAUUGCUCCCAAUAGAUGCGCUCUGUUUUGUUGACAAACCAACCAGGGUGUCUGUGUUUCUCGUCGAAAAAGGAGAGGCAGAUCUGAGAUAUUCAGGGAAGGUAAGCCACUUAUCUUAAUCAGAAGAUAACAUAGUUCAGCAGCAACAGAAGUAAAACGCAGCAUAUGUCUAAUUGUUGUACUUCAGACCUGGCUUCUGCGGUUUGGGUGUUUCUCCACCCAUGCACUGAACUGGUCUAUCUUUUCGUCAACUUCCUUUUCUAGUUCCGGUAGACCACAUUGUACCUAAACACAUCAAAACAUCGAAGUGAGCAGCAGCAAAGACAAUGCAAAUGAAAGGAAGUUAUUAGACUGCAACAAGCAAGGUAAUCAUAUUUGGACAAUGCAUAAUGCAUCUGUCAUCGUGGUUAAGUUGGGAAGUCGUAGAGAGAAAGAAACUUGCUGCAAUUCUUGUUGAAAUAUACAGUGAAGCCUAGACUUAAAAGUAGGCUUUGGAUUUCUAACAUACAUAACAUGAGUUGCUGCCCACAGUACAUAUUUAUCUGCUCAUCACUUGUUUGUUGAUUCUAAAUUUCACAGCUUCCCACAGUACAUAAUAAUCUGCUCAUCACUUGUUUGUUGAUUCUAAAUUUCACAGCUACACAUUAAAAUCAGUUUACCGAAAAGUAAAUCUCAAUUAUACCUGAAAAUGGAUUUGGAUCAUCCAAAAUCCAAAUGGAUUCAACCCGCUUUUGAUUUAAUUGAAUGGAUGUUGUUUAGACCAGGACAUUCAUUGCCAUGAGAUCCAAACAGGAUUGGAUUGGAUUGGAUAGAAGGCUGGAUAUCCAAAUAUCCAUUGGACCUCUCCCCUCCUCCCGGUGCCUCUCCCAUGUGGGCAGCGGCACCUUCACCGUGUGCAUCUCCAGCUUCGAGUGGAUGCUCACGGUGGCCUUCCUCCAGCUGUUCCUGCUACUGCAGUGAUGCCUGCCGCCCUGCCGCCUAAAAAGUGUGUACUGAUAUGCUUCUCCAGCUUGCCGAACCAUGCCUCGAAUGGAGUGUAGCUUGUGUACCAGCAUAGCUUGGCCGUCUCUGCCAUGUCCGGCAUUGAUGCGCUCUGUCUUAAAUCGUCAUUGUCUCAUGGCCCCGGGUGUUGGAUCAUAUGGUACUGGAAGACCACCUGGUUAGGCCGUGCGAGCGGAGGCGUGUAGCAGCUCGUCCAUGACAGCGUGCCACUGCAUCUCUGCUUGUCCCUGGAGAUGUCAAACUCAGUCGGUGAUGCCAGCAAGCUAAAACAGGCUGCUGAGACGGUGGGUACCCUCGAGGACGAAUGUAUUUGGAUGAUUGGAUUGGAUUUGGAUUGAUGAGACACUGGACUAGACUGGAUUUUUCUGUGCAUGACAAUGGUUUGGACUGAAUGUGUGCCUCACUAGUUGGAUUCCUUUUGGACCGGCCUCCACGAGGGCGUCUUCGCAGGUCGUUGUUGUGGCCACUCCCAGGUCUCGGCACUCGCCGGUCUACGCCAUGGGAUCCAGGUAGUUGUACACAUGUCACUCCAGGUCUCCAUCUGUCAUGGGCAUAAUAGGGAGCGAGAGGCAACAGCCAAGCUGGAAUAAGGCUAGAGAAUAAGAUUGAGAUGAGCUGGGAUAAGGUUAGAGAAUAAGAUUGAAAUGAGAGAAUUGUGGAGAGUUGGUUAGCAUCAGAUAAGUCCAAGAAAGUAGGAGUUAGUUGAGAGUUUGUAGGAGAAGUUGGUUAGCCAUAGGGCUAUUUAUAAGCCGCAUGGCAGCAGGGAAUAAAUCAAGCAAGAUCAUUAUCAAACCAAUCUCUCUCUUGCAAUGACCCUCUCAAGCGCCUAGGGCUGCUACCCUAGAACCAAGCCUGCGGCAGAGGGGUAUAACCUCGCCGGAGAAGACAGCUAUCCCCAUGGACCGAAGGUCCAUGACACCUGGUAUCAGCUCCAGGUUAUCCUCACCACCACCAGCCGCCCAUCCCUCACCACCACCAGCCGCCGCGCCAUUUGCCACCGCAACGCCCUCCCACCCGCCCUCUCCAACUCCAGAUGCAUUCACUCGGCUCGAAGAGAAGUGGGAUCAAUUCGUUGUGAUGUUCCACCGCUACAAGGAGAAGACAGAGAAGGAACUCCAAGCAGCGGUGCGGCUUCAGGCGGCAGCGCGAGGGUUCCUGGCACGCCGCCAGGUACAGUCCCUUCGUGGGGAGAAGCACCUUGCUGUGGCCUCCAGGGCCACCCCAUGGCCGUCAUCACAUGAGCAGGCUGUGGUGCGCCUGCAAGCCGCAGUGUGCGGCUUCCUUGUUAGGCGGGCGGUGCAGAAGCUGCACUUGGCACUUGCUGAUCAGCUCAUCGCUGCACCAACUCGCAGCCUGCGCGUCCAACCACUUUUUGAACCCCCUGCAGAAGUCGAGAUCUGGGUAUGCAGCCCCCCUGCACGGCCAAAGAGGGUCGUCUCCCUCAUUCGGGCAACUGCCUUGGUGCUGGACAGACCCAAGGGCUGGUUCCUCCUUCACCUUUCAUCCAGCGUGAAGUCCGCAGUUCAGCUCUUUCCUUGGGAUCCAGGAGGACAGGAGGACAUAGCUGCAGUUCAAAUUUAUAUUUUAGUUCCACAAUUAUUUUGUAUUUUCGUCUUAAAUAAUAAAGGUAAGCCGAGAUGUAAAAGGCUUAACCUUAAGUCGUGUCAGGUAAGUCUAUGGCAGCUUGAGGACGAGCUGGUCCUCAAGGGAGGGGGAGAUGUCAUGGGCAUAAUAGGGAGCGAGAGGCAACAACCAGGCUGGGAUAAGGAUAGAGAAUAAGAUUGAGAUGAGCUGGGAUAAGGUUAGAGAAUAAGAUUGAAAUGAGAGAAUUGUGGAGAGUUAGUUAGCAUCAGAUAAGUCCAAGAAAGUAGGAGAAGUUGGUUAGCCAUAGGGCUAUUUAUAAGCCGCAUGGCAGCAGGGAAUAAAUCAAGCAAGAUCAUUAUCAAACCAAUCUCUCUCUUGCAAUGACCCUCUCAAGCGCCUAGGGCUGCUACCCUAGAACCAAGCCUGCGGCAGAGGGGUAUAACCUCGCCGGAGAAGACAGCUAUCCCCAUGGACCGAAGGUCCAUGACACCAUCGCCAUGGGAACAUCGUCAUUUGCAGCCAUGACCACCACCACAGCUCAAGGACGAGUUGUCUUGAAGAAGUGUAGUGUUAUGGUAUGUGGAGCCGUUAGAAUAAGGAAAGAAUAAGUUAGAUUGAUUUGGCUAGUUGGGACAAGGAAAGAUUUGGUCAGUUAGGAUAAGGGAAGAUUUGGUUAGUUAGGAUAAGGAAAGAGAUAAGUUAGAUUAAUUUGGUUAGGAUAUUUCCUUAGGGGUUAGAUAAGCCUCUCUAUAUAAAAGGAGAGGAGAUGUAUAAAUCUAAUCAAGCAAGAAUUAAGGACAAAUCUUCUCUCUUGCUCGGCCAUGGGCAAGGCCCCGACCGCCCCCCUUGCACUCCCUCAACCAUAGCCACCACCAUAACAGAUGUGGAUGCUAAUCCACUUCCAGGUCUAAUCUCAGUACUAUUAACAGUAAUACUGAACCAUGGCUCAUGGCUACAGUUAGGUGAAGCAUUACAAUGGCAGAACCAGUUAGAUUGGCAAUAAUAAUGAGGAAAGAGGCAUUCUCGACAGUCAUAAUACGUGAAAUGCCAGUAAACACUCUAGUCACAGGUUUGGGUUCCAGACAUGUCCAUAAAUAAUCCAAGGUCACGUCUUCUUGUAACUUACUAAAUUUAGAACACUCAAUUAUUGGCUCUUUGGAAAAUUUAUGCCACUGAUGAAUAUAUUGGCUUUAGAAUCAUAUACUGCAAAUAAGUAGUGGUGAAAAUUGCACUUGGGAGUCUGUGAAAAGCAAAAGUGUCACUAAUUUUCAAAUGGAAGUAGUAAUUUAUAAAUAUAAUAAUUACUUAAAGCACAACACCAUAUGCCUUGGCCAUUGAAACAAACCCAGAUCUUAAUGGAGGGAAAUACUCACAUAAGUAAUAUCGAGGAAAUCACAGUCAACAUCUUUGGGGCGAACCAGGCUGAGGGUUCUAUGGAAAAAUAUGGUGUGCAAAAUACCUGCAGCAUAGUUCAUAUUUACCAUAUCCAUUAGCGGGUGCUAUGUAGUAGAGAACACACGUGAACUCCAGUUUCUUAUUACUAAUAGAAGAACCUGAAGUUAAGAAAGAUAAGGAUCCCCAGAGAAAUCUUAUGAAGUCAUGUAAGUGAUGAGUGCACUUACUAAUACUCAGGGCAAGUAUAAAAUUCAACUAUCUGUAGAGUGGAAGGAGCUCAAGCACAUAGAAGAAGGUUAAGAACUCACAACAGCAAGGACUCUGGAACGAGAUAAGCACAACAAAGCAAUGAACAAUAUACAACAACUGUGUGAUAUAAUAUGAUCUGCUGCAGACUAGCUUCACUAUUAGCCCAAUUUUUAGUUAAGCUUCCACUGCCGUACAUCCAUACAGCAUUUACAUUUCCCCAUGAGCGAAACCAAGGUGAAUCCCACUAGCUAACCACAAUUAUGAUUUCAAAACUGCAACUUGAAAUUACUCUAUUCCAAAAUUUACUGAAACCAUAACAACGAAUAAGCAUGUGAACGAAUACAGUACAGUAUAGCUCCCGUGUCAUGUCAAAUUGUCAAUAGAGAGCAAUUUAUUGAGCCGAACAGAAGCCCCCUUUCAACGAACAUAGAGAGAUGAGAAGAGAUGUGAAAAAACUAAAAUUUAGAGCACUCACAGCGCAGCACAUCCCUGAUCUCCGUCAGUUCCAGCUCCUGCAGCCCAAACAACAAGAAUUCAUAAAAGAUAAAUGAAAAAGAAUUCGUCAGCAUAUGCGACCAGAAAGCAAGCAGAAGAACCCUAGUGAAACCGAGGCAUGGGUUAGGAUCAGUAGCGAACCAGCUCUUUCAGCUGACAGGUCUCGCAGUUCAUCUCCGCUUGCCGCUGCGGUUCGGGGCAGAAGAAUCAAUCAGAACCUGAUGGGUCGGCACUUCCAGUAGUUGGAGUAGGGGGGAGGUCGAGGGUUGUGACUUGGGAGAGUCGAGACAGGAAGUCGAGGAAGCGGGUUUGGGAAAAUUAGAUCUGUACCAUUAAAAGAUCCGAUCUUAGAAAAUUAGCAUCGAAGAGACGAACAUGUGGUUUUAGAAAGAUAUUAUGGAAAGUCGCUUAGAUUUCUACCAUAUGUUAAAUAUAACUGACUGAUCACGAAACAAUGCUAUAAAAUUUCAAAAAUAAGGUUCGUACUUCUCAAGCAGAUGCCGAUACAAAGAGAAGGGGUGGAUAUGGCGUGCACCAGGGAUCAGAGGCUCAAAAAGCUGCAGGCAAGACGGGGGCGAGACGGCGGUGCCAGGGAGGAGAUGGCGAGGAAGAGAAGAAUCCAAGCCGACUCGAUAAGACCAGACCAACCAAUCACCCAUAAUUUCUAUUAUAUAUAUAUAUAUAUAUAUAUAUAUAUAUAUAGUUUAUGUAUUAGAAGCCCUGGGCUUCCAAUAAAACAAGGAAGCCUUGAUCUAAAAGUCUAUUUCGGUUCAGUCCAACCACAACCGGCCAGCCCGACCACAGCUCCACUCCCCAUGUGCGCACAGUUACCCAUCCAUUCAGCUGAACCGUCCCCUAAAAUCUGGGAUAUAUAAUUUUUUGGCCCCAAAACAAACCCUAAUUCUCUCGCAGUCGCAGCGUAGGAGCGUUCACGUUGGCGGCGGCUGUUCGCUUCCUGUUCCCGGCGCCUCCACGAAUCCGCCCCUGCCUUGCCCGCCGGCUCGCUGUCCGGCGCCCCGCAUCCACACCUGAUGGCUGACACAGAUCUGGCCCUGCCUGCAGCGCUCGCACCGUCGCGUGUCCCGUUCUCCUCGCCGUUCGAAACUGGCCCCUGCCUCACCGUGUUGUGGGCACCGGCGGCUCCACGCGGGAUGCGGCCACGCCUGACACCUCCACCUCCACGGCUGAGUGACGGAUGAGCGGCUGGGAGGUCUCCUGCGGAGCGGCUCCACCAGCCGCCUCAACGUGCAGGCGCAAGAGUUCGUGCCGCGCGCUGCCGCGGUGCCCCUCCCCCUCCGCAACAGAAGGUAGUGUGUUUGUUCGCGCCGCCUCCCCACGUGGCGUUCUUCGUCGCAGCACCCUGGCCCCCACUGCGCCGGUUCGAGUACUAUGCGGCGGUUGCCACCGGUAGGGUUGGCAAGUUCGGUCCUCCCACCGCUGCUGCAGAGCAGGAGGCCGAGGCUGAGCAUUUUUAUGCCUCCUUGUCAGGGGAACCUUUUGCAGGUAUCAGAUCUUGGGUAUUUUUCCCUCUUGAAAGAUUCAGAUUCUUACAACCUUUUGCAGGUAUCAGAUCUUGGGUAUUUUUCUGUUGAUUCAGUUGUGUAUUCUUGGAGCUGAAAGACUCGGAAGAAGUAAUAUAUCGGCAAUAGCUAGUUCCAUUAAUCAAAUAUCAUCUGGAAGCUAUCCAUCGACUACAGGUGCUCUCUCUUGUACUUAAUUUUUCUUAUGCUGAAUCUUAGAGUUUACUUGCUAUUAACGUAAUGCAGAUACUUAACUUUUUGUUUCUGUUUUUUGUCCUAGUAAUGUUAAACCAGGUCGGAGCAUCCAUCUUCUAAAUGAAGGUGGAAAUAUAGUCAGUAUCAUCCGCAGUGGUAAAGCUGCAGAUAUAGCUUCUCAUUCAGAGGUAUCUGCUUUGUCAAAUAAAAUUUGAGUACUUGGCUAUAUUUGUAGCACACUACCUUUGGAUAAUUGUAUGAUACUCCAUUAACGAAGCUAGAUUUUUACAUAGGCAAACAGGGUUAUACACCAUGUAGUUCUUUAUGUACACAUGGCAGACCAAUUUGUCUCUGAAACGAGCCAUUAGUCCACAAAUGUUAUAUUUAAAAAUUAUAGAUUAAGUUACUAGUUACAUAGGCUUUCAACCACUACUCUUCAACUAUAUUGGUUUAGUUUACUAUUGCUGUAUUCAUUGUGUAAUGCUUACACUAUACUUAGUGUCUAAUGUUCAGACCUCCAAUGGCAAGAGCAAAUGCACCUUGUGUCUCAGCAUCCGGCAAAAUCCUACUGCCACAACCUGUGGACAUGUUUUCUGCUGGUAAAAGUUGUUUUUUACAAUGAUCAUGUAUUGAGUCUUGACAGAUAUAAAUUUUACACUUGAGCCAUCAACAGUAGUGAUGAACCUGCCAUCCUGGCUUACUUCUGCACUAGUGACAGAAGCCUGCUAAUUUUAGGUCACGUACAUCAAAAGUUUUACAUACGCUCCAGUAAAAAAGCCAUUUAGCAAUUUGGUAAACAACCGUAAAAUGGGUAUACAUGUACUAAAUAACAUAUUGAUCUUGAAUUCAACAAUAGAAACACAAUGCAUGAAUAAUCAGCAAAUAAAUACUUAAUUACUAAUCUUUGUUUACUUUUGGUUUUAGCUUCAUCAUCUUAUGAGAAUUGUUCUGGCAGGAUGUGGAUCUUAACUGGUACCCAAUAAAAUUAGAAAGCAAGAACAAUGAGAUUUACAAUGGUAGCAAAGUGUGUUAUCUUUAUACAUAAACUUCUUAGGAGAUGGAAUCAUGGUGUAAAGCAUUUUGUAUUGCAGCUACUGCUGACAAGGAAACAAAUAAGCCGGCAUGCUAAGCUGAGCGAUAAGUUCCUCAAUUCUUUUUGUCAGUACCUUAAGGAGUCUGUAGUCCUGUUUUUCUUUCAGGGUUCGCUGCAGAUUUAAGGUACACAUUACUUGAUCUAAACCGUGCGGUGCCUUCUUUUGAGUUGUUACGCAACAAAUGGUCCAGUUUUACGAUGCGUUUUAUGUUAAAAAAUGACUACGCGACAUGCAAGGAAACUAACGAUAAACGUAUGUGAUUUUCACGCCGUAAUUGUGCCAUAUUCGUCAUUACGAAACAGAUUGACGAUUUACGCAAAAUUUAUACUCAUUUACACUGUUUUGGUUCACGAUUUACUCUUAAAUCCGCUCGAGCCAGAACCCGCACACAAUUUUUACGCCGUAAUUUGUCCCCAUUUGCCGUUACGAAAUCAAUCGAUGAUUUACACUGAAAUUCGUACUCAUUUACGCUGUUUUGGUUCACGUUUUAUGCCGAAAUCCGCCCGAGACAGCGUCUGUGGCGAUUUUCACGCCGUAAUUCGGGACCCAUUUAUCGUUACGAAACAAAUCGAUGAUUUACGCUAAAAUUUGUACUCAUUUACGCUGUUUUGGUUCACGUUUUACGCUAAAAUCCACCCGAGCCAGAACCCGCGCACGAUCGGGUGCACACGAUUUUUACGCCGUAAUUUUGGGCUCUGUUUGCUGUUACAAAACAGAUAUAGGAUUUACGCUAAAUUUCGUACUCAUUUACGCUGUUUUAGCUCACGUUUUACGCUGGAAUCCGCCCGAGCCAGAAUUCGCGCACGAUCGGCUGCAUGCGAUUUUUACGCCGUAAUUUUAGGCCUCGUUUGCUGUUACAAAACAGAUAUAAGAUUUACGCUAAAUUUCGUACUCAUUUACGCUGUUUUAGCUCACGUUUUACGCUGCAAUCCGCCCGAGCCAGAACCAGAACCAGAUCGAGCGCGCGUAGAUAUACCUGACUGGGGCUUCCCAUACUAAUGGAAGCCCAGGGCUCCCAUUACCAUCAGCAUAUAUAUAUAUAUAUAUAUAUAUAUAUAUAUAUAUAUAUAUAUAUAUAUAUAUAUAUAUAUAUAUAUAUAUAUACGGCGGCACUAAAAUGCACCCAUGUGUAUUUUAGUUUGUGGAUGCACAGACCCCAAGACUCCUUGUCCGACCAGAGCACCUAACACCCCGAGCACGCCUCCCCAUAAGAGCACGCCCUCGGCCCUCCUGUACGCGCGCCUCGCUGCCCCCCGCCGCCACCGCGCCUCCCUGUCCCCGCGCGUUGCAACUAAUGAUUGCAAUUGCGUGGUUUGUUGAUUUUCUGUUGCGACGUUUGUUGCUUGUUGAUUGCAACUAGGGGUAUCCUCUAAUUGCAAACUUGAGUCUCUGUUUUUACUCCUUGAUUACCAUUGCAUGGUGUGUUGUUACUCCAGUUGCAACGUUUGUUGCUUGUUGAUUGCAACUAGGGGUAUCCGCUAAUUGCAAACUUGAGUCUCUGUUGUUGCUACAGUUGCAACGUUUGUUGCUUGUUGAUUGCAACUAGGGGUAUCCUCCAAUUGCAAACUUGAGUCUCUGUUUUUACUCCUUGAUUACCAUUGCACCACCGGCGUUUGUUCAAUAUUGGUUGCAACUAAUGAUUGCAACUGCAUGGUUUGUUGAUUUUCUGUUGCGACGUUUGUUGCUUGUUGAUUGCAACUAGGGGUAUCCUCUAAUUGCAAACUUGAGUCUCUGUUUUUACUCCUUGAUUACCAUUGCAUGGUGUGUUAUUACUCCAGUUGCAACGUUUGUUGCUUGUUGAUUGCAACUAUGGGUAUCCGCUAAUUGCAAACUUGAGUCUCUGUUGGUGCUCCAGUUGCAACGUUUGUUGCUUGUUGAUUGCAACUAGGGGUAUCCUCUAAUUGCAAACUUGAAUCUGAAGUGAAAAGGUUCUGUCGGGAGCGUGCGGGAGGGACGAAGACAAAGCGUCGGUUCGGCCUGGGUGGGGCGGUUGGCUCGGACCAGGUGCUCCUGGCGCGUAGGUUCGGCCUGGGUAUGUUCUCUAUAUUGAAUGCACCCAGGUGUAAUAUAUAAAUACAGUAUAUAUAUAGGGUUUAGGGUCAAAUGGAAGUCAUGAACUUGAAUGCAUGACACCAGAGUACUAGACAUGAUGUUGUUCUAUGACUCAAAAACAAUUAAAUGCGGGACACUAGAAGAUUGUUGUGCUAAUCAAGCAUAUCAUCAGCUAGUUCAAACCUACCUCCAUCUCUAGUUGGAUCUUUAGUGGAUGCAGCAGAAAGUUCUUCUCCUCCUUGUUCUUGCAUUUCUUCAUUAGAAUCAGCUUCACCAGAUUGUGGAGGAAGAGGAACAGCAUGCUUCCUAAUUCUAGAGUAUGUUUGGUCAAUAGCUCUAGGGAGAUUUGCACCAGCCCCCAAAGAGAAUUUUAUCAACAGCAAUUAGUCGAUUGAACUCCUAAUCGGACGACUAAUCACCGUUUAAUCGUAAUUAGUCGGACGAUCAGAGUUCUAGUCGCCCUAGUCGCAUCAUACACCCUAAUCGAGCUUGCAAUGGCGAUAAGGCCGACUAAUCGCGAUUAGUCAUACAACUUUAAAACAUGGGGUACCACGUAACACAAUCGCUUAGAGAUCCUUAUUGACACUCAAACAAAAGAUAGAGGCAGUGUAUGCUACCAUUGGCAUGACCACACUACAUUAUACAUCAAGGAAAUCUACAUGAUAAUCUAAAUAAAACAAUAAAACUGAAAAAAGGAAAUGGAAGCAUCAAAUCUGUCUAAUGAACAUUUGUACACCAGUAUAGAAAAAAAAUACAUCUCACAUUCCAUAUAGGAAUGACAUGAGCAGUGUUUUUAAGUCGUUCGACUAAUCGCGAUUAGUCAGCCGUAUCGGUUUUUUAGCAUCAGUAUACAUUUCGACACGACUUGGUCGACUUAAUAACGAGUCAUCUGACUAAUCGUCUAAUUCAAACGAUUAGUCGCGGUUUUAUGUCAUGGACGACUUAAAUAAAAAAGGUUUGGGUUUCAUCUCUCAGCCCGUCAACCAGCCCAUUAGGUCUUAGGGUUCCAAAAACAGACUGGUCCACUUCCAAUCCACUAUUCUCCAACCUUCUCUCCUGCCCCUCCACUCCCAGCCGCCAGAAACAGGAGUCGUUCGUCUCAUCGUCAAUUGUCAAUCUCACUUGUGCUCGGUGGUGCUCCACGAGAUCACCUCUCCCUUCGCCUCCUGCAUCAACUGUCGGCAGCCACCAGCCACAUCGUCCUCCAGCUCCGGUAAUCCCUGUGAGGCUUUGACCCUGUCUAUUAUUUCCCUUCUAAAUCUGCUCUGCUCCGCUCCGGUACUGUGCUUGAAUGCUUGCCGUGUGGCUGAGAUUAUGUUACAUCGAUUGCUAUGUUAGUGUACUUGGACAAGUCACUUUCUUCAUUAUAAUCAGUUUUUUUGUGCAAUCAGUAUUUUUUCAUACAAAAACAUGGCAAGUCGUCUUAUAUCGGUUUUUUAGGGUCUAGACGAUUUAGCCAAUUAGUCGGACGACUUACUAUCGAUUAGUCGUCCGAGUUGCCCGAUAAGUCAGCUGAAUCGACUUAUCGGUGCUCUAGCGACUCAAACCAUCUCAAUGACUUAACAUUGGACAUGAGUAAAAAGUGGAAUAAGUCUACUCCCAAAGGGGAUAGCAGUGAACUUGGCAUGUGACAUGGGAUUCCAUUGAACCCCCAAUAUGUCUAAAACAAAUCUUCACCUGUCGUGGUUCCAAGGCCUAUGGGAUCAAUUUAGACAAAUUUCACACGCACUUACAAAUUGGCAACUAACAAAGUUCAGCAUGUCCAAGCACGUUUUGGUUGGUUCAUUCAUUUCUCACAAUGAUUUGAGGAAAAUUUAAGGCAAAUAAAACAUUAGCCGGGAAGCCUUAUUCUUCUUAAUUUGUUAAAAUUUAAGGCACAAAAACCUCUUAUUCCUUCUCUUAUCUCAGCUUGAUUGAUCACUGUCUCCUCAGCACAAAAUUAAAAUCCAAAUUUCACAUGUAAAAUACAGUGGAUCAAUACGAGUUUCUAAUACUUGGGCUAUGGAAUGCUUCCUCUCAGCAGAUGACACAAUAAAGGACGUGGGUGUACAAACCCAGUAUUUUUUGCCAAAAAAAUCGAAGUUAGUAGGCACUAUAUAUAUAAGCUUGAAAUUAGAUCAUGCAAGUAGCUAAAUAGGUUAGGGUUCGGGAACUCGGUUUCGCACAACAGAAAGGGAAGGGGAGGGGUGCCCAUACUUUCUCGUCGCCGGCGAAGGGUUCGUUGAAGGCCUCGUGAUGGGACUGAGGAACGGCUUGGCACCUGGCGUAGGUCGGCGGCGGUCGCCCGGUUGUCGCCGCGGGGGCGCGCGCGCACGGCGGGGUGAACGGGAGAAGAUAAGGCAAGCGUGUAGGCACAGCCAGACUGCUUUAGUUUAGGCUCUCGGUUCUACUCGUUAAGCUAAUAAGAUAAACUUAGCUUAAUUCAUUUACGAGCUUAAUGGGGUGUUUGGUUACACCCCGCUAAAGUUUAGUCCUGUCCCAUCGAAUGUUUGAACCUCCGUUCCGGGUAUUAAAUGUAGUCGGAUUAUAAAACUAAUUUGUCAGCCGAAGAUUAAAAGACGAGACAAAUUUAGUCUAAUUGGUUGGAUCUAUAUUUCAUACUCCUAUUUAAAAGUCAAACGCUUGAUGUGACCCGGACUAAACUUUAGCAGGAGCAACCAAACACCCCCUGCUUAAGCUGACUCAUUUAGUUCACGAGUCAAAUUAAAAAAUAACAUAUAUAAUAAUCAGUUUUAAAUUAAUUUCAAACUAAUUUAAUAAUAAAAAAUAAUAAUUAUACUGAUACUUUCAUAGAUCACAUCAAUAUAACGUUAAAUUAAUAUAACUCAUUACUCAUCAAUUCAUACAUAUUCAUCAAUAGGUCAGUGUCCGUGCGUUGCAACGGGGACCUAUAAUAUCUCGAUAAUUUAUAUAUACAAAUGUGUUAUGCAGUUAUGAGAUAAAGGAUGACAUUCGCGAGCUGUCCGGGAUGACAUCGAAGAGAAAUUCGGGUCUGUGAUGUACGGACACUCACCUAGUAGUGUAUUAUAUAAGAUAGGUUAGUGCCCGUGCAUUGCACCUAGUUGUGAAUGAACUGGAACUGAGUGAAAAAAUAAAAAGAAAAAUGAUAUCCAAUUAAAUUGUCUAUACUGCAUGUUUUAGUCAUCGCCUAAUUAAGCAUCCACUUGAAGCCAAUAGCAGUAGUGCACUCAUUCUUGGAAUCACCUCCUCUCCUCAGCAGCUGAUACACACACAAAGAAUUUGGCUAGGGCUGAAUCACCCAUCUACCAGUUAGCACGGUCGCUCGUACUACGAGAGCAAUGCCGAGGGGUAUGUCAAUGAAGUAGUAGCAUUCGACGUUGAUGUAGGCACUUGCCACCUGCGGCCAACGCCCACUCCAUCAGCCGUUGUCAAGUGAGCAAAAAGCUCAGUACCAGUAGUAGUGGGAAGAACACAACAAAUGCAUUACUGAAGGCGGAUAAGUCUGUUCUCCAGUGAACUAACUUAUGUAAAAACUGUAGUGACACUUGGAUUAGACCUAUGACCUAUGGUUUAAUAGUAUCAUUUUAGUUAAAUACAUAGCGCUAUUUCCCCAAGUUUAUGAAAAGGAGAUUAGUAGAUUACUGGUUUACUGAUCUUCCCAUUUCUCUUAACCUCUUAAUACCUUAGCAUUAGCCGCACAUCAGUUAGUGAAAAUGUACAUGAAUUAAAGAAAAGAAUUCCAACCUCAAAUAUCCCAACAGCAAGGCAAACACAAUGAUCGUCUUCGCCAAAAGCAGGACACUCGUUCGACCAUCAUCCGUGACAUAGUUAUCCGCAAUAACUCUAAACGCACUCUCUUGAAGUUCAAUGAAAAAAAAUCAAAUAGAGCAGUAUAUCUGUAACCAAAAAAGGUAGCAGCCCUAAGCAAUUAUAAGAACCAAAAGGCUACAGAUACAUGCUUCAGUAAUUCUUUGCUUUAGAUGAUAAAUCUGAGCCCCCAGCACCCCGCAGGGCUACCAACAACAUAUUAUAAGUAUAAUUGCAGCUACAAAAAAUUUAAAAAUAAACUGAAUAGCAGUAGUCACAUAACUAAAUAAGCAAUCAGGUUUGCACCCCUGAAGUUAACAACUCAACACAAACACAAUAACCAAAUAACUAAUGAAGCACUACCAGGCAAGCGUUACACAAAGGAGCUCCAACCUAACAGCUCAACUAAAACCUACGGUACAACAAGGACUCACUCAGGAGCGCACAGAAGUCCAGUUUAAACUAAAGAUGCACAUCCCCUAGUCUUCACUCCUUGGAUGACUUGUUGAUCAGGGACUUGUGAAUGUGCGGUAUGACACCUCCGCCUGCGAUGGUGCUCUUGGUGAGAGUGUCCAGCUCCUCGUCUCCAUGAAUAGCUAGCUGCAAAUGGCGAGGGGUGAUACGCUUCACCUUCAGAUCCUUGCUAGCAUUCCCAGCCAGCUCCAGAACCUCGGUAGUCAAGUACUCUAGGAUGGCAGCUGAGUAGACGGCUGCGGUGGCACCAACACGACCAUUUGCCUGAGUCCUUUGCUUCAGCUGACGGUGGAUACGUCCAACAGGGAACUGAAAGCACAUCAGUGAAUAUUUGGCCCUCUCCACUUUGAUGGACUCCAGCAUGCUCCCCAGAUCCUCGGAUGCGAGGCUGUCCUCCAGGGCAUGCUGUCCAGCUGGCUCUUCCCUGCCAUCCCACUCCUGCAGCAGCCCUCCUACCUCCGUCAGCGAGAUCUCGUCUUCCAGUACGACUCUGGCAAAUAUUUGGUUCGAUACUAAACGUAUUAGGUGAAACCAUUUGAGGACAACCAAAUUUAUAAGCAGGAAAGCAAGUAGAGAAUAAAACAUCCCAAAUACGUACGUGGAACAAGAGCAUGCACCAUUGUUGAUGACAAAAUCCUUACCGACACCAUUGGUUACCUGCAGGGCCAUAUGAGCAAAAAUGAGAGUGCACAUACUGAAUAUACUGAAACAAAAAAGAAAGAAUAGGACAAUAAAAUACCAAGAUAAGCGAUAUGUGCACCCACGUUGUACAUAGGAAGCAUGAAAAUGGAACCACAAGUGGCUACAAUAUGUAGGAAGGAUCAGGAACAGAAGAAAUAGCACACGCCUAAAAAAAUUUUGAUCUUCCAAACAGACAUAGCUUCACGAAGAACAAAAACAAUUGGAGCUAAAAGCUGAAGUGACACAUGAUAAUUUGAGCAUUAAAGCAUUCAAUAGACUCACAACCACGAUGAAAAUGGGUUCAACAUAUGGCCGUUUUUUCUCAGUCCACUGAACCAAAUUCUGCUCGUGGCGAAAGGAAUCAUGAUUUUCUGACCACUCUUCCAAAUCUUUUGCUGUGCACAUGAAGUACCUACAAAAUAAUUGCAGCCUUCUAAGGUACUUGAAGGAUAAAAAAAUCUUAAAUAAAAAGAUAAAUAAGAUACAAAUGAACAAAACAUCAUGUGUGUGGAACCGCAGAUGUAAUAUGAAAACCAGGAAAAUUACAAAAUAUUCAAUGUCGCUCGUUCUACUGGUAAGACACAAAUGGAUUUAUUAAGCAUGGCAUGGUUCAUUAGACACCAAGCUGGACACAAGAAAACCGAGAAGGGACUAUCACAGAACUUUUGCACGGGUUUGAUCAGUCUCAACCAAGUUUACUAUCUAUGUUUAUUGGUUAAAUUGAACUAAAAUUGCCACACAUGUUAUGUACAGAUUCACGGAUCAAUCACAUUGAAAUUGACAUUUCAUUGUCGUCUCUAGUAUAAUGACACCGACACAUACUUGUGGAUCACCUAUGUCACUGUCCGGUCGAGGCGCUGAUGGCUUCUGUGGAGCAGAUGAUUUGGUCGAAUUUACUGCUCACAACCAUAGUAUUUCAGCCCACCGUUACCAGGUGGAGGCAGCACCUGCCACAAUUCGAAAUUCCUCUCCGUUUGCUGCCCAAGAAACAUGUAAAAACAACGGAUAUACAUUACAAUGAGACAGCAACCAGACAAAUCUGAAAAAAAACAAAUAUUCAUUACUUACAGAUGGGUCAGUUGAGAUCUAAACCUUUGUACCAUCGACCUGUUCCCAUCUUCUAUUCUGUCUUUGCCAUAUGUAAGCAGUGAUUAGUUGUUAUAACUGAAAGAUACCCGUGAAGAAUAUAUAGUUGUUACAACACAAAAGAAGAUGGUCCUGCACACAGUUUGCAACCUAUCAAAAAAUACAAACUGACAGUCUAAUAAAUACCUAACACUUGAGUUCAUUAUGAUAACUAUAGUUGUUUGACAUAGAAAUGCUUUCUAGCGCAAUAUGAAAUUGAAUGAACAAAAAAUUGAUGUAUACUUUAAUUUGUUAAAUACCUUUAUUGAGGGAAUUUCUAUUGGAUCUUCUGUAACUGGUACUUCUAUCCUAAACACAAGAUAAUCUGACAAACUAAUAGAGUUUCUUAAGGGAAUGUACCUUUCAACAAGACCUUCGGCUCUAACCACUUUCAUGUUUCAUUUCAUUAAGGUGGUCCUUCUGUUGCAUGAUAGAACUGCAACAGAACUUGAUACGGUUUUAUGCAAGGCAUCCAUCUGAUGGGUCAGUUGAGAUCUAAACCUUUGUACCAUCGACCUGUUCCCAUCUUCUAUUCUGUCUUUGCCAUCUGUAAGCAGUGAGGAAUAGUACCCACUGAAGUUAGACCAUAUCUAGUAACAGUCACAGAAAAAGAGUGAUCCAGUUAAGAUCAUUGAUAUUAAAAAAUAGUUAAGAUCCCUAACCUAUUUUGGAGGAUAAAGAAACAUCUGCUAGUGCAUUUUCUAAGACUUUAAAACCACAUGACUCAUACUGGAAGGAUACUUGAGCCUUUCACCCAACUCUGCACUCAGCUGUUAUUCACCAUCAUAAAGAUCUUUUAGUUUAACAAAUUGAUGAUAACAGGUUUCACAAAAAAACAUCUUAGCUGUUAAUAAUAACAUCAUUUUUUCAAUUACUCAAGACAAGUAACCUUAUACCUAGCCUCCAGAUCAACUCCCAGUUGUUCAAGCCAUAGCUUAAGUGACAGAUAAUUUGAACAUGAUGAGAUAAUGAUACACAAAAUAAAACAUAUUUGCUAAGACUGUAAAAGCACAUGACUUAGACUGGAAGGAUACCUGAGUGGCUGAGUCUUUCCAAGCUCUUCACCCAACUCUACACUCAGAGGUUGUUCACCAUCAUAAAGCUCUUUUAAUUUAAUCAAUCGUUGAUCACAGGUUUGGCAAAAAAUAUUUUAGCCAUUAAUGGCAGCAUCAUUUUUUUCAAAUGCUUAAGACGACUAACCUUAUCCCUUGCCAGUAGUGAGGUAUGAGCAUUGAGCGAACUAGCACCGACCUAAGAAUCUGAAAAGUCAUGAAUAGCACAUUAAGUAGAAUUGAGAGGAUGAGUCCCAACUUUAUAGAUCAUUAUGGAAGCAAAAUAUACUAAGACACGCAAAUUCUAUUGAACCAAAAUCUACUGAAGUAAUCCUGCACAACGCAAAGGUGAAUGGACCAUAGGGUGUGUCACAUAGAAAAAGGGCUGAAGCGAGCAAGAAACUAAGAUGAAGGGUGGGGCAAGAAAUUGGGACGACAACAGUCUAGGGAUGAAAUGAAGCUGCCCUUUGUAAUCACGUAGAAGGGAUUGGGCCACCACACCGGAAUGAGAAAUCUAGCAGAAGCGAUAAAAUGAAGCAUUAUGAGAAAGGACUUAAAGUGGGAUUCAAGAGGAGCGAAGGAUGUAGAGAGAAGAACCUUACCUUUCGCCUUGCACGAGAUGAGACUGAGCAGCGUAAAGAGCAGAUGCUUCUUUUGUAGGCGUAGCUUGCUUGCGCCUACAAAAGAAAAGGAAUUGUCAGAAAAACGGAGGAAAUAUAAAAUCUAUGACGACACCCAGUGUACAUCAGUGACAAAGAUAGAGCAAACUGGACAGAGAUAUGCUUACCUUGUGGGAGCAUAAACUUGUGUUACAAGGGGUGAAUAUAUAGGGAAUAAUCACUAUUUUACAAUUUUGAGCCCCUUAUAUAUGUGCAUAGUAGUGGCCUCGUUUCAUAAUAAAAAAUGGGUGCACCUAUAUUGUUGAAACAUUACCCUAAUUCCCCCACGUUAUACUGUUACCACUAUUGUCAACUUACCAAAGAGCAACAUUGUCAACUGAAACAUCAUACUAUCAUAAGUUUGUCUAGAUCAGGAACUUAAUAAGAUGCAGAGCAAACAUAAUAAGCAACCGACAACUUUAUGCACAAAAUGUGUUAUUUUGUUUGUCAAUGUUUAGUGAUGAAAACUGCAAACUACUACAUCCGUUCAUAAAUAUGACACUGUUGACUUUUUUUUGAAACCUUUGACCACUCUUAUUCAAAAUAUUUAUUCAAAAAUGUAAAAUUUUAAGUCAACCACAGACUACCUUAAGUGAUAAAACAAAAUACAACAAAAUAAAUUAUAACUCAUUAUUUUUUGAAUAAGACGAGUGGACAAAUAUUUCAAAAAAGUCAAUGGUGUCAUAUAUUUAUGAACGGGAGUAUCAUACAAAGAUACCAAUGCGAUAAUUCUGUUGUCACAAGCUUGAUUUCAGAAGGAAAAUAGUACCAGCCACAUCCCAUUCAAGAUCGAAUACAGAAUUUAUAAGCAUUUAAACUCAAAUAAUACUGAUAGUCAAUUAUGCCAAGACCUUCUACGGACAAUGGAAAAUCAAAAUAGUAUUAUAAAUAAAGAAUUCUUCAAUAAUACCAUUAUGAAUAUGAACUAACCAGUUGUCUUCGGACCAUUUACAUCCUUCAGUAUCCAUAAGCUGAAUGCAUGUCUUGACGCUGGAGAAAGGUUCUCAAAACUGUACACAAAAAGUCAUAACACUAUUAAUUUGAAACAAUACAUCUCAAGUAGGAAGAAUUAGCAAUAUAAAGGAGAAUCACCUCUGAUGUAUAAGAUCUCCAUGUAUAACCACCAAAGCACCAGAUUUUACUUCCAGCGGUACAAAUUCUUUCUGAUCAUAGACUGGGGAGGGCCGAUCAAAAUGUGUACCAUUUUCAUCUCUGACCAUACGUCUCACCAAACUCUCUAAUACAAAACACAAAAGUUAAAAAUUAAACUUAGACAGUCCUGCCUUUCAAGACGUUCUUAGGCAUAAAGUAAUUGUGUUAAAAAUACUUUUAUGUGAUCCUGGAAUUGCCCACAGGCAACCAUUGUUGAUUGUUGCAUCUUCAAGUGCAAGCCACAACCCUGUGCAUGUACGAGGUUCCGUGUAAAGGAAUGUAUUAUCCUGGUGCGGCACGACCUCACCACCAAUACCUGGUUGCUAUCAAAAAGAAGAAGAAGAAACUAAGAAUUUAAGAAAUAACAUAUAAUGCUAGCAAAAAUAGAGUCCAAACAAUCUACCUUAAAUAUGUACAUAGAUUGAAUGACUGCAGGCCUCUUGUAGCCUAAAGAAGAGAACAAGCUUGCAACACUCUCUGAGAAAGAAAACUUUUUGAACACCGGAUCAAGUUCAUGUAAUGCUGCAUAUCAGGAAAGAUGGCGAAGGUAAGAUACAUCAAGCCCUGUUGUUCAGGACUUCAGGAUAUGCUGGACAGUGGACACCAUUGUUUCUUAAACAGCUUACAUAAUACAUUCACAACAUGGAAGAUAAUAUACACUAUAAAGCAGAAGCAAGCAAACAGGAGCGGUCUAUCUAAAAAAUGAUGGGGGUUAUAACAUAACACCACUAUAGAAAACAAAUUGAAUCAUAAAUAUUUAAGAUAAAACGUGAGAAGAUUCGCGCUCGUACCGUGAUGUCAGGAUAAAAUUUUGGUUAUGGCAUUUAAAAGCCUUCAGGAGCAGGAGUCAGUGCAGUGAGGUAAUCGUACCGUGAUGUCAGUUGUCACACUAUCCGAUGCUCCUUCAAAUAAUCUCCACAGAGGUAUGCGAAUGCUAUUAGCAACGCAUCAAUCAGCGCCAUCUCCACUCCUGCUCUGGCCUUAAAUGGAAAAGGAUACAAUCAAAUACAAUCAUAGGACUAAUCAUUAAUAAGUCUAAACAGAAAUAAAGCAAUUGAAUGGCCAUCAAUAAAAAUGAGAAUCAAUGAGAAACUAUGUCAGUUCCUUAUGUCUGCAUCUCAUCAAUUUCCAAGGGAAAAAACUGGAACGCCUCCAUAUGUGCUAGUAUAUGUUAAAGGAGCCCUGUAAGCAGCAAGGAAAACAUGUAGGCAGGUUAUGAACUUAAGAAUAAUAACAAAUUGACACUGCUAAUUCUGUACAGAAUCAUGAGUUUUUGACUUACAAUAGUGAGAAGUGGCUGGCACAUCGAAAAAAUGGUUGAUGCUGAUUAGUAUUUUGAUCCCCUACACCAACCACCUAACAGAAGUGAGAUGGUAAUAUAUUAACACCAUGACACAAAACUUACAGCUAUUACUUCCUAUGAUACCCAUUUCCCAUUCACAACAAAUUGACAAAUCAGAUAGUUCAGAACAAACACAGAUCAGAACUAUGACCAUUCUUAUUUUGUUUUGACCUGGGUUGACCGUUCCGUUAGCAAUUGAGACGAUUUGAACAAAGAAAACGACAACCUCAUCACUGCCCCCUUUCUGAAUUAGAGAUGUUAAUAGCAAUCGUUCCUGCAAUUAGCAAUAGCUAAGGCGUCCUUACUGAAUUAGCGUGUUGGGGAUAUCAACCCGCACAAACUCCUCAGGGUCUGAAUUAACGAGAUCCGAUAUCAAACCACCGGAAUAACCUCAUCAUGGCCCGAAUUAACGUGUUCCAAAGUUAAACCACCACAAUAACCCAGACAGAGAACAAACUAAAACGUCAAAGCCCUAAUGCAAGCAUCACACUGCAAGUCAAUCGUCCGAGAAAAAAACACACCCUUAAUUGGUAAACCCUGAGGAUUCAAGCCUUCAAGCCCAAGCGUACUCCUACCUCGCAAGCUUUCGCCUCCAGCGGGACCUAGAAAUUGAAGAGUCCAAACCAACCCAUCAAAAGGUAAUGAAUCUUACCGGAACGGAGUCGGGUGGCCUCUGCCCCACGUUGCCAUCCUGCUCCGCCAUGGAAUAGAGAGGGAUGUGGGCGCCAGUUACGGUUUCGAGAAUGAAGUAGGGUCGGGGCUCACCGCGGAUGUCGAGCAGCUGCACAACAUGCCGAACGAUGGCGUCAUGUGGCGGGUUGCACCUGUAGUGGUCAUCGUAGAAGGCGCAGGCCACCAGCCUCACCAGUCUGUCAAAAAACCAACCCACCCGAUCCCGCACGGAGGUCAAAAAAACGGCGGCGACCAAGCUUUCGAGAAUGAAGUAGGGUCGGGGCUCACCGCAGCCGCCGUCGUGCUAGGAGGAGAGCAUGGAAGCCCUGACGGCGAGUGUGGCGGUCUCCUUGCACCGCAGGCCCGCGAUAGCGUCACUGCGAACGAGAUUCGUGCGAGCGGGACGAUGGAGGAAGGAGGGCGAGGCCGUUGAUUGGGCGACGACUGUCACGGCGGGGCAUCGCGUGCGGGACUGGGGAGGAGGGGGCGGUGGGGGCGGUGGGGCGAGAGCAUGGAAGCAGACGUGGGAUGGAUACAGAGGCUGGGGCGGGGGGCGGGCGGACUGUGGGCAUGGCCGGGGAGGCGAGGCGAGGUGUGGGUGGCCGAUUGACUCACGGAUCUGCCAGAGCGCCCACGGCGGGGCAUCGUGGCGCACGCCUGGCCCGCGGCGGUGACGGAGGGCAGCACGGGCGCCUCGCCCUAGCCAACGGCGACGUUGGAGAGCGCGGCUAGGCGCGAGGACGCGAUGGUGAAGGGCGCAACGAGCGGGAUGCGGAGCGAGCGCGCGCCGGCCGCCGACAUGUCCACGGAGAAGGUCUCCUUGAGCGCGUCGAAGCCAAACGAGCCCAUGGGGGAGGGCGGGGACGUGGACGGCGAGACGGCGCAGAGGCGGGUGGUGGCGAUGGCGGGCUGUUGGCGGUGGAUGUGGAUCGACCUCGUGGGCGCCGCCGCCGAUGGGUGAGCGGGGCGGUGCAUGCACGGCGAUGGGUGGAGGCGGGGUGGUUGCCAAAGGCAGGGACGGCUGGGACGGGGGAGGGGGCGGGGGCGGGGAGGAGCACGGUCGGAUCGCCCUGGAUGAAGCGAACGGUCCAGAUUCACCGACGGCAGAACGAGAAAAGGCAGGCUACCCUUAGAGCCUUAAUAAGUAGUAUAGAUACCAAACAGAGAUUAGUAUCUCCCAAGUUUUGCUUGCGGUCCAGAAUUGGCUGGCAGUGACCACCUCGAGGAUGGUGUCAGUUUCGAACUCCUUCCUCCAUUUCAGCAUCUCCGACCACAUCAGCAUUGCCUUAUCGGCUUUGAACUUCCUGGCCUUGAGGAACCUGAACCAAACCACGCGUUUCAAGCACUGGCAUAGUGGCAUUCAAUGAACCGCGUCCAAAUGCAGCGCAGGCAAGGAAACAGAGGGGUGGGCUUUAAUGUGACCUGAGCAUCAUGUGGUAGUCACCGUGCUUGUCGGGGAGGAGGCUGUGCGCGGCGAGGCGGUCCCGGAAGGAGGCGACGGUGCGCUCCCCCUGCCACCAGUACAAGAUUCAUAUUCCUCCAAUGAAUGUGGAUUCAGAGGAAGGCAUAAUUCCUUGUCAACAAAAAGGGGUUCUAUCGUCCAGCAACCCUCAAACUUCCUCAUAAAGCCAUCUCGCUCUUGCCUAAACUUUACCUGCAGAAGGUAUUGCAUGGAUCAAAAUAUCAGGCAAAGUAUUGCAUUUGCUAACCAAAGGAUAAUGUCAGUGUUUCAGUUUUUUACAGUGUGUUUUUUUUCUGUUCUGAUCAACAAAAACAUGAACAGAAAAGGUGCCAGACCACCAGAAGAACUUCUAGAUUGCUGUCUUCUCCACUUCAAUAUCAAUAUUAAUAUAUAAGGAAAAAAAGAUGGACUUCCAUAUAAACUGGCAUCAUAAACAUAUAAAAAAGAAGAUUGCAUUUCUAAGUGAUUUUGACCUUUGAUCAACUUGUCCGGGCUAUUGGACAAUACAAAGAAUUCAUUACUCCAAGAAUGAACACUUCUAGAUAUGUUAACUUUGUCAGCAAUGCCUUUAUCAACCUCAAUGAAUACUCUGCUGGAUUUAGAAACAAGGCAUUUCCCUGAUAACUUUCUGUUGAAAAGAUGUCUCAUGGACCAGUUGGGCUGAAGUUGACCAUGAUUGGAAUGUAGCUGUUCACCAUGUACAUUAUUUGGUUGCAGCACAACAGUCAGAGUUUGAUCAAGAAUAAUACCAAGUGACUGGGAGGAUCUCAGUUUCAGUUUUUGUGAAUGGUAAUAUCCUUUGUAAAUUGAAGGCCUGUACAGCAAAGAAGUUAUCCUAGCUUUGUCACGACAUGGAAGAAGUUUCAACCAAGGUGUCAGAUUCUCAGUGCAUACUGCUUCACGAGGCAAUGCACCAUAUCGCAAAUUGCCUUCGUUCAGUUUGAAGCCCCAGCGAGGAGCAGAAACUGCAGUGGAAGACUCCAAAAAGUUGAUGGAUGCACAAAAUAGGCCAGAGAGUGUUAUGUGUCAGGUUCUUCCAUGUUGCAUCGAUCUCAGACAAAGGAAGAUCAAAAACUGCCCACAGCUCAACACCAGGAGGCUUUGCAUUAUUAGUUGACAUAGGAUCAAAUCCACCCCACUGUUCAUAGUUCCAUCUUCCCUGGGUGAAAGAUAGCUCCAACUCGCUAAUAUGAUAUUUCUUAACCUGAUAUUGACAAAGCAGAAUAAUGUUAAUAGGGGUUCUCACUUCUCAGUCAUUCAUAAAAUAUGGCAGCAUAUAAGAAAUGGAGGGCCCCUUUCUUCAGUGCCCAGGCUGUUGUGACUUAAAGGUAUAAACAAGGGACAGUUUAUUAUAUGUAAACCUAAUAGGCAACAAAAGAAUACAGAGUAAAUUUCUCAAAGCCACCAACAUUUGGGGUUAAUGCCUAAUAGGCACAAACCCACAAACUACUGUGCCCAUUUCAGAGAACCCCCAAUGCUCAGGGUCAUUGACUUGUUGUCUUACAAACCCAACAACCACUGUGACCAUUUCUAAUUAAAAUGGGCUUGAGCCUUUGUUCAGAUUGCAAAACCUAAAUUUCACAGCGGUUCCACAGCACCUAGAUUCAACUUUGGGUAAAAACAAAUCAGCACUUGAGACAACUUGAUAGACAUCAUUCGGUGGGAAAAUGAAACAAAUGCAAAGCAAAGAUCUCCCAUCUUAACACACCUAUGUACAUGUGCCAAAAAUAAAAUCUUUGCAACAGUGCAGUUGCUUGUCUCAUUGUCCCAGUGGAGUACCCACAGACAGAUCAAACGUGUUAUUGAUCUACAAACACAACUAUCUAGUUACAUGCUAGUCCAGGCUAAUGUACCAGUAUGAACGGCGAAUUAAAGCAGUAUACAGUUGGAGCUUAAACCCUAAAUCAGCCACAUAGAGAUCCACGCACCAGCUGGGAGAUGGCCUUGGGGAAGAGGUGGUGGUGCCGACCAACGGAGGCAGCGGGGGGAGCAGAGGAGCGGAAGUGGAAGUGUGCCAGUGCCUUGCGGUCCGGGAGCGACCGCAGGAGCAGCUCCUCAGUGAACUUUUCAUCCUCAGGCGCCGCCGCAGACGCAACGGCGGUGGUAAAGAGGAAGAGGAAGACGAGGGGCAGGAAGAGGAUCGGUCCUGUGGGUGGACGCGGCGGCGCCAUUAGCGCCAGAGAGCGCAGGAGGCCGCCGGGGUGCUGGAGAUUAGGGUUUUCAUUUGUCGUCGGAGAUGGGCCUCGUACAAAUUGGCAGAUGGGCCUCAUAUGGCGCAUGUGUCUUUGUCUUCAUGGUUUGCAAGUUAAAAUUAGUACCACAUUGCCCACCAGUUGGUGUUUGAAUCUGCUUAUAUGCCUACCUGUGCGCGUAGUAGUACUGUUGUGGUCACCGGAUGCGUUGUGGGAUGUAUUUUUUUGGCUGAACCAGGAGCAUGCACGGGUUAUGUGGGCCCUACCUGUCAGAGACCGAACCGGCAGAACACAAAAAGGCAGGCUACUAUUGCAGCCUUAAUAAGUAGUAGAGAUUUAACCCAUAAUUAUAUUUGCAUAGAUCAAUUUAACACAGACACAUUUCAUUAAUCAUUAGUUUAACUUAUAGACCAUAAACACCACACAAACAUAUAACAUAUUCAUAAGUAAACGAUAUGUAUAUAGCUUCGUUUUUUGAAAUGUGAUAGUGUUUUAUCUUGCGAGCUGGCUUGUUGAUGUCAGCUCAUCUCUUGAAAAAAUUCAAACGAACCGAGUUGAGCUGGUACAAACUGAGCGAGCCGAUGAGUCACGAGCAUUUCAUUGAGCCCUACUUUGGUUAGAUUUUGCAGAAGACAAAUAUAAUAAUAAUUACUCAAAUGGCCAUAUUUGUGAAAUACUUCUGUCAAUAUAUUUUCUUCCGCUCAACUACUGUAUCAAUUACCAUCCUUCGAAUUAAUUUCUAAGUCAAAUUUUGAUUUACAACUGAAUUUAUAAAUAUAUAAUGAUAUUACAUAAGUAUAUUACAAAAAAAGAUAUGGCCUAGUGCAUUUAAAUGAUACUCCCUCCGUCCCAAAUUGAAAUUCGUUUUGCCUUUCAAUAGAUUCAUAAAAUAAUUAAUGUAUAUCUCUACUACUACUUAUGUUAGUAGUGUAGGCGUCCACAACCACCCGUUCUAUCGCGCGCAGAUGCCCGCAUCGCGCAGCCGCUCCGCAACCGCCCGCAUCCGCGCCAGCACCGUAGCCGCUCCUUCCAUCCUCCGCCAUCCUUCCAUCCACCGCGCGGAUCCCAGCGCUCCCUCCCGCGCACCCGCAGCCGCGCCGCAUCACGCAGCCGCCCCGCACCACGGAUACCAGCGCUGCCUCCACCACACAAGCCUCCUCGCCAUGCCCCAUCCGCAGCGCCCACACCACCGUCCGCCGCCAGAUCCGGAUCCCGCCCCCAUCAUCGGCGCCUCCUCCCCCGCCCGCCCGAGACCCUUUCGCUCGCCAUGGACGUCGUAGCCUCCCCUUGAAGCCUCUGUCCUCGCCAGUCCAAUCUCCAACGUACGAAUAUCCGCUCGCCAUGGACGUCGUGGCCUCAUCCCGAGGCUCAUGCCCAAAACCCUACGGGCGCCGCCUACUCCGACGACUCUGACGAGGCCGCUGCCCUGCGCCAGGAGAGAGGUCAAGAAGCCCUUGGUGAAGAAGCCGAAGGUGACGGUCGCGAGGCCGUCAUCUUGAUCGACGCCAAGAACCUCGCAUCGCACCUUCUUGAGAUCUCGGUAAGGCCGCAUCAAACCUCUCGUCCCCGUCGAAUUCCUGUUAAAAAAAUAAGAUGUUGUAACACCCCAGGAUCCACAAACAUCCUGAAAUGCUACUAAACUACACAACUAACAUUCAUAUAUAAAAUUUUGACAGCAUCUCCUUUGAAAAUUUGCAUAAACGUGGAAGCAACAGAGUAUAAGCAGAUAUCAUGAUAAGAAAACAUACUAGACAUUAAUAAUCGGCUAGCAAUGGGAAGAUAACCAUAACGACAUGAAUUGAAUUAACUAGUGUGCAUGACUAGUUAAAGACAAACAUCCUUUGACAAGAAGUUUCUAAUUAAAUCAUGGCUGUGCCUGGGCAGCGUUAUUAUGAGAGUGAAGGUGGACGUGCUGCUACUCCCCUCAUUCCCAACAUGAAUCAAGUACCUGCAUUGAGUAAUGCAAGAGUGAGAUGAAACAUCUCAGCAGGUGAAUUGUUUCGACGAGAUAUUUAAACCAAAAAAAAUUGAAUUAAUCAACAUUUUAAAGGGAUCACAAUUGAGAUCAGAAAUACUUGUAGAUAUAGAACUCAAUAGUCCCAAAAUAACCAAUGCCAUCUCAUUUCCUCGAACAACCACAAUAGGUUGUAUAACACUUUCCUGCAUCAACAAUACCUGCAAAUAUCACUUCAAUGUAUGCAUAGUAAUGCAAUGUGUAAGUCAUCUGCCUUCAUACCUCUUAGAGUAUAAAACCACACCAUCUGCAAAUACCACUUCAAUGAAUGCAUAUGAAUGCAAUGCAUAUGUCCUCUGCCUUCAUACCUCUAAGGGUAUGAAGCCGCAUCGUACCCCUCCUCGGGCAACGUACGAUGCUAAGUUGUACCGGUACGGUCGGACCAUAGGUCACGACAAAACUUCAGAUGCAAGUGAAUCAUGCAAUGUAUAUGGCAUGCUACAUUUAUCAAUAUAUUUCACUUCCUUCACAUACAAUACAACCUCAAAUAAUACUUCAUUUACCUUCAGAUACAAUACAACCUCAGAUAAUACUUCAUUUACCUUCAGGGGUGUGAAUUAAUCUCACGAGUCAUACUCGAAUCAUAAUCAUCAUCAAUAUAUGAUUGAGCAUCAGUAUAAUGCAAGCAAGUAAAGCAUCACCAUAGAGUUCAAUUAUGAAAGAAUCCAAUACUUUUGAAUAUUAGAGUGUAGGCAAUAGAAAUAACAGGUCAGAACGGAAGCAACCACUGCUACAUUCACUUGCCUUCAUCGAAGAAGAAGAAAUGUACUAGGCAUGAUCUGGAGUGUAGCCACCUGCUAGCGGGCAUAAAACUUAGUACAAAUAUUUCACAAACAUUUGCCAUCAAUCAACAAAACACCCCUGCACUUGAAACCAAGACCUAGUGGAAAGACUCCCACCCUGAACCACAUGCCAUACAGCAGCAACGCUGUUUGUUAAUUUUGUAUCUUUAAAAUUAAAACAGCGGUGAUAUCAAACAAAUACUCUAGGAGUAUCUACACAAAAUACUCUACAACUUCAGUAUUCAAUAGAUAAUUAAAUUCUUCCAUCUACAAGUUCUAAAACAUCUGACAAGAUAACUGACUGAAUCUGUUUUAGACAGCAGUAUGGUUAACUUUAAAAUUCGAUAUCUCCCAAACUACUGAACCAAAAAUUAUGAAAUUCUGCUGGAAGUAAGAACUUUUAUCCCUCUACAAAAGUCUCCAUAGUUUGAAGAGCCAAUUCGACCAUUUACUAGAUGAAACCCACCAGUGAACAGACCCACUCAUUUUUGUCAGGUUAACAGGAACAGCCACAGUAAAACAAACAUAACUGGAGUUUCACAAAUCAUAUGAAUGCACUCUUUAACAAUCUGGAAAGCUUAUGAAAUUAUCUACAACUUCUUUUACCAACUCACAGUUUAAUUCUGUUGAUAAAAUUGCCUAACUCUUAAGAUAACAGAUUCUGCACAGAAUUAUGAGACUGAAAAACUGCUAUAAUCAAACUGCCAUAACUUUCUGUUCUGAUGUCCGAUUGAGGUGUUCUUCGCGGCCACGGAAAGAUCUACAAAUUAUCUACGACUCAUAUAUAAACUUUUUAUUUUUUUGAGGCCACUAAGAUCACGGAAAACUGGCAUGAACAGAAACUGUCGAAUCUGCCAUUCUGCAGAAAUUAAAUUCGAGAUCAAAACCUAACCCCACAUCUAAUCCAACCUCUAAUUCUUCAAUCCACAUGAUCCACAACCUCCAAAAACACAUAAUUAUAUGGAGGAACAAGGAUCCCAUCCUUACCUAGAGUUUCCCCAAGAAAAUCUGCAAUAGAUGGGGGGGGGGGGUAGAACAUCUCCUUGAUCCUCUCUUCCUCUUCAAUCCAUCUUGCUCCUCCUCUUCUCGAUCCUUGCUGCGUGGGGGAGGGGAAGAUCUAUGGAGGAGGAAGAAAUGGUGGGAGGCUGCCAUGGGAGGAGAGGGGACGGCCAACCAAGGGAAAAAUGGGGGAGGGUGGCGGCCAAGAGAGGGGGGUGGAGGGAAAAGGGGUGGCCCCCUAGGGUUUUGUGGGAGAAAAGAACCGACGCCCCAGAUGACUUCUGCCUUGCAUCCAACGGCCCACAACCCUUUCCCACAUCCACGCACCGAAGAUCAACUUUUGGUCAACAUUUUUUUGGGAUAUUACACUCUACCCCCCUUAAAAAGAAUUCGUCCUCGAAUUCGGCCACUCCAAGCAAAACACCCAUGGUACCCCAUAUAGCACCACCAUUCAAAACAUGGGUCCAUUAUUGGUCUUAAUUAACACAAGAACUUCUACCUUGGACUAAUUGUCUAAGGAAACUACACAACCUGACAUCAAGCAUGAAACAACAUGCAAUGAAGCUCAAAGCAAGUCAUAGAUGCAAUCAACACUACAAUUUCACACCAUCAAAUUGGGACGCAACUAUACAUCAACAUCAAUGUCUUAAGACAACACUCUUUUAUGAAGGGGUAAUAUGCACUAAGCACAACCCUUACCAACUUCAAUAAUUAAUUUUAAUUAAAUGGUGAAACAUCCACACCCGACGAAUGUAUAAGAAGAUCAAACACCUCACCUCAAAGCACCACGAAACAAGUAGUUCUAUUGAAACAAAACUCCUAAUCUUCCUAAACCUUAUUCUUGCCAUCAUGAAAAGAUAAUCAUGUAAUCUAACAUUCUUUGCACCCCGCAAAAGGGAGAAAAUCUACAGAACUAAUGGAGCAAUAAAGCCAAUAAGAAGCGAAUAACAUUCUGCGCGGCAUAGGUCAUCGAAGAAAUGCCAAAAGCUCCACAAAGAGCACUGACAGCACAAUAACACAAUACUUGGUUAACCAAUGUCACUAUACUUCAUCCAACAACUCAACUAAGAAAAAUAUCCAAACCAGUGAGGUUAACCUACACAUAAUAUAAGUUUUCAUCUACUGUAGUUCAUAAACUUACAUUUCAUUCUAUCAUACGAUGCACUCAAAGUACCAGACAUACAAAGUCAAUAAUAACCCCUAAUCCUUCACACAUUUGACAAACAUAUUAAGCUGAUGUAAAAACCACAUCAUCUAGGAGUAGGUGACUAGCCACACCCAACCAACUCUAGGCUAGGCAAUGACUUCCUUCAAACCAAUAGAUAGGUGGUCUAAAAAAUGGCUCCACAAGCAUGCAUCGAAAAGGGAACCAUCAGAUCCUCAAUGUAUCAAUACAUAAUCAAUGGAUCAAGAGAAUCAAAGAUUUAUUCUACAAUUAGUAUGACUAACAGGCAACCACUUUAAACCACAUCUAGGCUUUGUGGCAACUAAAACACACAAUAGGAGAGAGACAUGUAAGCCAUUCUGGCUAUGAAAAGACUUCCCCCAAAAAUCCAUAUAAAGUACCAAUAUUCAUUUCUUUCAGAACUGGUUUCUCAACAUAAACAAUCAUUCUUUGCAAUGAUAGUUGGAGCUAUCCACCAACCGCUCAACAACUUAAAUUCAAAUUGAUGAUUACCUUGUACCCCAAAACAUGCAAUUCACACUCCUCUUAGAAACAUCCACAAUCAAGCAUAUAUAACAAUAUUAUUGUAAUAAAACUCAACCAUGAAAAACAUGGUGAAAACAACAUAGGCAUACUUGUAUAUCACAAUCAUAAUAACAACUUCAUUCUCACAAAUGACCAGCGAUAUCUAUCGCAUUAAUAAAACAAUAUCAAAAUUUCAGAAAUAAAUUAUAUCAAGCAUUAAGCCAUAAACAACUUACCACAUAACCGUAAAGGAAUAGGGAGGGGUGAGGUUAUUGUCAUCUGCACUUCAAAGACACUAACAUAUAUCAAAGAUAUUUAAACCCAUACCCUUCCUAUAUGUGCGAGUGUGUCAAAUUUAUCUUCAAAUUGCCAAGAAUCUAAAGCCUAUGCUCUGAUACCAACUGUAACACCCCAGGAUCCACAAACAUCCUGAAAUGCUACUAAACUACACAACUAACAUUCAUAUAUAAAAUUUUGACAGCAUCUCCUUUGAAAAUUUGCAUAAACGUGGAAGCAACAGAGUAUAAGCAGAUAUCAUGAUAAGAAAACAUACUAGACAUUAAUAAUCGGCUAGCAAUGGGAAGAUAACCAUAACGACAUGAAUUGAAUUAACUAGUGUGCAUGACUAGUUAAAGACAAACAUCCUUUGACAAGAAGUUUCUAAUUAAAUCAUGGCUGUGCCUGGGCAGCGUUAUUAUGAGAGUGAAGGUGGACGUGCUGCUACUCCCCUCAUUCCCAACAUGAAUCAAGUACCUGCAUUGAGUAAUGCAAGAGUGAGAUGAAACAUCUCAGCAGGUGAAUUGUUUCGACGAGAUAUUUAAACCAAAAAAAUUGAAUUAAUCAACAUUUUAAAGGGAUCACAAUUGAGAUCAGAAAUACUUGUAGAUAUAGAACUCAAUAGUCCCAAAAUAAACAAUGCCAUCUCAUUUCCUCGAACAACCACAAUAGGUUGUAUAACACUUUCCUGCAUCAACAAUACCUGCAAAUAUCACUUCAAUGUAUGCAUAGUAAUGCAAUGUGUAAGUCAUCUGCCUUCAUACCUCUUAGAGUAUAAAACCACACCAUCUGCAAAUACCACUUCAAUGAAUGCAUAUGAAUGCAAUGCAUAUGUCCUCUGCCUUCAUACCUCUAAGGGUAUGAAGCCGCAUCGUACCCCUCCUCGGGCAACGUACGAUGCUAAGUUAUACCGGUACGGUCGGACCAUAGGUCACGACAAAACUUCAGAUGCAAGUGAAUCAUGCAAUGUAUAUGGCAUGCUACAUUUAUCAAUAUAUUUCACUUCCUUCACAUACAAUACAACCUCAAAUAAUACUUCAUUUACCUUCAGAUACAAUACAACCUCAGAUAAUACUUCAUUUACCUUCAGGGGUGUGAAUUAAUCUCACGAGUCAUACUCGAAUCAUAAUCAUCAUCAAUAUAUGAUUGAGCAUCAGUAUAAUGCAAGCAAGUAAAGCAUCACCAUAGAGUUCAAUUAUGAAAGAAUCCAAUACUUUUGAAUAUUAGAGUGUAGGCAAUAGAAAUAACAGGUCAGAACGGAAGCAACCACUGCUACAUUCACUUGCCUUCAUCGAAGAAGAAGAAAUGUACUAGGCAUGAUCUGGAGUGUAGCCACCUGCUAGCGGGCAUAAAACUUAGUACAAAUAUUUCACAAACAUUUGCCAUCAAUCAACAAAACACCCCUGCACUUGAAACCAAGACCUAGUGGAAAGACUCCCACCCUGAACCACAUGCCAUACAGCAGCAACGCUGUUUGUUAAUUUUGUAUCUUUAAAAUUAAAACAGCGGUGAUAUCAAACAAAUACUCUAGGAGUAUCUACACAAAAUACUCUACAACUUCAGUAUUCAAUAGAUAAUUAAAUUCUUCCAUCUACAAGUUCUAAAACAUCUGACAAGAUAACUGACUGAAUCUGUUUUAGACAGCAGUAUGGUUAACUUUAAAAUUCGAUAUCUCCCAAACUACUGAACCAAAAAUUAUGAAAUUCUGCUGGAAGUAAGAACUUUUAUCCCUCUACAAAAGUCUCCAUAGUUUGAAGAGCCAAUUCGACCAUUUACUAGAUGAAACCCACCAGUGAACAGACCCACUCAUUUUUGUCAGGUUAACAGGAACAGCCACAGUAAAACAAACAUAACUGGAGUUUCACAAAUCAUAUGAAUGCACUCUUUAACAAUCUGGAAAGCUUAUGAAAUUAUCUACAACUUCUUUUACCAACUCACAGUUUAAUUCUGUUGAUAAAAUUGCCUAACUCUUAAGAUAACAGAUUCUGCACAGAAUUAUGAGACUGAAAAACUGCUAUAAUCAAACUGCCAUAACUUUCUGUUCUGAUGUCCGAUUGAGGUGUUCUUCGCGGCCACGGAAAGAUCUACAAAUUAUCUACGACUCAUAUAUAAACUUUUUAUUUUUUUGAGGCCACUAAGACCACGGAAAACUGGCAUGAACAGAAACUGUCGAAUCUGCCAUUCUGCAGAAAUUAAAUUCGAGAUCAAAACCUAACCCCACAUCUAAUCCAACCUCUAAUUCUUCAAUCCACAUGAUCCACAACCUCCAAAAACACAUAAUUAUAUGGAGGAACAAGGAUCCCAUCCUUACCUAGAGUUUCCCCAAGAAAAUCUGCAAUAGAUGGGGGGGGGGGUAGAACAUCUCCUUGAUCCUCUCUUCCUCUUCAAUCCAUCUUGCUCCUCCUCUUCUCGAUCCUUGCUGCGUGGGGGAGGGGAAGAUCUAUGGAGGAGGAAGAAAUGGUGGGAGGCUGCCAUGGGAGGAGAGGGGACGGCCAACCAAGGGAAAAAUGGGGGAGGGUGGCGGCCAAGAGAGGGGGGUGGAGGGAAAAGGGGUGGCCCCCUAGGGUUUUGUGGGAGAAAAGAACCGACGCCCCAGAUGACUUCUGCCUUGCAUCCAACGGCCCACAACCCUUUCCCACAUCCACGCACCGAAGAUCAACUUUUGGUCAACAUUUUUUUGGGAUAUUACAGAUGUUGUGAUGACCUCCCUCCUGGCACCUCCCUCCUGGCAUCGACGGUGUGUCAGUCGUCGCGGCAGGCAGAGCUCUUGGGCUCCUGCUCUUUUCUCCGCACCCAGUGCCGUCACGGGUGAUUCUAGGGUUUCGUCGCCGGCGGCAACAACCUGCCUGUAGCGAUUCGACGUAAGCAUCCCUAUUCCUCUCCUCCGGAGGCCUGUCUCCUCGCCAUAUCGUCGAUUUAGCCUGAGUGCGGGUCCACGCCCCUGCAGACCCACGACGACGGCCUGCAGUUCCAGUCCACCUCCGACGAGAUGGACCUAUCUGCAACUUGUGGACAGCCUGCAGAAACAGCUCGUAUUGGAGGUUUGCCUUUUCUGUCCUUAUGCCUUCUUCUAAUCCUCCUCAUUUAUGUUCAGUGAUGAUGAAUUCAUUCAUGCCUUUGAUAAUGUCGAUUUGUAGUUGGAAAUUAGAGUUCAUUUUAGACUUUGGAAAGUUGAGUUCAUGAAAGAACACAUCCGCAAUCACCCCUAACCAAUCAGCUCCCUGGCAGCAACACAUAAUCAGAACUGCAUAUUAGAAUUGAUGAUUGAAUUGUCAUAUCAGUGUCUUGUUGCAGCUACUAACAAAUUGCUUUCGAGUUGUGGGCAUAUGGAUAUGUUCUCCUUUGACUACAUGUUAGAUAUCUGAAACUGUCAUUGAAGAUCGAUUCUGUUUGGAGCAUGGCACUGAAGGAUGGUAUAGUGCACUGGAUCUUGGCCCUUUUUGUUUAAUUUAGAGAAAAGUUAUGGUUGGGAGAGAGCCUUUUGUUUUUAGGCAACUCGAAUGUAAACUAUUUUUUGUUGAAUGUGCAUGGUCAUGGUGGCUGGUUCAUUGACCAUUAUGAAGUGCUUGUAGAUGAGAGUUUCUGGCUGCAAUAUAUUUAUGCUGAAGAGUGAUGUGAUCUGCAUGCAUGUUUUUGAACAAUCAGAAUAGGUCAUUUUCAGAAAUGGUUUAUUACUAAGCUCAUCAAUGCCAUUUAUUUAUCUUACCAUGUACCUCAUAAAUUGGUAACCUGGUUUUAUACACAAGAGUUGAUUGUAUUAAGCUUGCUAUUUGACUGUAUUAAGCUUGCUAUUUGAUUCCUCAAAAAAGCUUGUUAUUUGAUUAAACCCGUGCCUUUUCUGAUGUAAUGGUGGAACUCAGUGUUGAAGACUUUUUUAAACCAUUCUAGAAUUUACUAAUUUCUAUUUACAGAUUGUUGUAUUUCAUGUAUAUAAAUCUCUAGCAGAUCCUAUGACUGAUAUUGAUACAUUUUUCCAUCUACGUUAUUUAUCACCUAUGUUCUGUGGUUUAUCCUUUGGCAUGCAUGUCAAUGUUAAGUUGUUACUCUACUCCUAUUGAUAAUCUGAAGUAAGGUUCAACAAACUGUCCAUGUUAGAAAAUGUCAGGAUUACUAAUUAGUCUAUUCAGACAUUUAGAGAAGCCCCUGUACCAUCAUUUGAUAGUAGCAGAAGUCACUAUAAGACCAUAAAAUGGGACCAUAGUUUGAAUUCUGAAUUAUUUGUACCUCACAACAUUCAAUGUCAACAGAAACCAUUUCAAUAGUUAGAUGCAUAUUUGAACGUCAUAAACCUUACCUUAAAGGCAUCACCAACUAUAUAUCUUACUUAGUCCUUUAUCAUUUUCAAAUGCCAAUCAGUGAACACCAAAUUUUAGGUUUGUUAAAUGCUUGUUACAAGUCAGGAAUGAGAUAUUAUCUUCAGAUGAUAAAUAAAAAAACUAGGAACUGGGAAUUGUGCCACUAUGUUGUGUACUUAGUUCCUAUCUAAUUCUAAUUCCUUGGUUUAUUCUUCAAUAACAAAUUUCUGGGAGGAGGACAAUGCACUCUUUCUACAGUGAUGUUGUGCGCCUUCAGGUUUGUUUCCCUCUGUGACAUGCUACCAUGCUGCCACUACCACCAUUUCCUCUGUUCCCAGUGUUCAUAUUUUUUUCUGAAUCCUUUGUUUCAGGGUCUAAGGGAAAGGUUUUCACACUGCAACUCAAACAUGGACGCGGGCUAGGUUAGUACUUAAUCUUCAAUAAUCUCUACUACUUCUUAAGAGAAUACUGUAGGCGUCCACAACCCCACGGUUCUGCCAGUCUCCCCGCCAUCAACGCCGAUCCGCCCCACCCUCCUUCAUCGCAGGCUGCCGCCGACCACGCGCACCCUCGCGUCCCCAUUCAUCCCGCUGCCGUCACGCACGGACUGCCUCCAGGCCGCGCCCUACCUCCCUCCCCAAACCCCGUUCAUCUCGCCUCCGUUCAUCCCGUGAACCCAUCCCCGCGUCCGCUCCAUCCAUGGCAGAACCGCAAGCCAUGCCUAGCCGCGUCCGCUCUCCGUCCGCGCGCAGAUCCGCGCGCAGAACCGCCCAACUUCGCCCCGUGUCUGCGCCAUCCAUGGCAGCCACCCCGGAUCUGCGUGCCCCAGCCUCCAUGGAAGCCGUCAGCGCGCAGAACUUUCCAACUGCGCCCCGCGUCCGCGCCGUCCAUGGAAGUCGCCCCUGAUCUACGCGCCCCACCUUGCGACUGCGCGCAGAUCCCUCCAUGGAAGCCACCGCUAACCUCGACCUAACUGCGCCUACACUCCGUACAUGGAAGUCGUCGCUAACCUCGACCCAACUGCCAAAUACGGUGUCUCCCACCCGGAUCUACGCGCCCCAAAUUAUGGUACAGCGCAGACGGAGGCUAACCUUCCAUGGGUAGCGCGUAGAUCAUCCGGGGCAGCCCUAUAAGUUAUCAAGUGUGUACGCCCCAACAACCCAUAGAUGCGGCUCGGCGCUCUCCAUCGUCUGGUAUACCAGGUACACACAGAUCUCAUCUGUGUGUUGUUUUCUGUAAUAGCAUGUUGGUUGUGUCAUCUGUAGUAUUGUUAGUCUUCAUCAGUACUAAAAGAAACAGACUCAUUAGUCUCACAUCAAUGUUUCUGUACAGACUCGUUAGUUUUCAGGCGGGUCACACAAUCAAAAUUAUAAUAGUAGAGAAAUGCUCUUUUUUCUUUGCUUUUCACCACACACAACUAAAAUCUUCAAAUAUUGUGUAGCAUGGAGGCUGUAUGGUGUAUGAUCUAGGCAAUAUGAUAAGCUAUUGAGUGGAAUAUCUCAUUCUAUAUUGGUAGAUAUUUAUUUACUUAUUCACACUAGUUUCUGCUUCUACAGAUUCACAAUUAAACAUAUAAUUAAACUAUGAGUAUGGUUCAAAAGCAGACUUACUUUCUAACAUUAUAAGAGGAAACCAAUGAAAUGUGUACCUGAUAGAAGUGCCAGUAAAAACCAUACUCAUAGUUUGCAACUGUACAGAUAAAUGAAACAGUGAGCCUCCUUGACCGCCUUACUUCUGCUAAACCAGUUCUCCAGUCUUGGUGUUUCCAAAGGAUCCCAUGAUCCUCCUCAUGCAAACAAACAUAGUUCUCAAUUGUCUCCACACCACCAGUGAAGUUUGUGAAAUGUGCAUCAAAAUAUUUUAUGUAGCCCAAGCACCCUCUUGUAGAAAUCCUUGCAUUGUAAAGAAAUAUAGCAUUUCAAUGACCAUUUCACCCUUUUUGUAUCCACCAUUUCUACAUUUCACAAGUUCCAGUGAAUAGGUGAUAGUUGUGAUUUUAAGGUGGUUGAAAAUGAAGGUAGGAGAAGGGGCACGUGAAUCUGAAUGAUGCAUACUUAAGUGGCACUUUUGCCUCUACCAAAUUUUCUCCCUGUUUAUUUGAUGCUUGCCUUUGUUUCAUUGUUUUAUAUUUGAGUUGUGAUUCUUUUAGUGCAAAAAUUGCUUUUUUUAAUCACCUAUAUCUGGUGGUGGUAUCUGCCGGAUAGGCUUCAGGAGAGGCUAAGAAAGUCUAAAUGUUUAAUCCUUGAAGAGGCUGCAAAGAACAAAGGUUUUGACCUUGGUAACGGUGAGUUAUUUUAUUAAUGUUUUUAUGCCAACAACUUUAGCUUUUGUACACUAGCACUAUUUUCUUAAGGCAAUACAAUUGAAUUCGGGAGUGGUUUAUCUGCAUUAGAAUGACGAUGAUAAAAACCAGGAGAUAAAACCAGGAGAUAAAUAUCUUCCAAGAUGGGAGUUUUUCUUCUCUCAAAACCAGGAGAUAAAAACCUUAAUUUUAACUCCCCUGUCCAAAUCUGAGAGGAUACAAGAAUCUAGGGGCCAAGGCAACACCUGCAGCAGCCUGCAACUGCAAUCCUUCACUGUAGGAGGCUUCAGGUUUUGGGUAUGGAAUUCGAAAUGCUCUUCCCUCUGUUUUGUUGGUAUUAUUCUAUUUUCUUUAUUCUAAGUUAUUGUGUUGUUAAUAUAUCAAAGUUUAUAAUAGAACUUACCAACUAAUCGUAUGAAAAUAUGAUGAUAAAUCCCUGUGGUUGAUCAUUGACGCUUCAGUAAGUUAUCCAAUUUCAAAGGAGAUGUCUCAAGGUUUGGAGCCCAAUAUGCGAGGUAGGUUUCAUGGUUUUAUAGGAAUUCUUCUUGCAUUUGAUUCAUGCUUAUUAAUAGGUCUAUUUUUUGCACUUUUGCAGACAAAGUUAUCUAUUCAUCUCCAAAUUUUGAUCCCAAAGUUUUCCUUUCGUGGGUCCACAAAGACACGAGCGCUGCUGACUUAGAGGCUAGUGCUCUCACCUUGAAAACUGAUCUCAAAGGGAGAACACAGCAGAAAAAACUGUUAGUCAAGGAGAACUUUGAUUGUUUUGUCUCGUGCAAAACUACAAUAGAUGGUAUUUGUGUAGUUGUUAUAUACAUCCAUAUUGCAAAUAAAUGUUCAUGAUCCUGAGUUUAUGGACAAUGUUUUGCAUCCCCUUGUAACACAGUUUUUUUGCAGACAUUGAGUCGAAAUUGAGACAAAUAGAGGAAGAUCCUGAAGGUGCAGGUACUGCUCACUUGUAUUCAGUGACACUAAAAAUUAGUGGUGUGGCAAAUCGUGCAUUUGAGCCUCGAUUAUAGAAUUUUGUUAAUGUCUCAUAUAUGCUCAACUCUUGGAAGAUUUCCAUUUAAUAAUACUAUAAUCGACGCCGAGGAUGGUGGUCCGUAAAUACCAUGUCACCCCAAUCCCCAUCGCCCCCAAGACACAGAUUUGGGGCCACCCCAAUCCCCAUCCUCGACUGCGCUCUCUAAGGAAUACUGAUGCUUUGGUGUCAACUUUGGCUCUCCAAUACUUUACAAGGUAUAUACGAUUUAUUAUUGGUUAUGGGUUAUGGGGGCUUUGAGUCUUCGAUCUAACGAUAUAUUAUGGGAGCUCCGAGUCCUCAAUCUGGUAGUUGUGGGAUAUGCUUGUAGCCAGUCGUUCUGAUGAUUCCAAUAGGCUCUUUCUUAGGGUUGGAUCUCCUCAUGGUUUUCUUUUAAUUAAAUAAGUUUGUGGUGCAGACACUAAUUUCUAUGAAUAUAACCUAUCCAUCAUUGUUUCACUUCAAGUCUGGCACUGCCAUGUCUCUGUAUGCUUGAUAGUCUGUCUAAACCUUGGAGUAGCAGAUUUCCAUGGGUUGUUGUAUCGAUGGUGCUUAAGUACGGGUAAGCUAGAUAGGGAUGCAAGUAGCAGAUUAUGCUAGAUUCUUGCAUAGGGAAAAUUAUGUAGUAUUGUGGGGGUAACAAGUAGGUUCCUUUUUUGAAGGUACACGUGAGCAUGCCUAUACUAUGCCAGAUGCUUGAUCAGUUCAAAAACAUUUGUGUGGGGGAGCUGUCUUUAUUCUUGUUUAUUUAUCAGUUCAAACAGAUUGUCAUGAACAUGCUUGAUUGCCUUCGUUUAACAGAGAAACCAAUAGUAUAUAAAAUCAUGGGCAGAGGUCCUCGAACCAUGGUGUACUAUAGUGGCCCUUUGUACUCUGUAUCUAAUCAUCUAACCUUAGAUGCAGGCAUUAGUUUAUGUGCUGAUACCGUCAUACGCCGUUGUUUCAUGGCAAUGUCCAUCAGACAGACAAAGAGUGACGACGACACUAGCUCACAUAUGAACUGCAAAGGGUUUUCUUACUUCUUGCAUGUUGGUGUAAAGAGUAGGUAAACCUGCUUGCGCGAUGGUACAAGCAGCAGCAACAGAGGUAUAGGGAAAUUUUUUGGACUGUAACAAGUUGCGAACCCUUGACUUCAAUUGUGAUGUUUAGACCUUCCCUUCAUCAUGGAUUUCCUGAAACUCUUUUCUUCAACUUUGGAACCCCUUUGUUUAUAUAAUCUACAGACUCUAGAACUGUUGUGGUAUAAUGGGCAGACAAUGGAAAUGUUGUUCACCUUCAAUUCUCAGAGGACCUACCACUAUUGUAUUGUCAAUUGUUUUGUUGUUUGUAGACCACAAGGCUUGACGCAGUAAACACCACUAUUUGACCGAGGUGAAUCUAGGUGACCACAAUCUAUGCUCUUCUAUUAUGUUCUUUAUUUUAACUGAACGAUGUAAAAAAUCAUUGAAUGAUUGUUAUAUGUUUAAAGAAUUACAAAUGUUGAUUAUGUUAGUGAGUGUGCUAUCUAUUGAAUGAUGAUGUGAAGCAAUGGACCUGGAGACAUGUUCUUUUAAGCCUUGAGCGUGUAUGUGUUCGUGUACUUUGUGUUAAUGAAAUUCUUUUCAAUAUACCAUGUUAUUUUUCUUGUAAAUAAUCUAUUAACCAUUUUUCAUACAACUGCUAAAUGAAAUAGCUUUUGCCAUAGCUUUUUUAAAAAUCUUCGAAGAGGCCGCCACUAAAUGGCUCCACGAAUAAAUGGGUGUGAAGUCUUGGAUGCUUGGUUUGCUCACAGGGAUUGUAUUCUCCUACUAGCCAUAGGAUCAGGUGCAUUUUCUGUAAUACUCCUCUUUAUCUUUUGUAAUUUAUUAUUUAUUCCAUGUGGAUGGUAGUUUCGUCCUCCUUUUUUCACAUGGAUAACUUUACUGGCAGGAAAGUCCCUCUAUUUUCAGAUCCCCCAAGGGUUUUCUUUGAUUCUUAAUCAGUUGUCUGUCGUUUGUAGGCUGUGGAAUACGGAGUUCACAAGAUCUAGGAGAUGAACAACCUCGGGAUAACCCUCUCACGGUCUCAUGCCAGCAGCCGCACCCACGCCCCGUUUCGUCUCGCACGCUCUCGCCAACUUGUGGUUGCCCAUCCACUGCCAAGCACCCAGCCCCAACAGUCGCACUGUCAUCAGUGUUUUUUCUUUUACAUCAAGCUUUUGUUCUGAAAUUAUAUUGUCUAUGAUUUGUAACUUGCUUGAUCAGCAAGCUUUUGUCUGGUCCUUGAUUGGGUAGGCGGCUGUGCAGUGCAUGGUGGACUUGAGAAGUUCGUCAACUGUAUUGGAUAGUUGGGCUAGGGAAAGUUAUUUUUGCUCCUGAUAGUAACUGGAUUUAAUUUAACAUGAACUUGUUUGUACGCGUUGGCAUAAUGUAGGUUUCAUGCGUGAGUGGAACACAGCUUGUAACCAUAUAGUCUAGCAAAUUUUUGGUUCAACCUAUUUAAUGUUCCGAUAGCAUGUAAUCAUAUAACAACCAUACCAGAACUACUAUCAAAUAAAUGUGAAAACAGAGAACAUUCUGAGCAAAAAGACAUGAUCAACAAAAUUAUUACCCUGUCAACAAAAAUUCGAAGAUAUCUUAACCUUACCGAAGAAAAAAUUAGAUAGGUAUAUAUUUGUGAGGAUUUUUAUUCCUACUUAGAAUAUUUAGAUUUCUAAACUACAAUGGUAUAUAGAUAAUGUUUUUGGAAUAUGUCUCCGUUUCUUCUUGUUUAGUCUCAUGUUAAUAUUACGGUUAUUCUUGGAUCAACAUCAUUCGAGUAUUUGACUAUUGCUUGUCAUGUGCACUUGUUAUUUUUGCAUCACUAUUUUGAACCAAUUUUUAAGCUACCGUAGCAACGCACGGACACACACCUAGUGUUUGUAUAUGUGUCUAGAUUUAUCAUCACCAAGUUGAAUAUCAUCAACAUCAACAUAGCCUUUUAGCCUGAAGUAAGUUGGUGUAGGUUAGAGUUGAAACCCAAUAAGAUGUCACCAAAAGAAGAAAGAGAGAGAAAGGGGAGGGAAAAACUUUUGAGAGCACUAAAAGAAAAAGGUCUAAUGAUGGUUCAGGCAUGUGGAUAGCUUCUUUCCAAGAACUUUUAUCCAAACACAACUCCAUUGGGAUAUUCCAUUCCUUUAAGUCUCUUUUAAUUACCUCCUCCCAUGUCAAGUUUGGUCGACCUCUACCUCUCUUCACAUUAUUGUCUCGUCUUAUGAUGCCUCUAUGCACCGAUGCCUCAGGGGUCUCCGGUGGACAUGCCCAAACCAUCUCAACCGGUGUUAAAUAAGUUUUUCUUCAAUUGGCGCUACUCCUAGCUGAUCGCGUAUGUCAUCGUUUCUCACUCGGUCUAAUCUUGUGUACCCACAUAUCCAACACAACAUACGCAUCUCUGUGACACUUAGUUGUUGGAUAUGUCGCCUCUUAGUAGGCCAACACUUAGCCCAUAUAACAUAGCAGGCCUAAUCAUUGUCCUGUAGAACUUUCCUUUCAACUUCUGUGGCACUCUCUUGUCGCAUAGGACCUUCGAUGUUUGACGCUAUUUCAUCCACCCCGCUUUGAUUCUAUGGCUAACAUCUUCAUCAAUAUCACCAUCUCUUUGUAGCAUCGAUCCCAAAUAACGGAAGGUGUCCUUCUUUGGUACUACCUGGCCUCCCAAACUUACAUCUCCAUCCUCACUAAUUGUAGUACCAAAGUCACAUCUCAUAUACUCGGUUUUGGUCCUGCUAAUUCUAAAUCCUUUUGACUCUAGGGUCUGACGCCAUAACUCUAGCUUUUCUAUUUACUCCUUUCCGGCUUUCAUCUACUAGAACUACAUCGUCAGCGAAAAGCAUCACCAAGGGAUAUCUCCUUGUAUAUCCCUCAUGACCUCAUCUAUCAGACUAUCACUAAGGCAAAUAGAUAAUGGCUCAAAGCUAAACCUUGAUGUAGUCCUAUGUUAAUCAGGAAAACAUUUGUAUCACCAUAAGUUGUUCGGACGCUAGUCAUAAUCUUGUCAUACAUGUCCUUGAUGAGCGCAACAUACUUUGUUGGAACUUUAUUCUUAUCCAAUGUCCACCACAUGAGAUUCCUAGGUAUUUUAUCAUAGGCCUUUUCCAAGUCGAUAAAAACCAUGUGCAAGUCCUUCUUCUGCUCCUUAUGUCGCUCUGUGACCUACCUUAUUAAGAAAAUUGCUUCCAUGGUUGACCUUCCAGGCAUGAAUCCAAAUUGGUUCAUGGUGAUAUGCGUCAUUACUCUCAAGCGAUGCUCAAUAACUCUCUCCCAUAGCUUCAUAGUGUGGUUCAUGAGCUUAAUCCCUCGAUAGUUGGUACCAAGGUUUUCAAGUCGGUAAGUCGAGUCGAGUCGACAAGGUACCGACUUGGUGACUAGUCAAUAAGUCAGUCGACUAGUCGUUGACUUGCCAAUAUAGUAGCUGUUUUGCCUGUAUAAUGGCUUCAUAUAGACAAUAUAUCAAUUAUAUAUGAAGAAAGAUGAUGUUUUACUCUUUUGAAGUCUGAAAUUGAACGAAACUAAAAUAAACAGCAAGUCUUACCUCAUUUGAAGCCUCAAACUGAACCAAAUCAGCCACAUAAGUGAUAAGUCAUAAACUCAUAAGUCAUAACAACCAUAUAGUUCAAAUUGGAAAAUAAAUAGCAAGAAAAUAUAGUUCAAACUUGAAAUGAAAUAAACUCCAUUAGAUAGCUAAGCUACUGCUGCAGCUAGAUAGAUACUAGAUACCCUAAGUAUCUCCCAAAUCAAGAUCAUCCAUUGCAUUUUCUUCACCACCAGCACCAGCUUGAGUUAGAUUGUUAUGUGGAGAUUCACCAAAGUCAUCCACUUCUUCAUCAUCAUUAGGCAUGUACUCUUCAUCAUCUUGUUCAUUGCCCUCGUUGCCUUGCUCUUACUCUUCCAUAACUCUCUCCUUCUGUGUAGCAGCAGCUUCACAACGCCUUGAAUAAACAGACUCAUAUCGGGCUCUUCUUGGGAAGUUGCGACCUUGAAGUGAACUAGAAGCACCGAUUGCAUCAUCCACAUGAGCCCAUGCAAGAUCAUCCCCUUCUCUAACUGUUUCAUUUUGAUUGUCCACCCACUCAUUGUCCCAUUGGAAAUCCUCUAAAAUUAAAGGGUUACCAAUAUUUCCCUCCUCACGCAAUCUUUGGAACCUAGCUGCCAUCUUUCUAUUGUAUUGGAUAUAAACCAAAUUGUUUAACCUUUGGUGCUCCAAUCUGUUCCUUUUUUUGUAUGAAUCUAUGUGUUAAAUAAUGAAUCAGUGGUGCUGUCCUAGAAUCAAUUAAAACAAGAUAGAAACUGAAAUAACAAUUUUUUACUUACAAAUUCAAAAGUGAUCCAAUUGCGCUCACAUCCGGAAGCGGAACAACAAAGGCAUCAAGAAGCUUGCCAUGCCUAUAUAUGAAGGUCGUCACUUGGCGAGCAUGGGAAAUGCAUUUCUUGAACUCUCUAAUUUUCCCAAUGUCCUCAAGCAUGAGAUCCAAACAGUGAGCAACACAUGGAGUCCAAAACAAGUGAGGGAUCUUUCUUUCUAAAAGUCUUCCAGCAGCCUUAAAUUAGCCCAUUAUAUGUAACAAUCUGCACUACCUUGUCUCUACCAAUGGCAUCAAUUCUUUUCUCUAGUAGUGCAGCUAACAUCUGAGCAUCUGCUAUCUCACUUGAGGCAUUGACAGACUCCAAGAAAAAUGUGCCAGCUGGACUAUUGACAAGAAAAUUGAUCAAGUGCCGACCCCUCCUAUCUGUCCAACCAUCAGACAUAAGUGUGCAACCAAAUUUAGUCCAAGCCAACUCAUGAGUCUUUUUUAUCUCAUCUACACUAUUCUUUGCCUUCUCAAGCAAUGGCACCGAUAUGAAUGUUUCACAUACCCAGGACCAUAUUGCCCAACCGCUUCAAGCAUGAUCUCAAAGGCCCUUGAGUUGAUGACAUUAAGUGGUAAGCCACACUCAUAAAUAAAAUCAGCACCAUACAUAUAUGUUCUUUCCUUCUCCUCCUUCCUCUUUCGUUGCAAUGUAGUUUGAGUGUUGCCCUUGCAAUGCCUCUCACGAACCACAUCUCCAGGUGCUUUGCGAAGCGUGGACCCAAUUGACUUAGAAGACUUCGAUGCGUGUUGAUUAUUUGGGCUUGCUUCAGCUGAGAGCCUUCUCUUUUGGGUUGUUCCGGAACUAGGCUAAACAACCGAAUGAGAUGCUUUACUUUCCCCUUCUCCAAAUACUUCAUCUUCAUCAUCUUUAUCACCCUCUUUAUCAUCAUCCAACUCAAUAGGCUUCUGUCUAGCAUUCUUCUUCAAAUAAUCACUCAUCUCAUUGCUGAUUGUUGAUAUUGUCUUCGGGCACUUAGCAACAUCACCAUGACCACCAACAAGGUGCUGCUUCAACCUUCUAACACCUGCAUGAACAAUUUUUCCACAAAGGAUGCACUUCACCACAUCUUUUUUGUCCAAAUCCUUCCAAUAACAAUAGUUCCAUGCUGGAUCCUUCGAUUUUGCCUUUCUCUUAGGAUCUCUAGCUAGAUCAUAUGGUUGCUGGCUUUCUGACCCCCUUGUGGUCGAUCUGCAGAUGCAUCUUCCAUAUCCCUAGAGCUUGCUGUGACUUGUGAGGGAGCACAGGUUGCUGAGACUUGUCAGGGCGUGCAGAGGGGCGGCACAGGACUCACCAGAGCUUGCGGCUCCUCUGCAAGCUCAGGAUUCACCACCAGAGGCCUCGACGGCUGGAGGUGGGCGACGGCCAGAGGUGGGCGCUUGGGCGGCGGCCAGAGGAGGGGCUGGCGCAGGAUUCACCACCUUGUAGAGGAGGGGAGGUGGCCAGAGGAGGGCGGCGGGUAGAGGUGGGCGACCAGCGGUGGCCAGCGGUGGGGCUGGCGGCGGGUAGGGCGACGUGUAGAUGGUAGAGGGCUAGAGGCGGCUGUUGGAGGUAGGGUUUAUGGUGUGUAAUGGGCCUUUGUGGUGUUUGGGCUGAACUGGGGACAAGUCGGCCGACUAGUUCGACCAAGUCGACGACUAGUCGACUAAUAUAUUCCAGUCGCUGGCAUGUCACCCGACUUGCGAGAAAAGUCGUGCCAAGCCCCCAAGUCGGCCACCCAUGACUGACUGGACGGCUAGUCGACGAUUUGAAAUCAAGGGUUGGUACAACUUUGAAUAUCUCUCUUGUUCUUGAAGAUUGGUACUAAUGUACUCUGUGGGAACUUGCUUUCCUGGGCAAGUUGAUCCAACGGGGGAGUGAAAGCAAUGUAAACAAGGUUUUAGCUUGAGAUGACAAUAGCUCUGUUAAUCUAGCCUCUCAAGGGCACUGUGCGGGGGUAUUUAUAGGUGUCUGAGUGCCCAGCGCCAAGGAUUAAGGAAGCAUGUGCCCUCAGGUGCCUAGGUCCUCCUCGGAAUAUUCCCAUUAAAGCAGGGUUACAGACUGUAAUAACAGAAAAACCUUUACAAUUUAGGCCCGUAAUGCGCAGCGACAGCGCGGGGCCCGUUAUGAUGGGCCGGAUUGCACGUGGGCCCUCGUGUUGGGCGACGCCGCGGGAUGGGGCGACCUCGCCAUAGGUCUUCGUCCUUCGGCGUGUCGGACGAAGGGUGGAGUCUGUCAGUCGUCGUCUCUGUUGGUGCAGCGAGACUGGCGAAGGCAUCGAGCGAAGGGUAGCGUCUUCGCCUUCGCCCCAACAUUUGCCCUCCGAGGGACCUGUUUGACCAAGUCAUCUGAUGCUGAAGGUGUCGCUAGAUGGUGGAGACAAUGCCCUCGCUCGAAGUGGUUCCGCGGGGUUUUUUGACAUGACCGUUGAUUGACGCCGCACCGUUGGAUUGCGGGUUUCCCAAAGCGCCGCGCCCUGUGUAUAAAAGGGGGUGGGGGCGGCGGCGCGUUUGGAACUUUAUCUUUUCGCGCGCCGCGAAAACCCUAACUUCCUUUUCAAACCGCUCGCUUGCUCGUCUGCCCUCCUUGCUCCUGCUCGUCGGAGAUCUGGCCCGUGUGAAGCAGACCGCCCGCCGCCACCGACGGUACGUAGCCAUGUCGUCCUCUUCCUCUUCUGCUGCCGAUACACCGCCGACCAGUGUAUCGUCCGAGGAGACGCUGAGCAACGUGGCGGCGGAGGAGUUGCGUCCCGGCGACACAGUGGAAUUCGGCGCGUCGCGGAUGUCCUCGGUCCGCGUGCAAGACAUGCAACAACUUGGGUAUUUUGGCGGCGGAGUGGCACGUGUCCCGGGGGCAGAGGAGGUCCCCAAGCCAGAAGGCGAGUUAGUCGUCUUCGAGGCUUUUUUCGCCACUGGCCUUCGUCUGCCCGCGCAUCGAUUUGUGGGAGAGGUUCUGCGUAGAUUCGAAGUCCAGGUCCACCAGCUGACACCAAAUGUCGUGGUGACCCUGGCAAAGUAUGUCUGGGCAACGACUUCGUACGGCGGGCAGCCCUCUGUCGAAGUCUUCGCGAAGCAUUAUUGUCUACAUUGGUAGAAAAGGAAAAUCGGAAAUAAGAUUGCUCAAUUUGGAUCUUGCACAUUUACGCUGAAGACCGGCAAGACUUCGAUGGAAGUCGUGGAGUUGGUUCCCUGCGCCCGCAAUAAAUGGGGCAACUGGUGGGAAUUUUGGUUCUACGUUACCGAAGGCAUAGUCGAAGACCAUCCAGGGCUCCCCGUGGCUGUCAUGUGUUCGCAUUAUUACACAGCGUACCCACAGUUUAAGGUAGCGGAGGAGGAUGAAAACGAAGGGGGCCUUCGGUGCGUGGCCCGCAUGAGUAGCGGGCGCGACCUUGUUGAGGAGUUUGUCGGGUAUGAGGUAUGGCCCUUGGCGCGUGGCUAGGCGCUGGGCGAAGUAUGCCCUCGCCAGAUGCCCUCCUAUGGCGGGAUGCUAGUGCGGAGUCCUGCCUUCACACUGGAUUUGCAUGGCCGAGAUCCCGCCGCAUUCGUGCGUGAAGCGAAAGACGGUGCAGCGAGGAUUGUGGGGCGCUACGUGCCGAAGACAGAGGGUCUGCGGAGCUGGGAUAUCCGUGGGACCAAUGAAAGGCUGAAUCGGGUCUUCGAGUUGAACCGUUUGCCUUACGGUGGUUACCCCGGGGAAGACGCCACCGACCGCCGCGGGAAGAAACCGAUGGGCGGUACCGAGGAAGGGCCAUCGCAGGAGGCCGCCCCGGCCACUAAGAAGAGAAAAUUAGGUACUAUAGUGGGGGGAAAGGGGGUGUCUGAUAAUUUUGUUGUGGAGUUGAUGGGGACAUGCGCGGCCUCCGGGGGAAGGAUGUCUUCACCCGAGCUCCGGGAGUCUUCGGCGCAAAUGCUGGAGGUUACCGGGGGUCGGUGGCUAAAGAAUCUUUCGAUCCCCUGGGCAGAGGGCGAAGACAUGUCUACGUCGCGUAUAGCUCGUGGAUUGAAGAUUUUCCCUUAUGGAUGGAAUAUUGCUGCUGUUGUGUCGGCAGUGAUGAACAAGGAUCACUAGGAUGCUGCGCAGAAGCGCCGGGCGGUCGUCAGGCUCCCCGAUCCUAGGCGUGAAGCGAAGAGAGCGCGAAGGCUGCCGCCGCCGGCGGUAGCUAGCCGACGCUGGCCAUGAAACCGGCUGCACCCGGCUCCAGCAAGGUGUCGGAGAGUGCGAAGGCCGUUGCUGCCGGCGGAACCAAGUCGACCCAGGGCGAGGCCGCGAAGGUCCGGGAGUUGCCUUCGCCGGGGAAGCGCGUUGCCGACUUCGGCACAAAUAUUAGCGUGGAUGACUAUUUUGUCGGUAAGUUUUUUCUUCUUUUUUUUGACCAGUGGUACGUUGCAAGGUCAAGCGAGGGGCAAAUGGUUGUUGUCCCGCCUGCGGUGGCAACCACGGCGUCAACCGCGGUGGUCGGGGCGAAGGGUAGCGCUUUCUGCGCAAGCGGCGAGAUUUCGUCGGCCGCUGCCGUUAAGGGCGAGGCGGGCACCAUGUCCCGCCGGCUGAGGGAGGAGUCGCUGCAGCUGUCGCAGCAGCUAAGUCAAGUAAGUUGAGCUGGACUUCGAGGUUUGCCGUUUUCAUGGGGAUUGUGGUCUCAUGUAUUUCUGUUAGGCGGCCGACUUUGCCGGCCGCGUGGCGUCGGGUGCCCUCACUGCAGAUGUGUCUGCCGAAGUCGAGAGACUUCGGGCGCAGCACGCGGACGCCGUCCGGGAGAAGUCGGUCGUGGAGAGCAAGAGACGCAGGUUGGCGGAGAAGGUGGCCGCCCUGGAGGUCGAGAGGGCGGACCUCCAACGCCAGCUGGUGGAAGAAAGGAGGGAGGCCAACCAGGCUAUUGCCGAGGCGCAGGCCGCGCAGGCGGCGGCCAAACUAGCGCGGGCAGAGGGAAGCCUUGCCAGCCAACGCGCGGAGGAAUGGGAGGAGCGGUUCAACGCUCUGCGCGACCGCAUGGAGAAGGCCGAGGCCUCUACGCGCUCGGAAGUGGAACGGACGCGCGCACAGCUCGUGGAGUCGUACCACGAGCUAGGUGCGCGGACAACUGACUUCGAGGUGCCCGACCGAGAGGCGGGCCUUCGCUUCCUCGAGUGGCUGCAAGAGGAACUGCAGGUGCUCCCGACCCUCGUGGAGGGUUUCAUGUCCUUUGCCUCCCUCGUCACCUGCAAAGGGGCCAUGAACGCGAUGUCUCGCGAGGGCCGCAGACACUUCGAGGUCUUCGACCAAGCUGACGAGAGCUUUGAACGCGAGAUUUUUAAGGCCGAAGACCCAGUUGUGAAGCAGUCGGCGGGGGCAUUGUUUGAUAGGAUGUGGGGGGCGUAUGGUCGGGAGGCUGUCCGGGAGCGGUCCGACCGAGCGAGGGAGCAGGUGAUGUUUAUUGUUUUGCUGUGGUUUGUUGUGCGUUGGUGUGUGUGGUGUUUGCUGAAAGAAUGUGCUGCUGCUGCAGAUGGAGCGCGGCGAGGACCCUGUGUUGGCCGCUGUGCCGACAGCCGAAGGCACCCAGGAGGUGGUGGCGGAGCCAGCGGUCGAAGACCCUACGACCGCGGCCGCGCCUUCACAGGUGGCUAAGUAGUUGAAUAGGUGGAGGGGAAGUUGUAAAUUUUGUCUACGUGUUACUGAACCUCGGUUGCUGCGCAGGUUCAGGAUUUUGGGCCUGCGCACGCAACCGCCACUGAAAGUGCUAAUUUUGUGGCGGCUUCGACCGCGGUUGCGGAAAUGAUUCGGAUGAUUCUGUGUCUAAGUUUUUUGAGUCUGAUGGUUCUGGGAGUUCGCUGGUGUGGACGGAGGAGUCUUCAGAUGAGGAUUUGGAUUAUUUCGCGGCAUUGGAUGUGGCUGCGGCGGAGACUUCUCCGCGUGUGAUGGAUGCUGUUCCCGGUCCGAGUGCUGGGCGUAGGCGGCGAAGGGCGGUGGCGAAGCGUAGGGUGAGUGAGGUUGAGGGUGGUCAUCUUCGUGUGGACAGGGCUGGCAAGCAGGAAUUGUUGGCCUCGCCGGCUGGGGUGAGCGUAGGUGAGGGGGAGUUGCGAAAUCUUUUUGAGGGUGAAGAACUAAGGAUAAUGUUGUUUAACUAUAGGGAGAUGGGUAUCAUCCCGAAGGUUGAACCAAUGUAAUGUUUGGUGCCCUCGCUGCACGUAUGUAACUAUAAUUUGUAUGAUGAGUCUGUGUGCCAUCGCUGAUCCAGCCGUGCCCGUGGGGGACUUGUGCAUUUGAUCUAGCGCGUUUAUUAUGCCGGUCCGGCUGCGCCUGUAAUCGGUCUUUGCGCGGAUAGUUUUUCGACGAAGUUUUUCGCACGGAUGUGCCUGCGAUUUUGCGCGCUUGUUGUGCUAGUCCGGCUGCACCCUUGGGCGACUUUUGCACGGAUAGUCUUUUGAAGAAGACUUCGAUUUUGCGCACUUGUCGUGCUAGUCCGGCUGCACCCUUGGGCGACUUUUACACGGAUAAUCUUUUGAGGAAGACUUCGAUUUUGCGCACUUGGUGUGCUAGUCCGAUUGCACCCUUAGGUGACUUUUGCACGGAUAGUCUUUUGAAGAAGACUUCGAUUUUGCGCACUUGGUGUGCUAGUCCGGCUGCACCCUUAGGCGACUUUUGCACGGAUAGUCUUUUGAAGAAGACUUCGAUUUUGCGCACUUGUUGUGCUAGUCCGGCUGCACCCUUAGGCGACUUUGGCACGGAUAAUCUUUUGAAGAAGACUUCGAUUUUGCGCACUUGUUGUGCUAGUCCGGCUGCACCCUUGGGCGACUUUUGCACGGAUAGUCUUUUGAAGAAGACUUCGAUUUUGCGCACUUGUUGUGCUAGUCCGGCUGCACCCUUAGGCGACUUUUGCGCGGAGUGUCGCACGCGAAGGUAGCCAGUGCUGCCCCUCGCGGCGACUUUGUAUUGGUCGAAUGCCGAAGACCGUCGAUGCGGUCUUUUUUCGACGUAGAUUUUUGCGGGGGAUUUUUCGCGUGUAUAUUACAUGGCUCCGCCUCGUUAAAAACCUCACCCCCCGGGAGGAAAAGAGUGCGGACCGGAAUAAAAUUGUUUUGCGAAUUACAAGGGCGAGCUGGCCCUGAGGAGUCAAACAAAAAAUUUGCGGAGAUUAUCAAUGUUCCAAGAAUGCUCUAAGUCUUCGUCGGAUGGCGUUGUGAGCCUGUACGCGCUGGGGGACGCCUUCAUCUUGACGAUGAAAGGGCCCUCCCACUUGGGCUCUAGCUUGCCCCGGGACUCUGUUCGUGCUGUCCAGACGAGUACGAGAUCUCCUUCGCUGAAUUCCCUCAGGAUGACUAUGUGGUCGCGCCAUGCUUUUGUUUGAGCUUGGUAUUUGUUUAGAGCCUAUAGGGUGAAGACGCGGUCUCCGUCGAUGAGGUCCUUCGAAGUAGGCUCGUCCACGUCGGGGGCGGCUGACGGAACUGUCCGUGGUGACCCAUGUUUUAUUUCUUGCGGGCUCAUGGCCUCCGAUCCAUAUAGGAGGUGGAAAGGGGUGAACCCGGUCGCCCUGCACUCGGUUGUGUUCAGUGCCCAAACCGCUUCAGGUAACAGGUCGGCCCACUUGCCUUUUUUGUCGUCGAGGAGCAUUUUCUUGAUAGCUGUGAAGAUUUUGCCAUUGGAGCGUUCCACAACUCAGUUGGAUUGCGGGUGAUACACUGAGGCGAAGGCAAGCGUGGUGCCAAUGGAGAAGCAGAAAUCCUUGAAGUCUUGGCUAUCAAAUUGCUUGCCAUUGUCAACUGUGAGUUCGGACGGGACUCCGAAGCGGCAAACAAUGUUUUGCCAGAAGAAUUUCUGGGCAGUCUGUGAUGUUAUCGUGGAUACAGCCCUCGCCUCGAUUCAUUUGGUAAAAUACUCAACAGCGACGAAGGUGAACUUGAGGUUCCCCUGGGCCGUGGGUAGGGGCCCUAUAAUGUCCAGGCCCCAGCGCUGAAGAGGCCACGUGUGGGCGAUUAGCUUCAUGAAUUGCGAAGGGCUUCCCGAGCGUGGAGAAAAUUUCUGGCAGGCUUCGCAGGACCUUGUGACCCGAUUUGCAGCGCAAAUCAUGGCGGGCCAGUAGAAACCUUGAUGGAUUACCUUUGCGGCUAGGGCCCUAGGCCCUGCGUGAGAGCCGCAAGUCCCGCUGUGGACUUCGCGCAGAAUUUGGACGCCUUCGGUCUCGGUGACACAUUUAAGCAUAGGUUGACUGACCCCCUUCUUGUAAAGCUGGCCUUCAAUUAGUGCGAAGUCCCGGCUUCGAUGUUUGAGGCGCUUGGCCUCAUUGAUGUCGGUUGGAUGAUAGUACCCCUGCAGGAACAGGGUUAUUGGUGCCCGCCAGUCUUCGGUCAUGAUGAGGUUGACUAUGCGGUGGCCCUCGCUGUCAUUGGUUAUUUGGAGCCCCUCUGGGUUGCGGACGGCUGGCGUGCCGAUGACAUGGUAGAAUACAUCGGAGGGCAGGGCCUCGCCUCUGGCGGCUGCUUUGGCCAAUGCGUCGGCCUCCUCAUUCUUGGCUCGGUCCACAUGCUGCAAGGUGAAACCUUUGAAUUGCCUCUCGAGACUACGGAUAGCCGCGAGGUACUGCAUAAGUGCGGGGUCCUUCGCUGCGUAGUCUUUCUCGACUUGGCCGGCGACUACCUUGGAGUCUGUUCUGAUGAUGCAGGUGGUGACGCCAAGUGCCCUUAGCUUGCGAAGGCCGAGGAUGACAACUUCAUAUUCUGCUAUGUUGUUAGUGCAUCUGUCAGACUCCAAAGCAAAGCUGAGGCGUGCUGCGUAUCUGUGCUUGACCCCUGUGGGUGAAGUAAUGACUGCAGCGGCACCUGCCCCCGCAUGGCACCAUGCAUCGUCGCAAUGGAUUGUCCACACCUUCUCUGCGGACGGGUCCGGCUAUGUUAUUGGCCCAGUCCAGUCGACGACGAAGUCUGCCAGGACUUGUGACUUGAUGGCUGUCCUGGGUUCGAAUGUGAUGUGGUAGCCGGAGAGUUCGACCGCCCAUUUGGCAAUCCGGACUGAUGCCUCCGGAUUUCUAAACAAUUCGCCGAGUCCCCUAUCUGAGGUGACCCAGACCUUGAAUGCUUCAAAAUAAUGGCGCAAUUUGCGCAAAGCCAUGACAACUGCAUAGGCGAUUUUUUCCAGUUCCGUCAUAUUGCAUUUUGAUGUCGUAAGUACUUCGGAAACGUAAUAAACUGGGCAUUGCCUGACCGUGCCCUCUCUGCUCUGCUCUUGAACCAGUGCUACGCUGACCGCAUGCGGCGAAGCUGCUAUGUAGAGCAACAGGGGUAGCGAGGGGUCUGGGCUUGUAAGAAUCGCCAACUCUGAUAGGUACUGCUUCAAUGAAGCGAAGGCCACCACCUGCUCUGGUCCCCAUGCGAAGUCUUUUGCGCCGCGGAGUGUUUUGAGGAAAGGGAGGCUUCGCUCUGCGGAUUUAGAGAUGAAUCUGUUGAGGGCGGCCAAACUGCCUAUCAGUCGUUGGACGUCUCUGGCUGACUGUGGGGGCGUCAUGUUGAUGAUGGCCUGGAUUUUGGUUGGAUUGGCUUCAAUCCCGCGGUGCGACACCAGGUAGCCCAAUAUUUUCCCCUGGCGAACGCCGAAGACGCACUUUUCGGGGUUUAGGCGAAGUCGUGCGUCCCGCAUGUUCGCAAACGUUUUGGCUAGGUCAGCCAGAUGGUCUUCCUUGCUUCUGCUGGCGACGACAAUGUCGUCCACAUAUGUAAAUAUAUUUCUGUCGACUUGGCCCUCGAGCACCGUUUUGGUGAGCCGAGAGAAAGUGGACCCGGCGUUCUUAAGUCCCUCCGGCAUUCUGAUGAAGCAAUACAUGCCGAAGGGUGUUAGGAAACUGGUGCUCGCCUUGUCCUCCUCCUUCAUGUAUAUUUGAUGGUAGCCGGAGAAGCAAUCAAGGAGUGACAUGACCUCGCACCCGGCCGCGCUAUCGACGAUUUUGUCGAUCUGAGGCAGCGAGAAGUUGUCCUUGGGGCAGGCCUUGUUAAGACUGGUGAAAUCGAUGCACAUCCGCCAUUUGCCGCUCUUCUUCUGCACCAUCACUACGUUGGCGAGCCAUGUAGGGUAGGCAAUUGGCUCGAUAAAUUUGGCCUCAAGCAGGCGAUGUACCUCAGCCUUGGCGGUUUCUGUCUUCUCAUCAGACAUCUUGCACAGCCGCUGUUUCUUCGGCCUUACCGAAGGGUCAAUUCCCAAGCUGUGCUCGAUGAUGGAGCGACUGACUCCGACCAGGUCGAGGGCGGACCAGGCGAAUACGUCUUUAUUCUUGGACAGACAGCAGAGGAGUCUUUCCUCGUCAUGCAGAGUGAGGUCUUCGCUGAUGGUGACCAUCUGCUUGGGCGUUGCUUUGUCGAGGGGAACAGUCUUGGUCCCGUCGUUGCUCUGCAGCUGUGCUUUGUCAUGUUCUUUAGCGUUUGGGCUAGCAGACUCGGGGGCCUCGCGCUGGGCCGUGAGGCAGUGUAUGUUUCUUUGCCCAGGAACAAAGUCUCUUUCUAUGUUGCGCGCAGCCUGCUGGUUGCCGUAGACUGUGAUGGCGCCUUGCGGACCUGGAAUCUUCAUGCACAAGUAAAGUCCGUGAAUGGCCGCCUCAAACUUGUUGAUGGAGCCCCGACCCAUUAUGGCGUUGUACGGGUACACCAUGUUGACGAUGUCGAACGUGACUUGCUCACUUCAGGCAUUGGGUGCUACAUCGAAGGAGAGGGGUAACUCUAUUUUGCCGACAGGAAAGGUGCCCUUGCCGCCAAAGCCAUACAGUGGGUUGUUCGAAGGCUUGAGCAGGCUGUGGCUUAUGCCCAUGCGAUCGAAGGCAUGGAGGAAAAUGAUAUCCGCCUGGCUGCCAUUGUCGACUAAGACUUUGUGCAGAUCCCAUCCUGCUACACUGCAGUUGAUAACCAUGGCGUCGAUGUGCGGUGCACUGCGCAGAUCGACGUCUCGGGCGUCGAAGGUCAAAGGCACAUGGGACCACUUUGUCUGCACGACUGGACCGGUGAUGGCGACGUGGUUGAUGCUGCGGUAAUGGUCCCUCUUCUGCCGCUUUGUGUCGAAGUCGGCGCUGGACCCCCCAGUGAUCAUAUGAAUGACUCCGCAAUACGGCUGAUCGGCGAAGUCUUCUUGCUUUGGGGCUUGUGGGUGGUUGUGGUGGUGGACGUUUUGUUGUUGCUGGUGUGGAGGUGGGGGUGGGGGAGGUACGAUUUGUACCUCCUAGUGGUGUUGGUAUGCGUGGUGUGGUGGAUGCGGAGCGGGGCCGUGGUUGUAUGGCUGAGAGGGUUGCUGGUAUGUGUGUGCGACAACUCUAGGGUUGUCGGCUGGUUGCGCUCGUGCCAUCCUGUCUCUGGUGGCCUUCGUUUCUGGGCAGUCUCUUGUAGGGUGGACGCAGCCUACGCCGUGGAACAGACAGUAAAAUAUGCGCGGCUGCUACGCGCGUCCCCGGCCCGACCAUGAGUUCUGUUUCCGCGGCCCUGGGGGGAUACUCCUGGCGGCGAGGGGCCUCGCCAGCGGGGUUCUGGUUGGCGAUGUUGUGCACCUGCUGCUGAUUGCGGCCGUCCCGACCGGAGUCUGCCUGCGAGGGCCUCGUCCACGUGCGGCUGGACUGUGGAGUGUCUUUGGGUUUCCUCUGAGACUCGACUUUGCGCUGGUGGAGCUCUUCGGAUCUGGCAUAUUUUUCAAAUAGCUGAUACAGCUCCUGGAGGUUCUUGGGCGGAUCCCUGAUGCAGUGGCUGUAAAGGACGCUGGCCCGAAGGCCACUAAUGGCGUAGUGGAUGACGAUCUGGUCAUCAACCGAAGGCAGUUGUGACUUGAGGGUCAGAAACUUGCGGUAGUACUCCCACAGAGUCUCUUUUUCCAGCUGCUUGCAGAGUGAAAGUUCAGCCAAGGCGUCGGUGUCUGGGCGGUACCCUUGGAAGUUGAGCAAGAAUUUGUCCCGGAGACUUCUCCAGGAGUCGAUGGACAAUGGGGGCAACCUGGUGUACCAGGUGAGGGCUGGGCCUUCGAGGGCGAUGAUGAAUGAUUUGGCCAUCAUGGCGUCGUCCCCUCCGGAUGAUGCAACAAUGACCUGAUAACUCAUGAUAUAUUGUGCUGGGUCAGUGCUGCCGUUGUACUUGGGAUAGGUCCCUGCCCUGAAGUUGGCGGGCCAUGGUGAUACUUGCAGGUGUGGCGCCAGGGGACUUCGCUCGUCAAGGUAGUUGACACCUUGGAAGGCCGCAGCGUGUGGGAUGGCGUGGCCGCGCUGAGGGAUGUACAGGUCUUCGACUUGUGCGCGCUGUUGGAGGGGUGGGCCGUGUUGCAGGCCGAGUUGGCCUUCGCGCUGCAUGAGCGCGAUCUCUUGUUCGAGCUCCUGAGCCUUCUGCUCUUCGUCGUGUAUCAUCUGUCGCACCUUGGCUUGUGCAGACACACGUUGGCGCUUGGCCUCGAGGAUCUCUUUUUGCUUCUGGAGGUUGCGGUUCUUGAUGUGCAAGGCGCGCAGCUGUAGCUGCUCUUCUGCUGAAACGCCGAUGACUUUGCCGUCCUCGGUGGUGUCCGCGCCCUCCGGUGGAGCGAAGCCUGGGGGAAGUUGCGGUUGUCCUCCAGAGCUGCAGGUGCGGAGACUGUCUUCGGGAGUGGGUUGUUCGUUGCGCUGCCUCUUGCUGAGUGCGUCGUCUUCGCAGGCCUCUUGGUGGGUGGUGUCGACAAGGGCCUUGCCCUUUUUCUUGGCCAGCAGUGCUGCCUUCGCAGCCUCGUCAGCCUUCGAGCUAGCUCUCUUGGGUGCCAUCGCGGGUGGUUUUUUUGUAGCACGAACGGUGGGCGCCAAAUGUUGGAACUUGCUUUCCUGGGCAAGUUGAUCCAACAGGGGAGUGAAAGCAAUGUAAACAAGGUUUUAGCUUGAGAUGGCAAUAGCUCUGUUAAUCUAGCCUCUCAAGGGCACUGUGCGGGGGUAUUUAUAGGUGUCUGAGUGCCCAGCGCCAAGGAUUAAGGACGCAUGUGCCCUCAGGUGCCUAGGUCCUCCCCGGAAUAUUCCCAUUAAAGCAGGGUUACAGACUGUAAUAACAGAAAAACCUUUACAAUUUAGGCCCGUAAUGCACAGCGACAGCGCGGGGCCCGUUAUGAUGGGCCGGAUUGCACGUGGGCCCUCGUGUUGGGCGACGCCGCGGGAUGGGGCGACCUCGCCAUAGGUCUUCGUCCUUCGGCGUGUCGGACGAAGGGUGGAGUCUGCCAGUCGUCGUCUUCGUUGGUGCAGCGAGACUGGCGAAGGCAUCGAGCGAAGGGUAGCGUCUUCGCCUCCGCCCCAACAUACUCCUCCUACACUCAUCGAGCAUCCUGUUUGAUCAAAAAAUAUGGUUUAACAACUUUGAAUAUCAUCAUCAAUUCGAAUAUAGAUAUAAAAAACAAGUGCUACAACGACUACUAAAUUAGGACAUAGGGAAUACUAAUUUUAUGUCAUAAGUUUAUUGUGUUUUUAUACAAAUUUAGUUAAAGUUUUUUUACUUAAAACAACUCUAGGAAUUAAGUAUCUCUAUGUAAUUUUUAUCGAUCGUAUUUAUAGUCUACUCUAUAUGCAUGAUUAUAAAUAUUCAUGAUAUAUCAAAAUCUAUUUAGAGGGGAGCUGAACCUCUCCGUAUGGUAACUGUUGUAUCUUAACUUUGCUAAUUCUACUAUGCUGAGCAACAAGUCAUUAUGAGUUUUUCUAUGAUUUAACUGCACAAAGAGAAGGUGGUGAAGAAAUAAAGGUAACAAUGUUAACGAGAGUCAUACAUAGAUGUAUAUUGCAUAUUUAGAUUAAAGACACGACACUCCAAACGAAUCCUUGGUCAACUCUUCAAACUAGUCGAGGGCUCAAAGACUAUACCCAUCAGGUGUGGUCGUGUGCACCCCCUUUCAGAAAGGGAUGGUUCAGCAACCCAUAGAUGGACCUCUUAAAGGAUGUUUGGUAUUAGAAGGGUGAGCUUGAAAAAUGAAAAGUCACCAUCGCUUUGAGAUCAUGGGCUUGAGCAAGACGUGGGGAUUCCUGACCUAAGUGGAGCCCUGGCCAAACCCGAAGCUAUCAUAUGCUCAUAGUCUAACAAACAUAGAAGCAUCACAUAACUGUCCCGACAAACCAAGGAUAGAGGCAAUGGUGGGGCGGGCGGGACUCAAGCCCCCUACCGCUCCUGAGCCCAUGGAGUCCCAUUGGAGCCUCCCAGAAAAUUUGAAAUAUACAUAAUAUAAUGUAGAAGAUGCUCCUAUAUUGUAGCGGUUUAGUUUUGUCCCUCCUAAAAUUUUUCCCUGGUUCCAUCCCUAUUAACAACUUGCAAAUAUCACACAACUUGUAGGUAUCACACAACACCUAUAGGUGUGUGGCAAAACAAAGUCUACCACUUGGAGGUCGAGUGUCACACCCGGUCCUAGGGGGCAGAGCCAGAUGCAUCGCAUAUGUGUGCCAGGAUCUAUUUUCACACAUAUGUUGACAUCACAAGUGUAAUAUAUCAAAAGAACAAUGCAUAAAAGAGUAAAUAACGAUUAUAUUAACAUAUUACACUUCGAACAGACAUAAUGUCUUAACCUUUAUUCAGCAAAGUACAGCGAAACAUGGACAUCCAUCCACAGAAAGAUGACCGGGGGUAUCACUAGACUAGCAUCCAUGGAGCUCAGCAUCAUAACUUCAUCUGCAAACUUCUGAUCAAAAUUAAGCAAGGGUGAGCUCACUUAUGGUCGGGGCUCAGCAAGUGGGGGAAAAAUUAAUGCAAGUUUAAUAAGGCGAGGCUAAGGUUGAGCAGUAAGCAUUUUAGUUGGUCAACAUUUUAUUAACAGCACCUGUCUUACUAAUAAGUGUGAAUCCAAGUAUUCCCAUUAAACAAAGGUAUAAGAGUAUAUCAAAAAUAUUUAAGUGAAACCACUUAAGCAAACCAUUGGCAGAUCAUCGGAUCUCGAUUUAUUUCCAUCUUCAAGUUCAAUUAUCAUGUGAGGAGUCCAGGCUGCUCAUAACCGUGAGCACGACUGAUAUAUCAGUUUUACACUCUACAGAAGUGGCACAUCUUUACCCAUGAGUCACGAUUCCCUUCUAGCCCGAGUUAGCUAGACUCAUAUUCACUUCCGAGGUGAAUGGCUACGAGGCUUUUCCCUAGAGUCCUCAUUAUGCAAAUGCUGGAAAUGGUCAAACUGCAUAGAGUACACCUAACGUAACCAACUUAUAGACCAGUCUGUAGGGUAAAGCUUUGGGAACUAUGCCCGUAUCCAAUCUGCCUGAGCCGGAACUAUAAGCGCUUGCCAGAUGCCCCCGUUCCGAUUGAUCACGACCAACACCCAACAUAAGACUUCCCUAGUUAUUUAGCCAAGGGCGUCCCAUACCACCCUCAUGGUAGCACUGUUUUCCCGGGUGGUCACUCCAUGUUCCAAUUAAAUCAUAUGAUCUUGCUUAAUCGUCGGAUUAGCAACAAUAAUGUAAACUUACCAUUUGGAACAUUAAUAUCAUAAACGGGAGUGCCUGCAUAAAUUUAAAGUUGUAGCAAUAGCAUAGCUACUUGAUUAGAUCAUAAUCCCAGGUUAAACAAGGAGUAAGAUUGGAAAGGUUAGGGGUAUCUAAAUAUGUAACCCAUCAAAUUAUGCAUAUAUAUAUCCAAGAAUAAACUUUAUUAAAUGUAUUGUUUGGGAUCAAACAGAGUAUGCGGAGGGAGAAGUCCACGUGCCUUGCUUAUUGAAAACUUGAGUUUCUUCCACGGAUCUGAAUAGAUCUUGAUUCUUAACUACUAGAUCAACUACUGAAUAUCACACAAACAAACAAGAAGAAACAAACACCACUCAAUAACAUACAACAUUCACCAUACGUAAAGCUAAAAGAAAGCCUAACAAAAAGAGCGUUCGCAUUUUUCAAAAACAUUACACGCAAGGGUUAUAAUAAAAAUGUAUUCUUUUCAAAAAAUGUGUGAUCUAUACUUUAUAAAACAAUACAUGAGCUUAAAAUAUGUUAAUUAAUUAAAAUAUGUAAAUAUUAGGUUCACCAAUUUAAUCUUUUAUAAAACGUCAUAUGUGAUAUGUCUAAAAUUAAGGGUUUUAUAAGACAAUAAAACACGUUAUAACGAUAUUAAACUUUUUUAGAAAAGCUAUAUAUAUAUAUAUGUUAUAUAUCUAAGGUUAAUGGGCUAUGAAAAAUGUUAUUUAUUUUGAAAGCAUUAUGGAACAUCUUAUAAAUCAUUGUUAAACAUUCACUUAUGAUAAACUAAGAUAUAAGUCUAAAUAGGUUUUAUAUGAAAAGAUCAUUAUUAUUAAACACCUAUUUUAUGAAAAGCUAGGUUAUAGGUCCUUAAGUGGAUUUUCAUGCAAAAGAUAAUGAACAAAAAACUAUCCAUUAGAAAACACAUAGCCUAUAUUAUUAUAUUCGAAGUCAAUAUAUAAAGUAACAAAAGAACUUAAACUCUUAUUACUUUAUUUUAUCCUUUAGGAAAAGCUAAGUGAUUUGUAUAGAAUGUGGACUAAAUUCUAUGAAAUCAUUAAUCAUGCCGUAAAUCUAGUUAAGAACAAAUUGACUAUAAGUUUGAAUAAUAAAUUAUGAUAAAGGAUAAUUUAUCUAUUAAUUAUCUUUCAUUCUAUUGUAGGAACAAAUGAUCUAAUUCAUUAGAAAGGAAAUUAUGUAUAAACUAUCAUUUUAGUUUAUAAAAGCAAUGACCCUUGUUAUCUUUUAAUUAAGAAAAUAUAAAUAAUCUAUUAAUUGGACAUAUAUUUAUCUUCUAUUUUUAUUAAGAAACAUAUGGUCUACAAAUUUUUUUAAGUUUCUAUUUAAUACGGCUAUACUUAAACAUCUAUAACGAACCUUGUUAAAUAUGAUAUCUAUUAAAAAGGUCAUUUUAAAAUUAGAAACAAAUUAUCUACUUCAUUAGUAAGAAAUCUAUGUUUACCAACAUAACUAUCAAUUUCUUUAUUAGAAAAGUAUGAGUGUCUAGUUAAGUCAUUUUAACAUUAUUAUAAAUUCUACUCUUUCGGUUUUCUCCAUUCUUUUCUAAAUAGAAUUUAUACGUAUCGUUACAAUGUUUAUUUCUAAAUCACCUUUCAUUAAUAUUCUAAGGAUUAAUGUAGAUCACUAAAUGGGUCUUUUAAUAAUAUAUUCAUGGUUAUUAUGACAUAGAUAAAUAUCUUACUAAUUCUAAGUAAUUAAGUGUUAUACUUAUGAAUACAUUUAUCAUGAAUAGUAAAAUCUAUAUCUUCAUUUGACCAGAAAAUACGUGGCUUAGUAUUUCUUCUAUUUCUUCAUGCAAAUAAGUUCACACUUAAAAUACUACUAACAAUUAUCGUUACACACACACUAAAGCAAAAUUAAAUCUGUACACGUGUUCUAGUAUGAAAAUCACCGAGGUAGUGAAUAGUAACCGUAUUCAUUUUAAAAUUAUAAAAUCAUACACAUAUUCAAAGCAUUGUCGCGGGGUUCGAUUUUGGUUACACGUAUACAUCGAAAUCUAAAAUUAUACACGUAUACACUUAUCCCAAAAUUAAUUGAAUUCAUAAACCAGGGGCUAAAUCGCAGAAUUGCCUUCUUGUACCUUGGACCUUUUGUGCAUGCGCAUGAAUGGAGGUUGAUGGGUUCGGUGAUCUCGGCGGGCAAGGAACGGGCGCGAUCUUUGGUGAGCGUUCGGGCGGAGCUCCGGCGGUCGGCGGCGGCGAUUCGACGGUGGGCAAUGGAGCCAGAGAGAGAGAGAGAGAGAGCGUGAGAGACUUGGACGAGCAAGGAGUGUAAGAGAGAGGGGCGAGCUCAGGUAGGGAUGAAGAGAGGGAGAUCCAUCUCCAAUUUAUAGAGGGAUAGGAGAGGGAGAGAGAGGGGCGCCGGGGAGAGAGAGUAAUGGCCGGCAUAAACUCCAUUGAUGGCAUUCAUGGAGCUUCAAUGAGGGAGAGGAAAUGGGGGAGAGAGAGAUAUGGCGCCGUCGGUUCGGCUCCGCAGGGCGGGUUCCUGGCGCGGGACACGACGCUCGGCCGUGGGCAGCGCGCGGUCGGGCGAGGCGUCGGGCUAGGGUGACGGCGGCCUGGGCGCGCUCCUGGCGCGGGGUGCCCUGGCGCGGUCAGGGAAGGGAACGCGAGCCUGGGAGGAAAGGGGAGGGGAGAGAAAGCACGGUGGGGCCGAGGCGUCUGUGAGAGAGAGGAGGGGGGAAGGAAAAGGAGGUGGCGGCGGUGGCAGUAGGGGAGGGAGGCGUGGCUGGUCCUUGUUGGGCCCCUAGUGGGCCUUAGUGUUAGUGUUAGGGUUUUUCGUUUUUUCUUUUCUAAUUUCGAAAUAUAUUUUUAAAUAAUCCUAAAAUUCAUAAUAAUUAUUCCCAAAUUAUUUAUAAAUAAAAUAUUUAUUUUUGGACUAAUAAUUAUUAUAUUAUUUAUGUGAAUUUUCAUUUAAGAAGAAAUGUUAUUAAAUAUCCAAAAAUCAAUCAUGAGCAUUCAAAAAUUAUUCCAAAUAAAAUAAAUAACAAACACUUUAAAGAAAAUUUAUUAUCAUAAUUACCAUUAAUAAACUAACUGCAUUAUUUUUAUUUGAUGAUUUUUAUUGUGUUACAAACCUACCCCUCCUAAAAGAAUCUCGUCCUCGAGAUUAAGGAAGGCUAGCACGAAAGCAAAGGAGAUACAUGGUUUAUCUGUAGGUUCUUAGUUCACAUUGAACUCUUCUAAUAUUAAGGAACUUCAUUUCUUCUUUGCUCUGCAAUGUAUACUAAUCAAGCGACCUUCAUCAUCGUACUUAUAAAAUGGUUGGUCUUCUGAAUUAUUGCUUAGGUCAUGCUUGGCAGCUUUCUUCUUUAGUCGGUUUAGACGCUUCUUGGGGCAUUCGUGAAUAAUAUGUCCUUCAUUUUUGCAGUAGUAGCAAGCACCUCUUUCUUUGAGUUCUUUGCGAUUCAACUUUGCUUGACCUACAUGGGUGAGGGUUGACUGGGUUUUUGUAUCUCAUAUAACUGAGCCUGACUUGAUUCUUCUAUUUGGGUAUCCAUGUGUUUCGUGGCUUUUGCUUGUGGUUGAGGUGGACUACUCAUGUAUCCAAACAUUUUUCUAUUCCUUUUGUUGUUCUUCAUUCCAUUCAUCAAAUAUCUCUGUGACACAUUUUUCUUGUCCAUAGUUGUUAAGGUAGGAAUAUUGUCAUUGUCAUCAUUUACUUUAUUUCCAUUGGGGUUCAUCACUAGUCAGAGGGUAAAAGAGUUAGUGAGACAGACUACAUAAGAGGCUUGUAUGACAUUAAGAUAAAGAGCUAACACAACAUUUUGAUUCCCAAGAUAAGAUUAGUUAAGGAUGAUUUCCAAUUGCGCCUAGCUUCAUCAUACUACAAGAGUGUACAAGUGUUAUAAUCCUUAACAAGGAUCUUUUGAACUUUAUAGAUUUCAUAGCAUGAUAUCCAAAUCAUCUUUCUAAUCCAACAAUAUUUCUUUGAGCACAAAUUGAGAGAAAUACUUGAGCGGGACUUUAGGGCAACUAGAAUAGAGCAUCACAUUGUUUGCAUAUAGCAGAUGACACCACACUUUAUUCUCUUUAUAAAGGGGCAAAACACAAUAGGUGCAAAAUAUUCUCCAAAUUUAUUCAUAUAUCACUUAGCACAAUUACAGAUCCUUUAAGAGAGCAACACCUUGACAUUUUGUUUUCUUCGUGAGACAUACUCCUUCUUCUAGCUAAAUGAUAUAUUAUUCUUCCUUGUCAGAUGCACCAAUCAGAGCUGGAGGUCGAUUGUCUUCAACUACUAUUCUUUCUCCAGAUGGGGUUUCCAAACACAUGGUUCUCUCGGUAUGUUGGAUUACUGCCUUAGUUCUUUGUAACCAAUUCUUUCCAAGAAUCACAUCCUUUCCCAUUGAUUCUAUCACUAUAAGAUCAGCUAGAAAAUCUAUACCAUUGAUUUUAACACUUACUUUUGGACAUAUGUAAUUCACUAACAUUUUCCUUUCGGGUGCACUGAUUGUCAUCCUUGAUCUCAAGGGACACUUAAAGAUACCAUACUUUGUUGCAAACUGGACACUGAUAAAAGAAUGUGUUGUACGAGGAUCAUACAACACGGUGGCGAUAGUUGUGUGAAUGACCAGUGUUCCAAAAUUACUGCAUUUUCAUAUGGAAUGGUUCCUGUCACUGCAUAUCUUAUCCUUCCUAUGGACUUUUUCUGUUGUUUAUUCUUUGCAUGAGUUUGAGGGUGUUGUCUUUUCUUUUGGACCUUAUUGAUCUCUACAUCCUUCUUAGGACAACUAUUAAAAAGAUGGCCGGUAUCACCACAACCAAAGCAAGCACGACUUGAUGAGUUACAUGGUGGAGUUGUCUUUACGGUGUUGGUAGAAGUUUCUGUGCAUUUUUGUUCAUAUUCGGUGUCUAAAGACUGAGAUAGCUUCAUCUCGAAGGUGAUAUGUAGUGAACUCUUCUCAGGACUGUUACGGAAGUAAUGACCUUCACGUCCACAUUGAUAGCAAGCUCUUCUUGAAGUUAAUUCUUGACUUUUUCCAUGUUUCCCUUUUUGUUUCUUGGACCUGAUGCGAACCCGAGGCUAAAACUGUGUACAUGUAAUGGUCCAUCCAUCAAUGUAACACUCCUGUUUUUCUUCUUGGGGCUGGGCAUCCUUGUGAUGUUUCCUUUUUGGAAUACUUUGCAAUUCAUCAACUGACAGUGCAUUAGGUAUGAGAGAAUCUGCUAUUAGUUGUUCUUGAGGAGACAUCUGUCUUUUUAUGCCAGAAAAUAAAAUAUGGUUCUUCAGUUUUGCAGUUUCACUUUCAUUUGCAUUGAUUUAGCGACAAGGAAUUCCAUAGUACUCACAACAACAACAUGUUCCAAGGUCACUUGUCUGUUGGUUUGGUUGUGCAUCCUUUUGUGUCUUGAAUGUCUGUUCAUGAGAUGUUUUAUUUAUAGUGUUGUUUUGACUUGCCAACACACCGCAUUCUUUGCAUUUAGUGACAUCACUUGUAGUUGACAUUCCAAGGUCUGACAUCUGUAUGGGUAUGGAAGAAUGGAAGGGACGAAAGGCUUGAGCAAAGACAAAUUAUAGAGAGCAGGGAAACCCAUCUAUCUAAGGUUUUACCUAGCUAACUGAUGCCAUUGUGGACAAAAGUCACACAAUACACCAACAAUCAUUUCAAAGAAGCAAAUCAAAAUGAACACAAAGGACAAUGAACUCAAGCAUACUGGCACAACACAAUCCAAUUCUACUCAUUCAACCUAAACAAAAGGUGAGACAAGGUUUGGAAUAAGAAAGAUAUUAUAAAGUCAAGGAGUCAGGUAAGAAAUAGCGAGGAGUUAGACAAGACAUAUUUGUUGGUGGCCAAGAGUAAAAUAAGAUAACCAUGAACUAUUAAAGUGAGGAUAAAUGAUACAACCAAGGAUAUGAAGUGAGUUAGGGAGAAUGCAUUAUCAAGGAGUAAGUAGAGAGGCAAAGAUUUAAUAUAUUAAGAUAGAUAUUGCGCAAGGGUGGCAAUGCAAUGGCAAGAAAACAAAAGUAUAAGAAGUCAAGGAUUAUAUAGCAAUAUUAGGGAUUAGAAAACCACUAUAAUAUAAUGUCACCCUUACCGAUCUAGUCGAAAAUCUUAAUACUAAAGAACAAUCCUAUCAACCUAACCAAGAAGUCUAGUAAUAGAUCCAAAGCAUCCUUAGCAAAACUUCUUGCAGAGUGGGGAUAAGACAGAGAAUACGGCAUCAUCGAUAACCUUGAAAGGGUUUCUUCUGGCAAACUUCGUUUCAAGUUCCACAAUCCUAGCUUGAUCAUCUUGCAAUGCUUCUCAUUAGAACCUUCUGAUAAACGAAGAAUCAGACAAGAAGGGUGGAAGAUAAAAGAGACGAGUUUUGAUAUAAAGUAAGUUUUUAUGGAGACAAUUAAAUCAAGUUUUGAAUGACUGACUGGGCUUUCCAUUUCUAACUAAUCUAUCGACCUUCGGUCACAUUAGCUUUGAUACCACUUCUGUCACACCCGGUUCCAGGGGCAGAGCCGGAUGCAUCGCAUAUGUGUGCCAGGAUCUAUUUCCACACAUAUGUUGACGUCACAAGGGUAAUAUAUCAAAAGAACAAUGCAUAAAAGCGUAAAUAACGAUUAUAUUAACAUAUUACACUUCGAACAGACAUAAUGUCUUAACCUUUAUUCAUCAAAGUACAAUGAAACAUGGACAUCCAUCCAUAGGAAGAUGACCGGGGGUAUCACUAGACUAGCAUCCAUGGAGCUCAGCAUCAUAACUUCAUCUGCAAACUUCUGAUCAAAAUUAAGCAAGGGUGAGCUCACUUAUGGUCGGGGCUCAGCAAGUGGGGGAAAAAUUAAUGCAAGUUUAACAAGGUGAGGCUAAGGUUGAGCAGUAAGCAUUUUAGUUGGUCAACAUUUUAUUAACAACACCUGUCUUACUAAUAAGUGUGAAUCCCAAGUAUUCCCAUUAAACAAAGGUAUAAGAGUAUAUCAAAAACACUUAAGUGAAACCACUUAAGCAAACCAUUGGCAGAUCAUCGGAUCUCGAUUUAUUUCCAUCUUCAAGUUCAACUAGGUGAGUGCCGGUGCGUUGCAACAGGAACAUAUAAUAACAUAAUAACUUAUAUACAAAAUGUGUCUUAUACUAUUAUAAGAAAAUGUUUCAUAAUCCAUUUGUAAUCCUAGCCAUACAUAAAUUUUGUUAUUUUAAUUUAGCUGUUUCACUACUACAUUGCAACCAUCAGUAUCAUGCAGACUUUGAUAUAUGCCACGAUUUGCAUGGUCUCAUCAUUGAAGAGCACGUGCCACACCUGCCGGUAGAAGUUCCCUCGUACAUUGUCAGUCAUCAGGUACGCACCACCAUACACGCUUGCUUACAAAAAAGGCAAGUGUAUGUGUUUGCGAAGAGAAUUAGAGGCAGGCCAGCACAAAAGCUACCCCGGCGAUGACGAGUGGUCAUUGCUGUCGGUCCUCCUCUACGUCACCUUUGGCACCAAGAUGACGCCAUAAUCCUUGAUAUAGUAGUCGUCGAACACACACGACAUGGCGAGUACCGAUGACUCUUGGCUGGGCUGCCAAACGAAGUGCACCCGGGCUCAUCAGCGAGGUAGUACACCUAGCCGUUGCACCACCGGAUGUGCUACUCCUCUACAUACAUCUUGUUCGAGGACACUCACACAACGUCAGCAACGAUCGUCGUCUCAGCGCACAAGAAUUCAUGACCGGUCAGUAGUGACUUACGUGGCAGGUUGAGCUUCAGGUGGAUGAUGAGCUGGACAGCGUGACGACGCCGUUGUCGGAUGCGGUGCCCAGAACAACCCGAGAGUCGUCGGCGUUGGCUACAACCAUGAGGUCCCUCUAUUUGAAGAUGGACAACGCAGUGCAGCCACUCUGGACCGCGUCCAAGCGGCGGCUGCGACGGAGCUUGCCGAACACAGUGACGCAUGCGACCACGUAGUACUGCUUCCAGAGGUCGAACUGGCAGUCGCCAAACUUCUUCUCGUCGUCGAUGAGCGAUGCCAACAUGAGCGCCUCCUGCCAGUGGUGUUUGUUCGGGGUUUCCAAGUAAGAAACAUGGAUUCAUUGUUGGCGUUGGUUUAUAAAAAUGACUCACAAGUCGGAUCCAUGAAAAAAUAUUACCGAGAAUAAAUGUCACACAUAUAAAAAAGGAAUUUAAGUUGAAAACAUUAUUCAAACAAAAGAAAUUGCAUGCAAGGCACUUCUUUAAAUACUACUCCCUCCAUCCAAAAAUAUAAUUCAGGAAUCUCGUUGAUAAUUAUCUACUACUAGACAUUGUACAAGGGUAGCAGGUGGGCUUUUGGGAGAUGUAGUAGAUAUUUUUACCGUAACAAAUAUUGACAUAAACACACAUGUGGUGUAGUGGUAGCUACAAGCACAUUUGCUUGAGGGGUCGCAGGUUCGAAUCCCAUUGGGGCAAUAUUUGUGUUUUUUUAAUUUAAUUUUAGCUAGGUGUGGGAUGCACGUGGGAAUGGGAAUGAGAUUUGCGGGGAGGGGGGAAUGAGAAAGACAGUGCGGGGAGGGGGGAAUGGGAAUGGCAGAACACGGAAGGAAUGAGAAUGGCAGAACACGGAAUGGGAAUGGGCUUUGCGGGGAGGGGAGAAUGAGAAAGACAGUGUGGGGAGGGGGAAUGAGAAUGGCAGAACACGGAAUGGCAGCCUACCCCUUACCGUCUUAAUAAGUAAGUAGUAGAGAUUAUCAUGUGAGGAGUCCAGGCUGCUCAUAACCGUGAGCACGGCUGAUAUAUCAGUUUUACACUCUACAGAGGUGGCACAUCUUUAACCAUGAGUCACGAUUCCCUUCUAGACCGGGUUAGCUAGACCCGUAUUCACUUCCGAGGUGAAUGGCUAGGGUCUCACUACAAGGCUUUUCCCUAGAGUCCUCAUUAUGCAAAUGCUGGAAAUGGUCAAACUGCAUAGAGUACACCUAACGUAACCAACUUAUAGAUGAGUCUGCAGGGUAAAGCUUUGGGAACUAUGCUCGUGUCCAAUCUGCCUGAUCCGGUACUAUAAGCGCGUGCCAGAUGCCCUCGUUCCGGUCGACCACGACCAGCACCCAACAUAAGACUUCCCUAGUUAUUUAGCCAAGGGCGUCCCAUACCAACCUCAUGGUAGCACUUUUUUUCUCGGGUGGUCACUCCAUGUUCCAAUUAAAUCAUAUGAUCUUGCUUGAUCGUCGGAUUAGCAACAAUAAUGUAAACUUACCAUUUAGAACAUUAAUAUCAUAAACAGGAGUGACUGCAUAAAUUUAAAGUUGUAGCAAUAGCAUAGCUACUUGAUUAGAUCAUAAUCCCAGGUUAAACAAGGAGUAAGGUUGGAAAGGUUAGGGGUAUCAAAAUAGGUAACCCAUCAAAUUAUGCAUAUAUAUAUAUCCAAGAAUAAACUUUAUUAAAUGUAUUGUUUGGGAUCAAACAGAGUAUGCAGAGGGAGAAGUCCACUGUAACACCCGGAUUUUAGGGGUCCAAAACCCGGGCGCUAACAUAAACACCAGGUAUGCUGGGACCAAGUCUCACACAUAUGAUGUAAAGUGGCACAGGAUCGAAUGUCACAUCUUUAUAUAUAACAGGAGUUCUAUACAAAAUAAAUAAUUACAUUAUAAGGAGACAACGGUCCAGCAACCCAAAGUUGACUGGGAGACGACGACCUAGACCACUCACGAACUCAUCGCAACAUCCUCCAUGAGCAUCAUCCUGCAGUACCUGGUCUUGACCUGUGGUGUAUGUGAGACAGCAAGAGUGAGCUCACAUACGUUCAUCGCUCAACAAGUUGUGGGGAAUAAUGUGCAUGAACUCGCCAAAGGUGGGAGCUCACGUGAAGUGUAAGGCUUACCAAAGAAGAUGGUUAGAGCUGAGCAUUGCUUUUAAAGUUGGUCAAAAUUUUAUUAGCAGUUACUAAGUAUAAGUAAAUACCAACCCAAUUAAAUAGUAGAACAAAAGUAACAACAUCACCUGUACAACAUCACCUGCGAUGCAAUGCAUAUGACAAAUUGAGUUUAAUUCCAUAAUUUAAUCAUGUGAGGGUCCGAGCCGCUCAUGACCGUGAGCACGGCUAGUAUACCAGUUUUACACUCUGCAGAGGUGGCGCAUCUUUACCCACAAGUCAUGUUACCCAUCUGCCAAGGGAUCGCGACUUCCCAUACACCUCUACCGAGGAGGCGAGGCAGGGUAACACUACGAGGCCUUUACAAAGUUCCACUAGCUUCAGAAAACCCGCUACAGUUUAUAGGAAGCUCCAAUGCAGGAAUCCCUUGCAGGACCGCCAUCACAGCAAAAUCCUCCCGAGGGCCUCCCCAGGAAUCCCUUGCAGGACCGCCAUCACAGCAAAAUCCUCCCGAGGGCUUCCCUAGGAAUCCCUUGCAGGACCGCCAUGACAGCAAAAUCCUCCCGAGGGCCUCCCUACAUUGACCACUCCCCUACUGCCCUUGCCCCUUUCGGGUAAGGUAGUCUUCCACUAGCUUUCCUAAUUAAUCAGCCAAGGGCGUCCCAUUAAACCCUUGUGGUAGCACUGUUUUCCCGGGUGGUCGCUCCAUGUUCCAAUUAACAUAAUGAUCUCAUCAUGAACAAUAAAUAACAACUGAUAACCAAAGUAUAAUCAUGAAUAAUGUAAUCUUCAUACCCAAAACCACAUAUAGCACUAGCAAGUACUACCCAGAAAGUUUAGUGGUAAGCAAGGUAUAAAGAUAGACAAACUAGGGUAACCUAUUGGGUCCCAUCAAAAUUAACCUAUGCAGAUCAUUAUGAUUAAUUAGAACAUGAGUGGGUAAAAAGAAGUGAUCAAGGGCACAACUUGCCUGGGCCUUGAGAAUCCAGGUACCAGGAUGAUUCUUCAGAUCCUCGUGACCUCACUGCUAGUCGUAGCAAUACAAACAUACACGGUAUAGGCAAGAUUAACAUUACACCAAACAUAUAUGCAAAAUACAUAUUAAUAAUCUACAUAUUAAAAUAAGAUCACAGGAAAAAGAAUUAUUAAUUUUGGAGUUGUAGAAUUCAAGUUAUGAAUUUCCUAAGAUUUAAGGUAAUUAUAAUAUGAUUAAAUGAUAAAUAAAUUUUCUGACAGAGUUCAUGUCAAAACAGUGAUUCUAAAUGGUAGAGAAUAUUAUUACAAAAUUUUAGGAAUUGGAAUGACUCAAUUUGGAGCUAAAAUGAAUUAGUUAUGAAUUUCUGGAUUUAUUUUAACACUAAAAAUCAUUUUCUAAAUCAUUUUCUAUGAUUUUCCUAUUCACUGGACUGGGCCUCAAUUAUAAGAAAAGUCAGGGGGCUCGGGGUAAGUCGUCCCAGACUCAGGAAACAGUAAAACGGGGAUGGCGGGUUGAUUUUAAUAAAACAGAGGGUCUCUUUAGCAAAAAGCACGGCCGAAGAGGUAUCUUGCAAUCUCAGCCGCACGAUCGACUAUCGACCGCUAGGAUUAGAUGUAUCUCGGGCCGAAUCGGUACGCGAUCAGAGCCGUUGGAUUAAAGAUUAACGGCACGGAUUUAAUGAAUCAAAGAUCUACUCUACACCGCUGGAUCUCGCAUCGACGGACGCAGUUGGAUUGGACGAAGGGGUAAGCUUGAUCUAAUCGGGACCGUCCAUCCAUGGAUCAACGGCCACGGAGUUCUCUUCCUCCCCCCGACUCCGUGAACACCGAGCCGCGGCCCACGGUGGAGAUCCCCUCCCCCGCCGACGCCCCGAUCGUCGAUCAGUGAGUUAACCCCCGAUUGGAUACACGCAAAACAAUGCGGAGGCGAAGGUGAAUUAAUGAGCCAAGUUUUACCGGCUGAGGUGCUAUGGUGAGGUCGGCCCGCGGCACGGAGCGGCGACACGGCGGUGCAGAGUCUUCCGGUGAGCAAUUCGCGGUGCCCCAGCUCUCUUAACGUCGAAUUGAGGGUUGCAGAAGCUUCCACAUGCGCUCACGACCCUUCUUGUCUUCUCCUUGGAACCCGGCUGUCGCUAGGAAAGCAGGGCACCGACGGCGACUAAUUUCUCUCAUCCGGCCAUGGGGGUGUACGGCGACGGGGCUCUCCAGAGCACGGCUAGAUGGGGUAGAUGCUCGAGAGGAUAGCGACGCCCAAUCUUAUACCCGCGAGGGCACCGCAAGAGUCCGCGAAAGGGGGAACGAGGACCGAGUUCGGAGCUGCUCCGAUGAACUCGCGUAGGCUGCGGUCGAAUUCGUUGCGUGAAGCGGACUUGGGAUAGGGAAGAGUCUGACGCGUGGGUCCCAUGAGCCAUUGACGGAACGCGCGCGCAGCGCGGAAAGAAGGCAGGCGCAUGUGAGCGGCUGAUAGUGGGCCCGGGUUGUCAGCGAGGGUGGCGGGCGCGCGGAUGGGAAGGUGAGUUGGGCCGAGCGACGCGGUAAGGCAGUGGGAGCUGGGCCGCACGAGAGUAUUCCGGCCCAGGAUAGGUAAAAUCCCUUUUCUUUUUCUUUUAACCUUUCUAAUUUCCUUUCUUGAUUCAAAUUCAAAUGGGAUUCAAAUUUAAUUCAAACUUUUGUGACCAAAGAUUCUCAGAUGAUAUUGAGCUAUAAGCAGUACUAUUUUGAAUAUAUAUUUUUUUGUAACUUUUCUCUUUUUUUGGUUUUAGUUUUAGAAUUUCUUUUAAGAUUUAAUUUCCCAUUUUACUUAGUGCUCUAAUUGUGAAUUCAAUGAUAGACUUGCCUUAAAUUUUGAUGCACAAACAAGAAAAAGUCCAGCAUGAUGCACAUUUUAUUAAGGAUUUUUCCACUUUAUCUAUGCCUACUAAUAAUUAUCAUGAAUGAAAAGGUACCACACAUGAAGAUUUAUUUCUUUCUCUUAUUUUCCAAAAUUGGGUAUUACAAAUCCUACCCCCCUUAAAAAUAAUCUCGUCCUCGAGAUUUGUAAGAAAAGGGUUACAGAGAAAUUGGUUUGAAAUCUAUAUUAAGUGGUUUUAGUACCAAAAGAUUUUUUUUUUGUCUAAACCCAAAUUGGCAGGUGAUUAGGAAAGCAUGGGUGUAUAUAUGUAUGUCUACUUUAUUAUGUAGGAUAGAAGAUGUCUUUAAAGCAUAGAUAGGUUUGGGUAAGAAAGUGUAGGGUAAGGAAAGACUUCAUCCAAGAUUGUGGAUCUUGACUCCGUUGGCGAUUCAGCUUGAUCUUUGAAGUCUUGAGUUGAUGCUUAUCCUUCUUUGACGUGGUUGGUCUCCCUUGGCCUUUCUUCUUGGAGUUGCCAUCCGAGUUAAGGACAUAUGGUUAAGAUAUAUGUGAGUAGCAUGGAUUAUGUGGUGUAGGUAGGUUAGAAUCUAUUGCUAGGUUUAAAAUCGAGGGGUUAUGCAACUAUCGGAUGGUUAAGGUAGUUGCAUAUGGCCAAGUUGGUCUGUCGUUCUUAAUUUAGUGUAGGGUGAACUAAGUUAAGACAUGUUCUAUUGGAGUAGAGUCUAAUCUAUUUCAUCAGUAUUAUCUAACAUGUUUGAUAAGUCACUUUAGAUUAGAUCAGAUCUAGGUUACAUUGGUGUGACUAGCUUGAACUAGAUAAAAUCUAAUUAAUUUGGAUUAGAUCAUGAUUGUUACUCUGAGGUGAGAUAAGCAAAGUGGUUAGAAUAAGAUAAGAUAAGAUAAGAUAAGAUAGAUUCUUUUAAGAUAAGAAUUGAUCUAUGAAGGUAGGAUAGAAUCCUUUCCAGAUGGGAUGGAUAUUGUUAGGCUAGAUAUUUUAAUGAGGGAUAAUCUAGUUUAUCUAGUUAUUUUUAUAAGCAUUUUUUUUAUGUAUAUGCAGAUGUAAUUGUGGAUCUUACUCCACAACUAAUCACACUCAAUCAAAGAUCCAAAUCAGACAAGUAUCAUAAGAACAAACAUUCAAGUGCAUAGAUAAAAAUAGUUUUGUUUUUGUUCCUAAGAUUAGGUUUCCUAUUCCUAAAAGUCAAUUUAGGCACAAGAUUUCAAAGGGUGAAAUCCACAUUUGUCUUUUGAAAGAAAAGGUAAAAGUAAUCAGAGUAAAGCGGAAAUAGAUGAGAAAAGAUUAAGAAAAGUUUAGAAAAGAAUCAGGGUAGCAAAGGUAAGUAAGUAUUGGUUGUCCAGUUCUAUCUAGGUUUCGUCCUACAGUCAACAUUCCUCUGAUACCACUUCUGUAACACCCGGAUUUUAGGGGUCCAAAACCCGGGCGCUAACAUAAACACCAGGUAUGCUGGGACCAAGUCUCACACAUAUGAUGUAAAGUGGCACAGGAUCGAAUGUCACAUCUUUAUAUAUAACAGGAGUUCUAUACAAAAUAAAUAAUUACAUUAUAAGGAGACAACGGUCCAGCAACCCAAAGUUGACUGGGAGACGACGACCUAGACCACUCACGAACUCAUCGCAACAUCCUCCAUGAGCAUCAUCCUGCAGUACCUGGUCUUGACCUGUGGUGUAUGUGAGACAGCAAGAGUGAGCUCACAUACGUUCAUCGCUCAACAAGUUGUGGGGAAUAAUGUGCAUGAACUCGCCAAAGGUGGGAGCUCACGUGAAGUGUAAGGCUUACCAAAGAAGAUGGUUAGAGCUGAGCAUUGCUUUUAAAGUUGGUCAAAAUUUUAUUAGCAGUUACUAAGUAUAAGUAAAUACCAACCCAAUUAAAUAGUAGAACAAAAGUAACAACAUCACCUGUACAACAUCACCUGCGAUGCAAUGCAUAUGACAAAUUGAGUUUAAUUCCAUAAUUUAAUCAUGUGAGGGUCCGAGCCGCUCAUGACCGUGAGCACGGCUAGUAUACCAGUUUUACACUCUGCAGAGGUGGCGCAUCUUUACCCACAAGUCAUGUUACCCAUCUGCCAAGGGAUCGCGACUUCCCAUACACCUCUACCGAGGAGGCGAGGCAGGGUAACACUACGAGGCCUUUACAAAGUUCCACUAGCUUCAGAAAACCCGCUACAGUUUAUAGGAAGCUCCAAUGCAGGAAUCCCUUGCAGGACCGCCAUCACAGCAAAAUCCUCCCGAGGGCCUCCCCAGGAAUCCCUUGCAGGACCGCCAUCACAGCAAAAUCCUCCCGAGGGCUUCCCUAGGAAUCCCUUGCAGGACCGCCAUGACAGCAAAAUCCUCCCGAGGGCCUCCCUACAUUGACCACUCCCCUACUGCCCUUGCCCCUUUCGGGUAAGGUAGUCUUCCACUAGCUUUCCUAAUUAAUCAGCCAAGGGCGUCCCAUUAAACCCUUGUGGUAGCACUGUUUUCCCGGGUGGUCGCUCCAUGUUCCAAUUAACAUAAUGAUCUCAUCAUGAACAAUAAAUAACAACUGAUAACCAAAGUAUAAUCAUGAAUAAUGUAAUCUUCAUACCCAAAACCACAUAUAGCACUAGCAAGUACUACCCAGAAAGUUUAGUGGUAAGCAAGGUAUAAAGAUAGACAAACUAGGGUAACCUAUUGGGUCCCAUCAAAAUUAACCUAUGCAGAUCAUUAUGAUUAAUUAGAACAUGAGUGGGUAAAAAGAAGUGAUCAAGGGCACAACUUGCCUGGGCCUUGAGAAUCCAGGUACCAGGAUGAUUCUUCAGAUCCUCGUGACCUCACUGCUAGUCGUAGCAAUACAAACAUACACGGUAUAGGCAAGAUUAACAUUACACCAAACAUAUAUGCAAAAUACAUAUUAAUAAUCUACAUAUUAAAAUAAGAUCACAGGAAAAAGAAUUAUUAAUUUUGGAGUUGUAGAAUUCAAGUUAUGAAUUUCCUAAGAUUUAAGGUAAUUAUAAUAUGAUUAAAUGAUAAAUAAAUUUUCUGACAGAGUUCAUGUCAAAACAGUGAUUCUAAAUGGUAGAGAAUAUUAUUACAAAAUUUUAGGAAUUGGAAUGACUCAAUUUGGAGCUAAAAUGAAUUAGUUAUGAAUUUCUGGAUUUAUUUUAACACUAAAAAUCAUUUUCUAAAUCAUUUUCUAUGAUUUUCCUAUUCACUGGACUGGGCCUCAAUUAUAAGAAAAGUCAGGGGGCUCGGGGUAAGUCGUCCCAGACUCAGGAAACAGUAAAACGGGGAUGGCGGGUUGAUUUUAAUAAAACAGAGGGUCUCUUUAGCAAAAAGCACGGCCGAAGAGGUAUCUUGCAAUCUCAGCCGCACGAUCGACUAUCGACCGCUAGGAUUAGAUGUAUCUCGGGCCGAAUCGGUACGCGAUCAGAGCCGUUGGAUUAAAGAUUAACGGCACGGAUUUAAUGAAUCAAAGAUCUACUCUGCACCGCUGGAUCUCGCAUCGACGGACGCAGUUGGAUUGGACGAAGGGGUAAGCUUGAUCUAAUCGGGACCGUCCAUCCAUGGAUCAACGGCCACGGAGUUCUCUUCCUCCCCCCGACUCCGUGAACACCGAGCCGCGGCCCACGGUGGAGAUCCCCUCCCCCGCCGACGCCCCGAUCGUCGAUCAGUGAGUUAACCCCCGAUUGGAUACACGCAAAACAAUGCGGAGGCGAAGGUGAAUUAAUGAGCCAAGUUUUACCGGCUGAGGUGCUAUGGUGAGGUCGGCCCGCGGCACGGAGCGGCGACACGGCGGUGCAGAGUCUUCCGGUGAGCAAUUCGCGGUGCCCCAGCUCUCUUAACGUCGAAUUGAGGGUUGCAGAAGCUUCCACAUGCGCUCACGACCCUUCUUGUCUUCUCCUUGGAACCCGGCUGUCGCUAGGAAAGCAGGGCACCGACGGCGACUAAUUUCUCUCAUCCGGCCAUGGGGGUGUACGGCGACGGGGCUCUCCAGAGCACGGCUAGAUGGGGUAGAUGCUCGAGAGGAUAGCGACGCCCAAUCUUAUACCCGCGAGGGCACCGCAAGAGUCCGCGAAAGGGGGAACGAGGACCGAGUUCGGAGCUGCUCCGAUGAACUCGCGUAGGCUGCGGUCGAAUUCGUUGCGUGAAGCGGACUUGGGAUAGGGAAGAGUCUGACGCGUGGGUCCCAUGAGCCAUUGACGGAACGCGCGCGCAGCGCGGAAAGAAGGCAGGCGCAUGUGAGCGGCUGAUAGUGGGCCCGGGUUGUCAGCGAGGGUGGCGGGCGCGCGGAUGGGAAGGUGAGUUGGGCCGAGCGACGCGGUAAGGCAGUGGGAGCUGGGCCGCACGAGAGUAUUCCGGCCCAGGAUAGGUAAAAUCCCUUUUCUUUUUCUUUUAACCUUUCUAAUUUCCUUUCUUGAUUCAAAUUCAAAUGGGAUUCAAAUUUAAUUCAAACUUUUGUGACCAAAGAUUCUCAGAUGAUAUUGAGCUAUAAGCAGUACUAUUUUGAAUAUAUUUUUUUUUGUAACUUUUCUCUUUUUUUGGUUUUAGUUUUAGAAUUUCUUUUAAGAUUUAAUUUCCCAUUUUACUUAGUGCUCUAAUUGUGAAUUCAAUGAUAGACUUGCCUUAAAUUUUGAUGCACAAACAAGAAAAAGUCCAGCAUGAUGCACAUUUUAUUAAGGAUUUUUCCACUUUAUCUAUGCCUACUAAUAAUUAUCAUGAAUGAAAAGGUACCACACAUGAAGAUUUAUUUCUUUCUCUUAUUUUCCAAAAUUGGGUAUUACAUCCACUUGCCUUGCUUAUUGAAAACUUGAGUUUCUUCCAUAGAUCUGAAUAGAUCUUGAUUCUUAACUACUAGAUCAACCCUGAAUAUCACACAAACAAACAAGAAGAAACAAACACCACUCAAUAACAUACAACAUUCACCAUACGUAGAGCUAAAAGAAAGCCUAACAAAAAGAGUGUUCGCUUUUCAAAAACAUUACACGCAAGGGUUAUAAUAAAAAGGUAUUCUUUUCAAAAAAUGUGUGAUCUAUACUUUAUAAAACAAGACAUGAUCUUAAAAUAUCUUAAUUAAUUAAAAUAUGCAAAUAUUAGGUUCACCAAUUUAAUCUUUUAUAAAACGUCAUAUGUGAUAUGUCUAAAAUUAAGGGUUUAUAAGACGAUAAAACACGUUAUAACGAUAUUAAACCUUUUUAGAAAAGAUAUAUGUUAUAUAUCUUAAGGUUAAUGGGCUACGAAACACGUUAUUAAUUUUGGAAGCAUUAUGAAACAUCUUAUAAAUCAUUGUUAAACAUUCACUUAUGAUAAACUAAGAUAUAAGUCUAAAUAGGUUUUAUAUGAAAAGAUCAUUAUUAUUAAACACCUAUUUUAUGAAAAGCUAGGUUAUAUGCCCUUAAGUGGAUUUCAUGCAAAAUAUAAUGAACAAAUAACUAUAUUUUAAUUUCAUUAGAGAACAUAUAGCCUAUAUUAUUAUAUUCGAUGUCAAUAUAUAAAGUAACAAAAGAACUUAAACUCUUAUUACUUUAUUUUAUCCUUUAGGAAAAGCUAAGUGAUUCGUAUAUAAUGUGGAGUAAAUUCUAUGAAAUCAUUAAUCAUGCCAUAAAUCUAGUGAAGAACAAAUUUACUAUAAGUUUGAUUAAUAAUUAUGAUAAAGGAUAAUUAAUCUAUUAAUUAUCUUUAAUUCUAUUGUAGGAACAAAUGAUCUAAUUCAUUAGAAAGGAAAUUACGUAUAAACUAUCAUUUUAGUUUAUAAAAGCAAUAACCCUUGUUAUUUUUUAAUUAAGAAAAUAUAAAUAAUCUAUUAAUUGGACAUAUAUUUAUCUUCUAUUUUUAUUAAGAAACAUAUGGUCUACAUAUUCUUUUAAGUUUCUAUUUUUUAAUACGGCUAAACUUAAACAUCUACAACGAACCUUGUUAAAUAUGAUAUCUAUUAAAAAGGUCAUUUUAAAAUUAGAAACAAAUUAUCUACUUCAUUAGUAAGAAACCUAUGUUUACCAACAUAACUAUCAAUUUCUUUAUUAGAAAAGUAUGAGUGCCUAGUUAAGUCAUUUUAACAUUAUUAUAAAUUCUACUCUUUCGGUUUUCUCCUUUCUUUUCUAAAUAGAAUUUAUACGUAUCGUUACAAUGUUUAUUUCUAAAUCACCUUUCAUUAAUAUUCUAAGGAUUAAUGUAGAUCACUAAAUGGGACUUUUAAUAAUAUAUUCAUGGUUAUUAUGACAUAGAUAAAUAUCUUACUAAUUCUAAGUAAUUAAGUGCUAUACUUAUGAAUACAUUUAUCAUGAAUAGUAAAAUCUAUAUCUUCAUUUGACUAGAAAAUACGUGGCUUAGUAUUUCUUCUAUUUCUUCAUGCAAAUAAGUUUAUACAAAAAAUACUACUAACAAUUAUCGUUCCACACACACUAAAGCGAAAUUAAAUCUGUACACCUGUUCUAGUAUGAAAAUCAACGAGGUAGUGAAUAGUGACCGUAUUCAUUUUUAAAAUUAUAAAAUCAUACACAUAUUCAAAGCAUUGUCGCGGGGUUCGAUUUUGGUUACAUGUAUACAUCGAAAUCUAAAAUCAUACACAUAUACACAUAUCUCGAAAUUAAUUGAAUUCGCAAACCAGGGGCUAAAUCGCAAAAUUGCCUUCUACCUUGGAGCUUUUGUUCAUGCGCAUGAAUGGAGGUCGAUGGGUUCGGUGAUCUCGACGGGCAAGGAACGGGCGCGAUCUUCGGUGAGCGUUCAGGCGGAGCUCCGGCGGUCGUCGUCGGCGGGCAAUGGAGCGAGAGAGAGAGAGAGCGUGAGAAACUUGGGCGAGCAAGGAGUGUGAGAGAGAGGGGUGAGCUCAGGUAGGGAGGAAGAGAGGGAGAUUCGUCUCCAAUUUAUAGAGGGAGAGAAGAGGGAAAGAGGGGCACCGGGGAGAGAGUAACGGCCGGCAUCGACUCCAUUGAUGGCAUUCAUGGAGCUUCAAUGAGUGAGAGGAAAUGGGGAAGAGAGAGAUAUGGCGCCGUCGGUUCGGCUCCGUAGGGCGGGUUUUUGGCGCGGGGUUCGGGCGUCGGGCUGGGUGCGCGGCUCGGCCAUCCUGGCGCGGGACACGGCGCUCGGCCGCGGGCAGCGCGCGGUCGGGUGGGGCAUCGAGCUGGGGCGACGGCAGCCUGGGCGCGCUCCUGGCGCGGGGCGCCCUGGCGCGGCCAUGGAAGGGAAUGCGAGCCUGGGAGGAAAGGGGAGGGGAGAGAAAGCAGGGUGGGGCCAGAGCGUCUGUGAGAGAGAGGAGGGGGAAAGGAAAAGGAGGUGGCGGCGGCCAGCAGGGGAGGGAGGCGCGACUGGUUCUUGUUGGGCCCCUAGUGGGCUUUAGUGUUAGGGUUAAGGUUUUUCGUUUUUUCUUUUCUAAUUUCGAAAUAUAUUUUUAAAUAACCCUAAAAUUCAUAAUAAUUAUACCAAAAUUAUUUAUAAAUAAAAUAUUUAUUUUUGGACUAAUAAUUAUUAUAUUAUUUAUGUGAAUUUUCAUUUAAGAAGAAAUGUUAUUAAAUAUCCAAAAAUCAAUCAUGAGCAUUCAAAAAUUAUUCCAAAUGAAAUAAAUAACAAACACUUUAAAGAAAAUUUAUUGUCAUAAUUACCAUUAAUAAACUAACUGCAUUAUUUUUAUUUGAUGAUUUUUAUAGUGUUACAUCGAGUCCCGAGAGUAAAGGGAUUGUAACAUGUAUAUGCAUGACUUUGUCAUAAGAAAACAUCCUAUCUAAGGAUAUUCAACAAUCAAGAAAAAUGUAGGAAAAGAUACCCUUACAUGACAUUAAAUAGAGUUAUGUACAUCAGACUUAAAAAGUUCAUUACAUGGUCAAACUAUUACAUCUAUAUCCUCCACUAUCUCUGAUGUCGCUGCCUUGCUAUCAUCAAAUAGUUCAUAGAACUUCUCAUUAGAGCAGUCAGUAGCAACUCCUUCAUUGACCCGGGAUAUAUCCAUGGUAGGAUAGUGGGACCUAGUCAAGGCUAGGCUUAGGGUGCUAGCCCACUCCAUACCUACCCGAGCAAAUCAAGAUAUUCUUUUAGCAAACCCACUAGCUUUUGGGGAAUGGACCAACUCAAUGCUUGGGAAUCAGACUUGUAAAGACAAGUUAAGCAUGUCUAACUGACAUGCCUUCACCAGUUGUAGGCUAUGUUUCAUCUCUAUAAAAAAGAAGAGCGAGUUACACCCUAGUAUGAAAAGAUCCCAACAAAGAAGUAUGGGCACACUUCCCAACUCCUAUGCCAUCUCCUUGCCUUUAAGAGCAUAAUUCAACUUUCAUGGAGGACGGAGUUGGUGGCCUUCUCCCUUUCAAGUUCUUUGUUGAACUCGACCAAGCUCUUCUUCAAUUCACCAUUACUACUCAUGGCUUUGUUCUUCUCGGUAAAUGCUAAGUCCAUAGCUGUAACACCCUAGGUGUUACUGUACGCUUAACGACGAAUAUGAACGACUGCCCAAAAUAUUUCGCGAAGCUCGGACUUUAGUGACCUUCAAAAAAUGCCGAGUCCAGUGCUGUUUAGAUUGGUUAUGAGCGUGAAUGCGACUUCGGAAAAAUAGCUCGAGUUUGAUAUCGUAUUCAUUUCCAUAAUCUAAAUAGUUAAAAAGGUUUUAUGAACUUUUGGAUUACCUAAUCUCGUUUGCUCGUGAAUUUGGAUAUGUUCAGAUCACGCGCGUAAGUGAAUAUGAAAAUCAGAAAACUUCUGAUUUUACGUAAAAUUUGGAGCCCCGCGCUGUCCGAACAGAACGAUGCACCAGCUGAUUAAGUGAAUCGUUCCUCUCAGCAAGUUAUCUUUGGCGUCAAAUCAACUAAUCGAUAGCCGGUGAGGAUCGUAAAAAUUAGACGGAACUAAAUAUAGUCUAAAAUACCGAAGUCAAUAUCAUUUUGAUUCGGUCCAUUUGUUUCUCGCCUCGAUCUAAAUCUUGAAAAGUGAAUUAACGGUACGGAUUCAUCCAACUUCAGAGUAUUCGCUAAAUCAAAUCGUGUCCAAAUAUUGUUAUCGAUCUCAUUUGAUUCGACCCAUUACCCAUCGCUAAAAAUCCCAUUUUCAAAUAUCUGCAAUUCUCUUUAUAAAAAAAGAAGAAAUAAAAAAAGGAAAAUAUCCGUCGUCCUUAUCUCCUGCCGCCCCACCUUCUCUGAUUUUUCAGCCGCCGAUCUCUCUCUCCUGAUAUUUUCUCGCAGUGCAUUAUCCCCUUCCACGCGCAGGCUUCUUCCCCAAACCAUCGUCGUUCUCAGCGCCGUGUGCCCAACUCCAACUCGGCCCCUCCCAUGGCGCCCGGCUGCUCUCCUCUGUCUUGCGCUCAGCUUCCGGGCGGAUCUCCUGGCCGUGUGCCCCAGCGCCGGUCGCUCCUCCCUGCUUGCCCUCUAGCCCGCCCUAGCUGCCGCGCCCUGCUCUCUGUUUGCUGCUCGCCGGAGCUCCAGCCAUGGCGCGCCCCUCUCCCUGAUCCCUUCUCUACGCGCUCCACCAAGCCGGCGUCCUAUGCUCGCCAUGGCCGCUGAGCCCGACCCAGCCGUGUGCUCGCCCGGCCGUAAGCUCGCUCUGCUCGCCCGGGCACUCAUCUCCAUCCAUGGAUAUCGCCAUCUCAGCGCCCUUGCUCUGCUUGAGGAAAUGCCAAGCCUUAAACAGCCAUCGUCUUGCUGCGACGCGUGCGUGCGCCACUCGCCCCACGCCGUUGUCUUUGUGUUUAGGCAGCCCCGUCGCGACAUCGUCAAACCUUGCCCCUUGUCGUCAUGUUCUCCCUGCUGCAGCACCAUCGAUUUGUACUUGUGUGGAAUCACAGUAGUGCAUAUGGAUGUCAAAGGAAGUGAAAGCUCCAUGUGAUGUUAGCCAAGUACUUGACGUAAAGCCUGAACCAGGGUCUCAUUGUUCUUGUGAAGUUCAAGCCGAAUAUAUAGUUUUGGAGGGAGAUUUGGUGCUGAAGCCGAAGCCAGCAGCCUCUUAUUUUUCGUCGUCGAUCCAAGCCGCUUCCUCGACGUGUCCGUUGAUCCCAACGAUCUAUCUUCCAAUUGCGUGCCACUUGCGUUGAGCUCCAAAGCCUCCUAUCGUGCUCGACCCUGGAGGCCUCCAACUUGUCGACAUCCCUUGCAUCGUCAAAAAAUCCCAAGAGUUUGGAUAAAGCAACAGAUCCCACGUGGUGCUUGCCGGGUGCUCGGCAAAAGGUCUGAGCAAGAAUCAUUGCUGUCUACGCGAAGUUAUGGUCAAUAUGGUAAUCAUACUCUAAUUUGCUAUUUUAGCCAAUUAAUUUUGAUAGAUUGAUUAGAGGGAUAUAUAUAUCAUGGUGAUUAUUCUAUUUGUAGCUUAAACGCGUCGUGGGUAUAUUUUAAUGCAUGAUAAAGGCCGUAAUUCUGUGAUGUUUGCUUACCGCCAUAAUUAUGAAGUAGUCGCGAGGUGAGGUGAAAUAUAGGUUUGAGGUAUGAAUGAUAUGAAGAAUGUGUUGGAAGACUUGUAUACGUAGCAUGAUUAGAUUAUAAUGCGAAAGCUAGGUUAAGUAUUUUAUCUGGCUAGCUAGUAAGUUCUGACGAUGUUGUCGUGCAGAUUUAGUUUGUUUAAAUAAAUUAAUGCUUUGCUAGUAGACAUUUUAAUUAGCUGGCGGGUUAUGCAAAGACGUCCGGUCGGGUAGUUUAGAAAGUUGAUGUGCUUCUAUCCUUAUCCCCAAAAUUAGAUGUCUUAGACUAAUGAUUCUAAGUUUGUUAGUCCUCAAGUAUUGAACGUUAGCUAAGGAAAGUAGAGUGUGGGUAUAGCUUAUCGUCUUUCGUGAUGUUGUAACUAGAUCUAGUGAAACUAGAAGAACACGAUUGUUGUGUGUUUAGUUUUUUGUUUUGUGAUGUAUGAGCUACCUUCGAAUAGGCUAGAAAAGCGUAAUUAUUAUAGUUAGUCUUAUAGCGAUAGCUAGCGUUUACUUGUGAUUGGUCUAAUGUUUUUCUAGUCAAUAUUUAAUCCUCUACCGUGUAACAUUAUUCAGUAAUGUACAAGUUGUUUUUAUGUUCAUACAUGUGCAUUAUGCAUAUCAUUUAGGUACAUUUAUUGAUUACGUGAUACGGAGGACCAAAGCUGAGUCGACCACAAGAUGUCGCUACGCGUAAGCUUCUCCACAAGAUGAUGCUGAUGGACGAACCUGAAGAUGGAUAAUCUAAACAAGUGUCAAAACAAAGGCUGAUCGUCAAGUGGACGUCGUCUAACAAACACUAACCUAGUGUUAUUCCAGGCAAGCCCCGGUGCAUUUGCCACCUCCUUGCUGUUUUAAAAUCUUUUAUCACCUUGUUUGAUGCAUUAGGUGAUACGAUUUGUGUGCUAAACAAUUGAUGCAUUUCCUUCCUUGGAAAAUUGAAUACCCUUCCUUGGUACCCUUUUAUGAAAAGGAUUUUUAUGAUGCUUAGCCUUGUUUUAGAAAAACAAAAUGUUUUGUUUUAAAAACAAAAGGUGAUGCUUCAAAGUGGAUGGGAAUUUUUACAAAGAAAAACUUGUGAUGGUAGAUCCAUCAGGGCCUUGAUGUGUUCAACAUCUGAAAGGAUGUACCUCUGUCAGGUACCAAACUUUGGGGUUUAAAUAAUAAAGCUGAGAUCUUGCACGAGAAGAGAGUCUCGGUGUAGUGUGUCCGUCUGAGUCGAUUAAGGACCGUACCGAUGUAGGCCUGAUGAUCAAGGACCUUUUAACUGGCCACAUGCCUCGUCAUGGGUAAGCUUUGCCUCGGGCAGACCAAUACCAGAAAGGCCAACACGCAAUGGGAGUGGAGAGAUGGCGAGAGUAGCAUGUACCCUCCGUGGCAAGAGGCUUGUCGGGGACCAUAAUUAGGGGUACCCUCAAGUCUCCUAAUUCUCAGCUGGUAACCCCCAUCAGCAUAAAGCUGCAAAGGCCUGAUGGGUGCGAUUAAGUCAGGGAUCGGUCCAUUCGAGGGACUCGAUCACGCUUCGCCCGAGCCUAGCCUCGGACAAGGGCAGCCGACCCCGGAGGAUCUCCGUCUCACCCGAGGCCCCCCUCCAGCGACGAACAUACUUCCUGCUCGCCCGAGGCCCUGUCUUCGCCAAGAAGCAACCCUGACCAAAUCGCCGCGCCGACCGACCAAGUCGCAGGAGCAUUUAAUGCAAAGGUGGCCUGACACCUUUAUCCUGACGCGCGCCCUCCAGUCGACAGAGCCGAAGUGACCGCUGUCACUUCGCCGCUCCGCUGACCGGCCUGACAGAAAGACAGCGCCGCCUGCGCCGCUCCGACUGCAGUGCCACUUGACAAAGUGAGGCUGACAGGCAAUCAGGCCUGGCCGCAGGCACCACAGGAAGCUCCGCUCCGCCCGACCCAGGGCUCGGACUCGGGCUAAGCCCCGGAAGACGACGAACUCCGCUCCACCCGACCCAGGGCUCGGACUCGGGCCAAGCCCCAGAACACGACGAACUCCGCUCCGCCCGACCCAGGGCUCGGACUCGGGCUAAGCCCCGGAAGACGGCGAACUCCGCUCCGCCCGACCCAGGGCUCGGACUCGGGCUAAACCCCGGAAGACGGCGAACUCCGCUCCGCCCGACCCAGGGCUCGGACUUGGGCUCAGCCCCGGAAGACGACGAACUCCGCUUCGCCCGACCCCAGGGCUCGGACUCCGCCCUGGCCUCAGCCGACGGUCUCCGCCUCGCCCGACCCAGGGGCUCGGACUCGACCUCGGCCACGAAAGACAGACUCAACCUCGACUUCGGAGGAGCCUCCACAUCGCCCAACCUAGGGCGCAGACCGGCCACAUCGACGGGAGGCGCCAUCAUUACCCUACCCCAAGCUGACUCAGGCUGCGGGAAACGAGACCGACGUCCCAUCUGGCUCGCUCCGCCAGAUAGGCAAUGAUGGCUCCUCGCACGCUCCCUGAUGAUGGCGGCUCUCAGCCCCCUUACGGAAGCACGAGGACAUCAGCAAGGACUCGACAGCUUCGACAGCUGUCCUUCCGCCAGGCUCCAGCGCUCCUCCGACGGCCACGACACCACACGAACCGGGUGCUAAAACCUCUCCGGCUGCCACGACGGCAUGUACUUAGGGCGCUAGCUCUCCUCCGCUAGACACGUAGCACUUCGCUACACCCCCAUUGUACACCUGGAUCCUCUCCUUACGCCUAUAAAAGGAAGGACCAGGGCCCUCUUACAGAGGGUGGGCCGCGCGGGGACGAGGACGAGACAGGCGCUCGCAUAAGGCCGCUCGCUCCCUCACCCGCGUGGACGCUUGUAACCCCCUACUGCAAGCGCACCCGACCUGGGCGCGGGACGAACACGAAGGCCGCGGGAUUUCCACCUCUCUCACGCCCGUCUCCGGCCACCUUUCUCCCCCCUUCGCGCUCGGCCUCGCGCCGACCCAUCUGGGCUGGGGCACGCAGCGACAUUUCACUCGUCGGCCCAGGGACCCCCCGGUCUCGAAACACCGAUAGUUGGUGCGCCAGGUAGGGGCCUGCUGCGUGUUUACGAACAGCUUCCCGUCAAGCUCCAGAUGGGCAGUCUCCAGCAACCUCUUCGGCCCGGGACGGUGCUCCGUUUCGGGAGUCUUGAGUUCAUGUCCCUCGACGGCAGCUACGACAUGAUACUCCCUCCACCGCCGUGCGACAGCGACAAUGGCGGCCGACAGCCCGCCCGCCGGCGGCGGAAUCGACGACGUCUUCCCCACGUGGUGGAAGAACAACAUUCGAGCUCACCCCGUCCUCUCCCCCGCCGACGGAGGAGGAGGCGGGGCAACCAAGGCCAAGCUGGAGGCAGCGCCUCGUCGGCUGUCGAGCGAGUCGACAGCGCCAGCACCCCAACGAGGGGCGCAUCGGGCAUCGACCUCGCGUUUGAGACGAAGACGAGCACCGUCUCCCCGCGACACGCCAAUCCCGAGAAAACGGACGACGCCAGCACGCUCACGAAAGGCUUGCUGGACGUCACCCUCGUACCUGAGACGACGGUGCAGUCAGUCCCCGACGUGACUUCAUCACCGCCCGUCGACCAAGAGGUACCGACCGAUUCCCAUCUCACGCCUUUCGGAUCCAGCCUUGACCCGCCAAGCGGCUUCGCUUCGGUGGACGCUCUCGUGGAGGCGAGUCCAAACCCUCUGGGGUUUCGUGUGCGGUCACCCUGGGACCGCCUGACGGACGUCUCGACCUACGGGCCCUCGGGGUCCGAGGAAGAUGACGAGCCCGACUUCUGUUGGGAUUUCUCUGGACUUGGCGACCCCAGUGCCAUGCGAGACUUCAUGACCGCAUGCGACUACUGCCUUUCCGACUGUUCCGGUGGUAGCCGCAGCCUCGGCGACGAGGACUGCGACCCAAGCCGCGAAUGUUUCCACGUCGAUCUAGGGGGUCCCUCCGAAGGCAACCAUCUCGGCAUGCCGGAGGACGGUGAUCUCCCUAGGCCGGUGCCUUGCGUUGACAUCCCACGGGAGCUAGCUGUGGUCCCCGUUCAGGCGGGGGGCCAUGACCCACAGCUCGAGCAAAUCCGCGGGGUGCAGGCCAGGCUCGACGAGGGAGCAGGAGCGCUUGAGCCAAUCCGCCGGGACGUCGGGCAGGCAUGGGCGGGCCAACCUCCGGCCGGAGAGAUGCGUCAUCUACCCCAGGGCUUCCAGCACCGCAUCGCCGACGAUGUCAGGGUCAGGCCGCCACCCGCAUCCAGUGGGGUCGGCUAGAACCUGGCUGCAGCAGCAAUGCUUCUCCGUGCGAUGCCAGAGCCAUCAACCACCAAGGGGCGGCGAAUCCAGGGAGAGCUCAAGAAUCUCCUGGAAGGCGCUGCGGUCCGACGGGCCGAGAGCUCCGCCUCCCGAAGGCAGGGGUACCGCUCGGAACAUCAUGCCGCGACUUCCCGAUUCAUGCGGGAAGCCUCGGUCUACACCGGGCGCACGCGCAACACAGCGCCUGCGGCCCCGAGACGCCUCGGCAACGAGCACCAUCACCGCGACCGUCGGGCCCACCUCGACGAGAGGGUGCGCCGAGGCUACCACCCCAGGCGUGGAGGACGCUACGACAGCGGGGAGGAUCAGAGUCCCUCGCCCGAACCACCCGGUCCGCAGGCCUUCAGCCGGGCCAUACGACGGGCGCCGUUCCCGACCCGGUUCCGACCCCCGACUACUAUCACAAAGUACUCGGGGGAGACGAGACCGGAGCUGUGGCUCGCGGACUACCGGCUGGCCUGCCAACUGGGUGGAACGGACGAUGACAAUCUCAUCAUCCGCAACCCCCCCUGUUCCUCUCCGACACCGCUGGCGCCUGGUUGGAGCACCUGCCUCCGGGGCAGAUCUCCAACUGGGACGACCUGGUCCAAGUCUUCGCCGGCAAUUUCCAGGGCACGUACGUGCGCCCUGGGAAUUCCUGGGACCUCUGAAGCUGCCGACAGCAGCCGAGAGAGUCUCUCCGGUACUACAUCCGGCGAUUCUCGAAGCAGUGCACCGAGCUGCCCAACAUCACCGACUCGGAUGUCAUCGGCGCGUUCCUCGCCGGCACCACCUGCCGCGACCUGGUGAGCAAGCUAGGUCGCAAGACCCCCACCAGGGCGAGCGAGCUGAUGGACAUCGCCACCAAGUUUGCCUCUGGCUAGGAGGCGGCCGAGGCUAUCUUUCGGAAGGACAAGCAGCCCCAGGGCCGCCCACCGGAAGAUGCCCCCGAGGCGUCAACUCAGCGCGGCGCCAAGAAGAAGGGCAAGAAGAAGUCGCAAGCGAAACGCGACGCCGCCGACGCGGACCUUGUCGCCGCCGCCGAGUACAAGAACCCUCGGAAACCCCCCGGAGGUGCCAACCUCUUCGACAAGAUGCUCAAGGAGCCGUGCCCCUAUCACCAGGGGCCCGUCAAGCACACCCUUGAGGAGUGCGUCAUGCUUCGGCGCCACUUCCACAGGGCCGGGCCACCCACGGAGGGUGGCAGGGCUCGCGACGACGACAAGAAGGAAGAUCACCAGGCAGGAGAGUUCCCCGAGGUCCGCGACUGCUUCAUGAUCUACGGUGGGCAAGCGGAGAACGCCUCGGCUCGGCACCGCAAGCAAGAGCGCCGGGAGGUCUGUUCGGUGAAGGUGGCGGCACCAGUCUACCUAGACUGGUCCGACAAGCCCAUCACCUUCGACCAAGCCGACCACCCCGACCACGUGCCGAGCCCGGGGAAAUACCCGCUCGUCGUCGACCCCAUCAUCGGCGACGUCAGGCUCACCAAGGUCCUCGUGGACGGAGGCAGCAACCUCAACAUCAUCUACGCUGAGACCCUCGGGCUCCUACGUGUCGAUCUGUCCUCGGUCCGGGCAGGCGCUGCGCCUUUCCACGGGAUCAUCCCCGGGAAGCGCGUCCAACCCCUCGGACAACUCGACCUUCCCGUCUGCUUCGGAACACCCUCCAACUUCCGAAGGGAGACCCUGACGUUCGAGGUGGUCGGGUUCCGAGGAACCUACCAUGCGGUACUGGGAAGGCCAUGCUACGCGAAGUUCAUGGCCGUCCCCAACUACACCUACCUCAAGCUCAAGAUGCCGGGCCCCAACGGGGUCAUCACCAUCGGCCCCACGUACAAACACGCGUUCGAAUGCGACGUGGAGUGCGUGGAGUACGCCGAGGCCCUCGCCGAGUCCGAGGCCCUCAUCGCCGACCUGGAGAGCCUCUCUAAGGAGGUGCCAGACGUGAAGCGUCAUGCCGGCAACUUUGAGCCAGCGGAGACGGUUAAGUCCGUCCCCCUCGACCCCAGCAGCGACGCCUCCAAGCAAGUCCGGAUCGGCUCCGAGCUCGAUCCCAAAUAGGAAGCAGUGCUCGUCGACUUUCUCCGCCCGAAUGCCGACGUCUUCGCGUGGAGUCCCUCGGACAUGCCCGGCAUACCGAGGGAUGUCGCCGAGCACUCGCUGGACAUCCGAGCCGGAGCCCGACCCGUCAAGCAGCCUCUGCGCCGAUUCGACGAAGAGAAGCGCAGAGCCAUAGGCGAGGAGAUCCACAAGCUAAUGGCGGCAGGGUUCAUCAAAGAGGUAUUCCAUCCUGAAUGGCUUGCCAACUCUGUGCUUGUGAGAAAGAAAGGAGGGAAAUGGCGGAUGUGUGUAGACUACACUAGUCUAAACAAAGCAUGUCCGAAGGUUCCCUACCCUCUGCCUCGCAUCGAUCAAAUCGUGGAUUCCACUGCUGGGUGCAAAACCCUGUCUUUCCUCGAUGCCUACUCGGGGUAUCACCAAAUCAGGAUGAAAGAGUCCGACCAGCUCGCGACUUCUUUCAUCACACCCUUCGGCAUGUACUGCUAUGUCACCAUGCCGUUCGGCUUGAGGAAUGCGGGUGCGACGUACCAACGGUGCAUGAACCAUGUGUUCGGCGAACACAUUGGCCGGACGGUCGAGGCCUACGUCGAUGACAUCGUAGUCAAGACGAGGAGAGCCUCCGACCUCCUUUCCGACCUUGAAGUGACAUUUCGAUGUCUCAAGGCGAAAGGCGUGAAGCUCAAUCCCGAAAAGUGUGUCUUCGGGGUACCCCGAGGCAUGCUCUUGGGGUUCAUCGUCUCCGAGCGGGGCAUCGAAGCCAACCCGGAGAAGAUCGCAGCCAUCACCAGCAUGGGACCCAUCAAGGACUUGAAGGGCGUACAGAGGGUCAUGGGAUGUCUCGCGACUCUGAGCCGCUUCAUCUCACGCCUCGGCGAAAGAGGUCUGCCUCUGUACCGCCUCUUAAGGAAGACCGAGUGCUUCACUUGGACCCCUGAGGCCGAGGAAGCCCUCGGGAACCUGAAGGCGCUCCUCACGAAUGCGCCUAUCUUGGUGCCCCCAGCUGCUGGAGAAGCCCUCUUGAUCUACGUCGCCGCGACCACUCAGGUGGUUAGUGCCGCGAUUGUGGUCGAGAGGCAAGAAGAGGGGCAUGCAUUGCCCGUUCAGAGGCCAGUCUACUUCAUCAGCUAGGUACUGUCCGAAACCAAGAUCCGCUACCCACAAGUUUAGAAGCUGCUGUACGCGGUGAUCCUGACGCGGCGGAAGCUGCGAUACUACUUCGAGUCUCAUCCGGUAACUGUGGUGUCAUCCUUCCCCCUGGGGGAGAUCAUCCAGUGCCGAGAGGCCUCGGGUAGGAUUGCAAAGUGGGCAGUGGAAAUCAUGGGCGAAACAAUCUCGUUCGCCCCUCGGAAGGCCAUCAAGUCCCAGGUCUUGGCGGACUUCGUGGCUGAAUGGGUCGACACCCAGCUCCCAACAGCUCCGAUCCAACCGGAGCUCUGGACCAUGACGGGUCGCUGAUGAAGAUAGGAGCCGGCGCAGGCCUACUCUUCAUCUCACCCCUCGGGAAGCACCUACGCUACGUGCUACGCCUCCAUUUCUCGGUGUCCAACAAUGUGGCUGAGUACGAGGCUCUGGUCAACGGGUUGUGGAUCGCCAUCGAGCUAGGGGUCCGACGCCUCGACGCUCGUGGUGACUCGCAGCUCGUCAUCGACCAAGUCAUGAAGAACUCCCACUGCCGCGACCCGAAGAUGGAGGCCUACUGCGAUGAGGUUCGGCGCCUGGAAGACAAGUUCUACAGGCUCGAGCUCAACCACAUCGCCCGGCGCUACAAAGAGACUGCGAUGAGCUGGCUAAAAUAGCCUCGGGGCGAACAACGGUUCCCCCGGACGUCUUCUCCCGAGACCUGCAUCAACCCUCCAUCAAGAUCGACGACACGGCCGAGCCCGAGGCACCCUCGGCCCAGCCCGAGGUACCCUCGGCUCAGUCCGAGGCAUCCUCGGCACGGCCCGAGGCACCCUCAGCUCGGCCCGAGGCACCCUCGGCACCCGAGGGUGAGGCACUGCGCGUCGAGGAGGAGCGAAGCAGGGUCACGCCUAAUCAAAACUGGCAGACCCCGUACCUGAAAUAUCUCCACCGAGGAGAGCUACCCCUCGACCGAGCCGAGGCUCGGCGGUUGGCGCGACGCGCCAAGUCGUUCAUCUUGCUGGGAGAUGGGAAGGAGCUCUACCACCGCAGCCCCUCGGGCAUCCUCCAGCGAUGCAUUUCCAUCGCUGAAGGUCAGGAACUCCUACAAGAGAUACACUCGGGGGCUUGCGGCCAUCACGCAGCACCUCGAGCCCUUGUUGGAAACGCCUUCCGACAAGGUUUCUACUGGCCGACGGCGGUGGCCGACGCCACUAGAAUUGUCCGCACCUGCGAAGGGUGUCAGUUCUACGCAAAGCAGACCCACCUGCCCGCUCAGGCUCUGCAGACCAUACCCAUCACUUGGCCUUUUGUCGUGUGGGGUCUGGACCUCAUCGGCCCCUUGCAGAAGGCACCCGGGGGCUACACGCACCUGUUGGUCGCCAUCGACAAAUUCUCCAAGUGGAUCGAGGUCCGACCCCUAAACAACAUCAGGUCCGAGCAGGCGGUGGCGUUCUUCACCAACAUCAUCCACCGUUUCGGGGUCCCGAACUCCAUCAUCACCGACAAUGGCACCCAGUUCACCGGCAGAAAGUUCCUGGACUUCUGCGAGGAUCACCAUAUCCGGGUGGACUGGGCCGCCGUGGCUCACCCCAUGACGAAUGGGCAAGUAGAGCGUGCCAACGGCAUGAUUCUACAAGGACUCAAGCCUCGGAUCUACAACGACCUCAACAGGUUCGGCAAGCGAUGGAUGAAGGAACUCCCCUCGGUGGUCUGGAGCCUAAGGACAACGCUGAGCCGAGCCACGGGCUUCACGUCGUUCUUUCUAGUCUAUGGGGCCGAGGCCAUCUUGCCCACAGACUUAGAAUACGGUUCCCCGAGGACGAGGGCCUAUGCUGACCAAAGCAACCAAGCUAAUCGAGAAGACUCGCUGGACCAGCUGGAAGAGGCUCGGGACAAGGCCUUACUACACUCGGCACGGUACCAGCAGUCCCUGCGACGCUACCACGCCCGAGGGGUCCGGUCCCGAGACCUCCAGGUGGGCGACUUGGUGCUUCGGCUGCGACAAGACGCCCGAGGGCGGCACAAGCUCACGCUCCCUGGGAAGGGCCGUUCGUCAUCGCCAAAGUUCUGAAGCCCGGAACGUACAAGCUAGCCAACAGUCAAGGCGAGGUCUACAGCAAUGCUUGGAACAUCCAACAGCUACGUCGCUUCUACCCUUAAGAGGUUUUCAAGUUGUUCAUAUACCUCGCUCCCAUGCAAAGUUUAGUCAUCAAGGAAGGGUCAGCCUUGCCUCGGCAAAGCCCGACCCUCCCUCGGGGGCUAAAAGGGGGGAACCCCCUCUGCGCUGAAUUUUUUCCUUGAAAAAAGAUCCUUUCUGCCAGAAUGUCUUUCGUGCUUUUCGACUACUUCGAAAGUGGAUCCUGAAAACGACGGAGUACAGGUAAGCAGCCAAGGCUGACCGAGUCGAGGGACUCCUACGCCUCCAGGAUACGGAUACCUCACUCAUCACCUUCUGCGAUAAGUAACUCACGCUCGGAUAAGUGAUUCCGCGGACCGAACAAGUCUUCACGCUCGAAAGCUCCUCUGCCGAAGCGGUUCUUCGGGCCUUCUCGACUGCGUCGGUGACAGAACCCUAUGGACGGGCAAGAGCGCGCGUAAGCGGCAAGGCCGACCGAGCCGAGGGAUUCCUACGCCUCCGGGAUACGGACACCUCACUCAUCACCUUCCGUGAAAAGCAACUCUCGCUCGCACAGACAAUUCUGUUACCAACGAAAAAGUCCAGAUGCUCGAAACAAGAGGAAAAGAAGCGCAACUUUACAACACGGCGAGGGUGUGUUUGGGCCUCGGCGGCCGCAGAAAACACACGCUACAAGAUAAUCCGAUCCUGCAGGCUCGGAUCUGGACAAUUGAAGGGAGCCGCAGCACCCUCGGCGUCAACAACACCUUCGGCGAGGUCCGACCUAGCCUCGAACGGCGACGCGGUCCGAGGAUCUCUACUCUGAAGGACGACUUCAUCAUCACGCCCGAGCCAUCGCCGCCAGGGUCUCCUCCAAGAAUCCGGCUCGAGCAGGCAGCUCGGCUGGUCACCCCGAGGCCUCGGCCAGCUGCCAUCCGAGGACAUCAGCCCGGCCCGAGGCCUCGGCAGAUCAAUUCCGGCGUCGGUCCCGCUAACGGACGACCCGGCCAGGCUCUGGCCGACCAAGUCUUCUUUUCGAGCCAACUCCGCCUCUGUCCAUGCUGACACCGCUACCCCUGGCCUCGGCUCAUCGAAGAGCGACCGAGGGGUUCCUUUAACUAAGCAAGAGAAGCCUCGGGCAGCAAGGCCGACCGAGCUGAGGGACUCCUACGCCUCCAGGAUACGGAUACCUCACUCAUCACCUUUGCACGGGGCAACUCGCGCUUGGUGAAGCGGUUCAGACAACCAACAGGCGAGUCUUAGUGCUCGAAAAUGAGGAAAAAAUACAUACAUGUUCAGGCCCCGACAGCCACAAUGAACAAAAACACUGGCAUUCAAAAUGCCAUUACAAACGGAACUCCGGUUCCACCUCCGCAGGUACGAACAACCCCACUCGAUGGGGGGGGGGCCUGCGGAGCAACAGAAGACCGACGAACGGCACGCCGUCACCCGCUCCAGCAGCGGCGACGACGACGACUUCUGCUCCGGGGGGCCGAACAGCGGCAGCAAUGACCUCAGGGCGGAUGCUACUGCCAGGAGGCCCCCGCCCAUGCCCAAACUCGUGAGGCAAGGACGGGCAGAAGGCCGUAGAGUUGGAGGUCGGUCCGUAGGCGGCCCCGGCUAUCUCGUCGGCGGAAGAACCUCUUCCAGCUGCCGUGGCGGAAGCCGGCGCCGAGAGCGGCUCCGAAGCCACUCGGGUCCGAGAGCCAGGCACGCGGCAGCUGCCAACGCCACGGACAACAACCGCCCUUCCCCCCGAUCACUGAGGGAAGGAGCGGGCCACCGCCCACGCGGGGGCCGACCCCAACUCGGCACACUCCCCUCCCCAGCACUGGUGAUGAAAAUCCUUGAGGCUGAGGGAGGGGCAGAGGCCGCAGCCCGGUUUGCUUUCCCCCGCCAUCAAACUGGAGGUCACCGUCUUGGGUGACCACCGGUGGGGGGGGGUGCAGCCGGGCUGCAUGAUGAAAAUCCUUGAAGCCGAACGAUGGCUGAAAGGUACCAACUCGUACGAAGUUGCGUUCCUCCAACGGCAAGGCGGAGUGACCGCAGACAUCCCCCAUCCGGGGGCUCGGAAGGUGGAAAGACACGAUGCAUAAGGGAGCACGAAGACAUGGUCGCCUUUCAAGGGGUCGCCCUCCUUUUAAAGGCGACUCUCCCUACUCGCGCCCCCAACCGUCGUGGGCUGAGUCUUCUCCAACACGCUCCAAGGUCCUCCCCCUAUGGCGCGGGGGCUCGGUCCCACACGUCAUGCAAGCCGGCCUAGAGCAGAAGAAGCCAAACCGCCGCGCGCGGUGCAUGCAACCGCCCAGCGGUUACAAGCGGCCCUCCACUUUUGCCCAGACCAGCGGGCGAGAGGGCGGGCAGCCAUGCAGGCGGCAUGCAACCGCGCCAAGUGGGCGCACCUCUCCGACUUCCAGCGCGCCCAGCAUGGAGGCCUAGGCCCACGCGUCAUGCAACCGGCGCGCCGGAUGCUACGUGCGAGCAACUGCACCGCCACUCGCGCCACUGCCACGCCUCCUCGACUGCGGAACCAGUACCGCGACUCGAGGCAACCCUACGCACGACCCAGCAGCGCCAGCCUGGCGCGACGGUCAAUGCGGCCAAAAAUGGGCCGGCAGUAAUGGCGGUGGCAGGCGGGCAGGAGCAGCGGUCACGUCGUCAGCCAAGCUUACGUCCCAUUCGGGGGCAGCGAGAGAACCCUCUCUCACGGCGUGAAGACGACGCGCCCGUGUUCCGUUCCUCGAACGGCUCGCGCACGCGCAACGGCCGCCCCGCGAACCACACGCCCCGUCGCAUUAACUCCACAGCGGGAAAGGCGGCGCCUCUGGCAGGGGAAGCGAGCGACGUUUCGCCUUCGCCAUAAUGACCGCGUCAAGAAAAAAGGUACGCCGCGUCGUUCAAUUUCGUAUCCUUUUCCUUUUCCUCUUUCUCUCUCUUACAACAGGGACCGGGAAAGGGGGAUACCCCGAAAAGGAUCCUUCUCUGUGAAGGAACCAGGCUCUGAGCCUCCCUACUGAUCAGAGGUUCGAAGGCUGGCCCCUCGAAGGGUUCAACAACCGCCUUAGAGCGCGUGGGCUCCACACCCACUACUGGUCAGAGGUUCGAAGGCCGGCCCCUCGGAAGGGUUCAACGACCGCCUCAGGCUACUCGGGCUCCGCGCCCACUACUGAUCAGGGGUUCGAAGGCUGGCCCUCGAAGGGUUCACAACCGCCUCAGACACAGAGCGAGGGAUGACCAUGGGUACGUUCGAUACAUAACCAAGGCUCGGGCUGCGCUCCCGAGGUACCCUAGGACAUUUCUGAGACCAGCGGGAACGAUCUUGUAACGGAAUCCCAUCAGAGGGAGGCAUCGAGCCCUCGGACCCCGUCGACAGGGGACCGGGUCCGGCAGAUCACCCGCAAGUACUUUUGGGCGCGCCUCUGGGCCUCUAGCCGACCCCUAGCGAAUGGGGCACGGACGUCCGCUCGGAUUACCCGCCAGCAGCUCACCGGAGACACCAUGUUCGGCGCCCACCGAGGGCAACAUGGCGCUUUCCCCCCUCCUCCUUGCGGAAAGGCGACGCAGGGGCGUAUGUAAAAAAGUCGAGUCUGUCCCUGACCGUCCUCUCGCCCUGUGUAGAGGCUCGGGGGCUGCUCUCGCAAACCUGGCUCUGGCCAAAUCGUUGACAGUGUCAACAUACCAGACCGAGAACUUGGGACCCGACCGUGCACCCGGGCUACGGCCAGUUCGCAUGAGGGAACGACCAGACCAGCCAAAGCAUUGCGCGAGGCAUUAAGACCUCGGAGGAGUCAAACCACUCCUCCGAGGCCUCGGGGGCUACACCCGGCAGGUGCGCUCGCGCGCACCCACCGGAACAAAACGCAACCGAGAAAGGCUGGUCCCCUUGCAAAAAAGUGCGACGAAAGCCUCCAAGCGAGUGCUAACACUCCCUUCGAGGCUCGGGGGCUACUGUCGGGGACCAUAAUUAGGGGUACCCUCAAGUCUCCUAAUUCUCAGCUGGUAACCCCCAUCAGCAUAAAGCUGCAAAGGCCUGAUGGGUGCGAUUAAGUCAGGGAUCGGUCCAUUCGAGGGACUCGAUCACGCUUCGCCCGAGCCUAGCCUCGGACAAGGGCAGCCGACCCCGGAGGAUCUCCGUCUCGCCCGAGGCCCCCCUCCAGCGACGAACAUACUUCCGGCCCGCCCGAGGCCCUGUCUUUGCCAAGAAGCAACCCUGACCAAAUCGCCGCGCCGACCGACCAAAUCGUAGGAGCAUUUAAUGCAAAGGUGGCCUGACACCUUUAUCCUGACGCGCGCCCUCCAGUCGACAGAGCCGAAGUGACCGCCGUCACUUCGCCGCUCCGCUGACCGGCCUGACAGAAAGACAGCGCCGCCUGCGCCGCUCCGACUGCAGUGCCACUUGACAGAGUGAGGCUGACAGGCAGUCAGGCCUGGCCGCAGGCACCACAGGAAGCUCCGCUCCGCCCGACCCAGGGCUCGGACUCGGGCUAAGCCCCGGAAGACGACGAACUCCGCUCCGCCCGACCCAGGGCUCGGACUCGGGCCAAGCCCCGGAAGACGACGAACUCCGCUCCGCCCGACCCAUGGCUCGGACUCGGGCUAAGCCCCGAAAGACGACGAACUCCGCUCCGCCCGACCCAGGGCUCGGACUCGGGCUAAACCUCGGAAGACGGCGAACUCCGCUCCGCCCGACCCAGGGCUCAAACUUGGGCUCAGCCCUGGAAGACGACGAACUCCGCUUCGCCCGACCCCAGGGCUCGGACUCCGCCCUGGCCUCAGCCGACGGUCUCUGCCUCGCCCGACCCAGGGGCUCGGACUCGACCUCGGCCACGAAAGACAGACUCGACCUCGACUUCGGAGGAGCCUCCACAUCGCCCAACCUAGGGCGCGGACCGGCCACAUCGACGAGAGGCGCCAUCAUUACCCUACCCCAAGCUGACUCAGGCUGCGGGAAACGAGACCGGUGUCCCAUCUGGCUCGCUCCGCCAGAUAGGCAAUGAUGGCUCCCCGCACGCUCCCUGACGACGGUGGCUCUCAGCCCCCUUACGGAAGCACGAGGACGUCAACAAGGACUCGACAGCUUCGACAGCUGUCCUUCCGCCAGGCUCCAGCGCUCCUCCGACGGCCACGACACCACACGAACCGGGUGCUAAAACCUCUCCGGCUGCCACGACGGCAUGUACUUAGGGCGCUAGCUCUCCUCCGCUAGACACGUAGCACUUCGCUACACCCCCCAUUGUACACCUGGAUCCUCUCCUUACGCCUAUAAAAGGAAGGACCAGGGCCCUCUUACAAAGGGUGGGCCGCGCGGGGACGAGGACGAGACAGGCGCUUGCGUAAGGCCGCUCGCUCCCUCACCCGCGUGGACGCUUGUAACCCCCUACUGCAAGCGCACCCGACUUGGGCGCGGGACGAACACGAAGGCUGCGGGAUUUCCACCUCUCUCACGCCCGUCUCUGGCCACCUUUCUCCCCCCUUCGCGCUCGGCCUCGCGCCGACCCAUCUGGGCUGGGGCACGCAGUGACAUUUCACUCGUCGGCCCAGGGACACCCCGGUCUCGAAACGCCGACAAGGCUGGACGGUGGUGUAUCUGUGCUCUCGGUUAGCGUGAACCCGGUCUGGUCUUGAGAAACCCGGUGGCGAGUUGACAUAUGCAAGGGUUAAGUGCUACAUAUGUCGUGUGGUUGGAGAUUCUCAGCUGGGUAUUAAUCGAUUCAGAUCGUCGUUACUUCUCGGAUAUGAAGACUUGGUCACUGACUUACACGUAGCAAUCCAGUGAAUUGAAGGGUGGAUAAAAAGACGGCUAGUAUAGGUAACUUUACUUAACCUGACAAGUAAAAAUGAAUUUUUAACUAGGAUAGAAAGAACUCUAGAUGUAGGUAACUUUACUUAACCUCACAAGUAAAAAUGAAUUUUUAAGGAUCCAUUCAUAGUAAGCUUUUCUGCAAACAGGUUCUUUGAUUCUUGAUAAGCUUUACCUUGAUUCCCAAAAGCCAACAUAUCCUUGAGAGUCUUUUUCCUUAGAUGGGUAAGACUUGCGAAAGUACACUUUGUACUCAGGGUUUUCGAACCCAUAUUGUUGCAGGUACUAGAAUUGUGCUGCUAUGGAUGGUGUUAAGCGCCGGUGGGCACGGCCUUCUUAUAAGUCUAAGUACUUUUUCUAUACUUCUUAUUGAGGAUUGUCAUUGAGCUAGCAUAUAUUUCAAAACUAUAAAUAAUUUAUAACGGUUCAAAGUUAUUUCUUUGAAUCAAUUUUGUAAUCACUCCGAUCAUGUACAUUGUAAACUUGAUGUAACUUGUAGAAUUUGGUAAUAAGAUUUUCGCUGCAAAAAUGUUGGUGUGUGAUUUGUGUUUACUUAAUCUUGCGCUCCUGGUUGUAAGUGGUUUAUCCGGGGUCAUCGGACACUCAGACAGAUCCUGUUAAGUUAUCUGGUGCACAUGCAUAGCCGUCUGAGGUCUUUGAGACAAGCACAGGUGCAUGUGGGCCUAAUAACUUGGGAGGUUCUGCCACAGUUGGUAUUGGAGCAAGAUUAAGUAUAAUACAGUCACAUACGUAUUUGAAAAACAAAGUUUUGGUUUUAGAAAACCUAGCGACAUCCUAUGUUAAGCCUUAAAUUAAGGACUAUCAGGUGGCUUAGAUUAAACCCUAACCCACAAUCGGGGGGAUAUUGCAUCCAUGUGUAUUGUUAUUUUUGGGGCCAUUCAGUUUUGAAUGGAUCGACGCUCAGGUAAGGUGAGAUGUGAGAGCAUGACCGAACAAUCGUCGGUCUAGGGGAGUGCUUAAUUGUGACGCUUGACUAUAUACAUGUUCUACAUAUGUAUAUAUGAAAGCUGCGAUGUGGAGUAUUUACUUUUCUAGGAAUUCAGUACCCCAUGGAUGUGUAUGGGUAUACAGACAUGGGAAUACUGAGAAGUGUAAUGUACUUGUAACGACGCACCUACGCUCAGGUAAUAAGGUAAGUUACCAUAAUAAGCUGCCAUAUGGUUAAAGUGUGGCAGCGGCGCCUAUGCGUGGCUCGACGCUUAAUGAUGAGCUGGCUUCCAUAUAGAAAUAUAUGGAGUAUAAACUAUGAUAAACUGUCAUGUGUGGAUCUUGCAUCAUGGGAAAUUGGGUUGUGAUGGAUUUUUCUGCAGGUACACUAACCUCGAAAACGUAUGUGUAGUUGACGACUAGCAAAAUACCGUGAGAGUCGUAAGUAUGCCGCCGAUAUAGAACACUGUUUCCACAUUAUUUUGGCAAAAUUUGUGAGGACGCAUAGGAUGAGCAUGCAUCUUGAUUGUUGCAUCAUGUUUGUCACCUGUGCACGAAAAUGCUUCUCUCAUCUUUAUUCCAGUAACCAGUGAUUGUAGAUAAUGUGGUGUAAUGUUGUAUUAUGAACGUAAGUGAAAUAGUUAUUCUCCGUUCCUUAGGUAUUAAUUGUGUUUGAUCUUGUACUUGAUGUGCCGAUAGAAGGCUGGUGACUUGUUUGCUUAGACCCAAAACUAGGCCAUGUUCUUAUUUAGUGAACCAUGACCCAAAGUUGUUUUUUCCGUUAUCCCUCCAAGACCAAAUUCAUGCAAAUAAAUGCUUAGAUAAUUUCUUUGUUGGACAUAAAGUGUACUCAGGCUUAAAACAGGAAUCUUGAGUUAUAUCUCCUUCCAAAACCAUUCCCUUGUUCGGUUGGUGCAAGUUGAUAUCUCUAUUCUAUUUUGCCUCUCCUGGAGGAUUGCAUUGUCGCUUUAUCAACCCAACCUAGGAAAGUUAUGCCUGAUCAUUUUCCUUAGUUUGAUGCCUUUGGUUUCCUCAUAUCUAUCAAAGGCAUACCAACUUAAUCUUAUGAUUGUCUUCCCUCCGUAUCUAAUCAGAUACUAAUCUUUGACCUUGGAAUUUCUGCGAUGGGCAUAAAAAUAUGCUUGGGGCUGUCCCAUCGUACUCCCUCGUCAACCAAUUUUUGGUUUUGACCAUAUCGUGUUCACUCCAUCGGGCCAUGAUCUAUUUGGCUCUCUACUUGUAAUCAUUCCUACAGGUGGAGUCUAUUUUGUAUAUUGUCGCCCUUGCUCAAUUCGUUUGUGUCGCGUGAGAUUUCUUAUUGGUUAUGUCUGGUAAUGGUGUUAUGACUAAAACCGAUGGUGCCGCGCCGAAAUCGAGGGCCUCCUGUGGGUAUACACACAAGGUUGUGCUACUUGGCACGCCUUGGUAUCACAAUUAGUAGUCAUAGUCCAUUAUGAGACUAUAUCAAUAUGUUAUCUCUACACAAAUUGUUCUUACCCCGUAAGAUUCAUUAUUGGUGCCAUUUCGCUAAUGGUGUCAUGGUUAACGACUUAUGGUGCUGCAGUGAAACUGAGAGCCCCUUGUGAAUGUACACGCAAGGUUCUACUGCUUAGCGCAUGCUGGUAUCAAGGUCUCUAGUCAUGAUCCGUUAUGGAAUUACACUGAUGUGUUAUCUUCCGUGGACCUUCUCUUGAAAUGAUUUCUAUGUUGUUUGGCAAGUGAUCAAGCAACAUCUAUCAUCUCUGUUGGAUAAAAAUGGCAUACCACUUUCAUGUGUGGUCUCUUUUCCCUUGACUUUGGUAGUGACUGCACAUAUACAAGUUCCCUUUUGCAUCCUUUCUUGUAAAGGUGAAGCCUUGGAGCUUUUUAGUGUUGGAAGAUAGCUAAUUAGUUCUCAAAAUGAAAAUUUGGCUUCCCCUACUGCUGAAAUGCAGGAGUUUGUUCAUUCGCUCUCUUAUUUAAUCCAUGUAUUCCCUAACCAAGUCAGUUCAUCUCGCAUGAAGAAAUGGAUGAACAACCUGACCAAAUGGAUUUCUACCCAAGUGCAUGAUCUCCUGUUAACAAGAAUGAACCCUCAACCAUUGGAUUGCUGAUGGAUAAUAAGAAGGCUUAUUCAAUGUCAAAAGUAGUUCAACAAGUUGGUUUUACUAACUUGUAACUACCUAAUGAACAAAGGUUGAGUUUAGAGAUCGUUUUAUCGAGUUGUCUAAACUCACUUUGGUUCAACCCAUCCUAAGGAAGUACUUGCAAAAAUCAAGUUAAGUCGACUGAUAACCACCUAGUCAUCGUUCUAGUCAUGCCUCGAUCGCCUCACGUGUGCUUUUCCAGCAUGGGUGAUCAGGUCGAAUCAUGCUUAGUGCUUGAAAAAGUGGAUUGGUCGCGAAGUCAACAUCAAUGCAUCUCUUCAUUGAUAUUUUAUCGAAUCUCUAUCAUCUUUAGUGGACUUGAAUUCUCUAGUUAGCUACAUGUUAACCACGACAGUAUUUGACAUCCACACUCGUCUUAUGUGCUAUGAACUUACCGUGACCAGUUGUUGGUAAACCUCUUUCUGUGUGUUUUACCCAAGAGGUUGCAACUAGUUCUAUUUGGAUAAAGUCGCGUAUCUACCGCUCGCUCAACAGACUCAGAUAGUACCGUGUCAUCAGAAAAAGCAAAUUGUACACAUGGAAUCUUAUGUGUUCUUCUGGCAGAUAUCGUCUCUGAUGGUUGACUUCUCUGCUUAGCUGAAAAGUAAGACAUGCUAUGUCCACUAGAGAAACAACCUCCUGAGACACUCGCCUUUGCUUGGAACUGCCUUAAGCUAUCGCUGAUAUGGACAUGAGUUACAUGCUUCUCUACUCUUAGAAGUCUUUCGCUCCGAAUCUCGGGACGAGAUUCUUUUAAGGGGGAAGGGCUGUAACACCCUAGGUGUUACUGUAUGCUUAACGACGAAUAUGGACGACUGCCCAAAAAAUUUCGCGAAGCUCGGACUUUAGUGUCCUUCAAAAAUGCCGAGUCCGGUGCUGUUUAGAUUGGUUAUGAGCGUGAAUGCGACUUCGAAAAAAUAGCUCGAGUUUGAUGUCGUAUUCAUUUCCAUAAUCUAAACAGUUAAAAAGGUUUCAUGAACUUUUGGAUUACCUAAUCUCGUUUGCUGGAGAAUUUGGAUAUGUUCGGAUCACGCGCAUAAGUGAAUAUGAAAAUCAGAAAACUUCUGAUUUUACGUAAAAUUUGGAGCCCCGCGCUGUCCGAACAGAAUGAUGCACCAGCUAAUUAAGUGAAUCGUUCCUCUCAGCAAGUUAUCUUUGGCGUCAAAUCAACUAUUCGAUAGCUGGUGAGGAUCAUAAAAAUUAGACGGGACUAAAUACAGUCUAAAAUAUCGAAGUCAAUAUCAUUUUGAUUCGGUCCAUUUGUUUUCGCCUUGAUCUAAAUCUUCAAAAUGAAUUAGUACGGAUUCAUCCGACUUUAGAGUAUUCGCCAAAUCAAAUCGUAUCCAAAUAUUGUUAUCGAUCUCGUUUGGUUCGACCCAUUACCCAUCGCAAAAAAUCCCAAUUCCAAAUAUCUGCAAUUCUCUUUAUAAAAAAAGAAGAAAUAAAAAAGGAAAAUAUUCGUCGUCCUUAUCUCUCGCCGCCCCACCUUCUCUGAUUUUUCAGCCGCCGAUCUCUCUCUCCUGAUAUUUUCUCACGGUGCAUUAUCCCCAUCCACGCGCAGGCUUCUUCCCCAAACCACCGUCGUUCUCAGCGUCGUGUGCCCAGCUCCAACUCGGCCCCUCCCAUGGCGCCCUGCUGCUCUCCUCUCUCUUGCGCUCAGCUUCCGGACGGAUCUCCUGGCCGUGUGCUCCAGUGCCGGUCGCUCCUCCCUGCUCGCCCUCCAGCUCGCCCUGGACGCCGUGCCUUUCUCUCUAAUUGCUACUCGUCUGUGCUCCAGCCAUAGCGCGCCCCUCUCCCAGGUCCCUUCUCUGCGCGCUCCUUCAAGCCGGCGUCCUCUGCUCGCCAUGGCCGCUGAGCCCGAUCCAGCCGUGUGCUCGCCCGGUCAUACGCUCGCUCUGCUCGCCCGGGCACUCAUCUCCAUCCAUGGAUAUCGCCAUCUCAGCACCCUUGCUCUGCUCGAGGAAAUGCCAAGCCUUGAAAAACCAUCGUCUUGCUGCGACGCGUGCGUGCGCCACUCGCCCCACGCCGUCGUCUUUGUGUUUAGGCAGCCCCGUCGCGGCAUCGUCAAACCUUGCCCCUUGUCGUCAUGUUCUCCUUGCUGCAGCACCAUCGAUUUGUACUUGUGUCGAAUCGCAGUAGUGCAUAUGGAUGUCAAAGGAAGUGAAAGCUCCAUGUGAUGCUAGCCAAGUACUCGACGUAAAGCCUGAACCAGGGUCUCAUCAUUGUUCUUGUGAAGUUCAAGUCGAAUAUAUAGUUUUGGAGGGAGAUUUGGUGCUGAAGCCGAAGCCAGCAGCCCCCUUAUUCUUCGUCGUCAAUCCAAGCCGCUUCCCCGACGUGCCCGUUGAUCCCGACGAUCUAUCUUCCAGUUGAUCGCCACUUGCGUUGAGCUCCAAAGCCCCCUAUCGUGCUCGACCCUGGAGGCCUCCAACUUAUCGACAUCCCUUGCGUCGUCGAAAAAUCCCGAGAGUUUGGAUAAAGCAACAGAUCCCAUGUGGUGCUUGCCGGGUGCUCGGCAAAAGGUCUAAGCAAGAAUCAUUGUCGUCUGCGCGAAGUUAUGGUCAAUAUGGUAAUCAUACUCUGAUUUGCUAUUUUAGCAAAUUAAUUUGAUAGAUGGAUUAGAGGGAUAUAUAUAUCGUGGUGAUUAUUCUAUUUGUAGCUUAAACGCGUCGUGGGUAUAUUUUGAUGCAUGAUAAAGGCUGUAAUUAUGCUGUUUGCUUACCACCAUAAUUAUGAAGUAGUCGCGAGGUGUGGUGAAAUAUAGGUUUGAGGUAUGAAUAAUAUGAAGAAUGUGUUGGAAGACUUGUAUACGUAGCGUGAUUAGAUUAUAAUGCGAAAGCUAGGUUAAGUAUUUUAUCUAGCUAGCUAGUAAGUUCUGACGAUGUUGCCAUGCCGAUUUAGUUUGUUUAAAUAAAUAAAUGCUUUGCUAGUAGACAUUUUAAUUAGCUGGCAUGUUAUGCAAAGUCGUCUGGUCGGGUAGUUUGGAAAGUUGAUGUGCUUCUAUCCUUAUUCCCAAAAUUAGAUGUCUUAGACUAAUGAUUCUAAGUUUGUUAGUCCUCUGGUAUUGAACGUUAGCUAAGGAAAGUAGAGUGUGGGUAUAGUUUAUCGUCUUUCGUGAUGUUGUAACUAGAUCUAGUGAAACUGGAAGAACGCGAUUGUUGUGUGUUUAGUUUAUUGUUUUGUGAUGUAUGAGCUACCUUCGAAUAGGCUGGAAAAGCGUAAUUAUUAUAGUUAGUCUUACAGCGAUAGCUAGCGUUUACUUGUGAUUGGUCUAAUGUUUUGCUAGUCAAUAUUUAAUCCUUUACCAUGUAACAUUAUUCAGUAAUGUACAAGUUUUUUUGUUCAUACAUGUGCAUUAUGCAUAUCAUUUAGGUACAUUUAUUGAUUACGUGAUACGGAGGACCAAAGCUGAGUCGACCACAAGAUGUCGCUACGCGUAAGCUUCUCCACAAGAUGAUGCUAAUGGAUGAACCUGAAGAUGGAUAAUCUAAACAUGUGUCAAAACAAAGGCUGAUCGUCAAGUGGACGUCAUCUAACAAACACUAACAUAGUGUUAUUCCAGGCAAACCCCUGUGCAUUUGCCACCUCCUUGCUGUUUUAAAAUCUUUUAUCACCUUGUUUGAUGCAUUAGGUGAUAGGAGUUGUGUGCUAAACAAUUGAUGCAUUUUCUUCCUUGGAAAAUUGAAUACCCUUCCUUGGUACCCUUUUAUGAAAAGGAUUUUUAUGAUGCUUAGCCUUGCUUUAGAAAAAUAAAAUGUUUUGUUUUAAAAACAAAAGGUGAUGCUUCACAGUGGAUGGGAAUUUUUACAAAGAGAAACUUGUGAUGGUGGAUCCAUUAGGGCCUUGAUGGGUUCAACAUCUAAAAGGAUGUACCUCUGUCAGGUACCAAACUUUAGGAUUUAAAUAAUAAAGCUGAGACCGAGCGGGUGACUUGCACGAGAAGAGAGUGUCGGUGUAGUGUCUCCGUCUGAGUCGAUUAAGGACCGUACCGAUGUAGGCAUGAUGAUCGAGGACCUUUUAACUAGCCACAUGCCUCGUCAUGGGUAAGCUUUGCCUCAAGCAGACCAAUACCAGAAAGGCCAACACGCAAUGGGAGUGGAGAGAUGGCGAGAGUAGCGUGUACCCUCCGUGACAAGAGGUUGGACGGUGGUGUAUCUAUGCUCUCGGUUGGUGUGAACCCGGUCUGGUCUUGAGAAACCCGGUGGCGAGUUGACAUAUGCAAGGGUUAAGUACUACAUAUGUUGUGUGGUUGGAGAUCCCCAGAUGGGUAUUAAUCGAUUCGGAUCGCCGUUACUUCUCGAAUAUGAAGACUUGCUCACUGACUUACACGUAGCAAUCCAGUGAACUGAAGGGUUGAUAAAAACACGGCUUGUAUAGGCCAAGUGUUUGAACUAGGAUAGAAAGAACUCUAGAUGCAGGUUACUUUACUUAACCUGACAAGUAAAAAUGGAUUUUUAAGGAUCCAUUCAUAGUAAGCUUUUCUGCAAACAGAGUCUUUGAUUCUUGAUAAGCUUUACCUUGAUUCCCAAAAGCCAGCAUAUCCUUGAGAGUCUUUUUCCUUAGACGGGUAAGACUUGCGAAAGUACACUUCGUACUUAGGGUUUUCGAACCCAUGUUGUUGCAGGUACUAGAAUUGUGCUGCUGUGGAUGGUGUUAAGCGCCGGUGGGCACGACCUUCUUAUAAGUCUAAGUACUUUUUCUAUACUUCUUAUUGAGGAUUGUCAUUGAGCUAGCAUAUAUUUCAAAACUAUAAAUAAUUUAUAACAGUUCAAAGUUAUUUUUGAAUCACAUUUGUAAUCACUCCGAUCAUGUACAUUGUAAACUUGAUGUAACUUGUAGAAUUUGGUAAUAAUAUUUCCGCUGCAAAAAUGUUGGUGUGUGAUUUGUGUUUACUUAAUCUUGCGAUCCUGGUUGUAAGUGGUUUAUCCGGGGUCCUUGGACACUCAGACGGAUCCUGUUAAGUUAUCUGGUGCACAUGCAUAGCCGUCUGAGGUCUUUGAGACAAGCACAGGUGCAUGUGGGCCUAAUAACUUGGGAGGUUCUGCCACAAUAGCCUAGAAGGCAGAGUCCCUAGCUUGGAUGGUCGAGUAUUUGGCCUCGACCACCAAGUUCAACCUCAAUCAUAUUGAAUGGGAAAUGGGCAAUUAAGCCAUUUCUAUAAGUUUUGGUGAUUGAAUGACCAACAUGGCAUCUUGGACUAACCGGUUUGCUAAGUGUGUGGGCAUAAGUUCACUCAAGUGCAAAUUGAAGGAUUCAAGUCCAAAUGAGCUCAAUGAAGGCCAGGAAGUGCAACAUUUUGAAAUAAGAGUAAAAUAGUGAGGUUUGAACCUUUGAAUAUGUUGCAUACACCUAUUAAAAUGUUUUCUAGCAUAUUGGUUUGCUCUCUAACUCAGUUUGUAGUAAAAAGUGCUUUUGGACUUGUGUUUGAGUUGAAACAAGAAAUUGAAAAGGAAGACGAGCUAAAGGUAUGAACCUAUGUGUCGGUGUUUCGAACCUCGCUCUGACAAGUAAAAUCAUUAUGCACAUUUCGGGCUCCAGAUGGUGGGCACAUGAUUUAUACUGGUUCGGGCAGAACAUCCCUGCUUCUAGUCAUCGGUGGCUUGCGCUACUAGCACCAUUGAUGAUCAAAGCUCAUAGUAGGGGUUACAAGCAGGAGAGAAAGGGAGGAGAGGCUCCCAAGUCUCUUAUUCGUGGUGGAAGUGGUUACAAGGUGGAGUCCUAGCUAAGUCUUGGCUUGGCGAUGGGGCUCUGGCCUCCGGGUCCUCUUCCUAUUCGUUGGUCUUCUCGGCGUCGUCUCGUCUAGGGUCUAUCCUUGCAUCGUCCGCCUCGGAGAAAGGGACCUCUGAGUGCGCUCUCGUGUCCGAGGGCCGGCCUCCUCCCUUUAUAGGCUAAGGAGGGGGUCAGCUCGUGGUGGCUUUCCUUAGGAAGGAGCCAUCGGGUGAUAGUAAAACUAGUAUGGAUCGUACAUGGAUGAUAGUUGGAGUCGUUGGCUCUCCUAGGCUUCCCUCAUCUAGGAUCCCUAGGGAAGAUGAUCAAGUUGGCCCUUGCUGAGGUGAAGAAAGUUGAAGGAUAUACAUUACUAAGUGGGAUUUAAUGCAUGUGACUUGGAGAUAGCUGAUUGAACCAAUGGCAAAUGCAAGAAAGACUUUGAGGGACUAGAUCAAGGGAGAAGGUCAAGAGGACCAAGGUACCUGAGGCUAAGGUGAAGAAGAGGUUCUUGCAAGAAAUCAAGGUUGAUCAAGUUCAAAAGUGUUAUGGUGCAUUGAGGAUCACGACAUAAGGACAUGACUUGAAGCCAUUGAGGUAAUUCAUAUGGUUUAUGGAUCAAGUCAUAAGGCUUAAGAUCCUAGCUCGAGUGGAGUCAUGGUCAUAAGAUUGAGAAGUAUCAAAGUCAGAACCUAAAAGAGCCUAAAGAGAUGUGCAUAUUUGAUUUGGAGUUUGGAUCAAUCCUAUGUUUAGAAAGGUUCAUAUUAAAGGUGUUGGAACUCAUAUGGCUAAAGUGAUCAACUGAUGUUGACUUGAAGUUUUGGAGUCCAACACCAAGCUCAAACAGGGCAAAAAGAGAAACAUGAUGAAAAAGUUUAAAUCUAAAAAGUUUGAGCAUUUGAAUAUAUUGCAUACACCUUUUACAUAAUUAUUGGCACUUUGGUUUGCAAUCUAACUUGGUUUCUUAUGGAAAUGCCCUUUUGGUCCUUGUUCGAGGUGAAAGUGGAAAGCUAUGGAGAAGAUAAGAUAGAGGUGAGUUUCUAUGACUUAUUCCACUAUAUUAUACUCUAGUUAUGUUCAUCUAAGUCAUGGGAAAGUGCUCAAGAAAGUCCAAGUUCAAUGGAGGAAAAGAAACUAAAUUUUAUCAAUUUAAAAUGAGAAACCAUUGCUUGUGUUACUAAUGCACUUUCUUGUAUGAGAUAUUCAUGGUAAACUACAAGGAGAGAUGAUGCUCAUUUGACAAAGACACAAGCUUAAGGUUUCUCUUCACCUAAAGGAAGAAAUGCCUUAGAUUUGAAAUCUUCAAAUUAAGGUAAAAAGGCAAAGUUAUGGAACUAGUUGUUUUCAAUGUGGUAUUUUAAUCAGUACCCAAUCUUGAGUAGUUCCUUGCAUGUGUGGUUCCUAAAUUUGUAUGCUUCAUUAUGGCGCAUGUUGUUUUUAUAUGGUGAAGUAAUGCCAAUAAUUACGAUAAAUUCCUUCACAAGCAAAAUUGAUAAAGUGUCACACCCGGGUUUUAGUGGCACCAAGACCCGGGCGCAAACAUAAUCACCAGGUGUGCUAGGACCAAGUCUCACACAUAUGAUGAAUCAUGGUACAAAAACGAAUGUCACAUCUUUACUAUAUAAUAGGAGUUUCUGUACAAAAUAAAUAAAUAAUCACAUCGUAAGGAGACAACGAUCAACAACCCAAAGUUAACGGGGAGACGACGGCCUAGACCUCUCACAAACACAUCGCAGCAUCCUCCAAGCGCCUCAUCGUGUGGUACCUGUUCCUGACCUGUGGGGGUGUGAGACAGCAAGGGUGAGCUCACAUAUGUUCAUCGUUCAACAAGUUCUAGGGAAUAAUGUGCAUGAACUCGCCAAAGGUGGGAGCUCAUGUGAAGUGUAAGGCUUACCAAAGAGAAUAGUUAAAGCUGAGCAUUGCUUUUAAAGUUGGUCAAAAUUUUAUUAGCAAUUACUAGAUGUAAGUAAAUACCAAACCAUAAUAAUAAUAGAACAAAACUAAUAAUAAAUCCAAUUGCAAUGCAAAUGAAAAAAUGAAUUUAGUUCCAUAAUUUAAUCAUGCGAGAGUUCUGAGCUGCUCAUGACCGCGAGCACGACUAGUAUACCCGUUUUACACUCUGCAGAGGUUGUACCCUGUACCCACAAGUCGUGUAUCCCAUGUCGCCAGGGUUUGCAAGGCCCUUAGACAUUUCCAAGGUGAAUGGCUAGGGAUCCACUACGAGGCCUUUACAAAGUUUCACUAGCUUCAGAAAACCCGCUACAGUUUCUAGGAAGAGCAAUGCAGGAAUCCCCCAUCUGACCGCCAUCGCAGCAAAAUCAACCCCAGGAACCUCCCUACAUGCCUACUCCCCUACUGCCCUUGCCCCUAUCGGGUAAGGUAGUCCUCCACUAGCUUUCCUAGUUAGUCAGCCAAGGGCGUCUGUAACACCCGGUUUCUAAGGGACAAAGCCGGGUGCAUCUCAUACAUGCGCCAAAGAAGACAACACAUAUAAUAACAGAGUGUAUAGAGAUAAAUGUCACAAUAAUCAGAGUACUUAUUACAUAGCGGAAGACCUAAAAAAUAAAAGAUAAAUAUAGCAGGAUCUAAAAUCCAUCCUUGGCGCCAGAAAGUCAACUGGGAGACACCACCUAGAUCGAAUCAAACUCCUCGAUGCAUGGCUCCACUUGAACCACCUGUUCUUCUCCUGUGGGGGGUGUGAGACAGCAAGGGUGAGCUCACAUAUGUUCAUCGCUCAACAAGUUGUGGGGAAUAAUGUGGCAUGAACUCACCAAAGGUGGGAAUUCAUGUGAAGUGUAAGGCUGAUCAACAAAAUAAAGGUUGAAGCUGAGCAUUGCUUUUAUAAGUUGGUCAAAAUUUUAUUAGCAAUUACUAAGUAUAAGUAGAUACCAAACCAUAAUAAUAAUAGAACAAAAUUAAUAAAUAAUCCCAUGCAAAUGCAAAUGACAAUUUGAGUUUAAGUUCCAUAAAUUAAUCAUGUGAGGGUCCGAGCCGCUCAUGACCGUGAGCAUGGCUAGUAUACCAGUUUUACACUCUGCAGAGGUUGCACAUCUUUACCUAUAAGCUGUGUUACCCAUCUGCCAAGGGGUCAUGAAUCCCAUACACCUCUACCAAGGAAGUGAGGCAGGGUAACACUACGAGGCCUUUACAAAGUUCCACUAGCUUCAGAAAACCCGCUACAGUUUAUAGGAAGCUCCAGUGCAGGAAUCCCUCGCCUGACCGCCAUCGCAGCAAAAUCAACCCAAGGACCUUCCUACACUGACCACUCCCCUACUUCCCUUACCCCUUUCGGGUAAGGUAGUCAUCCACUAGCUUUCCUAGUUAAUCAGCAAAGGGCGUCCCAUUAAACCCUUGUGGUAGCACUGUUUUCCCGGGUGGUCGCUCCAUGUUGCAAUUAACAUAAUGAUCUUAUCAUGAAUAUAAAUAACAUAACAGAAUAAUUGGAACAUGGAUAUAAUAAAAUAUUAAUCCCAAAACCAUAUAGAGCAAUAGCAUAACUACCCAAGUGAUUCAGGGAUAAACAAGGUAAAAAGGAUAACCAAUCUAGGGUGACCUAUUGGGUCCCAUCAAAAUUAAACCUAUGCAUUGAAUAGUGAUAAUAAAGAAUAUUAUUGGGUAACAAAAGUGGAUCAAGGGCACAACUUGCCUGACACUUGAGAUUUUAGUUACCAGGGUGAUUCUUCAGAUCCUCGUGAUCGCACUACUAGUCGUAGCAAUACAAACAAACAUGGUAUAGAUAAAAUCAAUAUCACACCAAACAUGAGAACAAAUUAAAUAAUAAUGAUCUACGCGAAGCUACAAGAUCGUGGGAACGAGAACCACUAAAAUCGGAGUUACGAUUAAGGAGUUAUGAUCUAUAAAAGCUCUACAUAAUUUAAAUAUUAAACUUAUAUUAUAAAUUGGUUAGUAUAGAUCAUAUGAGAAAUUAUUCUAUAAAUAAUUAUCUCAACUUUAAUCUAAGUCAUUAUUUUAUUAAAGCUUAUCUAGUUAAAUUAUAACCAUAAAAUUAGAAUACUAUAUUAAUAUUAAAUACGUUAAUCUAAUAGACAUAGAUUAACCCAAUUAUAAAGUAUGGAAUAUCAUAUAAUAAAUGUUGAUAUUGUGUAGUAGAUAUUUAUAUGAAGCUAACGCAAUUGGAACGAGCCAAAUCGGAUUUAAAACCGAGGAGUUACGAAUUUCCUAAGGUUUAUGUAUUUUGCACAAGAUUAAAUAGGAUAUAAAUUUUAAUGUGACUUUCAUGUGAAAACAGUGGUACUAGAUGAUAAACCAUAAUAUUAAAAAAUUAUAGGAACUGGAAUGGAUUAAAAAGGAGUUAAAAUGUAUUUUCUAGGAAUUAAACAAAUUUCUGGAAUUAAUUUUGCAUUAAAAACUUUUUUUCUAAAUGAAUUCUCUGUUUUCCUAGAGGUCUGGACUGCGCGCAUGAUUAAACAGAAACCCAGGGUCUAUGGCAUAAAACAUCUAAGACUCAGGCAUACGGUCAAUGGACUGCGGGUUUAAUAAGAAGGAUUCUAGGGUCUCUUUUAAAAGACGGCCAGGGCUGAAGGGGUAUAAUUCAAUCCUGACCGUCCGAUCUAGCAUGAACGUCCCAGAUUAGAUCGUGAUUCCAGUGAACCGAUAUGCAACAGGGGACGUCGGAUCGUGGAUGAAGGUUCUGGAUUUAAAAUGUCUUGAUCAAACCAUACACGCCCAAUCGAGAUCCAAUGGUCAGAUUAGGACGCGUGAAGGGGUAUGCGCUGGUGUGAUCCCGACCGUUGAUGCCCGGACCAAUGGUCCAAAGCGCAUCGCUACACUUCUCCCCUAUCUCGACCACCAGAGCAGCCGCCCCGCCCAAGGAGCACGACGGAGGAUCGCCGGCGACACGCGAUUUGGCGCAACCGAGCCGGUGCCACAACACAACUAGGUGCUAAACGAACUAGGGCGUGCAACGAAUCGAAUGAGCUGGUCCUUACCCCAGAUUGGAGAGCCACGGAUGCAGUCCAUGGUGGAUUGCGGCACGAUGGCGGAGAAGGAAGCUCGACGCCCAAUUCUGGCAACCCAGGCCGAUGCCCCGAUCCGCGCGGUCCAUGGAUACACUCCUUGACACCCGGUGACCGUCCCUGGGCUAGUCGCAGAACCGCGACCGCCGCAAGGAUCAAGAUUUGAUGCCGGCGACUAUCCUCCCGAUGGCCGCCCCUCUCGAAUUUCUCACGGUGGGUGACGCUAAGGCGAUAGUGUGCAUAGACGGAUGGAAGAAAAGGAGAAGUGGACGGUGCACUAGACAUUAUAUGCCCAAGGUGAGUCUGUUGAGGCGUACGCUGGUGGCGAGAUUAACGGCGGGUCGUUAGGGAGGCCCUGACCAUGGCGGCGUGGGUGAGGUCCUACAGUUAUGUGCAGUUGCGAUGCGGCAGGCGGGAUCAGGUCAGGGUUGAUUGCGCCCGGUCAGCUGAAAUUGCACGCGCCAGCGGAGAUCAGGCGCGGCGAGAUCCAGACCCGCGGAGUGUGUGGCGGUGAAAUCGCGUUCUGUUUGAGGUAGGGGAACGAGCUGACGACUGGGCCCACAUGGAAGUGAAACGGGAGCGUGCAAUGAGGAUGGUAAGGAAAAGACUUUAUCCAAAAUGUUUAAGUCCUGAUUCAUCUCAAGAUUCGCUUUGACUGUUAAACCCUUGUUAGUGUUGAUCUUUUCUUCUCCAGUUUUGGUCUCAUUAAUUCGAGUUUAAUGUAUAUCAGCAGAGUUGGGCAUAUGGUUGAAGUGGUUAUGGGUGAGAUGGACUACAUGAUGUAGGUCAAAAUCUAGUUUGAUGUUAGGUGGGGACAGAUAAUUAAUCAAUUCAUCAUGACACCAUGGGUUGGGUUAGCUCUUAUCCUCAUGGUUGAGUUGGUCUAAUGUGCUAGGUUAGGUUAACACCGGGCUAGUAAUGUCUAAUCUCUUCUAUCAAUAUCACUAAUCUGUUCAAGCAUACCACAUUAGAUUAGGUCACACUAGAUUCCAUAAUCCUAUUUAAGAAUACCAUUUAAUUGAGCAUAUCCAGCUGACUUUAUCUUUACGAAAUCCCAGCAUAUUUUUUUAUACACCUGAAAUUCCUUUUAUGCCAUUAGCAGGUGUGGUAUAGAAACAAGGGUACAUCAUGUUUUAACUAAUAGGUGAGUGUUGACAUAGGAAUAAGUGUACUAUGGCAUAAUCGAGCUUCCUCUGGGGUCCGAACUAGGGACUAUCGGUCGUGGUGUUAGAUGCCAUUAUCCAAGUUGAGAUAACAAUUGCAGUAUAUGGGGUAGGUAGGUUAAAAAAAAUUACUUAGCUUUUGGGAUAAAUGGGUUGGGAAACCUGUAACACCCUAAAUUUGGGGUAUAAAAUUUCUUUGCUCAUAUCCACAAAUUCAGGUGUUAUUCCUCUCAUCUCAUCUCCCCCCAAUCUCUGUUUUUCUCUUUUCUAUAGAAGAAGAGUGGUUAUUUUAUUUAUAAAUGCAAUUAUAAUCUAGUGGGUUAAAAACCCUAAGGGAACAAUGGUUGUUGCAUCAUGUUAGAAAGAUUUGUUUUUUUGUUUGAUGAAUGGUUUGCUUAAUCUUUCAUUUAAUCAUUUGUUUGCGCAUAAUGUCAAACUGAAAUAAAUAGAAAAGAGAAAGAAAAGGAAAAGAAAAGGAAAAAACAGAAUUCAGCCCAACUCCCUCCCUGGCCCAGCUCGGCCGGCCCAGCCGCCCCUUCCCUCUCUCCCCUUUCCCCCGCUCGGCCCACCGCGCCUGCACUCCCUCGCGGGCCCGCGCGCCGCAGCCCAUCCCAGCUUUCCCUCGCGGCGGCCUAGCGCGCCAGCCCCUCUUCCCCCCCCCCCCCCGCGCGCAAGCAGCCAGCGUGCCAGCCCAGCUCCGCGCUCGGCCCACCCAGCGAGCCAGCCCCAGCCCACGCGCGCAAGCAGCCAGCAAGGCAGCCCAGCCGCGACCGCAGCCCAGGCCGCACGCCCAGCCGCGCGUAGCGCGCCCCUGCGCGCAAGCGCUCGCCCGCGUGGAGGCCGCCGCCUGCAUGCGCGCCCACGUCCGCGCACCGCGCGCAGCGGUUCCACGCCUGCCGCUGCCACUACCCAAUGGGGCCCACGCGCCAGGACGCAGGAUGCCACUGUUCGUCUUCUCAGAACCGCCCGUCGCGCAGUUUGUUUCGCCAGACGCACAGUUUUUCCUCCCGAGUGCCCAGUUCCCUCGCCAGCGACCUCGCCAGUGACCUCGUCGUGCUCACGACCAUCGACGCCCCUGCGCAGCGCCUCUUCGCGCCGAGCAGCACCGUGGUCGGGCUCCACUCGCCGCGCAACCGCCAUCGUCGACCUCCGUUCGCCGGCCUCGCUACACCCUGCCCUUAUCGCCGUCGCCGAGGUGAACUCGUCCUCCCUUUCCUCUCUCUACCGCUCGCUUCCUCGCCGCUCACUCGCCAUGGCCGGGGUUCUGCGGAGCCGACCCGGACGCCCAUGUCCCUCUCCAUCCCGUCGGUCCGCAAUCGCCUCGCCGGUCAGCCUCUGCGCGAUCUCCGGCCAGUGCGCAGCCCAGCUCCCUCGCGCGCGGCUGGACUCCCUGCCGUCGCGGCCCGCAACGCGCAGCAAGCCCGACGUCCCGACGUGCAGACCCCACGCGCCUUCGCCUCGUCCCUGCGCGCAGCGGCCGAGUAGCUGCGCACUCGGCGCGCUCAAACCCGUCCCCGUGCCGCGCAGCCCAAGCUCAGCGCGCGCUCGCAGCACGCCUAGUCGCGUUGACGUUUAGCGCCGUAGCAGCCGUUCACCGUCAAACCUCGCCUCUGCGUGUCGCAGCUGCGUUGCUGCGCGCUCGCCGCUGCCCAGCUCGCCCCGGCCGUUCGUCUACCAUCGCCGUGCCUCGCUACAGUUACCUAGCGCAUCGCGUACUCGUCAAGUCUCACGCGCGCAAUUUCGCACGUGAUCACGGGUAUCGCGCGCACCGUCGUCGUUGUUUGUAGAGUCCUCGCGCUGUUUCGCGCGUGUCGCGCGCGCAUUCUGCGCGCAAUAAUUAAUUACUUCGUUAUAAAUCGUCGCGUGUUGUUCGCAUGCGUUGUGCGUGCUGUUCACACGUGUCGUCGUGUGUUUUACGCACGCUAAUAAUUCAUCUCACCUAGAAUAGCUCGCGCUAAGUAAAUAUAUAUUUAAGCAACGGUUAUUCGAACAACACACUAAUCGGGACUAAGUAGUAAUUUUACUCGGCAUGUGAUUGUUGUCUGUUAAUACGAUUAAGCCGAAUUAAAUAUUAUAAUUCAUAUUCGCUUAGUAUACAUGUGAUAUCCCUCGACCGUAGUAUCAGUCGUCUCGGUUCCGUUCUCGCGUAGUCAUAAAUGCGAAUUCUAUGUCGCGUGCAUAUUUAUUUGAUCUAUACUGUUGUAUGGUGUACUGUUUUCUAUCAUUUCAAGAAUGUUGGAUGUAUGUUUGCACUCGCGUAGAUAUCAGGCCGUUCGUGGAGUCUGAGGGAAUUGCAGGAGAAGACCCUGAGCAGCAGCAGCUUGGUGAAGGCAAGUGUCCUCUGACCCAUUAUGUCCUAUUCACUUAUAAUUCACUUUCCCGCAGUAUUUAAUUGAAAUCUAAGGAUUGACUAGCUUUAUACUUUACCUUAUCCUUGAUGACCUUUUGGGUGAUUAUGGUUAGCAUUUUGCUAUUGCCUUAACUUAAUCAAUGAACAUGAUGUGACUAUUUAUGAUACGAUACUGUUAUCCUGAUUAUAUUGUUGAUCUUGUGAUACUCUAGGGGGCUCAGGCUGUUUCCUGAGUACCUCUUCGUAAGGACCUGUUCGUUGAGAGACCACCCGGGAUAACAGUGCAACCAUGAGGGUGGAAUGGGGUGCCCUUAGCUAAUUAAUUAGAGGAACUAGAAGUGUAGUUGCUUCGCCGUCGUGCCGUCAAUGGGGUCCAGGCACAGUGCUUGCUCUGCCGAGGCUGAGUGCCGAGGUUCUUUCGUUUUGUUUUUGUUAGUCACCCUCCUGCGGGGAGAGGUACUGUGUUUAUCAAACUGGAGAAACCUAACGGGCAGCUAUGACCUCUAGGGAAUCUUUGUAAAGGCUUCGUAGUGAAUCCCUGGCCAUUCACCUUGGGAGUGAAUAAGGGUCUUGCAAGCCUGGGCUAGAGAGGGAAUCACGGCUCAUGGGUAAAGUGUGCGACCUCUGCAGAGGGUAGUGAAACUGAUAUAUCAGUCGUGCUCACGGUUAAGAGCAGUCUUGGGAUCCUCUUUGAUUAGAGAUACAAAUGGUUUGAGAUACAAUGGUUCUAUUUAUGAUUUUGGUUCGAUGAUGAUAAUGAUGUUCCUCGAUGAGGAAAUGAUUCACGGGUUAGUUAUUGCUAAAACCUGGCUUCACUAAUAAUAAAUACCUGACCAACUAAAAGCAACUGCUUGAGUCUAACCCCACAUAAAGCUAGUCCACUUCAGCCAAACGGGGCAUUUGCUGAGUACGUUGAUGUGUACUCAUCCUUGCUUUACCACAAAACACCAGGUUGUCCACAUUGCAACCACUGCUCAGGAGAAGACGAAGUCGUGGAAGGCGACUUCCAGGAGUUCCAAGACUACGACGAGUUUUAGGUGUGGGUUGGCGGCAACCCCCAGUCAGCUGCUUGUGAAGGCCUUAUCUUUACUGCGUUUCGCUAGCACUUUGAUUUAACUGUUAAGUUGAUGACUAUGUGGAUGUCUAUGACUCUGUGAUGUAAUAAGUUAAUACUCUUUUAUGUUAUUAUUCGAGCACUGUGCGAUGAUGUUCAUUUAUGUAAUCGCUGUGUACGUGAAUUCUGAUCCUGGCACGUACAUAGUUCGCAUUCGGUUUGCCUUCUGAAACCGGGUGUGACAUAAGUGGUAUCAAAGCCGUGCUGACUGUAGGACCGCUGACCUAGAGUAGCACUGGUCGUACUAAGGACUAUUGACCUUCACCCUCACCUUGACCUCUAGGUCACUUCAAAAGUCGGUCACCUCGACCAACCCUAUGUUUUACUACAUAUAUAUGUAUAUUAUAUUAUACCUUGUUAAAAUUUUAUUUUGUUCUGUCUAUGGUUUACUCACUUGUCAUAUUAGUUCUGUUCUUACUCUCAUGCUUACGGUGUCUUUUGUAGAUGGCUCGACUUAGACACACUGCUCGUAAGUCGGUGAUUCCUUUCCUGCCGUCUCGCCUUGCGGAGCGUCCUCUGCGCCGCACCGUGUCCGGUCAGUCGAGUCACCUGGAGAGGCUGCACCACCGCCUGCGUGAGGAGCAGGAGCGCCAGCGUCAGCACAGAGAGCAGCAGGGCUCUUCCUCCCCACCUGAGCAGGAGGUGGAGUCCGUGAGGCACCGCUCCCCUGUUCCCCAGCUGGAGGCGCCCCCUGCACCACCGCGGGACGCCCCGGCUGUUGGAGGAGCUACUGGAGAAGGUCCUGGAGGAGACCCCGACGACGACGACUCAGACCACAGCACUGAGUCCUCUGAGCCGCAGGAGGCAGAAGGAUGGGUCGCCCGACCCAUCACCCGUGAUGCCGCUCGCGGUUGUCACUUCCACGACGCACUCGACACCUUGCUGCGCCAGGCUUUCGACUGGCACACCUGGUCGAUCGAGUACCGUUGUGUAGUCUACCAGCACAGUCGCGGGAGGUACCCGGACCGCUGGGAGGCUACCUGCCUAGUUCGCCGUUUGUAGGAUGACCUCCAGGGUGCGAAGGCCGUUUCGGAGCACUAUUCCAUCUCCGAGAGGGACACUGCAGAGGCGGCUAUGCAGGAUGCAGCACAGCGUGCACUCUCCCAGUACUGUUCCUUGUUCGGUGGGGUGGCCGACGGUCUUAACCUUAGGUACUACCCCCGCCGUCCUACUGGCAGCACCGAGAGUGUGGUUGUCUCACCUGUUGGUGAGGAUAACCCUAGGUUGAGCAGCACAGUCAACCUAGUCGCGGUGCUUAACACUGAGCUGGAUCACUCUUUGGAUGAGCUGAGCAGGGCUCGAACGGAGAUUGCUGAGUUGCGUGCUGAGCUAGCAGAGCGUCGCCACCAGGAGGGUGGUUCCCCCGCUCCUGUUGGGACUCAGCACCCUUACCGCUCGCCGCCACGUGGUCACCACACUUAUGGUUCCCCUGCCUGUAAGACCAGGAUAGAUCUAGAUCCUUAGAUCGUUAGCGUCGGAGUUUGUAAUAAUCCUUAAGUCAGAUGUCUCAGUCUUAGAUAGUCAGUUUAGUUUGCUUACCAGUUGCUUCCAUUUAGUUUAGUUUGCUUAUCAGUUGCUUACAUGCUUGUUAUGAUGAACUUAUGCUGGAUUUGAAUCUUUGUAAUGUUUGUAGCCAACAUGUGGGUUUCCCCUGCAGUUUGGCUUAGCUAGUAAUGUUAAUGAAGUCAGUUGUUUAGUUGGGAAACUAUUUACUUCUACUUUCCUUUUUAUCUGAGAAGCUGUGUUGAAUCAUAAUGAGGAUCAGUGAAGCUCUUUGUUCACUCAGUGUCAUGAAGAAUUAUGUAUACUCUUUUCUUAUGCUGAAGGAUUGUAAGAUCAAUGCUGAUGUGUGAAUGUCUUCCACAGAUGUCUGACAACAGGCGCCGAUGUAACAGGCGCGCUCAGCAAGAGCAGCGUGCCCAGCAGGAGGAACAUCAGAGGCAGCCUCCCCCGCCACCCCCGAUGACAGUGGAGCAGAUGUUCUUGAUGCAGACUCAGGCAGUGCAGGCUAUUGGGCAGACUCUGGCAGCCAUGCAGCAGGCUCAACAGCAACCCCAACCCCAGUUGCAAGUGCAGAUGCCCCAGAUGCCACGGGAUAAGCGUGGCGAGUUCAUGAGAGGGCACCCUCCUACCUUCGCCCAUUCUACUGACCCCAUGGAUGUAGAAGACUGGCUGCGUGCAAUGGAAAGGGAACUGCGCACCGCCCAAUGUGACGACAGGGAGAAGGUUCUGUAUGGUCCCCGCCAGCUAAGGGGAGCAGCCCAGUCUUGGUGGGAGUCCUACCUCGCUACCCAUGCUGACCCCGAAGCCAUCACCUGGAAAGAAUUCAGCGAGAGUUUCCGCAGGUACCAUGUUCCAGAGGGACUGAUGAUCGUGAAGAAAGAGGAGUUCUUGGCUCUGAGGCAGGGACCCCUGUCUGUUAGUGAAUACAGGGACAAGUUUCUGCAGCUAUCUCGUUAUGCACCUGAAGACGUCAACACUGAUGCUAAAAGACAGUACAGGUUCAUGAGGGGUUUGGUGGAUCCCCUGCAUUACCAGCUGAUGAAUCACACCUUCCCCACCUUCCAGCAUCUGAUCGAUAGGGCAAUCAUGACCGAGAGGAAGCGCAAGGAUAUGGAAGAUCGGAAGCGCAAGAUGAAUGGACCACAGUCCGGGAGCAUCAGCCGCCCCCGCUUCUCAGGAAGUUCAUCUCAGCAAGGCAAGCAUGGUCACCCACAGGGAUAUCAGCAUCAGAGUCAGCGGCCGUAUCAGCAGCAGUUUCAGAGGCAGUACCCACAGCAACAGCAGUAUCGUCAGAACAGCCAGCAGGGAGGUAACCAGUAUCAGAGGCAGAAAAAUCAGGCACCUCGCCUUCCUGCCCCAGCAGCAAAUCAGAACAACCAAGCAGCCCCAGCACAAGGAGGAGGCAGAGGAUGUUUCCACUGUGGAGAACAAGGCCACUAGGCGAUGCAGUGCCCAAAGAAGAUGGCGCAGCAGCAGGCCAACCCCAAUGCUCCAACAAGGCAAGGUGUACCUCAACAGGCACCAGGUAAUCGUGGCCAAGCGUACAACCGUGGGAAGGUGAACCACUUGGAGGCCGAAGCGAUCCAGGAUGCACCAGAUGUGGCAGUAGGUAUGUUCUCAGUCGAAUCUCAUCCCGCAAAAGUGCUAUUUGAUACUGGUGCAACUCAUUCAUUUGUCACUGCAACAUGGGUAGAAAUGCAUAACAUCUCAGUAGAGGCAAUGAUGCCGCCCAUGAGGAUUAAUUCGGUUGGUGGUAAAGUGCAAGCAGAUAGAAUAUGCUCAAAUAUAAGGGUGGAAAUAAGGGGGAUAGGGUUCCCCAGUGAUCUAAUAGUAAUAGACACCCCUGGGGUAGAUGUCAUCCUAGGGAUGAAUUGGUUAAUGAAGUAUGAAGCGAAUGUUAGCUGUGACAAGAGGACCGUAACAUUGAAGUCCCCAUCUGGAGAGGAGGUAGUGGCUGAGCUAAGGAUGCCUAAAUCAGCGGAGGGAGAUUGUCACCAGAUUUCAGUUGAUAGUAAGGAGGCCAACCCGCUUGAGGCUAUCAAGGUUGUGUCGGACUUUCCGGAGGUGUUUCCCGAGGAACUAACGGGCAUGCCACCCGAGAGAAAAGUCGAAUUUGCCAUAGAGCUUAUCCCUGGUACCGCCCCCAUUUCUAAAAGAGCCUAUCGAGUGUCUGGACCAGAAUUGGUGGAACUCAAGAAGCAAGUUGAUGAGCUGUUAGAAAAGGGUUACAUCAGACCAAGUACCUCGCCUUGGGCCGCUCCAGUAUUGUUUGUAGAGAAGAAAGAUGGUACCAAAAGGAUGUGCAUAGAUUACAGAGCCCUGAAUGAAGUCACUAUUAAGAACAAGUACCCCCUGCCAAGAAUAGAAGAUCUGUUUGACCAACUCAGAGGUGCCAGCGUAUUCUUGAAGAUAGAUCUGAGAUCAGGUUACCAUCAACUCAGAAUCCGACCCUCGGACAUACCGAAGACAACAUUCAUCACCAAGUAUGGGUUAUAUGAGUAUACAGUUAUGUCCUUUGGUUUGACAAAUGCACCAGCCUUCUUUAUGUAUCUGAUGAACAGUGUGUUCAUGGACUACCUAGACAAGUUUGUGGUAGUGUUCAUCGACGAUAUUCUCAUAUAUUCCAAAAGUGAGGAAGAACAUGUGGAGCAUUUGAAGAUGGUAUUGCAAAGGCUACGAGAGCAUCAGUUGUAUGCCAAGCUGAGUAAAUGCGAGUUCUGGAUUCAUGAAGUCUUGUUUCUGGGUCACAUCAUAAACCAAGAUGGGUUAGCGGUGGAUCCAAAGAAAGUAGCAGAUAUCCUGAACUGGAAAGCACCGAAGGAUGUUCGUGGGAUCAAGAGCUUCAUUGGAAUGGCCGGAUACUAUAGGCGUUUCAUUGAAGGCUUUUCAAAGAUUGCUAGACCAAUGACAACGUUACUAGCGAAGAAAGUUGAGUUUAAGUGGACCCAAAAGUGUCAAGAAGCAUUUGAAGAACUAAAGAAUAGAUUGACUACAGCACCUGUGUUAGUUCUGCCUGAUGUUCAUAAGCCAUUCUCGGUGUACUGCGAUGCUUCUUACACCGGAUUGGGAUGUGUGCUAAUGCAAGAAGGAAGAGUUGUGGCAUACUCAUCUCGACAACUGAAGAUCCAUGAAAAAAAUUAUCCCACACACGACCUGGAGUUGGCAGCAGUGGUUCAUGCUUUAAAGACAUGGAGACAUUACCUGUAUGGGCAGAAGUGCGACAUCUACACAGAUCAUAAAAGUUUGAAGUACAUAUUCACCCAGUCAGAGUUAAACAUGAGGCAGCGAAGAUGGUUGGAAUUGAUCAAAGACUACGAGUUGGAGAUACAUUACCAUCCAGGCAAGGCCAAUGUUGUUGCAGAUGCUCUGAGCAGGAAGAGUCAAGUCAAUAUGAUGGCUACGUACCUAAUGUCAUAUGAGUUAGCCAAAGAGUUCGACAGACUGAGUCUCGGUUUCCUGAACAGUACACAAGGAGUAACAGUGGAAUUAGAGCCCACCCUAGAGUGGGAGAUCAAAGAAGGGCAGAAAGAUGAUGAAAACAUCAACAAUAUCCGGCAGCUGAUCUUAGAAGGAAGAGGCAAAGACUUUCGAGAGGAUGAAGAGGGAGUAAUAUGGUUCAAGGACCGAUUGUGUGUUCCCGACAUCAAACCUAUUCGGGAGCUGAUCCUAAAGGAAGCUCAUGAGACAGCCUACUCCAUACACCCUGGAAGUGAAAAGAUGUAUCAGGAUUUAAAAAGGAGAUUUUGGUGGUAUGGCAUGAAAAGAGAAAUCGCAGAAUAUGUCGCCAUCUGUGAUAGCUGUCAAAGAACCAAAGCAGAGCAUCAAAGGCCCGCCGGACUGUUGUAGCCAUUACAGAUUCCUCAGUGGAAGUGGGAUGAGAUCGGGAUGGAUUUUAUAGUUGGCCUACCUCGUACCCGGGCCGGCUAUGAUUCCAUUUGGGUGGUUGUGGACCGCUUAACAAAGGUAGCCCAUUUUAUACCUAUGAAGACAACGUACACCGGAGCAGCGUUAGCUGAGUUAUACAUGUCUCGGAUAGUCUGCCUUCAUGGUGUGCCGAAGAAGAUAGUGUUAGAUCGAGGAACACAAUUUACCUCUCAUUUCUGGCAGCAGCUACAAGAAGCUUUGGGCACGCAUUUGAACUUCAGCUCGACUUAUCACCCGCAGACAGACGGUCAGACUGAAAGAACCAAUCAGAUCCUAGAAGAUAUGCUGAGAGCCUGUGCGUUGCAAGACAAGUCAGGAUGGGACAAAAGGUUACCUUACGCAGAAUUUUCCUACAACAAUAGUUACCAGGCCAGCCAGAAGAUGUCACCGUUUCAGGCGCUCUAUGGACGGAGUUGUAGGACUCCGCUGCAUUGAGACCAGCCUGGAGAGAGACAAGUGUUUGGCCCCGACAUUUUGCUUGAAGCCGAAGAGAAUAUCAAAAUGGUUCGGGAGAAUCUGAAGAUAGCACAAUCAAGGCAGCGAAGCUAUGCGGACAGAAGGAGAAGAGAACUGAGUUUUGAAGUGGGAGACUACGUCUAUCUGAAGGUGUCACCUAUCAGAGGAGUCAGAAGGUUCGGAGUCAAAGGCAAGCUAGCACCCCGGUACGUUGGACCAUAUCAGAUUCAAGCAAAGCGUGGAGAAGUGGCCUACCAGCUCAACCUACCAGAAAGUUUGUUGGCGGUGCACAAUGUGUUCCACGUGUCGCAAUUGAAGAAGUGUCUGCGAGUACCAGAAGAACAGUUGCCAGUGGAGGACUUGGAAGUCCAAGAGGAUCUGACCUACAUAGAGAAGCCAACGCAGAUUCUGGAGUUUGCAGACAGAGUCACCCGGAGGAACACCAUCAGAAUGUGCAAAGUCAGAUGGGGCCACCACUCUGAGGAAGAAGCAACCUGGGAACGAGAAGAUGAUCUGAAAGCCAAAUACCUCGAACUCUUUGCUGACAAACCUUGAAUCUCGGGGCGAGAUUCUUUUAAGGGGGAUAGGUUUGUAACACCCUGAAUUUGGGGUAUAAAAUUUCUUUGCUCAUAUCCACAAAUUCAGGUGUUAUUCCUCUCAUCUCAUCUCCCCCCAAUCUCUGUUUUUCUCUUUUCUAUAGAAGAAGAGUGGUUAUUUUAUUUAUAAAUGCAAUUAUAAUCUAGUGGGUUAAAAACCCUAAGGGAACAAUGGUUGUUGCAUCAUGUUAGAAAGAUUUGUUUUUUUUGUUUGAUGAAUGGUUUGCUUAAUCUUUCAUUUAAUCAUUUGUUUGCGCAUAAUGUCAAACUGAAAUAAAUAGAAAAGAGAAAGAAAAGGAAAAGAAAAGGAAAAAACAGAAUUCAGCCCAACUCCCUCCCUGGCCCAGCUCGGCCGGCCCAGCCGCCCCUUCCCUCUCUCCCCUUUCCCCCCGCUCGGCCCACCGCGCCUGCACUCCCUCGCGGGCCCGCGCGCCGCGGCCCAUCCCAGCUUUCCCCCGCGGCGGCCUAGCGCGCCAGCCCCUCUUCCCCCCGCGCGCGCAAGCAGCCAGCGCGCCAGCCCAGCUCCGCGCUCGGCCCACCCAGCGAGCCAGCCCCAGCCCACGCGCGCAAGCAGCCAGCAAGGCAGCCCAGCCGCGACCACAGCCCAGGCCGCACGCCCAGCCGCGCGUAGCGCGCCCCUGCGCGCAACCGCUCGCCCGCGUGGAGGCCGCCGCCGCCGCCUGCAUGCGCGCCCACGUCCGCGCACCGCGCGCAGCGGUUCCGCGCCUGCCGCUGCCACUACCCAAUGGGGCCCACGCGCCAGGACGCAGGAUGCCGCUGUUCGUCUUCUCAGAACCGCCCGUCGCGCAGUUUGUUUCGCCAGACGCACAGUUUUUCCUCCCGAGUGCCCAGUUCCCUCGCCAGCGACCUCGCCAGUGACCUCGUCGUGCUCACGGCCAUCGACGCCCCUGCGCAGCGCCUCUUCGCGCCGAGCAGCACCGUGGUCGGGCUCCACUCGCCGCGCAACCGCCAUCGUCGACCUCCGUUCGCUGGCCUCGCUACACCCUGCCCUUAUCGCCGUCGCCGAGGUGAGCUCGUCCUCCCUUUCCUCUCUCUACCGCUCGCUUCCUCGCCGCUCACUCGCCAUGGUCGGGGUUCUGCUGAGCCGACCCGGACGCCCAUGUCCCUCUCCAUCCCGUCGGUCCGCAAUCGCCUCGCUGGUCAGCCUCUGCGCGAUCUCCGGCCAGUGCCCAGCCCAGCUCCCUCGCGCGCGGCUGGACUCCCUACCGUCGCGGCCCGCAGCGCGCAGCAAGCCCGGCGUCCCGACGUGCAGACCCCGCGCGCCUUCGCCUCGUCCCUGCACGCAGCGACCGAGUAGCUACGCACUCGGCGCGCUCAAACCCGUCCCCAUGCCGCGCAGCCCAAGCUCAGCGCGCGCUCGCAGCACGCCCAGUCGCGUUGACGUUUAGCGCCGUAGCAGCCGUUCGCCGUCAAACCUCGCCUCUGCGCGUCGCAGCUGCGUUGCUGCGCGCUCGCUGCUGCCCAGCUCGCCCCGGUCGUUCGUCUACCAUCGCCGUGCCUCGCUACAGUUACCUAGCGCAUCGCGUACUCGUCAAGUCUCACGCGCGCAAUUUCGCACGUGAUCACGGGUAUCGCGCGCACCGUCGUCGUUGUUUGUAGAGUCCUCGCGCUGUUUCACGCGUGUCGCGCGCGCAUUCUGCGCGCAAUAAUUAAUUACUUCGUUAUAAAUCGUCGCGUGUUGUUCGCGCGCGUUGUGCGUGCUGUUCACACGUGUCGUCGUGCGUUUUACGCACGCUAAUAAUUCAUCUCACCUAGAAUAGCUCGCGCUAAGUAAAUAUAUAUUUAAGCAACGGUUAUUCGAACAACACACUAAUCGGGACUAAGUAGUAAUUUUACUCGGCAUGUGAUUGUUGUCCGUUAAUACGAUUAAGCCGAAUUAAAUAUUAUAAUUCAUAUUCGCUUAGUAUACAUGUGAUAUCCCUCGACCGUAGUAUCAGUCGUCUCGGUUCCGUUCUCGCGUAGUCAUAAAUGCGAAUUCUAUGUCGCGUGCAUAUUUAUUUGAUCUAUACUGUUGUAUGGUGUACUGUUUUCUAUCAUUUCAAGAAUGUUGGAUGUAUGUUUACACUCGCGUAGAUAUCGGGCCGUUCGUGGAGUCUGAGGGAAUUGCAGGAGAAGACCCUGAGCAGCAGCAGCUUGGUGAAGGCAAGUGUCCUCUGACCCAUUAUGUUCUAUUCACUUAUAAUUCACUUUCCCGCAGUAUUUAAUUGAAAUCUAAGGAUUGACUAGCUUUAUACUUUACCUUAUCCUUGAUGACCUUUUGGGUGAUUAUGGUUAGCAUUUUGCUAUUGCCUUAACUUAAUCAAUGAACAUGAUGUGACUAUUUAUGAUACGAUACUGUUAUCCUGAUUAUAUUGUUGAUCUUGUGAUACUCUAGGGGGCUCAGGCUGUUUCCUGAGUACCUCUUCGUAAGGACCUGUUCGUUGAGAGACCACCCGGGAUAACAGUGCAACCAUGAGGGUGGAAUGGGGUGCCCUUAGCUAAUUAAUUAGAGGAACUAGAAGUGUAGUUGCUUCGCCGUCGUGCCGUCAAUGGGGUCCAGGCACAGUGCUUGCUCUGCCGAGGCUGAGUGCCGAGGUUCUUUCGUUUUGUUUUUGUUAGUCACCCUCCUGCGGGGAGAGGUACUGUGUUUAUCAAACUGGAGAAACCUAACGGGCAGCUAUGACCUCUAGGGAAUCUUUGUAAAGGCUUCGUAGUGAAUCCCUGGCCAUUCACCUUGGGAGUGAAUAAGGGUCUUGCAAGCCCGGGCUAGAGAGGGAAUCACGACUCAUGGGUAAAGUGUGCGACCUCUGCAGAGGGUAGUGAAACUGAUAUAUCAGCCGUGCUCACGGUUAAGAGCAGCCUUGGGAUCCUCUUUGAUUAGAGAUACAAAUGGUUCGAGAUACAAUGGUUCUAUUUAUGAUUUUGGUUCGAUGAUGAUAAUGAUGUUCCUCGAUGAGGAAAUGAUUCACGGGUUAGUUAUUGCUAAAACCUGGCUUCACUAAUAAUAAAUACCUGACCAACUAAAAGCAACUACUUGAGCCUAACCCCACAUAAAGCUAGUCCACUUCAGCCAAACGGGGCAUUUGCUGAGUACGUUGAUGUGUACUCAUCCUUGCUUUACCACAAAACACCAGGUUGUCCACAUUGCAACCACUGCUCAGGAGAAGACGAAGUCGUGGAAGGAGACUUCCAGGAGUUCCAAGACUACGACGAGUUUUAGGUGUGGGUUGGCGGCAACCCCCAGUCAGCUGCCUGUGAAGGCCUUAUCUUUACUGCGUUUCGCUAGCACUUUGAUUUAACUGUUAAGUUGAUGACUAUGUGGAUGUCUAUGACUCUGUGAUGUAAUAAGUUAAUACUCUUUUAUGUUAUUAUUCGAGCACUGUGCGAUGAUGUUCAUUUAUGUAAUCGCUGUGUACGUGAAUUCUGAUCCUGGCACGUACAUAGUUCGCAUUCGGUUUGCCUUCUGAAACCGGGUGUGACAAAACCUAUAACAUAGGCUAGGUCGAGGUUUCACGGACGAGUUGGUCUAGGACACAAAUUUAGGGUUUGAACACAUUUUGUCGGCGUUUCGAACCCGGGGGGGUCCCUGGACCGACUAGUAAAUUUGUCGCUGCGUGCCCCUGCCCAGAUGGGUUGGUGCGAGAUGGAACACAAGGGGGAAUGAGACUUGUAUUAUCCUGCACCAGGGUGCUUGUAGUAGGGGAUACAAGCACGUCGCGGGAGAGAGAGAGGGAGCCUGUUCGUUAGCUCGUCCCUCCACGCGAACCCUCCUCCAGGAAGGCCUUGGACCUCCCUUUUAUAGAUGCAAGGAGAGGGUCCAGAUGUACAAUGGGGGGUGUAGCUAGGUGCUAACAUGUCCGACAGAGAGGUGCCUGAGCCCUGUGUACAUGCCAACGUGGCUGUCGGGGGAGAGCCUGAGCCUUGUAUGCGUGAUAACGUGGCCGUCGGGGGAGAGCCUGAGCCCUGUAUGCAUGAUAACGUGGCCGUCGGAGAAAUGCCUGAGCCCUGUAUGAAGCACAACUAGCGGUGCAGCUGGGACCCUGUUGACGUCUCCUUGAUGUCGUAAGGGGCUGAGAACCACCGACGUCAUGGCCGCACGCGGGGCAUCAUCAUUACCCGUUGCCGGGGUAAGCUAGAUAGGACGCCGGUCUUGUCCCUUGUAUCCCGAGCUAGCUAGGAGCAGGGUAAUGAUGUUUCCCCUGUGGCGCGGUCGGUCCGAGCCCAAGGUCGGGCGAGGCGGAGACUUCUCCUGAGGCCGAGGCCGGGGUCGGGGUCGGGCGAGGACGCGAUUCCUCCCGAGGUCGAGGCAGAGUCCAAGUCUUGGGGCGCGUGUGUCAGGAUAUGACGUCGUGGUUGGCACAACAGUCGGAGCGGUUGGCACAGCAGUCGGAGCGGGGCGAACGACGCUGUUUUCUGUCAAGUCAAUCAGUAAAGGGGGCGAAGUGACUGCGGUCACUUCGGCCCUACCGACUGAGGCGCGUGUGUCAGGAUACGGCGUCAGGCGAUCCUCGCAUUGAAUGCACCUGCGACGCUGUCGGUUGGUGAGGCGGUUUGGCCAAGGUUGCUUCACAGCGAAGCCUGCCCGAGCCGGGCUUCGGGAGAGCCGAGGGUGUGCUCACUGCCUGAGGAGGCCCUCGGGUGAGGCGUGAAGUCGUCCGGGACUACUGUUCCCGCCCGAGGCUGGGCUCGGGCGAGAUCGCGCCCUUUGGGUAGACGAAGCCUUGACUUGAACUGUGCCCAUCAGUCCUUAUGGUUUGUCCUGAUGGUGUCUACCAGCCGUUUUUAGGAGUGUUGGGGGUACCCCUAAUUACGAUACCUGACAGUAGCCCCCGAGCCUCAAAGGGAGUGUUGGUACUCGCUUGGAGGCUCUGCCGCAUUUUUGGUGAGGGGUCCGGCCUUUCUCGAUUAUACUUUGUUCCGGCGGGUGCGCGCGAGCGCACCCGCCGGGUGUAGCCCCCGAGGCCUCGGAGGAGUGGUUUGACUCCUCUGAGGUCUUAAAUGCUUUUCGUGAUGCCUCGGCCGGCCUGGUCGUUCCCUCAUGCGGCCUGGCCGUAGCCCGGGUGCAUGGUCAGGUUCCAAGUUUUCAAGGUGGUUUGUUGACGCUGUCAACAGUUUGGCCGCAGCCGGGUGCGAGAGCAGCCCCCGAGCCUCUGCACGGAGCGAGAGGAUGAUCAAGGACUGUCUCGACUUUUGUUAUACGCCCCUUUGUCGCCUUUCCACAAGGAGGAAGGGGGGAAGCGCCAUGUUGCCCUCGAAGGGCGCCGAACAUGGUGUUUCCGGUGAGUUGCUAACGGGUGAUCCGAGUGGACGCCCGUGCCCCGUUCGUUAGGGGUCGGCUAGUGGCCCAGAGGCGUGCUCCAAAAGUACCUGCAGGUGAUUCGCUGGACCCGGCCCCUUUUUUACAGGGUCCGAGGGCUCGAUGCCUCCCUCCGGUGGGAUUCCAUUACAAAUCGUUCCCGCUGGUCUCGGAAAUGUCCUAGGGUACCUUGGGAGCGUAGCCCGAGCCUCGGCCAUGUAACAGACGUACCCAGAGUCAUCCCUCACUCUGCAUGCUCUGGGGCGGCUGUCGAACCCUUCCGAGGGGCCAACCUUCGAACCCCUUAUCAGUAAUGGGUAUGGAGCCCGAGUGCUCUAAGGCGUCUGUCGAACCCUUCCGAGGGGCUAGCCUUCGAACCCCUGAUUAGUAAUGGGCGCAAAGCCCGAGUGCUCUGGGGCGGCUGUCGAAACCCUUUCGAGGGGCCAGCCUUCGAACCCCUGAUCAGUAGGGGGCUCGGGGCCCGCUUCCAUCGCCGAGAAGGAUCCUUUCCGAGACAUCCCCUUUCCCGGUCCCUGUGGCAAGAGAGAGAAAGAGGAAGCAGAAAAGGAUACACAUUUAAAUAAGGCGGCACACCUUUUUUGACGCGGUCAUCAUGGCGGAGGUGAAACGACGCCCACCUCUCUUGCCAGAGAUGUCGCUUGCCCUGCCGGGGAGUUAAUGCGAUGGGACGAGCGAUUCGCGGGGCGACCGUUGCGCGUGCGCGAGCCGUUCGAGGAACGGAACAGAGGCGCGUUGUCUUCACACCGUGGGAGAGGGCUUUCCUGCCGCUUCAGGAGGGGACGCGAGCCUGUAGGUGAUUUGACCGCUGCCUCCACUCAUCUACCGCUGCAAUUACUGUCGGCCCACUUUUGGCCAUGCCAACCGUCGUGCCUAUCCACGCGGCUGACUGACCUGUGAUUGUUGCACUUAAUGGGCACUGCUGGGUCACGCGCAGGGCUGCCUCGAGUCGCGGCGCCGGUUCCGCAGUCGAGAAGGCGCGGCGUUGGCGCAAGUGGCGGUGCGGUUUCUUGCACGUCGUAACCGGCGUGCCGGUUACAUGACGCGUGGGUCCGGGCCUCCAUGCUGGAUCGCCAGAUGUGAUGAAGCCGAAAGGGCACACAAUCGUGGUGCGGUUGGAUGCCUGUCGUGUAGCGGUCCACCCUUUUGACCGCUGGUUUCGGCGAGGAUGGGGGAGUGCUUGUAACCGCGGGAUGGUUACAUGCUUCGCGUGCGGCAGUUCGCCUCCUUCACGCUUCGGAUCAGCUCGCAUGACGUGUGGGACCCAGCCCCCAUGUCGUAGGGGGAGGAACCCUGGAGCACGUCGGUGGAGACUUCGCCCGUGACGCUUGGGGAUGCGAGUGAGGAGAGCCGCCUUUAAAAGGGGGGCGAUCCCCUGGGCAGUAGCCAUGCCUUCACACUCCGCUCAUGCAUUGCGCCCUUCCACCUUUCGAGCCCCCAUAUGGGGCGCACCGGCGUUGCCUUCCCCUUGCUUGUUGUUGGAGGAGCGCGACCUCGUGGGGGUUGGCGUCCUUCAGCCAUCGCUUGGCUUCAAGGAUUUUCAUCAUGCAGCCCGGCUGCAGUCCCUCACCAAUGGUCAUCCAGGACGAUGACCACCAGCUUCGUGGUGGGGAGAAGCAAGCCGGGCUGCGGCCUCUGCCCCGCCCUCAGCUUCAAGGAUGUUCAUCAUCCGUGCUGGGGAGGGGGGUGCGGCAAUUCAGGGCCUGCCUCCGCGUGGGCCGGCGACCCGCUUCUUCCUCCAGCAUUCGAGGGAGAAUGGCAUCCUCCAGCCCUACGGAGGUGACGUCCUCCAGCCAUGCGGGGGAAGGCGAACUGCUGCUGCCUGGCCAGGGUGUAGCUGUCCGUCCUCCACCCAGGCGACGGUCGCGCCGUGCGCAGGUGGCUGCCGUCACCGUCCCUGCGGAGGGGGCGGACUUCGACAACGCGGGUCCGGUCGGCGGCAAGCGUCGUCAGCUCCAGCGUGCCUGUCAUGCUGGCUCAGCUGGCUCUGGCACCGCCUCCGACGCUGCCUCCUGCCGCUCGGUCUGCGCGGAAGUCGGCGCUGGCCCGUCUGCAAGGACUUGAGUGGGGAUCUGCCGACGCAGGCUGGGGCGACCGCCAUUCGUCGGCGUGGCGCUGGCGUGCAGGUGGCCGCUGUCAUCGAUGCUGAAGUGGUGGCAGAAGUAGGAGGUUGUCUCCACUGACGAGACCGUCGGUGCCACCGGCGGUCGGACCUCUGGCUCUUUGGCUUCGACGGCUUGUCCUCGCCCCUCGUGUGGGGACGAGGGCGAGGACUUUCUCAUAGCAGCGGUUGCCCUGAGGUCAUCGCUGCUGCUGUUUAGCCGCCUGAGGCGGAGGUCGUUGUCGCUGCUGCUGGAGCGGUCGCCGGUGAUCCACCUGGAGUUUGUUAUCCCGCAGGCCCCCCAGUGUGGAGGUUGUUCAUACCUGCGGGAAUGGAACCGGAGUCCCGUUUGUAGGGGAUAUACUAGGUUUUUGCCUAAGCAAAAUGUAACUGCUUCAAAUACUUAGACGUUUGUCGUGGGUCGGCAGAACCGCCGAGGGUCCUGCCGACGUCUAAGUCUAUGUAGCAUAGUCACCCCAAGUAUAUGUGUUUGUUCUUUGUGGCUGUCGAGGCCUGAACAUUUGGGUAUUCGAGUAUAAAGCUGCGUCUCUUCCUCAUUUCAAGCACUAGGACUUGCCUGUCGGUGGCCGAACCACUUAACCGAGCGUGAGUUGCCUUGCGCGGAAGGUGACGAGUGAGGUAUCCAUAUCCCAGAGGCGUAGGAGUCCCUCGGCUCGGUCGGCCUUGCCGCUUAAAGCUUCUCUUGCUUGGUUUUAAAACCUUUGACCGCUCUGCGAUGAGCUGGAGCCGGAGGCAACGGUGUUGGUGUGGACAGAGGCGGUGUCGGCUCGAAAAGAGGCUUCGUCGACCCGGGAGCACGUGGCCUCCCAGGCUGAGGAGAUGCAGCAGCGGACGCUGGAGCUCGGCCAGGUCAUCCGCGAGCGGGAUCAACCUUGGAGUCAAGUUGCUGAGGCCGUGAGCCGGGCUGAGGUCCUCGGGGGACAGCUGGCUGAGGCUACGGAGCGGCUAGCCGGGGCGUCUGCUAGGGCCAGAACCCUUGCGGAGAGCCUGGCCGUGGGGGCUCGAGCGCGGUGCUGGCGUCCUCCUUUGAGGUGGGGAUCCUUCCGCCCGUGUCGCCGUCUGAGGCCGGGCCAGAUUCCGCCGAGGGUGGAAACGACAUCGAGGGUGCUGCUGCUCCCCCUGUCGAUGUCCGAACCUGCAGGAACAGUUUGUCUGAAGUAUGCGUAUGUUUUUCGCGGCCGCCGAGGCCUGAACACUUUAUCAUUGUGUUAUAAAGCUGCGUUUUCUUUCCUCUCGUUUCGAGUAUCAGGACUUGUUCGUCGGUAGCAGAAUCACUUAUCUGAGCGAGAGUUACUUUUCGCGAAAGGUGAUGAGUGAGGUAUCCAUAUCCCGGAGGCGUAGGAGUCCCUCGGCUCGGUCGGCCUUGCCGCUUACGUGCACUCUCAUUCGGUUGUAGGAUUCUAUUAUCGAUAUAGUCGAGAAGGCACGAAAGUCGUUUUCUACCCGAGCGUUAGGACUUGUUCGGUAGCAGGAUCGCUUAUCCGAGCGUGAGAUACUUUUCACGGAAGGUGAUGAGUGAGGUAUCCGUAUCCCAGAGGCGUAGGAGUUCCUCGGCUCGGUCGGCCUUGCCGUUUACAUGUACUCUCGUCGUUUUUAGGAUCCUGUUAUCGAUAUGGAAGUCGAAAGCACAAAAGUCGUUUUCGGUGGAAAACGUUUCUUGGUAGAAAACUUUUCCAAGGAAAAUUUUUGAUGCAGAGGGGGUUCCCCCUUCUAGCCCUUGAGGGAGGGUCGGGCUUUGCCGAGGCAAGGCUGACCCUUCCUUGACGGUUAGACUUUAUGUAAAGAAAACGAGGUACAUAACGACUUGAAACAUUUUAAGGGUAGAAGCGACGUAGCUGUUGGAUGUUCCAAGCGUUGCUGUAGACCUCGCCUUGAUUGUUGGCCAGCUUGUAUGUCCCUGGCUUCAAAAUCUCGGCGAUGAUGAACGGCCCUUCCCAGGGAGGAGUAAGCUUGUGGCGUCCUCGGGCGUCUUGUCACAGCCGAAGCACCAAGUCUCCCACUUGGAAGCCUCGGGGUCGAACCCUUCGGGCGUGGUAGCGUCGCAGAUACUGCUGAUACCGUGCCGAAUGUAGUAAGGCCAUGUCCCGAGUUUCUUCGAGCUGGUCCAGUGAGUCCUCUCGGCUGGUCUGGUUGCUUCGGUUGUCGUAUGCCUUUGUCCUUAGGGAACCGUAUUCUAAGUCUGUGGGGAGGACGGCCUCGGCCCCAUAGACGAGAAAGAACGGCGAGAAACCCGUGGCUCGGCUCGGCGUCGUCCUCAGACUCCAGACUACCGAGGGUAGCUCUUUCAUCCACCGUUUGCCGAACUUGUUGAGUUUGUUGUAAAUCCUCGGUUUAAGUCCCUGCAAAAUCAUACCGUUGGCACGCUCCACCUGCCCAUUCGUCAUGGGGUGAGCUACGGUGGCCCAGUCCACACGGAUGUGGUGGUCCUCGCAGAAGUCCAGGAAUUUCUUCCCGGUGAACUGCGUGCCAUUAUCGGUGAUGAUGGAGUUCGGGACCCCAAAGCGAUGGAUGAUGUUUGUGAAGAACGCCACCGCCUGCUCGGACUUGAAGCUGGUCAAGGGUCGGACCUCGAUCCACUUGGAGAAUUUGUCGAUGGCGACCAGCAGGUGCGAGAAGCCCCCGGGUGCCUUCUGCAAGGGACCGACGAGGUCCAGACCCCACACGGCGAACGACCAGGUGAUGGGUAUCGUCUGCAGGGCCUGAGCAGGCAGGUGCGUCUGCCUUGCGUAUAAUUGACACCCUUGGCAGGAGCGUACAAUCCUAGUGGCGUCGGCUACUACGGUCGGCCAGUAGAAACCUUGUCGGAAGGCGUUUCCCACGAGGGCUCGAGGUGCUGCGUGGUGACCACAAGCCCUCGAGUGUAUUUCUUGCAGCAGCUCUUGUCCUUGGGCGACGGAUAUGCAUCGUUGGAGAAUGCCCGAGGGGCUGCGGUGAUAGAGCUCCUUUUCAUCACCCAGUAAGACGAACGACUUGGCGCGCCGAGCCAGUCGCCGAGCUUCGGCCUUGCCGAGGGGUAGCUCUCCUUGGAGGAGAUAUUCCAGGUACGGGGUCUGCCAGUUCGGGUUUGGCGUGACCCCAUUCCGCUCUCCCUCGACGCACAGGCCUCACCCUCGGCGGCCGAGGAUACCGUCGUCCGCCCCGAGGCUAUUUUAGCCAGCUCGUUCGCAGUCUCGUUGUACCAUUGAGCGAUGUGGUUGAGCUCCAGCCCGUAGAACUUGUCUUCCAGGCGCCGAACUUCGUCGCAGUAUGCCUCCAUCCUUCGGUCGUGGCAGUGGGAGUUCUUCAUGACUUGGUCAAUGACAAGCUGCGAGUCGCCACGAGCGUCGAGGCACCGAACCCCUAGCUCGACGGCGAUGCGCAACCCGUUAACCAAAGCCUCGUACUCGGCCACGUUGUUUGACGCCGGGAAAUGGAGGCGUAUCACGUAGCGAAGAUGCUUUCCGAGGGGUGAAACGAAGAGCAAGCUAGCGCCUGCUCCUGUCUUCAUGAGUGACCCGUCGAAGUACAUGGUGUCGGUGUUUUGGGUCCGACCGCACACCCGGGGUUGCCCCUCAAGGUGUUUUUAGGAGUAGGACGGUGUCAACGACUGUAGCAAAAUGGUUCGUGCCGGUCGCACGAGGGACAAUGUGUGACACCCCAGGUGUCAGUUUCGUGUUAUGACGGGAGAUUAAUCCUAAUCUCGGAUGCUCAGUAAAAAUUUCUCUUUCUCACUCGCGUAUGUCUCUGAUUAUCCAGAUUAUUCAUUCACAUUUCGCCGAAUUCGGAAUUAUUCGAUCUCACAUAAGGCCAAUUUGGAGCCUGUUAAAAACUUUUAUUCUCGACGAAUGCAAACUCGGGAAUCAUUCUCGAUUUAUAAAUCUUGUCUAAAGCUCGUUUAAUCAAGCGCUCGACAGUUGCUAGUCGAGCUGUGUCCGAAUCCAAUUUCUCGAUGUUCGAUCGAUGUCCGACUAUUUUAUCCGAGUCCGUACUCUCAAACGGAAUACUCAGUCUGUCGUCCUCUAAUUAAUUUCUAUCCGAUUCGGCUUAAUAUCUCUGUAUCCAAUCCGAUUUCAAAAUCAACAUCGGCAACGAUUUUUAAAUAUCACGAUUCGCUUUCUCCGACUAAAAAUCCAAAGUCGAUCGAAUCUCAGGACGAUUUAUUUUCCAAUCACACGUAGGGAAUUAAUUUUCGAGCAAAUUCAAAACAGACUCUCGGCCGAGUUAAUCGCGCAACUUUCCGUUCGUCCGAACUCUUUUCGCUCUGUUUCUCAGUAGCGACGAAUUCCGCAGGAACAUUUUAGUCCGGAAAAUAUUUAGCGCGACCCAAUUUAGUGUUUUGGGCCAAAUCUAGCCCGGCCCAAUUAGGCCCAUUUGAAACCCUAACCCUAGCCCAUGUCUAUAAAUAGGAGCUCUCUCCCCUUGCCCUUGGGCUAUUUUGCAUUCCCACCCCUCAUUUUUUUCCAGCCGCCACCGCAGCCUCCCUGUCUUCUUCUCCAUCGCGCAGCAGGCAUCCCACGGCAGCAGCAGCAGGGAGCCGUGCUCCCCUCCAUGGCGAGCAGCAAGCUGGCGCCCCUGCUCCUUCUUCCUCGGCGCUGAAGCUCCUCCCUGGCGUCCAUGGCGCCGGCGUAUCUCCAGCCGCCCCCUGCUCCUUGUUCCACGCGCAGCAGCCACGCGCAGGAAGUAAGGCCAGCAGCCAUGGCGAUUUCCCCUGCGAGCUCCCCUCUCUCCCAUGGCUGACCCUCUGCUCCCUGCACUUGGCGUCCUUGCAGCAGGCGAGCUCAGCUCCACCUCCCUGCGCUCAGCUCAUCUCCCUUGCCCAGCGCCCUCCCUCCUCUCUGUUUUUCCUUGAGCUCACGUGCAGGGAACGACGCCCUUUCUCCUCCACUGCGCUCGACGCCUAGCCCCUUUUCUAUGGCUUGGACGCAGCAGGAGCGGCGCAGGAGCUUUUCCAUCCAUGGCUGUUUCCCCCUGCCGAGCCCUUCCUUUCUCUGUGCUUUGGAUGAGCCUCUGCUCCCUAUGCUGAUCUCCACCUUGCCAUGGCGUUGCUCGCCGGGGAUCCCCUGCAGGGCGCCGUCGUGGCCUCGCCGGGCUCCUGCUCGCCGGCGAGCCCAUGUGCUCAUGGCACUUCCCUGCCUUCUCUUUGUCCCAAACAUCCAGCAGCAGGGAUCGGAUCAACGCCGCAGCGCCCAGCCAUGGUGGCUGUAGGCCGAGUCCCUCUCCCAACCAGUGCCCUCCCUGUUUCCCUGGACGACGCUGUCCCUUCCCAUGCCGCUGCUCCACCACACACACUACCUGCUCGACGAUAUGCGUAGCCGACUGCGUGUUGUCUUGCUUGUGUUGUGCGCAGCCCUGCUCGCCUCUUUUCGGUGUUGUCAAACUAUCGGUGUGGAGCACUGUGUCGAGGACAACAUCGUCGACUUUUAUUCCGGUGCGCUGCUCAAUCCAUGCUGCCCCGCUGUGCCUUGUAGCGCUGUGGAUCCACGGCAUGGUCUCGACGUCGCUCUCCUUGCAGCCACACCCCUGCUGCUCCCACAUGCCGCACCACAUCAAAAAAAAAAAAUCCUGCAACCACGCCUCUCCUCGUGCUUGCUGUGCUGUCGCGCGCAGCGAGAACCAUAGCGCCACGACUCGUUCCUGCUCGGCGAGAGCAGCCGCGUCAUCAAUCCGUGCAGCCCCGACGCCUCCGCGUCUCGCUUCGUCGGGUCUGCACAGCCUCUUCGCGCCAUGCGGACAGCAGCAACAACUAAGUUAUUUUUGGUAAGUUGAUUUGUUGUUUUGGAUAAAGUUGAUAAAUAAAUAGAUGUAUGGUGACCGUGAUGAUUCUCGAGCAAUAAGUGAUGAUUUAAUAGUAUCAUUUAGUAUUCGGUAGUUGUAGAUUAUAUAAAGGGUGCUCGAAGACUGCAUUUGUCGAAUAUGGUUAACUAGAUGCUAUGCACAUAAUAAUUGGUAACGAUGAUUUUGUGUACAACGUUAGGGAGAUGAUCGCCUCUAUGGUUGAAACGUUUGGUGGUAGGUCGUAAUUGGUUGUGUUCGCAACGUGGAAUUAUGGUAGGCAUCAUCAGUGCCCAUGCUGUAUUAGAUUAAGCUUUGUUAUACGAUAAAACUAAAAACGUGAAUGUCAUAUAUAGUGUUUCAAUUGAGUUAGCCCGUAGAUUUAAUAUGUGUCGAUCGCAAUGAAUUAUCAGUAGGGCCUAAAUGGUGAGUUAUGUGUGAACUGUGUUAGAGCCCUUCCGAGAUAAAUAGAUUUAACCUAUGUUGUGUUGUCAUACAAAUAACCUAGAAAGGUGGUAUAUGUUAAUAAUUGGAAGGACAGUUGUUCAAAUUGGUCAGUUCGAUUAAGAAUGAUUUUUGCGUGUGAGGGGAGGUGGUGACAUACCAAGGUAGUCAUCAAUUCCUCUAUGUUUAUAAGUCGAGUCGAGUCGAUGCACAGUUUGUGUUCAUUAAAUUAUGUUUUGCAUAUAGUGUAAUGGAGUUAGUUGUUUUGGGAUAAUUAUUAAAAUGUUCUGUUCACAUGAUAAAUAUGUAUGAUUGUAAAAACAUUGAAGUGUAUGUUGUGUCUCAGUCUGCGAUCAUAAUAGGCAAGUCGAUGUGUAUGUCGUAUGGCGGGCUAUGCCAUCCCUUUGGUUAAUCGACUAGUUAGAUGGCGUUGGUUAAGCUCGUAGUUACGAUGAAUUACUUGUUGUGGUCUAAAUGCGUAUGGUUAUGGUCGCAUGUAAAAAUUAGUAGUGCUCAUGUGGCGUCUAAGUUAAAAUGCGGACUAAUGGGUGAAAGGCGCUUCGAUAUAAAUAUGUGCCGGAUUUGAUGAUUGUGGUGAAUGCGUUUGUUAAAUGAAUGUGGUAAUUUUAGUGCACUAAAUGAUUUGGAUAAAAUUUGUAAGUCUACUUGUUAGUGCUCAAUUGAUUGUUUUAACUCUAACAAAUGGUAAAGUGUUAGAAUGAUUCAAUUCUCUAGAUCAUGGCAAUUCUUGAAUUGUAUAGGAGCUGAAAUUUAUUAAUUUCUGUUUUGGACUGCGCGCGCUGUUUUAGUUGUGCUGUAUGUUUGAUGAACUAAAUUGUGUUUUCUGUAGAUAUGUGCUAUAGAAAAGUGGUAGAUAACCUUAUUAUCUUGCUGGUGUUAAAAUUUGACAGCCAUAGGUCUGACAGUUUAGGAGUUAUGCUUUUUACAAAUUCAGUAACUGAAUCUGUCCAAAUUCUGUACAGAUUUCAGAAACUGUAUUGUUUGUUCAAUUUAAUGUUGCAAUCUGUUCAUGGUCAUUAUAAGAAAGUUGUAGAUGCUUUUCUGAUCUUUCUUGUGUUAAAAUUUGAUAACCACAGGCCUGAUAGUUUAAGAGUUAUGAAUUUUACAAACUGCUUGCUGUGUUCUGUCCACUAUCAGGGCAGAUUUCGAAAACUGUAAUGUUUGAUUGGAUUAAAUCUGGAAUCACUUCUUUGUGAUUAUAAAAGUUAUGUAGUGCUUUUGCUGAGCUUUCCAGAAAGUCUUGGAUCACUAUUUUUGGUGAUCUGAAGAUUAAGUUAUGGAUGUUUAAAGUCUGAAGACUGAAUCUGUCCAAUUCUGGACAGCAAAGCCUUCUAGUGUAUUUUAUCCUUAGUUAAAUAUUGAAUCACCUUAAGAUGUUUAUAAAUGAUAUGUAGACAAUUUUAUUACCUUUCCAGAAAGUCUAGGAUCACAUUGUUUGGAUGUCUGAAUCUCCAGUUGUGAAUUUUUGAAGUUGCAAGUCUGAAUCUGUCCAAAUCUGGACAGCGCUGUUGUGUUAACAUCUUUUGACCUUGCUAAGUGUUUAAUCAUGUUGUGAUGACAAUACCAAAGUUGUAGAGAACUUUCUAAACUUUCCAGAAAGUAUUAGUUUGCUAUUUUUGGAUUAAUAUUUGAAAAGUUAUGAUUAAAACAAGUAGCUGCUGUGCUGCUGUCCUAAAAAUCUGCAUGUGCUCAAAUGAAUAUUUAGUUCACCAUUUUGGCUAAAAAUGCUUAGUUAGCACUUAACGAAUAUAGACUUGUGAUGGCUAAACUUAGGUUAACAUGUGCUUCAUGAUUAAUGUGCUUGCUUGCUGUAGUUGAUUGUGAUAGAGGAGUCCAUCGACAUUGAUGCGUCGGUCCUCUAUUAAACUUGUGUUUGUGAUGCUUUUGUGUGAUCAAUAGAACUAAUGCAAAGUCGUAGCAAUUAAAUAAAUGUGUGUACCUGUGAUAUCGUAUUUGUGUUGCGUAAAUAAAUAAGAUAUGGUCGUCUUGUUAAUGGUGUUAAUGAUGAACGCUGAUAACGUACGAAUAGCUAGCGCUUGUGUAUAGUCGUUGCGGUGUCUUACUACUUGGUGUUUAGUUCGCUACCGUGUAUUGUAUAUCUUGUGAUAACUUUUCAUUAUAUUCAUACAUAUGCAUCUUGCAUCUCAUUUAGGAUCGAGAGAUGGUGAUCGUGCACGUGAUAUGGUGCCAACCACAAGAUGCCGUUGGUGGACGACCCAAGGAAGGAUGGACUUAACCAGUGGAUGCUCGCCAAGCGAGUACCUCCCCAGCAAACACUGUCUAAGUGUUAAAUUAAAGGCAAGCCCCGGUUUUAUGCAUAACCGUUUAUAUAUGCUAUUUUACUACACUUAAUGUUUGUAGGCUUGUGCUGUGCACUUAAGUGUAGGAGUUGACUGAAACCCUAGUUGCAUGAACUCAGGAUUCCUUUUUGAAAUGGAUACUAGUAUGAUAGGUCGAGUAGCUGCUUUACUAAUUAGGGAUCUCGGUAGAAGUCGAGUGAUUUUUCUAGCACUCGCGCGAGGUCAGGACAUUGAUUGUACCCACUUUCAUAUCGUACUGAUGUUGGUUUGUGGGCAACAAUCCAUGGGGAUUUGUUGUCCACGGGAUAAAAAUUGGAAUAAGGAUUAAGGUGUGGUACCGUGAGUCAAGCGUUUGAACGUACUAAGCACAUGCCGAGAAAUAUGGUAAAUCGGUAAGCCUAGUACCUGAUUGAACCUGGCAGUGGACUUUACCCCUCACGCGACCUGAGACGAGGUCUCCCAUUCCGGUUAUGGUGGGUACAAGUGCGGUCACUGCACGACGGCCAGUCGGGGUCAGUGAGGCAUUGUACGCCAAGGCGGUGAGCCCUGAUCCGCUGACGGGGAAUCGAUGGGGACGGUUGAUAUGUGUGGGGACGGAGUGCCCCUACAUGUCGUGUGUUUAGGUUUACCUUGCAAGGAUAAAAACUCGAUUCGAAUCGUCUGCUUCUCGCAGCUAAUGAGACUGCUUGAUCCAUGCUGCUACAUUGAGUAAUAAGUGGAAAUGAGGUGACUGGCAAAAGAUGUUGAUUGAUAAAAUGUUUGAUACCAUGUAUGAAUAGCUAGGUACUCAUCUAGUUUAAAAGGAUCAUACUAAAACUUGAAAAGCUAAAACUUGAUUUUAGACUCAGCUAGUGCUUUUGGCAAACCAAACCCCUCAGCCAAACAGCUGCAUGUCUAGAGGUAGAGGAGUAGACUCCUCACACCGGGUAAGUCUAGCUGAGUAUUAGUAUACUCAGCCUUGCUUGUGGCACAAUUUUUGCAGGUACUCCUUGAUUGAUUGAUGGUGUGACUUGGCCUUCAUCCCUGCCACCGGGAUAGAUGGUCGAGUGGGUUAUUGCUUCCGCGGGAGAGGACCAGGAGGAGUACUGUGGCCAGGCUUCGCCAUGUUACUCGGUUUUCUCCGUUAGUUAUUUACGCUGCAUUAAAAUUUAUGGUUAUUAUUUCUGAAACUCCGAUAAUGUAAUCACUAAAGAUACUUAUUAAAUUUGUGGUAUUAUGUUUUAUUGUAUUUCUCUGUGCCUCACCUUCGUGUGAGAUAGUGGUAUUCGAUCCUGGAUAAGUGGCUUUAUCGGACUAGAUCCGAGGGACUGACGGAUUAUUCCUGUUUAAGUGUGUUGCUGCCCUUAAGGGUGCGACUUGGGCACUUAAGCUGGAAUAAUUCGGGCGGUUCCGCCACAGCUGGUAUCGGAGCGAAUACUAUCACAGAGAAGUCAAUAAGUCAUGAUUACCGACCUUUUCUAAAGUAAAACUUGCUAGAAACCAAUGUUGGAUAGAUCGUCAGGACGAUAAGGAUAGACUUAGGACGUGAAGCCUUAGGAAAUAGAUGGGUAGCUAGGUGGCUAUAUUUAUAUAGGCCAUAAAGGCUACUACUACUAUUAACUAGGAUGCUGUAGAAGCAUCCGAAAAAUUAGUUAGGUCUGAAAAGACGCCUAGAAUGAGCAUGCAUCAUGAUUGUUGCAUUAUUAUCCCUUGUGCACCAACGUGCUUCUCUCACCUUUAUUCCAAUAAUAAGAAAUUAUGAAUAAUGUGUUGUAUUGCUAUGAACUGCAAAAAAAAUGCCUUACCUCGUAUCAAAUUGGUAAGUCUUGUUAGGUCGUGCUACGUGUUUCUCUUGCCUUGCUAGCUAGGUGGUAUUGUAAUUGUUCACCUCUCUUUGCCAAUAAAAAUUGUUGCCUGUUUUGCCCAUAAAAGACCCCCCUUCUCCAAACAACCUUGAGUUUAGCAACUAAAACCUCUUAAAAAAAUCAUGAUGGUGUUGGUGUUUUCUAGCCCUUGUGUGUUGCGCUAUUGGUAAUGCACCUGCACAGCUUAUAGACCCCCAUAGCUUAACCACUAGCCAAACCGGAACUUCCUUGUGCACGCGGUUAUGUCAAAAAAAAACAUCGUUUGUUGUCUAGUUGCGCAAACCAUGACCAAGCCAUGUUUCUUUCCAUAAAUCCUUGCCCCUAAAACUUCAUAGCGUUUCUGUCGAUCAUCCUAGCUGAUCCUGUUUGCCUACCUCUCCUUUCGCCUGGAUCUGGUAAUCCUUCUUCUUGUGAAUCAUGUUUGCUUUAUCGUCCGAAUCUCGGGAUCCCCAAUUGAUUCUGCCCCGUUAGCUGGUUAUCUGCUAUAACCCGUUCUCAAGUAUCGAAUGUUGAUCUUGCCUAAAUCUCUCAUUCUAAUUAUUCUCAUACUCUUUCUCCAAGGAUCAUGACGUCAUUUUAUCAACUUAUCUCUAAUCAGUGUAUCCAUUUAGUCAAUGGAUUUCAUUGUUGUCCUUGGUUCUCUCAUGUCUCUAAAAGCUCAACAAUCUAUUUUGAUCUCAUGGUCGGUUCAUCCUCAUAUCAAAUCUCAUGCUAAUAUCUGAUCUGAUAAUCUCUAUGUUGAUCAUAAAAUAGUUCUCUGAGUUAAAUAAAAAAAUUCUCAUCUGAUGCUCUUUUGCCAACAAUCUUUGCUUCAACUUCAGUCACAUUUUCUGAGCCAUACUCUCAUGGGCUCCAUCUAUUUAUGCUAUGUGGAAUUCUCGUUGGUUACGUUUGGUAAUGGUGUCAUGACUAACGACUGAUGAUGCCGCGACGAAACCGAGAGCCUACUAUGGUGCACACAUGGUUGAGCUGCUCGGCACGCGCUGGUAUCAUGGUUAAUAGUCGUGGUCCAUUACGAGACUAUACUGCUAUCUUUCAUGGAUAUUCUCUCAAAAGUGAUCGCUGCAUUUUGUCUCGAUAUGUCGCGAUAUUCUAACCAAAUCUGUCUUCAGUAUCUUGUCAGAUACCCUCUCAUAAAUUUGCAUCUAUCUUCAGUCUGGGAGUUACAUGCUUCUCCACCCUUAAAUAUCCUCAUUCGAAUCUCGGGACGAGAUUCUUUUUAAGGGGGGAAGGCUGUGACACCCCAGGUGUCAGUUUCGUGUUAUGACGGGAGAUUAAUCCUAAUCUCGGAUGCUCAGUAAAAAUUUCUCUUUCUCACUCGCGUAUGUCUCUGAUUAUCCAGAUUAUUCAUUCACAUUUCGCCGAAUUCGGAAUUAUUCGAUCUCACAGAAGGCCAAUUUGGAGCCUGUUAAAAACUUUUAUUCUCGACGAAUGCAAACUCGGGAAUCAUUCUCGAUUUAUAAAUCUUGUCUAAAGCUCGUUUAAUCAAGCGCUCGACAGUUGCUAGUCGAGCUGUGUCCGAAUCCAAUUUCUCGAUGUUCGAUCGAUGUCCGACUAUUUUAUCCGAGUCCGUACUCUCAAACGGAAUACUCAGUCUGUCGUCCUCUAAUUAAUUUCUAUCCGAUUCGGCUUAAUAUCUCUGUAUCCAAUCCGAUUUCAAAAUCAACAUCGGCAACGAUUUUUAAAUAUCACGAUUCGCUUUCUCCGACUAAAAAUCCAAAGUCGAUCGAAUCUCAGGACGAUUUAUUUUCCAAUCACACGUAGGGAAUUAAUUUUCGAGCAAAUUCAAAACAGACUCUCGGCCGAGUUAAUCGCGCAACUUUCCGUUCGUCCGAACUCUUUUCGCUCUGUUUCUCAGUAGCGACGAAUUCCGCAGGAACAUUUUAGUCCGGAAAAUAUUUAGCGCGACCCAAUUUAGUGUUUUGGGCCAAAUCUAGCCCGGCCCAAUUAGGCCCAUUUGAAACCCUAACCCUAGCCCAUGUCUAUAAAUAGGAGCUCUCUCCCCUUGCCCUUGGGCUAUUUUGCAUUCCCACCCCUCAUUUUUUUCCAGCCGCCACCGCAGCCUCCCUGUCUUCUUCUCCAUCGCGCAGCAGGCAUCCCACGGCAGCAGCAGCAGGGAGCCGUGCUCCCCUCCAUGGCGAGCAGCAAGCUGGCGCCCCUGCUCCUUCUUCCUCGGCGCUGAAGCUCCUCCCUGGCGUCCAUGGCGCCGGCGUAUCUCCAGCCGCCCCCUGCUCCUUGUUCCACGCGCAGCAGCCACGCGCAGGAAGUAAGGCCAGCAGCCAUGGCGAUUUCCCCUGCGAGCUCCCCUCUCUCCCAUGGCUGACCCUCUGCUCCCUGCACUUGGCGUCCUUGCAGCAGGCGAGCUCAGCUCCACCUCCCUGCGCUCAGCUCAUCUCCCUUGCCCAGCGCCCUCCCUCCUCUCUGUUUUUCCUUGAGCUCACGUGCAGGGAACGACGCCCUUUCUCCUCCACUGUGCUCGACGCCUAGCCCCUUUUCUAUGGCUUGGACGCAGCAGGAGCGGCGCAGGAGCUUUUCCAUCCAUGGCUGUUUCCCCCUGCCGAGCCCUUCCUUUCUCUGUGCUUUGGAUGAGCCUCUGCUCCCUAUGCUGAUCUCCACCUUGCCAUGGCGUUGCUCGCCGGGGAUCCCCUGCAGGGCGCCGUCGUGGCCUCGCCGGGCUCCUGCUCGCCGGCGAGCCCAUGUGCUCAUGGCACUUCCCUGCCUUCUCUUUGUCCCAAACAUCCAGCAGCAGGGAUCGGAUCAACGCCGCAGCGCCCAGCCAUGGUGGCUGUAGGCCGAGUCCCUCUCCCAACCAGUGCCCUCCCUGUUUCCCUGGACGACGCUGUCCCUUCCCAUGCCGCUGCUCCACCACACACACUACCUGCUCGACGAUAUGCGUAGCCGACUGCGUGUUGUCUUGCUUGUGUUGUGCGCAGCCCUGCUCGCCUCUUUUCGGUGUUGUCAAACUAUCGGUGUGGAGCACUGUGUCGAGGACAACAUCGUCGACUUUUAUUCCGGUGCGCUGCUCAAUCCAUGCUGCCCCGCUGUGCCUUGUAGCGCUGUGGAUCCACGGCAUGGUCUCGACGUCGCUCUCCUUGCAGCCACACCCCUGCUGCUCCCACAUGCCGCACCACAUCAAAAAAAAAAUCCUGCAACCACGCCUCUCCUCGUGCUUGCUGUGCUGUCGCGCGCAGCGAGAACCAUAGCGCCACGACUCGUUCCUGCUCGGCGAGAGCAGCCGCGUCAUCAAUCCGUGCAGCCCCGACGCCUCCGCGUCUCGCUUCGUCGGGUCUGCACAGCCUCUUCGCGCCAUGCGGACAGCAGCAACAACUAAGUUAUUUUUGGUAAGUUGAUUUGUUGUUUUGGAUAAAGUUGAUAAAUAAAUAGAUGUAUGGUGACCGUGAUGAUUCUCGAGCAAUAAGUGAUGAUUUAAUAGUAUCAUUUAGUAUUCGGUAGUUGUAGAUUAUAUAAAGGGUGCUCGAAGACUGCAUUUGUCGAAUAUGGUUAACUAGAUGCUAUGCACAUAAUAAUUGGUAACGAUGAUUUUGUGUACAACGUUAGGGAGAUGAUCGCCUCUAUGGUUGAAACGUUUGGUGGUAGGUCGUAAUUGGUUGUGUUCGCAACGUGGAAUUAUGGUAGGCAUCAUUAGUGCCCAUGCUGUAUUAGAUUAAGCUUUGUUAUACGAUAAAACUAAAAACGUGAAUGUCAUAUAUAGUGUUUCAAUUGAGUUAGCCCGUAGAUUUAAUAUGUGUCGUUCGCAAUGAAUUAUCAGUAGGGCCUAAAUGGUGAGUUAUGUGUGAACUGUGUUAGAGCCCUUCCGAGAUAAAUAGAUUUAACCUAUGCUGUGUUGUCAUACAAAUAACCUAGAAAGGUGGUAUAUGUUAAUAAUUGGAAGGACAGUUGUUCAAAUUGGUCAGUUCGAUUAAGAAUGAUUUUUGCGUGUGAGGGGAGGUGGUGACAUACCAAGGUAGUCAUCAAUUCCUCUAUGUUUAUAAGUCGAGUCGAGUCGAUGCGCAAUUUGUGUUCAUUAAAUUAUGCUUUGCAUAUAGUGUAAUGGAGUUAGUUGUUUUGGGAUAAUUAUUAAAAUGUUCUGUUCACAUGAUAAAUAUGUAUGAUUGUAAAAACAUUGAAGUGUAUGUUGUGUCUCAGUCUGCGAUCAUAAUAGGCAAGUCGAUGUGUAUGUCGUAUGGCGGGCUAUGCCAUCCCUUUGGUUAAUCGACUAGUUAGAUGGCGUUGGUUAAGCUCGUAGUUACGAUGAAUUACUUGUUGUGGUCUAAAUGCGUAUGGUUAUGGUCGCAUGUAAAAAUUAGUAGUGCUCAUGUGGCGUCUAAGUUAAAAUGCGGACUAAUGGGUGAAAGGCGCUUCGAUAUAAAUAUGUGCCGGAUUUGAUGAUUGUGGUGAAUGCGUUUGUUAAAUGAAUGUGGUAAUUUUAGUGCACUAAAUGAUUUGGAUAAAAUUUGUAAGUCUACUUGUUAGUGCUCAAUUGAUUGUUUUAACUCUAACAAAUGGUAAAGUGUUAGAAUGAUUCAAUUCUCUAGAUCAUGGCAAUUCUUGAGUUGUAUAGGAGUUGAAAUUUAUUAAUUUCUGUUUUGGACUGCGCGCGCUGUUUUAGUUGUGCUGUAUGUUUGAUGAACUAAAUUGUGUUUUCUGUAGAUAUGUGCUAUAAAAAAGUGGUAGAUAACCUUAUUAUCUUGCUGGUGUUAAAAUUUGACAGCCAUAGGUUUGACAGUUUAGGAGUUAUGCUUUUUACAAAUUCAGUAACUGAAUCUGUCCAAAUUCUGUACAGAUUUCAGAAACUGUAUUGUUUGUUCAAUUUAAUGUUGCAAUCUGUUCAUGGUCAUUAUAAGAAAGUUGUAGAUGCUUUUCUGAUCUUUCUUGUGUUAAAAUUUGAUAACCACAGGCCUGAUAGUUUAAGAGUUAUGAAUUUUACAAACUGCUUGCUGUGUUCUGUCCACUAUCAGGGCAAAUUUCGAAAACUGUAAUGUUUCAUUGGAUUAAAUCUGGAAUCACUUCUUUGUGAUUAUAAAAGUUAUGUAGUGCUUUUGCUGAGCUUUCCAGAAAGUCUUGGAUCACUAUUUUUGGUGAUCUGAAGAUUAAGUUAUGGAUGUUUAAAGUCUGAAGACUGAAUCUGUCCAAUUCUGGACAGCAAAGCCUUCUAGUGUAUUUUAUCCUUAGUUAAAUAUUGAAUCACCUUAAGAUGUUUAUAAAUGAUAUGUAGACAAUUUUAUUACCUUUCCAGAAAGUCUAGGAUCACAUUGUUUGGAUGUCUGAAUCUCCAGUUGUGAAUUUUUGAAGUUGCAAGUCUGAAUCUGUCCAAAUCUGGACAGCGCUGUUGUGUUAACAUCUUUUGACCUUGCUAAGUGUUUAAUCAUGUUGUGAUGACAAUACCAAAGUUGUAGAGAACUUUCUAAACUUUCCAGAAAGUAUUAGUUUGCUAUUUUUGGAUUAAUAUUUGAAAAGUUAUGAUUAAAACAAGUAGCUGCUGUGCUGCUGUCCUAAAAAUCUGCAUGUGCUCAAAUGAAUAUUUAGUUCACCAUUUUGGCUAAAAAUGCUUAGUUAGCACUUAACGAAUAUAGACUUGUGAUGGCUAAACUUAGGUUAACAUGUGCUUCAUGAUUAAUGUGCUUGCUUGCUGUAGUUGAUUGUGAUAGAGGAGUCCAUCGACAUUGAUGCGUCGGUCCUCUAUUAAACUUGUGUUUGUGAUGCUUUUGUGUGAUCAAUAGAACUAAUGCAAAGUCGUAGCAAUUAAAUAAAUGUGUGUACCUGUGAUAUCGUAUUUGUGUUGCGUAAAUAAAUAAGAUAUGGUCGUCUUGUUAAUGGUGUUAAUGAUGAACGCUGAUAACGUACGAAUAGCUAGCGCUUGUGUAUAGUCGUUGCGGUGUCUUACUACUUGGUGUUUAGUUCGCUACCGUGUAUUGUAUAUCUUGUGAUAACUUUUCAUUAUAUUCAUACAUAUGCAUCUUGCAUCUCAUUUAGGAUCGAGAGAUGGUGAUCGUGCACGUGAUAUGGUGCCAACCACAGGAUGCCGUUGGUGGACGACCCAAGGAAGGAUGGACUUAACCAGUGGAUGCUCGCCAAGCGAGUACCUCCCCAGCAAACACUGUCUAAGUGUUAAAUUAAAGGCAAGCCCCGGUUUUAUGCAUAACCGUUUAUAUAUGCUAUUUUACUACACUUAAUGUUUGUAGGCUUGUGCUGUGCACUUAAGUGUAGGAGUUGACUGAAACCCUAGUUGCAUGAACUCAGGAUUCCUUUUUGAAAUGGAUACUAGUAUGAUAGGUCGAGUAGCUGCUUUACUAAUUAGGGAUCUCGGUAGAAGUCGAGUGAUUUUUCUAGCACUCGCGCGAGGUCAGGACAUUGAUUGUACCCACUUUCAUAUCGUACUGAUGUUGGUUUGUGGGCAACAAUCCAUGGGGAUUUGUUGUCCACGGGAUAAAAAUUGGAAUAAGGAUUAAGGUGUGGUACCGUGAGUCAAGCGUUUGAACGUACUAAGCACAUGCCGAGAAAUAUGGUAAAUCGGUAAGCCUAGUACCUGAUUGAACCUGGCAGUGGACUUUACCCCUCACGCGACCUGAGACGAGGUCUCCCAUUCCGGUUAUGGUGGGUACAAGUGCGGUCACUGCACGACGGCCAGUCGGGGUCAGUGAGGCAUUGUACGCCAAGGCGGUGAGCCCUGAUCCGCUGACGGGGAAUCGAUGGGGACGGUUGAUAUGUGUGGGGACGGAGUGCCCCUACAUGUCGUGUGUUUAGGUUUACCUUGCAAGGAUAAAAACUCGAUUCGAAUCGUCUGCUUCUCGCAGCUAAUGAGACUGCUUGAUCCAUGCUGCUACAUUGAGUAAUAAGUGGAAAUGAGGUGACUGGCAAAAGAUGUUGAUUGAUAAAAUGUUUGAUACCAUGUAUGAAUAGCUAGGUACUCAUCUAGUUUAAAAGGAUCAUACUAAAACUUGAAAAGCUAAAACUUGAUUUUAGACUCAGCUAGUGCUUUUGGCAAACCAAACCCCUCAGCCAAACAGCUGCAUGUCUAGAGGUAGAGGAGUAGACUCCUCACACCGGGUAAGUCUAGCUGAGUAUUAGUAUACUCAGCCUUGCUUGUGGCACAAUUUUUGCAGGUACUCCUUGAUUGAUUGAUGGUGUGACUUGGCCUUCAUCCCUGCCACCGGGAUAGAUGGUCGAGUGGGUUAUUGCUUCCGCGGGAGAGGACCAGGAGGAGUACUGUGGCCAGGCUUCGCCAUGUUACUCGGUUUUCUCCGUUAGUUAUUUCCGCUGCAUUAAAAUUUAUGGUUAUUAUUUCUGAAACUCCGAUAAUGUAAUCACUAAAGAUACUUAUUAAAUUUGUGGUAUUAUGUUUUAUUGUAUUUCUCUGUGCCUCACCUUCGUGUGAGAUAGUGGUAUUCGAUCCUGGAUAAGUGGCUUUAUCGGACUAGAUCCGAGGGACUGACGGAUUAUUCCUGUUUAAGUGUGUUGCUGCCCUUAAGGGUGCGACUUGGGCACUUAAGCUGGAAUAAUUCGGGCGGUUCCGCCACACAAUGGACAAGAUUUGCAGGUUCGGGCCGCUUAGAAGUGCGUAACACCCUACGUCCUGGUGAGUAUAUGAGCGUGGUUACAAGAGGGUUCUCUGGAUAGAGGGCGCAGAGAGUUUAUGUGGGUGGCUAAGUAGAACAGGGUCCAUCCUUCUGAAGGGGUGCCCCCUAGGCCUUAUAUACUCGGCCGUGGAGCAGUACAUGUGAUAUGAUAACAACAAGUAGCUAAAAGAUAGUGAACCUCUUGAGUUUAUCCCUACGUAACCCUCGACGACUUAUCCUCGCAUGGCUCUGUUGCAUGGGGGCUUUAGCGCGGGAAAGUCGGGUCUCUGUUGCGAUUCAUUCGUUCGACGUUGUGGGCCGUCUGGGUUUGCACUAAUCAGUCUCACGUCUUCUUUUCUUUGUUGGUUGUCUUUCCCUAGGCCCACGAAAGAAUGACCUUACGAAUUAUUGGGCCCUUGGGCCUUUCGUGAGGCCUUUUACUUCUUUAGUGGACCCAGGGGAUAUCUAUCCCCCACAAGCCCCCGAUCUUUGGGUUGAUUUAGAGGUAAUCAACUCAAAGAUCCAAGGUCCAAAAAAUGACUUCCUGCUGUCUUCUCUGGCUCUGAUCACUCGUUCGACCAAAGUUUGGUUUUGUGCUUGUGCCUUAGAGGUCGGCAUUUUGGAUUGUAAGACUCUGGACUUCAUUGGGUGCACCGGAGGUGCACCCAAUGGGUGUAGCCCCCGACCUUUGAGUAGAUUUUAGAAGAUAAUCUACUCGAAGGUCUUCUUCCAAAGGUUAUCUCCAUUCGCGCUCCUGCAUCUCGGUUGAGGAUUGGUCUUUUCAAUCUUGCUCUACGCCUUAGAGGUCGGCGCUAUAUCGGUUUAGAAUAAUACUCCAUGGGGUGCACCGGAGGUGCACCCAAUGGGUGUAGCCCCCGACCUUCAAAUGGAUUUUUUAAGGAUAAUCCAUUCGAAGGUCUUCCUUUCGCUUGUGGAAACUGGCAUGAAGCUAUUUUGCAUUAUGCUUUGGAGGUCAGCAUUAUGUCAUCAAUAUUUUGCUGCAAAGGUCAGCGUAUAUUUUGUCUUUAGCAGCCGAGUUUGCAAUCCAUCCAUAUCUUGCUAGGUAGUGCAAUUUAUUUGCUUCUGCGAUUGAUUGGACGUUUGACGGACGUUCUCUGUCUAGUCUUCACGUCGCUUCUGUCGGCCAUAUCUUGUACUUUGCUAGCUAUAUUUGGCUUUCCUCUGAUCCUUACUGAUAUCUCAUUUUUGUCUUGAGGUAUUCACUGCAUGCCCUGCACGGAUGUGACCGUUUUGAAAAAUAUACUGAUAAUUCCUGGGCGUCCCCCCCAAUGGGUGUGGGCAAGGGACGGCUUGGUACGCUGAGUGUUUUAGCCGGUUGCCUCUGAGUAGUAAUGCGAUGGGACGGCUAGUGUAAUCAUAUCCUUUGCGCUGUUGACUGGAGUCCCAAUAGGUGUAGUGUUGCAUGAAACGGCGUCCGCCGUCUGACGUGUCUUCAGAUGGGUGGAAGUGCUUAUUGAAUGCCUUGCGACUGUUCAGUGACCGCGGUUAGAAGUGAGCGGUUGCCUUUCCCUUCUAUAAAUAACACCUUUGCUUCUCUGGUUUUUUCACAUCUCUUCGCUGCUCUUUACCGCCUUCUUCUUCCUCCCUUCUGUCUGCUUCCACCAUGGGCAAGAACAACAAGCGCAAGCGUGAGCCGACUCCUCCAUCGGAGGAGUUUGGUGACUCGGAAUACUCAGAGGAGGAGUUCUCCUCUGAGUCCGAGGGGUCUCCGGCUCCCAUCCCCCUGUGUGAGUCGUCUGAUGACUCAGACGACUCCCAGGGGCUUGCGGCGGAGGUCUGGACGUACAUCCGGGCCGUCGAGCGCUCCGGGCUCGAGGGCUCGGAUGAGUCUGAGUUCUCCUCGGACGAGGAGGACUCGGACGGCGGCGAGGGCGAAGAUGACGACGACGACGACGGCGACGACGACAACGGAGGCGACGACGACGGUGAUGGCGGCAACGGCGGCGGAGGCAGCGGCGGCAAGGGCGGCACCAAGGGCAGCAGCAGUGUGGGCAGCACCGGAGGCGGCGGCGGCAAGGGCAGCGGCGGCAGGGCCAGUGGCUAAACGCCACUGGUCUUUAAAUAUUAGUAUAGUUAGAAUAAUGUAGUAGUAAUGUAGGGUAGUAUAGUGUAGUUUAGUAGUAGUAGUAAUGUAGAGUAGAAGUAGGGAAGCACCAACUCCUGAGGAGUUGGUUUGUAAACUUAUUAACUUCCCUUUAAUCAAGAACUGUCGUUGAUCCCCCCUUUUCGAUGACUUGUCGUUGCUUUUCCUGAAUGUUGAACUGAUUCUUUUGAUAUAGUAGAAACAACGCCGAGCGAUGUGAAGGUUGACAUCAGCGUUUUAGAAGUAACACCAAGCAAUCGAACACAAGACCAGCGUUUUAGAGGCAAUGCCGAAUGAUAGAAGGUCGGCAUCGGCAUUUUAGAAGUAAUGCCGAGCGACAGAAUACGGGGUCGGCGUUUUAGAAACAACGCCGAGUGAUUGAAGGUCGGCGUCGGCAUUUUUAGAAGUAAUGCCGAGCGAUUGAACACGUGGUCGGUGUGUUAGAGGACACGCCGAGUGAUUGGAGGUCGGCGUCGGCAUUUUAGAAGUAAUGCCGAGCGAUUGAACACGUGGUCGGCGUGUUAGAGGACACGCCGAGUGAUUGAAGGUCGGCGUCGGCAUUUUAGAAGUAAUGCCGAGCGAUUGAACACGUGGUCGGCGUGUUAGAGGACACGCCAAGUGAUUGAAGGUCGGCUUCGGCAUUUUAGAGGCAACGCCGAGCGAUUGAACACGUGGUCGGCGUUUUAGAGGCAACGCCGAGUGAUUGAAGGUCGGCGUCGGCAUUUUAGAAGUAAUGCCGAGCGAUUGAACACGUGGUCGGCGUUUUAGAGGCAACGCCGAGUGAUAGCCAGCUUCACAAGUUACUUUGAGGAAAAUAACCGAGUGAUGAGGUGGCACGUCGGCUUUCUUGGAAAUAACUGUCGGAUAUCCACGUGGCAUGCUGGGAUUUCGGAAAUGACCGCCGGGUGAUGACUGGGCACUUUUUGAAAGGGUAUCUGGCUCAAGAAUAUCCCUUAAGAGUCGCGCUUUUAGCCGCCUUUGCUUUCCGUGCCCUAGUUCUUGCAUUUCCGCAUCUGAAUCUUCUCUGCCACUCGCCUCCUACUCUGUUUCGCCAGUGAGAAGCAAGAUGGCGCCCAAGAGAAAAACUGCGAACUCGUCUGCUGCAGUGAUCCCCGCAAUCGACCCCAACAGCCAGUUACCCUUCGCAGGUAACCACAUGUCUGUAAUUUCUGAAGCUGAGCUUCUCCGCCUUGUCUCCAUCGGGGUUCUUCCUCCGCGGGAACUCUGUUCUUGGCGGGUUUGCCACGGGACUACUGUCCCAACCGAAGAUACCCACGAGUCAGUAGUUUACACUCCUUUCCUUCUUCGCGGCCUCGGCCUUCCCAUAUCUCCUUUUUUCCGUGGCCUCCUUGAUUUUUAUCACAUCAACCUGACUCAUUUGAACCCUAAUUCCAUUCUCCAAAUCUCUAUUUUCGUUCACCUUUGCGAAGCUUAUCUCGGCGUGCUGCCGCAUUUUGGUUUAUGGAAGUAUCUGUAUCACUGCCGUCCUGGGAUGGCCGGGGGGCAACAUCAGUUGGUCGGAGGUGCCAGUUUGGAGAUGCGCCGUGGGCGGAAGACCGAGUAUCUCGAGAUACCCCUCAAAGACAGCAUUAAAGGUUGGCGUCUGGAGUGGUUUAUAAUUGAUAAUUAUGGAAAUUCUCUCCCUUCCCGUUCAGGAAGACAGCCAGACGUUCGUACUCCGAGUUGGACUGAGUCUCCCACGGAUCAAGAAGUGGCCGAGGCAGGCGUGUUGCUUACUGAAGUCGGAUUACUGAAAGAGAGAGGUCUGACUGCCGAAGCUGUGGUCACAGAUUUUGUUUUCAAAAACAUUCAGCCGCUGAAAGACAGGGCCUAUCCGGCAUAUCUUUAUCGAGGGCUGGCCGACUCAACCCGAGUUACCAAUAGGAGAAUUCCUUCUGUUGAUUUGGUAAGCCGACUCGAGAUGAUCCUCAGGGGUAAAGUUUCAAACGUUGGUGCUCCAGUGGCAUACUCGGCUUGGAACCUACCUUCUCCCAAAGCUUUCACCCUUUUUGUGUCCAAUCCGCCCGUGACUGAUAGCAAUUUGGGUCUUAGAGUGCGACCCUCUGCUGAAGAGGUCCGUUCUUUAGUUGCUUCGCUCGGGGAGAUACCUGAUGAUGAACGGCAGAUUUAUUUUGAAGUGCCCCUGAACCCUAGUGAUGCAGACAUAAAUGACAUGCUCGAUCUGCUAGCUGAGGAUUCAUCUGAUGCUGCUCCUGAUGGUACAUUGGCAGUGGUGCCCCUUCCAGAGGUUGAUGCGACCUUGGAUGUCCCGAAACCUGUCAGUACUCGCCCGAGGCGCCCUAGCCGAACCAGUCAGCCCGAGCCUUCUGCUGAUGAGCAGAAGAAGAAGAGAAGACGCCUCCGGCGAGUAUCCAGCUUUGACGAGGAUGCCAGUACCUUAGCUCCUACUGCUGAAGAAAUGACUGCAACUGGCCUUGCUGACAUUGAUCCCAAUGGGUGUGCUCCGCCUGCUGCUGACCCCGCUGAGGAUGCUGUUCGUGCUGUUACUGUGGAAGAUGAGGAGGAAGAAAAUGACACUCCAUUAACUCGGAAAAACAGUCGGCAGCUCGUUGCUAGCGGUGGAAGUAGUGGAGUCCCUUCUCCUGCUUUGUCUGCCCUUAUUGGUCUGCAAGAGCUGUCUAUGGCCAAUUUUGAUCAAGCUCUAGAGGAUAUGGUCCCAGAAGAGUUGUUAUCAGAGCCUGUGGAUGUUGAUGCAACAGAAACUUGUGCUGCCGUGCCAGAUGCUGGGCUGAGGUCAUCUCGUGCCUCGUCAACCUUAGAGCAUGAUCUCGAGGGUCGGGAUGCUGACUUGGACCGUCCUGAUCCCAUGGAAGUAGCUGAAGGCCCGUCAACCUUAGAGGUGGUCACGGCAGAGAGCUUGGAUCCCUUGAAUAGUGCUGACACGUGCCCAGCCCCCGAGGAUGUCGCCGGGGAGGACUCAGCUCGGGUGAGGAGUGUAGGCCACUGCCCAGCCCCCGAGGGUGUUGCCGGGGAUGAUCCGGCUCAAGUGGGCAGUGCCAACUUUGACCCAGCCCCGAGGGUGUCCGAGCGAGGUCUCCUUCCUGCACUUCCAUGGAUGUUCAUGCAGGUUCACCUCCACACUCUGGCGGCAUGGUGGUGGCCCAAACUCCGGAUCAGGGGGUCGCUUUAGAGGGCAGCAUCCCCACUGGUCUGGCGUUAGGCUCUGUUGAAUGUACUGAGCUCGUUCCUGCUGGUCUGCUGCAAGCUGCUUCGGGUGGUGGUCUGGCACCUGGUCAUCAGCUGAUUUCUCCUGACUUGGGGAUCCCUUCGCUCUUUUCCAACCUCCAGGUGCUGUGCUGUGCUUUAGUUUGAUCUUUAUGUUGCAUGAAUUGUUGCCAUUAUGUUCAUCCGCUCUUCUCAUCAGGCUUUAUUGACUGGAAUGGUCGGCCAGCUGAAGUCGCAGGGUGCUUCCAUCCCGGAGGUGGCUUCAUCUCUUGAGCGUUGGAAUCCGGUGUUGCUUCGGGGUCGUGUAUCCGAGUUGGAGGCAACUAAUGCUGGUUAGUGUCUUUCCUUCUUUUUCUUUGUUCUUGCUCGUGGAUUGUUUUACCUUCUGACCUCAUUUCGUUUGAAUACCUCUUGAUAGGGAUGACUCGGCGGAUUACAGUUCUUGAAGAAAAACAUUCCCAAGAUCAAGCUGAGAUGGCUCGACGGUGCGCUGACUUCGAGGAGAAGUAUUCUCAGAGCCAGAUUGAAUUGAGUCAGGUCUCCGCGGCUUUGGAUCAUGCCAACGCUCUGAGUUCUUCUCUUCAUGCUCAGCUUGACUCUGAGAAGGUAGCUUACGAACCCGUGCUUCGCCUUAUCAUGCUCUUGGAUUCUGGAUGAGUUGAUUUUUGCUUGUAGGAAGAAAAACGCAUCUUUGCUGCUUCUCGCGACAACCUGGACAGAUUGUACCGAGAUUCCAGCAACUCGCUGACCAUCUUGGAGAGGAGCCACCGUUUUACGAUGGAGGAGCUGGACAAUCAGCGCCGUCAGCUGCAAGAAUCCUCGGACGAAGUGACCCGCCUUACACAGUUGCUAUCAGCAAAGGAUGCCACCAUCAAGGGACUCCGAGCUUCUAAGAAAUCCAUUGCUCAGGAGUUAGAAACUGCUCAGUAGGCUGUUAAAGUUGCCGAAGAAGCUGCUGUCACUUUCAAAGCUCAGCGUGAUAAAGCCCUGGACAAAGCUAUUCGGGCGGGACGAAUCUUGAUGAGAAGACCCGGCGUGGUUGUCCCUGAAGAUAUAAGAGCCGAUGUGAAUGCUGCCCCUGAUUCCUCGAAUCGCCCUUCUUCGUCAGUCGUUCCUGAGAAAGACAUUGGAAAAUAAAGAAACAGUUCGCGUGCUCUGAGCGCGCAGUUAGCAUGAUCAAGUACUUGUUAGAGGUUAUCGGCUUAUCAUUCGAAUGACAUCAUCACUUUCUUAUUGUAUCCGAAUUGCGAAUUUGUGGUAACGCUGCAUGAUGAUUAUGAAGUUUGUUUGUGGGAUAUGGAAAUCAUCCCCUGAACUGCAUAAGCGCGAGUAUGCUAUACCGGCUUAAGCCGUCAAUGACUUUAGCCGGUAACUCCGUUAGUAGGGUAUAGUGGCCACCCUAGGUUAAGUAAGCGUGAGCAUGUUGCACCGCCUUAAGUCGUUGCCGACUUAAGUUGAUUGCUCCGUUUGUAGGGCAUGGUGGUCACCCCGAGUUAAGUAAGCGUGAGCAUGUUGCACCGCCUUAAGUCGUUGCCGACUUAAGUCGAUUGCUCCGUUUGUAGGGCAUAGUGGUCACCCCGAGUUAAGUAAGCGUGAGCAUGUUGCACCGCCUUAAGUCGUUGCCGACUUAAGUCGAUUGCUCCGUUUGUAGGGCAUAGUGGUCACCCCGAGUUAAGUAAGCGUGAGCAUGUUGCACCGCCUUAAGUCGUUGCCGACUUAAGUCGAUUGCUCCGUUUGUAGGGCAUAGUGGUCACCCCGAGUUAAGUAAGCGUAAGCAUGUUGCACCGCCUUAAGUCGUUGCCGACUUAAGUCGAUUGCUCCGUUUGUAGGGCAUAGUGGUCACCCCGAGUUAAGUAAGCGUGAGCAUGUUGCACCGCCUUAAGUCGUUGCCGACUUAAGUCGAUUGCUCCGUUUGUAGGGCAUAGUGGUCACCCCGAGUUAAGUAAGCGUGAGCAUGUUGCACUGCCUUAAGUCGUUGCCGACUUAAGUCGAUUGCUCCGUUUGUAGGGCAUAGUGGUCACCCCGAGUUAAGUAAGAAUGCAAGUCAAUCGUAAACGAGCCAAGUAUCUUUGAAAUCUCUCUUUAUUGAUGACGUAUUUCCAUUAUACAGAAUACAUGGUCGCCCCGGCUGUUUUGAGAUACAGCUAGGGGUAAAAUUUUCGGAGGUGCUCUAUGUUCCAGGAGUUCCCCACUUCUGUGCCAUCCAUCUGAGUGAGGCGAUACGAUCCGGGCCGAGUGACCUCUGCUAUUAUGAAUGGCCCUUCCCAUAAGGGUGAUAACUUGUGCCGUCCUUCCCCCGUUAGAAUUCGGCGGAGGACGAGGUCUCCUAUCGAAAAGAAACGUUGCCGCACAGCUUUGUCGUGGUAGCGCCUUAGAGUCUGCUGGUAUCGUGCUGAUUGGAUUACUGCAUUCAGUCGUUCUUCUUCGAGUACAUCAAUAUCCUCCAGCCUGGUGGCUUCGGCUUCUGCUAUGCUUUCGAAGAUCAAUCUUGGCGCCCCAAACUUGAGAUCAGCAGGUAGCACUGCCUCCGACCCAUAGACCAUGAAGAAAGGAGUAUUUCCAUGCAGGGCCCGGCUAGGUUGGGUUCUCAAACUCCAAACAACAUAAGGCAAUUCUCUUAUCCAUUUUCCUGCGAAUUUUUCGUUUUUAUCAAAGACCCUUUUUCUAAGUGCCUCCAAUAUCAUUCCGUUGGCUCGCUCAACCUGCCCGUUGGCUCUCGGAUGGGCUACAAAUGCAUACUUGAUCUGAAUGCUUUUUUCCUCGCAGAAGUCAAAGAAUUCUGAACUGGUGAAGUUGGAUCCCAAGUCAGUGAUGAUACUGUUUGGUAUCCCAAAUCUGAAUAUUAUGCUUUGUAUGAAUUCCACGGCUUUAGCAGAGGUUAAAGAGGCAAUGGGCUGGAACUCUAUCCAUUUAGUGAAUUUGUCAAUUGCCACCAAUACAUGGGUGUAUCCUCCUUGAGCUUUCUUGAAAGGUCCAAUCAUAUCCAAUCCCCAGCAUGCGAAAGGCCAAGUUACUGGUAUGGUCUGUAGCUGCUGUGCUGGCAUGUGCUGUUGCUUUGACAGGUAUUGGCAAGCUUCGCAUCUCUGAACUAACUCGGCUGCAUCGUUCUUCGCCGUCGGCCAAUAGAAUCCUGACCUGAAAACCUUCCCGACUAAUGUUCUGGAUGCUGCGUGUACUCCACACUGCCCUGCAUGGACUUCCUCCAGAAGUUGCUGCCCGGUGGACGGGAGAACGCACUUCAUGAGGACGCCUGACGCGGCCCUCCUGUAUAAUACCUUCCCGAUGAGUGUAUAGUGAGCUGAUUGUCUGGCAAUGCGCUCUGCCGAGUUCUUGUCAUCUGGUUCUUCUUCAUUCUUUAUAUACUUAAUAAUCGGUUGCCUCUUGUCAUCAGAGUCUGACUCGGGUUGAUCUAUGAUGUUGCAUUCUUCUAUUUGAUCCGUCGAGACGCUCGGCUGGAGAAUUUCUUGCACGAAGACCCCGGGCGGGACCUGAGUCCGACCGGAUCCGAGCUUGGACAGUACAUCGGCCGCCGUGUUCCGAUCUCUUUCUAUAUGAUGAAACUCCAGACCUUCGAAUUUAUCUUCUAGCUUUCGGACGGCGGCGCAGUAUCUUCCCAUUGAAUCACUUGAACAAUCCCAUUCCUUGUUUAUCUGACUGAUGACUACCAGAGAAUCUCCAUACACCAUCAGUCUCUUGACACCCAGUGAUAUGGCGAUGUUUAAUCCGUGUAUCAAAGCUUCAUACUCGGCUGCAUUGUUAGAGGUCGGGAAUAGCAACUGGAGAGCAUACUUGAGGUGCUCGCCUCCAGGUGCAGUGAAGAGAAUCCCUGCUCCUGCUCCCUGCAGCUUCAGCGAGCCAUCAAAAUACAUUCGCCAUACUUCUGCCGUUUCUGGAUUGUCUGGAACUUGCUGUUCUGUCCACUCUGAUACGAAAUCGACCAGUGCUUGAGUUUUGAUGGCAGUGCGAGGUCGGAACUCGAUAUCAUGGGAUCCCAACUCGCAAGCCCACUUGGCUAUUCGGCCAAUGGCUUCCUUGUUGUGAAGAAUAUCCCCUAUUGGAAAACCAGUGACUACUAUGACUUUGUGGUCGUCAAAGUAGUGGCGCAGCUUGCGGGCAGUUAGAAGUACUGCAUAUAAUAGCUUCUGAACUUGAGGAUACUUUUUCUUCGAUGGACCUAGAACCUCACUGAUGAAGUAGACAGGAUGUUGUACCGGAUAGGCAUGCCCUUCUUCCACUCGCUCGACUACCAACGCAGUGCUUACCACGUGAGUCGUGCAAGAGAUAUAUAGUAGCAAAUCUUCAGCUGGUUGAAUCGGCGUAGCUCGCCGGGGCGGCUUUAGUACUGGUGGUGUUGUCAGGAAUUUCUUCAGUGCAUCUAGAGCUUCUUGUGCUUCUGACGUCCAUUGAAACUUAUCCACCUUCUUGAGCAGUUUGUAAAAUGGCAGACCUUUUUCUCCCAGCCUGGAUAUGAAUCUGCUCAGGGCUGCCAUACAUCCAGUGAGUCGCUGAACCUUCUUUUGCGACCGAGGGGCUUCCAUCUUCAUGAUAGCUUCAAUCUUAUCUGGAUUAGCUUCAAUUCCCCGGUGGCUGACAAUAAAUCCGAGUAACUUUCCUGCUGGUACCCCGAAGACACAUUUCUCAGGAUUGAGCUUCCAUCUAUAUCUUCUCAGGCUGUUGAAAACCAGCUGUAAGUCUUCGAUGAAGUUUUCCGGAUUCUCCGUUUUAAUCACCACGUCGUCUACGUAAGCCUCCACACGCUUGCCCCAGUGAUCGGCUAAGCAUGUUUGAAUGGCUCUCUGAUAAGUCGCUCCAGCGUUUUUGAGGCCGAACGGCAUGGAGGUAUAACAGAAAGCACCAAACGGGGUGAUGAACGCCGUUUUUUCCUCGUCUUCUUUUGCCAAACUAAUCUGAUGAUACCCGGAAUAGCAAUCUAAGAAAGACAGCACAGAACAUCCAGCGGUGGAAUCCACCACCUGAUCUAUCCUCGGGAGCCCGAAGGGAUCCUUCGGACAGUGUUUGUUGAGAUCAGUAUAGUCGACGCACAUGCGCCAAUCCACUUUAUUCUUUUUGAGUACAAGAACAGGGUUGGCUAACCACUCGGGGUGUAAUACUUCUCUAAUAAAUCCGGCCGCGACCAAGCGAGCUAACUCGGCACGAAUGGCCUCUCUCUUGUCGGGCGUGAAACGACGCAGCUUUUGCCGGAUCGGCCUCGCCUGAGGAUAGACUUUCAAUUUGUGCUCGGCCAACUCCCUCGGGACUCCCGGCAUAUCCGCAGGUUGCCAUGCGAAUACGUCUCGGUUAUCUUGCAGGAACUGGACGAGCGCGCUUUCCUAUUUGUCAUUCAAACUGGAGCUGAUGAUGGCCGCCUUGCGCUCAUCGGCAAACCCCAGGUUGAUCCGCUUGGUUUCUUCAGUCGGCCGCAUAGAGGUCGCGGCCUGAGCUUCGUUUGCCGGCACGGCGAGGUCUUCCUCAGGCUUAGAGUUCGCCGGUGUAGAAGGAACUGUUGACGGCUUGGUGGUGAGGGCUGCUUGGAUGGCCACUCGGAAACAUUCUGCGGCGCCUUGGAAGUCGGCGCGCACAGUUAUGAUUCCUUGCGGUCCUGGCAUCUUCAGUAUCAUGUAGGUAUAGUGCGGGAUGGCCAUGAAUUUGGCUAGCCCCGGCCUUCCGAUGAUGGCGUUGUAACCGCAGUCGAAGUUCGCCACCUCGAACCUCAGGAACUCGGUUCUGUAGUUAUCCGGAGUCCCGAAGGUGACCGGCAUGUAGAUGUGGCCCAGCGGGUAUUCCCCUUCCGUCGGCACGAUGCCGAAGAAAGGAGUGUCUGACUCGUGGAGCUCUUUGAGGUGAACUCCCAAGCCUUGGAGCGUACGGGGGAAGGUGACGUUGAUGCUGCUCCCCCCGUCCACUAGCACCUUCUUUACCCGGCUCUCUCGGAUCACCGGAUCGACGAGGAGCGGGUAUUUGCCUGGAUGGUCAAAGUUGAGCCAUUGAUCCUCCCGAGUGAAAGUGAUUGGGUGCUCCGACCACCGGUACGGGGCGGGUGGGCCGGUGGUCGCCACCAGUAUCUGGCGGUCGUUGAGCUUUUGUUGUCUUUUGUUCUCCUGCGACCCAUGUCCGCCGAAGAUGACGUUGACCUCCCUGUCAACGCGCGGGAAAGCUCCUCCUCCCCCCUCCUCCGGCUGAUGGGGCUGUCGUGGUUCACCUGGUCCUCCCCUCGGCGGAGGAGGCGGUAGGGGUUGGAAGGGUCGACCAUGUCCGACGGAGUGCUUGAAGUCCCGGCAGUUACGUAGAGUAUGGCGCAUGUCCUUGUGGUACGGGCACUGGGCGUCGAGGAUGUCGUCCAGUGUACGCUCGCCUCCACGGGGUCCUCCUCGGGCGCGAGAGGCGGGUGGUCCGGCGGCGUGUACUUCUUCACGAGGCCUCUUCUCCCAGCGUUUGUCGGGUGGCUGGUUCGCGUCGCGUCGUGGUGCUGUCGGUGUGGGUUUUGCUCCUCCGAUGAGGUCCUGGGCCCGCUCGUCGGCGGUGAUGUAGAGGUCGGCUUCCCGGAACAGCUCCUCGGAGGUAGUCGGUGCCUUUUGUAGUAUGGCUCGGACGAAAGCCGAGUCGUUAGAUCCUCUGUAGAAGUCCUCGAUCACGGCCGCCUCCGUGACCUCGGGGAUGCGGUUUCUCAUGGUCUGGAACCUUUUAAGGUAUGACCGGAGAGUCUCGUCUCCCUGGCGCUUGAUGGAUUUGAGGUCCCAUGGUUGCGCUGGUUUGUCGGAGAGAGACUGGAAGUUGGCGGUGAAGCGUCGACUGAAGUCUCCCCAGUCGUCGAUGCAGUGUCGGGGUAGAUGUCGUAGCCACUGCAGCGCAUCUUGCCCAAGGACGAUGGGCAGAUACGCGGUCAUAACGUCUUCGGAUGCUCCGGCAGCCCGAGCAGCGGUGGUGUAAACGGCUAACAACCCCCUGGAUCCUGCUUAGGUUCAUAUUUGUCGACAUUGGAUACCUUGAAGUUGGGAGGCCAUUGGAUGGCCCUAAGGCGCGGAGUAAGGGCGGAUACUCCGCACGUGUCCUCCUGUCGUCGGGGAUGUCGUCUGUCCCGGGGAGGGGAGUGGCGGUGGUGGUUCCUCGACCAUCCCCGGGGGGUUCCACCAGUUGAAGUUGUUGCCGACUCAGUUCGGGUGGCCUGGCUUUGAGUCGGGAAGCCAUGAUCUCGGUCAUACUCCUCCCGACGGUGAAUUUUGUUCUCAUGCCGCCGUUCGCGCGAAGCAUUGAUAGAGCUUCGCGCGUCUCGGCGACUGUUGAUGGCGUGUCGCAAAUCGUUCGGCGGGUGGGCGAGCGGUAGAAGAUGGUUUGCUGCCUGAGUGAACAGGCGUCGGUAUCCCUCGGCGUCGGGAGUCCGAGGAAGUCCGUCAGCUAUCCGAGCUAGAACGCCUCCGACUUCGCUUGGCGUGUUCAUAGCUCGGGCGAAGUCGGGGUUCAGGUUGCGCCCGAAGAGCGGAUUCUCGCGUCGUUGCCUUGCAUCUUGCUCGGCUUGCUCCUGAGUCCGCCGGCGAUCACGUCGUCGAGAGUUCCUUCGUUCCCUGAAGACGCGUUCUUCCGGAGUUUCUCCUAUCUCUGAGACCUCGUCUCGCGAGACAGGCUGCUCCGGAUCCCGCUCUCCGGCUGCGUGAUGUCGUCGAACGUUCCUGCGUCGGUUCCUUCGUCGGCGGGAUUCUCGCUGAGGCGGUUCUUCUCCAGGUGCGGUCGGUUCAUCGUCAGAGACGGCGGGCGACUCUGCUCUCCCGAUGAAGAGGACGUCGGGGUAGAACGGUACUGCUGUCGCGGCGACUUUCUUUCCGUUCUCCUUUGAGGCCGGAGGAACGGGAAGAACGACCUGCCUCUCCCUGGUCUCCUUCUUUCUCACGACCCGUGUCCAUUCUUUCGUCGGGGAAGUAGACAGCGGAGUCUUCCGGGUCAGCGAGCUUCUAGCUCCAGCCUCCCCGGAGACGAUCUUUUUCCGAAGAGCCGGAGGUAGCGUCUUUCCAGCAUUUUCGGAGUUUGUUGGAGGAGACUUCUGUUCCGGCAGAUCUGCGAGGCGGUGUAGAAUUCCCUCUUCGUCCGCUACGGAUGAGAUUGUCCCGAAGCAGAAUACAGAUCCGGGACGCACGGCGAUCUUGCUGUGGAAGGUGACGGCCAUUGAGCUAGCUUGGAUCGUCGACACACCCCCUACCUGGCGCGCCAGCUAUCGGUGUUUUGGGUCCGACCGCACACCCGGGGUUGCCCAUCAAGGUGUUUUUAGGAGUAGGACGGUGUCAACGACUGUAGCAAAAUGGUUCGUGCCGGUCGCACGAGGGACAAUGGACAAGAUUUGCAGGUUCGGGCCGCUUAGAAGUGCGUAACACCCUACGUCCUGGUGAGUAUAUGAGCGUGGUUACAAGAGGGUUCUCUGGAUAGAGGGCGCAGAGAGUUUAUGUGGGUGGCUAAGUAGAACAGGGUCCAUCCUCCUGAAGGGGUGCCCCCUAGGCCUUAUAUACUCGGCCGUGGAGCAGUACAUGUGAUAUGAUAACAACAAGUAGCUAAAAGAUAGUGAACCUCUUGAGUUUAUCCCUACGUAACCCUCGCCGACUUAUCCUCGCAUGGCUCUGUUGCAUGGGGGCUUCAGCGCGGGAAAGUCGGGUCUCUGUUGCGAUUCAUUCGUUCGACGUUGUGGGCCGUCUGGGUUUGCACUAAUCAGUCUCACGUCUUCUUUUCUUUGUUGGUUGUCUUUCCCUAGGCCCACGAAAGAAUGACCUUACAAAUUAUUGGGCCCUUGGGCCUUUCGUGAGGCCUUUUACUUCUUUAGUGGACCCAGGGGAUAUCUAUCCCCCACACAUGGUCCAAAGUUCGGCCUGGAUCGGAGCUGUUGGCAGUUGGGUGUCGGCCCAUUCAGCCAGGAAGUCAGCCAAGACUUGGGACUUUAUGGCCUUCUGAGGGGCGAAUGAGAGUGUUUCGCCCAUGAGUUCCACUGCCCACUUUGCUAUCCUACCCGAGGCCUCACGGCACUGGAUGAUCUCCCCCAGGGGGAAGGAUGACACCAUAGUCACCGGAUGAGACUCGAAGUAGUGUCGCAACAUUCACCGUGUCAGAAUUACUGCAUAUAGUAGCUUCUGAAUUUGUGGGUAGCAGAUCUUGGUCUCGGAUAGCACCUCGCUGAUGAAGUAGAUUGGCCUCUGGAUGAGCAGUGCAUGCCCUUCCUCUCGUCUCUCGACUACGAUCGUGGCACUGACCACCUGAGUGGUUGCGGCUACGUAGAUCAAGAGGGCUUCUCCCGCGGCGGGGGGCACCAAGAUGAGCGCAUUGGUAAGGAGUGCCUUAAGGUUUCUGAGGGCUUCCUCGGCCACAGGGGUCCAAGUGAAGCGCUCGGACUUCCUUAAAAGGCGGUACAAGGGCAAGCCUUUCUCGCCGAGGCGCGAGAUGAAGUGGCUCAGAGCCGCAAGGCAUCCCAUGACCCUUUGUACUCCAUUCAAAUCUUUGAUCGGUCCCAUGUUGGUGAUGGCCGCGAUUUUCUCCGGGUUGGCUUCGAUGCCUCGCUCGGAGACGACGAACCCCAGGAGCAUGCCUCGGGGGACUCUGAAGACACACUUCUCGGGAUUGAGUUUUACGCCUUUCGCUCUCAGACAUUUGAACAUCGUCUCAAGGUCAGAGAGGAGAUCGGAGGCUUUCUUCGUCUUGACAACGAUGUCAUCGACGUAAGCCUCAACCGUUUGGCCGAUGUGUUCUCCGAACACGUGGUUCAUGCACCUUUGGUAUGUUGCACCUGCAUUCCUCAAGCCAAAUGGCAUAGUAGUAUAACAAUACAUACCAAAAGGUGUGAUGAAAGAAGUCGCGAGCUGGUCGGACUCUUUCAUCUUGAUUUGGUGAUAACCUGAAUAGGCGUCGAGGAAUUACAGGGCUUCGCACCCAGCGGUGGAGUCCACAAUUUGGUCGAUGCGAGGCAGAGGGUAGGGAACCUUCGGACAUGCUUUGUUCAACCCGGUGUAGUCGAUGCACAUCCUCCACUUCCCACCAUUAUUUUUCACAAGCACAGGGUUAGCUAACCAUUCAGGAUGGAAUACCUCUUUGAUGAACCCUGCAGCAAUAGCUUGUGGACCUCCUCGCCUAUGGCCCUGCGCUUUUCUUCGUCGAAACGGCACAGAUGCUGCUUCACGGGUCGGGCUCCGGCUUGGAUGUCCAGUGAGUGCUCGGUGACAUCCCUCGGUAUGCCGGGCAUGUCCGAGGGACUCCACGCAAAAACUUCGGCGUUUGCGUGGAGAAAGUCGAUGAGCAUUGCUUCCUAUUUGGGGUUGAGCUCGGAGCCGAUCCUGACAUGCUUGCCAUCAUCGUUGCUGGGGUCGAGAGGAACGGAUUUAACCGCCUCAGCUGGCUCGAAGUUGCCGGCGUGUCGCUUCGCAUCUGGCCCCUCCUUGGAGAGGCACUCCGGGUCGGCGAUGAGGGCCUCGGACUCGGCGAGGGCCUCAGCGUACUCCACGCACUCCAUAUCGCAUUCGUACGCGUGUCGAUACGUGGAUCCGACGGUGAUGACCCCGUUGGGGCCCGACAUCUUGAGCUUGAGAUACGUGUAGUUGGGGACGACCAUGAACUUGGCGUAGCAUGGCCUUCCAGCACCGCGUGGUAGGUCCCUCGGAACCCGACCACCUCGAACGUGAGGGUUUCUCUUCGGAAGUUGGAAGGAGUCCCGAAGCAGAUGGGCAAAUCGACCUGUCCAAGGGGUAGGACACGCUUUCCGGGGACGAUCCCGUGAAAGGGCGCCGCGCUGGCCCGGAUCGUGGACAGAUCGAUUCCCAAGAGUCCUAGGGUCUCGGCGUAGAUGAUGUUGAGGCUGCUGCCUCCGUCCAUGAGGACCUUAGUGAGCUUAGCAUUGCCGAUGACAGGAUCGACAACCGCGGGUACCUUUCCUGGGCUCGGCACGCGGUUGGGGUGGUCGCCUUGGUCGAAGGUGUUGGGCUUGUCGAACUAGUCUAGGUAGACUGGCGCCGCCACCUUCACCGAGCAGACCUCUCGGCGCUCCUGCUUGCGGCGCCGAGCCUAGGCGUUCGCCACUUGCCCACCAUAGAUCAUGAAACAGCCGUGGAUCUCCGGGAACUCCUCUGCCUUGUCGCCCUCUUUCUUGUUGUUGUCUUGGCCAUUGCCAUCUUCCGGCGGGGGCCCAGCCUUAUGGAAGUAGCGCCGAAGCAUGACGCAUUCCUCAAGGGUGUGCUUGACGGGACCUUGGUGAUAGGGGCACGACUCCUUGAGCAUCUUGUCGAACAGGUUGGCCCCUCCGGGAGGCUUUCAAGGGUUCCUGUGCUCGGCAGCAGCGACAAGAUCAGCGUCAGCGGCGUCGCGCUUUGCUUGCAACUUCUUCUUGGCCUUCUUCUUCGUGCCCCGCUGGGCGGACGCCUCGGGGAUGUCUUCUAGCUGCCUCUCCUGAGGCUGCUUGUCCUUCCGGAAGAAUGCUUCGACCGCCUCCUAACCAGAGGCGAACUUGGUGGCGAUGUCCAUCAAUUCACUCGCCUUGGUGGGAGUCUUGCGCCCAGUUUGCUCACUAGAUCUCGGCAAAGUGGUGCCGGCGAGGAACGCCCCGAUAACAUCCGAGUCGGUGAUGUUGGGCAGCUCGGUGCGCUGCUUCGAAAACCGCCGGAUGUACUCUCGGAGGGACUCCCCUGGCUGCUGGCGGCAGCUUCGGAGAUCCCAGGAGUUCCUAGGGCGCACGUACGUGCCUUGGAAGUUUCCAGCGAAAGCCUUGACCAGGUCGUCCCAGUUGGAGAUCUGCGCGGGAGGCAGAUGCUCCAGCCAGGCCCGGGCGGCGUCGGAGAGGAACAGGGGGAGGUUGCGGAUGAUGAGGUUGUCGUCGUCCGUCCCUCCCAUCUGGCAGGCCAGCCGGUAGUCUGCAAGCCACAGCUCCGGCCUCAUCUCCCUCGAGUACUUGGUGAUAGUAGUGGGGGCUCAGAACCGGGCUGGAAAUGGUGCCCGUCGUAUGGCCUGGCUAAAAACUUGCGGACCUGGUGGCUUGGACGAUGGACUCCGUUCCUCCUCGCUGUCGUAGCAUCCUCCGCGCCUGGGGUGGUAGCCUCGGCGCACCUUCUCGUCGAGGCGGGCUCGACGGUCGCGACGGUGUUGCUCGUUGCCGAGGCGAUCCGGGGCCGCAGGCGUCCCGUCCCGCGUGCGCUCGGCGUGGGCCGAGGCCUCUCGUAUGCGUCGGGAGGACGUUGCGUGAUGCUCCGAGGGGCACCCUCGCCUUCGGGAAGCGGAGCUUUCGGCUUGUCGGACCACGACAUGCUCCAGGAGAUUCUUGAGUUUGCCCUGGAUACGCCGUCCCUCGGUGGUGGAUGGCUCCGGCAUCGUUCGGAGCAGCAUCGCUGCUGCAGCCAGGUUCUGGCCGGUCUCGCUGACGACCGGGGGCAGCGCUGCUCUGGCAUUGUCAACGAUACAGCGCUGGACGUCCUGGGUCCGACACACUUCUCCGACUAGUGCUUGGCCUGUCCACUCCUGCUCUAUGUUUUGCCGGAGCUGCACAAGUCGCCCUGCCUCCUCGUCGAGCUUGGCCUACAUCUCGCGGAUUUGCUCGAGCUGUAUGUCCUGACCCCCCGUAGGGACUGGGACCACAGCUAGCUCCCGCGGGAUGUCAACGCGAGACGCAGGCGCAGGGGGGUCAUUCUCCGGCAUACUGAGGUGGUUGCCUUCGUUGAGAUCCCCCAGAUCGACGUGGAAACAUUCGCGACUUGGGCCAUAACCCUCGUCGUCAAGGCUAUGGCUAUCAUCAGAGCAACCGGAGAGGUAGUAGUCACAUGCGGUCAUGAAGUCUCACAUGGCACUGGGAUCACGGAGCCUGGAGAAGUCCCAACCGGAGUUGGGACCAUUGUUUUCCUCGGAACCCGGGGGCCCGUAGGUUGAGACGGCCGCCAGUUGGUCCCAGGUUGACUACAUAUGGUACACCGGAGGGUUAGGAUAUGCCCUAACGAGAGCGCUCACCGAAGCGGAGUCGCUUGGUGGAUCAAAGCUGAAUCGAAAGGGCACGGGAUGGAAAACAGACGGUACCUCUUGGUCGAUGGACGGUGGUGAGGUCGCGUCGGGGACGGAGCGCACCGUCAUCUCAGGUACGAGGCUAACGCCCAGCAAGUCCUUCGCGAGGGUGCUGGCAUCGUCAGUCCGCUUGUCAUUGGCGCGUUGCGAGGAAGCGACACCCGUCGUUGUCUCAGGUGCGAGGACGACGCCCGGCGUGUCCCCCGCUGGGGUGCAGGUAUCGUCGACUCGCUCUGGAGCGACAAUCGACGAGGUGCUGCCUCUUGCCUGGCCACGGUUGCCCCGUCUCCUCCUCCUGCAGCGAGGAGGGUGGCGAGGCAAACCCGAAUGCUCCUCUUCCGCCACGGGGGGAAGACGCCGUCGAGUUCGCGGCCGCCGGGCGAGCCGACGACCGUCAUUGUUGUCGUGUCGCGAGGGGAGGAGUACCAUGUCGUAGCUGCCGUCGAGGGACAUGAACUCGAGACUCCCAAAGCGAAGCACCGUCCUGGGCUGAAGAGGUUGGUGAAGACUCCCCAUCUGGAACUCAACGGGAAAGAGUUCGUUAACACGCAGCAGGCCCCUACCUGGCGCGCCAACUGUCGGCGUUUCGGACCUAGGGGGUCCCUGGACCGACUAGUAAAUUUGUCGCUGCGUGCCCCUGCCCAGAUGGGUUGGUGCGAGAUGGAACACAAGGGGGGAAUGAGACUUGUAUUAUCCUGCACCAGGGUGCUUGUAGUAGGGGAUACAAGCGCGUCGCGAGGGAGAGAGAGAGGGAGCCUAUUCGUUAGCUCGUCCCUCCGCGCGAACCCUCCUCCAGGAAGGCCCUGGACCUCCCUUUUAUAGAUGCAAGGAGAGGGUCCAGAUGUACAAUGGGGGGUGUAGCUAGGUGCUAACGUGUCCGGCAGAGAGGUGCCUGAGCCCUGUGUACAUGCCAACGUGGCUGUCGGGGGAGAGCCUGAGCCCUGUAUGCGUGAUAAUGUGGCCGUUGGGGGAGAGCCUGAGCCCUGUAUGUGUGAUAACGUGGCCGUCGAAGAAAUGCCUGAGCCCUGUAUGAAGCAUAGCUGGCGGUGCGGCUGGGACCCUGCUGGUGUCUCCUUGCUGUCGUAAGGGGCUGAGAACCACCGACAUCAUGGUCGCACGCGGGGCACCAUCAUUACCCGUUGCCGGGGUAAGCUAUAUGGGACGUCGGUCUUGUCCCUUGUAGCCCGAGCUAGCUAGGAGCAGGGUAAUGAUGUUUCCCCUGUGGCGCGGUCGGUCCGAGCCCAAGUUCGGGCGAGGCGGAGACUUCUCCUGAGGCCGAGGCUGGGGUCGGGCGAGGACGCGAUUCCUCCCAAGGUCAAGGCAGAGUCCGAGUCUUGGGGUCGGGCGAGGCAGAGAUCUCCUCCCGAGGCCGGGGCCUGAGGUCGGGCGAGGCGGAGCUUCCUGUUGCGCCUGAGGCUGGUCUCGGCUGUUGUCAACCCCUCUCGCGUGGUUGGCACAGCAGUCGGAGCGGGGCGAACGACGCUGUUUUCCUGUCAAGUCUGUCAGUAAAGGGGGCGAAGUGACUGCGGUCACUUCGGCCCUGCCGACUGAGGCGCGUGUGUCAGGAUACGGAGUCAGGUGAUCCUCGCAUUGAAUGCGCCUGCGAAGCUGUCGGAUGGCGAGGCGGUUUGGCCAAGGUUGCUUCACAGCGAAGCCUGCCCGAGCCGGGCUUCGGGAGAGCCGAGGGUGUGCUCACUGCCUGAGGAGGCCCUCGGGCGAGGCGUGAAGUCAUCCGGGACUACUGUUCCCGCCCGAGGCUGGGUUCGGGCGAGAUCGCGCCAUUUGGGUAGACGAAGCCUUGACUUGAACCGUGCCCAUCAGUCCUUAUGGUUUGUCCUGAUGGUGUCUACCAGCCGUUUUUAGGAGUGUUGGGGGUACCCCUAAUUAUGGUACCCGACACAUUUAUAAGAGUAUGAUUCAAUCUUAUUUUCCAGUAUUAUCUAACAUGUUUGUCCAUUAGGAUAGAUCUGAUCAAAUUAGAUGGGAUUAGAAUUAAAUUGGUGUAAUCAGAUAAGAUCUACUUAAUUUAUUUUGGAAUAGAUCAUAUUUGUUACACUAUAAAGAGAUAAGCAAAGUGGUGGGGAUAAGUAUGCUUAUUUGAACAAUAUGAAUCUCUAAGAAUAGGAUAGAAUCUUUUGAGAUUAGUUAGAUCUUUUAGGAUAGGAUAGAAUCCUUUCAAGGAGAGAUGAGUCUAUUAAGGUAAGAGAGUAUCUUUUAAGAUAAGAGAAACUAUUAAGAUAAGAAAGAAUCUUUCAAGAUAAGAUUGAUCUAUUAAAUUAGAUACACUUUAAUGGAGAUUAAUCUAGUCUCAUGAAUUUUAUUUAUUAAAGAUUAUGCCUAUACGUAUAUGUAGAUUUAAUUGUGGGCGUUACUCCACAACUAAUCACACUCAAUCAAAGAUCCAAAUCAUGCAUGUAUCAUAAGAACAAACACUCAAGCGUAUAGAUACCCAUAAAAAUAGUUUUGUUUUUGUUCCUAAGAGUAGGUCUCCUAUUCCUAAAGGUCACUUUAGGCACGUGAUUUCAAAGUGUGAAAUCCACAUUUGUCUUUAGAAAGAAAAGGUAAGAACAAUCAGAGUAAAGCAGAAAUAGAUGAGAAAAGAUUAAGAUAAGUUUAGAAAAGAAUCAGAGUAAGGUAAGUAGGUAAGGGUUUGUCCAUUUCUAUCUAGGUUUUGUCCUACAGUCAACAUUUCCUCUGAUACCACUUCUGUAACACCCGGUUUCUAAGGGACAAAGCUGGGUGCAUCUCAUACAUGCGCCAAAGAAGACAACACAUAUAAUAAUAGAGUGUAUAGAGAUAAAUGUCACAAUAAUCAGAGUACUUAUUACAUAGCGGAAGACUUAAAAAAAUAAAAGAUAAAUAUAGCAAGAUCUAAAAUCCAUCCUUGGUGCCAGAAAGUCAACUAGGAGACGCAACCUAGAUCGAAUCGAACUCCUCGAUGCGUGGCUCCACUUGAACCACCUGUUCUUCUCCUGUGGGGGAGGGUGUGAGACAGCAAGGGUGAGCUCACACAUGUUCAUCGCUCAACAAGUUGUGGGGAAUAAUGUGGCAUGAACUCACCAAAGGUGGGAAUUCAUGUGAAGUGUAAGGCUGAUCAACAAAAUAAAGGUUGAAGCUGAGCAUUGCUUUUAUAAGUUGGUCAAAAUUUUAUUAGCAAUUACUAAGUAUAAGUAGAUACCAAACCAUAAUAAUAAUAGAACAAAAUUAAUAAAUAAUCCCAUGCAAAUGCAAAUGACAAUUUGAGUUUAAGUUCCAUAAAUUAAUCAUGUGAGGGUCCGAGCCGCUCAUGACUGUGAGCACGGCUAGUAUACCAGUUUUACACUCUGCAGAGGUUGCACAUCUUUACCCACAAGCCAUGUUACCCAUCUGCCAAGGGGUCAUGAAUCCCAUACACCUCUACCAAGGAAGUGAGGCAGGGUAACACUACGAGGCCUUUACAAAGUUCCACUAGCUUCAGAAAACCCGCUACAGUUUAUAGGAAGCUCCAGUGCAGGAAUCCCUCGCCUGACCGCCAUCGCAGCAAAAUCAACCCAAGUACCUUCCUACACUGACCACUCCCCUACUGCCCUUGCCCCUUUUGGGUAAGGUAGUCAUCCACUAGCUUUCCUAGUUAAUCAGCCAAGGGCGUCCCAUUAAACCCUUGUGGUAGCACUGUUUCCCCGGGUGGUCGCUCCAUGUUCCAAUUAACAUAAUGAUCUUAUCAUGAAUAUAAAUAACAUAACAGAAUAAUUGGAACAUGGAUAUAAUAAAAUAUUAAUCCCAAAAUCAUAUAGAGCAAUAGCAUAACGACCCAAGUGGUUCAGGGAUAAACAAGGUAAAAAGGAUAACCAAUCUAGGGUGACCUAUUGGGUCCCAUCAAAAGUAAACCUAUGCAUUGAAUAGUGAUAAUAAAGAAUAUUAUUGGGUAACUAAAGUGGAUCAAGGGCACAACUUACCUGGCACUUGAGAUUUCAGUUACUAGGGUGAUUCUUCAGAUCCUCGUGACUGCACUGCUAGUCGUAGCAAUACAAACAAACAUGGUAUAGAUAAAAUCAAUAUCACACCAAACAUGAGAACAAAUUAAAUAAUAAUGAUCUACGCGAAGCUACAAGAUCGUGGGAACGAGAACCACUAAAAUCGGAGUUACGAUUAAGGAGUUAUGAUCUAUAAAAGCUCUACGUAAUUUAAAUAUUAAACUUAUAUUAUAAAUUGGUUAGUAUAGUGUUGGGGACUUGUUCUCAAAUGCUAUGAAUUAAGAACAAGGCAACAUAGAAAAUAUUAAAUGUCAUAGUUCUUUGUCCUUCGAAGCAUUAUUUCCCUUGGGAUAUAAUGGAUUCCAGACGAAGGUUAUGAAGGUUAUACCUUCAUAAACACAACAAAUAAUGAGAAAGGGUAAAAAAUAUGUAAAAUAAUUUAAACACAUGAUUAUUAUUAUUAACUCAUUUCUAUUUCAUUAUUGUAGAAAUGAUAACAAGUUACAAAUGUACCUUCGGCUUGAAGGAAAGCAAAAAUACCAGCGUGAAGCAAAAACAAAUGCCCAAAGCGUGAUUACAGGAGAGCGCCUGAACAGUACAUGGGUACUAUUCACCUAUUUAUAGGCACAGUUCAUAGCUUGUAUAUAAUUACAUUUAUACCCUUUACACUGAACUACAAUAAUGACACAGAAUAUCAUGGGUCUUUAAGUCAUUUCAUCUUUAAGUCGGUUCACCCCUUCGUCUUGAGACAUGUCACUGUGCCGAAGCUUUAUAGUCGAUAGCUUCGGCGCUGCUUUGGAGAGGAUCUGCCGAAGGUGUUCAUUUCUUUAGGAUCUUCGGCUACGAAGCAUACCCCCAAUAGUAGCCCCUUCGCGGCGCUAGAUCGUUUUUUGUAACGAGCUUGAUCCGUGAAAAAUCUUCUAAGCUUCGGGAUGCCGAAGAUCCAAAAAACACCUUCCCUGAGCUCGUUGGCGAGAAACGAUUAAAAUAAUCGUCGGACGCGCGACCCAUCUUGCACCAAUUACACGCUCGCCAGCAAUUCACCUUCUCGAGCUAUGUGGCCCACCGUUCAGUGAGUGCGGGUGACUGUUUGUUCGGUGCUGGAGACCUUGCUGAUUCACCUUCCCACCUGCAGCACUAUAUAAACAGACGGGUAGAUGUGAAGUUACCACAUCAUUCAUUGCUAUUGUACUGUUUUGCUGCCAAAUUUUUAGUCAGAGCCGAAGCUUGAUCAUUGCGCUCAUACAAAAUCUGCUUUGGCGCAAGUGGAAGAGCUUCGGAAAAGACAAAAAAAAACCAAUUCAAAAAAUUUCAAGUAAGUCAUAAUCAAAUGGCCAGAGUUCGCUCUACUGCAAGAGUCGAUCGCGAGGGAGACGAAACCGAAGCUGUGGAAACUGUUCCUAUCUCGGAAGCAAUGAAGCGAUCUGGGUUGGUGGCACCAGAAGACGUCCCUGUUGCUGAAGCAGAGCAAGCAGAUAUUGAAGAGACCGAUUCUGAAGAUGAUUAAAACAUCGCAGUGCCGAGCAAGCCUAGCCACCUGGACUUCGGAAAGUCGACCAUCUCCAAAGCUGAUUUUCCUAAGAUGGUGAAGUCGGGCUACUUUAGCGAAGAUAAGAAAGAGCUGAUUCGCUUCUGUGGAGAAGAAACUACUCCGAAGCCACAGAAAGAUGAAAUAGUGAUUUUCAAGAGUUUCCUCAAAGUUGGUUUGAGAUUUCCUUUGAAUAGGAUGAUUGCCGAUGUGCUAAAGAAGUUUGGGAUCCACUUUCAUCAACUAACUCCUAACGCUAUUGUUAGGCUUAGUGUUUAUAUUUGGGCUCUCCGAAGCGAGGGGGUGGAACAGUUUGCCGAAGGUUUCUGCCGGGUGCACGAGCUACAUUACCAAACCAAGGUCAGAAAGGAUGGGUUACAUGAAAAUUUUGGUUGUUACAAUUUUGCCUAUCGGAAAACUACAAAAUUUCCUGUGAUUAGCUACCGAAGCAAGUGGCCGGCAGGCUGGAAAUCGGAAUGGUUCUACGUCAAAGUUGACGAUGACAAGGAGAAGCUGGUCCAGAGUCCGCUUGAACUGAUCUUCGGAGAAACCAGACCCCAAUGCAAUAUGACACCAGAAGGUCCAACCCAAACUGCGUUGGCUGAAUUCAGGAUUAUCGCAGAGCACAUUGGCACUAGAGAUUUAGUGCAAGAAUUUUUGGCUUUCAAAAUAUUUCCAACUAUGAAGGAAUGGGCUAUGCCGAAGCUUGAAAGAGAGAAGAAAGAGGGGGAGCUUGUCCGACUGCCCUACCACUAUAAGUUCAAGAAAUAUUUCAAAGCACCCUGUCAAGAAUGGCUCGAAACAAUCGAAGUAAUGAGCACUGAAAUUCUUGGGAAUUAUUCUAAAAAAGAGGAUCAAUUGAUGACAGCAGCCUUCGGCACCCGGCCGAAACGAAGGCUAAACAGAGUGCUUGAUGCUAUAGGCUUUGAAUAUCCUGAUUAUGAGCGACUUGACAAGGGUGCCGAAGGGCAGAAAAGGAAAAGAGUAGCCGACGCUUUGAUCAAAGACGGCGAAGAUCAAUCAAAAAAGAAGAAAGAAAAGUUUGAAUCGAAAGUGUUAACUUCGAAGAAAAGAAAGGACUCAAUCCCGGAACAAAAAUCAAUUGAUGAAGAAGAGAAGGCUUCUGCGACAUCUUCUUACGCUGAAAUAGAGGAAAUUCUAAAGGUAAUGACUGAAACUUUGCCUGUCAAACUAAGUCCAUUGGGGCUUCAUCUGACGAAGCUUUUUCAUAAUGAAAAGGAGCCCGCAAAGACAAAGGCAUCUAGGCCAAAAAGACAAAGGAUUGUUACCGUGACAGAAGUGAUUGAAACAACACCACCAAGAGCUCCAGCUCUGAAGAUGCCGUCAAUUGAAAUCAUGACAGCUACUGAAGCUGUACCUUCGGAGGCUGCCGCAGAAGAGGCCAGAGCCGAAGAUGCUAACUCCGAAGGUAUUAAUUUAGAGAGCAUAGCCGCUGAUAUAGAUAAAAUGCUGCUAAACAUGGCCGCUGAAGAAACUGCUGCAGCCACCGAAGAGACCACGGCUGCCAAACCCGAGAAAGAAGGAAUAACCGAAGAUACCUCGGAAGAUGAAACUUUUGACUUCCGAAACUUAGUUGGCCAGGAGCUGACUGAAGCUGAAAAAGAGGAAUUAAAAGAGUAUGCUAUAUCUUGUGGAUAUCGGCCGAGGUCGCUUCUCUUCGGUGGUAUUGAUGAUGAAGGGUUAGGCUGCAUACGAGACCAAACCGGUGCGAAAGUUGUCGGUACUUUAUCAAAGAGUAUCGGCUUCCCGAAGCUUGAAGCGGAUAUCAGCCGCUAUCGUCGACAACAUAUUGUCGGCAGUUUAUUCUAUUCUAAUUUCAAGGUAAACAUUUUGUGUCUAACUCUUAUUACUUGUGGUACGAAAAUAUUUUCUAACGAAGGCUAUUUGUCCACAGAGCAUACUUUUGAGCAAGGCAUUAAAAAUGCAACAAGACUUAGAGGAUAAAAGACAAGAAGUUAUAAUUGAAAAUUUAGAUAACAAAAUAAAGGAGCAAUCUGCUGCCAUUGAGAAGAAAGACCUCGAGCUACAAACACCCGAAGGUUUAUUAGUUGAUGCUGAAACAAAAAUAACAGAAUUAAAAGCGAAGCUUCUUUCCCAGUCAGAAAAUUUUGAACAAGAGAAACUGAAUCUUGAUGCAAAGCUUGAAGCCGAAGCUCAGAGAAACUUGGAACUGAAAGAAUCUUUGAAAAAUCGUCAAAAUAAACGUUUGGAGUUCUGCACUCGAUGCAUUCAUCAGUUAAAGCAAGUGUUCCAUUUUGUCGGAGCCAGUAGUGAAGAGUUUACUCCUUCGGCCGAAGACCUGUCUGGUGCCUUCGAGCAUAUUGAAGGUGAAAUUAAUGAUCUUGACGAAGUUAUAGCUGGGCAUAGCGACUUCUGUGCCCUGGCAGCUUCUCGGGGCACAUCCGUUGCUUUUUUGAAGUCUGACUAUGAACACGGCAAGAUUGUUAAUAGACCCAACUUCAGCCUGUCACCGGCAGACCUAGAUGAUGUUCCCAAUCUGGCUCGGAGUAUUGCAAAUAGAUUUAUAAAGUUAGUAUGGACAAAGGGUGGUCGGAGCAAAGCUAGUGACGAAGCUCGGAGCCACCUCAAGCUGGUAACAAAAUCAUACCUUAUGCUUACCUUUUCCUUUGAAUUUUUGAAUUUGGCUUAUAAUACUUUCGUACAGAUUGACCAGGCCGAAGCUGCAGCUGCAGAGUAGAAGAACGAAGCUCCAGAGAUAGUGUCGAAGCUUGAAUAAUCUUGUAAAAGUAGCUCAAAAAACUCGUGUAAUAACUUGUAUAAAAUAUGAUGUAAUCUGAAUUUUACUUUGUAAUAUAAUCUUACUUUUCUGUCCAUGUAUGAAAUGCUUUGGUGUGGACGAAAUUAAUACUUUUGAGCCAUAGGCGAAAAACACCUUCCCUUCUUUGCGUACACAGCGAAGCAUAAAAUUGCCUUCCUUUCGGGACCGAAGCAUGUUUGUAUGUUAUGCUGAUGAUGAUCCUAUGUAUGUCUAAGUGAAUGUUUAUGAAUGCAAAUGUCAUGAUGUAAUGUAUCGUGCAAAUGAAUGUUCAAAUACAUAUUCGAAACCAUAUUCCCUUGGGAAUGACUCAAAUUUUCUUUGCCGCUUAUUUUUCGGCUUCACCGUUUAUUUUUCGGUGUAUCAGCGCUGACUUUUCGUUGUAAGCCUCCCUUAGGAGCUUCUUCGCUUUUUACUUCGGCGGAAUUAGCGUUGACUUUUCGUUGUAAGCCUCCCUUAGGAGCUUCUUCGCCUUUUACUUCGGCGGAAUCAGCGUUGACUUUUCGCUGUAAGUUCUGCAUUUCCUUGGGAACGACUUUUGAGCUUCUCCUUGUUUCCUUUUCUUUUUUCUUUGCACUCGAUGGUGCUUCCUCAGCUUUUACAUUUACAUUUUGGGGGAUUUUGCUCUUAUAGAGCUGAAGUAAAAAAAAGAAAUUACAUGCUAUGGCCCCAUUAAAAACCUUUCUCCCCCUUUGGAAAGGAAAAAGGUGCCAUUAAAAAAGAAUAUAAAAAAUUACAUCAAGCUAGACAUAAUAUCGCCAAAGCUCAUCCGCAUUCCAUGAUCUAGGAAUGUCGUUGUUGUCCAUAUCCUUCAAUCUGUAGGAACCGGAUCUUGACGAAGAUACUACCAGAAAAGGUCCUUCCCACUUCAGCUGUAGCUUGCCUACUGUGUCUGGGUUGGCGACUCUUCGAAGUACUAAAUGUCCUGGCUUAAUAUUUUUAAGCCGAACCUUUCUGUCAUGCCAUUUUAUUGUUUCGGCUUGAUAUUUGUUGAUAUUUUCUACAGCUUGAAGCCUGAUCCCUUCUAUAGCAUCUUUUUCCACAGAGUAAUCAGCUUUAGCUUCGUCUUCUGCCAAAGCUACUAUUCUUAUUGAACCUGCUUUUGCUUCUUCCGGAAUUAUUGCUUCGUCACCAAACAACAAUUUGAAUGGUGUAAAACCUGUUGAUCUUGAUAUUGUUGUGUUGUGGCUCCACGCCACUUUGAUUAAUUCAUCUGGCCACUUUCCCCUGGGCUGAUUGAAGAUUAACUUCAUUAUUCCUGUCAUUAUGAUGCCAUUAGCCCUUUCAACGAGUCCAUUUGACUCCGGAUGCCGAACUGAUGCGAAAUGAAUCUUCGUGCCAAUUUGUUCACAAAACUCUCUGAAAGCUUCGGAAUCAAACUGCGUUCCAUUGUCCACAGUGAUGGCCUUCGACACUCCGAAGCGACAGACAAUAUUUUGCCAAAAAAACUUUUGAAUAGUAACCAAAGUUAUUGUGGCUAGAGGCUUUGCCUCAAUCCAUUUAGAAAAAUAUUCCACUGCCACCACAACAUAUCUUAAGUUCCCUUGUGCUGGUGGUAGCGGACCUAACAAAUCAAGACCCCACCUUUGCAAUGGCCAAGUGGGUUGUAUUAACUGAGUUAGAGACGAAGGUUGUUUUUGAUCUCUUGCACAUUUCUGACAACCUUCGCACUUUUGGACUAAUUCUGCUGCAUCCGAAGCUGCCUUUGGCCAAUAAAAUCCUUGACAAAAAACUUUUCCCAGCAAAGGCCUAGAUCCAAUGUGAGAUUCACACAGGCCUGCGUGUAUUUCCUUCAUCAAUUCUAUACCUUCGGCUCUGGAUAAACAUUUGAGUAGUGGAGAGCAGACCCCAUGCUUGUACAACUCCCCUUCUAUUAUGACAUAUGGUCGAGCUCUUGCCUCUAUUCUUUUGUUAUAAGCUUCAUCAUCUGAAAGAAAGUUACCCUGAAGGAAAGAGAUGAUCUUCAGUUCUCCAAUCUUCACUAUAAACAGGAGAUAUAUUGAGGACUGCUCUUUCAAGAAGUUCAACCGAAGGUGCUUUUAUUGUUUCAAAAAAUACUUCCGAAGGUAAAGGCAGCCCCUGUGCUGCUGACUUGGCUAGCAAAUCAGCAUGUUCAUUUUCUCCUCGAGGGAUAUUUCUGACAGAAAAUCCUUCAAAGGAAGCUUCGAUCCUUCGAACCGUGUCUAAUUAUUUCUCCAGCUUCGGGUCUCUUGCUUUGCAACUUUUGUGAAUAUGACCAGAAAUAACCUGGGAAUCAGUUUUAAGGAUGGCUCUUCUAAUUCCCAUUGCCUUUAACUUCUGAAGACCCAAAAGCAAAGCUUCGUACUCAGCAAUGUUAUUUGUGCAGCUGAAAUCAAGCCUUGCUGCAUAGCAAGUUUUGACUUUGGAGGGUGCGACCAAUACAGCGGCUGCUUCUGCCCCGUAGGUUCCCCAAGAACCGUCGCAGAAUAUUGUCCAGACUUCGACAUCUUUACUCGCUUCCUCUUCCUAAUUAUGAGCGACUUGACAAGGGUGCCGAAGGGCAGAAAAGGAAAAGAGUAGCCGGCGCUUUGAUCAAUGACGACGAAGAUCAAUAAAAAAAAAGAAAGAAAAGUUUGAAUUGAAAGUGUUAACUUCGAAGAAAAGAAAGGACUCAAUCCCAGAACAAAAAUCAAUUGAUGAAGAAGAGAAGGCUUCUGCGACAUCUUCUUUAUGCUGAAAUAGAGGAAAUUCUAAAGGUAAUGACUGAAACUUUGCCUGUCAAACUAAGUCCAUUGGGGCUUCAUCUGACAAAGCUUUUUCAUAAUGAAAAGGAGCCCGCAAAGACAAAGGCAUCUAGGCCAAAAAGACAAAGGAUUGUUACCGUGACAGAAGUGAUUGAAACAAAACCACCAAGAGCUCCAGCUCUGAAGAUGUCGGCAAUUGAAAUCAUGACAGCUACUGAAGCUGUACCUUCGGAGGCUGCCGCAGAAGAGGCCAAAGCCAAAGAUGCUAACUCCGAAGGUAUUAAUUUAGAGAGCAUAGCCGCUGAUAUAGAUAAAAUGCUGCUAAACAUGGCCGUUGAAGAAACUGCUGUAGCCACCGAAGAGACCACGACUGCCAAACCCGAGAAAGAAGGAAUAACCGAAGAUACCUCGGAAGAUGAAACUUUUGACUUCCGAAACUUAGUUGGCCAGGAGCUGACUAAAGCUGAAAAAGAGGAAUUAAAAGAGUAUGCUAUAUCUUGUGGAUAUCGGCCGGGGUCGCUUCUCUUUAGUGGUAUUGAUGAUGAAGGGUUAGGCUGCAUACGAGACCAAAUCGGUGCGAAAGUUGUCGGUACUUUAUCAAAGAGUAUCGGCUUCCCGAAGCUUGAAGCGGAUAUCAGCCGCUACCGUCGACAACAUAUUGUCGCCAAUGUUGGGGACUUGUUCUCAAAUGCUAUGAAUUAAGAACAAGGCAACAUAGAAAUUGUUAAAUGUCAUAGUUCUUCGUCCUUCGAAGCAUUAUUUCCCUUAGGAUAUAAUGGAUUCCGGACAAAGGUUAUGAAGGUUAUACCUUCAUAAACACAACAAAUAAUGAGAAAGGGUAAAAAAUAUGUAAAAUAAUUUAAACACAUGAUUAUUAUUAUUAACUCAUUUCUAUUUCAUUAUUGUAGAAAUGAUAACAAGUUACAAAUGUACCUUCGGCUUGAAGGAAAGCAAAAAUACCAGCGUGAAGCAAAAACAAAUGCCCAAAGCGUGAUUACAGGAGAGUGCCUCAACAGUACAGGGGUAUUGUUCACCUAUUUAUAGGCACAGUUCACAGCCUGUAUAUAAUUACAUUUAUACCCUUUACACUAAACUACAAUAAUGACACAGAAUAUCAUGGGUCUUUAAGUCAUUUCAUCUUUAAGUCGGUUCACCCCUUCGUCUUGAGACAUGUCACUGUGUCGAAGCUUUAUAGUCGAUAGCUUCGGCGCUGCUUUGGAGAGGAUCUGCCGAAGGUGUUCAUUUCUUUAGGAUCUUCGGCUACGAAGCAUACCCCCAACAGUAGCCCCUUCACGGCGCUAGAUCGUUUUUUGUAAUGAGCUUGAUACGUGAAAAAUCUUCUAAGCUUCGGGAUGCCGAAGAUCCAAAAAACACCUUCCCUGAGCUCGUUGGCGAGAAACGAUUAAAAUAAACGUCGGACGCGCGACCCAUCUUGCACCAAUUACACGCUCGCCAGCGAUUCACCUUCUCGAGCUAUGUGGCCCACCGUUCAGUGAGUGCGGGUGACUGUUUGUUCGGUGCUGGAGACCUUGCCGAUUCACCUUCCCACCUGCAGCACUAUAUAAACAGACGGGUAGAUGUGAAGUUACCACAUCAUUCAUUGCUAUUGUACUGUUUUGCUGCCAAAUUUUUAGUCAGAGCCGAAGCUUGAUCAUUGCGCUCAUACAAAAUCUGCUUCGGCGCAAGUGGAAGAGCUUCGGAAAAGACAAAAAAAAACCAAUUCAAAAAAUUUCAAGUAAGUCAUAAUCAAAUGGCCAGAGUUCGCUCUACUGCAAGAGUCGAUCGCGAGGGAGACGAAACCGAAGCUGUGGAAACUGUUCCUAUCUCGGAAGCAAUGAAGCGAUCUGGGUUGGUGGCACCGGAAGACGUCCCUGUUGCUGAAGCAGAGCAAGCAGAUAUUGAAGAGACUGAUUCUGAAGAUGAUUAAAACAUCGCAGUGCCGAGCAAGCCUAGCCACCUGGACUUCGGAAAGUCGACCAUCUCCAAAGCUGAUUUUCCUAAGAUGGUGAAGUCGGGCUACUUUAGCGAAGAUGAGAAAGAGCUGAUUCGCUUCGGUGGAGAAGAAACUACUCCGAAGUCACAGAAAGAUGAAAUAGUGAUUUUCAAGAGUUUCCUCAAAGUUGGUUUGAGAUUUCCUUUGAAUAGGAUGAUUGCCGAUGUGCUAAAGAAGUUUGGGAUCCACUUUCAUAAACUAACUCCUAACGCUAUUGUUAGGCUUAGUGUUUAUAUUUGGGCUCUCCGAAGCCAGGGGUGGAACCGUUUGCCGAAGGUUUCUGCCGGGUGCACGAGCUACAUUACCAAACCAAGGCCAGAAAGGAUGGGUUACAUGAAAAUUUUGGUUGUUACAAUUUUGCCUAUCGGAAAACUACAAAAUUUCCUGUGAUUAGCUACCGAAGCAAGUGGCCGGCAGGCUGGAAAUCGGAAUGGUUCUACGUCAAAGUUGACGAUGACAAGGAGAAGCUGGUCCAGAGUCCGCUUGAACUGAUCUUCGGAGAAACCAGACCCCAAUGCAAUAUGACACCAGAAGGUCCAACCCAAACUGCGUUGGCUGAAUUCAGGAUUAUCGCAGAGCACAUUGGCACUAGAGAUUUAGUGCAGGAAUUUCUGGCUUUCAAAAUAUUUCCAACUAUGAAGGAAUGGGCUAUGCCGAAGCUUGAAAGAGAGAAGAAAGAGGGGGAGCUUGUCCGACUGCCCUACCACUAUAAGUUCAAGAAAUAUUUCAAAGCACCCUGCCAAGAAUGGCUCGAAACAAUCGAAGUAAUGAGCACUGAAAUUCUUGGGAAUUAUUCUAAAAAAGAGGAUCAAUUGAUGACAGCAGCCUUCGGCACCCGGUCGAAAUGAAAGCUAAACAGAGUGCUUGAUGCUAUAGGCUUUGAAUAUCCUGAUUAUGAGCGACUUGACAAGGGUGCCGAAGGGCAGAAAAGGAAAAGAGUAGCUGGCGCUUUGAUCAAAGACGACGAAGAUCAAUCAAAAAAGAAGAAAGAAAAGUUUGAAUCGAAACUGUUAACUUCGAAGAAAAGAAAGGACUCAAUCCCGGAACAAAAAUCAAUUGAUGAAGAAGAGAAGGCUUCUGCGACAUCUUCUGAUGCUGAAAUAGAGGAAAUUCUAAAGGUAAUGACUGAAACUUUGCCUGUCAAACUAAGUCCAUUUGGGCUUCAUCUGACGAAGCUUUUUCAUAAUGAAAAGGAGCCCGCAAAGACAAAGGCAUCUAGGCCAAAAAGACAAAGGAUUGUUACCGUGACAGAAGUGAUUGAAACACCACCACCAAGAGCUCCAGCUCUGAAGAUGCCGGCAAUUGAAAUCAUGACAACUACUGAAGUUGUACCUUCAUUGUGUGGGUAAUCCUUGAGCUGAAGAUCCUCUUGAGAGAAGGUAAUUGGAAUGUGAGACCAUCUUGACUUGAUGAAGGGUCCUUGUACCCCUACAUGUUGUACUCUUCUCUGUGCCUCCUUCUUCUGUUUCUUGUUAGCCGGCUCUAAGCAUGAACCGCCUAUUAUCGGGAGAAUCAGCUUCGGAGCCAAAGCAAUUCCAGCUUGGUUCUUGAACGAAGCCAUUGUCUCAAGAAAGUGGAAGUGAGUUCACCGGAGGUGGGCACCAAUGUUGGGGACUUGUUCUCAAAUGCUAUGAAUUAAGAACAAGGCAACAUAGAAAUUGUUAAAUGUCAUAGUUCUUCGUCCUUCGAAGCAUUAUUUCCCUUGGGAUAUAAUGGAUUCCGGACAAAGGUUAUGAAGGUUAUACCUUCAUAAACACAACAAAUAAUGAGAAAGGGUAAAAAAUAUGUAAAAUAAUUUAAACACAUGAUUAUUAUUAUUAACUCAUUUCUAUUUCAUUAUUGUAGAAAUGAUAACAAGUUACAAAUGUACCUUCGGCUUGAAGGAAAGCAAAAAUACCAGCGUGAAGCAAAAACAAAUGCCCAAAGCGUGAUUACAGGAGAGCGCCUGAACAGUACAGGGGUACUGUUCACCUAUUUAUAGGCACAGUUCACAGCCUAUAUAUAAUUACAUUUAUACCCUUUACACCGAACUACAAUAAUGACACAGAAUAUCAUGGGUCUUUAAGUCAUUUCAUCUUUAAGUCGGUUCACCCCUUCGUCUUGAGACAUGUCACUGUGCCGAAGCUUUAUAGUCGAUAGCUUCGGCGCUGCUUUGGAGAGGAUCUGCCGAAGGUGUUCAUUUCUUUAGGAUCUUCGGCUACGAAGCAUACCCCCAACAUAUAGAUCAUAUGAGAAAUUAUUCUAUAAAUAAUUAUCUCAACUUUAAUCUAAGUCAUUAUUUUAUUAAAGCUUAUCUAGUUAAAUUAUAACCAUAAAAUUAGAAUACUAUAUUAAUAUUAAAUAAUUUAAUCUAAUAGACAUAGAUUAACCCAAUUAUAAUGUAUGGAAUAUCAUAUAAUAAAUGUUGCUAUUGUUUAGUAGAUAUUUAUAUGAAGCUAACGCAAUUGGAACGAGCUAAAUCGGAUUUAAAACGGAGGAGUUACGAAUUUCCUAAGGUUUAUGUAUUUUGCACAAGAUUAAAUAGGAUAUAAAUUUUAAUGUGACUUUCAUGUGAAAACAUGGUACUAGAUGAUAAACCGUAAUAUUACAAAAUUAUAGGAACUGGAAUGGAUUAAAAAGGAGUUAAAAUGUAUUUUCUAGGAAUUAAACAAAUUUAUGGAAUUAAUUUUGCAUUAAAAACCUUUUUCUAAAUGAAUUUCUCUGUUUUCCUAGAGGUCUGGACUGCGCGCAUGAUUAAACAGAAACCCAGGGUCUAUUGCAUAAAACGUCUAAUACUCAGGCAUACGGUCAAUGGACUGCGGGUUUAAUAAGAAGGAUUCCAGGGUCUCUUUUAAAAGACGGCCAGGGUUGAAGGGGUAUGGUUCAAUCCUGACCGUCCGAUCUAGCAUGAACGUCCCAGAUUAGAUCGCGAUUCCAGUGAACCGGUAUGCAACAAGGGACGUCAGAUCGCGGAUGAAGGUUCUGGAUUUAAAAUGUCUUGAUCAAACCGUACACGCCCGAUCGAGAUCCAAUGGUCAGAUUAGGACGCGUGAAGGGGUAUGCGCUGGUGUGAUCUCGACCGUCGAUGCCCGGACCAAUGGUCCAAAGCGCAUCGCUACACUUCUCCCCUAUCUCGACCACCAGAGCGGCCGCGCCGCCCAGGGAGCACGACGGAGGAUCGCUGGCGACACUCGAUUUGGCGCAACCGAGCCGGUGCCACAACACAACUAAGUGCUAAACGAACUAGGGCGUGCAACGAAUCGAAUGAGCUGGUCCUUACCCCAGAUUGGAGAGCCACGGAUGCAGUCCACGGCGGCUUGCGGCACGAUGGCGGAGAAGGAAGCUCGACGCCCAAUUCUGGCAACCCAGGCCGAUGACCCGAUCCGCGCGGUCCAUGGAUACGCUCCUUGACACCCGGUGACCGUCCCUGAGCUAGUCGCAGAACCGCGACCGCCGCAAGGAUCAAGAUUUGAUGCCGGCGGCAAUCCUCCCGAUGGCCGCCCCUCUCGGAUUUCUCACGGUGGGUGACGCUAAGGCGAUAGUGUGCAUAGACGGAUGGAAGAAAAGGAGAAGUGGACGACGCGCUAGACAUUAUAUGCCCAAGGUGAGUCUGUUGAGGCGUACGCUGGUGGCGAGAUUAACGGCGGGUCGUUAGGGAGGCCCUGACCAUGGUGGCGUGGGUGAGGUCCUACAGUUGUGUGCAGUUGCGAGGCGGCAGGCGGGAUCGGGUUAGGGUUGAUUGCGCCCGGUCAGCUGAAAUUGUGCGCGCCAGCGGAGAUCAGGCGCGGCGAGAUCCAGAACCGCGGAGUGUGUGGCGGUGAAAUCGCGUUCUAUUUGAGGUAGGGGAACGAGCUGACGACUGGGCCCACAUGAAAGUGAAACGGGAGCGUGCAAUGAGGAUGGCGAGCGGGUCCCACUGGACAGCCAGAGGACUUGCUGAACGCGCGAUAGGAAGCGAGACUUGCCAAAGGGGCCCGCAGUGUCGGUCUCGCGAUGAUGGCGUGCGCACGUUAGCGUGGCGCCCGGGCCCACACUUCAGCGACCCAAGUGGUGUGCAUGCUGAGAGGGCGACUGGCAUUCCAGGACCACCCGUCGGCACCGUGACCUGGAGUUGGGCUAUGCGGAGAGGGAAUUGCUAGGUAUGAAUUUCCGAAGUUUUAAGUGUUAGAUUAAAAGAAACUAAGUGCAUAAUUUAAUCUAAGUUUCAUAACAAAGUAAAUUUACUGGAUAAUAAACAAUAUUAAUAUGAGUCUAAUGCAACUUGAAUAAAUUAAUUCGGAGCUAAAAUGAAUUAAAUAUGAAUUAUACAAGUUUCUAGAUUUAUUUUUGUAUUAAAAAUAAAUUUCUACAUUUAAUUAACUAAUUUCUUUGAGCUUUGGACAGGGCGCCAAAAACAGAUAAGCAUGGGGUCUAUCUCAUAAAAAUUCCUAAGACUCAGUGUUUCAUCAGCGAGACUGCGGGUUAUUUUUGAAUAAGCCCAGGGGCUCUUCAUCAAAUUACCACGGUGUAAGUGCAAUCAACCCUGACUGAGGGUUUUGGUGAUUAAAUGACAAAACAAACAAAGUCUCUAACAAGUUUGCUCCUAGUAUGUAUUAAAGACAGGAGGCGCACAGAUUCCAUAUGUACACAAAAGGGAAAGCACAGCGGAUUAAAAAAUCUACAUCAUAUGGCGUGAUUCGAGUGCUUGUGAACAACGACAGUCUAAAUUUUACAAUUCUUGAAUAAUAGGAAUCACCGUUCAAUUAAGAGGGAUCCGCAAAAUUUGAGUAAGUUGUUGUGAUGAGCUCAGCCUAAAUCUCCUCAAAAUCCUCUAAGGCCCUGUUUGGCAUAGCUGCUGCUUGUUAAAAAAGCAGCUUAUCUGAUAAGCUGGUGAAAAGCAGCUUCUGCUUGUUGGCUACUUUUAGUGUAUUAUGAGAAGCAGCUGAACUGAUAAGCUGCUGCAGAAGCUAGCUGUUUGGCAGAACUUCUGCUUAAAUUUGUGAAGAAGCAGAAAAUAAGCUAUGCCAAACAGGGCCUAAGAAAACAUUUAUUUAGAUCAUGAAUGCUCUUGGAAAAACUACUUUUAUUCCCCACCCAGACUUCCCCAAGGUUCUGUUUAGUUUUCCAAAAACCAGCUUAGCCAGUUUGAAAACCAGCUCAGCCAGUUUUUGAAAACCAGCUCAGCCAGUUUGAAAACCAGCUCGCCGGUUUUUGUACUGUUCACUUUUUUCCAGUCAGUCUGUGAGUCUGCUGUGUCAGCCAAAAGCAGUGCAUAGCUUUUUGAAAAACCGGUUCAACCGUUUUUCGGACCGGCUCAACCGAUUUUGACUCCGGUCCACCUACCAGCUAAGCCAAUCACUGAACCGAGAAACACUCUAGCAGAAAUCGGCUCAACCGGUUUUUAGGACCCGCUCAACCGGUUUUUGGUAAGAAGAGUCCAACAACCACCAGCUUUUGGGGGCUCCUUUAUAUACCCCUUUCACUCUCUCGCUUCAUUCGCUUCUGCCCAUCCACGAAUUCUUGGAUGACUUACACUCAAACAAGAGCAUUAACUCCACCUCUCACACCCAAAAUCGCAUCUCCUUCAAUUGAUUGAAGGACCCUUGGUGUGAGGUAAAGUUUGUCUAACUCGUUGGUGAUUUCAUCUCUAUUCUCCCUUUCUCUUCAUCUGUUGAGCUCAUUGCAAACGUGAAUCUUGUGCGGAUUUGUUACUCAUGGUACCUUGUGUUCCUUGACAUAUGGAGGUUGCUUGGGAGUCUCCAAAUUUGUGGACGACCCCAAGAAGUUUGUAUCACCCGCUCGUUGAGCUAAGUUAAGAAAAGAUUGCCUUGACCUUGGUGGUCGGCUUGUGAAGGAUUAGGGUUCGAAAAGACCCGGCUCUUUGUGGGCUCCUCAACGAGGAGUAGGACACCUUUGUUGUGGUUGCCGAACCUUGGGUUAAAUCGUAUGUUCUUGGUGUGUUCUUGAGAAGUGUUUUAAAUUGUUGGUUAGUUUAGAUUUGGUUAUAUUGUGUUUGAAUCUUGUGGAACCGGUCCACAUCAAUUUGUCACACAUUCGAGUGGAUCUUCUCUAGGGCAAGUCAUAAGAAAGAAUCUCUCAUUACUUCAUGCUAUUUGUUUAACUAUUUAUCUAAUCUAAGUUGAGCAGGUUCAAACUUGUUUAGUUGUGAAUAAUACCACCUGAACCAGUUUGCACUAGUGCAACUUGAAAUUUGACAUUAUCUCAAAGUUUUUGUUGAGAAAUUUUAGGUGUAGCCUAUUCACCCCCCUCUAGGCUACUUUCAAUUGGUAUCAAAGCUUCGUGCCUUAUUUUACGCUUUACCGCGUGAGGUUGCGAUCAUGUCUACGCAAAGGGACCAUGUGGAUCCUCUUCUCGGGGAAAUCCCUACCACCUCCACUGGUGAGGAAAUGGACCCCAAGGUCCUCGACCUCGCCAUGAAUAUUGCGGAGAAAAUGUUCCUCAAAAUGAAAGAGGAAGAUGCAAAGAAAAAGGCCGAAGAAGAAGAAACAAGACGAAAGGCCGAAGAAUACAGAGGAAAAGGAAAAAUUGAAUACAAUGAUGACUUGGUAGAACUUUUGGUGUUAAGGGCGACGAGCUAGGUAAGUCUCAACACCGAAGGGUCAUCGACCAAAAGUAAAGGUACCAAAUUCAAUAAAGUACAAUUUGAUUAUUCUAGAAAUUUUAUUCCCAACUUCUCUUCGGCUCCACUUGGAAAGUUACCAACUCUCAGUGAGUUGAACUAUGACGAGUGGGCCGAUAAGAUGAAGUCGCAUUUAAUUAGUGUGCAUUCUAGUAUUUGGGAGAUUGUUAAUAUAGGUAUGCAUAAGCCUACCCAAGUAGAAGAGAUGACAUCAGAAAUGAUGCAUGAGGUGCAUCGCAAUGCUCAAGCUGUGAGCAUAAUGAAAGGAAGUAUUUGUCCGGAAGAGUACCGGAAAGUCCAAGGAAGGGAAGAUGCACGUGACAUUUGGAAUAUUUUGAAAAUGCCACAUGAAGGAGAUCCCAAAGCUAAAAUACACAGAAUUGAAGCUUUGGAAAGCGAACUUGCAAGAUAUGAUUGGUCUAAGGGCGAAUCUCUUUAAUCACUCUUUGACCGGUUAAUGGUACUGGUCAACAAAAUAAAAGUGCUAGGUAGUGAAGAUUGGAGUGACUCGAAGGUCACUAGGCUAUCCAUGAGAGCCUAUAAAGAAAAGGACAAGAGUUUAGCAAGAAUGAUAAUAGAUCAUGAUGAUUAUGAGGAGAUGACUCCUCAUCAACUAUUUGCCAAAAUUCAACAACAUGAGUCCGAAGAAGCCCUAAUCAAGAUAAGAGACUCACAUGCCUUGAUUUCAAAUGAGCAAGAUUCUUCCAAGAAAAGCAGAGACCACAAGUCAAAGAAAGUGGUUGAAACAUCAAGUGAUGAAGAGAGUUCAAGUGAUGAGGACACUGCUAUGUUCAUCAAAACCUUCAAGAAGUUUGUAAGGAAAAAUGACAAGUACCAGAGAAAAGGGAAGAAGAUGGCAUGCUAUGAAUGUGGCCAGACCGAUCAUUUCAUAGUGGACUGUCCAAACAAAAAGGAACAAGAUGCUAGGAAGGAUUACAAAAGGGACAAGUUGAAGAAGGGAGGCAAGAACAAGGGAUACUUCAAGAAGAAGAAGUAUGGCCAAGCUCCAUAGGUGAAUAAUGGAACUCCGACGAAGAGAGUUCAAGCUCGGAGGAAGAGGAAGAGGAAGAGGUGGCCAAUAUCGCCAUUCAAUCCACCUCGACCUCGCAACUCUUCACCAACCUCUCUAACGACUCCUACACUCCCACUUGCCUCAUGGGAAAAGGAGAUAAGGUAACCUUAUUUAAUGAUUAUUUUACUAAUGAUGAUGAUGAACAACUUGCUAUGAAAAAUAAAAUGAUUAAAGAAUUUGGCUUAAAUGGAUACAAUGUAAUCACUAAACUAAUGGAGAAGCUAGAUAAAAGAAAAGCAACCCUUGAUGCUCAAGAAGACUUGCUCAUCCUUGAAAAGGAGAGAAACCUAGAGCUUCAAGAAUUGCUAUCCAAUAAAGAUGAGAUGCUCGAAGUAUUGACUAAGGAAAUUUCUUUAGUCAAAAUAACUAUAGAGGAUAAAGAGAAAGAAAUGGCUAUUGCAAAAACCUCUAUAGUUAGUGUUGCAAAUGAAAAGGAUGCACUUGAAUCAAGCUUAUUAAGCUUAACAGUUCCAAAUCAAGAACUCCAAGUGCAACUUGAAAGUUGCAAGAACUUCAACACUUCAUCUUUAGUGGCAUAUUCUAAGGCUAGCUCCUGAAAAAGUAAUAUUUGCAAACAUUGUACAAAAUAUCAUGCUUCUUGUUGCUUGACUAACCAUGCAAGGAAGGACAACCCAAAGGUUAAAGUCAAGGAAAUAUUGAAGAAAUGCUCUAGCAAUGAUGGGUUAAAGAAAGUUGAAUCCAAGUACAAAUCCUUGAAGCCCAAUAAUGGGAAAAGGGGCUUGGGUACAACUCAUACAAGGUGAACCCUAGCAUAGAGCACAAGGGGUGGAGACACCCCAAGUUCAUAGAGGGAACUACCCUAUAUGACAAGUCAACUCAAGUGAAGGUAAACUUGAGUCACACAAAGGAUAAGAUAAAGGAUGUUGUCUCCACAAAUGGAGAAAAGUUUAGAGCUCCCAUUUCUCACUCUUACCUUUGUGAUUAUAUGUUGACCUAGAAUUCAGGAAAACUGGUUGUGAAAUAUGUGGGUGCCUACACGAAGAGAAAGGUUAUGAAAAGGAGUGUGUGGGUACCCAAGGCGAUAACUAACACUGCAGGACCCAAUUCAAUUUGGGUACCUAAAAGCAUAGCUUAAACUUGUUUUGCAGGUCUACUCCUCUGGUGGGUCAAGCUGGGUGCUUGACAGUGGAUGUACAAAUCACAUGACCGGGGAGAAAGACAUGUUUCACUCCUUGCAACUAACUCAAGAAGCACAAUAAAUUGUGUUUGGAGAUAGUGGCAAGAGUGAAGUGAUUGGUAUUGGUAACAUCCCUAUCUCUGACCACCAGUCACUCUCAAAUGUUUUGUUAGUUGAUUCAUUAAUCUAUAACUUGAUGUCCGUUUCACAGCUUUGUGGAAUGGGAUAUGAUUGCCUAUUUACUGAUGUGGAUGUGAAGAUCCUUAGAAGGGAGGAUUCCUCUGUUGCUUUUACGGGUCGCUUGAAGGGCAAAUUUUAUCUUGUUGCUUUCAUAACAAGUAAGGUGAUGCCUGAGACUUGUUUAGUGGCAAAAUAUGACAAGGGUUGGCUGUGGCAUCGACAGCUGGCUCAUGUUGGCAUGAGGAACUUGGCCAAACUUCAAAAGGAUAAUCACAUCAUUGGACUAACAAAUGUUGUGUUUGAGAAAGAUAGGAUUUGUGGCGCAUGUUAGGCAGGAAAACAACAUAGCAUUCCAAAUCAAUCAAAGAAUGUGGUCACAACUAAGAGGCCUUUGGAGCUUCUUCAUAUAGACCUAUUUGGUCUAGUGGCCUACAUAAGUAUUGGAGGCAGUAAGUAUGGAUUAGUCAUUGUUGAUGAUUUUUCUCGAUUCACCUGGGUUUUCUUUUUGAGUGAUAAAUGUGAAACCUAAGAAACAUUGAAGAAGUUUAUGAGAAGGUCUCAAAAUCAGUUUGAGUUAAAAAUCAAGAAAGUAAGAAGUGACAAUGGAACAAAGUUCAAGAGUACAGGUGUUGAAGAGUUCUUAGGCGAAGAAGGGAUCAAACAUGAGUUCUCGGUCCCUUACACUCCACAACAAAAUGGUGUGGUGGAAAGGAAGAAUCGAACACUAAUCGAAGCCGUCAGGACCAUGUUGGAUGAAUACAAGACACCAGACAACUUCUGGGCAGAGGCGGUCAACACCGCCUGUCAUGCAAUCAACCGUCUUUAUCUUCAUAAGAUUUAUAAGAAGACUGCCUACGAGCUUCUCACCAGUAACAAACCUAAAGUUGAUUACUUUAGAGUCUUUGGUUGCAAAUGCUUCAUUCUUAACAAGAAAGUCAGGAGCUCGAAGUUUGCUCCUAGAGUGGACGAGGGUUUCUUGCUUGGUUAUGCAUCAAAUGCGCACAGAUAUCGUGUCUUCAACAAUACCACCGGUCUUGUUGAAAUAGCGAUAGAUGUGAUGUUUGAUGAAUCUAAUGGCUCGCAAGGGCAUAUUUCUAGUGAUAUUGCAGGAAAUGAAAAAUCACCUUAUGAUGCCAUAAAGAAGCUUGCAAUAGGUGAAGUGAGGCCACAAGAGAAGAACGAUGCGAAGGAACAAUUUGGAUGACAAAUGAGGUCAUUGAUAUGGGCGCAAAGGUGAUGGGUGAUAAAUUUUCCACCCAAGCAAACACAUCAACCUCAAGUCAUCCAAUCCUUGAGGAAGUUCAUCAACCACAAGUGAUGCCAACAAUUGUGGAAGAUGAACCUGAAGUGGUUGUUAGUGAAGUUCCUCUUGAUCAAGAGGAUAAUGAUGGGCAAAUUCAAAGACAACCAUUAGUGCCCCAUCCUCAAGUUCACCAUACCAUCCAAAGAGAUCAUCUAGUGGAUAACAUUCUUGGCAGCAUCAAGAGAGGGAUAACAACUAGAUCCUGUUUAGCAAUUUUUUGUGAAUUUUACUCGUUUGUUUCCUCUCUUGAGCCACUUAAGGUUGAAGAAGCACUAGGUGAUCCGGAUUGGAUAAUUUCAAUGCAAGAGGAGCUAAAUAACUUUACUCGGAAUGAAGUCUGGUCCUUAGUGGAAAGACCUAAGAAAAAUGUGAUUGGAACCAAGUGGGUCUUCUGAAAUAAGCAAGAUGAACAUGGUGUCGUUACAAGGAACAAAGCACGACUGGUUUCUCAAGGUUUCACUCAAGUGGAGGGACUUGAUUUUGGGGAAACCUAUGCGCCAGUAGCAAGGUUAGAAUCAAUAAGAAUAUUAAUUGCCUAUGCUACUAAUCAUGAUUUCAAGUUGUAUCAAAUGGACGUCAAGAGCACAUUUCUAAAUGGGCCACUACAAGAGCUUGUCUAUGUGGAGCAGCCGCCGGGAUUUGAAGAUCCAAGGAAGCCAAACCAUGUUUUUCUGCUCCACAAAGCGCUCUACUGGCUUAAACAAGCCCCUAGAGCUUGGUAUGAAUGUCUUAAAGAUUUCUUAAUUAAAAUGUUUUUGAAAUAGGAAAAGCUGACUCUACUUUAUUUACUCGCAAAGUCGAUAAUGAAUUAUUUGUGUGCCAAAUAUAUGUCGAUGACAUUAUAUUUGGUAGUACUAAUGAGAAAUUUUGUGAGGAAUUUAGUAAGGUAAUGACGAACAGGUUCGAGAUGUCUAUGAUGGUUGAGCUCAAGUUCUUUUUGGGAUUUCAAGUCAAGCAGUUAAGGGAACGAACUUUCUUGUGUCAAACCAAAUAUACUCAAGAUAUGUUGAAAAAGUUUGGUAUGGCAAAGGCAAAACCCAUCAAGACCCCUAUGGCAUCAAAUGGGCAUCUCGGCCUCAAUGAAGAAGGUAAACCGGUAGAUCAAAAGCUCUAUAGAUCAAUGAUAGGUUCACUACUCUAUUUGUGUGCAUCUAGGCCCGAUAUAUUGUUAAGUGUGUGCAUGUGUGCUCGUUUUCAAGCAAAUCCAAAACCAUGUCAUCUUGUGGCCGUUAAGAGAAUCUUAAGAUACUUAGUCCACACCCAAAACCUAAAAUUGUGGUACCCUAAAGGCUCCUUUUUCGAUUUACUUGGCUAUUCUGACUUAGAUUAUGGCUGUUGCAAAGUAGAUCGAAAAAGCACUACUAACAUUUGCCAAUUCCUUGGGCGGUCCUUAGUGUCUUGGAGUUCCAAGAAACAAAAUUGUGUUGCACUUUCUACUGCAGUAGCUGAGUACAUAGCAGCUGGUGCAUGUUGUGCACAAUUGUUAUGGAUGAAGCAAACUCUAAGAGAUUUUGGUUGUGAGUUUAACAAAAUUCCACUCCUGUGUGACAAUGAGAGUGCCAUUAAACUUGCAAAUAAUCCUGUGCAACACUCUAGAACUAAACAUAUUGAUAUUAGACAUCUUUUUUGAGAGAUCAUGAAGCCAAAGGAGAUAUCGAAUUAUUCCAUGUUAGCACCGAAAAUCAACUAGCUGAUAUCUUCACUAAACCUCUCGAUGAGACUAGGUUUUGCUUUCUAAGGAGUGAACUAAAUAUCUUGGAUUCUCGAAACGUGUCUUAAUAAAUAGCACUUAAAUCAUUAUUGAUAUGCAUGAAUGUUUGUGACACAAAAUUACAUUUAAAAUCUUGUUGUUAUUGUUAAAAAAUGUUUAAAAUUGUCAAAACAUAAAUUUUGCUUGUGUACUGUUGGGUCCAUGCUUCGUCGCCGAAGGUCUUAUAGAGAGAAGCGAUCCUCGGAUGAAGCUGUUUGUAUAAGAAAGCCGAAGGUUCCUCUUCGUAAAGCUUCGGCAUUGCCAACCGACUUAAAGAUAGAAUGACCUUUUAGUCCAUAAAUGUCUGAGUCAAUGUUGUAAGUUUUUAUAAGGGGCAUACUUGUAAUUCCUCACAGGCUGCGUCCUGUGCCUAUAAAUAGUGAACAGUAUUCCGUUACUGUUCACGCAUUCUGAUUUUUGCAAUCGCAUCUCUCGGAAUACAACCUUUGUCAAGGCAUAGGUAUUAUUGUAUUUAAUGAUUCAAUGUAUUAAGUGAAUAUGAUAUAAUGUAUCUGUGAAACAUUUAUCCAUUUUAUACCUUUUAUUUUGUAUUAUUUUACAAUGUUUAUUGAAAGUUUAUUACGAAAGUUCAACUUCGUAAUAAGACUUUUAUCAACCUUCGUCCUAGACCCAUUAUCCUCAAAGGAAUAAUGCUUCACGGACGAAGGACAGUAUCAUUUAACAUUUUAUGUUGCCUUGUUCUUAAUCCAUAGCAUUUGAGAACAAGUCCCCAACAUGUACUUAGCCAAAUUUGGCUCUUGCUAAAACCUGGUUGAGAAAACUGGCUCAGCCAGCCACUCAACCGGUUUCGCUCUGGUGAAAACUGGUUGAGCCGGCCCUAAAACCGGCUGAACUGCUUUUCUGGGAAAUUGGAAGUCUGCACUGUCAGUCUGUCAGCAGUCUGCGCGUUAGCCUUUUUCCUGCUAACAUUUUUCUGGGCGUGCUGCAGCAAAACCGGUUGAGCCAAUUUUCAGACCGGCUGAACCGGUUUUGGGCAGUCUGCUCUGCCACCGCCACUCCCCUUUUUCCUCUCCUUUCCUCUUUACUCUUUCUCUCUCUCCUCAGUUCUUCUCAUAGUCGAUGCCUCUUCCUCUCGGGUUCUCUCUCUCCCUCCUCUCAAAUCCAUCCGAAAUACACUUAAAUCGCUCCAAAAUCUUGGGAGAAAAGUUGUGGAACUGUUUCCCUCAAGCUCCUCCACAUCUUCUCUACAUCCUUUCGGGAUUUGUUUGGAAGAAUUCUCAGAUCGAGGUAAUUUCAUCUUUUCCCCAUUUUGGACUCGAUCUAUGUACUUCAUGAAUUUCUUGGGAUUAUCUUCAAGGAGGAGUAAGGUUUAGGUGUUUGAUUCAUACUUAAUCAGUCCUCAUUGUCGUGAACAUAGUUUUGAAGAUGAAUCAGUGAAUAUUGAUCAUAGUAGUUGGACUGUUCACAUGAAUGGUUGAAAUACAUGCCCAAUAUUACACUUGAUUCUCCUCAAAUAUGUUCUUUAAUUCCUUGAACAUCAAUACCUAUCUCACCGUGUGUAUCUUGUUUGGUCUCAAGGAUGGUUCGACGCUGAAAUCCGUCCAUCAUCGAAUCCGACUCUGAUGAUAUCUCUCCUGAGAUUCAUGAGGAGGUGCCCUCACGGUCUAGAUCCAAGCGAGGUAGAGGAUCUGGAAAUGUUAUGAUGGGUGGUGAGGCCUUUGGGUCUCAAGGAAGUCGUGGGCAUACGACUAGAACCCCUUCUAGUCGCUCUCGUCGUGCAGCUAAUCCACAUGCAUGGGAGCCUUCUAGUGAUGAUGAAUGUGGAAAAUAUGAUAUCAUAGAUCUUCCUUUCGAUGAUGCUCCUAUUGUUCGUGGGUUGGUUCUUCAUAAGGCUCAAGCUAGGAGAUCCCCCAAUGAGGAAAUCACAGAUUUCAGUGCCAUAGGAGGCUCAACUCUUCUUCAUGAUAUGCGUUUUCGAAAUCUAGCCCUCCGAGUGAGAGACAUCUGGAUAGAAGGUAAUCGUUUUUGGAUUCUACUGCAUGUAGAUUUCUAUAAUACGAUUAUUCUUCCAAAGAAGCAUCAACCCAUUUUGCAUCAGCGCUAUAUCAACUGGAGUGGUUGUGAAGGCAUUGGCGAUAGAGAAAUGUCUUUAGCUCUGAGGGCCUGUGAAAAUAAGAAUAUGAAGAAUAUCAUGACCUUCCACUUUGAUUGGAAUGAUGAAAUAAUUGAUCAAUUCUACUUCACCUUAUGGAUAAAAAAUGCAGAUGAGGAAAGUCCUUAGAACUUCCCUUACAUGAAUUUCUAUAUUGAAGGAAGUUGGUUCAAGGUCAGCUAUAGGAGAUUUGCACAUAUUUUGGGAUUUUCUGAUAAUGACAUAGCUGGAGACAAGGUCAAGAUUCAUUAUUUUCGCCCUCCUACUAGAGCUGAGGCAAAAGAUCUUCAUCUUUCUGAAAAUGAUGAGUAUUGGAAGUCCACCAAUAUGCAUAAAUACUGCAGAUAUCUCAAUUCUCUCUUCAGAAUGACUCUCAUUCCAAAAGGAGGAAAUCAAAUGAAUAUUCUGGGUGAAAGCAAGGUACUUCUAUCUUUCAUGAAACCAACCAGCAGUGAGAGAUUGAAUGUUUUUGAUAUGAUCUGGUAGGAGAUCAUUCAAGCCUCGUGCUCUCCACUCAAAGGUUGUCUGCAUGCUCCUUACAUUAUGAAGAUGAUUGAGAUUGUCACUCAAAUCCGAUAUGAGAAGGGCACCAGACAUCUCUCUUACACUCCCUUUUGGAUUGAUCCCAAUAAUUCCGCUGGUAGGAUGAAGAAGGCUCCUGCCAGCUCUCGUGAGCAGACCUUAGCUGGUCCCUCCCAUCCUUCCUCUGCUCGUGGCUCUCCCACUCCACGUGGUCGUGGUCGUGGUUGAGGUUGUAGUCACAGUCUGGGGGCCAGGUUGGCUCAUGGGAUAGUAGCUUUUUUCUCUAUGUGCAGGGACAUAUCUGCUGAUGUGCAUGAGCUGGCAAGGCGGCAGCGGGAGACGGAUGACAAUCUCUGUCGUCAAUCAAUCUCUAUGGGACUUCCUUUUGCUCCCCGCUCGCCUGAUGUGCCUCUUCAUGCACCCCUCCUGAUAUCAAUGAAUGGCACCAACAGGCAUACGAUGUACCAUUCAUGUCUACUGAGGAUGAAGAUGUUGAGGAAGAGUUCUUUGAUGAUAGAGAUCAGUUUGUCCUGCCUCCCCACUAAGGUGAUCCGGACCCCUCAUCUUCUUAUCCUCCCCCAGGAUCCAUCAGGUAGCACUCCUCCUGCUAACCCCGGGGAGGAAAAGUUUACUGUGAAUCUGGCUUCUCGCUUCUUCGAUCCUUCUCCAUCUUGGUGAUAUGUGGUUGUGCCUUCUCCUAUUUUUUUGGUGCUCGCUGCCAAAAAGGGGGAGAAGGGUUGUUGGUUAGUUGUUGGGUUGGUAGCCCAAGGGGCUAAACUAUUCUAUUUAUGUAAUGAACAAUGUGAUGGUCUGUAAUAACUAUGGUACAUUUAGUUGUGCUUGUAAUGAUGGCCUAGGGCCAUGAACUAUGUUAUGCGAUGAUGAUCUUUAUUGUAAUAGCUAGAAUUUUUUUAUGAUCCUCUAUGCUAUAAGCUUUAUUCAUCGUGAUCUCCUAUGAUAUGUGUUGUGCCAUGCCAUGAUAAAAUUGUGUAAGUAUGUCAUUUGCAUCAUCAUCUCUUAUAUAACACUAUGUUUGUUGCACCCCUAGAAUAAUUGUGAGAUGUGUUGAUUAUUCACUCCCUCCAAAUGUGUUGCAUAAUUGACAUAUCAAGUCAAUAUGAAGAUUACAAAACAUAUGCACAUAUUUAGGGGGAGCCACACAUACACAAGUAUUCACAAUCGUGCUAGUCAUUUUUAUCUAUAUCUACUCUAGUUUGUUUUGGCAUCAAUCACCAAAAAGGGGGAGAUUGUAAGUGCAAUCAACCCUGACUGAGGGUUUUGGUGAUUAAAUGAUAAAAUAAACAGAGUCUCUAACAAGUUUGCUCCUAUUAUGUAUACAAUUAUCUUAAAGACAGGAGGAGCACAGAUUCCAUAUGUACACAAAAGGGAAAGCACAGCGGAUUAAAAAAUCUACAUCAUAUGGCGUGAUUCAAGUGCUUGUGAACAACGUCAGUCUAAAUUUUACAAUUCUUGAGUCAUAGGAAUCACCGUUCAAUUAAGAGGGAUCCGCAAAAUUUGAGUAAGUUGUUGUGAUGAGCUCAGUCUAAAUCUCCUCAAAAUCCUCUAAGAAAACAUUUAUUUUGAUCAUGAAUGCUCUUGCAAAAACUACUUUUAUUCCCCACCCAGACUUCCCCAAGGUUCUGUUUAGUUUUCCAAAAACCAGCUCAGCCAGUUUUUGAAAACCAGCUCAUCCUGUUUGAAAACCGGCUCAGCCGGUUUUUGUACUGUUCACUUUUUUCCUGCUAGUCUGCUGUGUCAACCAAAAGCACUGCGCAGCUUUUUGAAAAACCGGUUCAACCUGUUUUUGGACCUGCUCAGCCGGUUUUGAUUCCGGUCCACCUACCAGCUGAGCCAGUCACUGAACCGAGAAACACUCUGGCAGAAACCGUCUCCACCAGUUUUAGGACCGACUCAACCGGUUUUUGGUCAGAAGAGUCCAACGGCCACCAGCUUUUGGGGGCUCCUUUAUAUACCCCUUUCACUCUCUCUCUCUUCAUUCACUUCUGCCCAUCCACGAAUUCUUGGCUGACCUAAACUCAAACAAGAGCAUUCACUCCACCUGUCACACUCAAAAUCGCAUCUCCUUCAAUUGAUUGAAGGACCCUUGGUGUGAGGUAAAGUUUGUCUAACUCAAUGGUGAUUUCAUCUCUAUUCUCCCUUUCUCUUCAUCUCUUGAGCUCAUUGCAAACUUGAAUCUUGUGAGGAUUUGUUACUCUUGGAACCUUGUGUUCCUUGAUGGAUAGAGGUUGCUUGGGAGUCUCCAAAUUUGUGGAUGACCCCAAGAUGUUUGUAUCACCCGCUCAUUGAGCUAAGUUAAGAAGAGAUUGCCUUGACCUUGGUGGUCAGCUUGUGGAGGAUUAGGGUUGGAAAAGACCCGACUCUUUGUGGGCUCCUCAACGAGGAGUAGGACACCUUUGUGGUGGUUGCCGAACCUCGAGUUAAAUCAUGUGUUCUUGAGAAGUGUUUUUAAUUUGUUGGUCAGUUUAGAUUGGGUUAUAUUGUGUGUGAAUCUUGUGGAACUGAUCCACAUCGAUUUGUCACCCAUUCGAGUGGAUCUUCUCUAGGGCAAGUCAUAAGAAAGAAUCUCUCAUUACUUCGUGCUAUUUGUUUAACUAUUUAUCUAAUCUAAGUUGAGCAGGUUCAAACUUGUUUAGUUGUGAAUAAUACCACCUGAACCAGUUUGCACCAGUGCAACUUGAAAUUUGACAUUAUCUCGAAGUUUUUGUUGAGAAAUUUUAGGUGUAGCCUAUUCACCCCCCUCUAGGCUACUUUCACACGGCCGAUGGGGUAUCAAGCAUUCUGAACUGUCUGAUCAUCAAUCAGUGGUUACGAUUAGAUCUGAGUGUGCAAUGAAGAGGUAAGCGCUCACACCCGCUUGAUUUUGAAUCCAUGGUUGAGGUUUGCCCCAGCCAUUGACUAAUCUACACCGUUCCCAUUGGAUACGAUGGUCAUGAUUUCCUGGCACGAAGAGGUAAGUGGUGCCCAAUCCUGGUCACACAAAUUCAUAUCAACGUCUAGAUCCUCAUCCCCUACCCUAGGUCGGCACUAGGAGGCGGCGCAGGCCGCCCGCGACAGAGACCAUCGCCGGCGCCCCCCAUCUCAAGCUUCUGCCCUCACAGCUUUAACCUAACGCAUGCUACACGUACAGGAGACUAUGGCGAAUCUAGAAAAGUAUAUCUCACCAAAAUCGGAGGUAUGGGAUACCCUGCCCACGGAAAGUCACGGCUCCACGGCGGCAUCGGUUCGACAGCGAUAAAUUGUGUGGCUUGUGGUCCAAUUCCCAAGGUGGGAAGACCACGGGCAUCAUCAGGGUGCCACAGCGAUUCCCUAGACCAACCGCCAAUGUUGGAGCUCCACCCAAUUCAUGAGUCAACCACGGCGGACCAAAUGGCGAAGUUCUGUCUCCGGUGAAGAAUUCGUCCGCAUCCGGUCAGCACAACGCCUGCCACCGCCCGAAAUCCAAUCACGCCCAGGGUUACCCAUAGCUUUCCCCCGCACCGGCGAAGCACCUGCGUGUCGUUUGGUCUCGAAUGGUGGCAUACACGCCGGUCGACAGCAGCGACGACCUCCCUCAGACACACUAUUGCCAUGGAGACUAUGUGUCCCAUCACUGCACAUGAACCGAGGAGCGCAUCGAUGCCAGGGUUUUAUAAACCGUCUAAAGAAGUCCGCGACCGAUUCCAACAACUCUAGGCAACACGGUAAAUUCUGUUGAGAUUUCUAUGCGGAGGAAGAAUAGGGAUAGGUUUGACCACUAGGCCCCAAUCCAUAGAGGCCACGGUGAGUGCGUGGAUAAGUGAGGGAGGGGUCACUGACAGGGAGGCCCCCCAUGUCGGCACGGAUGCAAGGUAGACUGGCGCGCGCUGAGGGGAGUAAGUGGGCCGAGAAGGCUGUUUCGGCCCAGACGCAGGUAUGGUUGUUACUUUUCCUUUUUUAUAUUUCCUAUUUUCUUUCUAUUUGCAUUGUUUUAAGUUUUCCAAUUCACAUAAAAAUACAACUUCGAAUUUAUGUUCAAAUGCUACAAUCCAAAACAUUUGUAUGAAAUGCAAAGUACACUUUUCUAUAUAUUUAUAUUAAUUAUUUUAUUUCUUUGUUUAGUUAAAGGCUCAAAAUGUGCCAUGCAAACUUUCAUUUUAUUUUAGGAGAAUUAUUAAUUUUGAGUAUGUGAUCAAAUGAAUAUCUUUUAUUUCACUUAUUUAGGGGAAAAUAAUGUAUUCUCUUUUACCGAGACUCACAUAAUCAUGAAUAUAUUUUUAUUCAAGAGAAUUCUUUAAAUUCCAUGAGGAGAAUAACUUAUCCUACUCGAUUGAAGAUAUUUCUAUUUUAUCUUAUGUUUACUCAAUUUCUUAGUAUUACUUCCUAUAAAAGGCAUAGGAGGAAUACAUGAACCCCUAACUCAGUUUUAGGGUUUACAUAAAGAGUGCACAUGGUCAUGAUUUCACUUGCGAUUGGCAUCCAUAUGCAUAAGUUUUGAGGAAUUUUGAUUCAAGCUCGAUGAUGUUCUUAAAUUGAUAUUAUAAGAAUUAUCCUGCUAUGAUUUUCCUGAGUAGCAUGCCUUCUUUCAUUUGGAUAUCAUGUGAUUUAUCUUGAAUAGGCAUGUGCUUGAUUAAUUUUUCUAAGCAUAGAUCAUUUUUAUAAUUGGUAUCCUUAUGCCUUGACCGAGAUAUGUGUGUCAUAUCCCUCUAGUUCUCUUAACUGCUAGAGUGUGCAUAGAACAAGUCAUUCAAGUACUUGAUGCAUAAUUUUAGGGGGAGCACAUAUAUCUUAUCUCUUUUGAGACUAACAUUUCUUUUAGGGAUCUCAUAUAGUCUCAUGGUGGAAAGAAGGAAGUUGAGCAAGCUACAUGAUGCAAUCCAGACUUUGGUACCUCAUGGUUCUCUCAAUCGGUACUUCAAUGUGUAUAUCAUUGAUUGCUCUUGACUAAUUUAACUAGCUACUCAUGAAUUGUUUUGUUCUUCCAUGAUCUUAUUGCUAAAAAGGAUGCAUCCUGAUUUGAAAUAGAUGAAACCUCAUUUGAUUUGACUAUUUCAAUAUGCAUUCAUCUCUUGUUGAUGCACUUAUAAUAGGGAGAUCAAAACUAUCAUUUUGCAAUUUAGUGAUUCAUAGUGCUCUCAUUUGUUCAAUUGAUAUAUUCUUGGAUCACUAUAUUGUAAUGUGUUGAAUUAGUGAAUCACUAAGUGUUCAUGAGUAUUUCGUUCAAUUGGUAUUUAAAGGUGAUCACGAGUUAUAGGAUUUUCUCUCUAAUGCCAUUAAUGCUAUAACUUGUCUUAAGCCUAUUGUUUAAGUGACAAGAGUGAUCAAAAUGGAGGAUCAAGCACAUGAAGAGAGGAUCUCUUUGGAAAAAGUACUGCAACUGGUAUUGACAUAAAAGGUACAAAAAGGUCAAAUCACUCAUUGACAUUUAAAUUUGCACCUAGACCCCCUCAGUUGCAUUGCAUAUCUUGAGGAGUAAAGGGUGCAUGAUAGUGUUUUGCAUAUCCCUGCUUUAUGCCCUGUAUAACCCUUAUGACAUCACGCUUCUGUUAUUUAAUUGUGAGAUAUUGUUUUUGGUGUUUGAUGUCAAAGGGUGAGAAUUUUUUAUUAAAGCUUACCUUGCCUGAGAGAAAAGCCUUUCUUAAGGGUGAAGUGAUUUGUGUGUUAAAUAGCUUAAAGCUUGUCCUUGUGAUAAGGACAUGCUCCGUUUGUUCAAAGGAGAGGUUUCCUUGAGUUUCUUUAAUCUUAAGGGAAGAAUGCAAUAUAUGUUGAUAUUUUGAUGAUAUUGCUUAUCAUGAUACAUAGUGCUUUAGUGCAAAGCUUUGAUAAUGUGUGGAAUGCCUUACUAUUGUGCAAAGCUUUGCUAGUAUGUUGUAAUGUGUGCAUAUUCAUGUCAUGAGCAUCAUAGUUUGUUUCAUGACACUAUGCACCCUAGGGAUGCUAAGACACAGGACUACUUCACACUUUAGCCUAAGUAUGUGUAAAUCAACAUUUGAGACCAAAUUUGAGUUUUUUAUGGAAACACAUAUUUAGGGCAAGCAUUCUAUGCCAUAGGAUCGAAAAUUGUGCUUUAAAUCUAUUUAUUUGUAAGCUUUAAUUAUGUUGCCAUCGAUCAGCAAAAAGGGGAGAUUUUUUUGAGGAAAAAACUGUUGAGGAGGUCCCCACAAUAGAUUUUAAUGAUAAAAAGUGAGGGAGAAAAAUUUACUUACAUAAAUGACCCACCGAAUAACCAAACCUGAAGAUAUAAAUGGGGAUUGGAAACCAGGAUAGGAUCAAAGAGAAAUCAAAAGCAAAUUACAAACUAUUGAUCCAAGAGAGAACUAAAUUUCUAUCGGUAUAUUUGAAGUUGAGCCUCCUUCAUGAAAUCCCUUUUCCAGUUAUUGAUAGUGAAUUUAGAAUUCUCGAAAAUAUUUUUGUUUCUUGUUUUCCACAUCACCCAGAUAGCAAUAAAGCAAGUCUCUAGAAAGAAUUUGAGAGAGAAGGCGUUGCUGACAAGGAUAAUCCUCUAGUUAUUUGGGAUGGACAAAUCCUAGGGCACUCCAAUGACAUUCCAACAUGCACCCGCAAAAUCACAUCUAAAAAAGAGAUGAUCCACAUCUUCAAGAUAGACAUCACUGCACAUGACACAUUGAUAAAGCUGAUCUGGAAGCAAUUUUUUUCUGAGGAGGAUAGCCCUAGCGUUGAGUCUAUUAAUGAGCAUAAGCCACCCAAAGAAUUUUAUUCUCAUCAUACAUCCACACUUCCAUAAUUUUGCGAAGAUCUUAUGGACCCUAGAGGUGCCAAAUUUAUCCUUAUAAUAUUUUUUGACUAGAAGAAUUGCACCAUCAAAGACCAAAGCCCAAUUAUCUUCAAUGUUAUCAUUAAAUUCAUGACCAUCCAACCAGUCUUGCAUAUCCUCCAAUUCAGAAAGAGCUUCAGAAGACAAAAGAAGAUUAAAUAAAGAUGAUAGGUCUGGGGCCUCAAAUACUUCUUUAACCUAUAGCGAAGGGGUAGAAAUAAAGGAAGCCAUGUUGGGGUAUUUGAGACUGAGCACCUCCCUCGUCCAAUUAUCAUCCCAAAGUGAUGUAGAAAGACCAUUUCCAAUAAAACUUCUUGUUCUUGCCCUAUAAGAAGAAUUUAGUCUAAAAUAUUUUUCCACCAAGGUGAGCCUUUCUGAUUGCAUAAACGAGUGACCUUUUGAUCAUAAUAGGAGUCCCAAAUCUACAUAACCCAGGGCAUAUCAAACAUGAUCAUGGGCCACUCGAUCCGACUAACCCGACCCAACACUAAGCAUGGGUCGGGUACAGGCCGUAAUAAAUGGACCACGACCCGACCUUGACCCAACCCGUCCCGGCGCUUGAACAUGUCUAGGAGAUAUCAAUUCUGGAAUAGAAUUGCGAUAAUUGCUUAAUGAGGAGGCCUUCAUUAUGAAAUUUAAGCUUGACUACCCCCAAACCACCUAGUUUUUUAGGUCUCUGAAUUAAAUCCCACGCGACCAGGUUUCCAUAUUUUUUGUCGAAGUUGGAUCCCCUCCAAAGAUAUUGUCUUCUAGCUCGGUCGAUGUAAUUAAUGAUUGAGGAGGGAAGUUAACCAGUUCAAGUCUCCCCGAAUAAUAAAGAAAGGAUGAGCAACACAUCAAUCUCCUUUCAAUUAUUUCCAUCAAAUGGGAGAAAUCAUCAAUUUUGGGCUUUGAGGAUCCAAGAUGAAGCCCAAGAUACGUAAAUGGCAACGAUCCCACUUGACAUCUGAUGAUGAAUUCUUUUAAGGGGGUAGAAUGUAAUACCCUAAAAACCAAACUAUGUUAAUAAUCCAACUAUGGUGUGUCCUAUAGAUGAACGGAGACCAUAGAUUCAUAGAGCAUGUCGAGACGAUUCCGAUCGACUUCUAGUUUCGAUUAGGGAGUAAUUGCGAAAUUAGUGCUGCUGUCGUGAAAACUGAAAAAUAGAUUCUGGUAGAAAGUUUAACCGAUUUCUUUGAAUAAUCUCUGCAUAAUUUGAUCGAGUGGUAAACAUAAAAGUUGUAGAGGGUCUUCUAACCUUUCUAAGAGUAUUUAUUUACAUUUUUGGAUUGAGUAUUGAGGGAGAUAUUAACUUCUUAAGUUAGGUGUCUCAAUCUAUCAAAUUUGGUUUUUGGGAUAAUGUUUGAUUUUAGGUAUCAUUUUAAAAUUAGAUGAAUCAGGCUUCACUCCUAUGGAAAUGUUUUGUAAUAGUUUUGUUGAGCUUUCUACAGGCUACUUAAUCACCUAGUUUGGAUAAGCCAUUGGGGAGUUAUGGAUUUUCUAAAACAGCAAAGCUGUUGUCGUGGGAAGAUUAAGUCUGUCACAUUGAUUGAUGUUGAAAUUUGGUCUUGAUUUGAAUACAAAAGUUGUAACUUAUGUUUUGUAGAUGCUUAUAGAGUACUUAUCUACUAUUGUAGCUAUUGCGAAAUUAAAGAUAUAAUAAAUACAAGCAGAACUGUUGUUGUUUACUAAGUUUCCAUAGUGUUGUUUUGGUCAGGUUUUCAAGUGGAUCAUAGGAGUACUAUGUCAAUUACUUGUAAUGCGCUUUAUAAGAUGUUUGUACUCAGUCGUACACUAUGAAGUAGGUGGUAGUUCUCCAGAGCGCUCCUAGUGCUUUUGGCAUCUUCAAUGAAGGCAAGUGAAUUGUAGUGGUGGUUUGCUACCAUUUUUACUUGUUAUUUUCAUCACCUACACCUUAAUAUUUAGCAGUUUGCCGUGAAGUAAUACAUGAACUUGAUGUUGAUCAUUCUGUUAACUAAUGGAGAUGCGGCUUAAUUCUAUAUAUGAAAAUGUUAUUGUUCUAGCAUUAUUUAUGUGGUAAACCACAUUUAUUUGGAGGUAGAAAAGUAUCAUUGUUUUCAAACUUCAAAAAGCUUUGUAUGGUUUAAAAUAAGCCCAUGGUUCCUUGUAUGAGUGUUUGAAAACUUUCUUGCUUUCAAAGGGUAUUAUGAUGGACUCUGUCGAUAAAAUUCUUUUUCUUGUCAAGCAUGACAACUAUGCUUUGUCAUUUCAAAUUUACAUGGAUGAUAUCAUAUUUGGUGGUUCUUCUCAUGAUCUUGUUUUUAUGUUUUUAGAGUUUGAGAUGAGCAUGAUGGGAGAGGUUAACUUCUUCCUUGGGCUGCAAAUCAAGAAGACCCAAGACGGGACAUUUGUGCACCAAGAAAAAUACAUCAAGGAUGUCCUGAAGAAGUUUGACAUGGGUGAGGCAAAGCCUCUUUCAAUGAUGAUGUUCACCACAAUGGCUCUAGAUGCUGGUGAGGACAACAAGCUCAUGGACCAGGAGUAUAGGAGCAUGAUCGGCUCCCUCAUGUACUUGACUGCGACGAGGCCCGUCAUACACAUUGUCGUAUGUUUGUGAGAUCGAUUCCAGGCUUCUCCAUGCACUUACCAUAGGUAGGCUGCCAAACAGAUCAUGAGGUACCUAUGUUUCACUCUUGAGUUUGGCUUAUGGUAUUCCUCUUCAUCCGUUCUAUCUUUGUGUGGUUACUCUGAUGCUGAUUUUGUGGGAUGCCUCUUAGAUCGCAAGUCCACUUCUGAGACUUUUCAGUUUCUGGGUUCCUUCCAGUUUCUUGGUCUUCUCACAAAUAGCCUAGUGUUGCCCAGUCUACCAUGGAGGCUGAGUAUGUUGCUGCCGCUAGCUGUUGCUCAUAGUUGCUUUGGAUGAUACCUACUUUGAUGGAUUUUGGCUUCGAGUUUUCACAUGUGCCUCUGCUUUGUGGUAGCACAAGUGCCAUCAGUGUUGCAAAAAAUCAUGUGUUGCAUUCUAAGACCAAGCACAUCGAUGUCCGCUAUCAUUUUCUCAGAGAUCAUUAUAAGAAAGGGGACAUUGAGCUUCAACAUGUUGAUACCCAUAGACAGCUUGCAGAUAUCCUUACAAAGCCCCUUGACCAGUCCACUUUUGCACAUUUGUGAGAGGAGUUGGGUGCGUGUUUCCCCUUUUAGUUAAGGAUCUUCUCUACAUUUUCUUUGCAUCUUCUUUGUUAGUUUUGAUAUUUGUAACAUAUCUGCAUUACAUCAUGUUCAUUUUGAGCUUCACAUGUAUAUCUACUAGAAUGUGACUGUGCUCUUUGUAGUUUGUUCAUUGUCUACAUGAUGAUGAUAUGGCAAUCUUAGGCUCUUUUUGCUCAUAUUAACACAAUGUUGUUGAGCUAAGCCUAUUUUUAUAAUUGUGAGCAUGAUUAAUAGUUGCUUCAUACAAAAUUUGUUGAUUAAGAUUGACACCUAACAUGUGUAGGAUGUGUUGAAAUCCUUGUUUAUGUCACUAGUGUUGGGGGCCUACUUCUUCACUAAAGUUCCUCCAAGUAAAAACACCUUCGGCAGUAUGAUAUGCGAACUGACACAGCAUGAAGGCACAAGCCAAAGCUACAACCCAGAAAGCUUCGGCAUAAUGACGCGCUUUGAGACGAAGGGCGACACCGACUUAAAGAGGAAAAGAUCGUUCAGUCCCUAAUAGUUUGUGUCACAUUUGUAAUUUGUUGUCAAGGACAUAAAUGUAAUUUCAACCGGGCUACGUCCUGCGCCUAUAAAUAGGUGAACAAUAAACCUGUACUGUUCACGCUGACUUGCAUUCAUUCGCACGACACACCUGGGCUUUUAUCUUCUGUCAAGCCGAAGGUAUAAAUGUAACUCAAUAUUGUUCAUGUUUAUUCAUGAUAAUAUAAUAAAAUGCUUUGAUAAUGUCAUAUGAUUAUUCAUGUUAUUUUCCAUGUUUCAUAUGGUUAUAUUUUCAUUAUUAUAUGCUGAAAUGAUGAAGGUACGUCCUUCAUGACCUUCGUUUGAAGAUCAUUAUACCCUAAGGGAGAUAAUGCUUUGAAGGACGAAUGUCUUUAACUAUUAACAUUUUGUGUUGCCUUGUUCUUAACUCAUAGCAUUUGAGAACAAGUCACCAACAUUGGCGCCCACCGUCCGAUGAACUCACUUCCACUGUUGAGCUGAUGGCUUCGUUCAACAACCAAGUCGUGACACCUUCGGCUACGAAGCUGGUGCUCCCAAUCACGGGCGGUUCAAGUUCAGAGCCAGCUAACAAAAAGCAGAAGAAGGAAGCACAGCGAAGAGUACAACAUGUUGGGGGUGCAAGGACCCUUUGUCAGGUCCAAGUGGUCCCACAUCCCAAUCACCUUCUCCCAGGAGGAUCUUCAGCUAAAAGAUUAUCCUCACAAUGAUGCUAUGGUCAUAUCUUGUGUCAUCAAGGGAUUUCUGGUCCAUAAUGUUCUGGUUGACACAGGCAGUGCAGCGGACAUUAUAUUUGCAAAGGCUUUCAGGCAGAUGCAAGAACCAGAGGACAAGAUUCAUGAUGCUACACACCCCUUUGUGGCUUCGGAGGAUGACAGAUUGUGGCACUUGGCAAAAUCACAAUGUCGGUUACCUUCGGUUAUGUCCACAACACAAGAACUAAGCAAGUUGGUUUUGACAUUAUCGACAUGGAAUACCUGUACAAUGCAAUCAUUGGUCGAGGAACACUUAAUGCCUUCGAAGCAAUACUUCAUCCAGCAUACUUAUGCAUGAAGAUACCUUCGGAACAAGGGCCCAUUGCUGUUCACAGAAGUCAAGAAGCUGCUAGAAGGGCUGAAGGAAGUUGGACAGAUUCAAAGGCAAUACACAACAUAGAUGGAGUCGAAGCUUGUCAACAAUAUAAACAAAAAAGAGAGAAGGCUGCUUCGGCAGAUCAGCCGAAGCCUAUGCUUUUAUGUGAAGAUAUAGCAGAUCAAAGGGUACUGCUGGGGUCUUAGCUAUCUGAUGAGCAGGAAAAAACUUUAAUAAGAUUUUUGUUCAACAACAAAGAUGUCUUCGCUUGGACAGCUAAUGAUCUCUGUGGUGUCAACAGAGAUGUCAUUGAGCAUUCACUUAAUGUGGAUCCAUCUUUCAGGCCAAGGAAGCAAAGACUUCAAAAAAUGUCUGAUGAUAAAGCUAAAGGUGCUCGGAACGAAGUAAAGAGACUUCUCAGUGUUGGUGUUAUCAGAGAAGUAACAUAUCCAGAAUGGUUAGCCAACACUAUUAUGGUGAAGAAGGCUAAUGACAAAUGGAGAAUGUGUAUUGAUUUCAUAGAUCUCAACAAGGCAUGCCCAAAGGACGAGUUCCCAUUGCCAAGAAUAGACUCCCUUGUAGAUGCAACAGCUUCUUCGAAGCUCAUGAGUCUAUUGGACUGUUACUCAGGCUAUCAUCAAAUUUGGAUGAAGAAGAAAGAUGAGCCAAAGACCAGCUUCAUAACUCCUAGUGGCACUUAUUGCUACCUUCGGAUGCCUGAGGGGCUCAAGAAUGCUGGAGGAAGCUUCAGCAGAAUGACAGCCAAGGUCCUUCACUCUCAAAUAGGCAGGAAUGUGCUGACUUAUGUUGAUGAUAUCAUAGUAAAGAGCACGAAGCAAGAGAAUCACAUUGCUGACUUGCAAGAAACAUUUGCCAAUUUUAGGCAAGCUGGUUUGAAAUUAAAUCCAGAAAAGUGCGUUUUUGGAGUAAAGAAGGGCAAGUUCCUUGGCUGGCUGGUAUCAACGAAGGGAAUCGAAGCUAACCCCAAUAAGAUUGAAGCUAUCCUUGGGAUGGAGCUGCCAAAUACAAAAAAGGGGCCCAACGACUGGCAGGAAGACUGGCAUCAUUAAAAAAAUUCAUAUCCAGAUCAACAGAAAGAAAUAUGCCAUUCUUUGAAAUACUGAAGUCAGCCGAAGUUUUUCAAUGGGGUCCGGCUCAGCAAAAAGCUUUCGAAGAGUUAAAGCAACACUUGAUAGACUUGACAACUCUAACUCCACCUUCGACAGGGGCUCCAUUACUCUUAUAUGUAACAGCCUCUCACUCUACAGUCAGUGCAACACUUGUACAAGAAAAGCAAGAUGGCCAAGUUAAAAAACAAGCACCAGUAUAUUUUGUCUCCGAAUUUCUAAGUUUGUCAAAGAAAAAUUAUACAGAAUUGGAGAAGGUACUAUAUGCUGUGUUGAUGGCCUCCAGGAAGCUUCAUCACUAUUUUCAAGCAUAUCAUAUAAUUGUUCCUUCGUCACAACCUCUGAAGGACAUAAUGAGAAAUAGAGAAGCUACUAGGAGGAUCGGAAAAUGGGCUGCCGAGCUCAAUGAAUUCUUUAUUGAUUAUGUUCAUAGAUCCUCAAUUCAGUCUCAGGCCUUAGCAGACUUCAUUGCUGAUUGGACGCCAGGGGCUCAGGAAGAAGAAGCAACAAAAGACGCUGAAGCCUGGACAGUCUUCUGUGAUGGUUCUUGGGGAACCUUCGGUGCAGGAGCGGCUGCUGUUCUAGUAGCGCCUUCCAAAGUCAGAACAUGUUAUGCAGCAAGGCUGGAUUUUAGUUCUACAAAUAACAUUGCUGAAUACGAAGCUCUUCUCCUGGGGCUUCGGAAGCUAAAAGCAAUGGGAAUAAGAAGGGCGAUCCUCAAAACUGACUCCCAAGUCAUCUCUAGCCAUGUAGACAAAAGCAGCAAGGCAAGGGAUCCGAAACUUGAAAAAUAUUUGGACACAGUCCGAAGGUUGGAGGCUUCCUUCGAAGGUUUUUCUGUAAAAAAUAAUCCAAGAGGGGAAAAUGAGCAUGCAGAUUUGUUAGCCAAGUCAGCAGCACAGGGGCUCCCUCUACCUUCGAAAGUAUUUUUUGAAACAAUAAAAGCACCUUCGGUCGAACUUCUCGAAAGGGCAGUGCUUGCAACAUCACCUAUGCAUAGUGAAGAUUGGAGGACUGAAAUCAUAUCUUUCCUCCAGGGUAACUGCCUCUCGGAUGAUGAAGUUUAUAUUAAAAGAAUGGAAGCAAGGACAAGACCAUAUGUCAUAAUAGAAGGAGAAUUAUACAAACAUGGAGUCUGCUCCCCACUUCUCAAAUGUCUAUCCAGAACCGAAGGUAUAGAGCUAAUGAAAGAAAUACAUGAAGGUUGUGUGGAUCUCACAUUGGAUCUAGACCUCUGCUGGGAAAGGUUUUUAGACAAGGAUUUUAUUGGCCGAAGGCAGCUUCGGAUGCAGCAGAUCUGGUUCAAAAGUGUGAAAAUUGUCAAAAAUGUUCAAGAGACCAGAAACAACCUUCGUCGUUAACUCAGUUAAUACAACCAACCUGGCCAUUGCAAAGAUGGGGCCUAGAUUUGUUGGGUCCACUCCCACCAGCACAGGGUAACUUGAAGUAUGUUGUAGUAGCAGUACAAUAUUUUUCCAAGUGGAUUGAGGCGAAACCCUUAGCUACAAUAACUUCGGUCAUGGUCCAAAAAUUCUUCUGGCAAAAUAUUGUUUGUCGCUUCGGUGUGCCGAAGGCAAUAACCGUGGACAACGAUACACAAUUUGAUGCCAAAGCAUUCAAAAAUUUUUGUGACCAAAUUGGUACAAAGAUUCAUUUUGCAUUAGUCAGGCAUCCAGAAUCAAAUGGGCUGGUACAAAGAGCAAAUGACAUUAUAAUGACAGGAAUAAUGAAGCUAAUCUUCAACCAGCCCAGAGGAAAGUGGCCAGACGAACUGAUUAAAGUAGUGUGGAGCCACAAUACAACUGCAUCAAGAUCAACAGGAUUUACACCCUUCAAACUCUUGUUUGGUGACGAAGCAAUAACUCCAGAAGAGGCAAAGGCAGGGUCAAUAAGAACAACAGCUUUGACAGAAGACGAAGCUGAUUAUCAAGUAACAAAAGAUACUAUAGAAGGAACCAGACUUCAAGCUAUAGAGCACAUCAAUAAAUAUCAGGCCGAAACAAUAAAGUGGCAUGAUAGAAAAGUUCGAUUGAAAAACAUCAAGCCAGGACAUUUGGUGCUUCGGAGAGUGGCCAACCCAGACACGGUGGGCAAGUUGCAACUAAAGUGGGAAGGUCCUUUUGUGGUAGUAUCUUCGUCAAGACCCGGUUCUUACAGAUUGAAGGAUAUGGAUGGAAACGACAUACCCAGAUCUUGGAAUGCGGAUGAGCUUCGACGAUAUUAUGUGUAAUUUGAUGUAAUCUUUCUUUUUCAUUUUUUCUAUGGCACCCUUUUCCUUUCAGGAGGGGAGAAAGGUUUUUAAUGGGGCCAUAGCUUGUAAUUUUUCAUUCUUAUUUAUCCCCAUGAGGGCCAAAUCCCCCAAAAGAUGUAAUAUGUAAAUCUGAGCAUGCACCAUCGAGUGCAAAAAAGAAAAACAGGGAGAAGCUCAAAAGACGUCCCCAAGGGGAUGCAGAGCAUGACGAAGCUACAAAAAGUCGUUCCUAAGGGAGCGCAGCGUAAGUUUUCUGCUCAAAAGUCGUUCCUAAGGGAAUGCAGAGCCAAAAUUGACGAAGCUACAAGAAGUCGUUCCUAAGGGAGCACAGUGUAAGUUUUCUGUUCAAAUGUUGUUCCAAAGGGAAUGCAGAGCCAAAUACCGCCGAAAUAUAAGGCGAAGAAGUUCAAAAGUCGUUCCUAAGGGGAUGCAGAACUUAUACCACCGAAAUAGAAGGUGAAGAAGCUCAAAAGUCGUUCCUAAGGGGAUGCAGAGCUUAAGAGUCAAAAGACGUUCCUAAGGGGAUGCAGAGUCUGGGUGUGGUUUCGUGUGUGUAUUGAGACUUUCAUUUGCACAUUACAUUACAUCAUUCAUUGCAUUCAUAUACAUUCAUGUAGACAUUCAUAGGAUCAUCAUCAUCAUAACAUAAAACACAAAUAGAUACUUUAGCUUUGAUAACAAUGCUUCGAUGAGCAUGAAGAAGCAAGAUAUGCUUCGUUGUGUACGAAAAGAAGCGAAGGUGUUUUUCGCCUUCGACUCAAAAGAUAUAAGUUUCGUCCACAACAAAGCAAUGUACACAUGCAAGGAAAGGUAAAAAUAUAUUACAAGGUAUGGACAAAUAUACAGAGUAAUGUUCAAUUCUCGGUUACAAUGUAUUUUACAGAGAUAAUACAAAUGCCUCUAAAAGAUCUAUGCAGGCAAGUCUAAAGAUUAGCUUCAGUGGCCUUCAGAAUUUGCUUUGGAUUACUAAUCUUCGGCAUCAUCAUCCUACACACAACAAAAUUUUAUAAGGUAAAAGGUAAUCACAAGAAAAGGUAAGCAAUAGGUAUAACUUUCAUACCGGCUUAAGUAAGCUUUGGGCCUCAUCACCAGCCAAGUCCCGACCACCCUUCGCCCAAAUUUGUGUUAUAAAUCUACUUCCUAUGCUUCGGGCUUCGCCGGGAAUAUCAACCAAAUCUGUCGAAGAUAGGCUGAAGGUAGGUCUAUUCACUAUCUUCGCGUGCGUACAGCCAGCUUUCAAAAAUGCUACAGCCGUGCCGCGAGAAGCUAGCAGGGCGCAGAAGUCACCAUGCCCUGCUAUUACUUCAUCAAGUGCAUCAACUUCGCCUUCAAUAUGUUCAAAGGUGCCUGAUAUAUUUUCAGCCAAAGGAGUAAACUUUUCAGCACUGGCUCCAACUGAGUUGAAAACCUUUUUUAAUCACUGUACGCAGCGGCUGCCAAAAUUCAGACAUAUGUCACGAAGCUCCUUCAAAGAUUGCUUUAGCUUUGUAUUCUCGGUAGCUUCAGCUUCAUACUUCAUCUGCAAGUUUUUUCUCUCCUGUUCGAAGCUCUCAGAUUUUUGCACGAGUUCCCUGUUUAAUCUAAUAUUCUCGGCUUGCGCUUCUGCAAGGGAACCUUCCAUUGCUUGGAGUAGGAAAUAUUUCUUUUCAAGAGAAGCUUUGUAUUCUUUCAUUUUGCUCUCUAGACCCUCGAUUAUAAUUUCGUUCUUUUUAUCCUCGAGAUCCUGUUGCAUUUGCAGCGCUUUGCUCAGCAGCAUACUCUGUACAAAAUAGACCUUCGUCAACAAACUUCGUCGUAAGAAUAAAACAAAUAAUAAAAUUUUGCUUUAUUAUAAGAAUUUUACCUUAAAGUUGGAAUAAAACAAACUGCCAACUAUAUGUUGUCGUCGGUAGCUGCUAAUAUCGGCUUCAAGCUUCGGAAAACCGACACUCUUCGAUAGAGUGCCGAUUACCUUCGCCCCGGUACGGUCACUAACACAUCCCAAGGCCUCUUCAUCGAUUCCACCAAAAAGCAUGGCUCCUGGCUGGUAGCCACAGGAAAUGCCAUAUUCAUGUAGCUCCUUCUUCUCGGCCUCAGAUAGUUCUUGUCCGACCAGGUUUCGAAGAUCGAAACCUUUUUCUUCUAAAGCAGCUUCGGCAAUUCCUUUCCCUUUGUCAGGCACUGGGGCCAUGACCUGUUCUGCAUCCACAAAUGUUUCUUCUGUAGGCAUACCUAGUAUCAUUUUAUCAAUCCCAAAUAAGGUAGCCUCCAGGUUGGCAGCUUCGGUGGCAGCUACAGCUUCGGCCGAUGUGUUUGCUUCGGCAAUGGCGUCGGCACUUACAUUAGGCGCUAUUCUAGAUGCCGAGACCGGUGGUGGUGUCUUUUCAAUGGCUUGCAUUAUGCUACCAAUUCUUCGCUUCUUUAGCCCAUCUGCCUUCCUUGUGGCCGAAGGUCAUUCUUUCUUCUGAAAAAGCUUCUUCAGUUCCGGUCCCAGAGGGCUUAGCAGCUUGAUAGGUAGAGAUUCAGUCAUUACCUUUAAAAUUUCUGCCACUUCGACAGCUGGAGGUGUUGAGGGAGUCUCUUCUUCCUCUUCAGUCACCUUCGGCCCUGGGGAUUUAGCUUUUCUUUUCUUUAAAGCUGCCACCUUCGGCUCGAGACUAGAUUUUCUCUUCUUUCAGAUCUUCUCAUCUUAUUUUACCAUUCUGGCAGCUUGUCUGCUUAGAACGCUAACAACCCUUUUUCUUUUUGCCCCUUCGGCACCCUUGUUGAGCCGCUCAUAAUCAGGGUAUUCAAAUUUUAGAGCGUCCAUAACCCGAUUUAACCUUCGUUUCGGCCGGGUGCCGAAGGCUGCUGACAUUAAUUGAUCCUCUUUUUUAGUAUAGUUCCCCAAAAUUUCAUUGCACAUAGUUUCAAUCAUUUCCAGCCAUUCUUGGCAGGGCACCUUGAACUGUUUCUCAAACUUAAAACGAUAAGGUAAUCGAACGAGCUCAUAUUUCUUUUUUUUGUCCCUUUUAGCUUCAGCAUGUCCCAGUCACUUAACGUCGGAGAUGUCCUAUUGGCCAGGUAUUCUUGCACCAGGUCUCUAGUGCUGAUUUGUUCAGCCACCACCCUAAAUUCUACUGCAGCCAAUUGGCAUGGUGACCCUGGCUGCAUGGUGCACAUGGGCCGGGUCAUUCCGAAGUUUAGAGAUAGUGGACUCAUAACCAUCGUCAUCAGUUUCCCCCUUUUCUUUUCAUCGGCCUUGAUAUAGAACCAUUCACUCUUCCAACCGGUUGGCCACUUGGUGCGAUAGCUGAGAACUGGAGCCUUCAUAUCCUUGCGAUACGUGAAAUUAUAACAACCAAAAUUCUCAUGUAAACCAUCUGCCCUGGACUUCGUUUGGUAGUACAGCUCAUGCACUCGGCAGAAUGCUUCAGCAUCUGGGUCCAUCCCUUGGCUUCGGAGGGCCCAGAUGAAGAUGCUGAGCCUAACGAUAGCGUUAGGGGUCAACUGAUGAAGAUAAAUUUCAAAAUUUUUUAAAACUUCUCCUAUCAUCUCGUUCAGAGGAAACCGUAAUCAUGCUCUGAAAAAACUUUUGAAAACCACUAUUUCAUCAUCCUUUGGCGUUGGAGUGGUUUCUUCUACGGCAAAACGAACAAGAUUCCUUUCAGCUUCUCCAAAGUAGCCCAGUUUCAUCAUCAUGGGCACGUCGGCUUCAGACACAGUAGAUUUCUCAAAAUCUAGGUGGCUGGGUUUUGAUGGGAUCAAAAUGCUAUAAUCCUCCUCUUCUUCAUCAGCACUUUCUUAUUCAAUAUCAGCCUGUUCAGCUUCGGCAACAUAUGUAUCUUCAUCAAUGGUUCCCUCUGUCACAACUAAACUCGACUGUCUCAUGACUUUAGAAAUCAGAGCUGUCUCGGUGGCCUCGGUCUUCUCUCCUUCACGAGUAACCCUUGCAGUCGACCGUACUCUGGCCAUCUAAUGGAUCUUUUGCGGUUUUUACGAAGUUAAUGUCUUUUGCAGUUUUGACGAAGCUCUCUUUUUUGGCGAAGUUAAUUCAAAAUGACGGUCCGCUCGAGAGUGCAGCGGAAAAGCUUCGGCUAUGGUUAAAUUUUUUAACAGCACAACAGUGCAAUGGCAAUGAAUGAUGUGGUAAGUCCACACCUACCCGUCUGUUUAUAUAGUGCUGCAGGUGGGAAGGUGAAUCGCCAAGUCGCCCACACCCGCUGUAAUUUGUUAAGGACAUAAAUGUAAUUUCAACCGGGCUGCGUCCCGCACCUAUAAAUAGGUGAACAGUAACCCUAUACUGUUCACGCUGACUUGCAUUCAUUCGCACGACACACCUGGGCUUUUAUCUUCUAUCAAGCCGAAGGUAUAAAUGUAACUCAAUGUUGUUCAUGUUUAUUCAUGAUGAUAUAAUAAAAUGCUCUGAUAAUGUCAUAUGAUUAUUCAUGUUAUCUUCCAUGUUUCAUAUGCUUAUAUUUUCAUUAUUAUAUGAUGAAAUGAUGAAGGUACGUCCUUCAUGACCUUCGUCUGAAGAUCAUUAUACCCUAAGGGAGAUAAUGCUUCGAAGGACGAAGGUCUUUAACUAUUAACAUUUUGUGUUGCCUUGUUCUUAACUCAUUGCAUUUGAGAACAAAUCCCCAACAACUAGUAUGCUAGGUUGCUAUUUCUCAUGCUUUGAGCCAUUCACUGUCUUGAUACAUUACUUACGUGCUAAAACCCGAAUCGAGAUAAGUGACAAUCAAAAAGAUCGAGAUGGGUUUGCAUUUGUCACCACAUCAUUGCAUCAAGACUUCUUCCACUUGCACAUUUGGAAGAACUUGAGUAGGGUUGUCGAUGAUCAAUGUUGGCAUCUUUAGAUUCUUAUUACUCUUCUGUAUAGGCUACACCUGAUUGAAAAGUUAGACAUUUGACAGUGCUUACAACCUCUUGCACUCACGUUUUUCAGUGAAAUUUAUGAUCCACUACAAAAUCCGAUAAACUUCAAAAUUUUCAAUUGGUAAAACUUUCACAUAUAUUUUGGCAUGAUGAGUGACCAUUGUUUGGGAUAUUUCACCUUGUAUACCUUCGAUUAUCACUUGGUUGAUUUCCUACUUACAUAUGUCCCGUUUUGUUUUAGUGGCGAACUUCUCUUUUGACCUGCUUAAAACUAAAUCAAAUGCUGAAUCUUUACAUAUCCAGUGCAUAUGAUAAGUUUGAACAACUGUUAGCACGUGCAUUUAUUACUACAUGCAUCACACAUCGCCACUUACAGCAUUUUCACAAUCUGAUUGCUAUACUCCUGAAGCUCCUUCUGCAUUUUCCUUUCGAUCCUUGCAUUCUCUCAAGGGGAGUUGUUCUCUUUUUACCUUGUUCGAUGCUUGCUGUAUGCACUUGUCAACAAGGGGGAGAAUGUUUGGGAUAAUUUUGCUCUUCUAGGUCAUUUGGGUCUUCUGGGGCGAAUUCAAUAAGGGGGAGAGACUUGCAGAGUUUUGGGGAGAUUUGUGGAGAUGUGCAAAUUGGGAAGAUUUUUGGGAGUUCCUCUUAUGCUCAUUUUUGUUGAGGGUGACUGCCUCUCUAUGAGUUUUUUAGUGAGAGAUGUUUUUGUCAGGGGGAUCUUUUGAGCUUUUGAGAGCUUUUGCUACUUGUGUUGAGCCUUCAGCUCUUUCUCGAGGAACUAGCUUCAAUUUCAGUAUUUUUGCUGAUCUUUGUGCUUCGAUUUGGCUUUGUCUGCUGUCUAGUGGUGUUGAGCCCCUUUCCGCCUCUUCUUGAGGACAAGUCAUUUUCGCUUGGUCGUGUUGAAUCGUUGCCCAUUUCUAUAGGGACCAAGCUUUGCUCGCUCUAAAUGACAUGUUUUGGCUUUUGUCUGGCUCUUGGUCAUUUUAGUGAGUCUUACUUUUUCUUCCUUUCUCUGCUGAUUUGUCUUCAAAUGAUGGUGUGAUAAUGCACUCAUCAAGGGGGAGACUUCGAACACAAGGUUGAUUUGUCCCUUGUGGUUCGAGUUGAUGAUGAGUAAUUGUCAACAUGGGCAGUGCUUUGGUGUGUGUCUUGGACUAACUAGAGUACGAGAACUUGUGUUGUGCAACCAUGGUGUCGACUUAUGGUGUGCAGGUGUGCAGUACAGAGAUGGUGGUCGACGAUGAAAGUGAAGAUCAUGCAUGCUCAUGCUGAUGGACCGGGAGCGGUGAAGGACGAGCGUUGGGUGAUGAUUGACUGAUUGAGGGACUAGAGAAGUGGGUGACUGUAACACCCCAUCCACUUCCAGACUAGCGGUACUUACUUCUAGCAACCCUCUGUAACACCCCAGGUGUUACCAUGGCUAGAGCACACCUUGGCACUACAGACUAUGAUCACAUGUGGAAGAACUUAAGGAGUAAAGGUAUAAGGGCUUUGGAAACUAGGUUUUAACCAAGAGUUGUGAAUGACCAAAGGCAUUACUCUAUUUGUGUGCAACUAUCACCUUGGAUAAGAGGGGGGAAAGAACCCUAGACCUCUCUUAAACCCUAUCUCCCCAAAACCCUGGAUAAGAGGGGAAAGAGAGUGAGCAAAUGUACACAACAUGGGUAAUCUUUGACAAAACCAUAAGUAACCUUAUAACCAGCAAUUAGGGGAAGGUAAUAUUGCAAAAAGACCCCUGGAGAAACCCCCAAAUCAAAUCUCCAAGUGGAGAGAGAGCUAGAGCUCUCUAUUUCUCUCUAAGUUAAAAACUACACCUACACUAAAGAUCAGUCGUGUUCACCUCGAAGCUGGCACCAAAUCCACCUAUGUCCUAUACCAAAAAUGUGGCAUACCACCCAAGGCACCCACUGGAAAAAACUGAGCCCGCGACUUGGACGUUUGACAUGCCUUGGCAUGGUUUUUGUCGCGAAGUGGGCAGUGUGACACACCCGAUUUGGCGACCAGAGAUCUCCCUACCUAGGCCAUAUCUACCAUGGCAGCUCACGGAUGAGAGACAACCCUAGGUGCCAGGAAAAGACUCGCGCCGGAUUUUUGCCAAGAUUCGCACGUUUGCGACUUGGGUGAGCUGUGGAACACGGGCAGAAUGAAAGCUCCAUGUGUUCGAUGCGCUCUGUGUGCGCCAGAGCACGCCCGCGCGCGCCCCGCGUCGCGCCAACGGGAAGAGAAGGUCAGGGGGCUUUUUGAACUGUCAGCGACCUAGGGGAAUAGUGGCGCAAGGGUAGAACUGCGAAGAUUGAUUUAGCUUUAACCCAGGGACCUCGGUGUAAAAUGUUUUUCCAGGAAACUCUUAUUAAAUCUGUUUUUAAUUUGAACAGAAACUUUAAAAACUCAUAACUUCUGUUUAGUUCAUCCAAAUUUGGUCAAACCAAUUUUGCCAGACUCUAAUUAAUGUGACCUACUUAAGAAAAAUAUAAAACCCCCUAGGUACUAUAGAAAACUUUAAAGUUCUGAUUUAAUUAUAGUUUUAGCCAAAAGCUCAAUAAUAGAAAGAAAAAUAGUUGUGCUAUUUGACUAGGGUUAGAAAAGUUUGGAGAAGUUUAUAUCUACCUACUAACCUGUUUAAAAAUGUUAAACCUCUCUAUCCACUCCAUUAAGUUAGUUUUUACCCCUUUAUUCUAUAAUAUGCUUAAGGGUAAGAAAAAUAGAAGAGGUGAUUUAAAUAAUGAACCAGAGGGCACCCCUAUUUUUGUUAGGGUACUUAUUCAAUGUAGUUCACUGGAAAAAUCUAUCAUACCCUAGUUUAGUAUAAAAUAAGUGGGAUACCUUUUAUUUGAAUAAAACAAGGAAAACUUAGAAAAACCCUACAAAAAUAACCCCAAGGUGAAAACACCCCCACCCUUGGGAUAGUUAAUGUUUUGUUAUUAAGAACUUAGGAAAAAUAUGAAAUCUGUUGAUUGACAUUUUUCAAAUAACAAUGUAGUGGAAAGUGCCUUUUUGACAUUAAACUUUAGAAAAUCAUAACUAAAUAACCACCCCUUAGCCAUCUGUGGUUUUUGGCACAGAAGCCUAUUAUUACUGUUAGAUGCCAACAAAAAUAACCCUUAGGACAGACCUCACCUCUAAUUAAGAGUUGUAGUACAAAGUGGCCCAUUUACCCAACUUUUAUUCUUUUUGUCUUAAGCAUAGCCUUUAUAUGUUGAGCCUCAAAUUCUUAAAACAGGCUAGAAUAGCAAAUGGCAACCCACUGUAAUUUUUACAGAAUUUUUGGAAAAUAUUAAACCACUGUCGUAGUUUAAACCUACACUAGAAACCAUAAGUAGAAAUUAAAGAAAGGAAAAUGAAUAAUGGUAAUUAGUGUCAUCCUAAAACCCUUGUAAUUUGUCCACUAAAAUGUAUAAGGACAAUACAAAUCCACUAUGUUAUCCUCAAUGAAAACCUAAGCCUAAAAGGUAAUAAGCAUAACCCACUGGAAGCCCCGCAUGACUAAGAAACCCUAAGUUACUUCUUGACUUAGUUUCUUUUAGCAUAAUGUUAUUAAAUCCUGCAUAAUCAUGACAUACAUGUUCAUUGCAUUUCGAUAGACUGUAACCUUGCUGACGGAGAGUACGUCCUCGUGCCGGAGCAAGGAGCUGCUCAGGAGGUAGCCCCGGACCCAGCACCAGAGCCUGCACCAGAGGACCUGCCUGCCACUGCUUUGGAAGGCAAGCCCCAGUUUAUGCAUAACCUGUUAUUUAUGCUAUCUUACUUCACUUAAUGAUUGUAGUAUUGAUUGUGCACUUAGGUGUAGGAAUUGUUUGAAACCCUAGUUGCAUGAUCUCAAGAAUCCUUUUUGAGAUGAAUACUAGUAUGAUAGGUCGAGUAGUUGCUUUAUUUAAUUAGGAUCUCGGUAGAAGACGGGUGAUUUUCUAGCACUCGCACGAGAUCAGGAAUUGGUUGUACCCACUUUUAUAUCAUAUUGAUAUUGGGUUGGUAGACACGGAUCCAUGGGGAUGCGUGGUCUACGAGAUGAAAUUGGAAUAAGGAUUAACGUGUGGAUACCUGUUUCAAGCGUUUGAACGUACUAAACACAUACCGAGAAAUAUGGUAAAUCGGUAAGCCUAGUACCUGAGUGAACCUGCCUGCAGAUUGCCCUCCUCACGCGACCUGAGACGUGGUCUCCCAUUCCGGUUAUGGUGGGUACAAGUGCGGUCACUGCACGACGGCAGUCGGGGUCAGUGAGGCAUUGUACGCCAAGGCGGUGAGCCCCUUUCUGUUGCCAGGGAAUCGAUGGGGACGGUUGAUAUGUGUGGGGACGGAGUGCCCCUACAUGUCAUGUGUUUAGGUUUACCUUGCAAGGAUAAAAACUCGAUUCGAAUCGUCUGCUUCUCGCAGCUAAUGAGACUGCUUGAUCCAUUGUACUGCAUUGAGUAACAAGUGGAAAUAUGAUGAGUUGAUAUAAGAUGUUGAUUGCUAAUAAUGCUUGCUACUAUGUAUGAGUAGAUAGUACACUUUUAGCCUUAAGAGAGUCACACUUAAAUUGACAAAGUUAAAACUUGACUUAGAAACACAGCUAGUGCUUUUGGCAACCAAACCCCACAGCCAAACAGCUGCAUGUCUAGAGGUAGAGGAGUAGACUCCUCACACCGGGUAAGUCUAGCUGAGUAUUAGUAUACUCAGCCUUGCUUGUGGCAUAAUUUUACAGGUUCUCUGGAGGACAUGGUUGCUGGAGUGACUUGGCCGUCCAUCUUGCCACCGGGUUGGACUGUCGAGUGGGACCCCGCCUCGGCUGAGGAGGAGCAUGAGGAGUGAUGGGACAGGCUUCCCCAUCUCUCUGUUUAAUUACCGUUAGUUUUAUUCCGCUGCACUUCGAACAAUGACAACUACUUUUGCAAAACUUCUAUGAUGAUGUAAUAAUUUAAUACUCUUUCAUGCAUGGUUUUAUGCUUUAUUGUAUUUGCUCUGUGACUCACCAUCGAGUGAGAUUGUGGUACUUGAUCCUGUCAGUGGCCGUGUCGGACUAGAUCCGAGGGAUUGACGGGUUAUUCCCAUUUAAGUGUGGUCUAGCCUCUGAGGCGGGACUUAGGCACUUAAGUUGGAAUAAUUCGGGCAGUUCCGCCACAGCUGGUAUCGGAGCUUGUACCACCACAUAGGAAUCAAUAAAAUGUAAAUACCAUCAUUUUCCCAAAAUAAAAUUUGAUAGAAACAAUGUUGGAUUGAUAGUAGAACGAGCAGGAUAGACCUAGUACGUGAAGCCUUAGGGUAAUAGAAGGGUAGCUAGGUGGCUAAGUAAUUAGGCCCUAUAGGCCACUUUUGCAGGAUGGGAGUUCUCCCCUAUUCCUUUUAUCUUGUUGUGAGGUCGUUCAGGACGAGCAUGCAUGCAUUCUUAACUAAGCAAAUGGAUAACUUAGUAAGGACUUAAAAACAAGAUAAUAACCAACUAGGUCCCCAGUGCCUUCUUAUUUAACUAGAGAAAGGUUGAGUUUUAUUUUUCUUGUUCUUUUUAUAAUUCUUUUUCUUUUACUUACGCUUAACCGUACACAGAUGACUUCCCACGGAUCCUCAGAGGACGGAAAUGCACUGUCCCACACUGACGGGCUUGCACGAGAGGGCUUUCCCCGCAUUUUGUGGGAGGUACUUCAGGGGGCCGGAUACGCGACACCCCCUCGGUACGCGGUGCAGCAGUUCGAGAAGCACCGAGUACCCCGUUGUAGGGUGAGGAUGACCUUGGAGCCUCAUCCCCUGCAGCCAGGCUGGCGCUCAUUGGACUCCGAGUCUUUUGGAUACCGAGCUGAGGACACGAUCGAGGCGAUCGCUCUGCAUGGAUUGACCACUUUCUGCGGAUUCCAUCCUUUGGAGCUGGCUACCCACCCCAUUGGCUUGUUCCCCGCCGAAAGGGAGGACGACCCCAUGUGGAAGGAUCGGGUGGAGCAUGCCAAGGAUAUCUGGGCCAUCUACCCAGGACAGACUGCGCACUUGACCGUACGGUGCAUGAAUGCUCUGUACCGUCUGCAAGUGAUGCGCGGUGAGGCGAUGUCCCAUCUGAUGGCACUAUUGGAGGCAACAAAGAUUACCUUGGACAACAGGGAGGAGCUUGUGGUUGAUUUGUCCACUGAAAUGGUGGAGAAGGACUUGCAGGUGGAGCAGCUAUCCACUGAUAUCCAAGAGUUGGAGGAACUAGUGGGCACCAGGGAGAACACCAUCGAGGUUCUCGAGGAUCAACUCAUUAACACCCAGCAGCAGCUUGCCGAGGCUAAUGAGCACCUGGAUAUGCAUCAUCAGGAGAUCCAGGACAUGGAGGCCAACGAGGACGUCGACAUCGAGGGAGGAGAGGAGCCUGCCUCUAGUGUGGACACUGCUGGCUCAGGGAGACCACCUUCCCCCGAGUCGAGUGUUGCCUCGUUCGCUCACUAGGUGUUCAGGAUAGGGUUAGAAGUUGGAUGGUAGGACUCCUCGCAGCUAGCUUAGCUUUUGCACCCUUGGGGUACUAGGCUAGAUAGAGUUGAGUCUUUUUGGGACAAAUGAUGUAAUUGUGAUAAACUCUUUUGGAAGCAUGUUUGAUGGAUGCUGUUAUCAGUUUUAAAUUUGGAAGGAAAAAAGUUAUGCCUUUUUAAAUCCUUUGGUUGAAGUUGGAGUCUAUCAUUUUGCUUUUGACUCUUUUCGCCGCGAUUAAAUCUUGAACUUGGAAAUAUGGUGUUAAGUAUAUAUGUGGUUUUUCAGAUGGCUGGGAGGCAGCGUCGUGGCCAGAACGAGCGCGUUCCUCCACCGCCGCCACCGCCUCCCACUCUGCAGGAGCUCAUGGCUCAGCAGAAUGAGAUCUUGAGACAGCCGGCCCAGCGUCAGCCACCACCUCAGCAUUAUGGUGGUGGAGACCAUCAGUGUCACCCCACGGCAGCUACCUACCAGGAGUUUCUUAGUACCCAGCCUCCAUUGUUCACCAGGGCAGAGGACCCACUUGAUGCAGAUGUGUGGUUGCGAGUGGUGAAAUCCAAAUUCCCGCUACUCCAUGGAGCUUGUUCUGAAGUCACUAAAGUCAGGUUCGCCACCCAGCAGCUUCGUGGACCCGCAAGGACUUGGUGGGACCAUUUUCUUGCCAUGCAGCCAGAGGAUCGAGAGGUGGAAUGGAGGGAGUUCAAGGCAGCUUUCAGGGGACACCACAUACCAGCCGGGAUUAUGGACCGAAAGCUCAACGAGUUUCUGGCACUCACUCAGGGCAACAGGACAGUGUUGCAGUAUGCCCAGGCUUUUAAUGACUUGUGCCAAUAUGCUGGAUAUCACGUAGACACGGAUGAGAAGAAGAGAGACAGGUUCAGGAGGGGGCUCAGCACUAAGCUCCGUGAUCGUCUCAACACCGUCAGGGCCAACAGUUACAAUGAGUUGGUCAACAUGGCUAUCUCCCAGGAGGACUGCAUUACAGCUCGACAGGCAGAAAAGAAGAGGAAGACCCCUGUGGCAGGACCUUCAGCUCAGCCACAGCGCUUCAGGAUUGUGUCCGACACGCAGAGCAGGGGACCGCAGCAGCAGCCAGGGAGAUGGGUGAUCCGACCACAGCAGCAGCAGCAGCAGGCACCCAACCGUACCCAAUUUCCAGCUCAGAGGAACAACCAACAGCAGCAGCAGUACCGCCAGGCAAAUGACAACAGGUGUUUCACAUGUGGCAACACCGGACAUUAUGCCAAAAAUUGCCCCAGGAACCAGCAGAGGCAGGGGCAGAAUGUUAAUCAAAACCAAGGCAAGAGGCAGAAGGUGCAAGUGAGGCAGGGCAGGCUGAACUUCACCACCAUGGCUGAUAUUCCCGAGGGAGCACCCGUCAUGACUGGUAUCUUUACAGUUUUGAAUUAUCCUGCUAUUAUUCUAUUUGAUUCUGGUGCAUCGCAUAGUUUUAUCAGUGCCAAAUUUAGUGCCAAGUGCCAGUUGCCCUUUCACCACACCGAUGGGGGCAUUACAAUUUCAACACCAGGAGGCAGGGUUGCCACUUAUCAAAUCAACAGGCAAGUGCCUAUAAAAUUUGGUAGCCUUGUGAUUAGAACCACCCUUCUCAUCUUAGGAUUGGAUAGCGUGGAUAUUAUAUUGGGAGCUGACUAGUUGACCAGGCAUCAGGCAGUAUUGGAUAUUGCAGCCAGGGCCAUUGAAAUUCAUUCCCCUGCUUAUGGUGAGACUGUUUUAUAUUUACCUGGCCAGGGAUGCACCCGUUCUUGUGCCUUUGUUAUGAUAGAGUCCCCAGUGGAAAAGAUCCCAGUGGUCCGUGACUACCCGGAUGUUUUUCCGGAUGAAUUGUCAGGGAUGCCACCUGACCGAGAUAUUGAGUUCGCCAUCGAAUUGCAACCCGGGACUACUCCUAUCUCUAAGAGACCCUAUAGGAUGCCUCCCGUAGAAUUGGCAGAACUGAAAAAGCAAUUGCAAGAAUUGUUGGACAAGGGGUUUAUUCGCCCAAGUACUUCGCCUUGGGGAUGUCCCGCCUUGUUCGUAAAGAAAAAGGAUGAGAGUUUGAGGAUGUGUGUUGACUACCGCCCUCUCAAUGCGGUGACUAUCAAGAACAAAUACCCACUGCCCUGUAUUGAUGUUCUGUUUGAUCAGUUGGUAGGAGCCAAGGUAUUCUCCAAGAUAGACCUUCGCUCAGGUUACCAUCAGAUCAAGAUCCGUGCCAGCGAUAUUCCCAAGACCGCUUUCUCUACCAGAUAUGGGCUGUAUGAGUUUUUGGUGAUGUCUUUUGGGCUGACCAAUGCCCCGGCUUAUUUCAUGUACUUGAUGAACUCAGUAUUUAUGCCAGAGUUAGACAAGUUCGUGGUCGUUUUCAUUGAUGAUAUUCUGGUUUAUUCCAAGAAUGAAGCCGAGCACACCAAACAUUUGCAUACUGUACUUCAGAGACUGCGUGACCAUCAGUUGUAUGCUAAGUUGUCUAAAUGCGAAUUCUGGCUGAAGGAGAUCAAAUUCUUGGGUCACACAAUUUCUCAGGAUGGGAUAUCAGUUGAUCCUGAGAAGGUACAAGAGGUGAUUGAUUGGAAACCCCCGUCUACAGUGAAGCAAAUUCGGAGUUUUCUGGGAUUGGUAGGGUAUUAUCGACGAUUUAUUCCGGAUUUCUCCAGGAUUGCCAAACCAAUGACGGAACUGUUGAAGAAAGGAGUCAAGUAUGAUUGGAGCCAAAGGUGUGAAGAUGCCUUUCAUACUUUGAGGCAGCAUUUGACAACAACCCCAGUGCUGGCUCAACCUGACAACACCAAGCCAUUUGAAGUUUAUUGUGAUGCUUCUGGUACAGGAUUGGGGUGUGUCUUGAUGCAAGAGAACAGAGUCAUUGCUUAUGCUUCCCGAGCACUCAGGCCCCAUGAGCAGAACUACCCUACACAUGACCUGGAGCUGGCAGCUGUGGUUCAUGCUCUUAAGAUAUGGAGACACUACUUGAUGGGAGCUCACUGUAACAUCUACACUGAUCACAAGAGUCUCAAAUACAUCUUCACUCAGGCAUAUCUGAACAUGAGGCAAAGGAGAUGGUUGGAGUUAAUCAAGGACUAUGAUUUGGAAGUGCAUUACCAUCCUGGCAAAGCCAAUGUUGUGGCAGAUGCCUUGAGCAGAAAGGCCCAGUGCAAUUGUAUGAGCAUGGAUGCAAGAGUUACCACCCUGUGCGAUGAGUUGGGCAAGCUGAACCUGGAAGUUGUUUCUUCGGGUGACUUAAGUUAUAUCUCAGUGGAACCCACAUUGCAAGAGCAAAUAGUGAGGGCACAGAUUGAGGAUAAGGGUGUUCAAAUGAUUAAGGAAAUGAUCAAGCAAAAGGCAGAGAAAUACAAGUGCUUCCGUCAGGACAGCAAGGGAAUUUUAUGGUUUGGAGACCGAUUGGUUGUUCCCAGGGACCCUAAGCUCAGAAAGAAGAUACUGGAUGAAGCUCACCUUUCCAAAUUCUCCAUGCACCCUGGUAGCAACAAGAUGUACCAUGAUCUCAGAACUUUAUAUUGGUGGACCAGAAUGAAGAGGGAAAUUGCCAAGUACAUAUCCGAGUGUGACACUUGCCAGAGGAUAAAGGCUAGUCACUUGAAGGCAGCAGGCCCCUUGCAACCCCUUCCCAUACCAUCUUGGAAAUGGGAGGACAUUUGCAUGGAUUUUAUUGUAGGAUUGCCCAAUACCUCCAGGCACCAUGAUUCUGUUUGGGUUAUUGUGGAAAGGUUGACCAAGACCGCUCAUUUCUUGCCAGUGCACACCACCCACAAGACGGAGAAGUAUGCAGAAAUUUAUGUUGAUCAAAUAGUGCGAUUGCAUGGUAUUCCAAAGACCAUUAUAUCUGACAGAGGAGCACUAUUCGUGGCACGCUUUUGGGAGAAGCUGCAAGAAUCACUUGGGACCCAAGUAAUCCGAAGCUCAGCAUACCAUCCCCAAACAGAUGGUCAGACAGAAAGGGUGAAUCAGAUUCUGGAAGACAUGUUGCGAGCAUGUGCACUACACUACGGGAAGGAUUGGGACAAGUGUCUUUCUUUGGCAGAGUUUUCUUACAAUAACAGCUAUCAGUCCAGUCUGAAGAUGGCACCUUUUGAAGCCUUAUAUGGGAGAAGGUGUAGGACCCCACUGAAUUGGUCUCAAGCAGGAGAGAGGGAAAUUUUUGGGCCAGACUUGGUACUUGAGGCAGAGGCAAAGGUCAGGGUUAUUACCAAGAACUUAGAAGCUGCUCAGGCCAGGCAAAAGAGCUAUCAUGACAAGAGGCAGAAGCCUCUACAGUUUGAGGUGGGAGAUCAUGUUUAUCUUAAGGUGUCACCCACCAAGGGUGUCCAGAGAUUCGGGAUCAAGGGCAAGUUAGCUCCUCGCUACAUUGGACCCUAUGAGAUCAAAGCAAGUUGUGGACCUGUAGCCUAUCAAUUGGAAUUGCCACCUCACAUGUCAGCAGUUCACAAUGUGUUCCAUGUAUCUGAGCUGCGAAAAUGUGUUCGCCUACCCACUGAAGUGCUGCCAGAACCAGAUUUUGAGGUAGAACCAGACUUGUCCUACCAAGAGUACCCUGUCAAGGUAUUAGAUCAGAAGGAGAGAUCAACUCGAGCAAAAUCAGUCAGAAUGUACAAGGUUCAGUGGAGUCACCAUUCAGCAGAAGAAGCUACAUGGGAGACUGAGGAUUUUCUGCGCUCUCGUUUCCCUGACUUUCUACCCAAAGGAGUCGGUACGUAACCCCAAAACCCCACCCCCACCUGCCCUUUGAAUUCAAUUAUAAGAAAAACUUAGAUAACAAGGAUAGUCUAAGUUGUGGAUUUAACUUAAGAAGGGCUUCCUUCUGAAGUUGCAAAGAGAAUGACAUUCGAAGAGCAGUUAACAAGAGAAACUUGAGUAUAAAGAAAGAAUAGCACCAACACACCUUCAAGCACCCUCCAAGGGACUCUACCUAAAAUCUCGGGACGAGAUUCCUUUAAGGGGGGAGGGCUGUAACACCCCAGGUGUUACCAUGGCUAGAGCACACCUUGGCACUACAGACUAUGAUCACAUGUGGAAGAACUUAAGGAGUAAAGGUAUAAGGGCUUUGGAAACUAGGUUUUAACCAAGAGUUGUGAAUGACCAAAGGCAUUACUCUAUUUGUGUGCAACUAUCACCUUGGAUAAGAGGGGGGAAAGAACCCUAGACCUCUCUUAAACCCUAUCUCCCCAAAACCCUGGAUAAGAGGGGAAAGAGAGUGAGCAAAUGUACACAACAUGGGUAAUCUUUGACAAAACCAUAAGUAACCUUAUAACCAGCAAUUAGGGGAAGGUAAUAUUGCAAAAAGACCCCUGGAGAAACCCCCAAAUCAAAUCUCCAAGUGGAGAGAGAGCUAGAGCUCUCUAUUUCUCUCUAAGUUAAAAACUACACCUACACUAAAGAUCAGUCGUGUUCACCUCGAAGCUGGCACCAAAUCCACCUAUGUCCUAUACCAAAAAUGUGGCAUACCACCCAAGGCACCCACUGGAAAAAACUGAGCCCGAGACUUGGACGUUUGACAUGCCUUGGCAUGGUUUUUGUCGCGAAGUGGGCAGUGUGACACACCCGAUUUGGCGACCAGAGAUCUCCCUACCUAGGCCAUAUCUACCAUGGCAGCUCACGGAUGAGAGACAACCCUAGGUGCCAGGAAAAGACUCGCGCCGGAUUUUUGCCAAGAUUCGCACGUUUGCGACUUGGGUGAGCUGUGGAACACGGGCAGAAUGAAAGCUCCAUGUGUUCGAUGCGCUCUGUGUGCGCCAGAGCACGCCCGCGCGCGCCCCGCGUCGCGCCAACGGCCAGCCGGCGCCCUGUCCCGCGCCCGCGCCUAUAAAGCCCACCUAGGUGUCGGCUGCACUCUUCCGCGCAUGCUCAAACCUCACCGGAGCUCAGUUCACCGCCGUUUGCCCGUGCGCGGCGUGUCCGCGGCCGCCCGAGCCACUGCCGCCGUAGACCGGCCAGUCCAGCUUUCCCCAGCCCCAUCCAACCCUCGGAGACUAGUGUGCACACAUCAGUAAAGCUCCCCGAGCGAGGAAUCGAAGCCUGCUUCGCCGGAGAGGCCAGUCCACGGUCGCCGGAGUUGUCAACCCCGCCGGAGUACGUGGACCGGGUAAUCCGCUCAACCAUUUUCCGAUUCCUCGUGCACACGGUCUCUACGUUACCCCGUGAAGCUCAUAGUGCCCUUGGAUUGAACCAGAUCGCCGUGGUUUGGCCGGUACACUCGCCGCCGACGAGAACACCCGGCUGCGCGCGUGGACCGAGCGAUUCCGGCCAUCCCCGCUGCCGAGCCGCACCUCGCUGUGACCGCCAGAGCCUCCCCGAGCCAACCCUGCCCUUCGCCGGACCUAUCUCGCCGCCGGUAAGCCGUGCCACCCUUUUCUUUCCCGCGGGUACUGUUUACAUUGGGGGAAGGACUGCGGGUGAGAGGAAGAGAAGGUCAGGGGGCUUUUUGAACUGUCAGCGACCUAGGGGAAUAGUGGCGCAAGGGUAGAACUGCGAAGAUUGAUUUAGCUUUAACCCAGGGACCUCGGUGUAAACUGUUUUUCCAGGAAACUCUUAUUAAAUCUGUUUUUAAUUUGAACAGAAACUUUAAAAACUCAUAACUUCUGUUUAGUUCAUCCAAAUUUGGUCAAACCAAUUUUGCCAGACUCUAAUUAAUGUGACCUACUUAAGAAAAAUAUAAAACCUCCUAGGUACUAUAGAAUACUUUAAAGUUCUGAUUUAAUUAUAGUUUUAGCCAAAAGCUCAAUAAUAGAAAGAAAAAUAGUUGUGCUAUUUGACUAGGGUUAGAAAAAUUUGGAGAAGUUUAUAUCUACCUACUAACCUGUUUAAAAAUGUUAAACCUCUCUGUCCACUCCAUUAAGUUAGUUUUUACCCCUUUAUUCUAUAAUAUGCUUAAGGGUAAGAAAAAUAGAAAAGGUGAUUUAAAUAAUGAACCAGAGGGCACCCCUAUUUUUGUUAGGGUACUUAUUCAAUGUAGUUCACUGGAAAAAUCUAUCAUACCCUGGUUUAGUAUAAAAUAAGUGGGAUACCUUUUAUUUGAAUAAAACAAGGAAAACUUAGAAAAAACCUACAAAAAUAACCCCAAGGUGAAAACACCCCCACCCUUGGGAUAGUUAAUGUUUUGUUAUUAAGAACUUAGGAAAAAUAUGAAAUCUGCUGAUUGACAUUUUUCAAAUAAUAAUGUAGUGGAAAGUGCCUUUUUGACAUUAAACUUUAGAAAAUCAUAACUAAAUAACCACCCCUUAGCCUUCUGUGGUUUUUGGCACAGAAGCCUAUUAUUACUGUUAGAUGCCAACAAAAAUAACCCUUAGGACAGACCCCACCUCUAAUUAAGAGUUGUAGUACAUAGUGGCCCAUUUACCCAACUUUUAUUCUUUUUGUCUUAAGCAUAGCCUUUAUAUGUUGAGCCUCAAAUUCUUAAAACAGGCUAGAAUAGCAAAUGGCAACCCACUGUAAUUUUUACAGAAUUUUUGGAAAAUAUUAAACCACUGUCGUAGUUCAAACCUACACUAGAAACCAUAAGUAGAAAUUAAAGAAAGGAAAAUGAAUAAUGGUAAUUAGUGUCAUCCUAAAACCCUUGUAAUUUGUCCACUGAAAUGUAUAAGGACAAUACAAAUCCACUAUGUUAUCCUCAAUGAAAACCUAAGCCUAAAAAGUAAUAAGCAUAACCCACUGGAAGCCCCGCAUGACUAAGAAACCCUAAGUUACUUCUUGACUUAGUUUCUUUUAGCAUAAUGUUAUUAAAUCCUGCAUAAUCAUGACAUACAUGUUCAUUGCAUUUCGAUAGACUGUAACCUUGCUGACUGAGAGUACGUCCUCGUGCCGGAGCAAGGAGCUGCUCAGGAGGUAGCCCCGGACCCAGCACCAGAGCCUGCACCAGAGGACCUGCCUGCCACUGCUUUGGAAGGGAAGCCCCGGUUUAUGCAUAACCUGUUAUUUAUGCUAUCUUACUUCACUUAAUGAUUGUAGGAUUGAUUGUGCACUUAGGUGUAGGAAUUGUUUGAAACCCUAGUUGCAUGAUCUCAGGAAUCCUUUUUGAGAUGAAUACUAGUAUGAUAGGUCGAGUAGUUGCUUUAUUUAAUUAGGAUCUCGGUAGAAGACGGGUGAUUUUCUAGCACUCGCGCGAGAUCAGGAAUUGGUUGUACCCACUUUUAUAUCAUAUUGAUAUUGGGUUGGUGGACACGGAUCCAUGGGGAUGCGUGGUCUACGAGAUGAAAUUGGAAUAAGGAUUAACGUGCGGAUACCUGUGUCAAGCGUUUGAACGUACUAAACACAUACCGAGAAAUAUGGUAAAUCGGUAAGCCUAGUACCUGAGUGAACCUGCCCGCAGAUUGCCCUCCUCACGCGACCUGAGAUGUGGUCUCCCAUUCCGGUUAUGGUGGGUACAAGUGCGGUCACUGCACGACGACAGUCGAGGUCAGUGAGGCAUUGUACGCCAAGGCGGUGAGCCCCUUUCUGUUGCCAGGGAAUCGAUGGGGACGGUUGAUAUGUGUGGGGACGGAGUGCCCCUACAUGUCGUGUGUUUAGGUUUACCUUGCAAGGAUAAAAACACGAUUCGAAUCGUCUGCUUCUCGCAGCUAAUGAGACUGCUUGAUCCAUUGUACUGCAUUGAGUAACAAGUGGAAAUAUGAUGAGUUGGUAUAAGAUGUUGAUUGCUAAUAAUUCUUGCUACUAUGUAUGAGUAGAUAGUACACUUUUAGCCUUAAGAGAGUCACACUUAAAUUGACAAAGUUAAAACUUGACUUAGAAACUCAGCUAGUGCUUUUGGCAAUCAAACCCCACAGCCAAACAGCUGCAUGUCUAGAGGUAGAGGAGUAGACUCCUCACACAGGGUAAGUCUAGCUGAGUAUUAGUAUACUCAGCCUUGCUUGUGGCAUAAUUUUACAGGUUCUCUGGAGGACAUGGUUGCUGGAGUGACUUGGCCGUCCAUCUUGCCACCGGGUUGGACUGUCGAGUGGGACCCUGCCUCGGCUGAGGAGGAGCAUGAGGAGUGAUGGGACAGGCUUCCCCAUCUCUCUGUUUAAUUACCGUUAGUUUUAUUCCACUGCACUUCGAACAAUGACAACUACUUUUGCAAAACUUCUAUGAUGAUGUAAUAAUUUAAUACUCUUUCAUGCAUGGUUUUAUGCUUUAUUGUAUUUGCUCUGUGACUCACCAUCGAGUGAGAUUGUGGUACUUGAUCCUGUCAGUGGCCGUGUCGGACUAGAUCCGAGGGAUUGAUGGGUUAUUCCCAUUUAAGUGUGGUCUAGCCUCUGAGGUGGGACUUAGGCACUUAAGUUGGAAUAAUUCGGGCAGUUCUGCCACACCCUCUAGGAUCAUAGACCAUACCCAUAGACCAACACGAGUUUUUUGUGCGUACUUUGUCCUCACUCGUGCGCACCCGGGAAAAAUUUUCGGUCAGUCAUCCAUCCAAAGAUUGCUCUGGUCCAAGCUCGCUUAACCUAAAGGUUCUUUUGAGAAAGACUUUCGAAAAAGAAGAUGCACGUUGUUGGUAUGAGUACUCUAUUAAUUCUAUUAAGCCUUAGGCCAGAAUAUCAUCAUCCACAAGGGCCAGGAUAUCACAAUCCACCCCAUAGAAGAUCGACGUCCUUGUCAAUCAAACCCAAGCCAGGAACCUCCUCUCUUGGCCAUGUCUAUGUGUCCAAUGUUUUCAUAUUCCAUGCCAUGUGACCACUCUGGGAUCACAUGCUCUAUGCACCAUAUGCCCGAACCUCUAGCCCCCACACGCCUAUGAAACCACAAGGGUUGGCUCUGAUACCAUUUUUAACACCUCAUCCACUUUUGGACCGGUGGUACUUACUCCUGGCAACCCUCUAGGAUUAUAGACCAUCCCCACAGACCAACACGAGUUUUUUAUGUGCACUUUGUCCUCACUUAUGCACACCCGAGAAAAAUUACCGGUCGGUCACCCAUCCCAAGAGUGCUCUGGGCCAAGCACGCUUAACCCAGAGGUUCUUUCGAGACAGGCCUCCGAAAAAGAAGAUGCACCUUGUUGGUAUGAGUACUCUAUUAAUUCUAUUAAGCCUUGGGCCAGGAUAUCACCAUCCACUAAGGCCAGGAUAUCAUAGUGACUAGCUAUGGUGAAUGACACUUCAUACAUGCACCGAUGCGAGGAUGUGGAGGAGUGGAUCAAGUCAUCGGCGCGGUCGUGGACCGGUGGGACACGAGUCUAGGAUGUGGGGGACACGUAUGUAGUAUGCUACUUCGGAGGUUUUGGUGGUUGAGCCUCAAAACCACCCUGUGCCCUAGAGGGCUAGUUUCACCGAGUUUGGGUCUCAAAACUUGGUGGUGUGAGGCGACAUGUGGUGUCAUCGCGAAGGGUGCAUUGAGACAAAGCAACUUUGUGUGCAGCGUGUGGCUGUCAGAUGCAUAUCCUAGGGGUUGGUCCAUUUUCCCCGGUUAAGUGGACAAGCUCUAUGUAUCUAGGGGUAGUUUAGACUAGUGAAAUAACCCCAUAUAAAUAGGUGGGAGGGCUGUUAUGUGCAACCAUUUCUUUGGGCACUAUCUCGUUAGACUCAUGUUUAGAAAACCCUAGUUUUCAUUUCCUAGGUUGCACUAGUUCUUAGCUGUAACACUAUAAAAAUCAUUAAAUAAAAAUAAUCCAUUUAAUUAUUAAUGGUAUUUAUGGUAAUAAAUUUUCUUUUAAGUGUUUGCUAUUUAUUUGCAUUUGGAAUGAUUUUUGAUUUGCUCAUAAUUGAUUUUUAAUAUUUAAUAGCAUUUCUACUUAAAUGGAAAUCCAAAUAAGUAAUAUAAUAAUUAUUAGUCCAAAAAUAAAUAUUUUAUUUAUAAAUAGUUUUUUGUGAUUAUUAUGAAAUUUAGGGUUAUUUAAAAAUAUAAUUCGAAUUUACAAAAGGAAAUAGAAAAGAAAAAGAAAAAGAAAAAAACUAAAACCUAACCUAACUAACCCCUUGACCCAUUAGGCCCAUCAGGAACCGACCGCUCCUAACCCUAGCCGGCUGGCCCCUGGCCUUCUCCCCCUGCAACCGCCGCCACCCACCCGGCCUCUCUCCCACCCGGCCGCCCUACUCCCGUUCUCUCUCCUUCCUCGCUUCUCUCUCCCCGCGCCCACGGAGCCCAGCGUCCACGCUCAAGCGUGCCCCGAGCCGCGACACCGACCGCCAGGCGCCCUUCCCCGCGUGACCCGACCGGCCGAGCCGCCAGGAGGACCGCCUAGGACCCGGCCGCGCUCCGCGCCCUGCAACCCCCGACGCCGAGCAGUGCCCGCGCCUGGAGCCGCCAAAAGACGCGCGCCCCUGCGCCCAUCAACGCCCGACGCCCCGGCCGACCGAGCUGCGCAGCCGACCUGCCACACCCGCGCCAAGCCCGUCCGUUCGAGUUAAUGGAGCGUCAACCCGAUCGUUUCUCUGAGUUAUUGGCGCCGUUUCUCCUCCCCAUUACUCUCUCCCUCCAUCAAUGGUGCCUUGAAGCCAUGGCCGCCGUUUCUCUUCUCUCCCCAGCGCCCUCGCCUAUAAAAUGGACGCCGAGCCCUCUCCUUCUCCCUGCCCGAGCUCACUCUCUCUUCUCGUGCUUCCCUCGCUCUCGCAGUGUAGUUCGCCGGAGUUCGCCGUCAUGACUCGCUGGAGUUCGUACUCACCGUUCGCGUUCCCCAUCCGGAGCUCCGCCCGAAUGCUCACCAACGAUUGGCCAUUCCCUGCCCGUCGAACCCCGUUCGUCGACGUUCAUCCCUGCGCAUGAACGAAAACCCAAGGUUGAAGACAACCCCAACCCGUUAAUUUAUUGUCUACAUCAUGUGUUGAAUUAAUUUAUGAAUUUGUGAAUUAUCGUUGUAAUAUUAUGCGACUUGGCGAUUUGUGUAUGAUUUUAGAGAUUCCGAUGUAUACGUGUAACCAAAAUCGAAUCCCGCGUCAAUAUUUUAAAAUACGUAUGAUUUUAUAGUUCUAAAAAUGAACACGGUCACUAUUCACUAACAUAGUAAUUUUCAUACUAGAAAUGUUUAUAAUUAAUUUUGUUUUAGUGUGUGGAGCGAUAAUCAGUUAGUAUUGAUAUAAGUAUAAUUUUAGUGAUAUAAGAAAUUGAAAUAGGAAUUUAAACCACGUAUUUCCGGUCGAAUGAAAUAUAUAUUUCACUAUUCAUAAUAAAUGAAUUCAUAAGUAUGGCACUUAAGUACUUAGAAUUAGUAAGACAUUUAUUUAUGUCAUAAUAACCAUGAUUAUGUUAUUAAAAGUCUCAUUUAGUAAUUUACAUUAAUUCUUAGUAUAUUAAUGUCAGAAGAAUUAUAAAUAAACAAUUUUUAGUAUACGCAUAAAUUCUAUUUAAGAAGAAAAAUUGAAAGAAUAGAAUUUUAUUAUGUUAAAAUGACUUAAUUAGACGUCCAUGCUUUCCUAAUAAAGAAAAUGAUAGUUCUGUUGUUAAACAUAGGUUUCUUACUAAAGAAUUAGAUAAUUUGUUCCUAGUUUAAAAUGACCUUUUAAUAGAUAUCAUGUUUUUGAUUUAAUAAGGUUCGUUAUAGAUGUUUAAGUAUAGCUGUAUUAAAUAGAAACUUAAAAGAAUAUGUAGACCAUAUGUUUCUUAAUAAAAUUAAAAUGAUAAUCAUUUAUUAUCCCUUCACAUAAAACUCAUUUAGUCUCAUAUUUAAGUAUCCAUAAUCAUAUGCUUUACAAUAGUAAUAUGUCAUAUAACUUUUCUAACAAUGAUAUAAUGGCUUAAUUAAGUGCUCACAUCGUCAUAACUAAAAUGAUAGUUAAUAAUAUACCAAUAAUAUAGUAUUCAUUUUAAUUAUCUAGAUCAUUUGUUCCUACAAUAGAAUUAAAGAUAAUUAAUAGAUUAAUUAUCCUUUAUCAUAAUUUAUUAAUCAAACCUAUAGUCAAUUUGUUCUUAACUAGGUUUAUGGCAUGAUUAAUGAUUUCAUAGAAUUUAGUGCACAUUAUAUACGAAUCACUUAGCUUUUCCUAAAGGAUAAAAUAAAGUAAUAAGAGUUUAAGUUCUUUUAUAACUUAAAAUGUUACUUUAUAUAUAUUGACUUCAAAUAUAAUAAUAUAGGCUGUGUGCUUUUUAAUGAAAUUAAAUGAUGGUUAUGUGUUCAUUAUCUUUUGCAUGGCCCAUAACCUAACUCAUCUUAAAUAGGUUAUUAAUAAUAUAAUUAUGAUCUUUUCACAUAAAAAGUUGUUUAUGAGCUUUUUAUAAAAGUAAUGUUUAAUAAUGUGUUUUAUGACUCAUUAACGUUAGAUAUAUAACAUAUAUCUUCUCUAAAAGGUUAAAAAGUUUAAUAUUGUUAUAACAUGUUUUAUCAUCUUAUAAACCCUUUAUUUUAGACGUAUCACAUAUGAUGUUUUAUAAAAGAUUAAAUUGGUGAACCAAAUAUUUGCAUAUUUUAAUUAAGAUUUUUUAAGCUCAUGUCUUGUUUUAUAAAGUAUAGAUCACACAUUUUUGAAAAGAAUACAUUCUUAUUAUAACCAUUACUUAUGACGUUUUUGAAAAGCGAACGCUCUUUUUGUUAGGCUUUCUUUUAGCUUUACGUAUGGUGAAUGUUGUAUGUUAUUAAGUGGUGUUUGUUCUUCUUGUUUGUUUGUGUGAUAUUCAGUGGUUGAUCUAGUAGUUAAGAAUCAAGAUCUAUUCCUAUCCGUGGAAGAACCUCAAGUUUUCAAUAACCAAGGCAAGUGGACUUCUCUCUCUGCAUAUUCUGUUUGAUCCCAAACAAUACAUUUAAUAAAGUUUAUUCUUGGAUAUAUAUAUGCAUAAUUUGAUGGGUUACCUAUUUAGAUACCCCUAACCUUUUCAACCUUAUUCCUUGAUCAUACCUGGGUAUUGCUACAACUUUAAAUUUAUACAAUCACUCCUGUUUAUGAUAUUAAUGUUCCAAAUGGUAAGAUUACUUUAUUGUUGUUAACCCGAUGGUUAAACAAGAUUAUUGCAUAUUAAUUGGAACAUGGAGUGACCACCCGGGAAAACAGUGCUACCAUGAGAACUAUCAUGGCUCUGGUCUUGGCUAAAUAACUAGGGAAGUCUUAUGUUGGGUGCUGGUCGUGGUUGACCGGAACGGGGGCAUCUGACAAGUUCUUAUAGUUUCGGCUCAGGCAGAUUGGAUACGGUCAUAGUUCCCAAAGCUUUACCCUGCAGUCUGGACUAUAAGUUGGUCACGUUAGGUGUGCUUUAUGCAGUUGACCGUUUCCAUCAUUUGCGUAAUGAGGACUCUAGGGAGAAGCCUCGUAGUGAGACCCUGGCCAUUCACCUCGGAAGUGAAUACGGGUCUAGCUAACCCGGGCUAGAAGGGAAUCGCGACUCAUGGGUAAAGAUAUGCCACCUCUACAGAGUGUAAAACUGAUAUAUCAGCUGUGCUUACGGUUAUGAGCAGUCUGGACUCCUCACAUAAUAAUUGAACUUGAAGAUGGAAAUAAAUCGAGAUCCGAUGAUCUGGCAAUGGUUUGCUUAAGUGGUUUCACUUAAGUGUUUUUGAUAUACUCUUAUACCUCUGUUAAAUGGGAAUGCUUGGGAUUCACACUUAUUAGUAAGACAGGCGUUGUUAAUAAAAUGUUGACCAACUAAAAUGCUUACUGCUCAACCUUAGCCUCACCUUGUUAAACUUGCAUUAGUUUUUCCCCCACUUGCUGAGCCCCGACCAUAAGUGAGCUCACCCUUGCUUAAUUUUGAUCAGAAGUUUGCAGAUGAAGAUAUGAUGCUGAACUCCGUUGAUGCUAGUCUAGUGAUACCCCCGGUCAUCUUCCUGUGGAUAGAUGUCCUUGUUUCGCUGUACUUUGAUGAAUAAAGGUUAAGACAUUAUGUCUGUUCGAAGUGUAAUAUGUUAAUAUAAUCAUUAUUUACGCUUUUAUGCAUUGUUCUUUUGAUAUAUUACACUUGUGACGUCAACAUAUGUGUGGAAAUAGAUCCUGGCACACAUAUGCUAUGCACCCGGCUCUGCCCCUUAGAAACGGGUGUGACAGAAGUGGUAUCAAAGCCAAUGUGACCGUAGGUCGCUAGGUUAGUUAGAAAUGGAAAGCCCAGUCAGUCUUUCAAAGUCUGAUAUAUUUUCCUCCAUAAAAACUUACUUUAUAUCAAAACUCGUCUCUUUUAUUUUCAACCCUUCUUGUUUGAUUCUUCGUCUAUCAGAAGGUUCUAAUGAGAAGCAUUGCAAGAUGAACAAGCUAGGAUUGCGGAACUUGAAGAAGUUUGCCAGAAGAAACCCUUUCGAAGCUAUCGAUGAUGCCCUAUUCUCUGUCUUAUCCCCACUCCGCAAGAAGUUUUGUUAUGGAUCCCCUGAUCUAUUAUUAGACUUCUUGGUUAGGUUGAUAGGAUUGUUCUUUAGUAUUAAGAUUUUCGACUAGAUUGGUAAUGGCGAUAUUAUAUUAUAUUAUAGUGGUUUUCUAAUCCCUAAUAUUGCUAUAUAACCUUGACUUCUUAUACUUUUGUUUUCUUGCCAUUAUAUUGCCACCCUUGCGCAAUAUCUACCUUGAUAUACUGAGUUCUUUGUCUCCUUACUCCUACUUGAUAAUGCCUCUCUAUUUUGUCUUCUUGAUAACACUUUCUCCCUAACCCACUUCAUAUCCUUGGUUGUAUCAUUUAUCCUCACGAUUAAUGGUUUAUGGUUAUGUUAUUUCACUCUUGGCCACCAACAAAUAUGUCUUGUCUAACUCCUCGCUAUUUCUUACCUGACUCCUUGACUUUAUAAUAUCUUUCCUAUUUCAACCCUUGUCUCACUUUUUGUUUUGGUUGAAUGAGUAGAAUUGGAUUGUGUUGUGCUGGUAUGUUUGAGUUCAUUGUCCUUUGUGUUCAUGUUUGAUUUGCUUCUUUGAAAUGAUUGUUGGUGUAUUGUGUGACUUUUGUUCACAAUGACAUCAUUUAGCUAGGUAAAACCUUAGAUAGAUGGUUUUUCUCUGCUCUCUAUAAUCUAUCUUUCCUCAACCCUUUCGUCCCUUCCAUUCUUUCAUACCCAUAUAGAUGUCAGACCUUGGAAUGUCAACUACAACUGAUGUCACUAAAUGCAAAGAAUGUGGUGUGUUGACAAGUCAAAACAACAUUGUAAGUAAAAUAGCUGAUGAACAGACAUUCAAGACACAAAAGGAUGCACAACCAAACCAAUAGACAAGUGACCUUGGAACAUGUUGUUGUUGUGAGUACUAUGGAAUUCCUUGUCGCCAGAUUAGUACAAACAAAAGUGAAACUACAAAACAGAAGAACCAGAUUUUAUUUUCUGGCAUAAAAAACAGAUGUCUCCCCAAGAACAACUAAUAGAAGAUUCUCUCAUACCUAAUGCACUGUCAGUUGAUGAGUUGCAUAGUAUUUCAAAAAGGAAACAUCACAAGGAUGCCCAGCCCCAAGAAGAAACACAGGAGUGUUACAUUGACGGAUGGACUAUUACUUGCACACAGUUUCAGCCUCGUCGUCGCAUCAGGUCCAAGAAACAAAAGGGAAACAUGAAAAAGUCAAGAAAUAACUUCAAGAAAAGCUUGCUAUCAAUGUGGACGUGAAGAUCAUUACUUCCGUAACUGUCCUGAGAAGAGUUCACUAUAGAUCACCUCUGAGAUAAAGCUAUCUCAGUCUUCAGACAUGGAAUAUGAACAAAAAUGCAUAGAAACUUCUACCAACAAUGUAAAUACAACUCCACCAUAUAACUCAUCAAGUCAUGCUUGCUUUGGCUGUGGAGGUACCGGCCAUCUUGUUAAUAGUUGUCUUAAGAAAGAUGUGAAGAUCAAUAAGGUCCAAAAGAAAAGACAACACCCUCAAACUCAUGCAUCAACAAAGAAUAAACAACGGAAAAGGUCCAUAGGAAGGAUAAGUUAUGCAGUGACAGGAACCAUUCCGUAUAAUAUUGCAGUAAUUUUUGGAACACUAGUCAUUCACACAACUAUCGCCACCGUGUUGUAUGAUCCUCGUACAACACAUUCUUUUAUCAGUGCCCAGUUUGCAACAAAGUAUGGUAUCUUUAAGUGUCCCUUGAGAUCAAGGAAGACCAUCAGUGCACCCGAAGGAAAAAUGUUAGUAAACUACAUAUGUCCAAAUGUAAGUGUUAAAAUCAAUGGAAUAGAUUUUCCAGCUGAUCUUAUAGUGAUAGAAUCAAUGGGAAAGGAUGUGAUUCUUGGAAAGAAUUGGUUACAAAGAACUAAGGCAGUAAUCCAACAUACUGAGAGAACCAUGUGUUUGGAAACCCCAUCUGGAGAAAGAAUAGUAGUUGAAGACAAUCGACCCCCAGCUUUGAUUGGUGCAUCUGACAAGGAAGAAUAAUAUACCACUUAGCUAGAAGAAGGAGUAUGUCUCACGAAGAAAAAAAAAUUCAAGGUGUUGCCCCUUUCAAGAUUUGUAAUAGUGCUAAGUGAUAUAUGAAUAAAUUUGAAGAAUCUCUCGCACCUAUCGUGUUUGCCUCUUUAUAAGAGAAUAAAGUAUGGUGUCAUCUGCUAUAUGCAAACAAUGUGAUGCUCUACUCUAGUUGCCCUAAGUCCCGCUCAAGUCUUUCUCUCUAAUUGUGCUCAAAGGAAUACUGUUGGAUUAGAAAGAUGAUUUGGAUAUCAUGCUCUGAAAUAUAUAAGGUUCAAAAGGAUCUAUGUUAAGGAUAAUAACACUUGUACACUCUUGUAGUAUGAUGAAGCUAGAUAGAAAUCUGAGACCAUCCUUAUUCCUUAACUAAUCUUAUAUUGGAAAUCAAAAUGUUGAUCUUUAUCUUAAUGUCGUACAAGCCUCUUAUGCAGUCUGUCUCACUAACUCUUUUACCCUCUGACUAGAUGAUGAAUGUAACACCCCUGGUGUUACUGUAACUAAAACUUGAGCAUGGCAUCAUAAGCAUUGGCAUUGCAUAUGUUUGACACACCUAGAGUGCAUUCACUAGGCAAAAAUUUCAAACAAGUUGUAUUGUUUUAAUGUUUUUGCAAAUAGAACCCUAGUUAAAGGACUUAACCCUAAAUAGUGGUUAAAGGGGUAAAACUUAACCCAAGUUGAGAAAACCUAAAAGCCUUAAGGGUAAAAGUCAUAAAAUGACCCCAAAGAUAAAUUUGAAUCACCUUUAUACCCCAGGAAUACCAGAAACCCUAAUUGGAACCCUGGAAAACCCUAAAACCAAACCCUAGGGGCUUAUGUGCAAAAGUGAGGAACCUUUGGACUAAAGUGUAAAAACUACUAUGUUUAAACCUAUAAAGUCAUUUGGUUCACGAAUAUGUGUACUUGAAAGCCAAACCCUAAGUUUUGGACUUAAAUGCAAAAUGGACCUCAUUUGAGUUCUAUUCUAAGUCUGAAAAUCAGAGAAUUGGCUCAACUUUGGAGCUUUGCAUCUUUCAAAUUAUAGGGUUUUUGCCCUAGGUCACCACAACAAGUUUGUAGACCAAUUAAUGGAGAACAACUUUGCUUAAGGUUGUAAGCUCACUUGUUGAGAAAAAUUUAGAGAUAUUUAAGCCUGAAGUUGAACUGUCAGGCCAAUAUAGACUGAACUUCUGUUGGACAGUGACUUUGAUCCAAGAUUAAGAGCCAUUUAGACUAAGAUCCAGUGGGAAUCUACCUAGGAUUGCUCUAACAAAGUUGUAGGGCUACUAUACAUGAGCAACUUUGAUGCAGACAUCUCCUGCUGUUGUUAUACAACAAUUGGAGAACAAUCUACUCAAAGUCGCUCUGUCAGAACUGUUUCAGAAAAACUGAAACUGAACUCCAAAUAAAAGUGGUCACAGUGAGAUGGGGCCGAUUUAAGCACGCCAUAACUUUAAAUCCGUUCGAAUUUGAUCCAAGAAACCUAUAGUAAGGUUGGAGACUGAUAAUUAGUGAACAAAUUUUAUUAAGAAGGAUCGCUGUGUUCCUAAUAAGAAUCUAGAGAUAAUUGGGUUGGAACAUGGCCGGUUCAGGCGACUGAAGCAGAUGCGCCAUGGUACAGUGACCUAAUGUGGAUCAGACCGCCAGCAAAAAUCUCACCGCCGACGACCGCUUCGCCGGAUUUCGUGCCGCAGGCGUGGGGAGUUCGCUCACCAUGAAAAGAUCUAGUCACGGAUGUGUAAGAACUAUUGUGGCCUCACUGUUCCCUGCCCUUCGCACCGGCGACGUGGCCGUAUGGCCGUCAUCGGAGUCGCCGUGCUUCACCGCGGUUGUGCCACGCUCCAAGCUUCUCACCACGUCGUCCUAGCCACACCAGCUCACCAAUAGCCGCCGUAGCUCCUCAACCGGUGAUCACCGGAGGAAGCGCCACGGUGAAAGCCAUAUCUUCCACGCGCCAGUACCAUUGUUCUCUCCGACCGCCAGCACAUCCCGGUAAAAUUGGGCGCCACCGCCGUUAGAGGCUAUAAAUUGCCACCACCAUCCGCUCCUUUAGGUAGUUACGCAACCAGUGAAGCAACUCGUGCUUCGAAUCACCCCCUAGAGCUCGCAAAUUUCUCGUUUCCCCCAAAUUGGUUUUCCGCCGCCGCGAUGAACACCUCCCCGUGGCCAGCCCAACUCAGGUUAGUUCCAGUGUCUCUGUCACUUGUUCUAGCAUCCCUAGGCCCUCAUCGUGCUCGUCGACCCGCUCAAUUGAACUGGGUUGCCUUAGAUCACCAUGAACGCUUGUGGUCGUCCGCCUUACCCGCGGUCACCAUGGUCAGGGCGUUUCUGUGCGCCGUUCCUGGAAUUAACUUAGGGGAAGUGUUCGGUGGAGGUUCCAUGGUGUUCCUAUCGCCCGGGAGCUCCAGCCAUGGCGGCGGCCGGCCGGAAUUGGCUCGUCGGGGUGCGGCGAGGGCUGAUCCUCGUUGUGGACCUUGAUCUGCGAAGAAAUAGAAGUUUAAGGACCUUUCCGUAAGUUGUCAGUGACCCUGGGUAACAGUAAAGAGACCAGUACCCAGUUAGUGAAAACCCCAAGGGCUUUUACACAAAACUGCCAGCACGUGGGCACGGGCGCGCUUCUGCGCGGGGUUGGGCCGCCUAAGUCAGUUUGAGCCCAAUACUGUUACACCUUUUCCUUUUUCUUUUUCAGUGGAUCUUUAAAAAUAGAUAGAAAAUUACAGAAAAAUCCAAAAAAUAUGAGACCAAUUUUCCUAGGCUUCUUAUUUUCCAUAGUAUUUAAUAAAAAUAAGUUUGUGAUUUUUAGGGGAAAUAAGAAAUUUUGAGGCAUUUAAAAUAGCUUAAACUAACAGUUCUGGAUUUUAGAAAUUAAAUGAUAAUCCCAAAAUUGCCCAAACUUUUUAUGUAAGCUUUUCAUAAUAUUUAGAAGCCUUGGGUAGAGUUUGAAUUGAUUUGGACCUUGUUUGAUCACUAAACCCCAAAACACCCCCCCUGCCCUAUGAACUCCUUUACCGACUCCGGAAACCCUAAGUUCCCGGAACUCCGUGAAGGAAAGUCGUAUUCAAGACAUAAAUAAUAAAUUUAUGCUAUCUUUGCAUCCUCAUGAGCAUCCCAUGGCAUCCAUUCUUAUACCUAUGUAUGGUUAUAUUUAGAAAACGAAGAAGAGAGUGAAGUGACUCAAGAGAAGACACCACCACCUUUGGAAUCUCGGGCAAGGACUUGGCUCUACUUCGACAUCUGCGAGUCAGCCUGACUCACCUGUAAACGAAGGCAAGCCCCGGUGCAUGCAACCUCUUUCCUUGUGUUUUUAAAUACUUUUCGCACACUUAAGUCUAGUGAAAUGUGCAUUAGGUUCAUAGGAAUUGCUUGAAACCCUUUGAUGCAUUGCUUUCCUUGAUAUUCAUACCUUUAUAGAUACUUCUGUGAAGUAUCAAAAUAUGAUUUACAAAAAUGCUUAGCCUUGCUUAGAUCUUGUGGAUAGAGGUUGUCCUUAAUUUAACUCGAGAAAGGAUGGCUUCUACCUGCAAGAAUAUUUUCAUUUGGAGCAAUAGUGGGAUCUUACUGCAAAGUUCCCUGUGAUGCUCUUUCAUCCUAAGGAACAGACACAAUCCUCAGGAUGGCAAUACUUAAAUUGAGACUUGGGUUAGGAACAGGUGAUGUUCUACCCAAGUUGGUUAAGGAUUAACGCGUAUGUAGGCGUGCUGACCGAGGACCCUUUAACUGGUCACAUGCCUCGUCAUGGGUAAGCCUUGCCUCGGGCAGACUAAGGCCGGAAUAAGAUAACACGAAAUGGGCGUGGAGCGGUGGCGAGAGUAGCGUGUACCCUCCGUGGCAAGAGGCUGGACGGUGGUGUAUCUGUGCUCUCGGUUUGUGUGAACCUGAUCCGGUCUUAAGAACCCCGGUGGCGGGUUGACAUAUGCAAGGGUUAAGUGCUACAUAUGUCGUGUGAUUGGAGAUCCUCAGCUGAGUAUAAUCGAUUCGGAUCGCCGUACCUUCGCGGUUAUGAAGACUUGGUCACUUCCCUGCAACCUAAAGUCAGGACGUGAACACUAUGGAUAAAAAUGAUGUUGUCUUGAUGUGAUGUGAAAUUAGACUAGAUGCAAAUAGAGUCUAUUAAUACUUAAUAUGGCGUUAAAAGAUUGAAAGUAAGGACUCACUUUAGUAAGCUACUUCUGCAAAAGUAUAAGUUGAUUUUUGCUAAAACCUCUCCUUGACUCCUAUUUAUCCAGCAUACCCUUGAGAGUCUUUUCCUUAGUCGGGUAAGACUUGCUGAGUAUUCCAUACUCAGGGUUUAUCCCUUUGUUGUUUUUAGGUGAGGAAGCGACAAAUUUUUGUUGCUUUUGCUCCAAGGUGGUACCAAAUGAGGAAAAACAAGACUGAAGUGCGGGAGGACUCGGUCCUCCACUUAGGAUCUUUUGCUUUUAGCUUAUCGGGAGGAGUUUGUGCCUCCCUUGGUUUGUAUAAUAUUACUACUCCGCACUCACUUUUAGUCUGGUCUGUAAUAAAAUAACUCAAGCUUGCUUUUGAAAUAAAUGUAAGUUUAUGUAACUGCUUCUGCAUUUCUUUAUCUCCGAUGUUCUGUAAUGUCUGCAAGACGGGUGAAACAUUCCUGGUAAGGUAAGGAAAGAUACCGAACUUGUCAAGUAGUUCAGGGGCACCUACAGGGUUGUCUGAAGUCCGUUGGACAAGGACAACUGUAGGUGGGCCUAAUUACUUGGGAGGUUCCGUCACAGCUGGUAUCGGAGCGUAGCCCUUCUUUGCAGAUAUUAUGAGGCAUCUUCAAAAGGAUUUUCAAAAGUCUUACCUAAAAAUUCUUUUCCCUUCUUACCUAAGUAUUCUGAAGAGUCUAUCUUAAAGACCAGAUAGGAAGAGUGCAAUGUAUAGAAGGUUGAAUCGACUAAGGUUGAUUCUGUAUUUACACAUGCAUCAUGCUAAGCACUAUAUUAAUAAAGUUUCCCCCUUAGAGAAAUGUUGUCGCGCAUCAGAAAGACCGCGCGCAAAUCUACUAGACCCAUUGGCGUACCCUGCCAUUAACUUGCCCCAAGACAUGAAGAAAGUAGCUGUGGUAGCAACGAUCCUAUCGAGGAUCUGGAAGCACAAGUCGAACUGCUUCAGUCAGAACUCCGUCACAGGAAUGAUCUAUGAGUCGCGGAUGCAGCCAUCCGCUACUUGCAAGACCAACUCGCGAAACGAGAUUUAGCACUCGAUUGGAUGGUUAACUCUCGUUUACUCGCCUGGGCUAAGGAAGCAAAAGCUCGAGCCCGCGUGGAGGAGCUUAGCUUAGCCAUGGAUAACUUGCAGAUCUAUUAUAAUACACUACAUGAAGAAGUUCAUGUGUUGUAUUCACAACUACAUCCGAACGUCCCUGCGAAUUCUGUCGGGAUGGAAGUCGGACCUUCUCAUGUAGCGGGAGAAGCACUUGAUGGUGGACUGGACCUUUUCAGGCCCCCUCCCUCUAUGAAGUUGGUUGACGAAUGGUCUUCCUCGCCCGACAGUAAAGCUACCAAAAGUGAAAAGAAGUGGCUUAUCAGGUGCCCUUAACAUUGGCCAGACAGGACUUUCCUACUAAUAUGGGUGUUCUGAAAAGCCAAGACAUGGAUGUCAUCUUGGGCAUGAACUGGUUAGCCCAGCAUAAAGCAGUUCUCAACACUGAUAUGAGAACCAUCAGGUUGAGUUAUGACCAAUAGAGAGUUGAUGACUUGGUUGCCUAAACCCAAGAUUAGGCUAUAUUCGUAUCAAAAGGGCAUACCACUUUCAUGUGUGGUCUUAUUAGUGACUACUCACACAAGUUCCCUUUACAUCCUUUGUGUAAAGGUGAAGCCCUGGAGCUUUUUAGUGUAAGAAAACAACUGAUUAGCUCUCAAAAUGGAGAUUGGAUUUUCUCUGCUGCUGAAAUGCAAGAGUUUGCUCAUUCGCUCUCCUAUUUUCCAUGUAUUUCCGAACCCAGUCCGUUCAUCUCACAUGAAGAAACGGAUGAACAACAUGACCAAAUGGAUUUUUACCCAAAUGCAUGACCUUUUGUUUGCAAAUGUGAACUCUCAACCCUUGGCUUACUAAUGGUACUGAGAGGAUUUGCUUAAUGUCAAAAGUAGUUCAACAAGUUGGUUUUGACUAACUUGUAACUGCCCGUUGAACGAAUGCUGAGUUUAGUGAUCGUUUUAUCGAGUUGUCUAAACUCACUUUGGUUCAACCCACCCUAAAGAGAGUACUUACCAAAAUGAGAUUAAGUCAGCCAGUAGCCACCUAAUCAUCGCUCUAGUCGUGCCUCGAUCAUCUCACGCGUGUUUUUCCUGCAUGUGUGAUCAUGCCGAUCCAUGACUAGUGCUGGAUAAAAUGGACUGGUUGCAAAGUCCGCAUUUUUAGAUCCCUCCGCUGGUGAUUCUCUCGAAUCUAUAUCACCUUUUGGGGACUUAGAUUUUCUGCUUAGCCACGGGUCAAUUGUGGUGUUAUUCGACAUCCACACCCGUCUCGUGUGCUAUGAACUUACUGUAACCACUUGUUGGUAAACCUCUUCUUGUGUGUUUUACCCAAGAUGGUGCAUCUGAUUCUAUUUGGGUAAAGUUGCAUAAUUGCCACCCAACAGACUCAGAUAGUACAGUGUCAUCAGAAGAAGCAAAUUGCACACCUGGAACCUUAUGUGUUCUUCUGGUGGGCAAAGACGCAAAUUGAAGUUGCACACUAUGUGGCUAGACGUGACACUUGUAAACGUGUCAAGGCCAUACACAUGAAAACUGCUGGUCCAUUACAAUCUUUGCCAAUCCCAACAUGGAAAUGGGAAGACAUCAGUAUGGACUUUAUCGUGGGAUUACCCAGGACUACAAAGGGGUAUGACUCUAUCUGGGUUAUUGUUGAUCGCUUACGAAAAUUUCUCAUUUUCUGCCAGUCAAGAUCGAUCACCCGGUUACUGUCUAUGCCCAAUUGUACAUUGCUCACAUUCUUAGUCUGCAUGGUAUUCUGAAGACCAUAGUGUCGGAUCGUGGAUCGCAAUUCGUAUCCAAAUUUUGGGAAGAACUUCAUAAAUCCCUGGGUACCAAAUUGCUCCACAGUUCGGCCUAUCAUCCUCAAACCAGUGGACAGACUGAGAGAGUUAAUCAGAUACUCGAGGAUAUGCUGCGGGCAUGUGUUCUGGACUUCUCGCAAAAAUGGGAUGAAUGUUUGCCCCUAGCGGAGUUUUCAUACAAUAACAGUUAUCAAGAAAGUAUCAAGAUGGCACCUUUUGAAGCUUUAUAUGGGCGACGGUGUCGAACUCCGCUAAAUUGGUCUGAACCUGGAGAAAGAUACUUCUUUAGACCUGAUAUGGUGAAAGAGGUCGAAGAAAAGGUUCAGAGAAUUAUUCAUAAUAUGAAGAAAGCUCAGACUCGACAAAAAAGUUAUGCAGACCGACGACGACAACCCUUAUGCUUUCUGGUAGACGAUUAUGUCUACUUAAAAGUUUCACCAAUGAAGGGUGUAUCGCGUUUCGGGGUUAAAGGGAAGCUUGCACCCAGGUACAUUGGUCCAUUCCUGGUGAUUGAGCAAUGUGGACCAGUGGCGUACCGACUUCAAUUACCCGAAACAUUGUCUGCUGUGCAUAAUGUGUUCCACGUGUCACAAUUGAAGAAGUGUCUUCAGGUUCCUGAUCGAACCAUUGAAGUAACUGAUGUUGUCCUGGAACCAGAUUUAACAUACUCGGAACAUCCUAUUCGAGUUCUGGAUCAAAAGGACAGGAUCACCCGAAGAAAGACCCUCAAGUUCUACAAGAUACAGUGGAACCAGCAUUCUGAAGAUGAAGCUACUUGGGAAACUCAAGACUUCUUGAAUAAGAAUUUCCCAGGCUUUUUAGCCUCUUGUAAAUUGUAAAGCCUAUAUAACUGUGUAAUAGAGAAGUGACCCCCACAUCACCCCUGCCUUGUACCAAAAUUUAGGAAAUAAAAAUGUGAUAUGUUUCCUUUACCAUUACCUACCCUAGGAUUUUUAAUCUCGGGACGAGAUUCUUUUAUGGGGGGAAGGAUGUAACACCCCUGGUGUUACUGUAACUAAAACUUGAGCAUGGCAUCAUAAGCAUUGGCAUUGCAUAUGUUUGACACACCUAGAGUGCAUUCACUAGGCAAAAAUUUCAAACAAGUUGUAUUGUUUUAAUGUUUUUGCAAAUAGAACCCUGGUUAAAGGACUUAACCCUAAAUAGUGGUUAAAGGGGUAAAACUUAACCCAAGUUGAGAAAACCUAAAAGCCUUAAGGGUAAAAGUCAUAAAAUGACCCCAAAGAUAAAUUUGAAUCACCUUUAUACCCCUGGAAUACCAGAAACCCUAAUUGGAACCCUGGAAAACCCUAAAACCAAACCCUAGGGGCUUAUGUGCAAAAGUGAGGAACCUUUGGACUAAAGUGUAAAAACUACUAUGUUUAAACCUAUAAAGUCAUUUGGUUCACGAAUAUGUGGACUUGAAAGCCAAACCCUAAGUUUUGGACUUAAAUGCAAAAUGGACCUCAUUUGAGUUCUAUUCUAAGUCUGAAAAUCAGAGAAUUGGCUCAACUUUGGAGCUUUGCAUCUUUCAAAUUAUAGGGUUUUUGCCCUAGGUCACCACAACAAGUUUGUAGACCAAUUAAUGGAGAACAACUUUGCUUAAGGUUGUAAGCUCACUUGUUGAGAAAAAUUUAGAGAUAUUUAAGCCUGAAGUUGAACUGUCAGGCCAAUAUAGACUGAACUUCUGUUGGACAGUGACUUUGAUCCAAGAUUAAGAGCCAUUUAGACUAAGAUCCAGUGGGAAUCUACCUAGGAUUGCUCUAACAAAGUUGUAGGGCUACUAUACAUGAGCAACUUUGAUGCAGACAUCUCCUGCUGUUGUUAUACAAAAAUUGGAGAACAAUCUACUCAAAGUCGCUCUGUCAAAACUGUUUCAGAAAAACUGAAACUGAACUCCAAAUAAAAGUGGUCACAGUGAGAUGGGGCCGAUUUAAGCACGCCAUAACUUUAAAUCCGUUCGAAUUUGAUCCAAGAAUCCUAUAGUAAGGUUGGAGACUGAUAAUUAGUGAACAAAUUUUAUUAAGAAGGACCGCUCUGUUCCUAAUAAGAAUCUAGAGAUAAUUGGGUUGGAACAUGGCCGGUUCAGGCGACUGAAGCAGAUGCGCCAUGGUACAGUGACCUAAUGUGGAUCAGACCGCCAGCAAAAAUCUCACCGCCGACGACCGCUUCGCCGGAUUUCGUGCCGCAGGCGUGGGGAGUUCGCUCACCAUGAAAAGAUCUAGUCACGGAUGUGUAAGAACUAUUGUGGCCUCACUGUUCCCUGCCCUUCGCACCGGCGACGUGGCCGUAUGGCCGUCAUCGGAGUCGCCGUGCUUCACCGCGGUUGUGCCACGCUCCAAGCUUCUCACCACGUCGUCCCUAGCCGCACCAGCUCACCAAUAGCCGCCGUAGCUCCUCAACCGGUGAUCACCGGAGGAAGCGCCACGGUGAAAGCCAUAUCUUCCACGCGCCAGUACCAUUGUUCUCUCCGACCGCCAGCACAUCCCGGUAAAAUUGGGCGCCACCGCCGUUAGAGGCUAUAAAUUGCCGCCACCAUCCGCUCCUUUAGGUAGUUACGCAACCAGUGAAGCAACUCGUGCUUCGAAUCACCCCCUAGAGCUCGCAAAUUUCUCGUUUCCCCCAAAUGUUUUUCCGCCGCCGCGAUGAACACCUCCCCGUGGCCAGCCCAACUCAGGUUAGUUCCAGUGUCUCUGUCACUUGUUCUAGCAUCCCUAGGCCCUCAUCGUGCUCGUCGACCCGCUCAAUUGAACUGGGUUGCCUUAGAUCACCAUGAACGCUUGUGGUCGUCCGCCUUACCCGCGGUCACCAUGGUCAGGGCGUUUCUGUGCGCCGUUCCUGGAAUUAACUUAGGGGAAGUGUUCGGUGGAGGUUCCAUGGUGUUCCUGUCGCCCGGGAGCUCCAGCCAUGGCGGCGGCCGGCCGGAAUUGGCUCGUCAGGGUGCGGCGAGGGCUGAUCCUCGUCGUGGACCUUGAUCUGCGAAGAAAUAGAAGUUUAAGGACCUUUCCGUAAGUUGUCAGUGACCCUGGGUAACAGUAAAGAGACCGGUUCCCAGUUAGUGAAAACCCCAAGGGCUUUUACACAAAUCUGCCAGCACGUGGGCACGGGCGCGCUUCUGCGCGGGGUUGGGCCGCCUAAGUCAGUUUGAGCCCAAUACUGUUACACCUUUUCCUUUUUCUUUUUCAGUGGAUCUUUAAAAAUAGAUAGAAAAUUACAGAAAAAUCCUAAAAAUAUGAGACCAAUUUUCCUAGGCUUCUUAUUUUCCAUAGUAUUUAAUAAAAAUAAGUUUGUGAUUUUUAGGGGAAAUAAGAAAUUUUGAGGCAUUUAAAAUAGCUUAAACUAACAGUUCUGGAUUUUAGAAAUUAAAUGAUAAUCCCAAAAUUGCCCAAACUUUUUAUGUAAGCUUUUCAUAAUAUUUAGAAGCUUUGGGUAGAGUUUGAAUUGAUUUGGACCUUGUUUGAUCACUAAACCCCAAAACACCCCCCUGCCCUAUGAACUCCUUUACCGACUCCGGAAACCCUAAGUUCCCGGAACUCCGUGAAGGAAAGUUGUAUUCAAGACAUAAAUAAUAAGUUUAUGCUAUCUUUGCAUCCUCAUGAGCAUCCCAUGGCAUCCAUUCUUAUACCUAUGUAUGGUUAUAUUUAGAAAACGAAGAAGAGAGUGAAGUGACUCAAGAGAAGACACCACCAGCUUUGGAAUCUCGGGCAAGGACUUGGCUCUACUUCGACAUCUGCGAGUCCGAGCCUGACUCACCUGUAAACGAAGGCAAGCCCCGGUGCAUGCAACCUCUUUCCUUGUGUUUUUAAAUACUUUUCGCACACUUAAGUCUAGUGAAAUGUGCAUUAGGUUCAUAGGAAUUGCUUGAAACCCUUUGAUGCAUUGCUUUCCUUGAUAUUCAUACCUUUAUAGAUACUUAUGUGAAGUAUCAAAAUAUGAUUUACAAAAAUGCUUAGCCUUGCUUAGAUCUUGUGGAUAGAGGUUGUCCUUAAUUUAACUCGAGAAAGGAUGGCUUCUACCUGCAAGAAUAUUUUCAUUUGGAGCAAUAGUGGGAUCUGAUUGCAAAGUUCCCUGUGAUGCUCUUUCAUCCUAAGGAACAGACACAAUCCUUAGGAUGGCAAUACUUAAAUUGAGACUUGGGUUAGGAACAGGUGAUGUUCUACCCAAGUUGGUUAAGGAUUAACGCGUAUGUAGGCGUGCUGACCGAGGACCCUUUAACUGGUCACAUGCCUCGUCAUGGGUAAGCCUUGCCUCGGGCAGACUAAGGCCGGAAUAAGAUAACACGAAAUGGGCGUGGAGCGGUGGCGAGAGUAGCGCGUACCCUCCGUGGCAAGAGGCUGGACGGUGGUGUAUCUGUGCUCUCGGUUUGCGUGAACCUGAUCCGGUCUUAAGAACCCCGGUGGCGGGUUGACAUAUGCAAGGGUUAAGUGCUACAUAUGUCGUGUGAUUGGAGAUCCUCAGCUGAGUAUAAUCGAUUCGGAUCGCCGUACCUUCGCGGUUAUGAAGACUUGGUCACUUCCCUGCAACCUAAAGUCAGGACGUGAACACUAUGGAUAAAAAUGAUGUUGUCUUGAUGUGAUGUGAAAUUAGACUAGAUGCAAAUAGAGUCUAUUAAUACUUAAUAUGACGUUAAAAGAUUGAAAGUAAGGACUCACUUUAGUAAGCUACUUCUGCAAAAGUAUAAGUUGAUUUUUGCUAAAACCUCUCCUUGACUCCUAUUUAUCCAGCAUACCCUUGAGAGUCUUUUCCUUAGUCGGGUAAGACUUGCUGAGUAUUCCAUACUCAGGGUUUAUCCCUUUGUUGUUUUUAGGUGAGGAAGCGACAAAUUUUUGUUGCUUUUGCUCCAAGGUGGUACCAAAUGAGGAAAAACAAGACUGAAGUGCGGGAGGACUCGGUCCUCCACUUAGGAUCUUUUGCUUUUAGCUUAUCGGGAGGAGUUUGUGCCUCCCUUGGUUUGUAUAAUAUUACUACUCUGCACUCACUUUUAGUCUGGUCUGUAAUAAAAUAACUCAAGCUUGCUUUUGAAAUAAAUGUAAGUUUAUGUAACUGCUUCCGCAUUUCUUUAUCUCCGGUGUUCUGUAAUGUCUGCAAGACGGGUGAAACGUUCCUGGUAAGGUAAGGAAAGACACCGAACUUGUCAAGUAGUUCAGGGGCACCUACAGGGUUGUCUGAAGUCCGUUGGACAAGGACAACUGUAGGUGGGCCUAAUUACUUGGGAGGUUCCGUCAUAAUGAACCCCAAUGGAAAUGAAGUAAAUGAUGCCAACGACAAUAUUCCUACCUUAACAACUAUGAACGAGAAAAAUGAGUCACAGAGAUAUUCGAUGAAUGGAAUGAAGAACAACAAAACGAAUAGAAAAAUGUUUGGAUACAUGAUUAGUCCACCUCAACCACAAGCAAAAGCCACGAAACACAUGGAUAUCCAAAUAGAAGCAUCAAGUCAGGCUCAGCUAUAUGAGAUACAAACACCCAAUCAACCCUCACCCCCUGUUGGUCAAGCAAAGUUGACUCGCAAAGAACUCAAAGCAAGAGGUGCUUGCUACUACUGCAAAAACGAAGGACAUCUUAUUCGCGAAUGUCCCAAGAAGCGUCUAGACCGACUAGAGAAGAAAGCUGCCAAGCAUGACCUAAGCAAUAGUUCAGAAGACCCACCAUUUUAUAAGUAUGAUGAUGAAGGACGCCUGAUUAGUAUUCAUUGUGGAGCAAAGAAGUAUGGAAGUUCCUUGAUAUUAGAAGAGUUCAAGGUGAACUAAGAACCUACAAAUAACCAUGCAUCUCCUUUGCUUUCGUGCUAGCCUUCCUUAAUCUCGAGGACGAGAUUCUUUUUAAGAGGGGUAGAUUUGUAACACUAUAAAAAUCAUUAAAUAAAAAUAAUCCAUUUAGUUAUUAAUGGUAUUUAUGGUAAUAAAUUUUCUUUUAAGUGUUUGCUAUUUAUUUGCAUUUGGAAUGAUUUUUGAUUUGCUCAUAAUUGAUUUUUAAUAUUUAAUAGCAUUUCUACUUAAAUGGAAAUCCAAAUAAGUAAUAUAAUAAUUAUUAGUCCAAAAAUAAAUAUUUUAUUUAUAAAUAGUUUUGUUGUGAUUAUUAUGAAAUUUAGGGUUAUUUAAAAAUAUAAUUCGAAUUUACAAAAGGAAAUAGAAAAAAAGAAAAAGAAAAAAAACUAAAACCUAACCUAACUAACCCCUUGGCCCAUUAGGCCCAUCAGGAACCGACCGCCCCUAACCCUAGCCGGCCGCCCCCUGGCCUUCUCCCCGUGCAGCCGCCGCCACCCACCCGGCCACCCUCCUCCCGUUCUCUCUCUUCCUCGCUUCUCUCUCCCCGCGCCCACGGAGCCCAGCGCCCGCGCUCUGGCAUGCCCCGAGCUGCGACACCGACCGCCAGGCGCCCUUCCCCGCGUGACCUGACCGACCGAGCCGCCAGGAGGACCGCCCAGGACCCGGCCACGCUCCACGCUCUGCAACCCCCGACGCCGAGUAGUGCCCGUGCCUGGAGCCGCCAGAAGCCGCACGCCCCUGCGCCCAUCGACGCCCGACGCCCCAGCCGACCGAGUUGCGCAGCCGACCCGCCACACCCGCGCCGAGCCCGUCCGUUCGAGAUAUUGGAGCGUCAACCCGACCGUUUCUCUGAGUUAUUAGUGUCGUUUCUCCUCCCCAUUACUCUCUCCCUCCAUCAAUGGUGCCUUGAAGCCAUGGCCGCCAUUUCUCUUCUCUCCCCAGCGCCCUCGCCUAUAAAAUGGACGCCGAGCCCUCUCCUUCUCCCAGCCCGAGCUCGCUCUCUCUUCUCGCGCCUCCCUCGCUCUCGCAGUGUAGUUUGCCGGAGUUCACCGUCGUGACUCGCCGGAGUUCGUACUCACCGUUCGUGUUCCCUAGCCGGAGCUCCGCCCGAAUGCUCACCAACGAUCGCGCCGUUCCCUACCCGUCGAACCCCGUUCGUCGACUUUCAUCCCUGCGCAUGUACGAAAACCCAAGGUUGAAGACAACCCCAACCCAUUAAUUUAUUGUCUACAUCAUGUGUUGAAAAUAUAUAUUUCACUAUUCAUAAUAAAUGAAUUCAUAAGUAUGGCACUUAAGUACUUAGAAUUAGUAAGACAUUUAUUUAUGUCAUAAUAAGCAUGAUUAUAUUAUUAAAAGUCUCAUUUAGUAAUUUACAUUAAUUCUUAGUAUAUUAAUGUCAGAAGAAUUAUAAAUAAACAAUUUUUAGUAUACUCAUAAAUUCUAUUUAAGGAGAAAAAUCAAAAGAAUAGAAUUUUAUUAUGUUAAAAUGACUUAAUUAGACGCCCAUGCUUUCCUAAUAAAGAAAAUGAUAGUUAUGUUGUUAAACAUAGGUUUCUUACUAAAGAAUUAGAUAAUUUGUUUCUAGUUUAAAAUGACCUUUUAAUAGAUAUCAUGUUUUUUGAUUUAAUAAGGUUCGUUAUAGAUGUUUAAGUAUAGUUGUAUUAAAUAGAAACUUAAAAGAAUAUGUAGACCAUAUGUUUCUUAAUAAAAUUACAAUGAUAAUCAUUUAUUAUCCCUUCACAUAAAACUCAUUUAGUCUCAUAUUUAAGUAUCCAUAAUUAUAUGCUUUACAAUAGUAAUAUGUCAUAUAACUUUUCUAACAAUGAUAUAAUAGCUUAGUUAAGUGCUCACAUCGUCAUAACUAAAAUGAUAGUUAAUAAUAUACCAAUAAUAUAGUAUUCAUUUUAAUUAUCUAGAUCAUUUGUUCCUACAAUAGAAUUAAAGAUGAUUAAUAGAUUAAUUAUCCUUUAUCAUAAUUUAUUAAUCAAACCUAUAGUCAAUUUGUUCUUAACUAGGUUUAUGGCAUGAUUAAUGAUUUCAUAGAAUUUAGUGCAUAUUAUAUACGAAUCACUUAGCUUUUCCUAAAGGAUAAAAUAAAGUAAUAAGAGUUUAAGUUCUUUUAUAACUUAAAAUGUUACUUUAUAUAUAUUGACUUCAAAUAUAAUAAUAUAGGUUGUGUGCUUUUUAAUGAAAUUAAAUGAUGGUUAUGCGUUCAUUAUCUUUUGCACGAAAAUCCAUUUAAGGCCCAUAACCUAACUCGUCUUAAAUAGGUUAUUAAUAAUAUAAUUAUGAUCUUGUCACAUAAAAAGUUGUUUAUGAGCUUGUUAUAAAAGUAAUGUUUAAUAAUGUGUUUUAUGACUCAUUAACGUUAGAUAUAUAACAUAUAUCUUCUCUAAAAGGUUAAAAAGGUUUAAUAUUGUUAUAACAUGUUUUAUCAUCUUAUAAACCCUUUAUCUUAGACGUAUCACAUAUGAUGUUUUAUAAAAGAUUAAAUUGGUGAACCUAAUAUUUGCAUAUUUUAAUUAAGAUAUUUUUAAGCUCAUGUCUUGUUUUAUAAAGUAUAGAUCACACAUUUUUGAAAAGAAUACCUUCUUAUUAUAACCAUUACUUACGAUGUUUUUGAAAAGCGAACGCUCUUUUCGUUAGGCUUUCUUUUAGCUUUACGUAUGGUGAAUGUUGUAUGUUAUUGAGUGGUGUUUGUUCUUCUUGUUUGUUUGUGUGAUAUUCAGUGGUUGAUCUAGUAGUUAAGAAUCAAGAUCUAUUCCUAUCCGUGGAAGAACCUCAAGUUUUCAAUAAGCAAGGCAAGUGGACUUCUCCCUCUGCAUAUUCUGUUUGAUCCCAAACAGUACAUUUAAUAAAGUUUAUUCUUGGAUAUAUAUAUAUAUAUAUGCAUAAUUUGAUGGGUUACCUAUUUAGAUACCCCUAACCUUUUCAAACUUAUUCCUUGAUCAGACCUGGGUAUUAUACAUUACUUUUGUAGCUAUCCUAUUGCUACAACUUUAAAUUUAUGCAGUCACUCCUGUUUAUGAUAUUAAUGUUCCAAAUGGUAAGAUUACUUUAUUGUUGUUAACCCGAUGGUUAAACAAGAUUAUUGCAUAUUAAUUGGAACAUGGAGUGACCAUCCGGGAAAACAGUGCUACCAUGAGAACUAUCAUGGCUCUGGUCUUGGCUAAAUAACUAGGGAAGUCUUAUGUUGGGUGCUGGUCGUGGUCGACCGGAACGGGGGCAUAUGGCAAGCUCUUAUAGUUCCGGCUCAGGCAGAUUGGAUACGGGCAUAGUUCCCAAAGAUUUACCCUGCAGUCUGGACUAUAAGUUGGUCACGUUAGGUGUGAUUUAUGCAGUUGACCAUUUCCAUCAUUUGCGUAAUGAGGACUCUAGGGAGAAGCCUCGUAGUGAGACCCUGGCCAUUCAUCUCGGAAGUGAAUACGGGUCUAGCUAACCCGGGCUAGAAGGGAAUCGCGACUCAUGGGUAAAGAUGUGCCACCUCUGCAGAGUGUAAAACUGAUAUAUCAGCCGUGCUCACGGUUAUGAGCAGCCUGGACUCCUCACAUGAUAAUUGAACUUGAAGAUGGAAAUAAAUCAAGAUCCGAUGAUCUGACAAUGGUUUGCUUAAGUGGUUUCACUUAAGUGUUUUUGAUAUACUCUUAUACCUCUGUUAAAUGGGAAUGCUUGGGAUUCACACUUAUUAGUAAGACAGGUGUUGUUAAUAAAAUGUUGACCAACUAAAAUGCUUACUGCUCAACCUUAGCCUCACCUUGUUAAACUUGCAUUAGUUUUUCCCCCACUUGCUGAGCCUCGACCAUAAGUGAGCUCACCCUUGCUUAAUUUUGAUUAGAAGUUUGCAGAUGAAGAUAUGAUGCUGAACUCUGUGGAUGCUAGUCUAGUGAUACCCCCGGUCAUCUUCCUGUGGAUGGAUGUCCUUGUUUCGCUGUACUUUGAUGAAUAAAGGUUAAGACAUUAUGUUUGUUCGAAGUGUAAUAUGUUAAUAUAAUCGUUAUUUACGCUUUUAUGCAUUGUUCUUUUGAUAUAUUACACUUGUGACGUCAACAUAUGUGUGGAAAUAGAUACUGGCACACAUAUAAUAUGCACCCGACUCUGCCCCUUAGAAACGGGUGUGACAUUAGCCCUGAGAUCUAUAGGUGUUUUGUAAACUACACAUCUGUGUGCUUGUGAUUUUGCGAGGAAGGGUGGCCGUUACCAUCCAUGUCUAGCGUUUGUUCAGAUCAUGUCUUAUUGAUCUCACUAUGAUUUUGAUUUGGUAUCUCCUCUCUCAAUCCUUCUCUUUAAUUAUGUGAGAAGUGUUGAUUUCUUGAGUUGGGGAUUGUUUCGGGGAUUACCUUAGGGUAAAGAUUACUCUCUAGAUCACUACAAACACCGGGUUUGAGCAGUUUGUGGUCGUCAUCCGAGAUCACCAGGUUGUUAUUCCAUCCUCUUCAACUCUAAAUGAGGAAAUUCAUCAAAGUCAACAAAAUAAUGAAGUUGAUGAUACUCAUGAUAAUGGUAAUUCAAGUCAUUCCUACCUCAAGCUUCAUCAAGUGAUUCUCUCAUUGUAUCAAGGAUUCAUCAUUCUAUUGCAAAAUAUCACCUGAUUGAUCAAAUUGUGGCUGACAUAAGUAAGGUUGUUCAAACUCGCUCUAGCAUUGCUUCAUUUUGUGAACAUUUCUCUUUUGUGUCAUGUAUUGAACGUAAUCGUGUAGAUAAGAACUACUUAAUGUUGAUUGGUUGAAUGCAAUGCAUGAGGAAUUAAAUAACUUCACCCACAAUGAAGUUUGGGAGCUUGUUGAAAGACCUAAGAACCACAAUGUUAUUGGUACUAAAUGGGUGUUUCACAACAAGCAUAAUGAAGAUAGAUUGGUAGUAAGGAAAGGCAAGAUUAGUGGCAAUCUGAAUUCUUCUUGCUUAUGCUUGUGCUCACAAUAUCAAACUCUACCAAAUGGAUGUAAAGAGUGCUUUCCUGAAUAGUAAGAUUAGUGAACUAGUGUAAGUGGAGCAACCUCUCAGUUUUGAGGACCCCAAGAAGCCUAACCGCGUGUAUAAGCUUUCUAAAGCUUUCUAUAGGCUUAAGCAAGCUUCAAGCGCUUGGUAUGAAAUGCUUAGGGAUUUCUUGCUUUCGAAAGACUUCAAAAUUGGGAAGGUUAACACUACAUUGUUCACUAAAAGAAUUCAUAAAGAUUUAUUUGUUUGUCAAAUUUAUGUUGGUGAUAUCAUUUUUUGGAUCUACUAAUGAGUUGUUUUGCGAGGAAUUUGGAAAAAUGAUGUCAAAAGAGUUUGAAAUGUCAAUGAUAGGGGAAUUGAGUUACUUUCUUGGCCUUCAUAUCAAACAAAUGAAAGACGGGAUUUUUGUGAGCCAAUCUAAGUAUUUGAAGGACAUGCUAAAAAAUUUGGGCUAGAAGAUGCAAAACCAAUCAAGACUCCUAUGGCUACAAAUGGUCAUCUUGACUUAUAUGAGGGAGAUACAAUUGUUGAUCAAAAGCUUUUUCGUUCAAUUAUUGGUAGUUUUCUUUGCAUUACCGCAUCUAGGCCCGAUGUUUGCAUGUGUGCUCAGUUUCAAGCUUCACCUAGAGAAGCUCAUUUGAAAGUCGCAAAAAGAAUUCUAAGAUAUUUGAAACAUACCCCCAAUAUUGGCCUAUGGUAUCCUAAAGGUGCUCAGUUUGAAUUGAUUGGAUAUUCUACUUCUGACUAUGCGAAAUGCAUAGUUGAUAGGAAGAGCACCUCCGGUUGUUGUUAAUUUCUUGAGAGGUCUCUAGUCUCAUGGCCUUCUAAGAAGCAAAAUUAUGUCGCUCUAUCUACCACGGAGGUGGAAUAUAUAUCGGUCGGUAAUUGUUGUGCUCAAUUAUUAUGGAUGAAGAAAAUUCUAUUGAAUUAUGGGAUCUCUUUUCAAGAAUGUGCCUCUCAUGUGUGAUAAUGAGAGUGUGCUUAAAUUGGCUACAAUUCCGAUUCAACACUCAAGAACGAAGCAUAUUGAUAUAAGGCAUCAUUUCUUGAGAGAUCAUGCUGGCAAAGCAGAUAUUUCAAUAUGUUCUAUUAGCAGGGACGAUCAAUUAGCGAACGUAUUUACAAAACCUUUGGAUGAAUCAAGGUUUUGCAAGUUGAGAAGUGAAAUGAAUUUGAUUUAUCUCUCAAAUGUGGCUUUAAGUUGAGGGCACAUGUAUAGUCAUGCAUUUUAGCCCUAGUGCAUCUCUCUAAGUCAUGUAUUGCCUAUUUUUCUUGAAUUUUUUUAUCUUUGCAUGAUCUAAGUGGUUCGAUGUGAAAAUGCUAUUUAUUCUAGUACAUUAUGUGUUUAUGCAUACAAGCUAACCCUUGGAAUAGUCAAAUGUCUGCAUUUGAGCAAAGAAUCACAUUUGAAUUUUGAUUGAGAAAAUGGACAAAAAGUGUAAAUCUAUGUAUCAGGCCACAGACAGUCCGAACCCUGACACGGACAGUCUGGAUUAAUAGGACAAAGACAAUCCGGGUUGUUAGUGGACUGUCUAUGGACAUUAGUUCAUGGACCGCCCGUAGGCACCCCACAGACCGUCCAUGACUCGCAGUAUAGCCAACCAGAGGCAACAAAACAGUCACUUUCAACCCUAAGCCUCUCUCUCAUAACAAAGCACCAAAAUUCACUUUUGUCGUUUAUGCGUUGACGGAAGUUUGGAUCCUUGUGCGGACUGUCCGGGAGCAAGUUUGGCACUUAGAGAACCAUGUCUUCCUUUCGGUAUUUCAAGUUUCACUGAAUUUUAUUCAAAAUUCACAAGUUUGGGGAUUUCUAGUUUUUUGUCUGUGAUAUGAUUUUGGGGAGUGUAUUCAUCAAAUCAAUUUGGGGAAUUGUAUGUGUUAUUCAUCAUGAACUUGAUGCUAAAGUUUGAAACAUUUCUAUUAGACAAACUGAUCAAAUCGAUGAAUGGAAGAUUUGGGGCAAUUUGGAAUUCAAAACCCGUCUCUGCAGAGUUGCGGACCGUCCGCUAGGGUGGUGCGGACCGUCUAGCUAUAGUUGCGUGGACUGUGCGGCCCCCUAGUGCGGACUGUCCGACCACUAUCAGUUCAACACAUCUUCACAUCUUUUGUUUGUGUCUUGAUUCAUUGUGAUGAUUGUUGGAUAUUCUUUAUGAUUCGUAGUGGUCUGGGUAAACACAAGAAGUAGUUGACAGGGGGCUUUAGAAGUAGUUCCUCCAAGCGUCACAGAGCUAAUGAUGCAUAUUAUGAUCCAGCAGCUGACACUGAGUCCUAUUCAUCUGUUGGAGGAAAUGUCUCCCUUGAGCCUGAAGAUGAUCAACAUCUACACCUAGACAUGGAAAUUGAUGUGACUGGGUGGACCUAUCCUUGGCGAAGGUCCUCCAUGGAAGAGUUUCCUUCCAGAAGGACUGUGAAUCAGUACAUUCUUCCCAGUGACAUCAACAUUAAGUUUUUACACACUCAAUUGCAAUUUGAUGUGUUCUAGGGACACUUGAUGGAUACUAAGUUUCAUAAACAUCAAGUGAUUAACUGGACCUAUAUACAAAAUGUCUCUGUGAUGGAGGGGUUGAUUUCAAAGUUUUAGGCUUGUGGGUUCAAUCACUUCAUGGGAAAGAAGACAGAUUACAAUGAGAUGGCGGUCAGACAGUUCUUAGCCACAUCUGAGAUCGACACAGAGGAAAUGUCCAUCAUCUGGAUGACAGGGCAUAGAAGGUACUCCACUACCUUUGCUGAGUUUGUUGAAGCAAAUAUCCUAAAUUACAAUAUGAUCUCGGUAGGACUUGACAUGUACACUAAGGAUAUCUUUGAAGACUAUGUGCAGUACUAUAAGCCUGUAAUGCUUGGAAUUCCUAGAAGGAUUGGAGAGAUCCAGGGAUAAGGCAUCAUCCUGCAGUUAUUAACAAGAUUGCCAAGGUCACAAUCGUUCCUAAGAGUGUGGACAAAGGGAAGAUAAGGGACAAGUUCUGGAACAUAAUCCACCGUGUCUUGAAAGGUGAGGUAAUGAAUGUGGUUCUCUUCAUGAUGAGACAGUUGAAUGACUUAAAAUGGAUAAGAACCAGAAUCUGGCUUAUGCUCCCUAUAUCAUGGCCCUCAUUCAAUCCAAGAAAACAUUUGAAGGGAGAUGUGAUGUAGCUCACACCCCUUUCAAGCAUUUCAAGAAUGAGAUUGGUUUUUUAGAGGCCACUAAUUCCUUUCCUUGACAAUGAGGAUGCGACAGACGAUGAUCAACAAGAUGACCCUAUUCUAGAUGCAGCACAAUAGAUGCCUCCUCCACCUCCACCUCAGCAACUUGAGCAGUACUGAUAGCAUGGUCCAGGGUAUUUUAAUCCUUACUUCCAUCAAAUGUAGCUGUAACACCCCUGGUGUUACGUUAACUAAAACUCUAAAAUGUCAUCAUAAGCAUUUGCAUUAACUGCUUGAUACACCUAGAAUGCAUUCACUAGGUCAAAAAAAUCAAUGAAUAUGGUGUUGUGUAUUAGAGUAUAGAGCUCAGGUUAAGAACUUUGCUUGAGACAUGGGAAGAGAAGUCGUCUCUAAGCAAGUAACAAAUUGACUUGGAGUCUUAAGUGCUAAAGGUAGGUCUUAGAGCCCAAAGUGGCCUUGUUUUGGAAUUAUGGUCAAGUGGAAGAAGCACUUAAGGAACUGGAAUAAUCCAAACCUUAACUUGAGUUUUGCUUGGAAGAGAUGGUUAAGUAAAGCAAAUUCGAAACUAAGGACACUUUGGACAUGAGCUUCAUAUACUAGAGUUGGAUUUGAGAUUAAGGGGAGUCACUUGGCUUUUAGGAGUAUGGAUUGAGUUGAUAAAUCACUAGAUGAGAAGGAGUCACAUUUGAAACCCUCAACUAGCCCAAAAGUGGAGUUUUAAAUCUAGAGAGAAUUUGCUAGUGGUCCAUAUAUCAAAGUUGUAUAUUUUGAAAAGUUGAACAACUUUCAUGUAUGGAGAAUUCCAAGUUUUAGAGGAAAAGUUGGAGUAAAAAGCUUAAUUCAGUUUUGAAUCAGACUUGAAGUUUGCUGAAAAUAAUAUCAACUAGCUGUGUUUGGGCCUUCAUAACUUUCGAUUUAUAAACAGUUUGAAGAUGGUCAUUAUAACAAAGUUAUAGGGCCACAUGAGGAGUACAAGUUUUGUUAAGUAAUCUAGCCCUAAAGCUAUUUGGAACUUGGAGAAAAACUAGUCCAAAGUAGAGCUGUCAGAAAUUGUUGAUUUCAGACAUUGAAAUUCUGAGUCUUAAUUUCAGCAAUUGAUGCAAACUUUGGGCUAGUGUGGUUUGGAAUACAAGAGGCUUUGGUUAAUGGUCACUAUAUAAAACUUGUAGAGGAACUAUAGGAGUAUAAACUUUAUUGAGAAACAUGCCCUAGAAUCAUUUGGAACCAGGAGAAAAAGGUGACUAAAGAGGGGCUGUCAGAAUUCUGAAUUUUUCAGAUUGGGAAUAGUAUCUGAAUCUGAAAUUAAUAUUUUUAGUGCAGUUUUGGGGUUGUGUACUGCCUGUUCGAUGCAGUUUUGGACCAUGGUUUAUGUAGAGGAAGUGAAGACCAUAUAGUGGUGAAUAACAUUCUUUUAAGGUGAUGGACAUGAUCCUAUACGAAGAUUUGAGUAACAGCUGCUCAAAUUUGGACUGUCAGGUUGCUGAAACUGAAUUGUAUUCAGUUCACUGUAAACUGAAAUUCAGCACAAGGGUGUCUAGUUUGGAGCUCUAUAGUGCAAGGAGAUUUGGGUUUGCAGUUCCAUAGCAAAAUGGAAGACCAUAUCAAGAAGAACAAGUUUCAUACACAGAGUUGGUCUUGCUAGUGUGUAGAAUUUAGAAAGAAGAGUGUUGCAAAACUCCCUGUCAGAAUGGUAGGGUGUUGUUUCAGUUAAGCUGAAAAUGGGGUUUCAGCAGUUUUUCUCUACUUUGGUGCUUCAUAAAUAUGGUUAUGAAUGUUUUCAGCCUAGGGGUGCUAUACCAAGUUGGUAGGGCUAUAGUUAGACAGUAUCUUUGAUUAAUGGAGGUGGGUCUGUUGUUAAGGGGAAUUGUGAGAUCCAAGGGCUUAAACAGUGAGAAGUGGAAUGGAGUAGUAGUGCUGUUUCAGUUAACUUCAGAGUUUGGUUUCAGAAACUGAACAAGAUCCUCUCUCUGCUGUACUCUAGCCAUGUGCUCGAGUUGGGAUACAUCCCUGAAGAUCUGGGGCUCUCCAUACUGUAAAUAUCUAGGGUUUGGACUGUUGUGGGGGGCUGUGAGCAGUAGAGUCCUUAUCCAUUUUGUUCACUGUCUCUAGUAUGGGACAGGGGGAGAUAUUUGUGUAUGUUGAAGAGCUGGCCUAGUGUUGGGUAUUUGUUUGACACGUAUGUAAUCUUGUGCAGUGCUGGCGCCCAGGGAGUACUCCACUAUGUUGUGAACAAGUUAAGGGUACUUGCUCACAUAUUGAGUGCCUUAGGGCUUGGCUUUAGUGGAAUUUUCUCCCUGCCCCAAGCUCUGGUCAAGGUUCACAGUGAGUGUGUUGUAGUUUUUGUGCCCACUCUGGUUCUAACCCUCUCCCCAACCUCAUCUGUUGGCCUGCCCUGAACCCUUGCACGCCAGCACCCUGUCUGGUGACCACAACAGCAGUUCUCACCCUCGUCGUGGCCCGGAUUCCUCGGAGGUUGUCUCGGUCGUGUGGUGCUCGUUCCCUACUCCUCAAAGGUCAGUGAAGCAUUGGUAUUGCUGCUGUGUAAAAAAAUUGGAUAAAACGUCACAAAACUUUCACUGACAGGUAUAUGGUUUCAGUCAGCUGAAACAGAAUUUUAUGUGUUCUCCACCUAUUUUUGGAGCACUAUAACUCUUGAUCCAUGAAUCUUUGACCUAAGGCUGCUGCAGCAAACUUGUACAGAUAUGUUUGGUAAACAAAUUUUAUUAGUCAAGGUUGGCCUAUUAUUGUUUGGAAUUGUGAGGAGUAAUGGAGUUAAAGGUGGGGGUUCAGUUUGGUGUAGAGUUCAGUUUCAGAAUCUAAAAUGUAAUUCAGUUUGCUGAAUUUUUAGAAACCGUGAAUUCCUCUCAGUUUUGGACCAUUCUAAGUCUCAAUUCUUGAAGUUUUGGUGGAUGAUCAUUGCAUUAAACUUGAAGAUCUAAUAUUGGGGAGCAAUUUUUUUUGAGAAGGAUCUCCCUAUCCUUGCUUUGAAUUGGGAGAAAAGGUUAUUCCAAGUUGCUCUGUUAGGUAGAGGGUGCUGAAUUUAGUUCAGUUAGCUGAAUUGUGUAGUUUGGUGGAUUUCCAACUUUGGAGCUCUCUAACCUGAAGUCUGUUGAGUUUUAGCUAGUAUCCGUUAAAGUAAAGUUGGAGAGUGAUCAUAGAAGAGAAGCUCCUAGUAAGAAAGUGUAUCAAGCCAGCAUAGGGAAAUGAGAGAAAAUCUGAUUGGAAGUUCUAGGUUUAGGCUUGGUAUAGUGAUUUGAGCACAGUUUAAAAUUCAGAUUGGGAGCGGAACGAUCCUCCCGCCUCUGUUGUGUUCCAAUGUGUCAAUCCAAGCUGAGGCUGAGGUUUGAUAUUGGAAAAGCAGGUAGUUGAAGAGGAUUAUAAGCCGAUCCUUAACUGGGCGAAUGGAGACUGGACCGGUUUCAGAUUGGGCAGAGGGGGCCGGCAUGCUCAGGCUACAAGUCAGCCGAAGCCUGUUUGCUACUUCAAGUUUGGUUGCACUGGUUAAAAAAAACCACCACCUAUCCCAACCCAGCUGUCCCUGAGCCAUCAAAAUGCGGCCACGUAUCUGCUUGUGUUGUGCAGUUUCUGCUGUUGCCAUGUACAAGAGCUGCCACACAGCUGCUGGCAUCGUAUGCCAAAACCUUUCUCUGUCGUGAUAUGCACCAACGCAGCAAAGUGCUCCUUCCUUUUUCCAUUGCUGUGCUCCCUGCUCCAAGUGAGAACUUUCGGUGUUCUAGCGCUCUAGCCCCUGGCGUCACCAGCCUUGACCUCACGCUCUGCCCAGCAGCCCACCUCGCCGCUUGCCUCUUCGUCCGUUGGUCGCGGUCCACAGAAAAGAAUCCCCAUCGCCAGGAGCCCUGCUUGUAUCUCCACUUAAGGCUAGCGUCCAUCUUUGGGUGAGGUAGGAAGGGUCUUUAGGCUAGAAAUACUUCCAUACGUUUAUUGUUCUACCGAACUUCUAGGAUUGUAAUUUGAUGCGGUUUUUAGUCAAGAAAUUCGGGUGGCCAGCGCCCUCGUUCUGCGUUUGUGUAGAGUAUUGAAGUUCAGUAAGUAGCUUCCUGGUAGUUAUAUAUUUUUUUGAAAACUUAGUGCAGGAGCUCUGCUAUUUCAUUUAAGGAGAGAAGGGAAACAAGAGUCUUAAAAAGUUGCUAUUACAUAUAACGAAAAACACUCAAACACAAUCCAAAAAAGAGAAGACAUUAUACUACACAUGGAUGCCCAACUGCAGCUCGUCUCAACGCCAUUUCUUGUUUGGCCAGAUGAAAGACCACUUGUGUCGAUGCUUGCUUGCCCUAAAAAAUACGCCGAUUCCGCUCCUUCCAAAUAUUCCAGGUGAAGUACAUAAGCAAACCCGAAACAGUGAGUUGAUCUUCUUUCGAUUUGUUUUGGAGCACAACAGCCCACCACGAAUCGAAGCUCUGAAUAUCUGAGCUGGGCGGCAUGAUCAGAUUAUUGGUCCACGACCUGACUAACUCCCACACUUCCAAAGCAAAAGGGCACUUGAGACAAAGGUGAAUCGCAGUCUCCGGCUCUUGAUCGCAAAGGACACAUAGAGGAUUGCAUGGCCAAUUUCUUUGACUUAGUUUAUCUGCUGUGAGGAUCUUUGCUUGAAUGAGCAGCCACACAAAGAACUUAUGUUUCCCUUCGGCGUGCGCCUUCCAGAUAGAUUUUGCUUUGAAAGCACUGUAAGAGCCCUUGAAUUGUGCAAGAUAAGCUGAUUUGGAAGAGUACACUCCAUUCUCGGUCCAUAUCCACCGAAUGCAAUCUUCCUGGUCAUUGAGCUGCACCCCUCAAUAUGGUUCCACAAUUGUAUGAAUUCAGCCAUCUGUUGAACAUUUUCCAUUCUCCAGAGACCUCUCGUCCAAUUGAGGUUAACCAAUUGUUCAGCCACCGAUCUAUUUUUGCGCCAUGCCAGGGGGUACAAGCUAGGUGCAAUGUCAAUCGGAGCUUUGCCUGAGAGCCAAGCAUCAAGCCAAAAAUUUGUCUUCAGUCCGUUGCCAACCGUUACAGAUGUUGAUGCCCGGAACAAAGCUGCAUCUAUUUUAUCACAGGGUAUCUGAGAACCAGCCCACGGCCUAUUAGAAUCAGUCCAGUUGAGCCAAAGCCACCUGAGGCGCAAAGCACGGCUGAAACGCUCUAGAUCCAAGAUGCCAAGGCCACCCAAGGAUUUCGGUCUGGCAGAAUUGGUCCAAUUCACUAGACAGUGCCCACCAUUAGCAUUUUCAGCACCUCUCCAAAGGAAAGACCUCCUAAUUUUAUCGAUCUUCUUAAUGGCCCACUUCUUCAAAGGGAAAACUGUCAAAAAAUGCACCGGGACAGCCGUGAGCACUGAAUUUACCAGAGUCAGUCUUCCAGCUUUAUCAAGCAGCUUCCCUUUCCAUGCCGAUAAUUUACCAGCCAAUUUGUCAAGCAGCGGCUGGAAAUCCACUCGACGCAAUGGUCGGCAAGUUAAAGGCAGCCCAAGGUACUUGCACGGAAAAGCUUUGAUGGCACACGGGAAAGGCUGCAUGAUAUGCUCUAGCUGCAGCGAGUCGCAGCGGAUAGGAUAGACAGCACAUUUACUCAGAUUGACAGAUAAACCUGAGGCUUCACUAAAAGCUGCUAGGAUCUGAUUAGUGACUUGAACUUCUUCUCUGAUCGGGUUGAUGAAUAUGGCGGCAUCAUCAGCAUAGAGGCUGACUCUCAAUCUAGCAGAGCGGUGAAGAAUAGGGCUGAGCAGACCCUCCCGAGAAGCAAUGUCAAACAGCCUCUGAACAGGGUCGAUGGCAAGAAUGAACAGCAAGGGAGACAAGGGGUCCCCCUGCCUCAAGCCCCUUCCAUGGUUGAAGAAAUUCCCUCUGACUCCAUUAAUCAUUACUGCAGAGCUAGCUGAUCUGAGCAGGAUGGACACCCAAGCUUUCCAUCUAUUUCCAAACCCCAAAUGAUGCAGGACCUCAAGAAGGUAGUCCCAUCUCACACUGUCAAAGGCCUUAGCAAUAUCCAAUUUCAGGAACAAAGUAGGGAUUUUUGCUCUAUUCAGCUCUUUAAUUAAAUUUUGCGUGAACAGGAAAUUAUCAUGUAUGCUCCGCUUCCGGAUGAAAGCACUAUGGCUUCUGGAUACUAGAUGAUCAAGACAGGGUGCCAGGCGGUUAGCCAACACUUUGGAAAUUAUCUUUGCUAUGCUGUGUGUGAGGCUGAUGGGUCUGAAGUCAGAAAUAAGUGCUGCCUCGUUGUUCUUCGGGAUCAGACAAAUAUGUGCAGAGUUAAGUUUGUUGAAGUGUUGGUCAUGCAUAUGAUAGAAAUAAUUCACAGCCAGCAAUAAAUCCUCUUUGACAAUUGCCCAAGCAGACCGAAAAAACACUCCAAUAAAGUCGUCUGGUCCAGGCGCCUUCUCAGCAUGAAGAUCAUUUAUCGCUGCUAGAACUUCCUCUUCAUCAAAAGGAGCCUCCAAGUGGGAAAGGUCAGCAGCCUGUAGCCCAAGAAAUUCCCAGUUCAAAGAGUUCGCCCGCACAGGAGAAAUGCCCAAUAAAUUGCUAUAAUGAUUGAAAGCGAGCUGCGCUUUAUCUUCCUGAGAGUAAACAUUCCCUGUCUCAGUUACAAAAUGCUGAAUGAAAUUCCUCCUGCGCCUGCCAUUUAUUCUGAGAAAGAAUAGCCUAGAAUUUGUGUGGGCUGCUUUGAUCAUUGUCAACCUGGACGCUUGUCGCGCCCUGAGUUUUUCUACCGCUGCGAGUCCCAAAAAUCUGUUUUGAGUUGCUUAUGUAACGUAAGCUCAAGGUUGCUUAGGGGUAUGUAAUCUUGGACCACAUCAAAAAUCCAAAUCAGUUGCUUAGCCGCAAGCAUCAGUAAUUUAUUAUUCCCAAUAAGAGCCUUGGACCACUUCCUGAGCGCUUUAGCAGUCCUCUACAGCUUUGUGUGCAAUCUUAAGAAAGGAUUAAAAAUUGUGAGCUGCCUGUUCCACGCAUUUUCCACCACAUUGCUGUAGCCACUAAGCUUUGGCCAAAAAGAUUCAAAACGGAAUCCCUUGUAUGGGCGCCUCAAGGUGUCACCAGAUAAAAACAGUGGACAGUGAUCAGAUACUAAGGAGGAUAGAGCCUGAACGGAGCAGCUAGGGAGCAUGAGGUCCCAGUCAUUAGAGCAGAAAGCUCUGUCGAUUCUAGUGUGAGUCCUAGAAUUAGUCCAAGUAAACCUCCUCCCUCUUAGGGGCAGCUCCUUCAGUUCUAGAUCAUUCAACACAGAUCUAAAGGCCCCCAUUAACCUCUUAUUUAAAUUGUUGUUGCUCUUAUCCUCGGCACUGAUGAUUAAAUUGAAGUCUCCAAUAAUUAACCACUUCUCUGCGGAGAUGCUACCCAGCUGCCUAAGCUCAUGCAAAAACUCUAACUUAUGAGCGUCGAGCUGCGGCCCAUAAACAACAAUAAUCCACCACUCGCUAGGUACACAGUUGGACUGAAUCAAGGCAGAAAUAAUGUUGCUUGUACAGGCUGUCGAGAGGAUCCGGAAGUAACUGGCAUGCACAGCUAGCAGAAUGCCGCCCCUCGUGCCAUCUGCGGGGAGAAAAGCAAAAUUCUGAAAGAAAUCAGGUCCAAGCGUCUCGGACACCACGACGUUGUCAACCUGCUGCAGUUUGGUCUCUUGUAAACAGGCAAUAGUGCACCUCGUAUCCCUGGCCAUAUCUAAAACCACCUUCCUCCUGGCACUGUUAUUUAAACCCCAGACGUUCCAGUUAAGGAUUGAGCAGUUUUGUGGAUCCAUGAGAACCAGAACAAACACAACACAACAAAUGGAAAACCAGGGACCACCACAAACAGCUGAACAAAGCUGUCCACCUUGCCCAAGCAAGGCACACCAAAAGUAAAGAUAUCACAAAAGCAAGUACUGAGGGGGGCACAUAGGGAAAGAUUAUUACACAGGUACACAACCGAUCAGAUUAGACCGUCCCCAGGACGGCUAACGGCGCAAGCGGGUCAGAGUCAAUUGAAUCUUCCUCUCCCAAGCUGAAAAGUGAUUGAUAGCCAGCAGCAGCUUCUACAUUCAGCUCAUCCACAAACUGUGCUCUGAACCUCGCAUGAUCUUGUUCAUUUGGUUCAGCAUGAUCAGGAAUAGUGCCACUGCGCUUCAUCAGCAAAGCAGUGGCCUGCUCCUCCAUUGUGAGGUUGGAUUUAGGCUUGCUGGCGAUUCUGGCACUGGAACGUGUUGCCAUCUUUUUCAUAGUCGAGGCACGCUUAGUUUUGUUGACAGGGGGCAGAGGGGUGGGCAGGACCGCCGAUGGUACGGGGGAGAGUAAAGAGGCAAGCACAUCCCUGUCCCCUUGAACUGCCACCGCACCAGCAACAUCAACAGCAAUAACACCAGCAUCAUUAGAAGGCCCGGACUCAGAAUGUGGGGGAGCAUUGUCAACCACAGCUGUAACCAUGGAAACAUGGGCAGGGGCCAGUGCAGCACCCCGCACCUCGUCCAACAUGGGGUCGCAAGAUGAAUCCCAGAUUACCGGAGUGCUUGAAAAAGAGAGCAGGAUAGGGUCGUGUUGGAGGACCAAGCUUGACUUGUUAUCAGUAUGUUCUGCAGCCCUGCGAAGAUUGCACGAUUGAAGCACCUUCAUCAUAGCAGCGAUGAUAGCACGUCUGAGCAGAUCAUGCUCAACACAGACUUCGCAAUGAUCUGCACGACUGAGCAGAUCAUGCUCAUAAACCGUCAUAGCAGCGGUGCACAGGACGCAGGCCUUCACGCCCUUCGUGCGGAAACCGGCCGCUCCUGACGCAAGCUUGGGGUCCUCCAAUGGGGUGGUGGUGAGGGGAGGCGCAAGCUGGGGAGAUGCAGGCCGGCAGUGCGGCGAAAUGCGUGGAGGAGAGCAAGGCGGAGAUGUGCAGGGAGGUGGGGGCGACGGCGAAUCUGAGCGAGGCGAGGCGGAGGAGGAGCGCGGCGGCAGGUGGCUAGGUUGCGGCGACAAGGGAAAAUCGGAUUGAAAUGGAGGACGGGCACAGUAGCGAGCUUUGUGGCCAGAUUGGCCGCACAGGAGGCAGCGCGGCGGGUCACGACAACCAGAGAUGCGAUGGUCACGGGCGAAGCAGUUGAAGCAUCUCCUGACAGCCUUCGACUUGAGCAGGGCGUUGAAGUCUACAAAGCGGGGACCCAGGCGGUCCCGGACCGGCGUGGCCCGCCGUGCAGCAGGAGGCUCCAGCGGACCAAGCCGAGAAUGCACGGGAAGACGCUUCUUCCUCCACCAGUAACACGGUCUGACCUCGUGCCAGGUAGCGCCGCCGCCCCGGGGCGGAGGCCGCAGGGGCUGUUGGCCGCCAUUACUGCCGGAAGGAGCACCAGCAGCCACAUCCUUGAAGGAGAGACCCCGGUUGUCAACCAGCACCGAACGGAGACGCGGGGCAGCCGGCUCCUUGUCCUUCACGUGCGCAGGUAGACGAGCAGCCAGUGCUUCAUCCACGGAUUUGGGGGUAACCCGAGCCGCGUUAGAUCUGCUAGCAGGGGCGGAGGACGGUUCACCUGGGCUUGAGGAGUAGUGGAGGUCGAGCGCUUCAAGGUCAUUUGGGGUGGUGGGGGAGCGGGAGGGUGAAGGCUGGUGGCGCUCGGGGCGACCUCCUGUCGCCGGCGAGCGGGGCGGGGAAAGGGAAAAAGCGAGCUUUGCGUUGCCCAUUAUCAGCCAGCUCCUGGUAGUUAUAGCUUGUUAUUGUAAUUUUGUAAUGCUUCGUAAUACCUUCCUUGCUAGUAGCAUAUACACAGGCAUUCAUAAUCAUGGCAUUUCAUGUAGAGUACCAAGAAGAAGUGAUUUGUGAAGGAGCCCGUUCCAGUUCUGCUGAUCAAGUGAAGGAGCCAUCUAACUGUGUAUUGGAUAGAGGGAUCUAGAGCCUCUUCACUGCAACAAAGGCAAGCCCCGGUGCAUUUACCCCUUCCUUGUAUUUUUAAAAAGACUUUUAUACACAUAAGUCUAGUGAAAUGUGCAUUAAGUUUAUAGGAAUUGCUUGGAAACUAUUUGAUGCAUUGACUACCUUGAUAUCCAUUCCUGUUAUAGGUACUUCUUUGGAAGUAUCAAAUAUUAUUUACAAAAAUGCUUAGCCCUGGUUAGAUCUUGUGGAUAGAGGUUGUCCUUUGCAAUAAUGCCUAGCUCAAGGGUUAUCCUGAGGAAGGAUGGCUUCUACCUGAAAGAAUAUUUUCAAUGGGAGCAAUGGUGGGAUCUUACUGCAAAGUUCCCUAUAAUGCUCUUUUCAUCCUAAGGAACACAAAACAAUCCUAAGGAUGGAAGUACUUAAAUCGAGACUUGGGCUAGGAACAGGUGAUGCUUCACCCAGGUUAAUUAAGGAUUGGAUGCGUAUGUAGGCCUGUAUGAUCAAGGACUAUCUUAACUGGCCACAUGCCCUAGAUAUGGGACAGGGUAAGCUUGAACCCGGCUAUUCCAUACGUGAAAAGACAACCACGCACUAGGCGUGGGAGAUGGUGGGAGUAGCGUGUACCCUCCUGGCUAGAGGCUGGACGGAGGAGUACUGUGCUCUCGGGUAGCGAGGACCGGUUCACGUUGUGGAGGAUCUGUGGGAACGGUUGACAUAUGCAAGGGUUAAGUGCUACAUAUGUCGUGUGAUUAGAGAUCCUCAGCUGAGUAAAUCGAUUUGGAUCGCCAUUAUAUCCCCGGAGAGUGGAGACUUAGUCACUGACCUGCAACCUAAGUCAGGAUGAAAACAUUAUGAGUAAAAAUGAUGUUGUAUUGAUGAGAUGGUAAGAUUAGACUAGGUGCAACCAAAGUCUAUUAAUAUUUAAUCUGGUGUUAAAAUAUUGAAAGUAAGGACUCACUUUAGUAAGCUAUUUCUGCAAAAGUAUCUAAGUUGAUUCUUGCUAAAGCCUUUUCCUUGAUUCCUAAAUCCAGCAUAUCCUUGAGAGUCUUUUUCCUUAGUCGGGUAAGACUUGCGAAAGUACACUCCGUACUCAGGGUUUUCGAACCCAUGUUGUUGUAGGUGAUGAGUACUCUAUGUGUUCGUGAGGCUAGAGGGCGUUUCCAGUUCUGCAGGAGGAUUAGUUAGGCUUAUGUAUAAGCUUUGGAGGGUUCCUACCUUCCUGCUAAUGUAAUAAGUUAUGCACUUUGAGUAUAUCAGGACUUGUAAUAAAUGUAACUCUUCCAAUGUAAUAACCUUCAGUUUUAGAAAUGAAAAGAAUAUUUUUGUAAAAGUCUUCCGCUCUUAUCUUCGAACUGUGUGUAUCGAAUGUGAUUACUGUAAUAUGCAUGUAUGGUGGGAGAUCCUUGGGAUGAUGAGUUCAAGUUGUUGAACUCGUGAUAGCCUUGUUAAGUUACAUGGUACACGUGCGUAGCCAUCUGAGGCCAUCAAGGCAAGGAUUGGUGCAUGUGGGCCCGAUAACUUGGGAGGGCUGCCACAGCAGCAAUGCCUUCAGCAUCACAUGGAUGGCCAGUUUCAAGGGAUGAUGACUCACAUUGAUGGGAGGUUUGAUUAUCCGCAGACCCACAUGGAUGGUCAGUACACUUCUCUGACCAACAUGUUCGAUGUCAUGGAUACACAGUUUGAUAGCCUGCACCAUGAGGUUGGUGGGCUUUGUGAUCACGUUCAUGAGAGUGUUCAUGAACCCCUUAUGACCAGGAUGAACAACAUGCCACAAAGUUUUUAGGACAAUAUGGGAGCUCUAUCUAGUCAGUUUGAGACUCCAUCCACCAAUGUCAACUUUCAUGCACUUGAUCAGAGGCAACAAUAGCUCUAGAAUGACUUCAGUCAAUUCUCAUCCAUAUUCGACAGUUUCUGCUCCCAUUACUACAACAUGUAUCCUCGACCCCACCUAGUGGACAGUGAGGCCCUCCUUUUUGGUAAUUGAUGCAAAAGGGGGAGAGAUUCAAGGGGAGAUUCAGGGAGAGAUGGAGAUGGGACAAGGGGGAGCUGGCUCAUGUGGACAUUUGUUGCAUUUGCAUGUUUAUGACUAAUUUCUGUGUUGAACUAUGUCCUAUGCUACUAUUUAAACUAUGUCCUAUGUCCUAUGAACAAUUUAUGUUUUGAACCAUGCAUUUUGAUUUCUAUAUAUCUAUUGGUUCGAAAUAUUAUGUGUAAGGUUGAUCGAGGGGUGAUAAAACGUGCAACACUUAUUCCAUAUAUGCUUUUACUCUUGUAUGCCUUGAUAACCAUGAUUGUAAAAAAAUCUCCGCCAAAACUCCGAUAUUAUAUGUGUGUACAAUCUUCAAAUGGAUAUAUCAUGCACACAUGUAGGGGGAGCUACUCCUACACCUUGAGUUUUGAAUUGACUUAUCUAUCUAUCAAAAGGGACUUCAAACCAAGAUAAGUCACUUGAAACUCACCCCUCAAAUCCUUCUUAUACCUAGUGUAUGAGAAAGAUUGAAAAUUUGAGACAACCUAUGGAAUAAUUGUGUAGUGUUGUCAUCAAUUACCAAAAAGGGAGAAAUUGUGAAGCAUCUAGGCGCCUAAGUGAUGUUUUGGUAAUUAAUGACAACCAUUUGUGUACUAACGAAUUCUUGGAGAAAUAAGAAUGCAGGUUGGACCUUAGUGAAAGUCUUAGAGACUUAAAACAUUGGUCAUGGAAUGAAAAAAAAGGCAAAGGUACAAUAUAGGUUUUUUACUUUUGUCGGACACAAGGUGUUUAAAGAAGGAAAUUGACCAGAUUAGUAGGCUAGACAACCAUACAAUUUAGAGGGGUCAAUAACAAUUCUCUGUGUGAAACUUAGUGCCUCAUAGAGCAUUUAGAUGUUGCAUAUGCAUGAGGACUAACAUCGAUUCCGAUUUCGACAGUUAGAACCUUUUCAAAAGCAUGUUUGGAAAGUGGGCUAAUUGUCUGUGUCGCGGACCGUUUGGGCCAGGUGGCGAACCAUCUAUGAUCUACUUAGAAAGGUCCGAAGUAUGGUUACUUCGGUGUGGUCCGAAUACAUUGUAUUGCGGACCAUCCGGGCCUUGGGGCUGGACCGUCCACAGUCCUAACUAGGGAAGUAACCGAAUUGCACAUGUCCUUGUGUAGUUGUGUGGACCAUCCGGCCCGGGUCAGCGGACCAUCCGCAAGUGCCAAAAUGAAUUUGGGCGGGGACUAUGUGUUUUUGGUGGUUUGUACUACGGACUAUCCGAGGUUUCAGCUCAGGCAGUACCGACUUUCAGUGGCAGACCAUCCAACCUUGGUGGGUGGACAGUCCGCCCAUAAUAAAGGCUUGGUCAGUGCUUGGGUGCUUGCUAUUGUAGGUCUCGAACCAUCCCACCGGGGUCAGCGGACCAUUCGGGUCUGCCUUUUCUGACAAGCUCUGACAUGUUUUAAAUCUAAAAGUAGUCAUUACCUUGUAUGCUGAACCAUCUCGUGUUGGUCUAUGGGGACAAUAUAUGAUCCUAGAGAGUUGUCAGGAGUAAGUACCAGUGGUCUAGGACUGGACGGGGUGUUACAAGUGGUAUCAGAGCCGACCCUCGUGGUUUCACGGGCGUGUGUGGGCUAGGGGUUCAGGUAUAUGGCACAUGGCGCAUGUGGGCCCGGAGUGGUCACAUGGCAUGGCAUAUGAUGACACUAGACACACAAACGUGACUAAGAGGGGAGGUUCCUGGCUUGGGGUUGACCGACAAGGACGUCGGUCUUCUAAGGGGGUGGAUUGUGAUAUCCUGGCCCUAAUGGAUGGUUAUAUCCUGGCCGAAGGCUUAAUAGAAUUAAUAAAGUACUCAUAUCAACAAGGUGCAUCUUCUUUUUUGGAAGCCUAUCUCAAAAGAACCUCCAAGUUAAGCGGGCUUGGCUUGGAGCAAUUUGGGAUGCGUGACUGUCGGGGACCAUAAUUAGGGGUACCCUCAAGACGCCUAAUUCUCAGCUGGUAACCCCCAUCAACAUAAAGCUGCAGAGGCCUGAUGGGUACGAUUAAGUCAGGGAUCAGUCCAUAUGAGCGACUCGAUCACGCCUCGCCCGAGCCUAGCCUCGGACAAGGGCAGCCGACCCCGAGGGAUUUCCGUCUCGCCCGAGGCCCCCCUCCAACGGCGGACACAUCUCCGGCUCGCCCGAGGCCUUGCCUUCGCUAAGAAGCAACCCUGACUAAAUCGCCGCGCCGACCGACCGAGUCGCAGGAGCAUUUAACGCAAAGGUGGCCUGACACCUUUAUCCUGACGCGCGCCCCCCGGCAGAGCCGAAGUGACCGCCGUCACUUCGCCGCUCCACUAACCGGUCUGACAGAAGGACAGCGCCGCCUGCGCCACUCCGACUGCAGUGCCACUUGACAGAGUGAGACUGACAGGCAGUCAGGCCCUGCCAAAGGAACCAUAGGAAGCUCCGCUCCGCCCGACCCAGGGCUCGGACUCGGGCUAAGCCCCGGAAGACGGCGAACUCCGCUCCGCCCGACCCAGGGCUCGAACUCGGGCUAAGCCCCGGAAGACGGCGAACUCCGCUCCGCCCGACCCAGGGCUCGGACUCGGGCUAAGCCCCGGAAGACGGCGAACUCCGCUCCGCCCGACCCAGGGCUCGGACUCGGGCUAAGCCCCGGAAGACGGCGAACUCCGCUCCGCCCGACCCAGGGCUCGGACUCGGGCUAAGCCCCGGAAGACGGCGAACUCCGCUCCGCCCGACCCAGGGCUCCCACUCGGGCUAAGUCCCGGAAGACGGCGAACUUCGCUCCGCCCGACCCAGGGCUCGGACUCGGGCUAAGUCCCGGAAGACGGCGAACUCCGCUCCGCCCGACCCCAGGGCUCGGACUCGGGCUAAGUCCCGGAAGACGGUGAACUUCGCUCCGCCCGACCCAGGGCUCGGACUCGGGCUCAGCCCCAGAAGACGACGAACUCCGCUUCACCCGACCCCAGGGCUCGGACUCCGCCCUGGCCUCUGCCGAACGACCUCCGCCUCGCCCGACCCAGGGGCUCGGACUCGGCCUCGGCCACGGAAGACAGACUCGACCCCGGCUUCGGAGGAGCCUCCACGACGCCCAACCUAGAGCGCAGACCAGCCACGUCAGCAGGAAGCGUCAUCAUCACUCUACCCCGAGCCGACUCGGGCCGCAGAGAACAAGACCGAUGUCCCAUCUGGCUAGCUCUGCCAGAUAGGCAAUGAUGGCGCCCCGCAAGCUCUGUGACGACGGCGGCUCUCAGCUCUCUUACGGAAGCAGGAGUACGUCAGCAAGGACUCAACCGCUCCGAAAGCUGUCCCUCCGCCAGGCUCCGCCGCUCCUCCGACAGCCACGACACCACUCCAGCUGGGUGCCAAGAUCUCUCCGGCUGCCACAUUGGCAUGUACUUAGGGCGCUGUAAUACUCAAAAUUGUGUACAAGAAAUACAUAGAGGAAUUCCUCAUUUUAUGCGCCUUAUUUGCAUCAUAAAAAGAGCACCCGUAUAAUUGUGUGUGAUUAAUUAAAACCAAUGAUUCUAAAAUAAACUAAAAGUGCAUCAUGUUGGAGUUUUACAUGUUUGUGCAUUAAAUAAAAAUAAUAGGGAUGAUAAGAUAAUAAAUACUAGAGGUUAAAUCAAACCCUAAAUUAAAAUUUGGGUUUUGAAAAGGAGAAGAUAAAUGAUAUAAAAAUAUAAAUGAUAUACUAUUAUUUCCAAAAAUUUGUAUUUUCAUUUCACAAUAUGAUGGGAGGAUAAAAAUAAUUUCUGCACAAUGUUCCAAUUCAAAAUCCAAAUUCAAACUAAACCUUAGAAAUGAAGAGAAUAGAAAGAAAAGGUAAAAGAAAAAGAAUAAAAAAGCCUCAUGGGCCGCGGAGCAUCAAUCUGGCCCAUCUCCACUUUUCUUCUGCUCGCCGCCAUGCGGGCCCACGUCGCCAGCCUCACUCCUCAUCGCACGCGCGCACAGCCCAUGCUUCCGCCACCCGCGUGCACUACCUGACUCGUGGGUCCGCGUCGCAGCUUUUCCCUCUCGCUCUGCGUCACUGCCAUGUGGGCCAUAUUGGUCGGCUUCUUCAACCGUGAGCUCAGGCUCCUAAUCCUCGUAACAACUCGUCCGCCGCACCUAUUCCCUCCGCGAUCUUCGCCAGUUGGGUAAUGAGAUCCUCCGGUGAACUCGCAUGGUGGUUGGGAGUCGGACACCUUCCCAUGCAUAUAAAUGCGGACCCGCUGCAACUCUCCCCUACUCCAUUGAAUCUCGAGCGCCGCCGCCGGGGGAAUCCGAGUCUCCAACUCGCCGUCGACAUACCGCACAGCUCAGAGCUCGGGCUUUGCCCUUGAAACGUCGCUGCGCCAGGAGGAAGGUGUUGCCCCGCAUCUGAGUUACUCCACGGGCGGGGCAGUCCGGGAAUUCCUCGCCGGUGCUCGCGCCCGAUCUCUCUCCGCACCCCCAUCGUGGCCUGCUUCCGCCAUAGUUCCGCGCGCUCGGUAAGCCACAUUACUGUGUUCACCAUUGUGCUCUCACUGUUUAGGUAGUCUCGGUCGGGGGAAUUAGUCGCCAGCGGGCCAUUUUGGCCGUCGCCGGCAAGCUCGCCGCCGCGGAGGCCCUGUGCGCCGGCGCGUUCCGCCUGGUCGCCGCUCUGCUGGUUGGGGACGAUCUUGUGGCCGUCUGAUCGGCCGUGUGUGGCUGAGAUCGGCUUACGGUGACCUGCCCAGCCGGAAACGUAAUGGGCCGUCCGAUCGGGAUCGGAUGGAUCCAGGAGAGAAAACAUAGUUUUAAAUCCUGGCCGUGAAUCUCUGGAUCGACGGUCAAUAACGCGUACCUCUUCGUCGUUAUAACGGAUUCGUCAGAUCGGAAUCUGAGGGCUCAUAAUCACCCAGAUAGCUUCAGCCGAGCUCACUUCUAAAAGAGACCCCGGAAAAUUUGCUAUUGAACCCGCCGUCCUCGGAUUCUGUUCACGGAGUCUUGGAAUAUUUGCGCCUUAGCCCCCUGCGCUUUGCAGUAAUUGAGGCCCAGUCCAGAGUAUUAUAAAACAGAGAAAAUAGUUUAUAAAUGGAUUUUUAAUAGAUAAAUAAAUGCUAGAACUUGUUUAAAUCAUAGAAAAUCCAUUUUUAGUCCAAAUUAAUCCAUUCCACUUUCUAAAAUUUUGUAAUUUUAUUCUCUACCACCUAGAGCCUCUGUUUUGUCAUGAAAACAAUUAGAAAUUUAAUCUCUCACUUAAUCCAUUUUAAACACAUAAAACCUUUGAAAAUUCAUAACUUAAAAUCUAUAACUCCAAAAUUAAUGAUUCCUGAUCCUAUGAUCUUAUUUUAAUAUGUAUAUUAUUAAUGUGUAUUUUGUUCUUAUGUUUGGUGUAAUGUUAAUUUUGCCUAUACCAUGUUUGUUUGAAUUGCUACGACUAGCAGUGAGGUCACGAGUCACCUGAAGAUCAUCCUGGUACCUGGAAUCUCAAGUCCCAGGCAAGUUGUGCCCUUGAUCACUUCUUUUUACCUACUCAUGUUCUGAUUAAUCAUAAUGAUCUGCAUAGGUUAAUUUUGAUGGGACCCAAUAGGUUACCCUAGUUUGUCUAUCUUUAUACCUUGUUUACCACUAAACUUUUUGGGUAGUACUUGCUAGUGCUUUAUGUGGUUUUGGGUAUGAAGAUACAUUAUUCAUGAUCACACUUUUAUUAUCUGUUUAUUAUCACUGUUCAUGAUAAGAUCAUUAUGUUAAUUGGAACGUGGAGAACCACCCGGGAAAGCAGUGCUACCACAAGGGUUUAAUGGGACGCCCUUGGCCGAUUAAUUAGGAAAGCUAGUGGAAGACUACCUUACCUGAAAGGGGCAAGGGCAGUAGGGGAGUGGUCAGUGUAGGGAGGCCCUCGGGAGGAUUUUGCUGUGAUGGCGGUCCUGCAAGGGAUUCCUGGGGAGGCCCUCGGGAGGAUUUCGCUGUGAUGGCGGUCCUGCAAGGGAUUCCUGGGGAGGCCCUCGGGAGGAUUUUGCUGUGAUGGCGGUCCUACAAGGGAUUCCUGCAUUGGAGCUUCCUAUAAACUGUAGCGGGUUUUCUGAAGCUAGUGGAACUUUGUAAAGGCCUCGUAGUGUUACCCUGCCUCGCCUCCUCGGUAGAGGUGUAUGGGAAGUCGCGAUCCCUUGGCAGAUGGGUAACAUGACUUGUGGGUAAAGAUGCGCAACCUCUGCAGAGUGUAAAACUGGUAUACUAGCCGUGCUCACGGUCAUGAGCAGCUCGGACACUCACAUGAUUAAUUUAUGGAACUAAAUUCAAUUUGUCAUAUGCAUUGCAUCGCAGGUGAGGUUGUUACUUUUGUUAUACUACUUAAUUGGGUUUGGUAUUUACUUAUACUUAGUAAUUGCUAAUAAAAUUUUGACCAACUUUAAAAGCAAUGCUCAGCUCUAACCAUUCUCUUUGGUAAGCCUUACACUUCACAUGAACUCCCACCUUUGGCGAGUUCAUUCACAUUAUUCCCCACAACUUGUUGAGCGAUGAACGUAUGUGAGCUCACUCUUGCUGUCUCACACCCCCCACAGGUCAAGAGCAGGUACCACAGGAUGAGGCGCGUGGAGGAUGCUGUGAUGAGUUCGUGAGUGGUCUAGGCCGUCGUCUCCCAGUCAACUUUGGGUUGCUGGAUCGUUUCCUCAUAUGAUGUAAUUAUUUAAUUAUUUUGUAUAGAACUCCUGUUAUAUAGUAAAGAUGUGACAUUCGAUCCUGUGCCACUAUGCAUCAUAUGUGUGAGACUUGGUCCCAGCACACCUGGUGUUUAUGUUCGCGCCCGGGCUUUGGACCCCUAAAACCCGGGUGUGACAGAAGUGGUAUCAGAAGAAUGUUGACUGUAGGACGAAACCUAGAUAGAACUGGACAACCAUUACUACUUACCUUUGCUACUCUGAUUCUUUUCUAAACUUUUCUUAAUCUUUCUCAUCUAUUUCCGCUUACUCUGAUUAUUCUUACCUUUUCCUUCUAAAGACAAACUUGGAUUUCACACUUUGAAAUCCUAUGUCUAAAGUGACUUUAGGAAUAGGAGACCUACUCUUAGGAACAAAAACAAAACUAUUUUUUUCUAUAUGCUUGAAUGCUUGUUCUUAUGAUACAUGUAUGAUUUGGAUCUUUGAUUGAGUGUGAUGGGUUGUGGAGUAAUGUCCACAAUUACAUUUACAUAUAUAUAUAAUGCUUAUAAAAAUAACUAGAUAAACUAGAUUAUUCCCCAAAAAAAAAUAAUAAAAUAUCUAGUAUUCCGUAUCUAUCUCAUCUUACCAGAUUCUAUCUUACCUUUGGACAUUCACCUCAUACAACUAGUUACCCUAGUCUUGACAUAAAAUAUCUGGUCAAGCCCUACCAAAGAAUCUUCAGUACAUAACCAACUAUUAGCUUAUUCAUUCUGCCGACCAAAUGAUUCCCUUGCAAAACUAUCUUACGAUAUGCUUCUAACUUAGAUGGUCAAUACCAGGAGGGGUGGUGGAAUUGAUUUACCUCCUAAUCGACACACUCGGCAGAUAUAUAGACAACCCCAGCCACAGCCAGCAGAGAUGAAUCCUCCUAAUCCUCCACCAGGCGGAGUUGACCCACUGAUUGCAGCUCAAAUGAGGAUGAUGCAGCAAAUGGCUGACACUAUGGCAGAUAUGCGCGCCCAAAUGCAGCAAGAACGCCAGGAAAUGCGCCAGGAAAGAGAGGAUGCACGUCGGGAGAUGCACCAAGAGCGGGAAGAGAUACGCCAGGAGAGAAGGGUGCAACAACAGCAGCUGCAACAACAACUUCAACAACAGCAGCAACAGCAACAGGUGCCAUUGCCUCCACCUCCACCACCAGUUCCACCCCGAGAUAAGCAUCGGGAAUUCAUGAGCCACAAACCACCAACCUUCUCCAACUCCACGGAUCCACUACAAGCUGAUGACUGGCUAAAGUCUAUAGAGAAGAUGCUCAACAUAGCUCAGUGCUCGGACCGAGAGAAAGUACUCUACGCAUCAGGUCGUCUCGCUGGUCCUGCUGCAGAUUGGUGGGAUGCGUACUGCGCUGCUCAUGCUGCUGUCGAUACAAUUGCCUGGGCAGAAUUCUCCACACAAUUCAGGAAUUACCAUAUUCCUGCCGGGCUCAUGAAGAUUAAGAGAAAGGAGUUUCUCUCCCUCAAGCAAGGAAGUAUGUCUGUGAGUGAAUAUAGGGACAAAUUCAUCCAGUUAUCUCGAUAUGCUCCUAGAGAUGUUGAGGAUGAUGAGCAAAAGCAGGAGCUUUUUCUGGACGGUUUGAUUGGACCCUUGCAAUAUCAACUGGUAUCGCACACAUUCCCAUCCUUCCAAAGGCUACUUGACAAAGCUAUUGCUGUAGAAAACAAGAGGAGUAUAUUUGGAGAGAAAAGAAAGGCUGCUCACCAAGGGCAGGCUGGAAGUAGUUCCCGUCCUCGCUAUACUACCACUCCAAGUACACCAGCUAGUGGCAGUUCUGGACAACAAACUCAACAGGCACCAACUGCUCCUCCAAAAGCAAGCACCCCCGCAGGACCUGUUGCUCCCAACACAUCCACCAACAGGGCAUGCUUCAAAUGUGGACAACCGGGACACUACGCCAACUACUGUCCCAACAGGGCUGCCUACACUACACCAGCUCCAAUGAAACAAGGUCAGGCCUCGGCAGGAAAGAGUCAGCCCCUAUCUAUCAACCGAGGACAAGCCUAUCAUGCAGAAGUAGAAGCUGAACCAGGUGAACUGGAAAUUCAAGAAGAAGAGCCAGUGGAAGAGGAAAUAGUCGGUGAAGAGGUCAAUGAACAACAAGAAUAGAGAUAAACAUAAACAUAGAUAUAUAUUUUACUAUUUGUAAGGCCUAAAUAUUAGUUUAGCUAGUAGCAGUAUUUUACGCUUUUAGUAAUAAUAAUAAGGUCUGUUGACCCUAUGUGUUGCUAAUGAGUUAUGCAUCAUGCUCAGAUUUCCUUGUUUGUGCAUAUGUUCCCACAACAAUAUGAGUAUAUAUAUCCUUUCUCUUACAAAUCUCGAGGACGAGAUUAUUUUUAAGGGGGGUAGGAUUUGUAAUACUCAAAAUUGUGUACAAGAAAUACAUAGAGGAAUUCCUCAUUUUAUGCGCCUUAUUUGCAUCAUAAAAAGAGCACCCGUAUAAUUGUGUGUGAUUAAUUAAAACCAAUGAUUCUAAAAUAAACUAAAAGUGCAUCAUGUUGGAGUUUUACAUGUUUGUGCAUUAAAUAAAAAUAAUAGGGAUGAUAAGAUAAUAAAUACUAGAGGUUAAAUCAAACCCUAAAUUAAAAUUUGGGUUUUGAAAAGGAGAAGAUAAAUGAUAUAAAAAUAUAAAUGAUAUACUAUUAUUUCCAAAAAUUUGUAUUUUCAUUUCACAAUAUGAUGGGAGGAUAAAAAUAAUUUCUGCACAAUGUUCCAAUUCAAAAUCCAAAUUCAAACUAAACCUUAGAAAUGAAGAGAAUAGAAAGAAAAGGUAAAAGAAAAAGAAUAAAAAAAGCCUCAUGGGCCGCGGAGCAUCAAUCUGGCCCAUCUCCACUUUUCUUCUGCUCGCCGCCAUGCGGGCCCACGUCGCCAGCCUCACUCCUCAUCGCACGCGCGCACAGCCCAUGCUUCCGCCACCCGCGUGCACUACCUGACUCAUGGGUCCGCGUCGCAGCUUUUCCCUCUCGCUCUGCGUCACUGCCAUGUGGGCCAUAUUGGUCGGCUUCUUCAACCGUGAGCUCAGGCUCCUAAUCCUCGUAACAACUCGUCCGCCGCACCUAUUCCCUCCGCGAUCUUCGCCAGUCGGGUAAUGAGAUCCUCCGGUGAACUCGCAUGGUGGUUGGGAGUCGGACACCUUCCCAUGCAUAUAAAUGCGGACCCGCUGCAACUCUCCCCUACUCCAUUGAAUCUCGAGCGCCGCCGCCGGGGGAAUCCGAGUCUCCAACUCGCCGUCGACAUACCGCACAGCUCAGAGCUCGGGCUUUGCCCUUGAAACGUCGCUGCGCCAGGAGGAAGGUGUUGCCCCGCAUCUGAGUUACUCCACGGGCGGGGCAGUCCGGGAAUUCCUCGCCGGUGCUCGCGCCCGAUCUCUCUCCGCACCCCCAUCGUGGCCUGCUUCCGCCAUAGUUCCGCGCGCUCGGUAAGCCACAUUACUGUGUUCACCAUUGUGCUCUCACUGUUUAGGUAGUCUCGGUCGGGGGAAUUAGUCGCCAGCGGGCCAUUUUGGCCGUCGCCGGCAAGCUCGCCGCCGCGGAGGCCCUGUGCGCCGGUGCGUUCCGCCUGGUCGCCGCUCUGCUGGUUGGGGACGAUCUUGUGGCCGUCUGAUCGGCCGUGUGUGGCUGAGAUCGGCUUACGGUGACCUGCCCAGCCGGAAACGUAAUGGGCCGUCCGAUCGGGAUCGGAUGGAUCCAGGAGAGAAAACAUAGUUUUAAAUCCUGGCCGUGAAUCUCUGGAUCGACGGUCAAUAACGCGUACCUCUUCGUCGUUAUAACGGAUUCGUCAGAUCGGAAUCUGAGGGCUCAUAAUCACCCAGAUAGCUUCAGCCGAGCUCACUUCUAAAAGAGACCCCGGAAAAUUUGCUAUUGAACCCGCCGUCCUCGGAUUCUGUUCACGGAGUCUUGGAAUAUUUGCGCCUUAGCCCCCUGCGCUUUGCAGUAAUUGAGGCCCAGUCCAGAGUAUUAUAAAACAGAGAAAAUAGUUUAUAAAUGGAUUUUUAAUAGAUAAAUAAAUGCUAGAACUUGUUUAAAUCAUAGAAAAUCCAUUUUUAGUCCAAAUUAAUCCAUUCCACUUUCUAAAAUUUUGUAAUUUUAUUCUCUACCACCUAGAGCCUCUGUUUUGUCAUGAAAACAAUUAGAAAUUUAAUCUCUCACUUAAUCCAUUUUAAACACAUAAAACCUUUGAAAAUUCAUAACUUAAAAUCUAUAACUCCAAAAUUAAUGAUUCCUGAUCCUAUGAUCUUAUUUUAAUAUGUAUAUUAUUAAUGUGUAUUUUGUUCUUAUGUUUGGUGUAAUGUUAAUUUUGCCUAUACCAUGUUUGUUUGAAUUGCUACGACUAGCAGUGAGGUCACGAGUCACCUGAAGAUCAUCCUGGUACCUGGAAUCUCAAGUCCCAGGCAAGUUGUGCCCUUGAUCACUUCUUUUUACCUACUCAUGUUCUGAUUAAUCAUAAUGAUCUGCAUAGGUUAAUUUUGAUGGGACCCAAUAGGUUACCCUAGUUUGUCUAUCUUUAUACCUUGUUUACCACUAAACUUUUUGGGUAGUACUUGCUAGUGCUUUAUGUGGUUUUGGGUAUGAAGAUACAUUAUUCAUGAUCACACUUUUAUUAUCUGUUUAUUAUCACUGUUCAUGAUAAGAUCAUUAUGUUAAUUGGAACGUGGAGAACCACCCGGGAAAACAAUGCUACCACAAGGGUUUAAUGGGACGCCCUUGGCCGAUUAAUUAGGAAAGCUAGUGGAAGACUACCUUACCUGAAAGGGGCAAGGGCAGUAGGGGAGUGGUCAGUGUAGGGAGGCCCUCGGGAGGAUUUUGCUGUGAUGGCGGUCCUGCAAGGGAUUCCUGGGGAGGCCCUCGGGAGGAUUUCGCUGUGAUGGCGGUCCUGCAAGGGAUUCCUGGGGAGGCCCUCGGGAGGAUUUUGCUGUGACUAGGUCAGUGCCCGUGCGUUGCAACGGAGACAUAUAAUAUCUCAAUAACUUAUAUAUGCACAUAUGUGUUAUAUAGUUAUGAGAUAGAGGAUGACAUAUAUGCGAGCUGUCCGGGAUGAUAUAGAAGAGAAACUUAGACCUGUGACGCACGGACACUCACCUAGUGUAUUAUAUAAGAUAGGUCAGUACCCGUGCAUUGCAUCUGGAACAUAUAAUAUCUCGAUAACUUAUAUAUACAUAUGUGUUAUACGAUUAUGAGAUGGAUGACAACAUUCGCGAGCCGUCCGUAAUGAUAUCAAAGAGAAACCCAGGCCUACAACGCACAUGCACUCACCUAAUAGUGUAUUAUAUAAAAUAUAAAAACCUAAAUGUCAAACAAUAUUAUUUGCUAAUCCAUCUUACCUAUAUAGUGCUUUGCAUCUUUCAUUGAUGAGCGAUGUAGCUCAUAUGUUCAUAUCCAGCUAUUAUACCAAUGCACCAUAGUUGUCAGCUGAAGGGUGGUCCUUAGAGCCACUAUCAUAUGUUGACCUAGCAUUUCUACCAUACACUGGUGGUGGUGGUGGUCUGGUGGAUUGGAGGAUUUAUUUGGUUCUGCUUUCUUGAUCUCCACCGACAAACAAAGCAAAUGACCUAAGCCUGGUCAAAGUCCCUUCCAUUAAUUACUAUUAAUUUAAUCAGUCAUGGACCAAUAGAAAAUUGGUUUGGAUUUGUGAGUGCGGUGAGAGGAAAAUAACUUAUGCAUAAUUCGUUAGCAAGUAGAUUUAGAAGUGUAGAAAAAUGAGAAGACACUUUGAAUGAAUUGUACAAUAGGAAUAUAACAUGCAUAUAAUCGAAUGGCAUCAAUGAAUGAGACAAUUCAAUGUGAGGCAUAUAACUUAAGAAAAAAACACUAUUCAACUGGUGCAAUUCAAAGGUUCUUUGAUCAAUAGUUGACCUUCUCAAUGUUUGUGACAGUAGAUUCUUAAAGAAUGUCAGCAUAUCCACUGGAUAACAAUUGACAUGCCCGCUCAUGUGUACUGUAAAGCUUGUCUCUCACAUCACCGAGUAUAAUGCGAUAUGACUUAAUCGAAGGAACCUUGUUCGAGAACUCUGUUACAGAUGAAACAAUGGUUAAUAGGAAUAGCCAAGUUUAGCAAUCUACCAUCUAAAAAUUCUGAAACAAAAAAACCUAAAUGUCAAAUAAUAUUAUUUGAUAAUCCAUCUUACCUAUAAAGUGCUUUGCAUCUUUCUUUGACGAAGUCCGCGCGGCAGAUCGUCGACCGCCUUGUCGUCUGCGCGGCCGCCGCGACCACGACCACGACCACGGCAACGCUGGGGCAGCAUUGUGCGUGGGCGACGCGCUGCGCAAGGCCACCAAGGUGCUCGAGGACCGGCGGGACCGCAACCCGGUGGCCACCGUCAUGCUGCUCUCCGACACCCAGCAGCAGCAACAGCAGUCGGCAGCGCCGGAAAACUCGUCAAGGAAGCAGUUUGGGCGGCCAGCGGUGGCCCCAGCAACGCGCUUCACCCAUGUGGAGAUCCCCAUCGGCCCCGGCGACCCGCCUCCUCUUGUGUCCGAGUGCGAGGAGGAGCCUCCCGUGGAGCACGCGUUCGCCAAGUGCCUUGGCGGGCUGGUGAGCGUGGUGAUGCAAGAGGUGCAUCUGGAGCUGGCGUUCCCGACGGGGGAGAUCACGGCGGUGUACUCGUGCAGGCCUGGGCAGCAAGCCGUGGCAGUCUUCGGUGGUGCGGGGGUGAGCAUGCGGCUGGGCGAGAUGUACGCAGAGGAGGAGCGCGAACUGCUGGUGGAGGUGCGGGCGCCGCUGGGCAGCCACCCGCACUCGUUGACGGUGCGGUGCAUGUACCGCAACCCGGCGUCGCAGGAGACGGUGCGCGGCGCGGUGCAGCCUCUGCUGCUGCCCGCGCUCCAUGGCGAGCGGGCGCCGUCAUCGUCGUCUCGGCAAUUGUUGACAUCACUACAACAGUAAGAUUUCUUAAUAUAAAUAUCACACUUUGCAAGUUGUGAACAACAAACCUUUCACAAAAUAUAAAAUUCGCUAAGGUAAUAGGAAGAUAAGUCUGAAUUAAAACUUCAAUAAUAACAUCUGAUAGAUGGCAUCUAGAGAAGGUCUCAGCGUCUAUGUCAGCGGGGCAGUUGCAUGGGCAGUGCAGCGAGCCGCGGAGCAGCGAGUACGUGUGUUUGUGUCAAGGUAAUUCAAGCGAAGUGUAUUCAGCUACUACUCUAGCAAAGUAACGCAAAUGACCAAAGGCAUAUAAGAGGAGCAUGUUUAGACUACAUAUUUUCAUAAGCAAACAACCAUAGCUGUUGCUAGGUAGGCAUUUAGAACAGAAAAUCUAGGAGCAACGCAACCUACAAAUCUGUAUCGUAGAGAAGAAUUCGGUAAAAAGGUUGGAAACCAGAAAAACCAUUUUAAUUAGGACCAAAACAACCUGAUAAUGUGUAUUCAAGACAUGGGAUCAGCAAUCAUAGACUGUCAUGAAUUGUGACCCCCAACAGAAAAACAAUUGUUGACAUCACUACAACAGUAAGAUUUCUUAAUACUAAAUAAAUAUCACACUUUCACAAAAUAUAAAAUUCGCUAAGGUAAUAGGAGGAUAAGUCUGAAUUAAAACUUCAAUAAUAGCAUCUGAUAAAUGGCAUCUAGAGAAGGUGUGAACCUUGUACUGAUGAUCAGUUGUGUCUUCUGUCAAAGUAAAAGCAUAUCUAAGAACAUCAGAAGCAUCAGACCAUGAUUGCACUCGAUCUUUUGUUUCAGGAUGAGAUAAAAUGUAUCCCAUAUUUUCUGGAAUAAUCCUACAAAUUCAAAGGGAAAACAUCAGGUGGGAAAUCGUCAGGUAUCAACCAUAACGUCCUGUAUAUUAGGAUCAGCAUAUACAGAGAUCCUAAGAAAUGACCAUUGCAUGAGGUAGCCCUACUCAGUUUAGCAAGUAACAACCAAUCUGAUCUAAAGGGCAGAACAAGCAAAUGCUACCAAUACGUGCAUCGAUCCAUUCACAGAACGAAGUGAGCUUCAAGCAUGCCAAGUACAUAAUUUCGAAUAGAUGGCGUUAUUGUAUCCAAAAAGCAGAUGCCACCAAGAAAGACAUGGAAGGCACAUAACUGGCUAUAGGUUCAGUAGUGACAUGAGCAACAACUGAUGGUCUUGAGAUUGUGGGACUUUUGCAUCGGGUAGAUGUAUUUCAGUAUUUGAUUUAACUUGUGAUAUAAGUUUAUCUAAUGACUUACUGCACUUAUUUUUCCUUCAGAUGAACGAGAGCUUGUUCACAUGUGAACUUUCAAAACAAACCUUAUCAUCCGUCAAGGAUACAGUUGAAAUGGCUGUCAAAAAAUGGGGAGAGAAAUCAUUAACUGAACUGGAAGCAGAAAAGCGGUUGUCCUACUCAUGUGAGAAGGUAAGCCUAUUUUAGGAACCAUGAGAGGUCAAAUUCUAUAUGUUGCUAUUCAGUGUAGCGUAGUGUUCACAUGAUCAAUUUUGUUCAGGUCAUUACAGCAGGUGGUAGGAACAGAGCGCCAUGAAUCACACAUAAUUGACAAUCAUAGAAGGCGACAUGAAACGGGCCUUCGAUAGAAAGAUUUGAGUCUGACAGACGUGAGGGUUACAAGCCUCAUUAGUUUGAAGCUGUUACUGCAACUGACCAGGGCAAUGCAGCCAAAAGGGACGUCCAACAUGCAUCACACAAGUUGCAGCCAAAUCUAAUUCAGCUAGGGAAACCAGAAAUGCAUGGACUAAUUUUAAUGGAUCAGUGAGUAACAAGGGCAUUUCUAGUUCAGGGUCAAGUCGUGUGGUUACAACCAAUUGCAUUAGCUGUUUUUAUGUGAAUUGCAUUGUAAAGUUAUUAAUACAGUACUACUGGCAUUAAGACACUUUAUGAAAAUCCACACAAUUUUGCAGGCUGACAGUUAUUGCAAGGUGCUAUAAUUUUUCUGCUCUAAUAUUAAUGCAAUUCUGUAAAAUAAUGUGAAAUCCAGUUAAAAAAAUCACUGAGCAUGCAGUUUUGGUAAAUCAAAAUUGAAUCCAGAUGUUACUAAAAUAGGGAACCCACUGAUCAUGCAGUUUUGGUAAAUCAAAUUGACUCCCCUGCAAUGCUAACCCAUCAGUGACUCAAUUAGAAAAUUUGAGUAACUAAAUUCAGAGCAUCUCUGAAAAUUAAUGCAAAAGAAAGGUAGAAGGUCAAGUAAAUAUAGCCUUCCUAAAUCUGCCAGAUCAGUGAGAAAUAAUUAAUGCAAAAUCAUAUUAAGGGUUUCAAGGGAAUCGCUGGUGCAUAGACACGAAGAUGAGUUAUCGCAUACUUUUGGUCGUCAUCAACAAAACAAUUUCUGUGUACACAAGUGGAAAGCACUGGCAUCGUAGUACUCAUCGUAUUCAAGGAACAAAUUUUUUCAUAGAACAAGGCAUUUGACAGAUCUAGCCAUUUCAUAUUCACUGAUCAAGGAACAACCAUUUCGCAGAUCAUUCCAUUGCACAGAUCUACGCAUUUCAUAUUCAAAGUCAAGGAAAGGGGAAGCAGUGUUGAACCUUUCGUAUAGACGAGGCCGACCACACUGCGGACCGAGGAGACCACCACGCGCUGGCUCUGACCUCGAUGAAGGCCUGCUCCAAGAUUGUGUUAACCGCCACUGCCGUUGCCUACAGGGCCUCUUUCGAGCGUUGAAUCCUCACCGGCCCCGCCUAGACUCUGAGCGCUUCGCCCGUUUCCUUACCUAAAAUGUCGGCAACCAUCUGUUAGGCAGUUUUACUUAACUAAAAUGGAAGGAUGCUGUAGAGCAUGUAUCACAAGAACCAAAGUCAAAACAACUCUAAAAACCAAUGCAAGAUCCUCAAAAUAUCUAGAUGGCAUUUGAAAUUUGAUGAACAUGUGAAAUACCUCUUUCCUCAUGGGAUCUUCGUUCUCUAACAGGAACAACUCAAUGUGCAAGGUGAGGACAUGUACGCUGCAAAACAGCAAAGUUAAAUAUGUUAUUCAACAUCAUUACAUGAAUGAAUGCCCAUCCUUCAAAUACAUACUAUCUAUGUGUCUGUGCUGCUUCUGGGCUAGGUUCACCUGGAUAAGUGAAACAUAGAGGUUGUCCACAACCAAGUCUUUCACUAAAAAAUAACAGAAAUGCAAGGCAAACCAAACAGUAGAAAAUCUUGUGCACAUUUAAAAAGAAAGAGAAAUAAGCUAUACAUCAGUGUUACUCUCAACAUUCUUCAGUAAGUCCAAAAUGAACCUAGCUGUUUAACAGACCAGUGGCCCUAACCAUUGGAAUGUCGAGACUAUGGUUGUGUGGUGCGACCAACAACACCACAGUAUCUCCGGAAGACAAUUGACUGCCUGUGAGCAAUAAUAUCCUCAAGGUAUCGCUUAGCCUUGGCCAUAGACAACUUGUGAAGCACAAAAGUUGUCUUCCUUAUGUUCUGCAGUGAACGUAUCAGUUUAGAAAAGAUAAUGGAAAGAUAAGCCAAUCUCAGAUAUGCCAUUCGAUAUCAACUAAUCACUGAACUGCACCACAAUAUGCCUACGUUGAAUGUGGGAUAGCCCAAAAAGGGUUUCAAGCUUACAGAAUGCAAAAACCUUCAAUUGCAGGUUCAUAGGCUAGCCUUAUGUGCCUAAGUUCUAAUUACAAUUACAGAAAAAUAACCUAGAAUAUUAUGCAUAGUAUAUUUUUCUAACGACCACUAUAAGGUAUACCACAUUGGUGAUUGGUGGAUGAGAAGUUGAACGAACACAAAUAUGAGAACUUAUUGAUAUUUGCGCUAAACCAACUGAUAUGUUCCAAUAUUGCAAGUGCGGACAAGUUAUUAAUUAUUGUAGUCAUUUCACAAAGUAAUGUUCAUGUACGGUGUUUGUGAAUGCACAAAAGGAAGCAUCUGGCAUCUGUUUAGCGAUGUAACAAGUGUAUAGAAUCAUUAAGGAAGUGAAAAGCAUCACCUGACCAUCAGGACCAGUCUGUGUCCAUCAUAUCUGGGUUUGGCCUAUACUUCAGGAGGUCUUCCUCAUCCGAAUGCCCAUCCUUCCCAUUCGCCUCUGCAUUUCCUGAUUUCUCUCGAGCAGUGGCAUUGUCAGCCGCAUUGGUGAGCUUCUGGAUUUGGUAAUCUACCUUCUUGUCACUCAGACGAAUCUACAAGAGCGCAGCAGCAGAGCCAUAGGUAGAAACCACAUGCAGUUUAGCUUCAUUCUCCAGUACCAAAAGUAUCAUCAACUCACAUAUUGUAAAGUUGAUAACAAAGCGCGCAAGUUGCCCUGUUUUCCAGUAGACCACCUCUUAAUUUCGAAGUCUAAAGUGUCUCCAAUUCUCUGUAAUUCACAAUGUCCAAACAAACAAGUGGGUUGUUAGCAUCCAAGCAAGUGUAGUUAAAGGACCAAGGCAUGCUGUAAUCACGGACUGAAAAUGUGGUGAGAUAUGAAAGCUGAAAACAAUUUUAGAUAAUAACAAAUGUUGGUGAGAUAUGCUAUAAUCAAAGGUGAGUUGUUACUUGGUCUAUUUCAUCUCUGAAAUGAACACCAGAGUGUAGACUACUUGGUCUAUUUCAUCUCUGAAAUGAACACCAGAGUGUAGACUGUUUUGAUUGUUGACAUGGACUAAAGCAAGCAUAAUCAAGUUGAUAUGGAUAUGAAAAGCAUAUGUACUUACAUCUCUCUCAGCCUGCUCCUUGUGAGCUUUUGCAUAUAUCGUUCAUUCUUCUCAGCCCGAGAUUUUCAUCCGAGACCAUCACGAAUCAAAAAGUGCCCUCCUUGCAGCAAUGGGAAACUUGAAGGACGUUUUUAGUUGUAUAAAGCCACGAUGGCAUUCCUCAUGAUGGUUGUAUUAAUCUUCUUGCAGCAAUGGGAAACGAAAAAGCAAAUAGCCAUUGGGAAGCAGAGCUGCCUCCUAAAUAUGAUAGGGUUGGGAUAGAGAAUUUCAUCCGUGCAAAGUAUGAUUUUCCCAGAUCUUUCAGUACCUUGAAUAUGUCAUUCUUAUCCUCCUACUCUUCAAACACUAAUAUCUACACGUAAUAUAUUAUGCCUGAAAUGUAGAUAUGAGGACAAGAGAUGGGUACCAAGGAAUGGAACAUUGCGACUUUCCUCCGGUGUUCGAGAUGAGAAGAGCCAAGAGUCUCCAGCUAGUGCUAAUUGGAGUGGACAUCAUAGAUCUUCAUUUGAGCAAAACCAUGCUUCACCAGCUCUUCCGAGCAAAGUUGCACCUGUAGCUUCAAGGAUACCCUCUCAGGUAAUCCUUUGCUACCAAAGCUUUCCUAAACAACAGUCAAUUUGUCAAUGUGAAACUGGCAGAUGUGUAUUCAGACAGGACUCUUUUGAAUAUUUAGCUCUUGUUCUUAAGUCAGGCUAAGUAAUCCACAUUGCAGAAAUCUUAAUUCCAAUUAUUUUAACACAACAAUGUAAUCCUUUCUAAUCUGGCAUGAUUGCAUGGGAAGCAGGCAUCACCUCAGCCCCCAAAGGUAGAACCACCAGUUCCUAAGGUGGUUUCACCUCCUCAGCCACAAAAAUCUCCUGCCAAAGUUGAGGCAACACCCCCUAAAGUUGAGAAGCCAUCAGUUGCGCCGCCUCCUAAAGUUGAUUAUGCUACUGAUCUCUUUAACAUGUUAUCAAUGGAUGGAACAAUAGAGAAAGAGCCAGAGUCAUCUCCAAACGACGAUAAUGCCUGGGAUGGCUUCCAGUGUAAGUUCUUGUGACUAUUCGACUGAUGAACUGUUCUAUUUAUGUGUUCAUUUUAUUGUGCCUUUCUUACUUUGUUGGAUCUUAGUAUGAUAUUUAUGGAUUUCCAUGUCACUUUUUUGUACUGUUGCUCAUGGAAUAUCAAAACUGUUCAGCUGCACAACCAGUACCUAGCUCCGAGGAAAAAGAUUCUGCCAAACCAGCAGAAAGCAAGACCCAGUCUACAUCUGGAAUAGAAGACUUAUUUAAAGAUUCGCCAGCUGUGUCGUUAUCCUCAGCUCCAGUUGUUUCCCAAGAAAAUGCAAAGAAUGAUAUCAUGAGUUUGUUUGAGAAGGUGAGCACCAGCACUCCUUUGAAAAAAAAAUCGUGAAAAAUGGUUCUAUAUAAAAGAAAGGGCACAUCUAUGGUCUAUCUAAGAAAUAGCUAUGUUUUGCAGUCCGAUAUGGCAUCACCAUUUGCUGUCCAACAGCAGCAGCUGGCGUUUAUGUCUCAGCAGCAAGCUCUUCUAAUGGCUGCUCUUAAAGCUGGAAAUUCACCACAAAUAGUUCCAGGGAAUGCCAAUCAACUAAACACUAACGUUUCUAAUCCCCCUCUUGGAACCUUGCCUUUCCAAAACUGGACAAAUCUUGGCUAUCAAAAUCCUGGGUUGACUCUAGCAGCAGCACAGAAUGGUGCCACAAUGAGGAGCAUUUCAGUUUCCUGAGCACUCGAUGCCUAAUUAUGACAGUGGAAAGGCUGCUAACAGUAUGAUCAAACAGAGAGCGAGGGAAUGAAGGAUCUAACUCUUUAAAAUGUCGAGUAUUAGAAGAGGGAAAGUAAGUAAUCAGAGUGGUUGAUGCAAAAUGUUCUGAGCUGUCUAAAUUUGAGUCUGAGUAUCAUGAGGUAUGCAAUUCCCUUUUACAUAGUUUAUUUAUAAAGGUUCUCCAUUUAUCAUAAAAUUUUAGCAACAAACUACUAAAAGUAAAUCCCAAUUAAAUUGAACCCUCCAGUGAUUAGUGUAGUCAAGCAUAACUAAGUUACCUUUUCAAGCCACCGACAAUGGAUUUGAAGAAGAAACUUAAGCUCGACAAAUUUUGAAUUAGAUAUUCCCUUCGUAACUGCAAAAUUUUUAGACCUUUUUAAACUUCACAGCUAGAAUAAUGUCUGUCUUAAGACGCUCUACAAUAGCAGAUUCAGCACAACCCUUUCUAGAUAACUUCUGGUGUAAGGAUUUUAUGUCAACCACAUUAGUAAAAAUAUAAGUGCACAUCAAAUAUAUAUAAGCAGAAAUUGUUACUGAUAUUUCAAGAAAUUCAUCAAGAUUAGUUGCAAUUGUUUCCUAGUAAAUAUUGGUAACUGGUCUUGUCAAACAGCCACCCUUCCCCUUCCAAUUCUACAGUUACAUCUUCUGUGUAUAAUCUAUGGCCGAUAGUUCAGUCACUGUCAUACCUAACAAGCAGGAGGAUUUCAUAUGACAAGGCCAGGAAAAAAGACUAUUAAUUAAGAUUUAAAAUAUAAAUAUGUAUUCAUAUAAGGAUUUCAAAUGAACUAUGUACUUUUUGGUUAUCUUAUUCCCAUUAUAUAAUAUUGUUUACAGGCUCACGUCUUGGUGAAAUGGAACGUGAUUGUUUAAUUGCAUAUGGUGCUAGAAUGCUAAUAUUUGAACGCCUAGUGUUUUCAAAUGAUUCUUAUAAAGUCCAGGUGAUACCAGAAGUAGUUCGUGGUUUGUGUUUUUUCAGGUUUGCAGUAUAUGUGCUACCAGUAGUAGUUUGUGACGUGUGAAUAUUUUUCAGGUUUGCAGAACAUGUGGCUUGUUAGGCUACUACAACCAUAAACUGUUCAAUGUGCAAAAAAUGGGAAAAUAUAGCCUAGAUGAGGCUGCCAUAUGCUUGCAAGCUUUUGUUAAAGGUACUGCAAAAGAGCAAAAUGUGUUGUUGCUUCAAUCAUAGAACCUGAAAAUUUGUCCUUCUCCUCGGCUUGAUUCCUCAGCCUCCGAAGGCUUUAUGUAUUUGGCUUCAUCCGAAGCUCGUAUACGACGGUCGUCCAAAGCAUUCUUCCCUGAACACCUGCACGUUCUAUCCAAAGGCAACCUUCGGCAUUAACCUUGCAGUGUACAGAUAACAAAAUAGAACGGUUAAUGAGCGUUUUGAGGACCUUCGGGAGAAGGAGACCCCCAACAUAUACAUACAAGAAGGAUCCAGAUACAACUUCAGUACUUGACUCCAUAGUACGAAUAACUCCUUUAUCAUGGUAGUUGUUUGCUGAGAACUUGUUAAAAGAGAAUGGCUUAAGCUUCCAAGCAAUUCUUAAAAGGGUAUGAUCUUGAGAUGAGUUCUCUUCCUGUAAAUAGAAAUGAGAAAUCAUUCAAAACUAUGUCUUGUGCUGCUCCACAAGAUAUUCAUAAAUGUAGCCAUCAAACAAAGAACAUAGUUUUGGCUCAAAUACAAAAUAGCUAGAAUUUUAAGUAGCCAAGAAAGUGACAUGCAAAGAACAAGCGACCCUACCCUUAGCCGUGAAACAAAGAAUGCAACUAAGCCAUUGAUGCCACUACAAGGCCUAUCGAGAAGUUGAUGUGUCUUCAAACUGACCAGAGAAACCAUUUUAAUGAAAACCACUGCACCUAGGCAUUUAUCUUACCUGUCAAGUUCACCGAGCAAGUAAGCUCAUGGGCCAGACAACCAUGAAGUGGAAGAACCACAGGUACCUCCCAUUGUACAUCGACAUACUGGACAUCGGCUGGUAAAGCGUAGCCUUGCCCCUGGGAAAAUUAGUAUAUCCAUUAUGCACUCAAUGUUUGCUCAUGUUAUUCUCAAAAAAAUUCAAACAUCACCGGAUCAACUAUAUACCUUCACGGUUGCAGAUAGCACAGGGCAUGCUAUUCCAGGUUCAUACAUUUGGAAAGUGCCUCUUAGUCGUCACAAGAACACAUUGCUGUCAACAAGGAGGAAUAACCCUAGAAUGGUGAGUUUGGAUAGGUGAGAAAUCCUUAAAAUAAUAGAGCUCUAAAUAUAAACACUUACCAAUAAGAGGGGCUUGAAGUUCAUUCAGUAUGUGAUGGAACAGAUCAGAGUUUGUCGAAGUGUCUAGUGCCAUAUUGUUAAGAUUAACCUCCACCAACACCAAAUCAAGGUCUGCUUCUUUAGCAGCCCCACAUUUAAUCAAAUCCAGGGCCGCUUUUACUGUUUGGAAGGAAAAACUACGCAACAAUAAAGGUAAUAAGAUUAAAAUAUUUGGAAAAUUAAUAUGUGUAUUUAGCAUUGUUCUACACUUAAUGGACCCUGCAAUUGACAUCACUACACAUAUAAAUAUAGUCAUAAUAUUAAGGAAAGCUUGGUGAUGCUUAUAUAGAAAAAUAAAUAAAUCCCAUUACGAAGUCUUGGUGAUGCUCACAGCUUGGUGAUGCUCACUUUAUAUUUAUUCAUCCAGCUGACUUCUAGAAGUUCCAAAGAAGUCAUUACAAAACACAUAGUUUAAGGACCAGAAGCCUGAGAUUGCUCACCAUCUUAAUUAGUUGUUGCCUUCGCUUCCUGAUUGAUGAUUCCCUGCUAUCAAGGUAUAGUAACCAUAUUGUGCGACUAUAAAUUGCACCCAGCAGAACUGAUUCUCCAAGAGCCUGAAGAAACAAGUGGAUCAUCAAUUAACCCUACCCCAUCAUUGUUAUUUCUACAGGUGUGUCAACACUUAUCCCAAAAUAUCAGAUGUGUUGUGCACUAAGCAUUACUAUAAAGUGGACAGUACUUCGCUAAUGAAAAUCUUCCCUUUCCUGGUUCUCUUCUCCCUCUCUGAUUUACCUUUUUCAAACAUAACGCUGGAUAUGGAUUUAUCAGAUUAACUGGCAAGUAAUAAACAUUAUUAAGGUAAAAUGAUGUCAUAUGUUUUCAUUCAUAGUAGCAAAAUAGUAUAGUAGAAUCCUUUUAAAACCACCAAGGUCAUACAUAAGGAAAAAAACUACACCAAAAAUACAGAUAGAUUACCAAUUCAUGACUGCAUAUUCUUUUUUAACGGCCAGGAAAGCCCAUGAAAAUACAUGAGUUUCAGUCUUUCAUUAGACAAAAAAAAUAGGGCAAACAAAAGAUCAGGAAACUUCUACAUUGUAGGGGAAAACACUGAACAAUAAGCUCAUACCUGACUGAGCAUGUGCAUUACAUCUAGACAAUUAUCCAAAUCUGGACCCUAUUCCUCUUUAUAGUUCCCAGCCUCUGGAGAAAACAAGACAGGCACGCGCGCGCACAAAUAAGGUCAACGAGAGUCGUCGAUGUAAGGGGUGCUGCUUGAAGGGGUUACAGGGCUACCAAGAACGUGGUGGGAGUAAGGAGCAGUUGGGGCUGACGCUAAAUUGAACAGGUCAUGAGGUACAGGAAACUUGCGCUCGCCGAGAGUGUUCCAGAGCUUGAUGGUCUUUUCACGGGACGCGGAGACGAUCUGGCGGUUGUCGACUGAGAAGACGACGGAGAGAACGUUCUUCUCGUGGUCGACGAAGUGACGGGUGGUGAGGACGGUGGAGAGGUCCCAGAGGAGGAGAGGGACUCCUACGCGUCGGCCAUGGUUGUCGUGGGGGAUUGGGGCUGCAAGGGUUGCGGUGGCGGCGGCGUGAAACGAUCGAUGAGGGGGAGGAGGAGAGGGCAUGGAGGCAGAGGUGGUGGUGGUGGGCGGUGGGGAUGCGGCUGUUGCCGCGGCAGCGGGAGAGGAGGUGCCGCAUCGUCACGUUCGGCAGCGCGGCGAUGUGGAGAGAGAGGCAGAUUGAGGCGGCGUCGGUUGCAGCUACGAGGGAGGCGGGGAGGGGUGGGUGGGCAGGUGAUGCUCGACGAAUGGACGGUGCAGCGGGGGCGGGAGUGGUGCUCGACGAACGGACGGUCUAGAUUGGUGGAAGGCAGAACCAAAGAGAGGCAGCCUACCCCUUGGGUUCUUAAUAGUAGUAAAGAUGGCGGUCCUGCAAGGGAUUCCUGCAUUGGAGCUUCCUAUAAACUGUAGCGGGUUUUCUGAAGCUAGUGGAACUUUGUAAAGGCCUCGUAGUGUUACCCUGCCUCGCCUCCUCGGUAGAGGUGUAUGGGAAGUCGCGAUCCCUUGGCAGAUGGGUAACAUGACUUGUGGGUAAAGAUGCGCAACCUCUGCAGAGUGUAAAACUGGUAUACUAGCCGUGCUCACGGUCAUGAGCAGCUCGGACACUCACAUGAUUAAUUUAUGGAACUAAAUUCAAUUUGUCAUAUGCAUUGCAUCGCAGGUGAGGUUGUUACUUUUGUUAUACUACUUAAUUGGGUUUGGUAUUUACUUAUACUUAGUAAUUGCUAAUAAAAUUUUGACCAACUUUAAAAGCAAUGCUCAGCUCUAACCAUUCUCUUUGGUAAGCCUUACACUUCACAUGAACUCCCACCUUUGGCGAGUUCAUUCACAUUAUUCCCCACAACUUGUUGAGCGAUGAACGUAUGUGAGCUCACUCUUGCUGUCUCACACCCCCCACAGGUCAAGAGCAGGUACCACAGGAUGAGGCGCGUGGAGGAUGCUGUGAUGAGUUCGUGAGUGGUCUAGGCCGUCGUCUCCCAGUCAACUUUGGGUUGCUGGAUCGUUUCCUCAUAUGAUGUAAUUAUUUAAUUAUUUUGUAUAGAACUCCUGUUAUAUAGUAAAGAUGUGACAUUCGAUCCUGUGCCACUAUGCAUCAUAUGUGUGAGACUUGGUCCCAGCACACCUGGUGUUUAUGUUCGCGCCCGGGCUUUGGACCCCUAAAACGCGGGUGUGACAGGCGCUAGCUCUCCCCUGCUAGACACGUAGCACUCUGCUACACCCCCAUUGUACACCUGGAUCCUCUCCUUACGCCUAUAAAAGGAAGGACCAGGGCCUUCAUAGAGAAGGUUGGCCACGCGGGGAUGAGGACGAGACAGGCGCUCUCUUGGGGCCACUCGCUUCCCUCACCCGCGUGGACGCUUGUAACCCCCUACUGCAAGCGCACCCGACCUGGGCGCGGGACGAACACGAAGGCCGCGGGAUUUCCACCUCUCUCACGCCCGUCUUCGGCCACCUCGCUUUCCCCCCUUCGCGCUCGCCCAUGCGCUCGACCCAUCUGGGCUAGGGCACGCGGCACAUUCACUCGUCGGCUUAGGGACCCCCCGGUCUCGAAACGCCGACAGUUGGCGCGCCAGGUAGGGGCCUGCUGCGUGUUGACGAACAGCUUCCCGUCAAGCUCCAGAUGGCAGUCUCCAGCAACCUCUCCGGCCCGGGACGGUGCUCCGUUUUGGGAGUCUUCAGUUCAUGUCCUUCGACGGCAGCUACGACAUGAUACUCCUUCCACCGCCGCGCGACAACGACAAUGGCGGCCGACAACCCGUCCGCCGGCGGCGGAAUCGACGACAUCUUCCCCGCGUGGUGGAAGAACAACAUUCGAGCUCGCCCCAUCCUCUCCCCCGCCAACGGAGGAGGAGGCGGGGCAACCAAGGCCAAGCGGGAGGCCGCGCUUCGUCGGCUGUCGAGCGAAUCGACGUCCCCAGCGCCCCAACGGGGGGCGCGUCGGGCGUCGACCUCGCGUUUGAGACGAAGGCGAGCGUCGUCCCCCCGCGACACGCCAAUCCCGAGCAAGUGGACGACACCAGCGCGCUCGCGGAGAGCUUGCAGGACGUCGCCCUCGUACCUGAGACGACGGUGCAAUCAGUCCCCGACGUGACUAUGUCGCUGCUCGUCGACCAAAAGGUACCGACCGAUUCCCAUCCUACGUCAUUUCGACUCAGCCUCAACCCGCCUAGCGACCUCGCUUUGGCAGGCGCUCUCGUUGAGGCGAGUGCAACCCCUCUGGGGUUUCGUAUGCGGUCGCCUUGGGACCGAUUGACGGACAUCUCAACCUACGGGCCCUCUGGGUCCGAGGAAGAUGACGAUCCCAGCAUCUGUUGGGAUUUCUCUGGAUUUGGCAACCCCAGUGCCAUGCGGGACUUUAUGACCGCAUGUGACUACUGCCUCUCUGAAUGUUCCGACGGUAGCCGCAGCCUCGACGACGAGGACUGCGGCCCAAGCCGCGAAUGUUUCCACGUCGAGCUAGGGGAUCCCUCCGAAGGCAACCAUCUCGGCAUGCCGGAGGACGGUGAUCUCCCUAGGUCGGCGCCUCACGCUGACAUCCCGCGGGAGCUAGCUGUGGUCCCCGUUCCGGCGGGGGGUCACGACCCACAGCUCGAGCAAGUCCGCGGGGCGCAGGCCAGGCUCGACGAGGGAGCAGGAGCACUUGAGCCGAUCCGCCAGGACGUCGGGCAGGUAUGGGCGGGCCAACCCCCGGCCGGAGAAAUACGUCACCUGCCCCAGGGUUUCCAGCACCGCGUCGCCAACGACGUUAGGGUCAGGCCGCCACCCGCAUCCAGUGGGGUCGGCCAGAACCUGGCAGCCGCAGCGAUGCUCCUCCGCGCGAUGCCGGAGCCAUCAACCACCGAGGGUCGGCAAAUCCAGGGAGAGCUCAAGAAUCUCCUGGAAGGCGCUGCGGUCCGACGGGCCGAGAGCUCUGCCUCCCGAAGGCAGGGAUACCCCUCGGAACCUCAUGCCGCGACUUCCCGAUUCAUGCGGGAAGCCUCGGUCUACACCGGGCGCACGCGCAACACCGCGCCUGCGGCCCCGGGCCACCUCGGCAACGAGCACCAUCGUCGCGACCGUCGGGCCCACCUCAACGAAAGGGUGCGCCGAGGCUACCACCCCAGGCGUAGGGGACGCUACGACAGCGGGGAGGAUCGGAGUCCCUCGCCCGAAUCACCCGGUCCGCAGGCCUUCAGUCGGGCCAUCCGACGGGCGCCGUUCCCGACCUAGUUCUGACCCCCGACUACUAUCACAAAGUACUCGGGGGAAACGAGACCGGAACUGUGGCUCGCGGACUACCGCCUGGCCUGCCAACUGGGUGGAACGGACGACGACAACCUCAUCAUCCGCAACCUCCCCCUGUUCCUCUCUGACACUGCUCGCGCCUGGUUGGAGCACCUGCCUCCGGGGCAGAUCUCUAACUGGGAUGACUUGGUCCAAGCCUUCGCCGACAAUUUCCAGGGCAUGUACGUGCGCCCCGGGAAUUCCUGGGACCUCCGAAGCUGCCGGCAGCAGCCGGGAGAGUCUCUCCGGGACUACAUCCGGCGAUUCUCGAAGCAGCGCACCGAGCUGCCCAACAUCACCGACUCGGAUGUCAUCGGCGCGUUCCUUGCUGGCACCACCUGCCGCGACCUGGUGAGUAAGUUGGGUCGCAAGACCCCCACCAGGGCGAGCGAGCUGAUGGACAUCGCCACCAAGUUCGCCUCUGGCCAGGAGGCGGUCGAGGCUAUCUUCCGAAAGGACAAGCAGCCCUAGGGCCGCCCAUCGGAAGAUGCUCCCGAGGCGUCAACUCCGCGCGGCGCCAAGAAGAAAGGCAACAAGAAGUCGCAAGCGAAACGCGCCGCCGCCGACGCGGACCUUGUCGCCGCCGCCGAGUACAAGAACCCUCGGAAGCCCCUCGGAGGUGCUAACCUCUUCGACAAGAUGCUCAAGGAGCCGUGCCCCUAUCAUCAGGGGCCCGUCAAGCACACCCUCGAGGAGUGCGUCAUGCUUCGGCGCCACUUCCACAGGGCCGGGCCACCCGCAGAGGGUGGCAGGGCCAGCGACGACGACAAGAAGGAAGAUCACCAAGCAGGAGAGUUCCCCGAGGUCCGCGACUGCUUCAUGAUCUACGGUGGGCAUGUGGCGAAUGCCUCGGCUCGGCAUCGCAAGCAAGAGCGCCGGGAGGUUUGCUCGGUGAAGGUGGCGGCGCCAGUCUACCUAGACUGGUCCGACAAGCCCAUCACCUUCGACCAAGCUGACCACCCCGACCACGUGCCGAGCCCGGGGAAAUACCCGCUCGUCGUCGACCCCAUAGUCGGCGACGUCAGGCUCACCAAGGUCCUGAUGGACGGGGGCAGCUGCCUCAACAUCAUCUACGCCGAGACCCUCAGGCUCCUGCGCGUCGAUCUGUCCUCCAUCCGAGCAGGCGCUGCGCCCUUCCACGGGAUCAUUCCCGGGAAGCGCGUCCAGCCCCUCGGACGACUCGACCUUCCCGUCUGCUUCGGAACGCCCUCCAACUUCCGAAGGGAGACUUUGACGUUCGAGGUGGUCGGGUUCCGAGGAACCUACCACGCGGUACUGGGGAGGCCAUGCUACGCGAAGUUCAUGGCCGUCCCUAACUACACCUACCUGAAGCUCAAGAUGCCGGGCCCCAACGGGGUCAUCACCGUCGGCCCCACGUACAAACACGCGUUCGAAUGCGACGUGGAGUGCGUGGAGUACGCCGAGGCCCUCGCCGAGUCCGAGGCCCUCAUCGCCGACCUGGAAAGCCUCUCUAAAGAGGUGCCAGACGUGAAGCGUCAUGCCGGCAACUUCGAGCCAGCGGAGACGGUUAAGGCCGUCCCCCUCGACCCCAGUGGCGACACCUCCAAGCAGAUCCGGAUCGGUUCCGGGCUCGACCCCAAAUAGGAAGCAGUGCUCGUCGACUUUCUCCGCGCAAACGCCGACGUCUUUGUGUGGAGUCCCUCGGACAUGCCCGGCAUACCGAGGGAUGUCGCCGAGCACUCGCUGGAUAUUCGGGCCGGAGCCCGACCCGUCAGGCAGCCUCUGCGCCGAUUCGACGAGGAGAAGCGCAGAGUGAUAGGCGAGGAGAUCCACAAGCUAAUGGCAGCAGGGUUCAUCAAAGAGGUAUUCCAUCCUGAAUGGCUUGCCAACCCUGUGCUUGUGAGAAAGAAAGGGGGGAAAUGGCGGAUGUGUGUAGACUACACUGGUCUCAACAAAGCAUGUCCGAAGGUUCCCUACCCUCUGCCUCGCAUCGAUCAAAUCGUGGAUUCCACUGCUGGGUGCGAAACCCUGUCCUUCCUCGAUGCCUACUCAGGGUAUCACCAAAUCAGGAUGAAAGAGUCCGACCAGCUCGCGACUUCUUUCAUCACGCCCUUCGGCAUGUACUGCUAUGUCACCAUGCCGUUCGGUUUGAGGAAUGCGGGCGCGACGUACCAGCGGUGCAUGAACCAUGUGUUCGGCGAACACAUCGGUCGCACAGUCGGGGCCUACGUCGAUGACAUCGUAGUCAAGACAAGGAAGGCUUCCGACCUCCUCUCCGACCUUGAAGUGACAUUCCGAUGUCUCAAAGUGAAAGGCGUCAAGCUCAAUCCCGAGAAGUGUGUCUUCGGGGUGCCCCGGGGCAUGCUCUUGGGGUUCAUCGUCUCCGAGCGGGGCAUCGAAGCCAACCCGGAGAAGAUCGCAGCUAUCACCAGCAUGGGGCCCAUCAAGGACUUAAAAGGCGUACAGAGGGUCAUGGGAUGUCUCGCGGCCCUGAGCCGCUUCAUCUCACGCCUCGGCGAAAGAGGUCUGCCUCUGUACAGCCUCUUGAGGAAAGCCGAGUGUUUCGCUUGGACCCCUGAGGCCGAGGAAGCUCUCGGGAACCUGAAGGCGCUCCUCACAAAGGCGCCUAUCUUGGUGCCCCCAUCUGAUGGAGAAGCCCUCUUGGUCUACGUCGCCGCGACCACUCAGGUGGUUAGCGCCGCGAUUGUGGUCGAGAGGCAAGAAGAGGGGCAUGCAUUGCCCGUUCAGAGGCCAGUCUACUUCGUCAGCGAGGAUCUCUCCGAGACCAAGAUUCGCUACCCAAAAGUCCAGAAGCUGCUGUAUGCAGUGAUCCUGACGAGGCGGAAGUUGCGACACUACUUCGAGUCUCAUCCGGUAACUGUGGUGUCAUCCUUCCCCCUGGGGGAGAUCAUCCAGUGCCGAGAGGCCUCGGGCAGGAUUGCAAAGUGGGCGGUGGAAAUCAUGGGCGAGACAAUCUCGUUCGCCCCUCGGAAGGCCAUCAAGUCCCAGGUAUUGGCGGACUUCGUAGCCGAAUGGGUCGACACCCAGAUGCCGACGGCUCCGAUCCAACCGGAGCUCUGGACCAUGUUUUUCGACGGGUCGCUGAUGAAGACGGGAGCCGGCGCGGGCCUGCUCUUCAUCUCGCCCCUCGGGAAACACCUACGCUACAUGCUACGCCUCCAUUUCCCGGCGUCCAACAAUGUGGCUGAGUACGAGGCUCUGGUCAACGGGUUGCGGAUCGCCAUCGAGCUAGGGGUCAGACGCCUCGACGCCCGCGGUGACUCGUAGCUCGUCAUCGACCAAGUCAUGAAGAACUCCCACUGCCGUGACCCGAAGAUGGAGGCCUACUGCGAUGAGGUUCGGCGCCUGGAAGACAAGUUCUACGGGCUCAAGCUUAACCACAUCGCUCGGCGCUACAACGAGACUGCGGACGAGCUGGCAAAAAUAGCCUCGGGGCGAACGACGGUUCCCCCGGACGUCUUCUCCCGGGAUCUGCAUCAACCCUCCGUCAAGAUCGACGACACGCCCGAGCCCGAGGCACCCUCGGUCCAGCCCGAGGUACCCUCGGCUCAGCUCGAGGCACCCUCAGCUCGGUCCGAGGCGCCCUCGGUUCAGCCCGAGGUACCCUCGGCCCCCGAGGGCGAGGCACUGCACGUCGAGGAGGAGCAGAGCGGGGCCACGCCUGAUCGAAAUUGGCAGACCCCGUACCUGCAAUAUCUCCGCCAAGGAGAGCUACCCCUCGACCGAGCCGAGGCUCGGCGGGUAGCACGAGGCGCCAAGUCGUUCGUACUGCUGGGCGAUGAGAAGGAGCUCUACCACCGCAACCCCUCGGGCAUCCUCCAGCGAUGCAUCUCCAUCGCCGAAGGUCAGGAACUCCUGCAAGAGAUACACUCGGGGGCUUGCGGCCAUCACGCAGCGCCUCGAGCCCUAGUCGGGAAUGCUUUCCGGCAAGGCUUCUACUGGCCAACGGCGGUGGCUGACGCCACUAGAAUUGUCCGCACCUGCGAAGGGUGCCAAUUCUAUGCGAAGCAGACCCACCUGCCCGCUCAGGCUCUGCAGACGAUACCCAUCACCUGGCCCUUUGCUGUGUGGGGUCUGGACCUCGUCGGUCCCUUGCAGAAGGUGCCCGGGGGCUACACGCACCUGCUGGUCGCCAUCGACAAAUUCUCCAAGUGGAUCAAGGUCCGACCUCUAAACAGCAUCAGGUCCGAGCAGGCGGUGGCGUUCUUCACCAACAUCAUCCAUCGCUUCGGGGUCCCAAACUCCAUCAUCACCGACAACGGCACCCAGUUCACCGGCAGAAAAUUCUUGGACUUCUGCGAGGAUCACCACAUCCGGGUGGACUGGGCCGCCGUGGCUCAUCCCAUGUCGAAUGGGCAAGUAGAGCGUGCCAACGGCAUGAUUCUACAAGGGCUCAAGCCUCGGAUUUACAACGACCUCAACAAGUUCGGCAAGCGAUGGAUGAAGGAACUCCCCUCGGUGGUCUGGAGCCUGAGAACAACGCCGAGCCGAGCCACGGGUUUCACGCCGUUCUUCCUGGUCUAUGGGGCUGAGGCCGUCUUGCCCACUGACCUGGAAUACGGCUCCCCGAGGACGAGGGCCUACAGCGAUCAAAGCAACCAAGCUAGCCGAGAAGACUCGCUGGACCAGCUGGAAGAGGCUCGUGACAAGGCCUUACUACACUCGGCGCGGUACCAGCAGUCCCUGCGACGCUACCACGCCUGAGGGGUCCGGCCCCGAGACCUCCAGGUGGGCGACCUGGUGCUUCGGCUGCGGCAAGACGCCCGAGGGAGGCACAAGCUCACGCCCCCCUGGGAGGGGCCAUUCGUCAUCGCCAAAGUUCUGAAGCCCGGAACGUACAAGCUGGCCAACAGUCAAGGCGAGGUCUACGGCAACGCUUGGAACAUCCAACAGCUACGUCGCUUCUACCCUUAAGAUGUUUUCAAGUUGUUCAUAUACCUCGCACCCACGCAAAGUUUAGUCAUCAAGGAAGGGUCGGCCUCGCCUCGGCAAAGCCCGACCCUCCCUCGGGGGCUAAAAGGGGGGAAACCCCCUCUGCGUUAAAAUUUUCCUCGAAAAAAGAUCUCUUCUGCCAGAAUGUCUUUCGUGCUUUCUGACUACUUCGAAAAGUGGAUCCUGAAAACGACGGAGUACACGUAAGCAGCCAAGGCUGACCGAGCCGAGGGACUCCUACGCCUCCGGGAUACGGAUACCUCACUCAUCACCUUCUACGAUAAGUAACUCGCAUUCGGAUAAAGUGAUUCCGCGGAUCGAACAAGUCUUUACGUUCGGAAGCUCUUCUGCCGAAGCGAUCCUUCGAGCCUUCUCGACUGAGUCGGUGACAGGGCCUCAUGGACGGGUGAAAGUACGCGUAAGCGGCAAGGCCGACCGAGCCAAGGGACUCCCACGCCUCCGGGAUACGGAUACCUCACUCAUCACCUUCCGCGAGAAGCAACUCUCGCUCGCACAAACAUCCCUGUUAUCGACAAAAAAGUCUAGAUACUCGAAAUAAGAGGAAAAGAGACGCAGCUUUACAACGCGGCGAGGGUGUGUGUUCUGGCCUCGGCGGCCGCAGAAGGCACACGCUACAAGACAAUCUGAUCCUGCAGGCUCGGGUCUUCAUGCUGGAAGGGGGCUGUAGCACCCUCGGCAUCGACGACACCUUCAGCAAGGUCCGACCUAGCCUCGGACGGUGACGCGGUCCAGGAACUUCUCCGGGAAUCCGGCCCAAGCAGGCGGCUCGGCCGGUUACCCUUGGGGCCUCGGCCAACCAUAUUCCAAGGGCGCCAGCCCGAUCUGAGGCCUCGGCUGAUCAACUCCGGCGUCGGUCCCGCUGACGGACAACCCGGCUAGGCUCCGGCCAACCAGGUUUUCAUUUUCGAGCCAACUCUGCCUCUGUUCGUGCUGAUAUCGCUACCCCUGGCCUCGGCUCAUCGAAGAGCGGCCAAGGGGUCUAUUUAACUAAGCUAGAGGAGCCUCAGACAACAAGGCCGAUCGAGCCGAGGGACUCCUACGCCUCCGGGAUACGGAUACCUCACUCGUCACCUUGACACGGGGCGACUCAUGCUUGGUGAAGCGGUUCAGAUAAUCAACAGGCGAGUCUUAGUGCUCGAAAAUGAGGAAAAAACACGGCUCCGUGCCAAAAUUACAUACAUGUUCAGGCCUCGACAGCCACAAUGAACAAAAAACCCUGGCAUUCAAAGUGCCAUUACAAACGGAACUCCGGUUCCCCCUUCGCAGGUACGAACAACCCCACUCCAUGGGGGAAGGCCUGCGGAGCAACAGAAGACCGACGAACGGCGCGCCGUCACCUGCUCCAGCAGCGGCGACGACGACGACUUCUGCUCCGAGGGGGCGAACAGCGGCAGCACUGACCUCAGGGCGGGCGCUGCUGCUAGGAGGCCCCCGCCCAUGCCCAAACUUGUGAGGCAAGGACGGGCAGAAGGCCGUAGAGUUGGAGGUCGGUCCGUGGGCGGCCCUGGCUAUCUCGUCGGCGGAGGAACCUCUUCCAGCUGCCGUGGCAGACGCCGGCACCGCGAGCGGCUCCGAAGCCACUCGCGUCCGAAAGCCGGGCACGCUGCAGCUGCCAGCGCCACGGACGACGACCGCCCUUCCCUCCGAUCACUGAGUGAAGGAGCGGGCCGCCGCCCACGCGGGGCCGACCCCAACUCGGCACUCCCUCCUCCCCAGCCCUGGUGAUGAAAAUCCUUGAGGCUGAGGGAGGGGUAGAGGCCGCAGCCCGGCUCGCUUUCCCCCACCAUCAAGCCGGAAGUCACCAUCUUGGGUGACCGCCGGUGGAGGGGUGCAGCUGGGCUGCAUGAUGAAAAUCCUUGAAGCCGAACGAUGGCUGAAGGGUACCAACUCCCACGGAGUUGUGUUCCUCCAACGAUGAGGCGAAAAGACGGCGGGUACCCCCCAUCCCGGGGCUUGGAAGGUGGAAAGACGCGAUGCAUAAGGGAGGGAGAAGACAUGGUCGCCUUCCGAAAGGGGUCGCCCUCCUUUUAAAGGCAACUCUCCCUACGUGCGCCUCCAAACGUCUCGGACUGAGUCUUCUCCAACACGCUCCAAGGCCCUCCCCUGCGGCAUGGGGGCUAGGUCCCGCAUGUCAUGCAAACCGACUCGGGGCAGAAGAAGCCAAACCGCCGCGCGUGGCGCACACAACCGCCCAGCGGUUACAAGCGACCCCCCACUUUUGCCCAGACCGACGGGCGGAAGGGGCGGGCAGCCAUGCAGGCGGCAUGCAACCGCGCCAGGUGGACGCGCUUCUCUGACUCCCAACACGCUGGCAUGGAGGCCCAGGCCCACGCGUCACGCAACCGGCGCGCCGGAUGCUGCAUGCAAGAAACUGCACCGCCACUUGCGCCACCACCGCGCCUCUUCGGUUGCGGAACCAAUGCCGCGACUCGAGGCGACCCAGCGCACGACCCAGCAGCGCCAGCAUGGCGCGACGGUCAAUGCAGCCGAAAGUGGGCCGGCAGUAAUGACGGUGGCAGGCAGGCGGGAGCAGCGGUCACGUCGUCGGCCAGGCUCACGUACCAUCCGGGGGCAGCAAGAGAACCCCCUCUCACGGCGUGAAGACAGGGCGCCCGUGAUCCGUUCCUCGAACGGCUCGCGCACGCGCAAUGGCCGCCCCACCAACCACUCGCCCCGUCGCAUUAACUCCGCGGCGGGACAGGCGGCGCUUCUGGCGGGAGAAGCGGGCGACGCUUCGCCUUCGCCGUAAUAACCGCGCCAAAAAAGGUACGCCACGUCGUUCGAUUUCGUAUCCUUUUCCUUUUUUCCUCUUUCUCUAUCUCUUGCGACAGGGACCGGGAAAGGGGGAUACCCCGAAAAGGAUCCUUCCCUGUGAAGGAACCGGGCUCCGAGCCCUCCUACUGAUCAGAGGUUCGAAGGCUGGCCCCCCGAGGGGUUCAACAGUCGCCUCAGAUCGCGUGGGCCCUACACCCACUACUGGUCAGAGGUUCGAAGGCCGAAGCAUUACGCAAGGCAUUAAGACCUCGAAGGAGUGAAACCACUCCUCCGAGGCCUCGGGGGCUACACCCGGCGGGUGCGCUCGCGCGCACCCACCGGAACAAAAUGCAACCGAGAAAGGCUGGUCCCCUUGCAAAAAAGUGCGAUGAAAGCCUCCAAGCGAGUGCUAACACUCCCUUCGAGGCUCGGGGGCUACUGUCGGGGACCAUAAUUAGGGGUACCCUCAAGACACCUAAUUCUCAGCUGGUAACCCCCAUCAGCAUAAAGCUGCAGAGGCCUGAUGGGUACGAUUAAGUCAGGGAUCAGUCCAUACGAGCGACUCGAUCACGCCUCUCCCGAGCCUAGCCUCAGACAAGGGCAGCCGACCCCGAGGGAUUUCCGUCUCGCCCGAGGCCCCCCUCCAACGGCGGACACAUCUCCGGCUCGCCCGAGGCCUUGCCUUCGCUAAGAAGCAACCCUGACUAAAUCGCCGCGCCGACCGACCGAGUCGCAGGAGCAUUUAACGCAAAGGUGGCCUGACACCUUUAUCCUGACGCGCGCCCCCCGGCAGAGCCGAAGUGACCGCCGUCACUUCGCCGCUCCACUGACCGGUCUGACAGAAGGACAGCGCCGCCUGUGCCACUCCGACUGCAGUGCCACUUGACAGAGUGAGACUGACAGGGAGUCAGGCCCUGCCAAAGGCACCAUAGGAAGCUCCACUCCGCCCGACCCAGGGCUCGGACUCGGGCUAAGCCCCGGAAGACAGCGAGCUCCGCUCCGCCCGACCCAGGGCUCGGACUCGGGCUAAGCCCCGGAAGACGGCGAGCUCCGCUCCGCCCGACCCAGGGCUCGGACUCGGGCUAAGCCCCGGAAGACGGCGAACUCCGCUCCGCCCGACCCAGGGCUCGGACUCGGGCUAAGCCCCGAAAGACGGCGAACUCCGCUCCGCCCGACCCAGGGCUCGAACUCGGGCUAAGCCCCGGAAGACGGCGAACUCCGCUCCGCCCGACCCAGGGCUCCGACUCGGGCUAAGUCCCGGAAGACGGCGAACUCCGCUCCGCCCGACCCCAGGGCUCGGACUCGGGCUAAGUCCCGGAAGACGGCGAACUUCGCUCCGCCCGACCCAGGGCUCGGACUCGGGCUCAGCCCCAGAAGAUGACGAACUCCGCUUCACCCGACCCCAGGGCUCGGACUCCGCCCUGGCCUCUGCCGAACGACCUCCGCCUCGCCCGACCCAGGGGCUCGGACUCGGCCUCGGCCACGGAAGACAGACUCGACCCCGGCUUCGGAGGAGCCUCCACGAUGCCCAACCUAGAGCGCAGGCCAGCCACGUCAGCAGGAAGCGCCAUCAUCACUCUACCCCGAGCCGACUCGGGCCGCAGAGAACAAGACUGAUGUCCCAUCUGGCUAGCUCUGCCAGAUAGGCAAUGAUGGCGCCCCACAAGCUCUGUGACGACGGCGGCUCUCAGCUCUCUUACGGAAGCAGGAGGACGUCAGCAAGGACUCAACCGCUCCGACAGCUGUCCCUCCGCCAGGCUCCGCCGCUCCUCCGACAGCCACGACACCACACCAGCUGGGUGUCAAGAUCUCUCCGGCUGCCACAUUGGCAUGUACUUAGGGCGCUAGCUCUCCCCCGCUAGACACGUAGCACUCUGCUACACCCCCAUUGUACACCUGGAUCCUCUCCUUACGCCUAUAAAAGGAAGGACCAGGGCCUUCUUAGAGAAGGUUGGCCGCGCGGGGACGAGGACGAGGCAGGCGCUCUCUUGGGGCCACUCGCUUCCCUCACCCGCGUGGACGCUUGUAACCCCCUACUACAAGCGCACCCGACCUGGGCGCGGGACGAACACGAAGGCCGCGGGAUUUCCACCUCUCUCACGCCCGUCUCCGGCCACCUCGCUUUCCCCCCUUCGCGCUCGCCCACGCGCUCGACCCAUCUGGGCUGGGGCACGCGACACAUUCACUCGUCGGCUUAGGGACCCCCCGGUCUCGAAACGCCAACAGUGGCCAACCAAGAAGUUUUCUCGGGUGCGCAUGAGUGAGGACAAAGUGCGUACAAAAGACUCAUGUUGGUCUGUGGGGACAAUAUAUUAUCCUAGAGAGUUGCCAGGAGUAAGUACUGCCGGUCUAGGACUGGAUGGGGUUUUACAAGAGGGCGUGGACCAUCCCCAUGUGCGCAGAAAGUGCAUAUAGCGGCUAGUAUUGGUUGGAGGGCUAUAAAUAGAAGUGGUGCUCAUGUGUAACAACUCUCUUGGCCAUUCCUAGCACACAUUGAUGACAUUUGUGAUCCUCCAACUCACUCACUCACACACAUUGCUUGACAUUGCAUCUUAGUUGGUGAUUGAGUGUUCCUAGUGCAUUUGCAUCAUUUGGUGAUCUUGAGGCACUAGGUGGCACACCGAGCAAGCGUCGUUGGCUUAUUACUCUUGGAGGUUGCCGCCUGCUAGACAGCUUGGUGGUGUCUCCAUCGAGUUCUCUGUGAAGAUUGUGGAGAAGCCGCAGUGGUGAUUGUAAGGGGUUCGCGCCUACCUCACCAGAGCGACAAAGGCGACUCUAGUUGAAUAGAGGUAUUGAGUGUUUCCUUGUCUGCUUAGCUCGAGAUCAAGACUAUAGCACCCUGAAUUUAGGGGUAUAAAAUUUCUUUGCUCAUAUCCACAAAUUUAUGUGUUACUCCUCUUUUCCCUUUCCUCUCAAACCCCUUUUUCUCUUUUCUCUAGAAUAAGGAAUAUUGCUUCAUUGGAAAUGUAAUUAUAUUCUAGAAGGCAAAACCUCAAAGGAGAAUGGAAUGUUACAUCAUGUUGAACCCUAAGUCUUGUCUUUGUUUGAUGCAUAUGCUUGAGAUGGUUGUAUUUGAAUUUGUGGCUCAAUUGCAUUUGAAUUCAAAAGAGAAAAGAAAAGGAAAAGGGAACUAAAAUCCAGGAUAAAAGGAAAAAGGAAAAGGGAACUAAAAUUCAGGAUAAAAGGAAAAAGGAAAAAGGAAAUAAGCCCGCGACCCCUCCCCCUACGGCCUCUCAGCCUAGUCGGCCCAUCUUAGCUGCGCCCACGCCUGCCCCUUCUUUCUUUGCCUAACGAGCCUACCCUGUCGGCGCCGCUACGUCGACCGCGCUCUCUCUCUCACUCUCUCUCUCUCUUUCUCUCUCUCUGCGCCGUGGGCCCUGUGGGGGACAGAUAUCCCCCGGGUCCACUAGAAGGCUAGAAGACCUCGCGAAAGGCUUUGGGCCCAUUGUUUCGCAAGGCCAUCCCUUCGUGGGCUUGGGGAGGAAUGUCUGGCAGAGUGGAUCGACGCAAGAUUGGAUCAACCCGAGCCUAGGCGGCCCGUUGAAUUUAAGCAUUAUCCACAAUAGUGAUCCGAUUCUCCUGCGCUACGCCCUCAGGCGUCGGAACUAAAUGAUGAUAAGUCGGCAGAAUUAUAGGAAGAUAAGCUCAGUCGGUUCACUAUUACUUAGGCGCACGUUGUUAACAAAUCUGCAUGUAACGCCCCACAGUCGAGUAUAUAAGGCCUAGGGGGCACCCCCUCAGACGACAACUCACUCAUUAGCCGUCUACUCAGCUCUCUAGCAUCUUCCAUACUAGAGAACUCCCCUAUAACCCACCACAUAAAAGAUCCACACCAGGAAGUAGGGUGUUACGCCUCUCUAAGAGGCCCGAACCUGUAUAAAAUUGUCCACUGUCUCUCGUGCAUCUAGCACGAACCAUCGAGCUACAGUCGGUAACACCGUCCUACUCCAAAAAGCACCUCGAGGGGCAACCCCGGGUGUGCGGUCGGACCCAAAACACCGACAGCUGGCACGCCAGGUAGGGGGUGUGUCACUGAUCCAAGCUAGCUCAAUGGCCAUCACUUUCCAGCACAAGAUCGAUCUCCGCCCUGGAUCCAUGUUCUGCUUCGGAACCAUCUCAUCCGUGGCAGAUGAAGAAGGAACUCUACAUCGCAUAGCGGAUCUGUCGGAAAGAAAACCUUCCUCGAUAAUAUCCGGGAAAGCCGGAGCGAAGCAGGAAAUAGCGCAACCUCCAGCGCUCUGAGCGAAGACUACCACCUGCAAGCUAGGAGCGGAAAAUUCAUUCACCCGAAGAACCCCGUUGUCCACCUCAUCCACAGAAGAGUGGACACGAAUUACGAGGAAAAAAGAAACAAGGUCCCAUCAAGCUGCCCUUCUGGUGCCUCAGCCCUCAAAGGAGAACAGAAAGAAGCUUGUCGUCACGAAAACUCCGUUCUACCCCGACGUCCUCUUUAUUGGGGGAGUGUGGAAUCGUCCCCCAUCUCCGACGACGAACCAACUGUGCCUAGGGAAGAACCUCCUCGGCGGGAAGCUCGUCAACGAAGGAACCGACGCCAUAACGCCCAGCGACAUCAUGAAACUGGAGAAUGAGAUCCGACGCAGCCUGUGUCGCGAGAUGAGAUCUCAGAGGUGGGAGAAACUCCAGAUGAAUGAGUCUUCAGGGAGAGAAGGAAUUCCCGCCGACGUGAUCGUUGGCAAGCUCAAGAGCAAGCCGAGUAGGAGGCGAGACAGCAUCGAGAGAAUCCUCUCUUCGGACGAAAUCUGAACCCCGACUUCGCCCGAGCCAUGAACACACCGAGCGAGGUCGGUGGAGUGUUGGCUCGGAUAGCUGAUGGCCUCCCCUAGACUCCAGACACCGAGGGCUAUCGGCGGCUGCUUACUCGGGCAGUCAACCACCUUCUGCCUCUUGCUCAUCCUCCGAGCGACCUACGACACGCCAUCAAUAGUCGACGGGACGCGUGGAGCUCUAUCAAUGCUUCGCGCGAAUGACGACAUGAGAAUGAGAUUCGGCGUCGAGAAGAGUAUGAUCGGGAUCAUGGCAUCCCUGCAUGAAGUCAGGCCACCAGGGUUGAGUCGGCAACAGCUUCAACUGGCGGCAUGACCCGAGGACGGUCGAGGCAGCACAUCGACAACUCCCCUCCCCAGGACCGACACCACAAUUGUCGACAAGAUGAUAUGUGUGGAGUAUCGACGCUUACUCCAUGUCUCAGGGCCAUUCAGUGGCCCCCUAACUUCAAGGUCUCCAACAUCGACAAGUACGAGCCCAAGCAGGACCCAGGACGCUGGUUGGCUGUCUACACCACUGCUGCCCGGGCUGCUGGGGCGACUGAAGAUGUGAUGACUGUAUAUUUGCCCAUCGUCCUUGGGCAAGAUGCGCUGCAAUGACUACGACACCUGCCCCGACACUGCAUCGACGAUUGGAGCGACUUUAGUCGGUGUUUUAUCGCCAACUUCCAAUCCCUCUCCGACAAGCCGGCGCAGCCAUGGGACCUCAAAUCCAUCAGGCACUGAGGGGAUGAGACUCUCCGGUCAUACCUCAAAAGGUUUUAGACCAUGAUAAAUCGUAUCCCCGAGGUUGUGGAAGCAGCAGUGAUCGAGGACUUCUACCGGGGAUCUAAUGACUCGGUCUUCGUCCGAGCCAUACUGCAAAAGGCGCCACUACCUCCAAGCAACUAUUCAGGGAAGCGGACCUCCACAUCACUGCCAACGAACGAGCUCAGGACCUCAUCGGAGGAGCAAAGCCUGCACCGCCAGCACCACGACGUGACACAAACCAACAACCCGACAAGCGUUGGGAGAAGAGGCCUCGCGAAGAAGUCCACGCCGCCGGACCACCCGCCUCUCUCGCUCGAGGAGCACCCCGUGGAGGAGAACGUACAUUGGACGACAUCCUCGACAUCCAAUGUCCGUACCAUAAGGACAUGCGCCACACCCUCUGGAACUGCAGAGACUUUAAGCACUCUGUCGGGAACGGCCGACCCUUCCAGCCUCUGCCACCUCCCCCACCACGAGGAGGACCCGGAGAACCUCGACAACCUCAACAGCAGGAAGGGGGAGGAGGCAGAGCAUUCCCGCGCGUCGAUGGAGAAGUCAACGUCAUCUUCGGCGGACAUGGGUCACAAGAAAGCAAGAGGCAGCAAAAGCUCAACGACCGCCAAAUACUGGUGGUGGCCACCGGUCCUCCCGCCCGUAUCGAUGGUCCGAACACCCGAUCACCUUCACUCGGGCGGAUCAGUGGCUCAACUUCAAUCACCUAGGCAAAUACCCGCUCCUCGUUGAUCCGGUGAUCCGAGAGAGCAGGGUAAAGAAGGUGUUAGUGGACAGGGGAAGCAGCAUCAACGUCACCUUCCCUCGGACACUCCAAGGCUUGGGAGUCGCACUCAAAGAGCUCCACGAGUCAGACACUCCUUUCUUUGACAUUGUGCCGACUGAAGGAGAAUACCCACUCAGACACAUCUACAUGUCGGUCACCUUCGGAACUCUGGAAAACUAUAGAACCGAGUUCCUAAGGUUCGAGGUAGCAAGCUUCGACUACGGAUACAACACUAUCAUCGGCAGGCCGGGAUUGGCGAAAUUCAUGGCCAUUCCGCACUAUACAUACAUGAUAUUGAAGAUGUCGAGACCACAAGGGAUCAUCACCGUGCGUGCUGACUUCCAAGGCGUCGCAGAAUGCUUCCGAGUGGCCAUUCAGGCGGCCCUCACCACCAAACCAUCAACGACUUCUUCCGCGUAGGCGAACUCAAAGCCUGAGGAGGACCUCGCAGUACCUGCAAACGAAGCUCAAGUCGUGACCUCUAUGCGGCCGACUGAGGAAACGAAAAGAAUCAACCUCGGGUUCGCUGAUGAACGCAAAACCGCCAUCAUCAGCUCCAGCUUGGAUGACAAAUAGGAAGGUGCGCUCGUCCAGUUUCUGCAAGAUAACCGAGACGUAUUCGCAUGGCAACCUGCGGAUAUGCUGGGAGUCCCGAGAGAACUGGCCGAGCACAAACUAAAGGUCUAUCCCCAGGCGAGGCCGAUCGGACAAAAGUUGCGUCGUUUCACGCCCGAGAAGAGAGAAGCCAUCCGUGCCGAGCUAGCUCGCUUAGUCGUAGCAGGGUUCAUUAGAGAAGUACUACAUCCUGAGUGGUUAGCAAAUCUUGUUCUUGUACUCAAAAAGAAUAAAGUGGAUUGGCGCAUGUGCGUCGACUAUACAGAUCUCAACAAACACUGUCCGAAGGAUCCCUUCGGACUUCCUAGAAUAGAUCAGGUGGUAGAUUCAACCGCCGGAUGUUCUAUACUGUCAUUCUUGGAUUGCUACUCAGGAUACCAUCAAAUCAGCUUGGCAAAAGAAGACGAGCAAAAAACAACAUUCAUUACCCCAUUUGGAGCUUUCUGCUAUACCUCCAUGCCGUUCGGCCUCAAGAACGCUGGAGCGACUUACCAGAGAGCCAUUCAAACAUGCUUAGCCGAUCACUGGGGCAAGCGGGUAGAAGCCUAUGUUGAUAAUGUGGUGAUCAAGAUAGAAAGCUCAGAAAAUUUCAUUGAAGAUUUGCAACUGGUCUUCAACAGUCUGAGGCAAUAUCGGUGGAAGCUCAAUCCAGAAAAAUGUGUCUUUGGAGUGCCAGCAGGGAAGUUGCUCAGAUUCAUUAUCAGCCACCGAGGGAUUGAAGCUAACCCGGAAAAGAUCGCGGCUAUCAUGAGGAUGGAAGCACCACGGUCACAGAAGAAAGUGCAAAGACUUACUGGAUGCAUGGUAGCUUUAAGCAGGUUCAUAUCAAGGUUAGGAGAAAAAGGCCUACCAUUCUACAAAUUGCUCAAGAAGGUGGACAAGUUCCAGUGGAUCUCAGAAGCUCAGGAAGCUCUUGAUGCACUAAAGAAGUUCCUGACCACACCGCCAGUGCUGAAGUCGCCACGCCGAGCCACACCAAACCAGCCGACAGAAGAUCUGCUGUUGUACAUCUCUUGCACGACUCACGUGGUGAGCACCGCGUUGGUAGUCGAGCGAGAAGAGGAAGGACACGCGUAUCCAGCACAACAUCCGCUCUACUUCAUCAGCGAAGUUCUGGGGCCAUCUAAGAAGAAGUAUCCUCAAGUUCAAAAACUGUUGUAUGCAGUACUUCUAACUGCACGUAAGCUCCGUCACUACUUCGACGACCACAAAGUGAUAGUAGUCACUGGGUUUCCAAUAGGGGAUAUUCUCCGCAACAAAGAAGCCAUUGGAAGAAUAGCCAAGUGGGCCUGCGAGCUGGGAGCUCACGACAACGAGUUUCGGCCUCGUACUGCAAUAAAGACUCAAGCACUAGUUGACUUCAUAUCAGAAUGGACCAAGCAACAAGUACCAGACAACCCGGAGACUGUAGAAGUAUGGCGGAUGUAUUUCGAUGGCUCGCUAAAGCUGCAUGGGGCAGGUGUAGGGAUCCUCUUCAUUACACCUGGAGGUGAGCAACUCAAAUAUGCUCUUCAGUUGUUAUUCUCAACAUCCAAUAAUGCAGCAGAAUAUGAAGCUUUGGUCCACGGAUUGAACAUUGUCAUAUCAUUAGGCAUUAAGAGGUUGAUGGUAUACGGAGAUUCACUGGUGGUCAUAAGUUAGAUAAAUAAAUAAUGGGAUUGCUCGAAUGACUCCAUGGGAAAGUACUGCACAGCCGUCCGAAAACUGGAAGACAAAUUUGAAGGGCUGGAAUUUCAUCAUGUGGAAAGAGAUCGCAACGUGGCGGCAGACGCGUUGUCGAAACUAGGAUCCAGUCGGACCCAAGUUCCACCUGGAGUUUUCGUCCAAGAGGUGCCACGCCCAAGCAUUUCCUCAAAUCAAGCAGAAGAGUGCAAUGUUUUGAGCCAGCCAGAGUCAGACUCUAAUGACUGGAGGGAGCCCAUCAUUAGAUAUAUAAAGAAUGAAGAGGAACCGGAUGACAAAGCUACAACAGAGCGCAUUGCAAGGCAGUCAGCCCACUACACCCUCAUUGGGGAUGCACUGUACAGAAGGGGCACAACAGGAGUCCUCAUGAAGUGCAUUCUUUCGGCUACUAGGAACCAACUGUUAGAUGAGAUCGACGUCGGACAGUGCGGGAUACACGCAACAUCUAGGACUCUGGUUGGGAAGGUCUUCAGGUCUGGUAUCUACUGGCCAACAGCAAAGAGUGAUGCAGCCGAGUUAGUCCAGAGGUGUGAAGCUUGCCAAUUCUUAUCAAAGCAGCAACAUUUACCAGCACAGCAACUGCAGACCAUACCCGUGACAUGGCCAUUUGCGUGCUGGGGAUUGGACAUGAUUGGACCCUUCAAGAAAGCUCAGGGAGGAUACACUCACGUGUUGGUCGCCAUUGACAAAUUCACCAAAUGGAUAGAAUACAAACCCAUGGCUUCUCUGACUUCAGCCAAGCCAGUGGAGUUCAUACAAGAUAUAAUAUUCAGGUUUGGGAUACCGAAUAGCAUCAUAACCGACCUGGGAUCCAAUUUCACUAGCUCUGAAUUCUUUGAUUUCUGCGAACAACGAAGCAUCCAGAUUAAAUAUGCAUCAGCAGCACAUCCAAGGGCUAACGGUCAGGUAGAAAGGGCUAAUGGAAUGAUACUAGAAGCACUAAGGAAGAAAGUCUUUGACAAGAAUGAAAAGUUUGCGGGAAAAUGGAUCAGAGAGUUGUCGUAUGUGGUUUGGAGCUUAAGAACUCAACCCAGUCAAGCUCUGCAUGGAAAUUGUUGCGGGCCUUCGUCCUUCGAAGAUCGUCAAAAAACGUAAUUUAACAAUGUCUUCCAAGCAUGGUUUAUAGACAGGUACCUUCGGAUUUAGGAUUAAAAGCAUAUACGAUGAGAAGGGCAUGAUCGUGACGAAGGUUGCCGUUGCUCCGAAGCUAUGCGCAAGGGAGCUUCGGCUCAAUCACGGGAAAAGGAACCGACUUAAAGGGGAAAAGGCUAUUCAGUCCUCAUAGAUUUUUCUAUAAGUCAAUAGUAAAUGUAAAGGGCAUGACUGUAAUUUCUCACAGGCUAUGUCCUGUGCCUAUAAAUAGAUGAACAGUACCCUCGUACUGUUCACGCUGACUGGUACUCGCUCGUGCGUCAUACUUGUAAUUUACCUUUUGUCAAGUCGAAGGUACAUUUGUAAUCCAGUAUUGUUUUUAUUUUUCCAUAGUAAUAAAAUGAGAAUGAAUUGACAAUGCUAUACGAUUAUUCGUGUUGUCCCUUAUAUUUCAUAUGUUUCUCCUUUUAUUAACAUAUACUGCGAUCAUGAAGGUAUGUCCUUCAUGACCUUCGUCUGAAGAUCAUUAUAUCCAAAGGGAAAUAAUGCCCUAAAGGACGAAGGGCAUUUACAUUUAACAUUCUGUGUUGCCUUGUUCUUAAUUCAUAGCACUUGAGAACAAGUCCCCAACAUUGGCGCCCACCACCGGUGAAACCUUUUCGACCACCUUCGGCAAGCACUGACCUUCGUCAUGCCGCCGAAGAAAGCUUCAGCACCAGGGACCGCUACACUGCAGCCGUUGGAUCCAAACCAAGAAACUCUUUCUCUUCGAGAGGCUCGAAGCCAGAAGAGGAAAGCCACCAGUCCAACACUCCAGGAGGAGGAGUUGGACCAAGAGAUCAGGGAUAUGGAGAUUAUCCAUCAGCAAGUACAAAGGAAGAAGGAGAAGAUGGCGUGAUUGGCUGAUCUUCAAAGGAAGAUCGACGAAGCCACUGAAGAAGUGUGUCAUCUUGCUCAAGAUGAACAAGAUCGAAGGCCCCAACACAGGGAGCUUCGUCAAGAAGGCCUAUUCAAUGAGGAUGCAUGGUAUGAUGAUUUUAAUCAUGAUGCCUUUACUUUUGAUGAUGCUUCUCCCUUGGCAGUAGAACUGCAGGCUAUCCCAUGGCCCCCAUCAUACAAGCCACCUCAGCUCCCCAUGUAUGAUGGACACUCAGAUCCAAAGCAGUUUCUAAUGAGCUACGAAGCAACUAUAUCUUUGUAUGGGGCAACACUGCAGUCAUGGCGAAGUCCUUCGUCAUGGCAGUCCGGAAUGUAGCCCAAACAUGGUAUUCCUCUCUUCGGCCAGGGACCAUCAUGUCGUGGCAGAAGCUUAAGGACAUGUUGGUUACCAGCUUCCAAGGCUUUCAAACGAAGCCGGUCACAACUCAUGCUCUGUUCCAAUGUACGCAAGACCACAAAGAAUACCUUCAGGCAUACGUACGAAGGUUCUUGCGACUAAGGGCACAAGCGCCUACAUUACCCAAUGAGAUUGUCAUUGAGGCCAUGAUUAAGGGCCUUCGGCCAGGACCUAUGGCUCAGUACUUCGCUAGGAAGCCCCCGCAAACUCUGGAGAAGCUGCUUCAGAAGAUGGAUGAGUACAUCCGAGCUGACAAUGACUUUCGCCAAAGAAGGGAGGAAGCUUACAGAUUCUCCGAAAUGACCAGGGGCUUCGGAGGAAGAAUCCAUCCGAGGCAUGUCAGGUCAAUCCAUAACUCCACUCAAAGUGAUGACAAAGGAAGUCAUUCUCAGAGGUCACAAUAUGCCUCACAAUCUUUGGGGCAACAACAAAGCUCCUUUAGGCCACCAGCUCCAAGGGGCAGAGGUGCCAGGGGCUUCGGAGGAAGGUUUGGGGAUCAGCCUAGAAAGAUCUACUGCUUAUUUUGUGGUGAGGACAAGGGCCAUACUACAAGAAUGUGCCAUGUCACCAUUCAGAAACAAAAGGAAAUAGCAGAAGCCAAAGCCCGGCAGAACCAGCCGAAGCAGGUCUUACACACUGCUUCAUGUCACUCUCCUUACAUACCAGAGUAUGUGAACAAUCAUCCUGCAGCUUCUGUCGCUUCGGCUAGCCAUUCACAGGCUUCCUGGCCACAACUCCCGCCUCCGCCACCACUACAACCGACCUAUUCCCGAAGCCAACAGCCAGAAGGGCGCCAACACUCUCAACAGCAAUGGGAAUUCAGAGAGGAAUCCAGAGCUCGCACAGUCAACAGUACUGUGCCAGAAUCAAAACACAUCUACUGAGAGAUAUCCUACCUCUGAAACAUUUUUACGUUCAUUGUCAUUUUGUUUUCAAUAAGAAACAAUCAAUGUAAACCCACUUUUAAUUUCUUGUAAUAGCUUUGUUCUUGUCAGAAUGAAAUAUAUCUUCUUCCUAGACUUACAAAGCUCAAAAAUUGCUGAAGCUCAAAAGACGUUCCUAAGGGAAUGCAGAGCUAAAAACCGUAGUGCAAGUUUCACCGAAGAUACAAAAAGUCGUUCCUAAGGAGCGCAACGUAAGUUUGCCGAAGCUACAAAAAGUCGUUCCUAAAGGAGCGCAAUGUAAGUUUUCUGCUCAAAAGUCGUUCCAAAGGGAAUGCAGAGCCAAAUACCACCAAAAUAUAAGGCGAAGCGCGAAAAGUCAACGUGAAAAAUACCACCGAAAUAGAAGGCGAAGAAGUUCAAAAGACGUUCCUAAGGGGAUGCAGAACUUACACCAAAAAAUAAGCGGUGAAGCCGAAAAAUAAACGGCAAAGAGAUUUUGAUCGUUCCUAAGGGGACACAGAGAUUGUGUGUUUUAGCGAGGGUGUGUGUCUUUGGCAUUAGCAUCAUUCUUUGCAUCAUAUCAUCGCAUCAUAUCACAAAGCAUCACAUCAUACAUCAUAUCACACCAAUGACACGAAUUGGAAACGAAGCCGAUCUUCGGAGAAUGCUUCACCAAAAUGAAAAGGUGCUAAGGCACAGAGUAAGCUGAGAAUUACAGCUUCAUCAGCUUAGAUAUGGAAGAAGAGAUCUACUGUUUACGAAGCAUUGAUAUUUUUACGAAGCUUGGAUAUUCUUUACGAAGUAUGGAUAUUGUCACGAAGCAUAAAUAUUCUUCUUUACGAAGCAUGAAAAGAAGGGAAGGUGUUUUUUCACCGAAGGCUAAAAAACGGUAUGUAUAUAAAAGUUUCAUGCAUCGCAAAGAAGUGAAUUGCAAAAUAGUGUACAUAUCAGAUUCAAAACUAUACACAUCAAAUAUUAUAGACUUAGUCCAACAAAUGUUACAUUAAUCACCUAAGAACGUUUUUACAAUAACUACUACUCUUCCUUCAGAACCUUCUCCGCAACUUCGUUAAGCAAUUUGUUGACGACUUCGUCAACAAUAUAUUCGGAUAUGUUGAUAAUUUCUAUUGCUUUCUUCAUCUCCGGGUCGACCAGAGGGUCGAACGGCUCCGAUGGAGGAGGUAAUUCAGCUGCGAUAGAAAAAAUCAAUCAGUUCGAAGCCACUAAAACAAACGACGAAGCUAAAAGCCAUUAAAUGAUACCUAUUCGUCUCUCGAGUUUUGCAGCUUUCUCAGCCUUUUUUGCUGCUUCUCAAGCGUCAUGAAUAUCUUUUUCGCUCUUCUUCAUUAUUUCGUGGGCCAUUUCUCGGCCACCAUUCUCCCAGAUGUCAGUGAAAAAUUUUCCGCCCAGAAAGCUUGCUUCGGCCGAGGGAUCCUUUGUGUCAUCCACGGAGGGCAACUUCGGCCUGGGCCAAGGUUUUAACAUGAUUACAACCCGCCUUCUCCAAGAUGGCUUUGUUUCAGCUUCGGUUUGCGCUUUUGAAGCCUCGGCAACUUUCCUUGAAGGAGUAGAGCUCAAAGUCUUUACUGUUUCUAACACAUCUAGUACAUUUGCCAUCCUUCUCCUCUUGGGAGUUGCGACAGAACCUUUUUGUGCCUUCGGCACUGUUACUACUGAUGAAGGGCUUAAAAUUUCUAGCGCUUUUGUUUCUUCAAUAUUUGGCUUUUCAGCUUUAUCUUUAUCAGCCUUCAACUCAGCCAGCUCGACUGAGGGUACCUUCGGCAUUAUAACCGGCUCUUCAGUCUUCUGUGUGGGAGGAACAGGUUCUCUUGGUUCAGCAGCUGAAGAAGCCUCCCCACCAAACUCAGGCACCACAGCUGGUUCAAUAUAACGUGGUCGGUGGGUAAGUACCUUCAUCUUUUUGGUUGUAGCCUUUGGCACAGGUUCGGCCGAGGCGACCACAGCAGUAGCUUUCCUCUUCUUCCCUUGCCCCCGCAGCGGAUAGUGGUAGUCGGGAUAGACGAAGCCAAUAGCGUCAAAAACUCUGUUCAAUCUCUUCUUUCCUCGACUCCCGAAGGCUGUGGACAAUGCAUUAUCUUCUGCCUUAGAAUAUGGUCCAAGCAGUUCAUCACUUGUCACUUCGAUGCAUUUUAACUAGUCAUCGUUUGGCUCGUCGAACUUAUCCCCAUAUCUGAAAGUAUACUUCAGCCGGACCAGCUCACCUUCGCUAGAUUCAGCGACAGUUUCCUUCAGCAUUUCCCAGUUCUCUACAAGCGGCCAUACUCUGAAGGAUAUAUGCUCUUGGAUUAAAUCUCUUGUACCAAUGAAAAAACAGACAGUACUAAAUUCCUUCUGGCAUGCUUCGGCGGCUUCGUCAAUUUCAACCUUCGGCCUUCGGAGGCCGAAGCGGGACCAAAUGGGGCGCAUAAUAACUUCCUUAAUAUCUUCUCUUGCCUUCAAGUCAUUCUUUACAUAAAACCAUUGUUGGAACUUGCUCUCCUAGGCAAGAUGAUCCAACGGGGGAGUGAAAGGAAUGCAGACAAGGUUUAAUUCGAGAUGGCAAUUGCUCUCCUAAUCCAGCCUCUCAAGGGCACAGUACGGGGGUAUUUAUAGGUGCCCAACGUCCUGAUGUAAGGACGUUUGUGCCCUCAGGCAACUGGAUUAUCCCUAGAAUAUUCCCCUAAUGGAGGGCUACAGACUGUCAUUACAUAAAAGUCAUUACAAAUCGGGCCCGUAACAUGCUUCUCCCACUCGGGGCCUGUUACGAUGGGUCACCAUCCCACGUGGGCCUCCAGGCUGGACGAGGACGUGGGAUGGCGGGACUUCAUCGCGGGCCUUCAUCUUGAGGAUAGAAGGACGAAGGGUGGCCUGCGUCGGUCAUCUAGCUUCCGUUGGUGCGUCGAGGUGAUGAGGGCCUCGUGCGAAGGGUAGCAUCUUUGCCUUCGCCCCAACAUUUUCCCUCCGAGGGACUAGUUCGACUAAGUCAUCUGGUGCCAAAGACGUCGCUAGAUGGUGGAGACGCUGCCCUCGCUAGAAGUGGUUCCGCGGGGGUUUUUGAUGUGACCGUUGACAGCCGUAGUACUGUUGGACUGCGUGUUUCCCGAAGCGUCACGUCCUGUGUAUAAAAAGGGGCAGGGUGGCGCGCGUCAGGUUCUCUUACCUUUUUGUGCGCCGCGAAACCCUAGCCUCCUUUUGAAACCGUUCGCCCGCUUGCCUACCCUCCUUGCUCCUGUUUGUCGGAGAUCUGGCCCGUGUCAAGCAGACAGCGCGCCACCACCGACGGUACGUAGCCAUGCCGUCUUCUUCCUCGUCUGCAGCAAACACACCGUCGGCCGAUUCAUCGUCCGAGGAUACCCUGAGCAAUGUGGAGGCGGCGGAGCUACAUCCGGGCGAUACAGUGGAGUUCAGCGUGUCGAGGAUUUCCUCGGUCCACGUGCAGGAUAUGCAGCAACUGGGGUAUUUUGGCAGCGGAGUUGGGCGUGUCUCGGGGGUGGAGGAAGUUCCCGAGCCUGAGGGCGAGUUAAUCGUGUUUGAGGCAUUUUUCACCACUGGCCUUCGCCUACCUGCUCAUCGCUUUGUGGCGGAGGUCCUGCAGAAAUUCGAGGUCUAGGUCCACUAGUUGACACCUAACGCCAUGGUGGCCCAGGCGAAGUAUGUCUGGGCGGCGACUUCGUAUGGCAGUCAGCCUUUUGUGGAGGUCUUCGCCAAACAUUACUGUCUGCAUUGGCAAAAAAGAAAAAUUGGACACAAGAUUGCAUAGUUUGGAUCGUGCACGUUUACACCGAGGACCGGAAAGACUUCGAUGGAAGUCAUGGAGUUAGUUCCCUGUGCCCGCAAUAAGUGGGGCAACUGGUGGGAUUUCUGGUUUUAUGUUUUCGAGAGCGAAGUCGAAAACCACCCGGGGCUCCCCGUGGCCGUGAUGUGCUCCCAUUAUUAUGUGGCGUAUCCGCAAUUUGAGGUGGCGGAGGAUGAUGAAAAUGAAGGAGCCCUUCGGUGCGCUGCCCGCAUGAGUAGUGAAAGUCGCCUAGAGGGGGGGUGAAUAGGGCGAAUCUGAAAUUUACAAACUUAAUCACAACUACAAGCCGGGUUAGCGUUAGAAAUAUAAUCAAGUCCGAGAGAGAGGGCGCAAAACAAAUCGUGAGCAAAUAAAGAGUAAGACACGAUGAUUUGUUUUACCGAGGUUCGGUUCUUGCGAACCUACUCCCCGUUGAGGAGGUCACGAAGACCGGGUCUCUUUCAACCCUUUCCCUCUCUCAAACGGUCACCUAGACCGAGUGAGCUUCUCUUCUCAAUCAAUUGGAACACAAAGUUCCCGCAAGGACCACCACACGAUUGGUGUCUCUUGCCUCAAUUACAAGUGAGUUUGAUCUAAAGAAAGAAUGAGAAAGAAAGCAAUCCAAGCGCAAGAGCUCAAAAGAACACAACAAAUCUCUCUCACUAAUCACUAAAGCCUUGUGUGGAUUGGGAGAGGAUUUGAUCACUUUGGUGUGUCUUGUAUUGAAUGCUUAGCUCUUGUAAGUAGUUGGAAGGUGGAAAACUUGGAUGACUUGAAUGUGGAGGUGGUUGGGGGUAUUUAUAGCCCCAACCACCAAACUUGACCGUUGGUGGAGGCUGCUGUCGACGGGCGCACCGGACAGUCCGGUGCGCCACCGGACAGUGUCCGGUGCGCCAGCCACGUCACCCGGCCGUUAGGGUUCGACCGUUGGAGCUCUGACUGGUGGGGUCGCCUGGCUGUCCGGUGGUGCACCGGACAGGUACUGUAGACUGUCCGGUGCGCCGUCUCGCGCGUGCCUGACUUCUGCGCUCUGGCGCGCAUUAAAUGCCUCUGCAGGUGACCGUUGGUGCUGAAGUAGCCGUUGCUCCGCUGGCACACCGGACAGUCCGGUGAAUCAUAGCGGAGUGCCCUUGGAAAUUCCCGAAGGUGAAGAGUUCGGCCUUGAGUGCCUUGGUGCACCGGACACUGUCCGGUGGCACAACGGACAGUCCGGUGCGCCAGACCAGGGCACACUUCGGUUAUCCCUUGCUCUCUUUGUUGAACCCUUUUCUCGGUCUUUUUAUUGGCUUAUUGUGAACCUUUGGCACCUGUAUAACUUAUAGACUAGAGCAAACUAGUUAGUCCAAUUAUUUGUGUUGGGCAAUUCAACCACCAAAAUCAAUUAGGAAAAUAGGUGUAAGCCUAAUUCCCUUUCAAUCUCCCCCUUUUUGGUGAUUGAUGCCAACACGAACCAAAGCAAGUAUAGAAGUGCAUAAUUGAACUAGUUUGCAUAAUUGUAAGUGCAAAGGUUUCUUAGAAUUGAGCCAAUAUAAAUUCUCAUAAGAUAUGCAUGGAUUGUUUCUUUAAUUUUUGAUAUUUUGGACCACGCUUGCACCACAUGUUUUGUUUUGCAAAUCCUUUUUGUAAAUUCUUUUCAAAGUUCUUUGCAAAUAGUCAAAGGUAAAUGAAUAAGAUUUUGAGAAGCAUUUUCAAGAUUUGAAAUUUUUCUUUGUUUCAAAUGCUUUUCCUUUGACUAAACAAAACUCCCCCUUAAUGAAAUCCUCCUCUUAGUGUUCAAGAGGGUUUUGAUGUUAAUUUUGAAGAGGGUAUACCAAUUUUGAAAUUACAACACAAAUAAGAUACCAAUUUUGAAAAUCCUUCUUUAAAAUCAAAUUGAAAGUCUAAAAUUAAUUUUGAAUUUGGUGGUGGUGCGGUCCUUUUGCUUUGGGCUAAUAUUUUCUCCCCCUUUGGCAUGAAUCGCCAAAAACGGAUACUUUAAGUGAGAUAUAAGCCCUUUAAAACUACUUUCUCCCCUUUGGCAAACAAAGUAUGAGUGAAGAUUAUACCAAAGUUGGAGAGUUGCUCGGAGCGACGGCGAAGGAUGAGUUAUGGAGUGGAGUGGAAGCCUUUUGUCUUUGUCGAAGACUCCAAUUCCCUUUCAAUACACCUAUGACUUGGUUUGAAAUCCUCUUGAAAACACAUUAGUCAUAGCAUAUAUAAAAGAGACAUGAUCAAAGGUGUAUUAAUGAGCUAUGUGUGCAAGACAUCAAAAGAAAUUCCUAGAAUCAAGAAUAUUUAGCUCAUGCCUAAGUUUGUUAAAAGUUUGUUCAUCAAGUGGCUUGGUAAAGAUAUCGGCUAAUUGAUCUUUAGUGUUAAUAUAUGCAAUCUCGAUAUCUCCCUUUUGUUGGUGAUCCCUUAAGAAAUGAUACCGAAUGGCUAUGUGUUUAGUGCGGCUAUGCUCAACGGGAUUAUCCGCCAUGCGAAUAGCACUCUCAUUAUCACAUAGAAGAGGAACUUUGGUUAAUUUGUAACCGUAGUCCCUGAGGGUUUGCCUCAUCCAAAGUAAUUGCGCGCAACAAUGGCCUGCGGCAAUGUACUCGGCUUCGGUGGUAGAAAGAGCUACGAAAUUUUGCUUCUUUGAAGCUCAAGGCACCAAGGAUCUUCCCAAGAACUGGCAAGUCCCCGAUGUGCUCUUUCUAUUAAUUUUACACCCUGCCCAAUCGGCAUCCGAAUAACCAAUUAAAUCAAAAGUGGAUCCCCUAGGAUACCAAAGCCCAAACUUAGGAGUAUAAACUAAAUAUCUCAAGAUUCGUUUUACGGUCGUAAGGUGGGCUUCCUUAGGGUCGGCUUGGAAUCUUGCACGCAUGCAUACAGAAAGCAUAAUAUCCGGUCGAGAUGCACAUAAAUAGAGUAAAGAGCCUAUCAUCGACCGGUAUUCCUUUUGAUCUACGGAUUUACCUCCCGUGUCAAGGUCGAGAUGCCCAUUGGUUCCCAUGGGUGUCUUGAUGGGCUUGGCAUCCUUCAUCCCAAACUUGUUUAGAAUGUCUUGAAUAUACUUUGUUUGGCUGAUGAAGGUGCCCUCUUGGAGUUGCUUCACUUGAAAUCCCAAGAAGUACUUCAACUCCCCCAUCAUCGACAUCUCGAAUUUCUGUGUCAUGAUCCCACUAAACUCUUCACAUGUAGCUUCAUUAGUAGAUCCAAAUAUAAUAUCAUCAACAUAAAUUUGGCAUACAAACAAAUCAUUUUCAAGUGUUUUGGUAAAGAGUGUAGGAUCCGCCUUUCUGACUUCGAAUCCAUUAGUGAUAAGGAAAUCUCUAAAGCAUUCAUACCAUGCUCUUGGGGCUUGCUUGAGCCCAUAAAGCGCCUUAGAGAGUUUAUAAACAUGGUUAGGGUACUCACUAUCUUCAAAGCCGGGAGGUUGCUCAACAUAGACCUCUUCCUUGAUUGGUCCAUUGAGGAAGGCACUUUUCACGUCCAUUUGAUAAAGCUUGAAGCCAUGGUAAGUAGCAUAGGCUAAUAAUAUACGAAUUGACUCAAGCCUAGCUACGGGUGCAUAGGUUUCACCGAAAUCCAAACCUUCGACUUGUGAAUAUCCCUUGGCCACAAGUCGGGCUUUGUUCCUUGUCACCACACCAUGCUCGUCUUGCUUGUUGCGGAACACCCACUUGGUUCCUACAACAUUUUGAUUAGGACGUGGAACCAAAUGCCAUACCUCAUUCCUAGUGAAAUUGUUGAGCUCCUCUUGCAUUGCCACCACCCAAUCCGAAUCUUGUAGUGCUUCCUCUACCCUGUGUGGCUCAAUAGAGGAAACAAAAGAGUAAUGUUCACAGAAAUGUGCAACACGAGAUCUAGUAGUUACCCCCUUAUGAAUGUCGCCGAGGAUGGUGUCGACGGUGUGAUCUCGUUGGAUUGCCUGGUGGACUCUUGGGUGUGACGGCCUUGGUUCUUCAUCCUCCUUGUCUUGAUCAUUUGUAUCUCCCCCUUGAUCAUUUCCUUCAUCUUGAGGUGGCUCAUCUUCUUGAUCUUCUCCUUCAUCAAUUUGAGCCUUAUCCUCAUUUUGAGUUGGUGGAGAUGCUUGCGUGGAGGAGGAUGGUUGAUCUUGUGUAUUUGGAGGCUCUACGGAUUCCUUAGGACACACAUCCCCAAUGGACAUGUUUCUUAGCACGAUGCAUGGAGCCUCUUCAUCACCUAUCUCAUCAAGAUCAACUUGCUCUACUUGAGAGUCGUUAGUCUCAUCAAACACAACGUCACAAGAAACUUCAACUAGUCCUGAGGACUUGUUAAAGGCUCUAUAUGCCCUUGUGUUUGAAUCAUAUCCUAGUAAAAAGCCUUCUACAGUCUUAGGAGCAAAUUUAGAUUUUCUACCUCUUUUAACAAGAAUAAAGCAUUUGCUACCAAAGACUCUAAAAUAUGAAAUAUUAGGCCUUUUACCGGUUAGGAGUUCGUAUGAUGUCUUCUUGAGGAUUCGGUGUAGAUACAACCGGUUGAUGGCGUAGCAGGCGGUGUUGACCGCCUCGGCCCAAAACCGAUCCGAGGUCUUGUAUUCAUCAAGCAUGGUUCUUGCCAUGUCCAAUAGAGUUCUAUUCUUCCUCUCCACUACACCAUUUUGUUGUGGCGUGUAGGGAGAAGAGAACUCAUGCUUGAUGCCCUCCUCCUCAAGAAAGCCUUCGAUUUGAGAGUUCUUGAACUCCGUCUCGUUGUCGCUUCUAAUUUUCUUGAUCCUUAAGCCGAACUCAUUUUGAGCCCGUCUCAAGAAUCCCUUUAAUGUCUCUUGGGUAUGAGAUUUUUCCUGCAAAAAGAACACCCAAGUGAAGCGAGAAUAAUCAUCCAUAAUAACUAGACAGUACUUACUCCCGCUGAUGCUUAUGUAAGCAAUCGGGCCGAAUAGGUCCAUGUGUAGGAGCUCGAGUGGCCUAUCAUUCGUCAUGAUGUUUUUGUGUGGAUGAUGAGCACCAACUUGCUUCCCUGCCUGACAUGCGCUACAAAUCCUGUCUUUCUCAAAAUGAACAUUUGUUAGUCCCAAAAUGUGUUCUCCCUUUAGAAGUUUGUGAAGAUUCUUCAUUCCAACAUGUGCUAGUCGGCGAUUCCAUAGCCAGCCCAUGUUAGUCUUAGCAAUUAAGCAAGUGUCGAGUUCAGCUCUAUCAAAAUCUACUAAGUAUAGCUGACCCUCUAACACUCCCUUAAAUGCUAUUGAAUCAUCACUCCUUCUAAAGACAGUAACACCUACAUCUGUGAAAAGACAGUUGUAGCCCAUUUUGCAUAAUUGAGAAACUGAAAGCAAGUUGUAGUCUAAAGAAUCUACAAGAAAAACAUUGGAAAUGGAAUAGUCAGGUGAUAUAGCAAUUUUACCCAAACCUUUAACCAAACCUUGGUUUCCAUCCUCGAAUGUGAUAGCUCGUUGGGGAUCUUGGUUUUUCUCGUAGGAGGAGAACAUUUUCUUCUCCCCUGUCAUAUGGUUUGUGCACCCACUGUCGAUGAUCCAACUUGAGCCCCCGGAUGCAUAAACCUACCAAACAAGUUUAGUUCUUGACUUUAGGUACCCAAAUGGUUUUGGGUCCUUUGGCAUUAGACACAAGAACUUUGGGUAUCCAAACACAAGUCUUUGACCCCUUGUGCUUGCCCCCAACAUACUUGGCAACUACCUUGCCGGAUUUGUUAGUUAACACAUAAGAUGCAUCAAAAGUUUUAAAUGAAAUGCUAUGUUCAUUUGAUGCACUAGGGGUUUUCUUCUUAGGCAGCUACACGGGUUGGUUGCCUAGAACUAGAUGUCUCACCCUUAUACAUAAAAGCAUGGUUAGGGCCAGAGUGAGACUUCCUAGAAUGAAUUCUCCUAAUUUUGCUCUCGGGAUAACCGGCAGGGUAUAAAAUGUAACCCUCGUUAUCCUGAGGCAUGGGAGCCUUGCCCUUAACAAAGUUGGACAAUUUCUUAGGAGGGGCAUUAAGUUUGACAUUGCCUCCCUGUUGGAAGCCAAUGCCAUCCUUAAUGCUAGGGCGUCUCCCAUUAUAAAGCAUACUACGAGCAAACUUAAAUUUUUCAUUUUCUAGUUCAUGCUCGGCAAUUUUAGCAUCUAAUUUAGCUAUAUGAUCAUUUUGUUGUUUAAUCAUGGAAAGAUGAUCAUGUAUAACAUUAACAUCAACAUCUCUACAUCUAGUGCAAAUAGUGACAUGCUCAGUGCUAGAUGUAGAGGGUUUGCAAGAAUUAAGUUCAACAAUCUUAGCACAUAAUAUAUCAUUUUUAUCUCUAAGAUCGGAAAUUGUAACAUUGCAAACAUCUAAUUCUUUAGCAUUAGCAAGCAAAUUUUCAUUUUCAUUUCUAAGGCUAGCAAGAGAAAUGUUCAAUUCUUCAAUCUUAGCAAGCAAAUCAACAUUAUCAUUUCUAAGAUUUGAAAUUGAAACAUCACAAACAUUUGAAUCAACCUUAGCUAAUAAAUUACCAUUCUCAUUUCUAAGGUUGUUAAUAGUCUCAUGGAAAGUGCUUAGCUCACUAGAUAGUUUUUCACAUUUUUCUACUUCUAGAGCAUAAGCAUUUUUAACCUUAACAUGCUUCUUAUUUUCUUUAAUAAGGAAAUCCUCUUGGGUGUCUAAGAGAUCAUCCUUCUCAUGAAUAGCACUAAUCAAUUCAUUUAAUUUUUCUUUUUGUUGCAUGUUUAGGUUGGCAAAAAGAAUGCGCAAGUUAUCCUCCUCAUUACUAGCAUUAUCCUCAUCACUAGAGGUUUCAUAUUUAGUGGAGGAUCUUGAUUUUACCUUCUUCCUUUUGUCGUCCUUUGCCAUGAGGCACUUUGUGGCCGACAUUGGGGAAGAGAAGACCCUUGGUGACGGCGAUGUUUGCGGCGUCCUCGUCGGAGGAGGAGUCGGUGGAGCUCUCGUCGGAGUCCCACUCCUGCCAAACAUGGGCAUCGCCGCCCUUCUUCUUGUAGUACUUCUUCUUCUCCUUUCUUCUCCCCUUCUUGUCGUCGCCCCUGUCACUGUCACUAGAAAUAGGACAUUUUGCAAUAAAAUGACCGGGCUUACCACAUUUGUAGCAUACUUUCUUGGAGCGGGGCUUGUAAUCCUUCCCCCUCAUUUUCUUGAGGAUUUGACGGAAGCUCUUGAUGAUGAGCGCCAUCUCCUCGUUGUCGAGCUUGGAGGCGUCGAUGGGUGUUCGACUUGAAGUAGAUUCCUCCUUCUUUUCUUCUGUCGCCUUGAAUGCGAACGGUUGUGCUUCGGACGUGGAGGGGCCGUCAAGCUCGUUGAUCUUCUUUGAGCCUUUGAUCAUCAAUUCAAAGCUCACAAAAUUCCCGAUUACUUCCUCGGGAGUCAUUAGUGUAUAUCUAGGAUUGCCACGAAUUAAUUGAACUUGAGUAGGGUUAAGAAAAACAAGUGAUCUAUGAAUAACCUUAACCAUUUCGUGGUCAUCCCAUUUCUUACUCCCGAGGUUGCGCACUUGGUUCACCAAGGUUUUGAGCCGGUUGUACAUGUCUUGUGGCUCCUCCCCUUGGCGAAGUCGGAAGCGACCAAGCUCCCCCUCGAUCGUUUCCCGCUUGGUGAUUUUGGUCACCUCGUCUCCUUCGUGCGCGGUCUUUAGCGUGUCCCAAAUCUCCUUGGCACCUUUCAACCCUUGCACUUUAUUAUACUCCUCUUGACUUAGAGAGGCGAGGAGUAUAGUUGAGGCUUGGGAGUUGAAGUGUUGGAUUUGGGCCACUUCGUCCUCAUCAUAAUCUUCAUCCCCUACAGAUGGUACCUGUACACCAAACUCAACAACAUCCCAUAUACUUUUGUGGAGUGAGGUUAGAUGAAAUCGCAUCAAAUCACUCCACCUAGCAUAAUCUUCACCAUCCAAACGUUGGUGGUUUGCCUAAUGGGACGGAAAGUAAAGGCGUAUGUUUAGGAAUGCGAGGAUAGCGUAGGGGGAUCUUACUAAACUUCUUGCGCUCAUGGCGCUUAGAAGUGACGGACGGUGCGCCGGAGCCGGAGGUGGAUGGCGAUGAGGUGUUGGUCUCGUAGUAGACCACCUUCCUCAUCUUCUUCUUCUUGUCUCCGCUCUGACGCGACUUGUGUGAAGGGGAUUCCUUUUUCCUUCCCCUUCCCUUUGUUGUAGGACUCUCCUGAUGGAGCCUUCCCGUGGCUUGUACCGGGCUUCCGCCGGUCACCAUCUCCUUCUUGGCGUGAUCUCCCGACAUCACUUCGAGCGGUUAGGCUCUAAUGAAGCACCGGGCUCUGAUACCAAUUGAAAGUCGCCUAGAGGGGGGUGAAUAGGGCGAAUCUGAAAUUUACAAACUUAAUCACAACUACAAGCCGGGUUAGCGUUAGAAAUAUAAUCAAGUCCGAGAGAGAGGUGCAAAACAAAUCGUGAGCAAAUAAAGAGUAAGACACGAUGAUUUGUUUUACCGAGGUUCGGUUCUUGCGAACCUACUCCCUGUUGAGGAGGUCACGAAGACCGGGUCUCUUUCAACCCUUUCCCUCUCUCAAACGGUCACCUAGACCGAGUGAGCUUCUCUUCUCAAUCAAUUGGAACACAAAGUUCCCACAAGGACCACCACACGAUUGGUGUCUCUUGCCUUAAUUACAAGUGAGUUUGAUCUCAAGAAAGAAUGAGAAAGAAAGCAAUCCAAGCGCAAGAGCUCAAAAGAACACAACAAAUCUCUCUCACUAAUCACUAAAGCCUUGUGUGGAUUGGGAGAGGAUUUGAUCACUUUGGUGUGUCUUGUAUUGAAUGCUUAGCUCUUGUAAGUAGUUGGAAGGUGGAAAACUUGGAUGACUUGAAUGUGGAGGUGGUUGGGGUAUUUAUAGCCCCAACCACCAAACUUGACCGUUGGUGGAGACUGCUGUCGACGGGCGCACCGGACAGUACGGUGUGCCACUGGACAGUGUCCGGUGCGCCAGCCACGUCACCCAGCCGUUAGGGUUCGACCGUUGGAGCUCUGACUGGUGGGGUCGCCUGGCUGUCCGAUGGUGCACCGGACAGGUACUGUAGACUGUCCGGUGCGUCGUCUCGCGCGUGCCUGACUUCUGCGCUCUGGCGCGCAUUAAAUGCCUCUGCAGGUGACCGUUGGCGCUGAAGUAGCCGUUGCUCCGCUGGCACACCGGAUAGUCCGGUGAAUUAUAGCGGAGUGCCCUUGGAAAUUCCUGAAGGUGAAGAGUUCGGCCUUGAGUGCCUUGGUGCACCGGACACUGUCCGGAGGCACACCGGACAGUCCGUUGCGCCAGACCAGGGCACACUUCGGUUAUCCCUUGCUCUCUUUGUUGAACCCUUUUCUCGGUCUUUUUAUUGGCUUAUUGUGAACCUUUGGCACCUGUAUAACUUAUAGACUAGAGCAAACUAGUUAGUCCAAUUAUUUGUGUUGGGCAAUUCAACCACCAAAAUCAAUUAGGAAAAUAGGUGUAAGCCUAAUUCCCUUUCAAGUAGCGGGUGUGAUUUAGUUGAGGAAUUCAUCGGCUAUGGGGUGUGGCCCUUGGCACAUGGCUGAGCGUUGGGCGAAGUAUGCCCUCGCGAGAUGCCCUCCCUAGGUAGGCAGCGAGUGCGAAGUCCAGCCUUCGCGUUGGAUCUGCGCGACCGGGAUCCAGCCGCAUUCGUUCGUGAAGUGGAGGAUGGUGCGGCGAGGAUUGUGGGGCGCUACGUGCCGAGGACAGAGGGUCUGCGGAGCUAGGAUAUCCGGGGGUCCAAUGUUAGAUUGAAUCGGGUCUUCGAAUUGAACCGCUUGCCAUACGGUGGAUAUCCCGGGGAUGACACUGUCGACCGCCGUGGGAAGAAACCGGUGGACGUGGCCGAGGAAGGGCCUUCGCAGAUGGCUGGCCCGGCCACUAAAAAGAGAAAAAUAGGUACUGUAGUGGGGGACUGGGGGUCUCUAGUAGUUUUGUUGUGGAGUUGAUGGGGACAUGUGCGGCCCCCAGGGGAAGGAUGUCUUCGCCCGAGCUCUGGGAGUCUUCGGCGCGAAUGCUAGAGGUUACUGGGGGUCGAUGGCCAAAGAAUGUUCUGAUCCCUUGGGUGGAGGGCGAAGGCAUGUCUACAUCUCGUAUGGCUUGUGGCUUGAGGAUUUUCCCUUACGGACGAAAUGUUGCUUCUAUUGUGUCGGCAGUGAUGGAGAAGGAUCGCCAAGACGCUGCACAGAAGCGCCAGUCGGUCGUGAGGAUCGGGGAUCCUUUUAGCGAGGUGAAUAGGGCGCGGGGGAGCGCGAAGUCUGCCGCCGCCGGUAGUAGCAAGUCAGCGCCGGCUGCAAAACCGGCCGCCGCUGUGCCCAAGAAGUCUUCGGCGGGCGCGAAGGCUGGUGCUUCUGGCGCGGGCAAACCACCCUUGGGUGAGCCCGCCAAGGGGCGAAAGGUGCCCUCCACGGCGCGUGCUGAUGAGGCGGGGGCGCGUGUCGCCGACUUCGACACGGUCAUCAAUGUGUCGGAUUAUCUUGGUGAGUUUUUUUAGGUCUUUAACCGAUCUCAUGGUGCAGGUCGGAAGUGGGGCAACUGGCUGUUGUCCCGCCUCCGGUGACGGACACUUCGCCAACGACGGUGGUUGGGACGAAGGGUGCCACGCAGGACCCGUGGGCCACCUUUUGCGUGAGCGUCGAGAUUCUGUCGGCCGCUGCCGCUAAGGACGUGGCGGGCUCUAUAUCCGAGCAAUUGAGGCAAGCGUCACAGCAACUGUUGCAGCAGCUGAAGCAUGUAAGUUGUGUCGUACUUUGAUGGUUGUUGUUUUUAUGAGGGUGUGGGUCUCAUGAGUUUUUGUGGUAGGCGGCCGACUUCGCCGACCACGUCGCAUCAGGUGCCUUGACUGCGGAGUUUGCUGUCGAGGUCGAGAAUCUCCGGGGCUCCGGGCGUAGCAUGCGGAUGCUGUGCGGGAGAAGUCGGCUACGGAAAGCAAAAGCCGCAGACUAAUGGAGAGGGUAACCAUUAUGGAGGUUGAGAAGGCGGAUCUCCGGCGUCAGUUGGUGGAGGAGAGAAGGGAGGCGAAUAAGGCCAUCGCUGAUGCGCAGGCUGCGCAAGCCGAGGCCAAGUUGGCGUGGGCGGAGGGCAGUGUUGCCUGCCAACGCGCCGAGGAGCUGGAGGCAAGGCUAAACGCCCUGUGCAAUCGCGUGGACAAGGCCGAGGCCUUGACACGCGCGGAGGUCGAGCGAACGCAUGCACAGUUCGUGGACGCGUACCGGGAACUGGGUGCGUGGACCGCUGCCUUCGAAUUGCCCGGCCAGGAAACGGGUCUUCGCUUCCUCGAAUGGUUGCAGAAGGAGCUUGGGGUGCUCCCGACCAUUGUGACUGGUCUCAUGUCCUUUGCCUCCCUUGUCACCUGCGAGGGGGCCAUCAAUGCUUUUUCCCGCGAGGGGUGCAGGCAUUACAAGGUCUUCAACCAGUCGGACAAAAAUUUUGAACGUGAAAUCUUCAAGGUCGAGGACCCUGUGCUGAAACAGUCGACGGGGGCGCUCUUCGACAGGAUGUGGGGACCGCACGGCCGAGAGACAGUCCGGGAGCGGUCCGACCGGGAAAUAGAUCAGGUAAAGGCCCAUUUGCAUGAUUAUAUGUGUGAGUAUGUGUGGUUUUUUCUAAAUGUGUGCUGCUGCUGCAGAUGGCACAUGCCGAAGAUGUCGAAGACCUUGCUGAUCUAGACGGCGCGCUACCCGAGGCCACGGAGAUGAACCCGGCAGCGCCAUCUGAUGCCGGCGAGGGCCCCUCGUCGACCCCCGCGCCGACUGCAGCCGACGAAGACCACGCACCAUCCCCUAUGCCGAUGUGUGAAGACGCCUCGAAGACGGUGGUCAAACCAGCCGCCGAAGACCCCGCGGCGGCGACCGAGCCUUCGCAGGUGUAGGAAUUGGGGUUGCGGAUUGCAUGUGAACUUUUGUCUGUGUGAUACUGAACCUCGGUUGCUGCGCAGGUUCCGACGUUUGGGCUUGCGCAAGCAACCACUACUGACAAUAGUGAUUUUGCGACGGAGACUGCAGUCAUGAUGCCUGCCGAUGAUAGUGUGCCUGGCUCUAUGUCUGAAUGUUUUGAGUCCGACGGUGAGUCUGGGAGUUCGUUUCCUUGGACGGAGGAGUCCUCGGAUGAAGGCUUAGAUUAUUUUGUUGCAUUGGAUAUGGCUACGGUAGAGGCUUCGCCGCGUGUGGAGGGUGCUGAGGAUUUUCCUGGUAUGAGUACUGGGUACAGGCGGCGAAGGGCGGUGGCGAAACGGAGAGUGAGUGAAUUGUCGCGAAGUGGUAGGUGUCAUCGAAGUGAGACGGAGGGUGGUCGUCUUCGCGUGGACGGAGCUAGUAAACGAGAAUUGUUAUCCUCGCCGAUUGGGGCGAGUGUGGGUGAAGGGGAGCUGCGAAAUCUUUUUGAGAGUGAGGAAUUGAGGAUAAUGUUGUUCAACUACAGGGAGAUGAGUAUCAUCCUGAAGGUUGAGCCAAUGUAAUAUAUGAUGCCCUCGCUGUGUGUAUGUAAUCGUGCUUUGUAUGAUAAGGCUGCGCGCCUUCGUUGAUCCGGCCGCGUCCGUAGGCGACUUCUGCACGGCGAGUUUGUUGGAAAAGGCUUCGAUUUUGCGCACUUAUUGUGCUAUUCCGGCUCCACCCUUAGGUGACUUUUGCACGGAGAGUCUUUUGGAAAAGACUUCGAUUUUGCGCACUUAUUGUGCUAUUCCGGCUACACCCUUAGGCGACUUUUGUACGGAGAGUCUUUUGGAAAAGACUUUGAUUUUGCGCACUUAUUGUGCUAUUCCGGCUGCACCCUUAGGCGACUUUUGCACAGAGUCUUUUAGAAAAGACUUCGAUUUUGCGCACUUAUUAUGCUAUUCCGGCUGCACCCUUAGGCGACUUUUGCACGGAGAGUCUUUUGGAAAAGACUUCGAUUAUCGCACUUGUUGUGCUAGUCCGGUUGCACCUUAGGCGACUUUUGCGCGGAGUGUCGCACGCGAGGGUAGUCGGCGUUGUCUCUCGCGGUGACUUCGGUUUAGUCGAAUGCCGAAGACCGUUGAUGCGGUCUUUUUUGAUAUAUUGCGUCUUAGUUCUUGCGGGAGAUUUUUGCAGGUAUAUUACAUGGCUCCGCCUCAUUAAAAACCUCACCCCCGGGAGGAAAAGAGUGUGGGCCGGAAUGAUAUUGUUUGGUAAAUUACAAGGGCGUGUUGGCCCUGAGGAUUCAAACAAAAAAUUUGUGGAGAUUAUCGAUAUUCCAGGAAUGCUCUAGUUCCUCGCCAGAUGGCGUAGUUGUGACACCCCAGGUGUCUAUUUCACGUUAUGUCAGAAGAUUUAUCUUAAUCUCGGAUGCUCAGUAAAAAUUUCCAUGCUCGCUCGCGUAUGUCUCUGGAUAUCCAGACUAUUCAUUCUCAUUUCAUUGAAUUCGGAGUUAUUCAGUCUCACACAAGGCCAAAUUUGGAGUCUGUUAAAAAAACUUUUGUCUCUCGGAACAAAUGCAAAUUUGGUAAUCAAUCUCGAUUUAUAAAUCUCGUCUAAAGCUCAUUUAUUCGGACUCUCGAUAGUUGUUAUGUUAUCCAAUCGGUGUCCGAAUCCGCCCUCUCGAUUGUCGGUCUACGUCCAAAUACUUAAUCCGAAUCCGCAUUGUCCUACAGAAUCUCUGUGUCAACCUCUAAUUAAUUUUUAUGAAAAUCAGCUUGCUAUCUUUAUGUCAUCAUUCAUCUCUAUCUAGCAAGUGUAUUCUAAAGAUUUCUUAAAGUUUGAACCAAAUAUUCGUGUGAAGUUAUAAAUCCUACGCUUGCUUGAGACUGCUCGAUUAAGUAAAAGAAAAUUUAUAAAUUCAACCAAGUUUUGGAAACUUUCCCAAAACACUCUAUAUCAACUCUACAACAAAAGUUAUUAAGGGUUCAUGUAGAGAAAAUGCCAAGAAAAUGUCAAGAAAAUAGCCCCAUUGCCUUAAAAUAUAAUUGAGAGCUUUAUAAUGAUACUACCUCGACCAAAGUGAAACUUUUAUUUAUAUUCAAGAUAUGAGGUUUGACCUUUAAUAGAAGUUGUAGAACCUGUGUAAUACAACAAAUUUUAUAUUUAAACCAAGCCUUGAUUCAAUCUCUAAGUAUCCCAAACAGUGCCAUCAAGACAGAAUAAAAAUCUGAUUUCGUGAUCCAAAUUCUUCUAAGUCUGAAAUCAGCGUCGUUCGGGUCGACGCCUCACGUUCCCAAAUUUUUGUUGAACAACUCAAGUUUUUCCAAAUAUAAAAGUUGUUAAUAACUAAUAGGGGCACAACAUAUUAAAAGAUGGCAUUCAUCCGAUUCCGUUUGACAUGCUUUGACAUUCAGUUUUCACAAGUUUCCACUGAUUUCUAACCGACUGACAAACCAAUUUUCGUGGGUCUAUAACUCUCUAAUCAGUGCCCGAAUCACCUCAAGUCCUGUACAUGAUUUGUAGAGUAUAUAUCAAGGAACAAAUCUUCUGCAGUGAUCCGGGUCCGAAUCCAAACAGAAAACGACAAAAGCGGUCAUCCAAUGCAUGCUCGACAGUGUGCUGCAGGGAGGCAGUGUGAACAGCAAGUCGUCAGUCUGUGACAGUGGCCACCGCCCCUAUCCUCCAAUGGUGGUGAUGCCCGCGGCUUUAUAGGCACACCAUGCUCUUCUCAGCACUCCCACGACCGCACUCGCCCCCUCUCAGCCCUCCUCUCCUCCCCUACUAACCGAUCCCUCCUGAACCACCAUUGUUGUGCUCGCAGCUCCGUGGUCGCGCCUGCUCGAGCUGUUUCUGGCCGGGCUGGGGCCGACACCGAGCAUGGCGGAUGCUGGGGAUGCCGUGGUCCGCGUCCCCUCGCUUUCCCUUGCCGCCGGCGAGCCUCUGGCCGGCUAUUUUGCUCUCCCCGUGGAGAUACCUGGAGGUAGAAGACGGAUGGACCGCGGGCACAAAUUUGACCAAGUACAGGGGGCUAACUGCGCAUCCCGUGACCCACUUCAAUAGUACCAAAAGGACCUGUUUGCUGGAAUAAAGUCGUGGCCUGUUCCAGGGACUGAAGCGCAAAGGUGAUUUUUCCCUUUUUCCGUUUCUAUUCCAGAUUUUGUGCUACAACUUUGAAAAUUCAUAGAAAAUCGUAGAAAAAUCGUAAAAUGUUAAAUGAGAACUUUUUGAAAUCCUUGUGAAAUUCUCUAUGUCGUGGAUACAUAAGUUGGAAUGUUUUAGUAGAAACUUUUGGCUGUAGAAAUUCAUUUUUGAAAAGAGGUUUAGAAAACAAAUGAACUUGCUUCUCUCCACAGUUUUAAUUUUAAAAAUCCACAAAUGAUGAAACUUGUUUUGAUAGUUAGAUGUUGUCAUACUCUAGCUAAGAAAAAUAUAAAACACAUAUGGUGUUCACUGUUUUAUUGGUGUGUUAAUUAAAACAUGUUAAAUAGAGAAAAGAAGAUUAAUUUGCUUGUUAUUUUUUGAUUUGUAGCUCUGGUGCUCCAAAUAGGUUGCAAUUUUUACAGUAGACUCUUGGUGUAAUGUUUGGUGACUCGUAAACAUUUCAUGAAUUGUUGUGCACGUAUGAUUAAGUUAGUGAUUUAACUUGUUUAAUGCACCUUAAGUAGUUUUAAAUGAUUUAAAAACAAUGUAUAGAUGCAAAAAUGUAAAAUAAUGUUCCACUGUCCUUGCAUGAUAUUAUAGUAACCUAAUAAAACUUAAUAUGGUCAUGAAUCCACAGAAAAUAAUUAGUUUUAGAUUUAACUUGCUCUCACAUGCUUUAUUGCAUUAACAAUUUGUUAUUUUUGUAUUAAAUAAAAUAUAAAACCUGGACAUGUGAAAUUUAUACAUUGGUCAUUAUUUGUUAUUACCUAUGCCUCAUAAAAAUUCCAUCUCCAAAUUAGAUAGUUUCAUAUGGUACUAAAAUGACACACAUUUUAUAAUUAUAAGAACAAUUAGUGAAAAAAUAGAAGUAAACAAGGGCAUGCAUGUUUCUUGAAAUGCUUAAGUUCCUUGAUAUAAAUUGAAACUUGAUAACUAAGUCACAAUGACUUAAACUUAAGAAUUUGUGGCACUAUCCCUCCAUGAUUUUGUUUGGUGCUUGAGUUAAGUGCUAUUAUGACCGCAAGCUGAAUUUCCUGCGUGUUCAGUUUUAGUUGUGCGAUUAAUAUAGUUAGGUAAAGUAUAUUUUCUGUAGAUAUGUGCUAUAUAAAAGUUGUAGUUCACUUAUGUAUCUAGAUUGUCCUAAAAAUGCAUGAGCUAAGAAUUGAUUGUUUAGAAGCUAUACUUUCAUAGACUCACUCAUCUAUAAAAACUCUAGGCUACAUGAGAUAGGGAGGCAACUAGGGAUGUCAACCCCUUGGCCCCGGCAGUCUCCCACAGACGGCACUCAUCCCCCACAUGGAUUAGGAAAUUAGCAACAUUAGGGGAAAGACCAUCAAAGAUGCAUCUGUUCCGGUGAUUCCACAAAAUCCAAGCGCCCAACAUAAUGAGGGAGUUUAGGCCAUCUCUGAAGGACCCCUGAAUAGCUUCAUUUGCUUGAUGCCACCACUCCAUAAAAUUAAUAUCCGUUGGUUGGGGGGCCAAACCCUGCAGCCCGAAUUGCCUUAGAAGGAGGAACCAACAUUCUCUUGAGAAAACACAAUUCACAAGCAGAUGGUCAAUUAUCUCCCUCUCCUGCUCACAUAAAGGACAUUUUUUCGGAUGAUCCAGCCCCCGCUUCUCAAGUCUAUCUGCUGUCCAACAUUUCUUUUGAGCCACCAGCCACAAGAAGAAUCGACAUUUGGGCGGAGCCCAAGUUUUCCAAAUCCGCUCAAAAGGUUCAAACUCCACAGAUCCAAUGAAGAGCCCCUCAUAAGCGGCUUUAGUCGAAUAUUUGCCAUUAGCAGCCAACCGAAAAAUAUGUUUGUCCUCCUUAUGGGGGUCCAGAUCAACAUGUGCCACCAAAUCCCAAAUACGCAGGAAGUCUGCAAGUGCACCAACAGAUAAACUCCCAGGAAUAUCAUUAAUCCAGCCAUUAUCCUCAAUCGCCUCCUGAACUGUCCUUUUGUUAAUCAGCUUCAUAGGAAUGGUCUCAAUAAGUCGAGGAGCGAUAUCCCCAAUCCGCUGCCCAUCCAACCAUCGAUCACUCCAGAAAAGGGUAGAAGCUCCAUUUCCAAUCUCAGAAUACAAGGCUACUUGUAGAAACUCUCAAAUUUUUUUUGGGGUAUGCAAAGGCAGGGAUGCCCAGGGCCGACCUGGCUCAGUUUUUUGCAGCCAAGCCCAACGCAUUUUAAGGGCCCAACUCAGUUCAGUGAUGCUGAAAAUACCCAGCCCACCAAGCUCUCGAGGUCUGCACACACUGCCCCAGGCCACUGCACAAUGGCCACCCAUGGCCACCCAUGGCACACACUGCCCCAGGCCACUGCUAGUUUCGUUCAGGCCGCCGUAAGGCGUCAGUUGUACCCCGGUCUAUUUUAGACCUUGUUUAUUUCUUCUUUUAAUAUAAUGAUACGUAGCUCUCCUGCGUGUUCGAGAAAAAAAAGCUAUACUUUUCACAAGUUCAGUAACUGAAUCUGUCCAAAUUCUGAACAGAUUUCAGAGAUUGCAAUGGUUGCUUAAUUUAAUGUUGAAAUCAGUUAUUUGUGGUCACAAUAAAGUUGUAGAUAACUCUAUUAACUUUCUUGUGUUAAAAUUUGACAGCCAUAAGUCUGAUCGUUUAGAAGUUAUGCUUCUCGCAAGUUUAGUAACUGAAUCUGUCCAAUUCCUGUACAAAUUUCAGAGGUCAUAUUUUUUGCUUAAGUUCAGUUUAGAAUCAGUCCUUGUCAAUUAUAAGAAAGUUGUAGAUAAUGUUCUUAUCUUACUUGUGUUAAAUUUUUAUGACAAUAAACCUGAUAGUUUGAGAGUUAUGAAUUGUAUAAGAAGAUUAUUGUAUUCUGUCCACUAUCAGAACAGAUUUAGAAAACUGAAUUGUUUUAUUCAGUUCAGCAUAGAAUCAAUUCUUGAUGAUUAUAAAAGUAUGUAGUGCUUUUGCUAAGCUUUUCAAAAAGUCUUGGAUCACUCUUUUUGAUGAUCUGAAGAUUAAGUUAUGGAUGUUUAAAGUCUGAAGACUGAAUCUGUCCAAUCCUGGACAGCAAAGCCUUCUAGUGUCUUUUGUCCUUAGUUAAAUAUUGAAUCACCUUGACAUGUUUAUAAAUGAUAUGUAGACAAUUUUAUUACCUUUCCAGAAAGUCCAGGAUCAAUUUGUUUGGAUGUCUGAACCUGUAGUUGUGAAUUUUUGAAGGCAUAAGUCUGAAUCUGCCUAAAUCUGAAUAAAGCUCUCGUUUAUCAUUAUUUAACCUUAUUGUCUAAUCAUGCUAAGGUAAAAAUAUCAAAGUUGUAGAACACUUUUUAAACUUUCCAGAAAAUCCUAGUUUGAUAAUUUUGAACUAAUAUUUGAAGAGUUAUGAUUAAAACAAAAACUAAUGUGUUGUUGUCCUAAAUGUGUUAGAAGUGAUUGAUUGAUCUACUCUAUUGUGUUUGACUUGAGUGAUUGCUUGCUUGUUUUGGUUUUAAGUGAACAUGAGUAAUAAUAAUAAGUGACUAGUAUAAUUGGGGUUAUAUAUAAGUAAGUAGUACACAUCUCACUAAGUUAGUGAACUAAAUUGAUUAAGGUCUAAUAAGUAGCUUAGCUUAAUCAACAGUUAGCAAGUGCAGCUAUAUAUUAGGUAAACAAAAUGAAUAAUGUCUUGUCUUUGGCUUUCUGCUAAUACUACUAAGUAACCAACAUCAUUAAAGUAGUAUAAUAUGUAAUUGUGAUUAAACUAUCUCCUCAUGUGUGUUCUCUGGGAUGUAUGCUUGUAGUAGAAUGAUGUGGAUGAUUGUAAAACCCGAUUAAGUAAAUAUUCCCUAUUGAAGUAAGUUUGUCUGCAUGACGUUUAGGAGUCACAGUGAAUGUACGUGUUCCUAAGUAGUUUCAUAAUAUAAUAACUAAGAAAGGAUAAAGGUGAACGUAGUAAAUGCGUGUACUUGUGAUGUCGUAGUCGUGUUGCGUAAAUAAAUAAAAUGUUGUCGUCUUUUUAUUGGUGUUAAUGUUGAACGCCGAUAACGUGUGGAUAUCUAAUGCUAACGUGUGAUGGUUUAUGGUGUCUUCUAAAUUAAUGUUAGUUCGCUACUGUGUCUUUGUAUAUCUUGUGAUAUUCUUCAUCAUAUUCAUACAUAUGCAUCUUGCAUCUCAUUUAGGACCGAGAGAUGAUGAUCGUGUGAGAUAAAGGACGUGGAGUGGAGCUGACUCCAAGAUGGUGUUAGCAGACACCUUGAAUAUGGACAGACAGAACAAAGGCCAGGAUAGGAGAUGCUCGCCAAGCGAUUACCUCCCCCAGCAAACACUAUCUAAGUGUUGAAUUGAGGGCAAGCCCCGGUUUUAUGCAUAAUCGUUAUAUAUGCUAUUUUACUACACUUAAUGUUUGUAGGCUUGUACCGUGCACUUAAGUGUAGGAGUUGCCUGAAAGCCUAGUUGCAUGAACUCAGGAUUCCUUUUGAGAUGAAUACUAGUAUGCUAGGUCGAGUAGCUGCUAUGCUAAAUCAGGAUCUCGGUAGAAGUCGAGUGAUUUUUCUAGCACUCGCGCGAGGUCAGGAAUUGGUUGUAUCCAUUUUGAUAACAGAAUGAUGAUGGUCUGCGGACACAGAUCCAUGGGGAUGCGUUGUCUAUGAGACAAAAUUGGAAUAAGGAUUAACGUGUGGAUACCUGUGUCAAGCGUUUGAAUGUACUAAACACAUGUCGGGAAAAAUGGUAACCAGUAAACCUAGUACCUGAGUGAAGCCGGGCGCGGACUUUAUCCCUCACGCGACCUGAGACUGGGUCUCCCAUUCUAGAUAUGGUGGGUACAAGUGCAGCCACUCCACGACGGCAGUCGGGGUCAGUGGAGCAUUGUAUGCCAAGGCGGUGAGGCCUGGCCGCGAACGGGGAAUCGAUGGGGACGGUUGACAUGUGUGGGGUCGGAGUACCCUGACAUGUCGUGUGUUUAGGUUUACCUUGCAAGGUUAAAACUCGAUUCGAAUCGUCUGCUUCUCGCAGCUAAUGAGACUGCUUGAUCCAUUGUACUGCAUUGAGUAAAAAGUGGAAAUGAGACACUGGCAAAAGAUGUUGAUUGAUAUAAUGUUUGAUACCAUGUAUGAAUAGAUAGGUUCUCAUCUAGUCUAAAAUUAUUAUUCUAGAACUUGAAAAGCUAAAACUUGAUUUUAGACUCAGCUAGUGCUUUUGGCAAACCAAACCCCUCAGCCAAACAGCUGCAUGUCUAGAGGUAGAGGAGUAGACUCCUCACACAGGGUAAGUGUAACGCCCUGAAUUUGGGGGUAGAAUUUUUUCUUCUUUUCUCUCACCAAAUUCGGGCGUUACUCUCUUUUCUCUUUCCCCGUUUGCUCCUUCUUCCCAAUUUCAAACCAGUAUAGCGGCAGGUGUCCAUGUCAUGUAUAAGCCAAAACCUAAGUGUCAUGGGUGUUGCAUCAUGCCGAAGCGCAUUUCUUUGUCUGAUGAUGAGUGUUCGUCUCGUUCCGUUCCAGAUUUCGGUUCGCGAUUUAAUUCCAUUUAGUGGUUCGCGCUCGUCGUGGGUUUUCGAUCCGCGAAGUGGCCCGGCCCAGCCCAACCUAGUCCAGCCCAGCCCAACCGGCCCGGCCCGCCCCGGCCUGCGCGCCCCUAGCGCCCAAACCCCCCAUGCGCCCCCCCUCCCCUCUCUCUCUCUCUCAUUUGGAUCUCCCGCGCAACAACCUCUCCUCUCCCUCUUCCACCUCUCUCUCCUCGUGGUGCCCUAGGAUUUGGAGACGGCGAUCACCGGAUUUUGGACCCCGAGGUGAGCUCCCCUCCCCUUCUCCUCUCUCUCUCCCUCUCCCUCCUCUUCUUCCCCCCGCGCGCGCCCUCCCUCUCCCACUGCCCGCGCGCGACCCCGUCCUCGCCCCUACCCGGCGCGGCGGCGCCCGUCCCUGCCCCUGCCCGGUGCGGCGGCGCCCGACCCCGUCCCCGCCCCCGGCCCCGGCGGCGCUCGGCCCCGCCCGGCUGCCCUCCCCGGUGGCGCUCGCCCGCCCGCCCCCUCCCGCGGCGGCGCUUGGCGCCCGUCCCCGGCCUCCCCUCGUGCGGCCCCUCCCCCUCCCUCCCCGGCGGCGCUCGCCUGCCCGGCCUCCCUCGCGGCGGCGCUCGGCCCCGCGCGGCGCUCCCCGCCCAUCCCGGCCCCGCGGCGGCGCCCGCCCGUCCCGGCCCCGUGGCGGCGCCCGUCCGCCCCCGCUCCUCCCCUGCUCGCGGCCCCGGCGCGGCCUCCGGCCCCCGGCGUGUCCCCGACGCGGCCCCGGCCGGCUCGGCCGCCCCUAGCCGGUUCAACCGCCCCCCUGGCCGGUUCAACCGCCCCGGCCCAGGCUCGGCCGCCCGUUCCCCCGUCCCGGCCUCGCCCGACCGUAUCUUCGCUCGCCCGCGCUCGCGGUGAUUAUUCGUUAAUUAGCGUGUUGCGUCGCGCGCUUCGCCGCGCGACGGAUUUGUCUAAAUUCAGAUUCUAUCUUGUGUUGCGUCGUGCGCUUCGUCGCGCGACGAUCCAUUUUUGUUUCAGGUUGUUUAAGGUGUAACGCCGCGUGUGUAUUCACGCGACGUUCCACUUUGGACUCAGUUUAGUCAACGUAUGCCGUCGUGCGCUUCGUCGCGCGACGCUUAACGUCUCCUCGUAACUAAGGCGAAGUGUCUCGUUGCGUGCUCGGUCGCACGACGAGUCGUUAACUUCUUAAUUUGUUUUAGAGAGCUUUGUCGCGCGUCUCGCCGCGCGACCAUCUUUUUAUUUAUCUCCACCUGCUUAUAAUAAUUAGACAUGAAACAUGACUUUACUUUACGCUAAACAUAGUGUCUACAUCAAAUUUCCUUCCAUUAAGCGAGUGGUUAAUUUAUAAUCAUGUAACGUGAUCGUUUCUCGACUGUCUUUUCCUCUUUCUCUCUUAACCGUACUCGCGAGCCCGCGUGGAACGUCUGUUUACUUAUUGCAUUCUAUUGUAUGGUGUACUGUUCUUUUGUAUUAAAUGUGUGGAUGUAUGUAUGUUUGUGCUCGCAUAGAGAACGAUCCGGUUGAAGAGCCCGAGGAACUCGCAGGAGAAGCCCCUGAGUAGCAGUCGGUUGGUGGAGGCAAGUGUCCCUUGACCUAUCUCUGUCCUAUUCAUUAUUUAAUUCACCUCCCGCUUUACACAUUUAUGCCUAAGGAUUGACUAGCUUUUGUUAUCCAUGUCCUUGUCUACCUAUUUGGGUUGGAUUAUUAUUGUUUAGCUUUAUGCUAUUGCUUAACUCUAAUCAAUGAACAUGAUGAGAAUAUCUAUGAUACGCUGUUUUCCCUUCUCUUAUUAUGAUGUUAUACUUGUGGUCAUCAAGGGGGCUCGAGCGGUUUCUCGAGUGCCUCUCCGUAAGGACCUAUUCUAUGGAUGACCGCCCGGGAAAACAGUGCAACCAUGAGGGUGGAAUGGGAUGCCCUUAGCUGAAUAAUUAGAGGAUCCGGGGUGUAGUUCACUUAGCCGUCGUGCCGUCAAUGGGGCUCGGUGUAUGCGGCUCGCUCUGCCAUGUUUGGGUUCGCCCCUUGGGGAGGAGUGUGGUGCAUUUAGGAAACCUAACGGGUGGCUACAGCCCCGGGGAAUCUCUGUAAAGGCUACGUAGUGAUGCCCUGCUGGGUCACCUUGGUAGUGAUCAAUGGAGAGUCAUGAUCUCCGGGCAGAAUGGGAAUCACGGCUUGUGGGUAAAGUGCACAACCUCUACAGAGUGUUUGAAAACUGAUAUAUCAGCCGUGCUCGCGGUUAUGAGCGGCCAAGGGAGCUCCAGUGAUUAGUGGUACUUGAUCAGAGAUACUUUGGUUUACAGGUGGUUAUGAGAUUGAUGGUUUUGGUUAUGACUAUGGUGCUGGUAAGUGGUACUCUUUCCGUUUGGAAAGGAGUACGUUUGGGUUAAUAACUUGGGUUAAUGCUAAAACUUGGCUUUUCUACUAGUAAGUAAUAAUCUGACCAACUAAAAGCAACUGCUUGACUUAUCCCCACAUACAGCUAGUCCACUAUAGCCAAACAGGAUACUUGCUGAGUAUGUUGAUGUGUACUCACCCUUGCUCUACACACCAAACCCCCCCAUCCCCAGGUUGUCAGCAUUGCAACCACUGCUCAGGCGAAGAUGAAGCUGUGGAAGGAGACUUCCAGGAAUUCCAAGACUACGACGAGUUCUAGGUGUGGGUUAGCGGCAACCCCCAGUCGGCUGCCUGUGAAGGCCGCGUUUAUCUGCGUUUCUUUUCCGCAAUUUGAUUUAUUGUAAGGACUAUAUGGACGUCUCAGACGUAUGAGGUAAUCGACUAUUUCCCUUCUUAUUACUAUUUUGAGCACUGUGUGAUGAUGUCCAUGUUAUGUAACUGCUGUGUACGUGAAUAACUGAUCCUGGCACGUACAUGGUUCGCAUUCGGUUUGCCUUCUAAAACCGGGUGUGGCAUAAGUGGUAUCAAAGCCGUGCUGACUGUAGGACCGCUAACCUAGAGUAGAAUGGUCGUUCUAAGGACUAUAGACCUCUGUCCCUGCCUUGACUUUGAUAUCCCUUCAAAAGUUGGUCAUACCGACCAAACCUAUGUUCUACUAUAUAUUAUACCUUGCUGAAAAUCAUGUUUUAUUCUAAUCCUUCAUUCACUUAUGAUUCAUUAUUUGCUGGUCAUAUUGAUUCUGUUCUCACCCUUUUGCUUGCGAUGUCUUUUGUAGAUGGCUCGACUUAGACACACUGCACGAAAGUCAGUCAUCCCCUUCUUACCCUCCCGCCUUGCUGAGCGUCCGCUUCGCCGUCCCGUGGCCGGACAGUCCAGCCACUUGGAGAGACUGCACCACCGCCUGCGUGAGGAGCAGGAACAUCGACGACAGGAGCAGCAGGGCUCUUCUUUCUCGCUCCACCAGGAGAUAGAGUCCGUGAGGAGCUGCUCCCCUGUGCUUCCUCUGGAGGCGCCCCCUGCACCACCACUGGGCGCCCCAGCUUCUGGAGUAGCUGCUGGAGGAGACCCAGACGACGGAGGUGGCGACGACAGCUCGAGCCACGACACCGACUUCUCUGCUAACCCUGAGCUGGAAGGAUGGGUUGCUCGACCCAUCACUCGCGACGCUGCUCGCGGGUGUCACUUCCACGAUGCGCUCGACACCCUGCUACGUCGGGCAUUUAACCGGCAUACUUGGUCCGUCGAGUAUCGCUGUGUGGUCUACCAGCAUAGUCGCGGGGUCUACCCGGACCGCUGGGAGGCAACCUGCUUGGUGCGCUGCCCGGAGAACAGUCUCCAGGGUGUGGAGGCCUGCUCAGAGCACUAUUCUAUUUCUGAGCGGGACUCAGCUGAGGCAGCCAUGCAAGAUGCUGCACGGCGUGCGCUUUCGCACUACUGCUCGGUUUUCGGUGGGGCAGCUGACGGUCUUGACCUGAAGUAUUACCCCCGCCGUCCAUCUGGCAGCACAGGAGGCGUGAUUGUCUCACCUGUCGGUGAGGGCAAUCCUAGGUUGAGCAGCACAGUCAACCUAGCCGCCGUGCUAAACACGGAGCUGGACCAUGCAUUAGACGAGCUGAGUAGGGCUCGUGCUGAGAUCGCCCUGCUGCGGGCUGAGCGCGCGGAACGUCGUCACCUGGACGGUGGUUCCCCCGCUCCUGUCGGGACUCAGCACCCGUACCGCUCACCUCAGCGUGGACACCGGUCUUAUGGCAAUCCCGCCUGCAAGACCAAGAUAACUCUAGAACCAUAGCUCGUUAGAGUUGGAUCUUGUAAUUAAUACGAAAUAUAUACGUAGAAGCUACAGUCUUAGCGUUAGUCUCGCUCUUAGUUAGUCUCAGUUAGACAGGGUAGUUUGCUAUAUCCUGUGCAUUUAUGUUUGUCAUGAUGAACUAUGUUUGGUUUGGAUCUUUGUAAUGACUGUCACCAGAGUGUGGGUAUCCCCUGCAUUUUGGUUUAUCUAUUAUGUUAAUGGAGUUAGUUAUAUAGUUGGGAAGCCUUUUUAUUCCACUUUCCUCUUUACCUGAGAAGCUGUGUGGUCUGUGUUGGAGAUCAGUGAAGAUGCUCAUCUGUUCAGUGCUGUUGAAGAAUUCCAUUCUCUUUUCUUAUGCUACAAGACUUGCCAGAUCAGUUCUGAUGUGUGGUUGCAUUCUGCAGAUGUCAGAGAACAGGCGCAGAGGAGGAAGGCGUGCUCAGCAGGAGCGAGCCGCUCAACAGGAUGAGGUGCCCCAGCAGCAGCACCUGCCGCCCCCACCCCCGAUGUCCAUCGAGCAGAUGUUUCUGAUGCAGACUAAGGCAGUUCAAGCCAACGGUCAGACUUUGGCCGCCAUUCAGCAGCAGCAGCAACAACAACAGCAGACCCCACCUCAGCCUCAGAUGCCUCAGAUGCCUAGAGAUAAGCGUGCUGAAUUCAUGAGAGGUCAUCCACCAACGUUUGCUCAUUCUUCUGACCCCAUGGAUGCUGAAGACUGGCUGCGCACUGUGGAGCGGGAGUUGCAUACCGCUCAGUGCGAUGAUAGGGAGAAGGUUCUGUAUGGUCCCCGUCUGUUGAGAGGAGCAGCCCAGUCAUGGUGGGAGUCUUACCUUGCCACCCAUGCCCACCCUGACGCCAUCACUUGGGAAGAGUUCAGAGGUAGUUUUCGUCAGUACCAUGUCCCUGCAGGUCUGAUGACAGUGAAGAAGGAGGAGUUCCUGGCCCUCAAGCAAGGGCCAUUGUCUGUCAGUGAGUACCGAGACAGGUUUCUGCAAUUGUCUCACUAUGCUCCUGAAGAUGUCAACACUGACGCGAAGCGACAGUACCGUUUCCUGAGAGGCUUGGUUGACCCUCUACAGUACCAACUGAUGAAUCACACCUUCCCGACAUUCCAGCACCUGAUUGACAGAGCAAUCAUGACAGAGAGGAAGCGUAAGGAGAUGGAAGAUCGUAAGCGCAAGAUCAGUGGACCCCAGCCUGGAAGCAACAAUCGUCCUCGUUUCUCAGGCAAUCAACCUCAGCAGUUCAGGCAGAACCAGCGUCCACCUCAGCAGCAUCAGCAGUUCCAAAGGCAGUAUUCUCAGCAUCAGUACCAGAACCGUCAGAGCAAUCAGUCAGGAGGUCAGUUUCAAAGGCAGAAUCAGCAGGCACCUCGCCUUCCUGCCCCAACAGCCCAGCAGAACAGUUAGGCAGCACCAGCUCAGGUUGGAAACAGAGCAUGUUUCCACUGUGGAGAGCAAGGCCAUUGGGUGAUGCAAUGUCCGAAGAAGGCAGCCCAGCAGCAGUCAGGCCCCAAUGCCCCAGCAAAGCAGAAUGUGCCUCAGUCUAGAGCAGGCAAUCGCUCUCAGCCGCGCUAUAAUCAUGGAAGGCUGAACCACUUGGAGGCUGAAGCAGUUCAGGAGACCCCCGGCAUGAUAGUAGGUAUGUUCCCAGUCGACUCCCAUAUUGCAGAAGUGUUAUUUGAUACUGGAGCAAUGCAUUCUUUCAUUACUGCAUCAUGGGUAGAAGCACAUAAUCUUCCAAUUACUACCAUGUCAACCCCCAUUCAAAUUGACUCAGCCGGUGGUAGAAUUCGAGCCGAUAGCAUUUGUUUGAAUAUAAGUGUGGAAAUAAGGGGGAUAGCGUUUCCCGCCAAUCUCAUAGUAAUGGGUACUCAGGGAAUAGAUGUCAUCCUAGGGAUGAAUUGGCUAGAUAAGUACCAGGCAGUUAUCAGUUGUGAUAAAAGGACCAUCAAGUUGGUGUCCCCACUAGGAGAGGAAGUGGUGACCGAGUUAGUCCCGCCUGAGCCAAAGAAAGGAAGUUGUUAUCAGAUAGCUGUUGAUAGCAGUGAAGCAGACCCAAUUGAGAGUAUCAAGGUUGUGUCCGAGUUCCCAGAUGUGUUUCCGAAGGACUUACCGGGUAUGCCACCAGAGCGGAAAGUUGAGUUUGCCAUAGAGCUUCUUCCUGGAACCGCCCCUAUCUUUAAGAGAGCUUACAGAAUAUCCGGACCAGAGUUGGUUGAACUUAAGGAGCAGAUUGAUGAGCUGUCAGAGAAAGGUUACAUUCGGCCAAGUACCUUGCCUUGGGCCGCCCCUGUCCUAUUUGUGGAGAAGAAAGAUGGCACCAAAAGGAUGUGUAUUGAUUACCGAGCUUUGAAUGAAGUCACGAUCAAGAACAAGUAUCCUUUGCCCAGAAUAGAAGAUCUGUUCGACCAGUUGAGAGGAGCCAGUGUGUUCUCCAAGAUUGAUCUGAGGUCAGGUUAUCAUCAGCUCAGGAUCCGACCUUCGGACAUUCCGAAGACGGCAUUCAUUUCCAAGUAUGGGUUGUAUGAGUUCACAGUGAUGUCUUUUGGUUUGACCAAUGCGCCAACGUUCUUCAUGAACUUGAUGAACAGUGUAUUCAUAGAUUACCUUGAUAAGUUUGUGGUGGUAUUCAUUGAUGACAUUCUGGUUUAUUCUCAAAGCGAAGAAGAGCAUGCAGAUCAUUUGAGGAUGGUAUUGCAGAGAUUGCGAGAGCACCAGUUGUAUGCAAAGUUGAGCAAGUGUGAGUUCUGGAUCAGUGAAGUCCUGUUCUUGGGUCACAUAAUCAACAAGGAAGGAUUGGCUGUGGAUCCGAAGAAAGUGGCAGACAUUUUGAACUGGAAAGCGCCAACAGAUGCUAGAGGAAUCAAGAGCUUCAUUGGAAUGGCCGGGUAUUAUCGGCGAUUCAUUGAAGGGUUUUCGAAGAUUGCGAAACCAAUGACAGUGUUGCUAGGCAACAAAGUUGAGUUCAAGUGGACCCAGAAAUGCCAAGAGGCCUUUGAAGCGCUGAAAGAGAAGUUGACUACUGCGCCUGUCCUAGUCUUGCCUGAUGUGCACAAGCCCUUCUCGGUGUAUUGCGAUGCUUGUUACACAGGUUUGGGAUGCGUGUUGAUGCAAGAGGGAAGAGUUGUGGCUUACUCGUCCCGACAGCUAAAGGUUCAUGAGAAGAAUUACCCAAUCCAUGAUCUAGAGUUGGCAGCAGUGGUUCACGCACUGAAGUCAUGGAGGCACUAUCUGUAUGGACAGAAAUGCGAUGUUUACACAGACCACAAGAGUCUGAAGUACAUAUUCACUCAGUCAGAGUUGAACAUGAGGCAACAAAGAUGGUUAGAGUUGAUCAAAGAUUAUGAGUUGGAGAUUCAUUACCAUCCAGGCAAAGCAAACGUAGUGGCAGAUGCUUUGAGCAGAAAGAGUCAAGUCAAUCUGAUGGCCGCUCGUCCGAUGCCUUAUGAGUUGGCCAAAGAGUUUGACAGGUUGAGUCUCGGAUUUCUGAACAAUUCUCGAGGAGUCACAGUUGAGUUGGAACCUACCUUGGAGCGCGAAAUCAAAGAAGCGCAGAAGAAUGAUGAGAAAAUCAGUGAGAUCCGGCGACUGAUUCGAGAUGGCAGAGGCAAAGAUUUUCGAGAGGAUGCAGAAGGCGUGAUAUGGUUCAAAGACCGCUUGUGUGUUCCCAAUGUCCAGUCCAUUCGGGAGUUGAUUCUCAAGGAAGCUCAUGAGACAGCCUAUUCGAUUCACCCUGGCAGUGAGAAGAUGUAUCAGGAUCUGAAGAAGAAAUUCUGGUGGUACGGAAUGAAGAGGGAAAUUGCAGAGCAUGUGGCUAUGUGCGAUAGUUGCCGAAGAAUUAAGGCAGAGCACCAGAGACCUGCUGGAUUGUUGCAACCAUUGCAGAUCCCUCAGUGGAAAUGGGAUGAAAUUGGUAUGGAUUUCAUAGUCGGAUUGCCUCGCACUCGAGCCGGCUACGAUUCCAUUUGGGUAGUGGUGGACCGCUUGACCAAGUCAGCCCACUUCAUACCUGUCAAGACCAACUACAGCAGUGCAGUAUUGGCAGAGUUGUAUAUGUCUCGGAUCGUUUGUCUUCAUGGUGUGCCAAAGAAGAUAGUGUCAGACAGAGGAACGCAGUUCACCUCUCAUUUCUGGCAGCAGUUGCAUGAAGCUUUGGGCACGCAUCUGAACUUCAGUUCAGCUUAUCAUCCGCACACAGAUGGCCAGACCGAAAGGACCAAUCAAAUUCUUGAAGACAUGUUGAGAGCCUGUGCGUUGCAAGAUCAGUCCGGAUGGGACAAGAGAUUGCCUUAUGCGGAGUUUUCCUAUAACAACAGUUACCAGGCCAGUUUGAAGAUGUCACCAUUUCAGGCGCUCUAUGGAAGGAGUUGUAGAACUCCGUUGCAAUGGGAUCAGCCUGGAGAAAAGCAAGUGUUUGGGCCAGACAUUUUGCUUGAAGCCGAAGAGAACAUCAAGAUGGUCCGAGAGAAUCUGAAGAUAGCGCAAUCAAGACAGCGAAGCUAUGCAGACACAAGAAGAAGAGAGCUGAGUUUCGAAGUCGGAGACUUUGUUUACCUGAAAGUGUCACCGAUCAGAGGAGUCAGAAGGUUCGGAGUGAAAGGCAAACUAGCACCCCGCUACAUUGGUCCGUAUCAGAUUCUUGCAAGACGUGGAGAAGUGGCCUAUCAGCUCAGUUUGCCCGAGAAUUUGUCUGCUGUGCAUGAUGUCUUUCAUGUGUCUCAGUUGAAGAAGUGCUUGCGUGUGCCAGAAGAACAGUUGCCAGUGGAAGGUCUUGAAGUCCAGGAGGACUUGACUUACGUUGAGAAGCCAGUGCAAAUCCUUGAGGUUGCAGACAGAGUCACCCGAAGGAAGACCAUCAGAAUGUGCAAAGUCAAAUGGAAUCAUCACUCUGAGGAAGAAGCAACCUGGGAGCGUGAAGAUGAUCUGAUGGCUAAAUACCCUCAGCUCUUUGCUAGCCAACCCUGAAUCUCGAGGGCGAGAUUCUUUUAAGGGGGAUAGGUUUGUAACGCCCUGAAUUUGGGGGUAGAAUUUUUUCUUCUUUUCUCUCACCAAAUUCGGGCGUUACUCUCUUUUCUCUUUCCCCGUUUGCUCCUUCUUCCCAAUUUCAAACUAGUAUAGCGGCAGGUGUCCGUGUCAUGUAUAAGCCAAAACCUAAGUGUCAUGGGUGUUGCAUCAUGCCGAAGCGCAUUUCUUUGUCUGAUGAUGAGUGUUCGUCUCGUUCCGUUCCGGAUUUCGGUUCACGAUUUAAUUCCAUUUAGUGGUCCGCGCUCGUCGUGGGUUUUCGAUCCGCGAAGUGGCCCGGCCCAGCCCAACCUAGUCCAGCCCAGCCCAACCCGCCCGGCCCGCCCCGGCCUGCGCGCCCCUGGCGCCCAAACCCCCCAUGCGCCCCCCUCCCCUCUCUCUCUCUCAUUUGGAUCUCCCGCGCAACAACCUCUCCUCUCCCUCUUCCACCUCUCUCUCCCUGUGGUGCCCUAGGAUUUGGAGACGGCGAUCACCGGAUUUUGGACCCCGAGGUGAGCUCCCCUCCCCUUCUCCUCCCUCUCUCCCUCUCCCUCCUCUUCUUCCCCCGCGCGCGCCCUCCCUCUCCCCCUGCCCGCGCACGACCCCGUCCCCGCCCCUGCCCGGCGCGGCGGCGCCCGUCCCCGCCCCUGCCCGGUGCGGCGGCGCCCGACCCCGUCCCCGCCCCCGGCCCCGGCGGCGCUCGGCCCCGCCCGGCUGCCCUCCCCGGUGGCGCUCGCCCGCCCGCCCCCUCCCGCGGCGGCGCUCGGCGCCCGUCCCCGGCCUCUCCUCGCGCGGCCCCUCCCCCUCCCUCCCCGGCGGCGCUCGCCCGCCCGGCCUCCCUCGCGGCGGCGCUCGGCCCCGCGCAGCGCUCCCCGCCCGUCCCGGCCCCGCGGCGGCGCCUGCCCGUCCCGGCCCCGUGGCGGCGCCCGUCCGCCCCCGCUCCUCCCCUGCUCGCGCCCGGCGCGGCCUCGGCGCGGCCUCCGGCCCCCGGCGUGUCCCCGGCGUGGCCCCGGCCAGCUCGGCCGCCCCUGGCCGGUUCAACCGCCCCGGCCCAGGCUCGGCCGCCCGUUCCCCCGUCCCGGCCUCGCCCGACCGUAUCUUCGCUCGCCCACGCUCGCGGUGAUUAUUCGUUAAUUAGCGUGUUGCGUCGCGCGCUUCGCCGCGCGACGGAUUUGUCUAAAUUCAGAUUCUAUCUUGUGUUGCGUCGUGCGCUUCGUCACGCGACGAUCCAUUUUUGUUUCAGGUUGUUUAAGGUGUAACGCCGCGUGUGUAUUCACGCGAUGUUCCACUUUGGACUUAGUUUAGUCGACGUAUGCCGUCGUGCGCUUCGUCGCGCGAUGCUUAACGUCUCCUCGUAACUAAGGCGAAGUGUCUCGUUGCGUGCUCGGUCGCACGACGAGUCGUUAACUUCUUAAUUUGUUUUAGAGAGCUUUGUCGCGCGUCUCGCCGCGCGACCAUCUUUUUAUUUAUCUCCACCUGCUUAUAAUAAUUAGACAUGAAACAUGACUUUACUUUACGCUAAACAUAGUGUCUACAUCAAAUUUCCUUCCAUUAAGCGAGUGGUUAAUUUAUAAUCAUGUAACGUGAUCGUUUCUCGACUGUCUUUUCCUCUUUCUCUCUUAACCGUACUCGCGAGCCCGCGUGGAACGUCUGUUUACUUAUUGCAUUCUAUUGUAUGGUGUACUGUUCUUUUGUAUUAAAUGUGUGGAUGUAUGUAUGUUUGCGCUCGCAUAGAGAACGAUCCGGUUGAAGAGCCCGAGGAACUCGCAGGAGAAGCCCCUGAGCAGCAGUCGUUUGGUGGAGGCAAGUGUCCCUUGACCUAUCUCUGUCCUAUUCAUUAUUUAAUUCACCUCCCGCUUUACACAUUUAGCUUUAUGCUAUUGCUUAACUCUAAUCAAUGAACAUGAUGAGAAUAUCUAUGAUACGCUGUUUUCCCUUCUCUUAUUAUGAUGUUAUACUUGUGGUCAUCAAGGGGGCUCGAGCGGUUUCUCGAGUGCCUCUCCGUAAGGACCUGUUCUAUGGAUGACCGCCCGGGAAAACAGUGCAACCAUGAGGGUGGAAUGGGAUGCCCUUAGCUGAAUAAUUAGAGGAUCUGGGGUGUAGUUCACUUAGCCGUCGUGCCGUCAAUGGGGCUCGGUGUAUGCGGCUCGCUCUGCCAAGUUUGGGUUCGCCCCUUGGGGAGGAGUGCGGUGCAUUUAGGAAACCUAACGGGUGGCUACAGCCCCGGGGAAUCUCUGUAAAGGCUACGUAGUGAUGCCCUGCUGGGUCACCUUGGUAGUGAUCAAUGGAGAGUCAUGAUCUCCGGGCAGAAUGGGAAUCACGGCUUGUGGGUAAAGUGCACAACCUCUGCAGAGUGUUUGAAAACUGAUAUAUCAGCCGUGCUCGCGGUUAUGAGCGGCCAAGGGAGCUCCAGUGAUUAGUGGUACUUGAUCAGAGAUACUUUGGUUUACAGGUGGUUAUGAGAUUGAUGGUUUUGGUUAUGACUAUGGUGCUGGUAAGUGGUACUCUUUCCGUUUGGAAAGGAGUACGUUUGGGUUAAUAACUUGGGUUAAUGCUAAAACUUGGCUUUUCUACUAGUAAGUAAUAAUUUGACCAACUAAAAGCAACUGCUUGACUUAUCCCCACAUACAGCUAGUCCACUACAGCCAAACAGGAUACUUGCUGAGUAUGUUGAUGUGUACUCACCCUUGCUCUACACACCAAACCCCCCAUCCCCAGGUUGUCAGCAUUGCAACCACUGCUCAGGCGAAGAUGAAGCUGUGGAAGGAGACUUCCAGGAAUUCCAAGACUACGACGAGUUCUAGGUGUGGGUUAGCGGCAACCCCCAGUCGGCUGCCUGUGAAGGCCGCGUUUAUCUGCGCUUCUUUUCCGCACUUUGAUUUAUUGUAAGGACUAUAUGGACGUCUCAGACGUAUGAGGUAAUCGACUAUUUCCCUUCUUAUUACUAUUUUGAGCACUGUGUGAUGAUGUCCAUGUUAUGUAACUGCUGUGUACGUGAAUAACUGAUCCUGGCACGUACAUGGUUCGCAUUCGGUUUGCCUUCUAAAACCGGGUGUGGCAGUAACUCAGCCUUGCUUGUGGCAUAAUUUUUGCAGGUACCUCCUUGAUUUGGUUGAUGGUAUGACUUGGCCUUCAUCGCUGCCACCGAGAUAGAUGGUCGAGUGGGUUACUACUUCCACAGAAGAGGACCAGGAGGAGUAGUGUGGCCAGGCUUCGCCAUGUUACUCGGUUUUCUCCGUUAGUUAUUUCUGCUGCAUUAAAAACUAUUGUUGCUAUUUCUGAAACUCCGAUAAUGUAAUUACUUCUGAUACUUAUUAAAUUUGUGGUAUUAUGCUUUAUUGUAUUUCUCUGUGCCUCACCUUCGAGUGAGCUAGUGGUAUUCGAUCCAGGAUAAGUGGCUUUAUCGGACUAGAUCUGAGGGACUGACGGGUUAUUCUGAUUUAAGUGUGUUGCUGCCUUUAAGGGUGCGACUUGGGCACUUAAGCUGGAAUAAUUCGGUCGGUUCCGCCACAGCUGGUAUCGGAGUGAAUACCAUUACAGAGAAGUCAAUAAGUCAUGAUUACCAACCUUUUCUAAAGUAAAAUUUGCUUAGAAACCAAUGUUGGAUAGAUCGUCAGGACGAUAAAGAUAGACCUAGGACGUGAAGCCUUAGGAAAUAGAUGGGUAGCUAGGUGGCUAUUUAUAUAGGCCAUAAAGGCUACUAAUACUAUUAAUAGGGAUGUUGUAGAAGCACCCGGAAAAAAAUUAGUUAGGUCUAAGAAGACGACUAGAAUGAGCAUGCAUCAUGAUUGUCGCAUUAUAAAUGUCUCUUGUGCAUCAACAUGCUUCUCUCACCUUUAUUCCAAUAAUAAUAACUUGUGAAUAAUGUGAUGUACUGCUAUGUUAGGAACUAUAAGAAAUGCCUUACCUCAUGUCAGAUUGGUAAGCCUUGUUAGGUCGUGUUAUGUGUUUCUCUUGUCUUGCUAUCUAGGUGGUAUUGUAAUUGUUCAACCCUUUUUGCUAAUAAAAAAAAUGUGUUGCCUGUUUUGCCAAAAAAAAGGACCCCCUCCAAACAACCUCAAGUUUAGCCAGUAAAAUCUCCAAAAAAAUUUAUCACAUGCUUGUGUUAGUGUUUUUCGAACCCUUGCGUGUUUACGCUUGAAGUUACACCUGCACAACUUAUAGACCCCAUGGUUUGACCCCCUAAAUCGACUAAAGCUUCCUUGUGCACUUGUUGUGUAAAAAAAAUUUGUUUGGUGUCUAGUCGCAUAAACCCUAUCAAGGCCAUGUUCCUCUCCAUAGAUCCUAUCCCGAAUCUUCAUAACCUUUCUGGUGCUCAUCCUAAUCGAUCUCAUGCGACUACCUCUCUUUUCGCCUGGAUCUAGUAAUCUUUUCCUUUGUGAAUUAUGUUGUGGCUUAUCAUCCGAAUCUCUGGAUCCUUCAUUGGUUCUGCCCCGUAUCUGGUUAUCUGUUAUAACCCGUUCUCAAGUAUCAGAUGUUGAUCUUGCCUAAAUCUCUCGUUUCUGGUCAUUCUCAUACCCCCUUCUCUGAGGAUCAUGAUGCUGCUUUAUCGAUUUUAUCUCUAAACAGUGUAUCCAUUUGGUUCAAUGAAUUAUGUUGAUUGACUUUAGUUCUCUCAUGUCUUAGCAAGUUGUCAAUCUUGAUCCCUUGGUUGGUUCCUUCUCAUAUCAAAUCUCGUACUAAUCUCCAUGUUGAUCAUAAAAUAGUUCUCUGAGUUGAAGAAAAUUCUCAUGUGAUGCUCUUUUGCCAACAAUCUCUGCUUCAACUCCGAUCACAUUCUUAUUUCUGAGCCAUACUCUUAUGGGCUCCAUCUAUCUAUGUUAUGUGGAUUUCUUAUUGGUUACGUUUGGUAAUGGUAUUAUGACUAACGACUGAUGGUGCCAUGACGAAACCGAGACCCUACUAUGGUGCACACAUGGUUGGGCUGCUCGGCACGCGCUGGUAUCGCAGUUAAUAGUAGUGAUCCAUUUCGAGACUAUACUGAUGUGCUAUCUUUUGUGAACACUCUCUCAGAGUGAUCACUACAUUUUGUCUCAACAUAUCGUGAUAUUCUAUCCGAAUCUAUCUUCAGUAUCUUUUCAGAUACCAUCUCAUGAAUUUGCAUCUAUCAUCGGUCUGGGAGUUACAUGCUUCUCCACCCUUGAAGAUCCUCAUUCGAAUCUCGGGACGAGAUUCCUUUAAGGGGGGAAGGCUGUGACACCCCAGGUGUCUAUUUCGCGUUAUGUCGGAAGAUUUAUCUUAAUCUCGGAUGCUCAGUAAAAAUUCCUAUGCUCGCUCGCGUAUGUCUCUGGAUAUCCAGACUAUUCAUUCUCAUUUCAUUGAAUUCGGAGUUAUUCAGUCUCACAGAAGGCCAAAUUUGGAGUCUGUUAAAAAAACUUUUGUCUCUCGGAACAAAUGCAAAUUCGGUAAUCAAUCUCGAUUUAUAAAUCUCGUCUAAAGCUCAUUUAUUCGGACAAUCGAUAGUUGUUAUGUUAUCCAAUCGGUGUCCAAAUCUGCCCUCUCGAUUGUCGGUCUACGUCCAAAUACUUAAUCUGAAUCCGCAUUGUCCUACAGAAUCUCUGUGUCAACCUCUAAUUAAUUUUUAUGAAAAUCAGCUUGUUAUCUUUAUGUCAUCAUUCAUCUCUAUCUAGCAAGUGUAUUCUAAAGAUUUCUUAAAGUUUGAACCAAAUAUUCGUGUGAAGUUAUAAAUCCUACGCUUGCUUGAGACUGCUCGAUUAAGUAAAAGAAAAUUUAUAAAUUCAACCAAGUUAUGGAAACUUUCCAAAAACACUCUAUAUCAACUCUACAACAAAAGUUAUUAAGGGUUCAUGCAGAGAAAAUGCCAAGAAAAUGUCAAGAAAAUAGUCCCAUUGCCUUAAAAUAUAAUUGAGAGCUUUAUAAUGAUACUACCUUGACCAAAGUGAAACUUUUAUUUAUAUUCAAGAUAUGAGGUUUGACCUUUAAUAAAAGUUGUAGAACCUGUGUAAUACAACAAACUUUAUAUUUAAACCAAGCCUUGAUUCAAUCUCUAAGUAUCCCAAACAGUGCCAUCAAGACAGAAUAAAAAUCUGAUUUCGUGAUUCAAAUUCUUCUAAGUCUGAAAUCAGCGUCGUUCGGGUCGACGUCUCGCGUUCCCAAAUUUUUGUUGAACAACUCAAGUUUUUCCAAAUAUAAAAGUUGUUAAUAACUAAUAGGGGCACAACAUAUUAAAAGAUGGCAUUCAUCCGAUUCCGUUUGACAUGCUUUGACAUUCAGUUUUCACAAGUUUCCACUGAUUUCUAACCGACUGACAAACCAAUUUUCGUGGGUCUAUAACUCUCUAACCAGUGCCCAAAUAACCUCAAGUCUUGUACACGAUUUGUAGAGUAUACAUCAAGAAACAAAUCUUCUGCAGUGAUCUGGGUCCGAAUCCAAACAGAAAACGACAAAAGCGGUCAUCCAAUGCGUGCUCGACAGUGUGCUGCAGGGAGGCAGCGUGAACAGCAAGUCGUCAGUCUGUGACAGUUGCCACCGCCCUUAUCCUCCAAUGGUGGUGAUGCCCGCGGCUUUAUAGGCACACCAUGCUCUUCUCAGCACUCCCACGACCGCACUCGCCCCCUCUCAGCCCUCCUCUCCUCCCCUACCAACCGGUCCCUCCCGAACCACCAUUGUUGUGCUCGCAGCUCCAUGGUCGCGCCUGCUCGAGCUGUUUCUGGCCGGGCUGAGGCCGACACCGAGCAUGGCGGAUGCUGGGGAUGCUGUGGUCCGCGUCCCCUCGCUUUCCUUUGCCACCGGCGAGCCUCUGGCCGGCUAUUUUGCUCUCCCCGUGGAGAUACCUGGAGGUAGAAUAAGGAUGGACCGCGGGCACAAAUUUGACCAAGUGCAGGGGGCUAACUGCGCAUCCCGUGACCCACUUCAAUAGUACCAAAAGGACCCGUUUGCUGGAAUAAAGUCGUGGCCUGUUCCAGGGACUGAAGCGCAAAGGUGAUUUUUCCCUUUUUCCGUUUCUAUUCCAGAUUUUGUGCUGCAACUUUGAAAAUUCAUAGAAAACCGUAGAAAAAUCGUAAAAUGUUAAAUGAGAACUUUUUGGAAUCCUUGUGAAAUUCUCUAUGUCGUGGAUACAUAAGUUGGAAUGUUUUAGUAGAAACUUUUGGCUGUAGAAAUUCAUUUUUGAAAAGAGGUUUAGAAAACAAAUGAACUUGCUUCUCUCCACAGUUUUAAUUUUAAGAAUCCAAAAAUGAUGAAACUUAUUUUGAUAGUUAGAUAAUGUCAUACUCUAGCGAAGAAAAAUAUAAAACACAUAUGGUGUUCACUGUUUUAUUGGUGUGUUAAUUAAAACAUGUUAAAUAGAGAAAAGAAGAUUAAUUUGCUUGUUAUUUUUUGAUCAGUAGCUCGGGUGCUCCAAAUAGGUUGAAAUGUUUACAGUAGACUCUUGGUGUGAUGUUUGGUGACUGGUAAAAAUUUCAUGAAUUGUUGUGCACGUAUGAUUAAGUUAGUGAUUUAACUUGUUUAAUGCACCUUAAGUAGUUUUAAAUGAUUUAAAAAUAAUGUAUAGAUGCAAAAAUGUAAAAUGAUGUUCCACUGUCCUUGCAUGAUAUUAUAGUAGCCUAAUAAAACUUAAUAUGGUCAUGAAUCCACAGAAAAUAAUUAUUUUUAGAUUUAACUUGCUCUCACAUGCUUUAUUGCAUUAACAAUUUGUUAUUUUUGUAUUAAAUAAAAUAUAAAACAUGGACAUGUGAAAUUUAUACAUUUGUCAUGAUUUGUUAUUACCUAUGCCUCAUAAAAAUUCUAGCUCCAAAUUAGAUAGUUUCAUAUGGUACUAAAAUGACACACAUUUUAUAAUUAUAAGAAUAAUUAGUGAAAAAUUAGAAGUAAACAAGGGCAUGCAUGUUUCUUGAAAUGCUUAAGUGCCUUGAUAUAAAUUGAAACUUGAUAACUAAAUCACAAUGACUUAAACUUGAGAAUUUGUGGCACUAUCCCUCCAUGAUUUUGUUUGGUGCUUGAGUUAAGUGCUAUUAUGACCGCAAGCUGAAUUUCCUGCGUGUUCAGUUUUAGUUGUGCGAUUAAUAUAGUUAAGUAAAGUUUAUUUUCUGUAGAUAUGUGCUUUAUAAAAGUUGUAGUUCACUUAUGUAUCUAGAUUGUCCUAAAAAUGCAUGAGCUAAGAAUUGAUUGUUUAGAAGCUAUACUUUUCACAAGUUCAGUAACUGAAUCUGUCCAAAUUCUGAACAGAUUCCAGAGAUUGUAAUGGUUGCUUAAUUUAAUGUUGAAAUCAGUUAUUUAUGGUCACAAUAAAGUUGUAGAUAACUCUAUUAACUUUCUUGUGUUAAAAUUUGACAGUCAUAAGUCUGAUCGUUUAGAAGUUAUGCUUUUCGCAAGUUUAGUAACUGAAUCUGUCCAAUUCUUGUACAGAUUUCAGAGGUCAUAUGUUUUCCUUAAGUUCAGUUUAGAAUCAGUCCUUGUCAAUUAUAAUAAAGUUGUAGAUAAUGUUCUUAUCUUACUUGUGUUAAAUUUUUAUGACAAUAAACCUGAUAGUUUGAGAGUUAUUAAUUGUAUAAGAAGAUUGUUGUAUUCUGUCCACUGUCAGAACAGAUUUAGAAAACUGAAUUGUUUUAUUCAGUUCAGCAUAGAAUCAAUUCUUGGUGAUUAUAAAAGUAUGUAUUGCUUUUGCUAAGCUUUUCAAAAAGUCUUGGAUCACUCUUUUUGAUGAUCUGAAGAUUAAGUUAUGGAUGUUUAAAGUCUGAAGACUGAAUCUGUCCAAUCCUGGACAGGAAAGCCUUCUAGUGUCUUUUGUCCUUAGUUAAAUAUUGAAUCACCUUGAGAUGUUUAUAAAUGAUAUGAAGACAAUUUUAUUACCUUUUCAGAAAGUCCAGGAUCAAUUUGUUUGGAUGUCUGAACCUGUAGUUGUGAAUUUUUGAAGGCAUAAGUCUGAAUCUGCCUAAAUCUGAAUAAAGUUGUUGUUUAUCAUUAUUUAACCUUAUUAAGUGUCUAAUCAUGCUGAGGUAAAAAUAUCAAAGUUGUAGAACACUUUUUAAACUUUCCAGAAAAUCCUAGUUUGAUAAUUUUGAACUAAUAUUUGAAGAGUUAUGAUUAAAACAAAAACUAAUGUGCUGUUGUCCUAAAUGUGUUAGAAGUGAUUGAUUGCUCUACUCUAUUGUGUUUGACUUGAGUGAUUGCUUGCUUGUUUUGGUUUAAGUGAACAUGAGUAAUAAUAAUAAGUGACUAGUAUAAUUGGGGUUAUAUAUAAGUAAGUAGUACACAUCUCACUAAGUUAGUGAACUAAAUUGAUUAAGGUCUAAUAAGUAGCUUAGCUUAAUCAACAGUUAGCAAGUGCAGCUAUAUAUUAGGUAAACAAAAUGAAUAAUGUCUUGUCUUUGGCUUUCUUUUAAUACUACUAAGUAACCAACAUCAUUAAAGUAGUAUAAUAUGUAAUUGUGAUUAAACUAUCUCCUCAUGUGUGUUCUCUGGGAUGUAUGCUUGUAGUAGAAUGAUGUGGAUGAUUAUAAAACCCGAUUAAGUAAAUAUUCCCUAUUGAAGUAAGUUUGUCUGCUUGACGUUUAGGAGUCACAAUGAAUGUACGCGUGCCUAAGUAGUUUCAUAAUAUAAUAACUAAGAAAGGAUAAAGGUGAACGUAGUAAAUGCGUGUACUUGUGAUGUCGUAGUCGUGUUGCGUAAAUAAAUAAAAGGUUGUCGUCUUUUUAUUGGUGUUAAUGUUGAACGCCGAUAACGUGUGGAUAUCUAAUGCUAACGUGUGAUGGUUUACGGUGUCUUCUAAAUUAAUGUUAGUUCGCUAUUGUGUCUUUGUAUAUCUUGUGGUAUUCUUCAUCAUAUUCAUACAUAUGCAUCUUGCAUCUCAUUUAGGACCGAGAGAUGAUGAUCGUCUGAGAUAAAGGACAUGGAGUGGAGCUGACUCCAAGAUGGUGUUGGCAGACACCUUGAAUAUGGACAGACAGAACAAAGGCCAGGAUAGGAGAUGCUCACCAAGCGAGUACCUCCCCCAGCAAACACUAUCUAAGUGUUGAAUUGAAGGCAAGCCCCGGUUUUAUGCAUAACCGUUAUAUAUGCUAUUUUACUACACUUAAUGUUUGUAGGCUUGUACCGUGCACUUAAGUGUAGGAGUUGCCUGAAACCCUAGUUGCAUGAACUCAGGAUUCCUUUUGAGAUGAAUACUAGUAUGCUAGGUCGAGUAGCUGUUAUGCUAAAUCUGGAUCUCGGUAGAAGUCAAGUGAUUUUUCUAGCACUCGCGCGAGGUCAGGAAUUGGUUGUAUCCAUUUUGAUAACAGAAUGAUGAUGGUCUGUGGACACGGAUCCAUAGGGAUGCGUUGUCUAUGAGACAAAAUUGGAAUAAGGAUUAACGUGCGGAUACUUGUGUCAAGCGUUUGAAUGUACUAAACACAUGUCGGGAAAAAUGGUAACCGGUAAACCUAGUACCUGAGUGAAGCCGGGCGCGGACUUUAUCCCUCACGCGACCUGAGACUGGGUCUCCCAUUCUAGAUAUGGUGGGUACAAGUGCGGCCACUACACGACGGUAGUCGAGGUCAGUGGAGCAUUGUAUGCCAAGGCGGUGAGGCCUGGCCGCGAACGGGGAAUCGAUGGGGACGGUUGACAUGUGUGGGGUCGGAGUACCCUCACAUGUCGUGUGUUUAGGUUUACCAUGCAAGGUUAAAACUCGAUUCGAAUCGUCUGCUUCUCGCAGCUAAUGAGACUGCUUGAUCCAUUGUACUGCAUUGAGUAAAAAGUGGAAAUGAGACACUGGCAAAAGAUGUUGAUUGAUAUAAUGUUUGAUACCAUGUAUGAAUAGAUAGGUUCUCAUCUAGUCUAAAAUUAUUAUUCUAGAACUUGAAAAGCUAAAACUUGAUUUUAGACUCAGCUAGUGCUUUUGGCAAACCAAACCCCUCAGCCAAACAGCUGCAUGUCUAGAGGUAGAGGAGUAGACUCCUCACACCGGGUAAGUCUAGCUGAGUAUUAGUAUACUCAGCCUUGCUUGUGGCAUAAUUUUUGUAGGUACCUCCUUGAUUUGGUUGAUGGUGUGACUUGGCCUUCAUCCCUGCCACCGGGAUAGAUGGUCGAGUGGGUUACUGCUUCCGCAGGAGAGGACCAGGAGGAGUAGUGUGGCCAGGCUUCGCCAUGUUACUCGGUUUUCUCCGUUAGUUAUUUCCGCUGCAUUAAAAACUAUUGUUGCUAUUUCUGAAACUCUGAUAAUGUAAUUACUUAUGAUGCUUAUUAAAUUUGUGGUAUUAUGCUUUAUUGUAUUUCUUUGUGCCUCACCUUCGAGUGAGCUAGUGGUAUUCGAUCCUGGAUAAGUGGCUGCCUUUAAUAGUGUGACUUGGGCACUUAAGCUGGAAUAAUUCGUGUGGUUCUGCCACAGUAGUUAGCCUGUACGCGCUGGGGGACGCCUUCGUCUUGACGAUGAAUGGACCCUCCCACUUUGGCUCCAGCUUGCCCCGUGACUCUGUCCGGGUUGUGCGGACGAGUACGAGGUCCCCUUCGUCGAAUUCUCUUGGGACGAAAGCGUGGUCGCGCCAGGCCUUCGUUUGAGCUUGGUAUUUGUUGAGGGCCUGCAGGGCAAAGACACAGUCUCCGUUGAUGAGGUCUUUGGAGGUUGGUUCGUCGACGUCGGGGAUGGCUGAAGCGCUUGUCUGUGGUGACCCAUGCUUUAUUUCCUGCGGGGUCAUGGCCUCCGAUCCAUAUAGUAGGCGAAAGGGAGUGAAUUCGGUCGCCCGGCACUCGGUCAUGUUCAGCGCCCAAACUGCUUCAGGUAGCAGGUCGGCCCAUUUACCCUUCUUGUCAUCGAGAAGCAUUUUCUUGAUGGCGGUGAAGAUCUUGCCAUUGGCGCGCUCGACGACGCCGUUAGAUUGUGGGUGAUAUACUGAGGCGAAGGCAAGCUUGGUGCCAAUGAAGAAGCAGAAGUCCCUGAAGUCCUGGCUGUCAAACUGUUUGCCAUUGUCGACUGUUAGCUCGGACGGGACUCCGAAUCGGCAAACAAUGUUUUGCCAGAAGAAUUUCUGGGCAGUCUUUGACGUUAUUGUGGAUACUGCUCUUGCCUCAAUCCACUUGGUAAAAUACUGGACGACGACGAAGGUGAACUUGAGGUUCCCUUGGGCCAUGGGCAGUGGCCCGACAAUGUCUAGCCCCCACCGUUGAAGUGGCCAUGUGUGGGCGAUCAGCUUUGUGAAUUACGAAGGGUUGCCCGAAUGGAGGGAAAACUUCUGGCUGGCCUCACAUGACCUCGUGACUCUAUUCGCGGUGCAGAUUAUGGCGGGCCAGUAGAAACCUUGACGGAUCACAGGCAGCGAGGGCCCUAGGCCCUGAGUGGGAGCCACAAGUUCCGCUGUGGACUUCGCACAGGAUCUGGAGGCCUUCGGUUUCUGUGACACAUUUGAGCAUGGGUUGACUGAUCCCUUUCUUGUAUAGCUGGCCCUCAAUAAGUGUAAAAUCUCGGCUUCGGUGUUUUAGGCGCUUGGCCUCGUUGACAUCACCUGGAUGGUAAUAUCCUUGCAAGAACAAGGUUAUUGGGGCCCUCCAGUCUUCGGUCAUGAUAAGGUUGAUGAUGCGAUGGCCCUCGGCGUUGUUGGUUAUUUGCAGACCCUCAGGAUUGCGGACGGCUGGUGUGCCGAUGACGUGGUAGAACACGUUGGAGGGCAGGGCUUCGCCUCUGGCUGCUGCCUUGGCUAAUGCGUCGGCCUCUUUGUUCCUUGCGCGGUCCACAUGAUGCAGGGUGAAACCCUUGAAUUGUUUUUCAAGACUGCGAACGGCCGAUAGAUACUGCAUAAGUGCAGGGUCUUUUGCUGAAUAAUUUUUUUCGACCUAGCCAGCAACGACUUUGGAGUCUGUCUUGAUUAUGCAGGUGGUUACGCCGAGUGCUUUCAGCUUGCAAAGGCCCAGGAUAACGGCUUCAUACUCUGCUAUGUUGUUUGUGCACCUAUCGGAUUCUAGAGCGAAGCUAAGGCGUGCUGUGUAUCUGUGCUUGACGCCGGUGGGUGAUGUGAUAAUUGCAGCCACGCCUGCCCCCACAUGGCACCAUGCGCCAUCACAGUGGAUGGUCCACACCUUCUCUGAAGGCUCUUCUUGCUGCCGUGCCGGCCCUGUCCAAUCGACGAUGAAGUCUGCGAGGACUUGCGACUUGAUUGCUGUCCUGGGCUCGAAGGUGAUAUGGUAUUCGGAGAGUUCGGCUGCCCAUUUGGCGAUACGGACGGACGCCUCCGGAUUUCUGAAUAAUUUGCCGAGUCCCUUGUUCGAGGUGACCUGCACCUUGAACGCUUCGAAGUAGUGGUGCAACUUGCGCAAUUCCAUGACGACUACGUAGGCAAUUUUUUCCAACUCCAUCAUGUUGCAUUUGGAAGUCGGGAGGACUUCGGAGACGUAAUAAACUGGACACUGCCGAGUUGUGCCCUCUCUGUCCUGCUCUUGGACCAACGCUGCGCUGACUGCGUGUGGCGAAGCUGCGACGUAGAGCAACAGAGGUAGCGAGGGGUCGGGGCUUGUAAGGGUUGCCAACUCUAACAGGUGCUGCUUGAGUGAUGCGAAGGUUGUUGCUUGCUCUGGUCCCCAUGCGAAGUCUCUUGCGCAGCGUAGCGUCUUGAGGAAAGGUAGGCUUCGCUCUACGGAUUUGGAAAUGAAUCUGUUGAGGGCGGCCAAUCUGCUUGUCAGACGCUGGACGUCUCUGGCUGACUGCGGAGGCGUCAUGUUGAUGAUAGCCUGGAUCUUUGUCGGGUUGGCCUCGAUUCCGCGGUGCGACACCAGGUAGCCUAGUAUUUUCCCCUGGCGAACUCCGAAGACACACUUCUCAGGGUUGAGGCGAAGUCGUGCGUCCCGCAUGUUCAUGAAUGUUUCUGCGAGGUCGGUCAGGUGAUCCUCUUUGUUUUUGCUGGCGACAACGAUGUCGUACACAUACGUGAAAAUGUUUCGGCCUACUUGGCUCUCGAGCACCGUCUUGGUGAGGCGAGAGAAGGUUGACCCAGCGUUCUUUAGUCCCUCCGGCAUUCUGAUGAAGCAAUACGUGUCGAAGGGCGUGAUGAAACUGGUACUGGCCUUGUCUUCCUCCUUCAUGUAUAUUUGGUGGUAGCCGGAGAAACAGUCGAGGAGCGACAUGACUUCGCAUCCGGCUGCACUAUCGACUAUCUUGUCGAUCUGUGGAAGCGGGAAAUUAUCCUUGGGGCAGGCUUUAUUGAGGCUUGUGAAGUCGAUGCACAUCCGCCAUUUGCCACUUUUCAUUUGCACCAUGACUACGUUAGCGAGCCACGUAGGGUAGGCGACUAGUUCGAUGAAAUUAGCCUCAAGCAGGUGGUGUACUUUGGCUUUGGCCGCUUCUGUUUUUUCAUCAGACAUUUUGCGCAGCCUCUGCUUCUUUGGUCGCACCGAAGGGUCAAUGCCCAGACUGUGCUCGAUGAUAGUGCGACUGACUCCGACCAGGUCGAGGGCAGACCAGGCGAAGACGUCCUUAUUUCUAGAAAGAUAGGAGAUGAGUCUCUCCUCGUCUUGCGAAGUCAGGUCUUCGCUUAUGAGGAUGGUUUGCUUGGGCGUGGCUGGGUCAAGGGGGACCGUCUUCGUUUCGUCGUUGCUCUGCAGCUGUGCCUUUUCAAGCUCGUUGACGGUUGGACGGGUGGCCUCGGGAACUUCACGCUGCGUUGUAAGGCAGUGUACAUUCUGUUGCCCUAGAAUGAAGUCUCUUUCAAUGUUGGACGCAGUCUGCUGGUUGCCAUAGUCUGAGAUCACGCCUUGCGGACCCGGGAUUUUCAUGCAAAGGUAAAGUCCGUGAAUGGCCGCUUCAAACUUAUUGAUGGAGCCCCGACCCAUUAUGGCGUUGUACGGGUAUACCAUGUCGACAAUGUCAAAGGUGACCUGCUCACUUCGUGCAUUGGGUGCUACGCCGAAGGACAAGGGUAGCUCUAUCUUGCCCACAGGGAAGGUGCCCUUGCCGCCGAAGCCAUACAGGGGAUUGUCCGACGGCUUAAGUAAGCUAUGGCUGAUGCCCAUGCGGUCGAAGGCAUGGAGGAACAUGAUGUCCGCCUGGCUGCCGUUGUCAACCAAGACUUUGUGCAGGUCCCAGCCUGCCACACUGCAGUUGAUUACCAUGGCGUCAAUGUGGGGUGCGCUGCGCAGGUCAACAUCUCAGGCGUCGAAGGUCAGCGGCACAUGGGACCACUUCGUUUGCACGACUAGACCGGUGAUGGCGACGUGGUUGAUGCUUCGGUAGUGGUCCCUCUUCUGUCGCUUCUUGUCGAAGUCGACGCUGGACCCCCUAGUGAUCGUGUGAAUAACUCCGCAAUACGGCUGAUCGGCGAAGUCUUCCUGUUUUGGUGCUUGGGGGUGAUUUGGGUGGUGGAUGUUUGGCUGAUGCGGGUGCGGAGGCGGGAGUGGGGGUGGUACGACUUGUACCUCCUGGUGGUGCUGGUAUGCAUGGUUAGGUGGGUGCUGAGCGGGGCCGUGGUUGUAUGGUUGUGGGAGGUGGUGUUGAUAUGUAUGCGCGAUAACUCUUUGGUUGUCGGCGGGUUGUGCCCGAGACAUCCUGUCCCUGGUAGCCUUCGUUUCCGGGCAGUCCCUCGUUGGGUGCGCGCAGUCUUCGCCGUGAAACAGGCAGUAAAAUCUGCGCGGCUGCUGCGCUCGUCCUCGGCCCCGACCACGAGUGCCAUUGCCGCGGCCCUGGGAAGAUAUUCUUGACGGCGGGGGGCCUCGCCGGCGGGGUGCUGGUUGGCAAUGUUAUGCACCUGCUGCUGACUGCGGCUGUCCCGACCGGAGUCUGACUGCGAAGGUCUUGUCCAUGUUCGGCUGGACUGCGGAGGGUCCUUGGGUUUCCUCUGGGACUCGACCUUGCGCUGGUGGAGCUCUUUGGAUCUGGCAUACUUUUCAAACAGCUGAUAGAGCUCUUGGAGGUUCUUGGGUGGGUCCCUGAUGCAGUGACUGUAAAGGACGCCAGCCCGAAGGCCACUGAUGGCGUAGCGAAUGGCAAUCUGGUCGUCGACCGAAGGCAGUUGUGACUUGAGAGUCAAGAACUUGCGAUAGUACUCUUGAAGGGUUUCUUUCUCUUGCUGCUUGCAGAGCGACAGUUUGGCCAAGGCGUCAGUGUCUGGGCGGUACCCUUGGAAGUUAAGCAGAAACUUGUCCCGGAGACUUCUCCAAGAGUCGAUGGACAGCGGGGGCAACCUGGUGUACCAGGUCAAGGCCGGACCCUCGAGGGCAAUGAUGAAGGACUUGGCCAUCGUGACGUCGUCCCCUCCGGAUGAUGCGACAGUGACUUGAUAGCUCAUGAUGUACUAUGAUGGGUCUGUGCUACCGUUGUACUUGGGGUAUGCCCCUACCCUGAAGUUAGUAGGCCAUGGUGACACUUGUAGUUGCGGCGCCAGGGGGCUCCGCUCGUCAAGGUAGUUGAUGCCUUGGAAUGCUGCGGCGUGCGGGACGAAGGGUCUGUGCUGAGGAAUGAAUAGGUCUCCGACUGGCGCGCGCUGUUGGAGGGGUGGGCCAUGUUGUAGAUCAUGUUGGCCUUCGCGCUGCAUGAGUGCAAUCUCUUGCUCGAGCUCUUGAGCCCUCUGCUCCUCAUCUCGUAUCAUCUGGCGUAUCUUGGCCUGCGCAGAGACACGUUGGCGCUUGGCCUCGAGGAUUUCUUUCUGUUUCUGGAGGUUGCGGUUCUUGAUGCGCAGGGCCCGCAGCUGUAGCUGUUCCUCGGCUGGGAUGCCGAUGAUUUUGCCGUCCUCUGUGGCGUCCUCGCCCUCUAUUGGAGCGAAGCCUGGGGGUGGUUCUUGUGGCUGUCCCCUGGAGCUGCAGGUGCGAAGGGUGCCUUCGGGAGUUGGUUGAUCGUUGCGCUGCCUCUUGCUGAGUGCGUCGUCUUCGCAGACUUCCUGGUGGGUGGUGUCUGCAAAGGCCUUGCCCUUCUUCUCGGCUAGCAGUGCUGCCUUCGCUGCUUCGUCAAUGGAUGGGGCUGCCUUCGAGCUAGCUCUCUUGGGUGCCAUCGCGGGUGGUUUGAUCGUAGCACGAACGGUGGGCGCCAAAUGUUGGAACUUGCUCUCCUGGGCAAGAUGAUCCAACGGGGGGAGUGAAAGGAAUGCAGACAAGGUUUAAUUCAAGAUGGCAAUUGCUCUCCUAAUCCAGCCUCUCAAGGGCACAGUACGGGGGUAUUUAUAGGUGCCCGGGUGCCCAACGUCCUGAUGUAAGGACGUUUAUGCUCUCAGGCAACUGGAUUAUCCCUAGAAUAUUCCCCUAAUGGAGGGUUACAAACUGUCAUUACAGAAAAGUCAUUACAAAUUGGGCCCGUAACACGCUUCUCCCACUCGGGGCCUGUUACGAUGGGCCACCAUCCCACGUGGGCCUCCAGGCUGGACGAGGACGUGGGAUGGCGGAACUUCGUCGCGGGCCUUCGUCUUGAGGAGAGAAGGACGAAGGGUGGCCUGCGCCGGUCAUCUAGCUUCCGUUGGUGCGUCGAGGUGACGAGGGCCUCGUGCGAAGGGUAGCGUCUUUGCCUUCGCCCCAACAACCAUUCCUCCAUCCAGGCUCCGGGCCACCUUUUCUGGAAUGUUGGCACCGGAUAGCUUGCGUUGGGGCGGGCGGUAAAUCCAUAGUAGCUAAAGUUGUUAUGAUAUUGUUCCUUGACCAUGGCCUUCGUCUCAUACACAAGUUCAUGCAUGCUGCAAAAGCAUUUCGCACUUGGCUCUAGCCCCUGGCUCCUCACAGCCCAAACAAAGAUCCCCAUUCUAAUAAUAGCUUCGGGGGUUAUCUGAUGAAGGUAAAUCUGAUAAAUUUUCAGCACUUCGACCACAAACCUGCUCAAUGGAAACCGAAGCCCAGCUUUGAAGAAACUUCGGUAAAUCACAACUUCGUCUUCCUCAGGGGCAGGGACAGUGUUGUCUCCACCAACUCUCACAAUAGACAUAUCUUGAAAGUACCUUCCUCUCAUAUUGUCAAGAUGACUCUGCUUAAUUAUCGAUUUCCCAAAAAUUGUAUGACUUGGCCUCCACAGCCAAUCCUCAGAAUCUUCUCCUCCGCUUUCAGCAUCAUAAUCAUCACUUUCACCGGUAUCUUCAGACAGGCCUUCUAGGAUCUCCUUAGUAAUCUUCUCUGUAUUUGAUUUUGACAUUGACUCGAUAAACCCAGCUAUGUAAGGAUUUGCAGCCUUCUUCUCUUCAAAGAGCUUCUCCUCUUCAGUCAGCUUCGUCUCAACAAACCUUCUUGUCUUGAGACAUUUUUCUUCAAAAAUGACAAAAAUGUGUCUUUCAAACCGAAGCUUAAGAAGCUUGAGAAACUAGCAAGCGUUAGUGAGCAAGAGCUAUAAAAUUGAGAAAGCAAAGCAAAUGGCACAAGCAGCAUACCAAAUGUGGUUGGUGCGAGUUCUUAUUUAUACGGUUCGCACGCCCCAAAUUGGAGGGUCAUGUCUGUCAUUGACUGUUGCUAUUCUAGCAAAGGGAAGGUGUUUUUUCGGACCUUCGGCUUAAGGCCUUCGUCCAUGUCGCAGUCUAAAUUCGUUAUCUUAAACAAAUUAAUACUACGAGGGGCUACUGUUGGGGGCCUUCGUCCUCCGAAGGUCCUCAAAAAACGUAUUUUAACAAUGUCUUCCAAGCAUGGUUUAUAGACAGGUACCUUCGGAUUCAGGAUUAAAAGCAUAUACGAUGAGAAGGGCAUGAUCGUGACGAAGGUUGUCGUUGCUCUAAAGCUAUGCGCAAGGGAGCUUCGGCUCAAUCGCGGGAAAAGGAACCGACUUAAAGGGGAAAAGGCUAUUCAGUCCUCAUAGAUUUUUCUAUAAGUCAAUAGUAAAUGUAAAGGGCAUGACUGUAAUUUCUCACAGGCUAUGUCCUGUGCCUAUAAAUAGAUGAACAGUACCCUCAUAUUGUUCACGCUGACUGGUACUCGCUCGUGCGUCAUACUUGUACUUUACCUUUUGUCAAGUCGAAGGUACAUUUGUAAUUGAGUAUUGUUUUUAUUUUUCCAUAGUAAUAAAAUGAGAAUGAAUUGACAAUGCUAUACGAUUAUUCGUGUUAUCCCUUAUAUUUCAUAUGUUUCUCCUUUUAUUAACAUAUACUGUGAUCAUGAAGGUAUGUCCUUCAUGACCUUCGUCUAAAGAUCAUUAUAUCCAAAGAAAAAUAAUUCUCUAAAGGACGAAGGGCAUUUACAUUUAACAUUUUGUGUUGCCUUGUUCUUAAUCCAUAGCACUUGAGAACAAGUCCCCAACAGAAAUACUCCUUUCUUCAUGGUCUUUGGUUCGGAGGCAGUGCUACCUGCUGAUCUCAGGUUUGGGGCACCAAGGUUGGUCUUCGAAAGCAUAGCUGAAGCAGAGGCUACCAGAUUAGAGGACAUUGACGUAUUGGAGGAAGAGCGAUUGAAUACAGUAAUUUAGUCAGCUAGAUACCAGCAAACCCUGAGGCGCUAUCAUGAUAAGGCCAUACGUCAUUGAUCCUUUGUAGUGGGAGACUUGGUCUUUCGCCGAAUUCUAACGGGGGAAGGACGACACAAAUUGUCACCACUAUGGGAAGGGCCAUUUGUAGUAGUAGAGGUCACUUGGCCAGGAUCAUAUAGGCUUACUCAAAUGCAUGGCACGGAAAUAGGGAAUUCAUGGAAUAUAGAACAUCUCAGGAAGUUUUACCCUUAGCAAGAUUUCAAAAGCUAUAGAGGGAGCAUUGUAUUCUGUAAUUGGUAAAUACCUCAUCAAUAAAAUAUUUCGUUCUCAAGGGCACUCGAACUAUUUAUUAUCAAUUAGCAUGCUUACUCGACUUAAGGUGACCACUAUACCCUACUAACGGAGCAAUCGGCUUAAGUCGGCAAUGACUUAAGACGGUGCAACAUGCUCACGCUUACUCGACUUAGGGUGACCACUAUACCCUACUAACGAAGCAAUCGGCUUAAGUUAGCAGUGACUUAAGACGGUACAACAUGCUUACGCUUACUCGACUUAGGGUGACCACUAUACCCUACUAACGGAGCAAUCGGCUUAAGUCGGCAGUGACUUAAGACGGUGCAACAUGCUCACGCUUACUCGACUUAGGGUGACCACUAUACCCUACUAACGGAGCAAUCGUCUUAAGUCGGCAAUGACUUAAGACGGUGCAACAUGCUCACGCUUACUCGACUUAGUGUAACGUGCUCACGUUUACUCAUCUUAGGGCGAUAUCUAUGCCUUACUAACCGAUCAAUUAGCAUAAAUUAGAAAAAGAUUCCAAAACCAGCACACUGCACUUACUUCUACGAUCAUUCAUAACAACUGUUGAAUUCUAACAAUAGAAAGAAAACGUUAUGGUUUUUCAGCUGAGUAUCUUCUAAACACAGCGAAACAUCUCUACUUGGUAAUGUCUUUCGCAGGAGCUAUCGAGGAGGAAGGACGACUCGAAGCAUCAGGCGGAGCCUUAACGUCCGCCACAAUGUCAUCAGGAACAACUACACCAGGCCUUCUCAUCAAGAUUCAUCCCGCGUGAAUGGCUUUAUCCAUAGCCUUGUCUCGUUGGGUCUUCAAAAUAGCGCAGUUGUCCUCUACAACCUUGGCAGCCAGUCGAGCGGCCUCUAGCUCCUAGGCGACUGAUCUCUUGGAGGCACGUAGAUCCUAAUGACAGAGUCCUUGCUUGACACCAGCUGCCUGAGCCGCAGGAUCUCAUCCUAGGAUACUUGCAGUUCAUGGUGAUGAUGAUCCAGAUCUGCCAUGGUGAAGCAGUGGCUCCUCUCCAAGAUCGUUAGAGAAUUACUAGCAUCACGAUAUAACCCAUCCAGAUUGUCGCAAGAAGCUGCAGGUGCUCGUUUCUCCUCCUGCGGACAAGAAUCAACCCUCAAAUAUCCAGAAAUCAGUAAAAGCACAGCAGAUCCAAUUAAGUAAGCUUACCUUGUUAACCGCCCUUUCAGAGUGAAGCUGAGCAUUAAGAGAGGAAUUCAAGGAAUUCGCGUCGUCUAAAGAAGCAGAAACCCGGACCAGGUCGAUCUGACCUUGGGAAUAUCUCUCCUCAAGCUCAGAAUACUGUCGGGUUGAGUCGGUUUGAUGUUGAAGAUAUCUCUCCUCAAGCUCAGAAUACCGUCGAGUUGAGUCAGUUUGAUACUGAAGAUGUUUCUCCUUGAGCUCAGAGUAUCUCCGGGCCAUAUCUGACAAAAAGCAAUCGAAGAAAGAUACAUAGUCAAAAAACAAAUUAAUCAAUCAGCUAAUAAAAAAGCAAAGGUACCAACCAGCAUUUGACGCUUUCAAAUCAGCUGUCGCUAAAGCAGCAAUGGAUUCCACUGCGUCAGAGACAGAACUCCUUCUAGAACAGCAGCGCCAUGUGAUCUCAGUUGAGCAGACAUCCCAUCAACCAAAGCCUAUUAUAAAAGACAAGUGAGUACAAAGAAAGUAAUUUACCAGGAGGAAUGACAGAAUGAAAAAAAGCUAAUUUACCUGAAGAUUAGAAAAGAAUGAAGGCAAUCCCAAGUCAUGAGAGGUUGUGUUAUAACUCGACGAAGGAAGAUCAACUGGGACAAUCUAAAAGCAUCAUCGAGGGUUGAUUCAGCUCCUCCAGCAGAUAUCAGAAUUUUGUCAUCCGGUGCGCCGACCUCUAAGGUGACUCCCUCACUUGAAGCUAAAGAAGUAUGCAUCACUAUCAUUCCAUCAGAAUGUGGUGGAGAUGACCCGAUGUGGACAUCCAUGGAGGUAUGGGAAGUAGAUCUCGCUAGGGCACCCUCGAGGCUGGGUUGCAGCUCGCACUGCCCAUCGGAGCCGGAUCGCUACUGGCAACACCCUCGGGGGCUGGACUAUAGCUUGUGUUACCCACCUGAGUCGGAUCAUCACCGGCAACACCCUCAGGGGCUGGGUAACUGCCAACACCACCCUUGAGGACUGGGUUUUCUGCAACAGCCACCUCUAAGGCUGAAGGAUCCUCAAUCACCUCCAUGGGAGUCGGGCAAUCUUGACCAACCUCUUGACACUGAAGACCGCCCUCCAAGGUCGACGACGCACGAGAUGCUGCUCGGGAUACCUCCAAUCCCACAUCUAGAAUGUCAAAACAAACAUCCAUCAUAUCACCAUCAGUCGACUCUGACAGCAUAUCCUCAUGAAUGACAUCCUCAAGGGUCUGAUCAAAAUCUGUUAUAGAUAAAUCUUGAAGGCUAACAAGAGCAGACAUGGCUGGAGAAGGAAUAUCACUAUCUCCUUUACUACCUUUGUAGAGUCGGCUAUUCUUGCGAAUUAAUGGAAACUCUUCUUCUUCAUUGUCCUCAUCAAAAAUGCGGACAAAAGAUGGUGCAGAAUCACACCCAUUGGGCUCAGCUGCAAUAGGAUUACACCAAUUGGGUUCAAAUUCAGCAGGGUUGCACCCAUUAGGGUCAGUCAGUGCAGGUACACCACCAGUGGGAUCAACUCCAGUAAAGACCUCUGCCGGUACUUCUUCAGCAACAGGAGCAGAAGGGCCAGCACCCUGGUCCAAGCAUGACAAUCGUCGAAGCCGUCUCCUUUUCUUCAUCUUUUCUUCAGCAGGCGCAGCCGGACGACUGACCUAGCGACGAUGCUUUGGGCGAGUACCCUCAGGCUUUUGGGCGUCUGUUGCUUUGUCAAGCUCUGGUAUAGCGGCAACAGCCAUUGUUUUAGUAGGGCCCGAGUCAGAUGAUUCUCCAGCCAACAUGUCAAGCAUUGCAUUCAUUUCUGCAUCAUCUGGACUCAUUAGCAUCUCAAAAUGAACUUGCCUCUCAUCAUUUGGAAGAUCACAAAGAUAAGCAACUAAGACCUCAAUAUCUUCGGGAGAGGGUCGCACUCUAAGACCCAGGACACUAUCACCAGCAGGAGGAUUAGACACAAAAUUGAAAAAGGACUUAGGAGGUGGCAGAUUCCAAGCAGAGUAGGCAACAGGAGCACCAACAUUUGAUACUUUGCCUCUCAAGAUCAUGUCUAGCCAGCUCACCAAAUCCUUAGCAGGAAUUCUCCUAUUGGUAACCCGAGUGGAGUCAGUAACACCACUGUACAAGUAAGCCGGGUAUGCUCUGUCCUUUAGGGGUUGGAUGUUCUUAAAAACAAAAUCAGCAACCACAACUUCGGUGGUCAGACCUCUUUCCUUCAGCAGAUAGACUUCAGCAAGCAGAACCUUAGCCUCUGUUACUUCCAGGGCAGUGGGAGACUCAAUCCAACUUGGAGUGCACACAUCUGGCUAUCUUCCCGACUGGGGGGGAGGGACUUGCCGUGGUUUUCCACAAUAAACCAUUCAAGACGCCACCCCUUAAUGUUGUCCUUAAGCGGAAUAUCAAGAUAUUCCAUUUUCCUUUCGUGCCGCAUUUCCAGACUCGCACCACCCACGAGUUGGUGCUGACCCCCAACCAUCCCAGGUCGAUAAUGGUACAGAUACUUCCAUAAACCAAAUUGGGGAAGAACUUCGAGGUAGGCCUUGCACAGGUGAACAAAGAUAGAGAUUUGCAUAAUGGAAUUGGGAUUCAGAUGAGUUAGGUUCAGAUUGUAAAAUUCAAGGAGGCCACGGAAGAAGGGAGAAAUGGGAAGAGCAAGGCUGCAGACAAGAAAUGGAACAUAAACAACGGACUCAUGGGUAUCCUUUGUUGGGACAGUAACCCCACAGCAAAUCCGUCAAGGACAAAGCUCUUUCGAAGGAAGAAUUCCUACAUCAACAUGAAGGAGAUCCGAUUCCGUGACAACAGACAUGUGGUUACCUGUGAAAGGCAACUGGCUAUUGGGGUCGAUGGGAGGAAUGACCACUGCAGCAGAAUUUUGGUUCUUCUGCUUGGGCACCAUCGCAAUCUCGUUAGCGGAUUGAAGGGAAGCAAAAUCAGAGGGAAGCAGAGUAAUAUUUGGAGGCAGAAAGGUGAAGUUAGGGCUCAGAAUGCAGAGGCGUGCGGCGACGUGAUAUAAAUGGGGUUUCCCCGGGUCAGACACCGUUUCUAAAAAGUGCCAAGUCAUCACUCGAAAAAAGCAAGACGUCCUCGCAUAACUCGGCAGCUACCUCUAAAUCGCCGAUGUGGCUCAGCAUAACUCGGCAGCUACCUCUAAAGCGCCGACGUGGCUCAGAAUAACUCGGCAGCUACCUCUAAAGCGCCGAUAUGGCCCAGCAUAACUCGGCGGCUAUUUCUAAAGCACUGAUGUGGCCUAGCCUAACUCGGUUGUUACCUCUAAAGCGCCGAUGUGGCCCAAUAUAACUCGGCCGUUACUUCUAAAACGCCCACAUGGUCUAGAGCAGCUCGACAGUUAUCUCUAAAAAAUGUCGGCAAUGCAUAACUCAGCUGUUUUCUCCAUGUAAACGCCAGCAGAACCAAAUGCGACUCAGCAAUUACCAGUCAUUACUCGGGUGUUACCUCUAAGAACAACGGCAAUGCUGGGAAUGAAUACAAGCUAUCGAUUGACUAUAAAAGAGCGAUGGAAAAACAAAGAUGAGAUACUCAGAACAAGUCGAAAUUUUCUUCAAUAUAUUGAUAAGGGAAGUCCUUCCACAAACUCAAAGACCAACUCAUUAUGAGUCGACCUUUCUUCCUUUUUAUGCUACAUUACACUACUUACACUACUCUAUACUACUAACUACUACUACAUUAUUUCACUAUUACUAAUACUACUUCUACUACUACUUAUCUAUACUAAUAUUUAAGCCAGCGGCGCUUUGCCGCUGGCCCUGCCGCUGCCGCCGUCAUCCUUGUCGCUGCCGCCGUCGCCCUUGUCGUUGCCGCCGCCGCCCUUGUCUCCACCGUCGCCCUCGUCAUCGUCGUCGCCACCGCUCCCCUCCUUGGACGAGUCGGAGGAGUCCUCCUCGUCCGAGGAGAUCUCCGACUCAUCCGAGCCCUCGAGCCCGGAGCGCUCGACGGCCUGGAUGUACGUCCACACCUCGGUCGCGAUCCCCUAGGAAUCGUCCGAGUCAUCGGACGACACCGGGGGAGAGGCGUAGGCUGGCCACCCCUCAGACUCAGAGGAGAACUCCUCCUCCGAGUACUCGGAGUCACCGAAGUCCUCGAAGGGGGGACUCGGCUCACGCUUCCGCUUGUCGCCGGAGUGAUGCGAUGAACUUCUGCCUUUCUUGCUCUUGCCCAUGGUGGAGUAGAAGAGAAGAGAAAAGAGGAGAAUAAGCAACAAAUGGCCGAGAGAUGUGUGAAGACACCAGUGAAGCAAGCGCUCUAUUUAUAGGGGCGGGAGGCAACCGCUCAUCUCCUACCACGGUCACUGAACAGUCACAAAUAUUCAAUAUGCAAUUCAAAUCGUCUGGAAACAAGUCAGACGACAGACGCCGUUUCACGUAACACGACACCCAUUGGGACUGAAGUCAACUGCUUGGACGAUAUGAUUACACCCCGCGGUCACAUCAAGUUACUACUCAGGGGCAGUUUGCUAAACGCUCAGCGCACCAAGUCGUCCCUUGGCUACACCCAUUGGGGGACGUCUAGGAAUUUUCAAUAGAUUUUCCCAAGCAGUCGCAUCCAUACAGUAUACGCAAUGAAUGUAUCAAGACAGAAGGAAGAUAUCGAUAGAGAUCGGAGGAAAGCCAAAAAUAGCUGCUGAAGUACAAGUCUAAUCAACAAAAGCAUUGAAGCACGAAGCGAAAUGAAGACCAGCCAAAGAGCCAUCUACCGGACGUCCAAUUUGUCGCCGAUCAAAUAAAUUUCAAACCUAACAGGACAUGAGUAGACCGCAUUACUGAUCUCAAAGGCAAAACCAUAUGCUGAUCUCUAAAGCAUAAAGCUGAUGAUAUAAUACUGAAUUCUAAGGCAUUCGACGAAGAUAAAAUGAUGAUUUCUAAAAGCAUGAGAUGAAGACCUUUGAGUAGAUUAUUUUCAGUAAUCCACUCAAAGCUCGGGGGCUACACCCAUUUGGUGCACCUUCGGUGCACCCAAUGAAUCAUUAAUCCUAGAGGACAGAAUGCUGAUCUCUAAAGCAUGAACUGAUGAUGAAAUGCUAAUUUCUAAAGCAUAAGACAAAGAUGAACCAACGACUUCUAAAAGGCAGGAAAUGAAGACCUUUGAGUGGAUUAUCUUCAGUAAUCCACUCAAAGCUCGGGGGCUACACCCAUUGGGUGCACCUUCAGUGCACCCAAUGAAUCUUUAACCUCCAAAAAUGAAGUGAUGAUCUCUAAAGCAUAAGCUGACCGAUCAAAGCUUAGAAGCAACGACCUGACAAGCGUAUUGUCAAAGCAUCCACAUUUUAAAAAUCAAAACUACAAGCUGGACCUAGAAUCUUUGGGUCGAUUAUUUAAAAAUCAACUCAAAGAUUGGGGGCUUGUGGGGGACAGAUAUCCCCCGGUCCACUAGAAGGCUAGAAGACCUCGUGAAAGGCUUUGGGCCCAUUGUUUCGCAAGGCCAUCCCUUCGUGGACUUGGGGAGGAAUGUCUGGCAGAGUGGAUCGACACAAGAUUGGAUCAACUCGAGCCCAGGCGGCCCGAUGAAUUUAAGCAUUAUCCACAGUAGUGAUCCGAUUCUCCCGCGCUGCGCCCUCAAGCGUCGGAACUAAAUGAUGAUAAGUCGGCAGAAUUAUAGGAAGAUAAGCUCAGUCGGUUCACUAUUACUUAGGCACACGUUGUUAUCAUAUCCGCAUGUAACACCCCAUGGUCGAGUAUAUAAGGCCUAGGGGGCACCCCCUCAGACGACAACUCACUCAUUAGCCGUCUACUCAGCUCUCUAGCAUCUUCCAUACUAGAGAACUCCCCUGUAACCCACCACAUAAAAGAUCCACACCAGGAAGUAGGGUGUUACGCCUGUCUAAGCGGCUCGAACCUGUAUAAAAUUGUCCACUGUCUCUCGUGCACCUAGCACGAACCAUCGAGCUAUAGUCGGUAACACUGUCCUACUCCAAAAAGCACCUCGAGGGGCAACCCCGGGUGCACAGUCGGAUCCAAAACACCGACAGGCCCCGCACUGUCAACACAUGUUGUUCACGCGCCCACGCCAGCCUGAUGACACCCCUGUAACACCAUAAAAGCCAUCAACUAAAAAUAAUAAAUUUGGUUAUUAUGUUAAAUAUGGUAAUAAUUUUUUAAGUGUUUAAUUAUUUAUUUGCACUUUGAAUCAUUUUCUUUGUAUGCGCAUCGGAUGUUUUAUAGCAAUGCUUCUUAAAAGAAAUCCUUGUAAUUAAUAUGAUAAUUAAAUAAUUAUUAGUAUAAAAAUAAAUAUUGUAUUUAUAAAUAAUUUUGGUGAAUUUCUGAGAAUUUUUGAGUUAUCUAAAAAUGUAUUUCGAAAUCAAAAAAGAGAAAAAAAACAAAAACCCACCUAACCUAACCGGCCCACCAGGGCCCAUCUAAACUUUCCUACACGCGCGCGCGCCUGGAGCCAGCAGCCGCCUCCGCCAGCCUAUCUCCCUCCCCUAUCUCUCUUCUCUCUCUCCUCCCUGCUCUCUCUGCACGCCGUCGCGGCCCCACGACUCCCGACCCUGCCCUGCACCAGCCCGCGAUGCGCCCCGCGACUCCGCCAAGCGAGCCCCUACGCCACCCCGGACGCGACCCCGACCGAAGCCGCGCCCGACCCGAUGUUCCGACCGCGCGUCCGAAGCCCCGCGCGUCCGUUCGUUCCUCGCCGUUAAUGGAGCGUCAACUCCUCCGUUUCUUCCUCCUCCCAUUAUUUCUCUCUUUGGUAACCACCGACGCAUUGACGGCAUUUGAAGACCGACGACACCCUCAUGAACUCCCUGGCCAACUCUCCCUCUCCCCUCCCUCUCUCUGUAAAAGGGCAGCCGAGCUCUCUCUCCAGUCUCCCCUACCCGAGCUCGCCCUUCUCUCUAGCUCUCCUCGCUCUCCAUCGCUAGUGCACUGCUCGUCGCCGGAGGUUGCCGUUUGUCGCCGGAGUUCGCCGGAGUUCACUGGAGCUCGUCGUUCAUCGUCGGAGCCACGCACCCGCCAUCCGAAGACCGAACCCUGCUCUUCUCCAUCCGGGCGAAACCCCGUCGAACCGUCCCCGUCACACGCACGAACCCAAGGUUGAAGACGACCCAAAUUAAUUUGUGUAUUUUAUAAAAUACAUUUGAUUUGAUUCAUGAAUUGUAUAUAUAUGUUGUUGCAAUAUGAACAUGUGUGAUCCGCAAUUCAUGUGUAUGUGCGUUAUGGAAUUUUUGGUAAAGAUAUGCGAUUAUUAGUGCACCGUGAUAAUUCAUGUUAGUCGAUGCGAUGAUUUUUGGAUUAGAGAAAUAUGACGAGAAUUUAGUAGUCACACAUUGGUGAUAAAAACACUAGAUAGGAAAUUUUGUAGUUAAAAUUUGGUCACACUGAACUUUAGAAACUAUUUGGCUAAUUAUAGUCAUAGAUUCAUUUUAAUGGAUUUAGAAAAUAGCAUAGAAUUCAUGUCAUAUAAGCAAUAUAGGAUUUUAAAUGAUUUAGCUCCGAUUAUUUUAUUAUUAUUUUCUUUUAGAAAGAAAGGAGAAAAUAUCACCGGUAGUAUGGAAAAUAGAUUUUUACUAGCCAAAUAAACAUGUUCGCAAGUAUAGCGCUUAAAUUCUUAGAGUUAGUAAAAUACCUGUUUAGGUCAAAUAAACCUCGCUUAUGUUAUAAAAAGUCCAAUUAGUAAUUUAUAUGGAUUUUUAGAAUAUUAAUAUUAAUAGAUUCAUUUUUAGCCAUACUCAACAAUUCAAGUUAAGGAUAAAAAGAAUAAAAACUACUAGUCUAUUUAUUAGUAUUAAAGACAAUAACUACCAUUUAUUUUCAUUAAGGAUGUUAAUACGUAUUAAUACUAGUUAAAACUAUAUUUAUAGCACCCACCCAUAAAUUCACCAUUUAGGACUCACAAUAAUAACUAUAAUUGAAUUAAUAAGUAUUUACGUGUUUAGGACGUAUUUAAGGUGUGAUAAGUGUGAUAUGUUAAUGUGUAUGUAAUGGUGUAUGUUUAUGUAAUGGUGCGUGUUUAUUUAUUGGUGUAUAUUUUAUUUUUGUAUGUGUGAUGUGCGACUCUAUUAGAAGCCGACUGUGUGGUAGAGGAUUCGAAUACGUUCGAAGACGAACCACAUGACACUUUUGAGCAAGGCAAGUGGAUUCUCCCUCUGCAUAUUCUUUUUGUACCCAAUCAUUGCAUAAAAUAAUGUUUACUUUUUAAUAUACUGCAUAAUUUGAUGGGUUUUACCUAAUUAAGGAUUUCCUAGAUUUACCAACUAUAUUCCUUGUUUACCCUGGGAAAAUUAUUAAGCUUUGCAAACUUGUGCUACCGCUCCACUUAAUAACUUUUAUGUCACUCAUUAAUCGAUAUUAAUGUUCCGAUAAUGAAAUUGGCAAUUAUGACAUUAACCCGAUGGUUAAAACAACAUUAUUUUAUAUUAAUUGGAACAUGGAGUGACCACCCAGGAUAACAGUGCAACCACGAGUGCUAUCAUGGCUCUAGCUUUGGUAAUUAGCUUUAUAUGGUUAGUGUCUGGCAACCUUACCUGAAAUAUGGGCAAGAGGGGGAGCGGUAGGUGUUGGCAGCCCACGUUAACAUGGGGACGUAUUCUUUGCUAAGGUACCUCGCCCAGGGGCCACCACCAUCGUAUUUAGAAACCUUAGCGGGUUGCUUCGUAUUAAGUGUAUUUUGUGAAAGCCUCAUAAUGGAUCCCUAGACAUUCACCUCGGCAAUGUUUAAGGGUCCGAUCAACCCGGGCUAGAUGGGAUACAUGGCUUGUGGGUAAAGUUGUACCACCUCUGCAGAGUGUAAAACUGAUAUAUCAGCCGUGCUCCCGGUUAUGAGCGGCCUGGACUCCUCACAUGAUAAUUGAACUUGAAGAUGGAAAUAAACUGAGAUCCGAUGAUCUGCCAAUUGUUCGCUUAAGUGGUUUCACUUAAGUGUUUUUGUUAUACUCAUAUUCCUUUGUUUAAUUGGGAUACUUGGGAUUCACACUUAUUAGUAAGACAGGUGUUGUUACUAAAAUGUUGACCAACUAAAAUGCUUACUGCUCAACCUUAGCCUCACCUUGUUAUACCUGCAUUAAUUUUUCCCCCACUUGCUGAGCCCCAACCAUAAGUGAGCUCACCCUUGCUAAUAUUUUGAUCAGAGGGUGAUGCUGGAGACUUUGAUGGAGAUUUUGACGACGAUGAAUUCUAAGUCUAACGAUACACCGGUCAUCUUCCUGUGGGAGAUUGCCCCUGUUAUUUAAAUUCCACUUUACUUUGAUGUGAUACCUGUUAAAGAUACAAUGAUUCAGAUGAUGUAAUAAAGUAUUCUACUCUCUUUACGCCUUUAUUGCAUUGUCUUUUGAUAUAUUACACUUGUGACGUCAACAUAUGUGUGGAAAUGGAUCUUGGCACACAUAUGGUAUGCGCUCGGUUCUACCCCCUGGAACCGGAUGUGACAGAAGUGGUAUCAAAGCUAUGAUGACCCUAGGUCGUUAGACUAGUUAGAAAUGGAAAGCCUAGUUAUUCAAAACUUGCUAAUUUCAUUCUUAUAACUUAUUUUAUCAGCCUUACAUCUUUAAAAUUUCAACUGAGUUGACUCUUCUCUUGUAGAUGGUUCGUACUCUCCAAACUACCCGCAUCAACACCAACUACGUCCCUCUGCCCCGGCAAAUCCCUGUCUACCCAGUGGUAGUCGAGGAAGUUCCGAUGGAUCUCCCUCACAUUCGAGUGGAGAAUGGAGUCAUCCUGAAGGACAGCUUGGAGGAACAGCUACCGACGCCCACCCUGUUAGCAGAGUCCCUGGCCUUCGCAGCUAGGUCAUCGACAUCGGCCCCGCCUGCACCAGCCUUCCAAGCACCUGCACCCGGAGGCGACGACCCCGACGACUCUGGGAACAAUGAUGACAAGGAUGAAGACGACGACGAAGGAGGAGACGAACACGUCAACCAGGAAGCCGACUACGCAUAGCAGGACUACUUCAUGGGGUUUGGUCCCGUUGUCGAACAUUACACAUCGAUGUUCCAGACGGGGCACUUCCCCAACCUGCUGCAAGAAGUGCUGCACGCGCUAGGAACUUACGUCCGCCCCCUGUAAGAAACAAGGCGAGUGAGCGAGCCUCCCCGGGCUUGCUACUACAUCACUCGCAUCCACGUCAGGGUGAUGGAUGCAGGGGACAGGGGAUUCAGGACUCUGUCUGCUCACAAGUCCCUGACACCAGUGUCCACCUACGCUGCCUCGGUCAGCGAUGCUGCCAGACGGACCCUGUGGUCGCUCAGCCACACCUACCGGCAGCAGCUGUAGAACACGAGGUUCAGGCAUCUUCCUUAGCGUCUGAGUGGAGGAAGCCAGACCAACAUCGUCCCAGGUGAAGCUGGUGAGGAUCGCCUCAACACCCUAGCUGGUGUAGUGGCCGGUCUCAACACCGACCUGGACAGUGCCACCCUGGAUCUCUCUAGGGUGCACUUGGAGCUGGAGAAUGCCCAUGCCAGGAUUGCAGCCCUGGAAGCCCAACUUCAUGGACUGGAUCCGCCCGAAGCUCACGUCCCCGCCAUGGCGUUGUCUCCUCCCCGCAAGAGGCUGCACUAUGGGGAGCCCGGAACCGUCACUAGGCUGCUUUAGGUGUUUUGAGUUAAGAUGUAAUAAGUUAGUCUUCGCGUUAGACGUUGAACACUCUUUUAAUUUAUCUUACUAAUAAAUAACAACCAUGUGAUGGUGUUGAUUGACAUGUUUGUGUUGGAUUUUUGUUUGAGUGCCAUGGUCUUAUGGAAUGAUGGCCAUAAGAUCAUAUAAAAUAAUAAUAAUAAACUUAGGAUGUUCCCCUCUAGAAUCUUUUCUACUCUUCACUUUUCUAAGGAUUUCACUUCCUAACCAAUCAGAUGGUGAACGCACGUCAAGGACCCAACAACAACCAGAACCAGCGUGGUCAACAGAUAUGUAACACCCUGAAUUUGGGGGUAUAAAAUUUCUUUGCUCAUAUCCACAAAUUCAGGUGUUACUUCCUUUUCUCAUCCUUCCUAAUUCUUUUCUCUCUCAUUUCUAUAGGAGCUAAGUGCUUAUUUUACUUGUAACCAUAGUUUAUUAUGUUAAACCCUAGUGGAGUAUGAAUUGUUGCAUCAUGUUGAACCCUAGAUUUCACUUUUGUUUGGUGCAUAAUUCUCAAAAGGUCUAAUUUGAAUUUGGGGCUCAUUUGAAUUUGAAUCAAAUAGAAUAAAUAAAAGAAAAGGGAAAACAAUUCAGAAUAAAAGGAAAAGGCAAAGCAGCCCACUUACCCGCCCUCCUCGGCCUUUCGGCCCAGUCGGCCCACCCCGCGCGCGCCUCCCCCCCCCUUCUCUCUCUGCGCAGCGGGCCCGGCCUGUCGGCGCGUCCGCCUUCCGCGCACCCGCCUCCCUCUCUCACUGCUCGUCCGGCCCUACCCGUCGGCGCCCGCUUUCCCCGCGCGCGCCCGCUCCCUCGCUCUCUCUCUGCCCGUGGGCCCAACCCGUCAGCCCCGCUUCUCUCGCGCCCGCACCCGCUUUCUUCUCUCUCUCUGCGUCGCGGGCCCGGGCUGUCAGCCCCGUCGUCCCCGCGUAACCGCCGCCGAGCUGCUCGCGCCCACCUCCCCCGCGCCCACGUCGCGCGUGGAACUCGCCCACCUCGCCCUCGGCCACUUGUGCCCCGAGCCCACUCGCCCUCACCCUCUCCCCCCAUUUGCGCCCAGUAGACCCUCUCUUCCCCCCCUCGCUGCGCGCACGCAGAGCACCGCCGCCAUAACCCCGCCGUCCCGAGCUCGGUUCUUCGUCGCCGUUGGAGCUCCGCCGCGCCCUUAGCCCCGGUGAGCUCCGCCCCGACGGCCGCAACUCGGAACGCGCCCCAAUUCCCUCUCCCCCUCCCUAUUUCUCUCUGCCCGCGCUCACCCGUCGUCCGCCGUGCAGCCGCCACCGUCGACCCGGGUCCCCGUCGCGUCUCCGUCGCCGCCGAGGAGUCCCCGGAGCCCGCCUUGAGGUAACGGACCUCUCCCGCCCCUAUCGCCCUUUGUUUUGCUCUCUGUUGCGUUUGAUUGCUCGCCGGAGUAGAGUAGCCCCGCCGCCGAGCCGCCCCGCCGUGAAUCACCCCCUCUGGUGCCUCUGCCCUGACCCGGACCCCACCAAUGGAGUCCCCGUGCCCUCCCUAGCCUCCCCGACCACUCGAAUUGCCCCAGAGCCCCGCCAAUCGCCCGCGCCCCUCGUCUCCGGCGAGCCCUCCGCCGCGGGGACGAGCGCCGCCGCCCAGCUAGCCGUAGGGAAGACCCAGGCCGCCCAUCCGAUCUCCGCCGUUCAGCCCAAAUCGGGCGGCCCUGAUUCAACUCGCCCGGACCUAAUCCUGGCCGUCCGCCAGCGAUCCAGCGGCCCAGGCCCACUGCCCCCUCACCCCGUCUCUCUGCCCGUUAGGCCCCACUUGUCAGCUCGCCCGUGCGCCCGCGCUGUCCGCCCGGCCCCGCCCGUCAGUCCGCCCGCGCGCUCUGCCUGCCCGGUCCCGCUUGCCAGUCGCCCGCGCCCGCGCUGUCCGCCCGGCCCCGCCUGUCAGUCGCUCCCGCCGCCGCGCGCCCGCCCGCAGGAUCUAAUCCUGGCCGUAGAUCUGAGAUCCAACGGCUGUAGGCGCCCGAUACCCCUUCGCCUGCGCAUGUUCUUAAAGAGCCCCCCUGUUUUUUGGAAAUUGCGCCCGCCGUCCCUGGUUUCUCGCAGUUAAGUCCCUGGCCCUUUUAUUUAAUUCAAAAUAAGUCCUUAGGGUAUAAUUUUAACCCCUAAACUUGUAAAAUUCAUAACUUUGUCAUAUGAACUCCAAAUUAGGUGCUUCAAAUUGCAAAAUGUUCAUAAUAUUAUUAUCUAUCUGUUUAUGCAAUGUUUCCCUGCUGUUUCCAUGUAUUAAUUAAUAACUAAUCACUAGGAUAGGAUUAAGACUAUUGAAACCAUAUUUAAGAUAAUUAGAAAUGAGUAGACUUUAAUAAUAGUUGGAUUACUUAAGUUUAUGGACUUAAACACUUAAGUUUAGGAACUUAGACCAGAUAAUUACUUAAUCCCACCACUAACUUAGACCUGAUUAGUGGAUAGUGAAUCACUUUGUGUAGUCCUCUACCCCAGACCUAGGGAACACUAGAGUGCCUAUCCCUUUUCUGUUAUGAACUUGUGACCCCUCUCUGCUGCAUAUGUUUGGUAUAUUGUUUUCUGUUUGUUAUUUUCCCAAGUGCAUAGUGUGAAUGAUUGCUUUGCGUAGACAACGAGCAGUCUGUGUUUCCCGAGGCAGUUGCAGAGGAAGCCCCUGAUCAGCAGUUUGGUGAAGGCAAGUGUCCUCUGUCCCACUAUGUCCUAUUCAUUUAUAACUUACUACCCCGCAUUACUCACUUGAAACCUAAGGAUUGACUAGCUUUACAUUUUACUUUAUCCUUGAUGACCUUAUGGGCUAUUAUGGUUAGCACUCUGCUAUUGCUUUAACAUAAUCAAUGAACAUGAUGUGGCUAUUUACGAUACUGUUAUCCUGUUGAUGUUGAUGAUCUUGUGAUACUCUAGGGGGCUCAGGCUGUUUCCUGAGUACCUCUCCGUAAGGACUGGUUCGUUGAGAGACCACCCGGGAUAACAGUGCAACCAUGAGGGUGAAAUGGGAUGCCCUUAGCUGAUUAAUUGGAUGAACUAGAGGUGUAGUUGCUUAGCCGUCGUGCCGUCAAUGGGGUCCAGGCACAGUGCUUGCUCUGCCGAGGCUGAGUGCCGAGGUUCUUUCGUUUUGCUCUUUGUUAGUCACUCUCCUGCGGGGAGGAGUACUGUGUUUAUCAAACUGGAGAAACCUAACGGGCAGCUAUGAUCUCUAGGGAAUCUUUGUAAAGGCUUCGUAGUGAUACCCUGCUGGACCACCUAGGUAGUGGUCAAUGGGGAUUAGCUCUCCCCGGGUAGAAAGGGAAUCACGGCUCAUGGGUAAAGUGUGCAACCUCUGCAGAGGGUAGUGAAACUGAUAUAUCAGCCGUGCUCACGGUUAAGAGCAGCCUUGGGAUCCUCUUUGAUUAGAGAUACAGAUGGUUCGAGAUACAAUGAUUAUGAUAUGGUUUUGGUUCGACUAUGAUGAUGUUCCUCGACGAGGAAAUGGUUUACGGGUUGGUUAAUGCUAAAAUCUGGCUUCUACUAAUGAUAAGUACCUGACCAACUAAAAGCAACUGCUUGAGCCUAACUCCACAUAAAGCUAGUCCACCUCAGCCAAACGGGACAUUUGCUGAGUACGUUGAUGUGUACUCAUCCUUGCUUUACCACAAAACACCAGGUUGCCCGCAUUGUAACCACUGCUCAGGAGAAGGCGAAGCCGUGGAAGGAGACUUCCAGGAGUUUCAAGACUACGAUGAGUUCUAGGAGUGGGUUGGCGGCAACCCCCAGUCAGCUGCCUGUGAAGGCCUUAUCUUUACUGCGUUUCGCUAGUACUUUGAUUUACUUGUUAAGACAAUGACUAUGUGGAUGUCUAUGACUCUAUGAUGUAAUAAGUACUCUUUUAAUUAUUAUUCGAGCAUUGUGUGAUGAUGUUCAUUUAUGUAAUCGCUGUGUACGUGAGUUCUGAUCCUGGCACGUACAUAGUUCGCAUUCGGUUUGCCUUCCAAAACCGGGUGUGACAUAAGUGGUAUCAAAGCCGUGCUGACUGUAGGACCGCUGACCUAGAGUAGCACUGGUCGUACUAAGGACUAUUGACCUUCCCUCUCACCUUGACCUCUGUUGUUACUUCAAAAGUCGGUCACCUCGACCAACCCUAUGUUUUACUAUCUAUCUAUACUAUACCUUGUUAAAAUUUUUAUCUUAUUCUAUCUUUGGUUUAUUCACUUGUCAUAUUAGUUCUGCUCUUACUCUUGUGCUUACGGUGUCUUUUGUAGAUGGCUCGUCUUAGACACACUGCACGUAAGUCGGUGAUUCCUUUCCUGCCGUCUCGACUUGCGGAGCGUCCUCUGCACCGCACCGUGUCCGGACAGUCGAGUCACCUGGAGAGGCUGCACCACCGCCUGCGUGAGGAGCAGGAACACCGACGUCAGCACGGAGAGCAGCAGGGCUCUUCCUCCUCACCCCAGCAGGAGGUGGAGACCGUGAGGCCCCGUUCCUCUGUUGCCCAGCUGGAGGCGCCCCUUGUUCCGCCGCGGGACGUCCCGGCUGUUGGAGGAGCUGUUGGAGGAGACCCCGACGACGACGACUCAGACCACAGUACGGAGUCCUCUGAGCCGCAGGAGGCGGAAGGAUGGGUCGCCCGACCCAUCACCCGUGACGCCGCUCGCGGUUGUCACUUCCACGACGCACUCGACACCUUGCUGCGCCAGGCUUUCGACCGGCACACCUGGUCGAUCGAGUAUCGUUGCGUAGUCUACCAGCACAGUCGCGGGAGGUACCCGGACCGCUGGGAGGCUACCUGCCUAGUUCGCCGUCCGGAGGAUGACCUCCGGGGUGCGGAGGCCGUUUCGGAGCACUAUUCCAUCUCCGAGAGGGACACUGCAGAGGCGGCUAUGCAGGAUGCAGCACGACGUGCACUCUCUCAGUACUGUUCUUUGUUCGGUGGCGUGGCCGACGGUCUUAACCUUCGGUACUACCCCCGCCGCCCUACUGGCAGCACAGAGAGUGUGGUUGUUUCACCUGUUGGUGAGGCUAACCCUAGGUUGAGCAGCACAGUCAACCUAGUCGCAGUGCUUAACACGGAGCUGGAUCACUCUCUGGACGAGCUAAGCAGGGCUCAAACGGAGAUUGCGGAGUUGCGUGCUGAGCUGGCAGAGCGCCAUCACCAGGAGGGUGGUUCUCCCGCUCCUGUUGGGACUCAGCACCCAUACCGCUCACCGCCACGUGGUCACCACACUUAUGGUUCCCCUGUCUGUAAGACCAGGAUAGAAUUGGAUCCUUAGAUCGUUAGCGUCGAAGUUUGUAAUAAUUCUUAAGACAGGUGUCUCAGUCUUAGGUAGUCAGUUUAGUUUGCUUAUCAGUUGCUUCCAUUUAGUUUAGUUUGCUUAUCAGUUGUUUUCAUGCUUGUUAUGAUGAACUUGUACUGGAUUUGAAUCUUUGUAAUGACUGUAGCCAACAUGUGGGUUUCCCUGCAGUUUGGCUUAGCUAGUAAUAUUAAUGAAGUCAGUUGUUUAGUUGGGAAGCCAUUUACUCUUACUUUCCUUUCUUAUCUGAGAAGCUGUGUUGAAUCAUAAUGAGGAUCAGUGAAGCUCUUUUGUUCACUCAGUGUCAUGAAGAAUUCUGUAUUCUCUUUUCUUAUGCUGAAAGAUUGUGAGAUCAAUGCUGAUGUGUGAAUGUCUUCCACAGAUGUCUGACAACAGGCGCCGAUGCAACAGGCGUGCUCAGCUGGAGCAGCAUGACCAGCAGGAGGAAAAUCAGAGGCAGCCUCCCCCACCACCCCCGAUGUCAGUGGAGCAGAUGUUCUUGAUGCAGACCCAGGCAGUGCAAGCCAUCGGGCAGACUCUGGCAGCCAUGCAGCUGGCUCAACAGCAGCCCCAACCCCAAUUGCAAGUGCAGAUGCCCCAGAUGCCACGGGAUAAGCGUGGUGAGUUCAUGAGAGGGCACCCUCCUACCUUCGCCCAUUCUGCUGAUCCCAUGGAUGCAGAAGACUGGUUGCGCGCAGUGGAGAGGGAACUGCGCACCGCCCAAUGCGACGACAGGGAGAAGGUUCUGUAUGGUCCCCGCCAGCUGAGGGGAGCAGCCCAGUCCUGGUGGGAGUCCUACCUCGCCACACAUGCUGACCCCGAAGCCAUCACUUGGGAGGAAUUCAGCGAGAGUUUCCGUCGGUACCAUGUGCCAGAGGGACUGAUGAUCGUGAAGAAGGAGGAGUUUCUGGCUCUGAAGCAGGGACCCAUGUCUGUUAGUGAGUACAGAGACAAGUUUCUGCAGCUAUCUCGUUAUGCACCCGAGGAUGUCAACACUGAUGCCAAGAGGCAGUACAGGUUCAUGAGAGGUUUGGUGGAUCCCCUGCAUUACCAGCUGAUGAAUCACACCUUCCCCACCUUCCAGCACCUGAUCGAUAGAGCAGUCAUGACUGAGAAGAAGCGUAAGGAUAUGGAAGAUCGGAAGCGCAAGAUGAGUGGACCCCAGUCCGGAGGCACCAGCCGUCCACGUUUCUCAGGCAGUUCAUCUCAGCAAGGCAGACCUGGUCACCCACAGGGAUAUCAGAAUCAGAAUCAGCGUCCGCAUCAGCAGCAGUUUCAGAGACAGUACCCGCAGCAGCAGCAGCAGUAUCGUCAGCACAACCAGCAGGGAGGUAAUCAGUAUCAGAAGCAGAACAACCAGGCACCUCGCCUUCCUGCCCUAGCAGCGAAUCAGAGCAACCAAGCAGCCCCAGCACAAGGAGGAGGCAGAGGAUGUUUCCACUGUGGAGACCAAGGCCACUGGGCGAUGCAGUGCCCAAAGAAGACGGCUCAGCAGCAGACCAACCCCAAUGCUCCAGCAAGGCAAGGUGUACUGCAGCCGGCAGCAGGCAAUCGUAACCAAGCGUACAACCGUGGAAAGGUGAACCACUUGGAGGCCGAAGCAAUCCAGGAUGCACCAGAUGUGGCAGUAGGUAUGUUCUCAGUCGAAUCUCAUCCCGCAAAAGUGCUAUUUGAUACUGGUGCAACUCAUUCAUUUGUCACUGCGACAUGGGUAGAACUGCAUAACAUCUCAGUAGAGGCAAUGAUGCCACCCAUGAGGAUUAAUUCGGUUGGUGGCAAGGUGCAAACAGAUAAAAUAUGUUCAAACGUAAUGGUGGAAAUAAGGGGGAUAGGUUUCCCCAGUGACUUAAUAGUAAUAGGCACCCCUGGGAUAGAUGUCAUUCUAGGGAUGAACUGGUUAAUGAAGUAUGAAGCAAAUGUUAGUUGUGACAAGAGGACCAUAACAUUGAAGUCCCCGUCAGGAGAGGAGGUAGUGGCCGAGCUAAGGAUGCCUAAGUCAGAAGAGGGAGUCUGUCAUCAGAUUUCAGUUGAUAGUAAGGAGCCCAACCCGCUCGAGACUAUCAAGGUUGUGUCGGACUUUCCGGAUGUGUUUCCCGAGGAGCUAACGGGCAUGCCACCCGAGAGAAAAGUCGAAUUUGCCAUAGAGCUUAUCCCUGGUACCGCCCCCAUUUCAAAAAGAGCCUAUCGAGUGUCUGGACCAGAAUUGGUGGAACUCAAGAAGCAGAUAGAUGAGAUGUUAGAGAAGGGUUACAUCAGGCCAAGCACCUCGCCUUGGGCCGCUCCAGUGUUGUUUGUAGAGAAGAAAGAUGGUACCAAAAGGAUGUGCAUAGACUACAGAGCCUUGAAUGAAGUCACUGUCAAGAACAAGUACCCCCUGCCAAGGAUAGAAGAUUUGUUCGACCAGCUCAGAGGUGCCAGCGUAUUCUCGAAGAUAGAUCUGAGAUCUGGUUAUCAUCAACUCAGAAUCCGACCCUCGGAUAUACCGAAGACAGCAUUCAUCACCAAGUAUGGGUUAUAUGAGUUCACGGUUAUGUCCUUUGGUUUGACAAAUGCGCCAGCCUUCUUUAUGUACCUGAUGAACAGUGUGUUCAUGGAUUAUCUAGACAAGUUUGUGGUAGUGUUCAUCGAUGAUAUUCUCAUAUACUCUCAAAGUGAGGAAGAUCAUGUAGAGCAUUUGAAAAUGGUAUUGCAAAGACUUCGAGAGCAUCAGUUGUAUGCCAAGCUGGGCAAAUGCGAGUUCUGGAUUCAUGAAGUCUUAUUUCUGGGUCACAUCAUAAAUCAAGAUGGGUUAGCAGUGGAUCCAAAGAAAGUAGCAGAUAUCCUGAACUGGAAAGCACCGAAGGAUGUUCGUGGGAUCAAGAGCUUCAUUGGGAUGGCCGGAUAUUACAGGCGUUUCAUCGAAGGCUUCUCAAAGAUUGCUAGACCAAUGACAGCGUUACUGGCGAAGAAAGUUGAGUUUAAGUGGACCCAAAAGUGUCAGGAAGCAUUUGAAGAACUGAAGAGUAGAUUGACUACAGCUCCUGUGUUAGUCCUGCCUGAUGUCCACAAGUCAUUCUCAGUAUAUUGCGAUGCUUCGUACACCGGAUUGGGAUGUGUGCUGAUGCAAGAAGGGAGAGUUGUAGCAUACUCAUCUCGACAGCUGAAGAUCCAUGAGAAGAAUUACCCCACACAUGACCUGGAAUUGGCAGCAGUGGUUCAUGCUUUGAAGACCUAGAGACAUUACCUGUAUGGGCAGAAGUGCGACAUCUACACAGAUCAUAAAAGUCUGAAAUACAUAUUCACCCAGUCAGAGUUAAACAUGAGGCAGCGAAGAUGGUUGGAAUUGAUCAAAGACUAUGAGUUGGAGAUACAUUACCAUCCAGGCAAAGCCAAUGUUGUUGCAGAUGCUCUGAGCAGGAAGAGUCAAGUUAAUAUGUUGGCCUCGUACCCGAUGCCGUAUGAGUUAGCCAAAGAGUUCGACAGACUGAGCCUUGGUUUCCUGAACAGUACGCAAGGAGUGACAGUGGAAUUAGAGCCCACCCUAGAGCGGGAGAUCAAAGAAGGGCAGAAGGAUGAUGAAAACAUCAACAAGAUCCGGCAGCUGAUCCUAGAAGGAAGAGGCAAAGACUUUCGAGAGGAUGAAGAAGGAGUAAUCUGGUUCAAGGACCGAUUGUGUGUUCCCGACCUCAAACCUAUUCGGGAACUGAUCCUCAAGGAAGCUCAUGAGACAGCCUACUCCAUACACCCAGGGAGUGAGAAGAUGUACCAGGACUUAAAAAGGAGGUUUUGGUGGUAUGGUAUGAAAAGGGAGACCGCAGAAUAUGUCGCCAUCUGUGAUAGCUGUCAGAGAACCAAAGCAGAGCAUCAGAGGCCUGCCGGAUUGUUGCAGCCAUUGCGGAUUCCUCAGUGGAAGUGGGAUGAGAUCGGGAUGGAUUUCAUAGUUGGCCUACCUCGUACCUGGGCCGGCUACGAUUCUAUCUGGGUGGUUGUGGACCGCUUAACAAAGGUGGCCCACUUCAUACCUGUGAAGACGACAUACACCGGAGCAACGUUAGCUGAGUUAUACAUGUCACGAAUAGUUUGCCUUCAUGGUGUGCCGAAGAAGAUAGUGUCAGAUCGAGGAACGCAGUUCACGUCUCAUUUUUGGCAGCAGCUACAAGAAGCUUUGGGCACACAUCUGAACUUCAGCUCAGCUUAUCACCCGCAGACGGACGGUCAGACUGAAAGAACUAACCAGAUCUUAGAAGAUAUGUUGAGAGCCUGUGCGUUGCAAGACAAGUCAGGAUGGGACAAAAGGUUACCUUAUGCAGAAUUCUCCUACAACAAUAGUUACCAGGCCAGCUUGAAGAUGUCACCGUUUCAGGCACUCUAUGGACGGAGUUGUAGGACUCCGCUGCACUGGGACCAGCCUGGAGAGAGACAGGUGUUUGGCCCCGACAUCUUGCUUGAAGCCGAAGAGAAUAUCAGAAUGGUUCGGGAGAACCUGAAGACAGCCCAGUCAAGGCAGCAAAGCUAUGCGGACAGAAGGAGAAGAGAACUGAGUUUUGAAGUGGGAGACUACGUCUAUCUGAAGGUGUCACCUAUCAGGGGAGUCAGAAGGUUCGGAGUCAAAGGCAAGCUAGCACCCCGGUACGUCGGACCAUAUCAGAUUCAAGCCAAGCGUGGAGAAGUGGCUUACCAGCUCGACCUACCAGAGAGUUUGUCAGCAGUGCACAACGUGUUCCACGUGUCGCAAUUGAAGAAAUGUCUGCGAGUACCAGAAGAGCAGUUGCCAGUGGAGGGUUUGGAAGUUCAGGAAGAUCUAACCUACAUAGAGAAGCCAACGCAGAUUUUGGAGUUUGCAGACAGGGUCACCCGGAGAAAUACCAUCAGAAUGUGCAAAGUCAGAUGGGGUCACCACUCGGAGGAAGAAGCAACCUGGGAACGAGAAGAUGAUCUGAAGGCCAAAUACCCUGAACUCUUUGCUGACCAACCUUGAAUCUCGGGGCGAGAUUCUUUUAAGGGGGAUAGGUUUGUAACACCCUGAAUUUGGGGGUAUAAAAUUUCUUUGCUCAUAUCCACAAAUUCAGGUGUUACUUCCUUUUCUCAUCCUUCCUAAUUCUUUUCUCUCUCAUUUCUAUAGGAGCUAAGUGCUUAUUUUACUUGUAACCAUAGUUUAUUAUGUUAAACCCUAGUGGAGUAUGAAUUGUUGCAUCAUGUUGAACCCUAGAUUUCACUUUUGUUUGGUGCAUAAUUCUCAAAAGGUCUAAUUUGAAUUUGGGGCUCAUUUGAAUUUGAAUCAAAUAGAAUAAAUAAAAGAAAAGGGAAAAACAAUUCAGAAUAAAAGGAAAAGGCAAAGCAGCCCACUUACCCGCCCUCCUCGGCCUUUCGGCCCAGUCGGCCCACCCCGCGCGCGCCUCCCCCCCCCCCUUCUCUCUCUGCGCAGCGGGCCCGGCCUGUCGGCGCGUCCGCCUUCCGCGCACCCGCCUCCCUCUCUCACUGCUCGUCCGGCCCUACCCGUCGGCGCCCGCUUUCCCCGCGCGCGCCCGCUCCCUCGCUCUCUCUCUGCCCGUGGGCCCAACCCGUCAGCCCCGCUUCUCUCGCGCCCGCACCCGCUUUCUUCUCUCUCUCUGCGUCGCGGGCCCGGGCUGUCAGCCCCGUCGUCCCCGCGUAACCGCCGCCGAGCUGCUCGCGCCCACCUCCCCCGCGCCCACGUCGCGCGUGGAACUCGCCCACCUCGCCCUCGGCCACUUGUGCCCCGAGCCCACUCGCCCUCACCCUCUCCCCCCAUUUGCGCCCAGUAGACCCUCUCUUCCCCCCCUCGCUGCGCGCACGCAGAGCACCGCCGCCAUAACCCCGCCGUCCCGAGCUCGGUUCUUCGUCGCCGUUGGAGCUCCGCCGCGCCCUUAGCCCCGGUGAGCUCCGCCCCGACGGCCGCAACUCGGAACGCGCCCCAAUUCCCUCUCCCCCUCCCUAUUUCUCUCUGCCCGCGCUCACCCGUCGUCCGCCGUGCAGCCGCCACCGUCGACCCGGGUCCCCGUCGCGUCUCCGUCGCCGCCGAGGAGUCCCCGGAGCCCGCCUUGAGGUAACGGACCUCUCCCGCCCCUAUCGCCCUUUGUUUUGCUCUCUGUUGCGUUUGAUUGCUCGCCGGAGUAGAGUAGCCCCGCCGCCGAGCCGCCCCGCCGUGAAUCGCCCCUCCGGUGCCUCUGCCCUGACCCGGACCCCACCAAUGGAGUCCCCGUGCCCUCCCUAGCCUCCCCGACCACUCGGAUUGCCCCAGAGCCCCGCCAAUCGCCCGCGCCCCUCGUCUCCGGCGAGCCCUCCGCCGCGGGGACGAGCGCCGCCGCCCAGCUAGCCGUAGGGAAGACCCAGGCCGCCCAUCCGAUCUCCGCCGUUCAGCCCAGAUCGGGCGGCCCUGAUUCAACUCGCCCGGACCUAAUCCUGGCCGUCCGCCAGCGAUCCAGCGGCCCAGGCCCACUGCCCCCUCACCCCGUCUCUCUGCCCGCUAGGCCCCACUUGUCAGCUCGCCCGCGCGCCCGCGCUGUCCGCCCGGCCCCGCCCGUCAGUCCGCCCGCGCGCUCUGCCUGCCCGGUCCCGCUUGCCAGUCGCCCGCGCCCGCGCUGUCCGCCCGGCCCCGCCUGUCAGUCGCUCCCGCCGCCGCGCGCCCGCCCGCAGGAUCUAAUCCUGGCCGUAGAUCUGAGAUCCAACGGCUGUAGGCGCCCGAUACCCCUUCGCCCGCGCAUGUUCUUAAAGAGCCCCCCUGUUUUCUGGAAAUUGCGCCCGCCGUCCCUGGUUUCUCGCAGUUAAGUCCCUGGCCCUUUUAUUUAAUUCAAAAUAAGUCCUUAGGGUAUAAUUUUAACCCCUAAACUUGUAAAAUUCAUAACUUUGUCAUAUGAACUCCAAAUUAGGUGCUUCAAAUUGCAAAAUGUUCAUAAUAUUAUUAUCUAUCUGUUUAUGCAAUGUUUCCCUGCUGUUUCCAUGUAUUAAUUAAUAACUAAUCACUAGGAUAGGAUUAAGACUAUUGAAACCAUAUUUAAGAUAAUUAGAAAUGAGUAGACUUUAAUAAUAGUUGGAUUACUUAAGUUUAUGGACUUAAACACUUAAGUUUAGGAACUUAGACCAGAUAAUUACUUAAUCCCACCACUAACUUAGACCUGAUUAGUGGAUAGUGAAUCACUUUGUGUAGUCCUCUACCCCAGACCUAGGGAACACUAGAGUGUCUAUCCCUUUUCUGUUAUGAACUUGUGACCCCUCUCUGCUGCAUAUGUUUGGUAUAUUGUUUUCUGUUUGUUAUUUUCCCAAGUGCAUAGUGUGAAUGAUUGCUUUGCGUAGACAACGAGCAGUCUGUGUUUCCCGAGGCAGUUGCAGAGGAAGCCCCUGAUCAGCAGUUUGGUGAAGGCAAGUGUCCUCUGUCCCACUAUGUCCUAUUCAUUUAUAACUUACUACCCCGCAUUACUCACUUGAAACCUAAGGAUUGACUAGCUUUACAUUUUACUUUAUCCUUGAUGACCUUAUGGGCUAUUAUGGUUAGCACUCUGCUAUUGCUUUAACAUAAUCAAUGAACAUGAUGUGGCUAUUUACGAUACUGUUAUCCUGUUGAUGUUGAUGAUCUUGUGAUACUCUAGGGGGCUCAGGCUGUUUCCUGAGUACCUCUCCGUAAGGACUGGUUCGUUGAGAGACCACCCGGGAUAACAGUGCAACCAUGAGGGUGAAAUGGGAUGCCUUAGCUGUUAAUUGGAUGAACUAGAGGUGUAGUUGCUUAGCCGUCGUGCCAUCAAUGGGUCCAGGCACAGUGCUUGCUCUGCCGAGGCUGAGUGCCGAGGUUCUUUCGUUUUGCUCUUUGUUAGUCACUCUCCUGCGGGGAGGAGUACUGUGUUUAUCAAACUGGAGAAACCUAACGGGCAGCUAUGAUCUCUAGGGAAUCUUUGUAAGGCUUCGUAGUGAUACCCUGCUGGACCACCUAGGUAGUGGUCAAUGGGGAUUAGCUCUCCCCGGGUAGAAGGGAAUCACGGCUCAUGGGUAAAGUGUGCAACCUCUGCAGAGGGUAGUGAAACUGAUAUAUCAGCCGUGCUCACGGUUAAGAGCAGCCUUGGGAUCCUCUUUGAUUAGAGAUACAGAUGGUUCGAGAUACAAUGAUUAUGAUAUGGUUUUGGUUCGACUAUGAUGAUGUUCCUCGACGAGGAAAUGGUUUACGGGUUGGUUAAUGCUAAAAUCUGGCUUCUACUAAUGAUAAGUACCUGACCAACUAAAAGCAACUGCUUGAGCCUAACUCCACAUAAAGCUAGUCCACCUCAGCCAAACGGGACAUUUGCUGAGUACGUUGAUGUGUACUCAUCCUUGCUUUACCACAAAACACCAGGUUGUCCGCAUUGNNNNNNNNNNNNNNNNNNNNNNNNNNNNNNNNNNNNNNNNNNNNNNNNNNNNNNNNNNNNNNNNNNNNNNNNNNNNNNNNNNNNNNNNNNNNNNNNNNNNNNNNNNNNNNNNNNNNNNNNNNNNNNNNNNNNNNNNNNNNNNNNNNNNNNNNNNNNNNNNNNNNNNNNNNNNNNNNNNNNNNNNNNNNNNNNNNNNNNNNNNNNNNNNNNNNNNNNNNNNNNNNNNNNNNNNNNNNNNNNNNNNNNNNNNNNNNNNNNNNNNNNNNNNNNNNNNNNNNNNNNNNNNNNNNNNNNNNNNNNNNNNNNNNNNNNNNNNNNNNNNNNNNNNNNNNNNNNNNNNNNNNNNNNNNNNNNNNNNNNNNNNNNNNNNNNNNNNNNNNNNNNNNNNNNNNNNNNNNNNNNNNNNNNNNNNNNNNNNNNNNNNNNNNNNNNNNNNNNNNNNNNNNNNNNNNNNNNNNNNNNNNNNNNNNNNNNNNNNNNNNNNNNNNNNNNNNNNNNNNNNNNNNNNNNNNNNNNNNNNNNNNNNNNNNNNNNNNNNNNNNNNNNNNNNNNNNNNNNNNNNNNNNNNNNNNNNNNNNNNNNNNNNNNNNNNNNNNNNNNNNNNNNNNNNNNNNNNNNNNNNNNNNNNNNNNNNNNNNNNNNNNNNNNNNNNNNNNNNNNNNNNNNNNNNNNNNNNNNNNNNNNNNNNNNNNNNNNNNNNNNNNNNNNNNNNNNNNNNNNNNNNNNNNNNNNNNNNNNNNNNNNNNNNNNNNNNNNNNNNNNNNNNNNNNNNNNNNNNNNNNNNNNNNNNNNNNNNNNNNNNNNNNNNNNNNNNNNNNNNNNNNNNNNNNNNNNNNNNNNNNNNNNNNNNNNNNNNNNNNNNNNNNNNNNNNNNNNNNNNNNNNNNNNNNNNNNNNNNNNNNNNNNNNNNNNNNNNNNNNNNNNNNNNNNNNNNNNNNNNNNNNNNNNNNNNNNNNNNNNNNNNNNNNNNNNNNNNNNNNNNNNNNNNNNNNNNNNNNNNNNNNNNNNNNNNNNNNNNNNNNNNNNNNNNNNNNNNNNNNNNNNNNNNNNNNNNNNNNNNNNNNNNNNNNNNNNNNNNNNNNNNNNNNNNNNNNNNNNNNNNNNNNNNNNNNNNNNNNNNNNNNNNNNNNNNNNNNNNNNNNNNNNNNNNNNNNNNNNNNNNNNNNNNNNNNNNNNNNNNNNNNNNNNNNNNNNNNNNNNNNNNNNNNNNNNNNNNNNNNNNNNNNNNNNNNNNNNNNNNNNNNNNNNNNNNNNNNNNNNNNNNNNNNNNNNNNNNNNNNNNNNNNNNNNNNNNNNNNNNNNNNNNNNNNNNNNNNNNNNNNNNNNNNNNNNNNNNNNNNNNNNNNNNNNNNNNNNNNNNNNNNNNNNNNNNNNNNNNNNNNNNNNNNNNNNNNNNNNNNNNNNNNNNNNNNNNNNNNNNNNNNNNNNNNNNNNNNNNNNNNNNNNNNNNNNNNNNNNNNNNNNNNNNNNNNNNNNNNNNNNNNNNNNNNNNNNNNNNNNNNNNNNNNNNNNNNNNNNNNNNNNNNNNNNNNNNNNNNNNNNNNNNNNNNNNNNNNNNNNNNNNNNNNNNNNNNNNNNNNNNNNNNNNNNNNNNNNNNNNNNNNNNNNNNNNNNNNNNNNNNNNNNNNNNNNNNNNNNNNNNNNNNNNNNNNNNNNNNNNNNNNNNNNNNNNNNNNNNNNNNNNNNNNNNNNNNNNNNNNNNNNNNNNNNNNNNNNNNNNNNNNNNNNNNNNNNNNNNNNNNNNNNNNNNNNNNNNNNNNNNNNNNNNNNNNNNNNNNNNNNNNNNNNNNNNNNNNNNNNNNNNNNNNNNNNNNNNNNNNNNNNNNNNNNNNNNNNNNNNNNNNNNNNNNNNNNNNNNNNNNNNNNNNNNNNNNNNNNNNNNNNNNNNNNNNNNNNNNNNNNNNNNNNNNNNNNNNNNNNNNNNNNNNNNNNNNNNNNNNNNNNNNNNNNNNNNNNNNNNNNNNNNNNNNNNNNNNNNNNNNNNNNNNNNNNNNNNNNNNNNNNNNNNNNNNNNNNNNNNNNNNNNNNNNNNNNNNNNNNNNNNNNNNNNNNNNNNNNNNNNNNNNNNNNNNNNNNNNNNNNNNNNNNNNNNNNNNNNNNNNNNNNNNNNNNNNNNNNNNNNNNNNNNNNNNNNNNNNNNNNNNNNNNNNNNNNNNNNNNNNNNNNNNNNNNNNNNNNNNNNNNNNNNNNNNNNNNNNNNNNNNNNNNNNNNNNNNNNNNNNNNNNNNNNNNNNNNNNNNNNNNNNNNNNNNNNNNNNNNNNNNNNNNNNNNNNNNNNNNNNNNNNNNNNNNNNNNNNNNNNNNNNNNNNNNNNNNNNNNNNNNNNNNNNNNNNNNNNNNNNNNNNNNNNNNNNNNNNNNNNNNNNNNNNNNNNNNNNNNNNNNNNNNNNNNNNNNNNNNNNNNNNNNNNNNNNNNNNNNNNNNNNNNNNNNNNNNNNNNNNNNNNNNNNNNNNNNNNNNNNNNNNNNNNNNNNNNNNNNNNNNNNNNNNNNNNNNNNNNNNNNNNNNNNNNNNNNNNNNNNNNNNNNNNNNNNNNNNNNNNNNNNNNNNNNNNNNNNNNNNNNNNNNNNNNNNNNNNNNNNNNNNNNNNNNNNNNNNNNNNNNNNNNNNNNNNNNNNNNNNNNNNNNNNNNNNNNNNNNNNNNNNNNNNNNNNNNNNNNNNNNNNNNNNNNNNNNNNNNNNNNNNNNNNNNNNNNNNNNNNNNNNNNNNNNNNNNNNNNNNNNNNNNNNNNNNNNNNNNNNNNNNNNNNNNNNNNNNNNNNNNNNNNNNNNNNNNNNNNNNNNNNNNNNNNNNNNNNNNNNNNNNNNNNNNNNNNNNNNNNNNNNNNNNNNNNNNNNNNNNNNNNNNNNNNNNNNNNNNNNNNNNNNNNNNNNNNNNNNNNNNNNNNNNNNNNNNNNNNNNNNNNNNNNNNNNNNNNNNNNNNNNNNNNNNNNNNNNNNNNNNNNNNNNNNNNNNNNNNNNNNNNNNNNNNNNNNNNNNNNNNNNNNNNNNNNNNNNNNNNNNNNNNNNNNNNNNNNNNNNNNNNNNNNNNNNNNNNNNNNNNNNNNNNNNNNNNNNNNNNNNNNNNNNNNNNNNNNNNNNNNNNNNNNNNNNNNNNNNNNNNNNNNNNNNNNNNNNNNNNNNNNNNNNNNNNNNNNNNNNNNNNNNNNNNNNNNNNNNNNNNNNNNNNNNNNNNNNNNNNNNNNNNNNNNNNNNNNNNNNNNNNNNNNNNNNNNNNNNNNNNNNNNNNNNNNNNNNNNNNNNNNNNNNNNNNNNNNNNNNNNNNNNNNNNNNNNNNNNNNNNNNNNNNNNNNNNNNNNNNNNNNNNNNNNNNNNNNNNNNNNNNNNNNNNNNNNNNNNNNNNNNNNNNNNNNNNNNNNNNNNNNNNNNNNNNNNNNNNNNNNNNNNNNNNNNNNNNNNNNNNNNNNNNNNNNNNNNNNNNNNNNNNNNNNNNNNNNNNNNNNNNNNNNNNNNNNNNNNNNNNNNNNNNNNNNNNNNNNNNNNNNNNNNNNNNNNNNNNNNNNNNNNNNNNNNNNNNNNNNNNNNNNNNNNNNNNNNNNNNNNNNNNNNNNNNNNNNNNNNNNNNNNNNNNNNNNNNNNNNNNNNNNNNNNNNNNNNNNNNNNNNNNNNNNNNNNNNNNNNNNNNNNNNNNNNNNNNNNNNNNNNNNNNNNNNNNNNNNNNNNNNNNNNNNNNNNNNNNNNNNNNNNNNNNNNNNNNNNNNNNNNNNNNNNNNNNNNNNNNNNNNNNNNNNNNNNNNNNNNNNNNNNNNNNNNNNNNNNNNNNNNNNNNNNNNNNNNNNNNNNNNNNNNNNNNNNNNNNNNNNNNNNNNNNNNNNNNNNNNNNNNNNNNNNNNNNNNNNNNNNNNNNNNNNNNNNNNNNNNNNNNNNNNNNNNNNNNNNNNNNNNNNNNNNNNNNNNNNNNNNNNNNNNNNNNNNNNNNNNNNNNNNNNNNNNNNNNNNNNNNNNNNNNNNNNNNNNNNNNNNNNNNNNNNNNNNNNNNNNNNNNNNNNNNNNNNNNNNNNNNNNNNNNNNNNNNNNNNNNNNNNNNNNNNNNNNNNNNNNNNNNNNNNNNNNNNNNNNNNNNNNNNNNNNNNNNNNNNNNNNNNNNNNNNNNNNNNNNNNNNNNNNNNNNNNNNNNNNNNNNNNNNNNNNNNNNNNNNNNNNNNNNNNNNNNNNNNNNNNNNNNNNNNNNNNNNNNNNNNNNNNNNNNNNNNNNNNNNNNNNNNNNNNNNNNNNNNNNNNNNNNNNNNNNNNNNNNNNNNNNNNNNNNNNNNNNNNNNNNNNNNNNNNNNNNNNNNNNNNNNNNNNNNNNNNNNNNNNNNNNNNNNNNNNNNNNNNNNNNNNNNNNNNNNNNNNNNNNNNNNNNNNNNNNNNNNNNNNNNNNNNNNNNNNNNNNNNNNNNNNNNNNNNNNNNNNNNNNNNNNNNNNNNNNNNNNNNNNNNNNNNNNNNNNNNNNNNNNNNNNNNNNNNNNNNNNNNNNNNNNNNNNNNNNNNNNNNNNNNNNNNNNNNNNNNNNNNNNNNNNNNNNNNNNNNNNNNNNNNNNNNNNNNNNNNNNNNNNNNNNNNNNNNNNNNNNNNNNNNNNNNNNNNNNNNNNNNNNNNNNNNNNNNNNNNNNNNNNNNNNNNNNNNNNNNNNNNNNNNNNNNNNNNNNNNNNNNNNNNNNNNNNNNNNNNNNNNNNNNNNNNNNNNNNNNNNNNNNNNNNNNNNNNNNNNNNNNNNNNNNNNNNNNNNNNNNNNNNNNNNNNNNNNNNNNNNNNNNNNNNNNNNNNNNNNNNNNNNNNNNNNNNNNNNNNNNNNNNNNNNNNNNNNNNNNNNNNNNNNNNNNNNNNNNNNNNNNNNNNNNNNNNNNNNNNNNNNNNNNNNNNNNNNNNNNNNNNNNNNNNNNNNNNNNNNNNNNNNNNNNNNNNNNNNNNNNNNNNNNNNNNNNNNNNNNNNNNNNNNNNNNNNNNNNNNNNNNNNNNNNNNNNNNNNNNNNNNNNNNNNNNNNNNNNNNNNNNNNNNNNNNNNNNNNNNNNNNNNNNNNNNNNNNNNNNNNNNNNNNNNNNNNNNNNNNNNNNNNNNNNNNNNNNNNNNNNNNNNNNNNNNNNNNNNNNNNNNNNNNNNNNNNNNNNNNNNNNNNNNNNNNNNNNNNNNNNNNNNNNNNNNNNNNNNNNNNNNNNNNNNNNNNNNNNNNNNNNNNNNNNNNNNNNNNNNNNNNNNNNNNNNNNNNNNNNNNNNNNNNNNNNNNNNNNNNNNNNNAUUAAUAUUAAUCUGGCGUUAAAACAUUGAAAGUAAGGAUUCACUUUAGUAAGCUAUUUCUGCAAAAAUAUCUAAGUUAAUUCUUGCUAAAGCCUUUUCCUUGAUUCCCAUUAAACCAGCAUACCCUUGAGAGUCUUUUCUUUUGUCGGGUAAGUCUUGCUGAGUAAUUCCAUACCCAGGGUUUUAUUCCCUGUUGUUUUUCAGGAUAUAACUUUGUGCUGCUGUGAUGGUGUUAAGUGACGGUGGGCUCAGCCUUCUUAUAUAAGUAUACCCCGUCUUUAUCUUCUUAUUGAGGAUGGUCACUUGAGCUAGCAUAUAUUUCAAACUUAUACUUUUGUAAUCACUCCGAUAAAAUAUUACAAAAAUUUUGUAACUUGUAAAAUUUGGUAAUAAGAUUUCCGCUGCAAAAAUAUUGAUGUGUGUGAUUUGUGUUACUUAAUCCCGUGGUUCUGAUUGUAAGUGGUUUAUCCGAGGUCCUUGGGGCACUCGGACGGAUCCUGUUAAGUUAUUUGGUGCACAUGCCUAGCCGUCUGAGGUCUUUGAGACAAGGACAGGUGCAUGUGGGCCCAAUAGCUUGGGAGGUUCUGCCACAGCUGGUAUCGGAGCUGGAUUAAGUAUAUACGGUCACAUACGUAUUUUAAAAACAAAAGUUUUAGUUUUGAAAAACCUAUUUUCAACUAAACACAUUGUUUGGCUUUGAAAAACGGUUUUGAAAAACUAUAAUGCUAGCGACAUCCUCUGUUAAGCCCUAAAUUAAGGACUAUCAUGUGGCUUAUUGAAAACCACUAACCCACAACCGGGUGGGUAUUGCAUACAUGUGUAUUGUUAUUUUUGAGGCCAUUCAGUCUUGAAUGGAUCGACGCUCAAGGUAAGGUGAGAUGUGAGAGCAUGACCGAUAACCGUCGGUCUAGGGAAGAGUGUAAAAGCGCUUGAUUAUAUACAUGUUCUACAUAUGUAUAUAUGAAGGCUGCGAUGUGGAGUAUUUACUUUUCUGGGAUUCAGUACCCCAUGGAUGUGUAUGGGUAUACAGACAUGGGAAUACUGAGAAGUGUAAUGUACUUGUAACGACGCACCUACGCACAGGUAAGAAGGUAAGUUACCAUAAUGAGUUGCCCUAUGGUUAAAGUGUGGCAAUAGCGCCUAUGUGUGGCUCAGUGCUUAAUGAUGAGCUGGCCUCCAUAUAGAAAUAUAUGGAGUAUAAACUGUGAUAAACAGUCAUGUGUGAACUGCAUCAUUGGGAAUUGGGCUGUGAUGGAAUUUUCUGCAGGUACACUAACCUCGAAAACGUAUGUGUAGUUGACGACUAGCAAAAUACCGUGAGAGUCGUUAGUAUGCCACCGAUAUAGAACGCUAUUGCCACAUUAGUUUGGCACAAAUUCGUGAGAACGUGUAGGGCGAGCAUGCAUAUUGAUUGUUGCAUUGUGUUUGUCACCUAUACACCCAAAAUGCUUCUCUCGUCUCUAUUCCAGUAGCCGAUGAUUGUAGGUAAAGUGGUGUAAUGCUGAAUUAUGAACUUCGAUGAAAUAGGUGUCCUCAAUUCUUAGGUAAUCUAUUUAGGAAUUAUAUGUGUUUGCUCUUGGGCUUGAUGUGCCGAUAGAAGGUUGGUGACUUGUUUGCCUGAACCCAAAAUCAAGCCAUGUUCUUAUUUGGUGAACUAGAACCCCAAAUUCGAAUUUACCAUUAUUCCUUCAUGACCAAACUCAUGUAAAUAAAUGCGUAGAUAAUUUCCUUGUUGGACCUAAAGUGUACCCGAACUUGAAACAAGAAUCUCGAGUCAUGUCUCCAUCCUAAACCAUAUCCUUAUUCAGUUGGUGCAAGCUGAUGUACCUUAUCCAGUUCGCUUGUUCUUAAGGAUCGCAUGUUGCUUUAUCAACCUAACCCAGAAAAGACCUGUCCGAGUAUUUUCUUGAAUUUGGUGCCUUUGAUUUUCUCAUGUCCAUUGAAGGCAUACCGAUUUCAUCUUGUGAUUGUUUUUCCCUCCGUAUCUAAUCAGAUACUAAUCCUUGACCUUGUAAUCUCUACAAUGGGCAUAGAAAUAUGCUCGGGGCUGAAUUAACAGUCUCCCAUUAUACUCCUUUCAUCAAGUCUAGGUUAUGGCCAUACCUUGUUCACUUCAUCGGGUCAUGAUCUAUUUGGUUCUCUACUUGUAACCAUUCUUACAGGUGGAGUAUCUCUUUGUAUAUUGUCACCCUUACUCAAUUCAUUUGUGUCGCGUGAGAUUUCUUAUUGGUUAUGUCUCGUAAUGGUGUUAUGACUAAAACUGGUGGUGCCGUGAUGAAACCGAGGGCCUUCUAUGUGUGUGCACACACGGUUAUGCUGCUCGGCACGCGCUGGUAUCAUGGUUAUAGUUGUAAUCCAUUAUGAGACAAUGUCAAUGCGUUAUCUUGGCACAAUCUGUUUUUGCUACGUAAGAUUCGUUAUUGGUGCCAGUUCGGUAGUGGUGUCAUGAUUAAGGACUUAUGGUGCCACAGCGAAACUGAGAGCCUCCUGUGAAUGCGCACACAGGAUUUUGCUGCUUGGCGCAUGCUGGUAUCAAGGUCUCUGGUCAUGAUCCAUUGUGGAACUACACUAAUAUAUUAUCUUCCGUAGAUCUCUUCCUUGAAACGAUUUUGGUGUUGUUUAUCGAAGUGACCAAGCAACAUCUAUCAUCUAUGUUGGAUCAAAAGGGCAUACCACUUUCAUGUGUGGUUUCUUUUCCUUGACUUUGAUAGUGACUUCACACAUACACAUUCCCUUUGCAUCCUUUUUGUAAAGGUGAAGCCUUGGAGCUUUUUAGUGUCGAGAGGCAACUGAUUAGCUCUCAAAAUGGAGAUUGGUUUCCCCUGCUGCUGAAAUGCAGGAGUUUGUUCAUUCGUUCUCUUAUUCAAUCCAUGUAUUCCCGAACCAAGUCAGUUCAUCUCGCAUGAAGAAACGGAAGAAUAACCCGACCAAAUGGAUUUCUACCCAACUACACGCUCAAGUGUUAAUAUGAGUGAACUCUCGACCGAUGGUACUGAGAGGACAUGCCCAAUGUCAAAAGUGGUUCAACAAGUUGGUUUUGACUAACUUGUAACUGCCCAGUGAACGAAGGCUGAGUUUAGAGAUCGUUUUGUCGAGUUAUCUAAACUCACUUUGGUUCAACCCAUCCCAAGAAAGUUCUUACAAAGAUCAAGUUAAAAUCGACUGAUAACUCCUAGUCAUCGCCCUAGUCAUGCCUCGAUCGCCUCACGUGUGCUUUUCCAGCAUGGGUGAUCAGGUCGAGCCAUGCCUAGUGCUCGAUAAAAUGGGUUGGUUGCGAAGGUAGCAUCUACAGAUCCCUCCGCUGGUGAUUCACUCGAAUCUAUACCCUCAUUCGUGGACUAGAAUUCUCGGGUUAGCCGUUAGCCACAUGUUAACCGCGACAGUAUUCAACAUCCCCACUUGCCUCGUGUGCUACGAGCUUACCGUGACCACUUGUUGGUAAACCUCCUUCGAUGUGUUUUACCCAAGAGGUUGCAUCUGAUUCUGUUUGGGUAAAGUCGCAUAUCCACCGCUCGCUCAACAGACUCAGAUAACACAGUGUCAUCAGAAAAAGCAAACUGCACACAUGGAACCUUAUGUGUUCUCAUGGCAGACAUCGUCUCUAUUGGUGGACAUCUCUAAAUUGGCUUAAGUCGAUACCUAUUAUGUCCACUAGGGAAACCUUAUCCUGAGACACUCGCCCUUGUUUGGAAAUGUCUCCCGAUUAUCGCUGAUAUGAACAUGGGGUAUAUGCAUCUCUACUCUUAAAAGUUUUUCGCUCCGAAUCUCGGGACGAGAUUCUUUUAAGGUGGGAGGGCUGUAACACCCGAGGUGUUUAUAUUCCGCUCGACAACGAGUACGGAUUAAGCACGUAAUAUCAGUGAAUAAAACAUAUGCUAAAUUUUAAAUCAUCUUCGUCUAGCACGAUUUUAAUAUUCGCAUCUGUUUCGUCUGUCGCGAGUUCGGCAUCAUUUGUAUCUAUCCGAGCUCUUCCGAAAUUUUCGUGUUGUUCGGAACAUAGUCGUUCCGAAAAUCUGUGCGUCCGAUGAUUAUUUAAAUUCAUCGCUCGUGCGAAUACGAAUUCGGAAGCUCGACCCACUCGGAUGAUUUUAUCCCGGGCAAAUUAAUUUGAAUUCGUCGACUAAGGUUUUUGGCGCAAAUAAUUAUGUCUCCACUCGUCAACCGAGAAAAUCGUGUCUGAGAAUUUAUAAUUGAGAUUCGAUUCUCCACAUAAAUUAUCUGUUGACGUGGAAUCGAGUGUCGACUGCGGAUGAAAUAAUUUGAUUUCAAAUCAAAUUGAACAUCGUUUGAAAUACGGUUGUUCACACCGUUCGGAUUUGUUCCGACGACGUCUCGCCCCGAUCCAAAACUUUGGAUAUAAAUAACAGGUACAAAUUCGUUCGAGUCCAAAGUAUUCGCCAAAUCAAAAUCAUGUCACGAUUACUGUCUACCCCGUAUACGUCGCUAAGAAAAUUUGGGAUCUAAAAUAUCUGUGAUUUUUCGGUUAAAGAAAUUAAAAAUCUAAAAAAAUGGAAAAUAUCCCAGAAUUUUUUUCCCAACCGUGCUUAUCUGUUCCCUGUGCGCGUCGUCAUCUUGUUCUAGCCGCCGCUCAUCCUGAAGAAAAAAAACGCACGAUUCUCCCUUAUCCUUUCUCCUCGCGCGACGGCCUGCAGCGGCCUUAUCUCCAGCAGCUAGCGCUCAGCUCCUGCUCGAUCUUCUUCCAUGGCGCGCGCCUGCUACUGGCGCUCGGCCUCCUGCCCACCCCCUGCGUUUUUCCCCUGCUGAAGCUUUUCCAUGGCAUCCUGUUUUCUGUGCGCGUUUCUCGGCGCCCGGCUCCCUGCUCGAGCUCCCCACCCAUGGCCGCCCUCAACCCCAUGGUCGAGCUCGCCCAGCUCCCUGCUCCGGUGACUAGCGCUCAGCGUCUGGAUCCCUGGAUGCUUGCCCUGCUCGCCGCCAUUCCGCUAGAUCCUGCGUGCUCCAGCCAUGGCGCCCUCCCUUGCUUCUCUCUCCCUCUGCCAUUCUCCAGCUCGCCCAGCCCCUGCUCCUGCUCGCCAUGGCUGCCGCGCCCUCCCAGCCGCAGAGUUACCGCGCGCGUGAGCUUCUCUUUUGGCCAUCGCUGUUCCCUGGUGCAGUCGCCUAUGCCGCGCGCUCUCUCUCCAGCGCCCACCCCCAGCUCGGCCCUCCACCUCCCUCUCGUCUGGAUACCGGUGCUGCUCGCCCUGAGCUCCUGCCUUGGCCGUCGCAGCUUCAAAUCCGUGGACGUCGCCCAUGGAAGCUCGCCGAACUGUGUCCAAACUUUUCCUGCGUCGGUCGUGGUCUUCAAGCACCGACGCGCGUGUCCCUGCUCCCAGAUCCAAGGCCGGUCGUCGUGUAUGCUCGCCUCGGUUGUGUGGCCAUGCUCCUGUCCCAGUCACCGCCGAUGAAGGUCCGUCCUGUAGCAGCACCCUAGUGGUCGUCGACUUGGAGCUCUGCAAUGACUCCAUGCCCGAGCUCGCCCUCAACUCUACAGCACCGCCGAGCUCGGUCCGGUCCUUUGCUGCAGCUCGUCCCCAUGGCCGCCGCAGUCCUGCCGAGAUCCCUGUCGUUCGCGCGCUGCUCCUCCCUCACCAUGCCGCGCGGAUCCCUCUCCUUCCAACCCUGCUCGGAUUGUGUCGCGCUUGCUGUCGCGUUCGGCCUGCUCCGGAUCCGAAGUUGGUCGCCUCGGUGUGAAAUCGUCGUCGCGUCCAGGUUUUGACAUGUCUCCCUACUCGUCGUCGAACUUGGGUUCCCUGCUCAGCCUUUAGCGCUAGCGCGUCGCCGUGAGGUUACCGUCUCGCCGUGAUUCCCUGGUGGUCCGUGUCUCUGCAUGUUCAAAUCGUCAACCUCGUGCACCACCUGCUCUCUAAAUGGGAAACCAACAGUCUUCUCCCUGCUCCUCUGCCCGCAGCCGCGUUCCUCUACCGGCCAUCAGUUGCCGCUGAACCACUGUCGGAUUAAUUUUCAGCUUCCCUCGCGCGGCUCUCUGGAGAUAAGCUCUUCAUCGACUGUCGCUCCCAAUCUUCAGUUCGCCGACUGACUGUCGUGUUCCUUAUUUUCCCUCGUCGGUCGACCUCGUCGCGACUUUGUUCGUCCAUCGUGCUGGUCGCUAUCCCAUACUGUACCUAUUAGCUCGGAUCCUGCCCAGCUCGUUGUCGCGUCGUUUGCCGUCGAGUCGUCAAACACGUCAUCCCCUGCUCGACCCCCACCUCACCAGCUCGCUCCAAACACGAUCUCGUCGUCGUUCCGCGCGUCAGCAAGAAAUCCCAAGAAUCGGGUGAAAACGAAGCUAGCAGCGCGAUAUUCCCUAAGCGCUCGACAAAUUGCCUGUAUCGGAAAAUCGCUACCGAUCCCGCGGAUUCGUGUCAGUUGUGGAAACGGUAAGCUGAUAAAUUAUUCAGAAUAGCUCGAUCGAUGAAUAAAUAAAUGUGCUAGUGCGAUGCUUAUUAAGGUGCUCGAUAAAUUGCGUAAGUCACGAAACUCUCGUCGACUUCGCAGUUCUUGCGAUUAUCGAGCCAGGUUCAGUUAUAGUGAGUUAUCUCGCUAUUCCGGUCAAUUAGUUGAAUUAGUAUACCGAGUAGAAUAUUAGUAGGCCUGUGAGGUGAUGAAAUAUUUUUAUCACUUAUAAAGAUGUAGUAUAAUUUAUAAAGCAAGGGAUUAGUUCAGAAUUUAAUUAAUUAACUGAUAAGUUGUGAUUAGGCUAAUUGUAUUUCUUGUGUAUAGUUUGUUGUUCGUGAUGUUUGCGAUAGGUUCGAGAAGCGUAAUUAUUGCGCUUAAUUGUACGUCGAUAAUUAGUAUCUCCGUAUGAAAUUGUUCAACGCCUCACCGCUAGGUGUUAAUUCGCUAUCGCGUAGUACUAUUUAGGUUUGUUAUAUUUCCGUCGAUAUGCAUUCAUGUGCAUAAUGCAUUCCAUUCAGGUACGUUAAUUAAUCGCGUGUUGCGGAAGACGAGCCAAGUCGACUCCAAGCGCGGGCUAUUCCGCAGGAUGAUGCUGAUGGACAAACCUGAAGAUGGUCGUCAAGUGGACGCCGUCUAACAAACACUAACCCAGUGUUUAUUCCAGGCAAGCCCUGGUGCAUGCAACCCCUUCCUUGUGUUUUUAAAUAAUUUUUGCGCACUUUAAGUCUAGUGAAAUGUGCAUUAGGUUUAUAUGAGUUGCUUGGAACCUUUGAUGCAUUGCCUUCCUUGAUAUCCAUACCUUUAUAGAUACUUCUGGUGAAGUAUCAAAAUAUGAUUUACAAAAAUGCUUAGCCCUGCUCAGAUCUUGUGGAUAGAGGUUGUCUUUUGCAUUAAGGCCUAGCUCAAGGGUUAUCCUGGGGAAAGAUGGCUUCUACCUGCAAGAAUAUUUUUGUUGAGAGCGUGGUGGGAUCUUACUGCAAAGUUCCCUUUGAUGCUCUUUUCUUCCUAAGGAAUACAAACAAUCCUAAGGGUGGAAGUACUUAAAUCGGGACUUGGGCUAGGAACAGGUGAUGUUCUACCCAGGUUGAUUAAGGAUUGGAUGCGUAUGUAGGCCUGCUAGAUCAAGGACUAUCUUAACUAGCCACAUACCCUGGAAAUGGGACAGGGUAAGCUUUGCCUCGGGCAGACUAAUACCAGAAUAAGAUAACACGCAAUGGGAGUGGAGAGAUGACGAGAGUAGCGUGUACCCUUCGUGGCAAGAGGCUGGACGGUGGUGUAUCUGUGCUCUCGGUUGGCGUGAACCUGAUCUGGUCUUAAGAACCCCAGUGGCGAGUUGACAUAUGCAAGGGUUAAGUGCUACAUAUGUCGUGUGGUUAGAAAUCCUCAGCUAAGUAAAUCGAUUCGGAUCACCGUUAUAUCCCCGAAGAGUGGAGACUUGAUCACUGACCUGCAACCUAAGUCAGGAUGUGGACAUUAUGAAUAAAAAUGAUGUUGUAUUGAUGAGAUGGUGAAAUUAGACUAGAUGCAAUCAGAGUCUAUUAAUAUUUAAUCUGGCGUUAAAACAUUGAAAGUAAGGAUUCACUUUAGUAAGCUAUUUCUGCAAAAAUAUCUAAGUUGAUUCUUGCUAAAGCCUUUUCCUUGAUUCCCAUUAAACCAGCAUACCCUUGAGAGUCUUUUCUUUUGUCGGGUAAGUCUUGCUGAGUAAUUCCAUACUCAGGGUUUUAUUCCCUGUUGUUUUUCAGGAUAUAACUUUGUGCUGCUGUGAUGGUGUUAAGUGCCGGUGGGCUCGGCCUUCUUAUAGAAGUAUACCCUGUCUUUAUCUUCUUAUUGAGGAUGGUCACUUGAGCUAGCAUAUAUUUCAAACUUAUACUUUUGUAAUCACUCCGAUAAAAUAUUAUAAAAUUUUUGUAACUUGUAAAAUUUGGUAAUAAGAUUUCCGCUGCAAAAAUAUUGAUGUGUGUGAUUUGUGUUACUUAAUCCCGCGGUUCUGGUUGUAAGUGGUUUAUCCGAUGUCCUUGGGGCACUCGGACGGAUCCUGUUAAGUUAUUUGGUGCACAUGCCUAGCCGUCUGAGGUCUUUGAGACAAGGACAUGUGCAUGUGGGCCCAAUAGCUUGGGAGGUUCUGCCACAAUUGGCCUUAAAAGUAAAAGAAGGGAAUUAUCUGACCAUAAAAGGAAGUUCCAAGGUCAGUCCAGCAGGAACACCCACCCGAACAACACUCAAGGUUCGCAGUUCCGCUCUGGAAAUUAGAGUGGAAACAAUUAUCAGAUGCAACGCUCUGGACAUCAAGGCCAGAGAAAUAAUCAAAGCUAGAACCAGCAAAGGAGCAACUCUCAGACCAACCAAAGGUCUGGUGGGAGUUCACAGAAUCGUCAAGGUGGCACCGUGAACACGUAGGCCAGAAGCAACAACGCACCAGUCCAACCCAAUGGUUGUUUCAAGUGCGGUGAACUUGGCCACUAUGCUAACAACUGCCCAAAGUGCAACCAACAGACAUCACAGAAAAGCAAUAAUUAGAGGAAUGACCAGAACACCCCCGCUCGUAGAUCUGCACAGAACAAGACUUCGCAGAACCAGCGUAGAGGAAGGGUCAAUCAUGUCACCGCAGAAUCAGUGCCUGAGGAUGCUGACGUGGUGUAUGGUAUGUUCCUUGUUAACUCCAUACCUGCAUCAGUUUUUUUGACUCUGGAGCAUCCCAUUCAUUUAUAACUGAGUCAUUUGUGGAAAAACAUAACAUACCAAAGUACCCCCUUAAGAAGAUGUUACACAUUAGUUCACCGGGAGGUGACAUGAAGGCCACACACUCAUGCCCCCAUGUUAAUCUUAAGAUUCAAGGAAUAGAUUUUUCAGUCGACCCAGUGGUCCUAGGAUCCAACGGUUUUGAUGUGAUUCUUGGAUGCAACUGGUUGAAAAGUUGUGAUGGAGUGAUUCAGUGUGCCAACAGAACAAUUACGUUGACAAGUCCUCAAGGUGAAAGAAUCCAAGUUAGCAUAGACAAGUCAACAGAUGAAAAAGGAAAGACAGUGAUAAAUCACUUGGAAGAAAAACCCCUGGAAAAUAUCAAGGUAGUGUUUGAGUACCCAGACGUAUUUCUGGAGGAAUUACCAGGUAUGCCACCUGACCGUGAUAUAGAGUUUUCAAUUGAAUUAUUACCCAGAACCGCACCUAUUUCAAAAAGACCUUAUAGAAUGGAUGUCAAGGAUUUAGUAGAACUGAAGAAACAAAUAGAAGAAUUACUAGAAAAAGGUUUCAUUCGCCCAAGUUCAUCCCCUUGGGGAGAACCAGUUCUAUUUGUGAACAAGAAGGAUGGUUCGAGGAGAAUGUGUGUUGAUUAUAGAAGUUUGAAUGAAGUAACCAUCAAGAAUAAGUACCCAUUACCUCAGAUUGAAGAUUUAUUUGAUCAGAUGAAGGGAGCUAAGAUAUUCUUGAAGAUAGAUCUGAGAUCAGGAUAUCACCAGUUAGAAAUUCGAGCAGAAGAUGUACCGAAGACAACCUUCACGACAAGAUAUGGAUUAUAUGAGUUUUUGGUCAUGUCGUUUGGACUGACUAAUGCACCAGCAUACUUUAUGAACUUGAUGAAUAAAGUAUUCAUGGAAUAUUUGGAUCAGUUUGUGGUCGUAUUCAUUGACGACAUACUGAUAUAUUCUCCGAAUGAAGAAACACAUGAAGAUCAUUUAAGGCUAGUCCUACAAAAGCUUCGUGACAACCAAUUAUAUGCAAAAUUCUCGAAGUGUGAUUUUUGGUUGAAGGAAGUUGCUUUCUUAGGGCAUAUCGUUACCGAUGGUGGAAUUAAAGUGGACCCAGGAAAGAUAAGUGAGAUACUGGAUUGGAAGCAACCAAAGGAUGCGUCCAAGAUCAGAAGUUUUCUUGGAUUGGCAGGAUACUAUAGAAGAUUUAUUGAAGGUUUUUCCAAGUUAGUGAAACCACUUACCUCUCUACUGGAGAAAGGUAAAGAGUUCAAGUGGGAUGAAGCUUGUCAGAAUUGUUUUGAAGAACUCAAGAAAAGGUUAACCACUGCACCAAUUUUGGUAAUGCCAGACAUCCACAAGGGAUUUGAUGUGUAUUGCGAUGCAUCACACCUUGGACUUGGAUGUGUGCUAAUGUAAGAAGGAAAAGUGAUAGCUUAUGCCUCAAGGCAGUUGAGGAAGCAUGAGAAGAAUUAUCCUACGCAUGAUUUGGAACUAGCUGUCGUAGUGCAUGCUUUGAAGAUUUGGAGACACUAUAUGAUUGGAAACAAGUGCAAAAUCUUCAAGGAUCACAAAAGCUUGAAAUACAUAUUCACUCAGAAGGAACUCAAUCUAAGACAGAGAAGAUGGCUUGAGUUGAUUAAGGCAUAUGAUUUGGAAAUACAAUAUCACCCCGGAAAGGCAAAUGUAGUAGCUGAUGCUUUGAGUCGUAAGGGUCAAGUGAACAACAUCACUACUCAUUUGAUGUCACAAGAAUUGUGCUGGGAAAUGGAACAACUCAACCUUGGUAUGCUUAAUAAUGUAGAAGCAACGGUUAUGGAAGUUGAAUCUACUUUGGAAGAAGCGAUUCGUAAAGGACAAGAGUCUGAUGAGAAAAUCAAAGAAAUCAAGACACAAAUUAGUUUGGGUAAAGCCCCAGAUUUCACGGAAGAUGAACAAGGCACAGUAUGGUUUAAGAAGAGAAUAUGUGUACCAGAAAUUGAACACCUGCGCCAACUUAUUUUGAGAGAAGCUCAUGAUUCAGCUUAUUCUAUUCACCCUAGAAGUACAAAGGUGUACCAGGAUCUUAAGGAAAAGUAUUGGUGGUACAGAUUGAAAAGAGAUGUUGCUACUCAUGUUGCAUUAUGUGACGUGUGUCAGCGAGUUAAAGCCGAACACCAAAGACCAGCAGGAUUACUACAACCUCUCAAGGUACCUGAAUGGAAAUGGGAAGAAAUCGGUAUGGAUUUCAUAGUUGGACUACCCCAUACUCGAGAUGGCUAUGAUUCAAUAUGGGUCAUAGUGGACAAGUUGACUAAAGUGGCACACUUUAUACCUGUGAAGACAACUCACUCGGGAGCCUAGUUAGCAGAAUUAUACAUGUCAAGGAUUGUUUGUGUGCAUGGAGUACCGAAGAAGAUCGUAUUAGAUCGAGGAACCCAGUUUACCUCACGUUUUUGGAAAAGACUACAUGAGUCCAUGGAUACCAAGCUAAACUUUAGUUCAGCUUAUCAUCCGCAAACGGAUGGGCAAACGGAAAGAACAAACCAAGUGUUGGAAGAUAUGCUAAGAGCUUGCGCUCUAAAGCAUGGUAGAAGCUGGGAUAAGAGUUUGCCUUAUGUAGAAUUUUCGUAUAACAACAGUUAUCAGGCAAGUUUAAAGAUGGCACCAUUUGAAGCACUAUAUGGACGAAAGUGUAGAACAUCGCUUUAUUGGAAUCAGACUGGAGAAAGUCAAGUAUUUGGUCCAGAAAUUAUCCAAGAGGCGGAAAAGCAAGUGCAGAUUAUUAGAGAAAAUUUGAAGAUAGCACAGUCAAGACAAAAGCUAUGCUGAUAAUAGAAGAAGAGAGUUGAUGUUCGAAGUAUGAGACUUUGUCUACCUUAAAGUUUCACCGAUGAGAGGAAUGAAAAGGUUUAAGGUUAAAGGAAAAUUAUCUCCUCGCUAUAUCGGCCCAUUCAAGAUUUUGGAAAGAAAAGGUGAAGUAGCCUACCAGUUAGAGCUACCCGAUAGUUUAUCGGAUGUGCAUAACGUAUUUCACGUAUCACAACUCAAGAAGUGUUUAAGAGUACCGGAGGAACAGUUACCCAUGGAAGAACUGAAUGUCAAUGAGGAUUUGACUUAUUCGGAAUACCCUGUCAGAAUUCUAGAAACAUCUCGCAGAAUUACACGGAGUAGAGUCAUUAACAUGUGCAAAGUUCAGUGGAGUCAUCAUUCGGAAGAUGAAGCCACUUGGGAAAGAGAAGAUGAACUCAGAGCAGAAUUCCCCCAGUUAUUCCUAGAAGUUUCUUAAUCUAGAGGACGAGAUUCUUUUAAGAGGGGUAGGUUUGUAACACCAUAAAAGCCAUCAACUAAAAAUAAUAAAUUUGGUUAUUAUGUUAAAUAUGGUAAUAAUUUUUUAAGUGUUUAAUUAUUUAUUUGCACUUUGAAUCAUUUUCUUUGUAUGCGCAUCAGAUGUUUUAUAGCAAUGCUUCUUAAAAGAAAUCCUUGUAAUUAAUAUGAUAAUUAAAUAAUUAUUAGUCUAAAAAUAAAUAUUGUAUUUAUAAAUAAUUUUGGUGAAUUUCUGAUAAAUUUUUGAGCUAUCUAAAAAUGUAUUUCGAAAUCAAAAAAAAACCCACCUAACCUAACUGGCCCACCAGGGCCUAUCUAAACUUUCCUACACGCGUGCGCGCCUGGAGCCAGCAGCCGCCGCUGCCAGCCUAUCUCCCUCCCCUAUCUCUCUUCUCUCUCUCCUCCCUACUCUCUCUGCACGCCGUCGUGGCCCCGCGACGCCCGACCCUGCCCUGCACCAGCCCGCGACGCGCCCCAUGACUCCGCCGAGCGAGCCCCUGCGCCACCCCGGACGUGACCUCGACCGAAGCUGCGCCCGACCCGAUGUUCCGACCGCGAACCGACGUCGCGCCCGCCACGUCCGAAGCCCCACGCGUCCGUUCGUUCCUCGCCAUUAAAGGAGCGUCAACUCCUCUGUUUCUUCCUCCUCCCAUUAUUUCUCUCUUUGGUAACCGACGCAUUGAUGGCAUUUGAAGACCGACGACGCCAUCAUGAACUCCCUGGCCGACUCUCCCUCUCCCCUCCCUCUCUCUAUAAAAGGGCAGCCGAGCUCUCUCUCCAGUCUCCCCUACCCGAGCUUGCCCUUCUCUCUAGCUCUCCUCGCUCUCCAUCGCUAGUGCACUGCUCGUCGCUAGAGGUUGCCGUUCGUCGUUGGAGUUCGCCGCAGUUCACCGGAGCUCGCCGUUCAUCGCCGGAGCCACGCACCCGCCAUCCGAAGACUAAACCCUGCUCUUCUCCAUCCGGCCGAAACCCCGUCGAACCAUCCCCGUCACACGCACGAACCCAAGGUUGAAGACGACCAAAAUUAAUUUGUGUAUUUUAUAAAAUACUUUUGAUUCGAUUCAUGAAUUGUAUAUAUAUGUUGUUGUAAUAUGAACAUGUGUGAUCCGCAAUUCAUGUGUAUGUGCGUUAUGGAAUUUUUGGUAGAGAUAUGUGAUUAUUAGUGCACCGUGAUAAUUCAUGUUAGUUGAUGCGAUGAUUUUUGGAUUAGAGAAAUAUGACGAGAAUUUAGUAGUCGCACGUUGGUGAUAAAAACACUAGAUAGGAAAUUUUGUAGUUAAAAUUUGGUCACACUGAACUUUAGAAACUAUUUGGAGAAUUGUAGUCAUAGGUUCAUUUUAAUGGAUUUGGAAAAUAGCAUAGAAUUCAUGUCAUAUAAGCAAUAUAGGAUUUUAAAUGAUUCAGCUCCGAUUAUUUUAUUAGUAUUUUCUUUUAGAAAGAAAGGAGAAAAUAUCACCAGUAGUAUGGAAAAUAGAUUUUUACUAGCCAAAUAAACAUGUUCGCAAGUAUAGCGCUUAAAUUCUUAGAGUUAGUAAAAUACCUGUUUAGGUCAAAUAAACCCCGCUUAUGUUAUAAAAAGUCCAAUUAGUAAUUUAUAUGGAUUUUUAGAAUAUUAAUAUUAAUAUAUUCAUUUUUAGCCAUACUCAACAAUUCAAGUUAAGGAUAAAAAGAAUAAAAACUACUAGUCUAUUUAUUAGUAUUAAAGACAAUAACUACCAUUUAUUUUCAUUAAGGAUGUUAAUACGUAUUAAUACUAGUUAAAACUGUAUUUAUAGCACUCACCCCUAAAUUCACCAUUUAGGACUCACAAUAAUAACUAUAAUUGAAUUAAUAAGUAUUUACGUGUUUAGUACGUAUUUAAGGUGUGAUAAGUGCGAUAUGUUAAUGUGUAUGUAAUGGUGUAUGUUUAUGUAAUGGUGUGUGUUUAUUUAUUGGUGUAUGUUUUAUUUUUGUAUGUGCGAUGUGCGACUCUAUUAGAAGCCGACUGUGUGGUAGAGGAUUCGAAUACGUUCGAAGAUGAACCACAGGACACUUUUGAGCAAGGCAAGUGGAUUCUCCCUCUGUAUAUUCUUUUUGUACCCAAUCAUUUCAUAAAAUAAUGUUUACUUUUUAAUAUACUGCAUAAUUUGAUGGGUUUUACCUAAUUAAGGAUUUCCUAGAUUUACCAACUAUAUUCCUUGUUUACCCUGGGAAAAUUAUUAAGCUUUGUAAACUUGUGCUACCGCUCCACUUAAUAACUUUUAUGUCACUCAUUAAUUGAUAUUAAUGUUCCGAUAAUGAAAUUGGCAAUUAUGACAUUAACCCGAUGGUUAAAACAACAUUAUUUCAUAUUAAUUGGAACAUUGGAGUGACCACCUAGGAUAACAGUGCAACCACGAGUGCUAUCAUGGCUCUGGCUUUGGUAAUUAGCUUUAUAUGCUUAGUGCCUGGCAACCUUACCUGGAAUAUGGGCAAGAGGGGGAGCGGUAGGUGUUGGCAGCCCACAUUAACAUGGGAACGUAUUCUUGGCUAAGGUACCUCACCCAGGGGGGCCACCACCAUCGUCUUUAGAAACCUUAGCGGGUUGCUUCGUAUUAAGUGUAUUUUGUGAAAGCCUCAUAAUGGAUCUCUAGCCAUUCACCUCGGCAGUGUUUAAGGGUCCGAUCAACCCAGGCUAGAUGGGAUACAUGGCUUGUGGGUAAAGUUGUACCACCUCUGCAGAGUGUAAAACUGAUAUAUCAGCCGUGCUCCCGGUUAUGAGCGACCUGGACUCCUCACAUGAUAAUUGAACUUGAAGAUGGAAAUAAACUGAGAUCCAAUGAUCUGCCAAUUGUUCGCUUAAGUGGUUUCACUUAAGUGUUUUUGUUAUACUCAUAUUCCUUUGUUUAAUUGGGAUACUUGGGAUUCACACUUAUUAGUAAGACAGGUGUUGUUACUAAAAUAUUGACCAACUAAAAUGCUUACUGCUCAACCUUAGCCUCACCUUGUUAUACCUGCAUUAAUUUUUCCCCCACUUGCUAAGCCCCGACCAUAAGUGAGCUCACCCUUGCUAAUAUUUUGAUCAGAGGGUGAUGCUGGAGACUUUGAUGGAGAUUUUGACGACGAUGAAUUCUAAGUCUAACGAUACGCCGGUCAUCUUCCUAUGGGAGAUUGCCCCUGUUAUUUAAAUUCCGCUUUACUUUGAUGUGAUACUUGUUAAAGAUACAAUGAUUCAGAUGAUGUAAUAAAGUAUUCUACUCUCUUUACGCCUUUAUUGCAUUGUCUUUUGAUAUAUUACACUUGUGACAUCAACAUAUGUGCGGAAAUGGAUCUUGGCACACAUAUGGUAUGCGCUCGGUUCUACCCCCUGGAACCGGGUGUGACAACCCCGACCCCACCUGUCAACCCCGUCCCCUCCAACCAUCCGCCCGCGUGCUCUGCACGCACGCCGAGGACCCCACGCUCAUGUCAAGUGUCAGGAACGCAACUGUCACACCCCUAACCACUUGAACCCCUCCAGAGCCCCACUCAGUCUCCCCUCCCUCAUUUGCAUGCCCAUAGAGCCAAGGCCCCAUCCCCGCGUUGCUCGCAUGCCAGGGAAGAACCGCUGCCGUUCACCGUCGUCCCGAGCCUCUUCCUCCAUCGACGUUGGGGCCCCACCAUGCCUAUUGCCAUGGUAAGCCUCACCCCAAUGCCCGCAACUCAUGACAUGCCCCAAUUUUCCCCCUCUCCUUCUGAUUUGCUCUGUACACGCUCACCCGUCGUCCUCCGCGUAGUCCCGGUGCCGUCGUUGUCGACCUGAGCCACCGAUGUGUUGUUGCCACUGCCGAGAGGUCCCUAAGGUUUGCCGUGAGGUAAGGAACCUCCCCCGCCCCUCCAGUUCCCUCCCUCGCUCUCUGCAGCGUGUAAUUGCACAUCGGAGUUCCCAGCGACGUCGCUAAGCCGCCUCACUGUGGACCACCACACUUUGGUGCCCCUACAUCGGUUUAGCUCCCACCAUUGGGUUCCUUGCACCUUCCCUAAUCUUCCCAGGCCAUCCCAGUCGCCUUAAGACCCCUAGAGCACUCGCGCCCCGCGUCUCCGGCGAGCUCCUCACCGCGGACACGGGCGACACCACCUAUGGUGGCUGAAGGAAAGGGCCGAAGCCAGCUGCCCAAUCCCCACCAUUCAUCUCAAAUUUAACAAUCAUAUUUUAAUUAACCUGAGCCUAAUCAUAACUGUCCACCUGAGAUCUGAUGGCCCAGCCACCGUGCCCGCACCCGCGUCCGUGCCCCUGGGCCCUGCUCGUUAGCCGUCUGAGCCCUGCGCCAUGCUUUCGGUCGAGGCGAGAAUCCGACAACCAUCUGAGCCCCGCGCCACGCCCUCAGCCGAGGCAAGAAUCCAUCAGUCGUCCGAGCCCUGGGCCUCACCCUUGGCCGAGGCAAGAAUCUGUCAGUCGUCUGAGCCCUGCGCCGCGCCCUCGGUCGAGACGAGAAUCCCCAUCGUCUAAACCCCAUCUCAAUUUCUUCUCUAUGCCCGGCGUGGCCAUGGCGCCCACCCUCGGCGGGUUCGUGCUCGCUCUCAGCAUGGCCAGCCCUUGCACCCUAGCACUACCGAGUCACCAAGCUUGAUCCCACCGACGCCCCUGUAGCCCCAUUAUCUCCUCUUCGAAAUGACUCACUGGGCCGACGUCGAAGCCCCUCAAGCGCCCGUGCCUCCGAUCCCCUCCAUGCGGCCACCGGAGUCGUCCCGUCCUAGCAUGCCAAGCUUUGGCUGCACCCCCUGCUUGUCUACCCCCUCAGGCGUUGCUCCGGUCGUGGCCGUCAGUGACGCCUCAGUCGCUCGACAGCCUCCACUAAUUCUCAUACCCUUAAUCGUGCUACAUGCGCCGCGUGCAUGCCCUAUCACACAACCAUCAUUGCCUCGCCACCUCAUCAUGCAGCCACCACCGCUAAUCUGUGAUAAUCUAUAAAUGCAAUAUCCCUCGUGUCAUAAAAUCUGUUGCAAUCCAUUCCAGUCGUGAUACUUGUUUGACCUUAACCUUUGAGCUAUUCUUCCUUGCAUGGUUAGUCAAGCAACAAGUAGCAUGAUAUUUUAAACAAUAUUUACAUGUGCUAGUGUUGGAGGAGCUACCAUUAGAAUCUACCACUAAGGGUGAAGUGGUGUAGUUCUUGCACUUGUCAAUUUGCACUUGAAGUUCUUGGUUUUGAACCUUCAAACUUGAUAUGCUUGACACAAGUGCUUCUUUGGCAUUUGCAAGACCAACUAUAGAUGUUUUCGCACAAGAAAUCUCUUGUGUCUCUUGUGUUCUUGCUCAUUGUGUUUGUUCGUGUUCUUCAUUCUCUCACCAUUCUAUGGAAAAUUGUCCAUAUCUUUUUGGUGUGUGGAUUUUGAGAAGUGCCCUUCUCAUAUCUACUACUUUGAACCAUGUGGAUCAUUUAGGACAUCCCAUUUACAAAGUUAACUAGGUGAAUUUCGAGAUCAAUUCAAUUUUAUAUCUCAUUCUUUAGUUGAGCUCGUGCAGACCGGUUGAACCAGUUUUACCCAGUUUGUUUCUAGUUUUUGUUGGAAAAAAUUUCUGCUUGCCUAUUCACCCCCUCUAGGAAACUUUCAAUUGAUAUCAGAACAUAGCAUGAAAAAUAAAAUGAUUAGUGAAUUUGGUUUAAAUGGGUAUAAUGUCAUCACUAAGCUUAUGGAGAAGCUAGAGAAAAGAAAAUCAACUCUUGAUGCUCAAGAAGACUUGCUCAUCCUUGAAAAGGAGAGAGAAACUUAGAGCUUCAAGGGUUGAUAUCUAGUAAGGAUGAAAUGUUGGAUGCUUUAACUAAGGAAAUGUCUCUAGUCAAAGUAACUAUAGAGGAUAAAGAAAAUGAACUCUCUUGUGUUCUUGAUCAUUGUGUUUGUUCGUGUUCUUCGUUCUUUCUCUUUGUGUAGGCACCUAUACACACUUGGCAACCAUCUUACCGUGGUUCCAAGUCAAUAUGUAAUCACACAGAUAAGAGCUAGAGUUAAGAAUAGGAGCCUUUUCUCCUUUUGUUAUAUGAUUUUUUCGUAUUGCUCUUCAAGAAACCCAUGUUGAUCAUGUUAUGAGCUUGGAUAGGUUGUAGCAAAGUGCCAUUCGUCCAUGGUUGUUUCUUAGGGACUUAUUCUUGGCGUCAAAUUUUGUUGAUACAUCAUCGUUGGUGAACGUCUUCUUGAUAAUGUACCUAGCUUGACCUUGAGUGCACCUAGCUUAUCAAGGUUAGUCACACAAGCAUUCAUAUCAUAUCUUAACCAAUGAAGACAAGUUAUGCAUGGAAUUUACAACUCAGUGAUCCAAUCCAGUGUGAAGCAUUUGGAUACCAAUAGUAAUAUGGUCAAGCCAAUUCACGAUUCCUCAUAUCUUGUUCAUUUUGCCUUGACCAAUCCUCUUAAUCACUUCAAUCUCUAUUUUGAUCAUAUUUAUGCAUAGUGAUUUCUCAAGUCUUGUCCAUAUAUUCAAAACAAUAUAGAGACCAUAUUAUAUCCAUUUUCAUUGUUUCAUUGAUUAUUUAACCUUGUGUUGAACCUUUGUUCACUGAUCAUUAUGCACUAUUCAUGUAUGUUCAUCAUACUUAAUUUCCUGUUCAACACUUAGCAAACUUGUUAAACCUUUAAAUGUGUUGCUAUCCAAAUCACCAAAACCCACAAAACGGGAUGAAUGCACUUUCAAAGAUGUCGUUGUAGGAGUCGAGCAGAGCCUUCGUCAGGUCAUGUGGUGCGGUCACGGUAGAGCAGUGUGGCCCAAGGGCACCCAUGCUAGACCACGUGAUCAUGUGGUCGUCGUGCUAGAACGUCAUAUGGAAUGCGUCAAAGUUCCACAUGAUUGCUCCCAAGGAGGGGUGCCACUGAACACCUAGGAUGACAUUGAAGCUAGUGAUAGAGAGGACAAAGUAGUAAAUGUCAAAGUUCUCAGUGUCGAUGGAGAUGUGUUGCCGGAGGGCUACGCCUUUGUUGGCGAUACAGUCGUUGUUCGUGACCUUGACAGAGAGAUCCUUGUGUGGCGUAACAUGCAAGCCUAGCUAAAAGGCCACCUCCUGCAGUACGAACAUGUGUGUGGAGACUGAGUCAACAAGCGCCAUGAGUGGGGUGUCAUUGAUUCGGAUCUUUAGCUACAUGGUAGCGCCGACGUCGAUGCUCGUUAGGGCAUGCGACGAGAUACCCAAUGCCUUGGCUACUUCAUCCAUCUCCUGGUCAUCGUCCAGUUCCAUCAGAAAUACCCCCAUGCCUGCACACUUAUGGUUAGGUGUGUAUUCCUCUAGGCAGUGGUAGCACUCCCCAUUCGCCUGCUUCACCGCCAGCGCGUUAGUGGCCAGCCGUCAGAACCGAGGUCUGGUGGGGGUUGUCAGUCCUAGGACCCUAGGUUUGGGCUAGCCAGCUGUAACGCCCUGAAUUUGGGGGUAGAAUUUUUUUUCUUCUUUUUACUCACCAAAUUCAGGCGUUACUCUCUUUCCUUUCCCUGUUUCGCUCCUUCUUACCAAUUUCAAAGCAAUAUAGUGACGGGUGUCCGUGUCAUGUAUAAACAAAAACCUAAGUGUCAUGGGUGUUGCAUCAUGCCGAAUCACAUUUCUUUGUCUGAUGUCGCAUGUUCGUCUCGCCCCGUUUCGGACUUUGGUUCGCGAUCGGAUUUCGUUUAGUGGUCGUGCGUGUCGUGGGUUUUGAUCCGCGAUGUGACACAGCCUGGCCCAGCCUGGCCCAGCCCGGCCCGGUCUAGCCCGCGCGCCCCUGGUGCCCCCUGCCCUCCCCAUGCGCGUGCCCCCUCCCCCUAAUCCCUUUGUUUCAUUUGAUUUUCUCCCGUGCAGUAACCUCCCUCUCCCUCUUCCACCUCUCUCUCCCCCGUGGUGCCCUAGGGUUUGGAGACAAGAUCGCCGGAGUUUGGAUCCCCGAGGUGAGUUUUCCCCUCCCCUUCCCUUCUCUCUCUCUCCAUCCCCUCCCUUUCUUCUUCCCCUGGACGCGUGCCCUUCCCCUUGGUCGCACCCCUCCCCUGCUCGCGCGCCGCGCCCUGCUCGCGGGCCCACCCCCGCCGCGAGCCCCUGCCCCGCGCGCGCUCUCCCCUACUCCCCGGUGAGCCCGCCCCGUUGCGGCCCCUCCCCGGCGGCCCUCCCCGUCGCGGCCCCUGCCCCAGCGAGCCCUCGUCCCGCGGUGAGCCCCUCCCCGGCGGCUUUCCUCGUCGCGCCCUCCCCGGCAGUGCGCCCCGGCGGCCGCGCCUGGCCCCAUGUCCCGUGCCCCGGCCCCCGCCCGCCAGUGGCCGCGCCCGUGCCGCGCCCUAGCCGUGCGCCCUCGGCCGCGUGCCCCGGCCAUGCCCCCGACUGCACCCUCGCGUGCCCCUGGCCGAGCCCGUGCCCCGGCACCUCGCGCCACGCGCGCCUGCACGGUUCGCGUGCCCUCGUCACGCGCAGCGUGCUCUCGCGUGUGCGACCGUAGUCGCGCUGCGUUUAACCCUCAUUUUAAUCCAUGUUAAUUUUGUUUAGUCGAUGUGCUGCAUCGCGCGCUUCGCCACGCGACGGUUCAUUCUAAUUUCAUCCUUAUUAAUGUGCUGCGACGAUUCCUUAAAUUUAUAUUUAUUAAUGUGUCGCGUCGCACGCUUCGUCGCGCGACGAUUUGUUUUAAAUGCAGUUCCGUUGACGUAAGCCGUCGUGCGUUUCGUCGCGCAACGCUUAACGUUUAUCUAUAAUUAAUGCAAGAAUCUCAUGGCACGCUCUGUCGCGCGGCGAGUCGUUUACUUCUUAAUUCAAUCUAAAUGCGGUGUCGUACGUCUCGCCGUGCGAUCACUCCCUUUCAUUCAUCUUUAUCUAUUUAUAAUGAUUAAAUGUGGAACAUGACCUUACUUUAUGCUAAACGCAGUGUCCAAAUUAAUGCCCUUCUGUUAAACAAGUAGUCUAGUUUAUAAUUAUGCAACGCGAUCACUUCUCGACCGUAGACUCGACUGUCAUUUCAUCUUUCUCUCUUAACCGUAAUUGCGAGCCCCACGUGGAACGUCUGUUUAUUUAUUGCAUUCUAUUGUAUGGUCCAAAUUAAUGCUCGGUGUAUGCGGCUCGCUCUGCCAAGUUUGGUUCGCCCCUUGGGGAGGAGUGCGGUACAUUUAGGAAACCUAACAGGAUGCUACAGCCCCGGGGAGUCUUUGUAAAGGCUACGUAGUGAUACCCUGCUGGGUCACCUUGGUAGUGAUCAAUGGAGAGUCAUGAUCUCCGGGCAGAAAGGGAAUCACGGCUUGUGGGUAAAGUUCGCAACCUCUGCAGAGUGUAUGAAAAACUGAUAUAUCAGUCGUGCUCAUGGUUAUGAGUGGCCAAGGGAGCUCCAGUGAUUAGUGAUACUUGGUCACAGAUGUUUGGAUUACAGGUGGCAAUGAGAAUGAUGGUUUCGGUAUUGACUCUGGUGAUGGUAAGUGGUAUUCUUUCUGUUUGGAAAGGGUACUUUGGGUUAAUAACGUGGGUUAAUUCUAAAACUUGGCUUUCUCUACUAGUAAUAAUAAUCUGACCAACUAAAAGCAACUGCUUGACUUACCCCCAUAUAAAGCUAGUCCACUAUAGCCAAACAGGACACUUGUUGAGUAUGUUGAUGUGUACUCACCCUUGCUCUACACACCAACCCCCCAGGUUGUCCACAUUGCAACCACUGCUCAGGAGAAGAUGAAGCCGUGGAAGGAGACUUGUAGGAGUUCCAAGAUUACGACGAGUUCUAGGCGUGGGUUAGCGGAAACCCCCAGUCGGCUGCCUGUGAAGGCCGCGUAUAUCUACGUUUCUUUUCCGCACUUUGAUUAUUGUAAAGACUAUGUGGAUGUCUCAGACAUAUGAUGUAAUCGACUAUUAUUCCCCUUUUAUGUUAUUAUUUGAGCAUUGUGUGAUGAUGUCCAGUUAUGUAACUGCUGUGUACGUGAAUUGCUGAUCCUGGCACGUACAUGGUUUGCAUUCGGUUUGCCUUCUAAAAUCGGGUGUGACAUAGGUGGUAUCAAAGUCAUGCUGACUGUAGGACCGCUAACCUAGAGUAGAAUGGUCACUCUAAGGAUUAUAGACCCCUAUUCCUACCUUGACUUUGGUAUCCCUUCAAAAGUUGGUCAUAUCGACCAAACCUAUGUUCUACUAUAUAUUAUACCUUGCUGAAAAUUGUGUUUUAUUCUAAUCCUUCAUUUAUUUAUGGUUUACUUGCUGGUCAUAUUAGUUCUGUUCUCACUCUUAUGCUUAUGGUGUCUUUUGUAGAUGGCUCGUCUUAGACACACUGCACGGAAGUCUGUCAUCCCCUUCUUACCCUCUCGUCUCGCGGAGCGUCCGCUUCACCGUCCAGUGACCGGUCAGUCCAGCCACUUGGAGAGGCUGCACCACCGCUUGCAUGAGGAGCAGGAGCGUCAACGAUAGGAGCAGGAGCAGCAGGGCUCUUCUUUCUCGCUCCAGCAGGAGAUAUAGUCUGUGAGGAGCUGCUCCCCUGUGCUUUCGCUGGAGGCGCCCCCUGCACCACCACUGAGCGUCCCAGCCCCUGGAGUAGGUGCUGGAGGAGACCUAGAUGACGGAGGUGGCGACAGCAGCUCGAGCUUCAACACCGACCUUUCCACCGACCAGGAGCUGGAAGGAUGGGUUGCUCGACCCAUCACUCGGGACGCUGCUCGCGGGUGUCACUUCCACGACGCGCUCGACACCCUGCUAAGCUAGGCACUCGAACGGCAUACUUGGUCCAUCGAGUAUCAUUGUGUGAUCUUCCAGCACAGUCGCAGGGUCUACCCGGACUGCUGGGAGGCGACCUGCUUGGUGCGCAGUCCGGAGAACAGUCUCUAGGGUGCGGAGGUCUGCUCAGAGCACUAUUCCAUCUCUUAGCAGGACUCAGCUGAGGCGGCCAUGCAAGAUGCCACACGGCGUGCGCUUUCGCACUACUGUUCAGUGCUCGGUGGGGUAGCUGAUGGUCUCAACCUGAAGUAUUACCCCCGCCGUCCAUCUGACAGCACAGGAGGCGUGAUUGUCUCACCUGUUGGCGAGGACAAUCCUAGGUUGAGCAGCACAGUCAACCUAGCCGCCGUGCUAAACACGGAGCUGGACCAUGCACUAGACGAGCUGAGUAGGGCUCGUGCUGAGAUCGCCCAACUGCGGGCUGAGCGCGCAAAGCGUCGUCACCUGGAUGAUGGCUCCCCCGCUCCCAUCGGGACUCAGCAAUCGUACCGCUCACCUCGGCGUGGACACCAGUCCUAUGGCAACCCCGACUGCAAGACCAGGAUAAAUUUAGAACCAUAGAUCAUCAGCGUCGAAUCUUGUAAUUAAUACAAAAAUAUAUACAUAGAAGCUAUAGUCUUGCUUUUAGUUAGUCUUGGUUAGACAGGGUAGUUUGCUUAUCAUGUGCAUUUAUGUUUGUCAUGAUGAACUAUGUUGGAUUUGGAUCUUUGUAAUGACUGUCACCGGAGUGUGGGUAUCCCCUGCAUUUUGGUUUAUCUAUUAUAUGUUAGUGAAGUUAGCUGUCUAGUUGGGAAGUCUUUUUAUUCCACUUUCCUCUUUAUCUGAGAAGCUGUGUUGGUCUGUGUUGGAGAUCAGUGAAGAUGCUCAGCUGUUCAGUGUUGUGGAAGAAUUAUAUACUCUUUUCUUAUGCUGCAAGUUUUGCAAGAUCAGUUCUGAUGUGUGGUUGCAUUCUGCAGAUGUCAGAAAACAGGCGCAGAGGAGGAAGGCGUGCUCAGCAGGGGCAUGCAGCCCCGCAGGUUGAGGCGCCCUAGCAACAACAGCUGCCACCCCCGCCCCCGAUGUCCAUCGAGCAGAUGUUCAUGAUGCAGACUCAGGCAGUUCAAGCCAUCGGUCAGACUCUGACCGCCAUUCAGCAGCAGCAGCAGCCACCACCUCAGCCUCAGAUGCCCAGGGACAAGCGUGCUGAAUUCAUGAGAGGUCAUCCCCUAGUGUUCGCUCAUUCUUCUGACCCCGUGGAUGCUGAAGACUGGCUGCGUACUGUGGAGCGCGAAUUGCAUGCCGCUCAGUGUGAUGACAGGGAGAAAGUUCUGUAUGGUCCCCGUCUAUUGAGAGGAGCAGCCCAGUCCUGGUGGGAGUCUUAUCUUGCCACCCAUGCCAACCCCGACACCAUCACCUGGGAGGAAUUCAGAGGCAAUUUUCGACAGUACCAUGUCCCAGCAGGUCUGAUGACAGUGAAGAAGGAGGAGUUCCUGGCACUCAAGCAAGGACCUAUGUCUAUCAGUGAGUACCGAGACAAGUUUCUGCAGCCGUCUCGCUAUGCUCCUGAAGAUGUCAACACCGACACCAAGAGACAGUAUCGUUUCCUGAGAGGCUUAGUCGACCCUCUUCAGUAUCAGCUGAUGAAUCAUACCUUCCCGACAUUCCAGCACCUGAUUGAUAGAGCAAUCAUGACAGAGAGGAAGCGUAAAGAGAUGGAGGAUCGCAAGCGCAAGAUCAGUGGACCUCAGCCUGGAAGCAGCAAUCGCCCUCGUUUCUGAGGCAAUCCACCUCAGCAGUUCAGGCAGAACCUGCGCCCACCUCAGCAGCAGCAGUUUCAAAGGCAGUAUCCUUAGCACCAGCAUCAGAAUCGCUAGAGCAAUCAGUCAGGAGGAGGUCAGUUUCAGAGGCAGAAUUAGCAGGCACCUCGUCUUCCUGCCCCAGCAACCCAGCAGAACAGUCAAGCAGCACCAGUUCAGGGUGGAAGCAGAGCAUGUUUCCACUGUGGAGAGCAAGGCCACUGGGUGAUGCAAUGUCCAAAGAAGGCAGCCCAGCAGCAGUCAGACCCAAUGCCUCAGCAAAACAGAAUGUGCCUCAGCCUGGAGCAGGCAACCGCUCCCAGCCACGCUAUAACCUUGGGAGACUGAACCACUUGGAGGCUGAAGCAGUUCAGGAAAACCCCGGCAUGACAGUAGGUAUGUUUCCAGUCGACUCCCAUAUUGCAGAAGUGUUAUUUGAUACUGGAGCAACGCAUUCAUUCAUUACUGCAUCAUGGGUAGAAGCACAUAAUCUUCCAAUAACUACCAUGUCAACCCCUAUUCAAAUUGACUCAGUCGGUGGUAGAAUUCGAACCGAUAGCAUUUGCUUGAAUGUAGGUGUGGAAAUAAGGGGAUAGCGUUUCCCGCUAACCUCAUAGUAAUGGGUACUCAGGGAAUAGAUGUCAUCCUAGGGAUGAAUUGGCUAGAUAAGUAUCAGGCAGUUAUCAGUUGUGAUAAGAGGACAAUCAAGUUGGUGUCCCCACGAGGAGAGGAAGUGGUGACCGAGUUAGUCUCGCCUGAGCCAAAGAAAGGAAGUUGUUAUCAGAUGGCUGUCGAUAGCGGUGAAGCAGACCCACUUGAGAUUAUCAAGGUUGUGUCCGAGUUUCUAGAUGUGUUUCCAAAGGACUUACCAGGUAUGCCACCAGAGCGGAAAGUUGAGUUUGCCAUAGAGCUUCUUCCUGGAACCGCCCCCAUCUUUAAGAGAGCUUACAGGGUAUCUGGACCUGAGUUAGUUGACCUUAAGAAGCAGAUUGAUGAGCUAUCAGAGAAAGGUUACAUCUGGUCAAGCACCUCGCCUUGGGCCGCCCCUGUCCUAUUCGUAGAGAAGAAAAUGACACUAGAAGGAUGUGUAUCGACUAUCGAGCUCUGAAUGAGGUCACGAUCAAGAACAAGUACCCCUUGCUCAGAAUAGAAGAUUUGUUCGACCAGUUGAGAGGAGCCAGCGUGUUCUCAAAGAUAGAUCUGAGGUCAGGUUAUCACCAGCUCAGGAUCCGACCUUCAGACAUUCCGAAGACGGCAUUCAUUACCAAGUAUGGGUUGUAUGAGUUCACUGUGAUGUCUUUUGGUUUGACAAAUGCACCAGCUUUAUUUAUGAAUCUGAUGAACAGUGUAUUCAUGGAUUAUCUUGACAAGUUUGUGGUGGUAUUUAUUGAUGAUAUUCUGAUAUAUUCUCAAAGUGAGGAGGAGCAUGCAGAUCAUUUGAAGAUGGUAUUGCAGAGACUGCGAGAGCACUAGCUGUAUGCAAAGUUGAGCAAGUGUGAGUUCUGGAUUGAUGAAGUCCUGUUCUUGGGUCACAUAAUCAACAAAGAAGGAUUGGUUGUGGAUCCGAAGAAAGUGGCAGACAUUCUGAACUGGAAAGCGCCAACAGAUGCUCGAGGAAUCAAAAGCUUCAUUGGAAUGGCUGGAUAUUAUCGGUGAUUCAUUGAAGGGUUUUUGAAGAUUGCGAAACCAAUGACAGCUUUGCUAGGCAACAAAGUUGAGUUCAAGUGGACCCAGAAAUAUCAAGAGGCCUUUGAAGCGCUGAAAGAGAAGUUGACUACAACGCCUGUCUUAGUCUUGCCUGAUGUGCACAAGCCCUUCUCGGUGUAUUGCGAUGCUUGUUACACUAGUUUGGGAUGCGUGUUGAUGCAAGAGGGAAGAGUUGUGGCUUACUCGUCCCAACAGCUGAAGGUCCAUGAGAAGAAUUACCCAAUCCAUGACCUAGAGUUGGCAGCAAUGGUUCACGCACUGAAGACAUGGAGGCAGUAUUUGUAUGGGCAGAAAUGUGAUGUUUACACAGACCACAAGAGUCUGAAGUACAUAUUCACUCAGUCAGAGCUGAAUAUGAGGCAACGAAGAUGGUUAGAGCUAAUCAAAGACUAUGAAUUGGAGAUUCAUUACCAUCUAGGCAAAGCGAAUGUAGUGGCAGAUGCUUUGAGCAGGAAAAGUCAGGUCAACAUGAUGGUCGCUCAUCUGAUGCCUUAUGAGUUGGUCAAAGAGUUCGACAGGUUGAGUCUCGUUUUUUUGAACAACACGCGAGGAGUCACAAUUGAGUUGGAACCUACCCUAGAGCGGGAAAUCAAGGAAGCGCUAAAGAAUGAUGAGAAGAUCAGUGAGAUCCGGUAACUAAUUCUAGACAGCAGAGGCAAAGAUUUUCGAGAAGAUGCAGAAGGUGUGAUAUGGUUCAAAGACCGCUUGUGUGUUCCCAGUGUCCAGUCUAUUCGGGAGUUGAUCCUCAAGGAAGCUCUUGAGACAGCUUACUCGAUACAACCCGGAAGUGAGAAGAUGUAUCAAGAUCUAAAGAAGAAAUUCUGGUGGUAUGGAAUGAAGAGAGAAAUCGCAGAGCAUGUGGCUAUGUGUGAUAGUUGUCGACGAAUCAAGGCAGAGCAUCAGAGGCCAGCUGGAUUGUUGCAACCAUUGCAAAUUCCUCAGUGGAAAUGGGAUGAAAUUGGUAUGGACUUCAUAGUCAGAUUGCCUCACACUCGACCCGGCUACGAUUCCAUUUGGGUAGUAGUGGACCGCUUAACCAAGUCAACCCACUUCAUACCAGUCAAGACCAACUACAGCAGUGCCGUAUUGGCAGAGUUGUACAUGUCUCGGAUCGUUUGUCUUCAUGGUGUGCCAAAGAAGAUAGUGUCAGACAGAGGAACACAGUUCACCUCUCAUUUCUAGUAGCAGUUGCAUGAAGCCUUGGGUACACAUUUGAAUUUCAGUUCAACUUAUCAUCCGCAGACAGAUGGUCAGACCGAAAGAACCAAUCAAAUCCUCGAAGACAUGUUGAGAGCCUGUGCAUUGCAAGAUCAGUCCAAAUGGGACAAGAGGUUGCCUUAUGCAGAGUUCUCCUAUAACAACAGUUACCAGGCCAGCUUGAAGAUGUCACCAUUUCAGGCGCUUUAUGGAAGGAGUUGUAGAACUCCGUUGCAAUGGGAUCAGCCUGGAGAAAAGCAAGUGUUUGGGCCAGACAUUUUGCUCGAAGCUGAAGAGAACAUCAAGAUGGUUCGAGAGAAUCUAAAGAUAGCGCAAUCAAGGCAGCGAAGCUAUGCAGACACCAGAAGAAGAGAGCUGAGUUUCGAAGUCGGAGAUUUUGUCUAUCUGAAAGUGUCACCGAUCAGAGGAGUCAGAAGAUUCAGAGUCAAAGGCAAGCUAGCACCCCGCUACAUUGGUCCGUAUCAGAUUCUCGCAAGGCGUGGAGAAGUGGCCUAUCAACUCAGUUUGCCAGAAGACUUAUCUGUAGUGCAUGAUGUCUUUCAUGUGUCUCAGUUGAAGAAGUGUCUGCGUGUGCCAGAAGAUCAGUUGCCAGUGGAAGGUCUGGAGGUCUAGGAGGACUUGACCUACAUAGAGAAGCCAGCGCAGAUUCUUGAGACUGCAGAUAGAGUCACCCGAAGGAAGACCAUCAGAAUGUGCAAAGUCAGAUGGAGUCACCACUCUAGGGAAGAAGCAACCUAGGAGCGUGAAGAUGAUCUGAUGGCCAAGUACCCUGAACUCUUUGCUGGCCAAUCUCGAGGGCGAGAUUCUUUUAAGGGGGAUAGGUUUCUAACGCCCUGAAUUUGGGGGUAGAAUUUUUUUUCUUCUUUUUACUCACCAAUUUCAGGCGUUACUCUCUUUCCUUUCCCUAUUUUGCUCCUUCUUCCCAAUUUCAAAGCAAUAUAGUGACGGGUGUCCGUGUCAUGUAUAAACAAAAACCUAAGUGUCAUGGGUGUUGCAUCAUGCCGAAUCACAUUUCUUUAUCUGAUGUCGCGUGUUCGUCUCGCCCCAUUACCGACUUCGGUUCGCGAUCGGAUUUCGUUUAGUGGUCGUGCGUGUCGUGGGUUUUGAUCCGCGAUGUGACACAGCCUGGCCCAGCCCGGCCCAGUCCGGCCCGGUCCGACCCGCGCGCCCCUGGUGCCCCCUGCCCUCCCCAUGCGCGUGCCCCCUCCCCCUAAUCCCUUUGUUUCAUUUGAUUUUCUCCCGCGCAGUAACCUCCCUCUCCCUCUUCCACCUCUCUCUCUCUCUCCCCGUGGUGCCCUAGGGUUUGGACACGAGAUCGCCGGAGUUUGGAUCCCUGAGGUGAGUUUUCCCCUCCCCUUCCCUUCUCUCUCUCUCCCUCCCCCUCCCUUUCUUCUUCCCCUAGACGCGCGCCCUUCCCCUUGGCCAUGCCCCUCCCCUGCUCGCGCGCCGCGAGCCCCUGCCCCACGCGCGCCCUCCCCUGCUCCCCGGUGAGCCCGUCGCGGCCCCUCCCCGGCGGCCCUCCCCGUCGCGGCCCCUGCCCCGGCGAGCCCUCGCCCCGCGGCGAGCCCCUUCCCGACAGCUUUCCCCACCGCGGCCCCGCCCUGUCGCGCCCUCCCCUCCCCCGGCGAGCCCCUCCUCGGCCGUGCUCCUGGCCCUGCAUCCCGCGCCCCGGCCCCUGGGCGCCGGUGGCCGCGCCCCGCGCCGCACCCUGGUCGCGCGUCCUGCCGCGCCCUGGCCACGCGCCCUCGGCCGCAUGCCUCGACCGUGCCCCUGGUUGCACCCUCGCGUGCCCCUGCCCGAGCCCAUGCCUCGGCACCUCGCACUACACGCGCCUACACGGUUCGCGUGCCCUCGGCAUGCGCAGCGUGCUCUCGAGUGUGCGACCGUAGUCGCGCUGCGUUUAACCCUCGUUUUAAUUCAUGUUAAUUUUGUUUAGUCGAUGUGCUGCGUCGCGCUUCACCGCACGACGGUUCAUUCUAAUUUCAUCCUUAUUAAUGUGCUGUGACGUGCGCUUCGUCGCGCGACGAUUCCUUAAAUUUAUAAUUAUUAAUGUGUUGCGUCGCGCGCUUCGUCGCGCGACGAUUCGUUUUAAAUGCAGUUCCGUUGACGUAAGCAGUCGUGCGUUUCGUCGCGCAACGCUUAACGUUUAUCUAUAAUUAAAGCAAGAAUCUCGUGGCGCGCUCUGUCACGCGGCGAGUCGUUUACUUCUUAAUUCAAUCUAAAUGCGGUGUUGUACGUCUCGCCGUGCGAUCACUCCCUUUCAUUCAUCUUUAUCUAUUUAUAAUGAUUAAAUGUGGAACAUGACCUUACUUUAUGAUAAAUGCAGUGUCCAAAUUAAUGCCCUUCUGUUAAACGAGUAGUCUAAUUUAUAAUUAUGCAACGCGAUCGCUUCUCGACCGUAGACUCGACUGUCAUUUCCUCUUUCUCUCUUAACCGUAAUUGCGAGCCCCGCGUGGAACGUCUGUUUAUUUAUUACAUUCUAAUGUAUGGUGUACUAUUCUUUUGUAUUAAAUGUGUGGAAUGUAUGUUUGAACUCGUAUAGAGAAUGAUCUGGUUGAAGAGCCCGAGGAACUCACAGAAGAAGCCCCUGAGCAGCAGCUGGUUGGUGGAGGCAAGUGUCCCUUGACCUAUCUUUGUCCUAUACAUUCUAUAAUUCACUUCCCGCAUUUACACCUUUAUACCUAAGGAUUGACUAGCUUUUGUUAUCCAUGUCCUUGCUUACCUAUUUGGGUUGGAUUAUUAUUGUUUAGCUUUAUGCUAUUGCUCAACUCUAAUCAAUGAACAUGAUGAGAUUUAUCAAUGAUACAAUGUUUUCCUUCCUUAUGAUGUUAUGCUUGUGGCAUUUAAGGGGGCUCGAGCGGUUUCUCGAGUGCCUCUCCAUAAGGACCUGUUCGUUGGAUGACCGCCCAGGAAAACAGUGCAACCAUGAGGGUGGAGUGGGACGCCCUUAGCUGAAUAAUUAGAGGAACCAGGGUGUAGUUCGCUUAGCCGUCGUGCCGUCAAUGGGGCUCGGAGUAUGCGGCUCGCUCUGCCAAGUUUGGUUCGCCCCUUCGGGAGGAGUGCGGUACAUUUAGGAAACCUAACGGGCGGCUACAGCUCCGGAGAGUCUUUGUAAAGGCUACGUAGUGAUACCCUGAUGGGUCACCUUGGUAGUGAUCAAUGGAGAGUCAUGAUCUCCGGGCAAAAAGGGAAUCACGGCUUGUGGGUAAAGUGCGCAACCUCUGCAGAGUGUAUGAAAAACUGAUAUAUCAGCCGUGCUCACGGUUAUGAGCGGCCAAGGGAGCUCCAGUGAUUAGUGAUACUUGAUCAGAGAUGUUCGGAUUACAGGUGGCAAUGAGAAUGAUGGUUUUGGUAUUGACUCUGGUGAUGGUAAGUGGUAUUCUUUCCGUUUGGAAAGGGUACUUUGGGUUAAUAACGUGGGUUAAUUCUAAAACUUGGCUUUCUCUACUAGUAAUAAUAAUCUGACCAACUAAAAGCAACUGCUUGACUUACCCCCACAUAAAGCUAGUCCACUACAGCCAAACAGGACACUUGCUGAAUAUGUUGAUGUGUACUCACCCUUGCUCUACACACCAACCCCCCCUGGGUUGUCCGCAUUGCAACCACUGCUCAGGAGAAGAUAAAGUCAUGGAAGGAGACUUGCAGGAGUUCCAAGAUUACGACGAGUUCUAGGCGUGGGUUAGCGGCAACCCCCAGUUGGCUGCCUGUGAAGGCCGCGUAUAUCUACGUUUCUUUUUUGCACUUUGAUUAUUGUAAAGACUAUGUGGAUGUCUCAGACAUAUGAUGUAAUCGACUAUUAUUCCCCUUUUAUGUUAUUAUUUGAGCACUGUGUGAUGAUGUCCAGUUAUGUAACUGCUGUGUACGUGAAUUGCUGAUCUUGACACGUACAUGGUUCGCAUUCGGUUUGCCUUCUAAAACCGGGUGUGACACCAGCAAUGCGGCUGGACAUGCCUUGGUCGCUCGUGGUCACCUCCAAGCAUCUCUCAUACGCCCGCACCAAGCUCAUGGAUGUCUACAGCUUGGUGGGGGCACUAGAGCUCGAUGUCGGUCUUCAAUGGCUCACCUAGCCUCGCGGUGAAAAGAUUCACUUACUGCCCCAUGUCAGGUCUGCACAAUGAUAGAAGAAAGUGGAGAACUAUUGUUAGUACACCUCCACCAUACCUGUGCAGUACAAGGCCUUCAUCUCUGUCAGGCUGUUGGUGCAUAUGGGCAGCCCAAAAUACAUGUGGAAGAAUUCGACGAAGCACGCCCAGGACAUGAUGUCGUGGUCGCUUUUUAGGGCAUAGUACCACUCGUAAGCCACCCCAUAUAAGUGUUCACUUACAAGAGUCAAGCCAAGGAGAAGGCUAAACCCAUUUCUGUAUAUGAUCCGCCAGGUCAUUUUGCACAAAGGAGAGGAGUCAUUCUUUAGAGUGGAGGCACCUUACCAAAAGCGGAUUCCAAUUCAUAUUAUUAUUCUUAUAGCGUGGCGAGCCAUACCUUUUCCUCGACCACGGUGUGCAUACCAUGGAAGUACGUCUCGCAUUUAUUCAGCCACGAGAGGGGAUCCGACUCACUGUCAUAGCUAGGAAAGUAGAGUUUGUAUCAACAAGGGCCGCUAUCGUGGCGAUUGUCACGGUUGUAGAAGCCAUCACCACCGCGACGGCGCCUUUGGUGUUAUUGGGCUGCGCCGUCCAGCCCGACAAGUGCUCGGUUUCUGGCUAGUUAUCGACCUCCAUGCGCACUAGGCACACAUUAUGGGUGUCUAGUACACCAAAUUGAUGGUGGUGAUUUGCGCCAACGCCUUCACCUGCUAGUCCAAAAUCUAGCGCAGAAUCUCUGUAAUGGAGGGCUGCUUAGGAUCGUCGUCGAGGCCGAACAUGGUUGUUGAUGAGAUGGCGCUAGUUCCACAUUUGAUAUGGCCUAUUGGCCCGAGCUUUCUGCUAUCACGCAAGGGAGAGUUGAUAAGCAGAUGAGACUAGGGGAAGAGAGCGUAGGGCAUAGGGAACUGGUCGGAAACAAUUGUCGUCACUAGUGUCCUGCGAAGCCACUGGCAAUUCCUAAUCAGGUCAACUUCUUUGAUGAUUUCAUUAUACAAACCACUAGUGCUUGUGUAGAUGUUAAUCAUCUUAUCCCACUAACAUGGUCAGAUCAUGUUUGAAUGCAUUAGAGCUAAUAGUUAGCUACUAAAAUUAGCUAAAGAUAUCCAAACAGUCUAGCUAAUAAUUCAACUAUUAGUUGCUUAUAGAAAAUUAGUUAAUUCUGGUAACAAUUUUUUAGCCAACUAACUAUUAGCUCUAGUGCAUUCAAACAUCCCCUAAGUCAACCGACUGCGGAUAAUUAUCCCAUUUAUUUCUAUCCAAACUAACAACUUUAUAUGCUAACAAUCUUAUCUGCAGCAACUAACCUAGAACCUGAUCUGCUAACAACUUUAUCUACAAUAACUAAGGAGGUGUUUGAAUGCCUUAGAGCUAAUAGUUAGUUGGCUAAAAAAUUAUUAGUGAAAUUAAUUAGCUAAUUAACAACUAGCCAGUUAACUAUUAGAUAAUUUGCUAAAAAAUAGUUAAUAGCUGAAUUAUUAGCUAAAUUGAUUGAAUGUCUUCAAGUAACUUUAGCAGCUAAUUAAUGAAUUCAAACAUCUCCUAAUUUGGGUGCAACAACUAAUCUGAACGCCUUCUCUAGAUAAUGAUGAAACUGACCUAUUUAUAGAGGAAAGACACACGAUGAAUACAAUACAACUGACGGUUUAUGAAUUCUUAGACUUUCCUUUCCUCAUUUCAUUCAUUUAUACCCGUUCAAAGUCUUUUAUUUUUUAUUUUGAUUUACAGCAGAAGUGGCAGUUUAAUUAUAAAUAUAGAAAGGUUGUUGCGCUACUUUGGAGUUGCGAUUUGCUACUUCUUAAGAGUACGUAGCCCGCUAUGGCUAGUUCUAUAAGAAUAGAUAUUAAUUGUGUACAAACUGGGGCCCUUCGGAAUACGUAAAAAAGUUCUUGAAUCAUGUGCUUUUUCUACAAAGCUAAACAUAUUUAGGUAGGGAUAAAAACGGUCGGAAACGAUCAGUAAACGCUAAAACCAUUAUCGUUUUCAUAUUUUUUUUUAUCGGAAACAAAAUCGAAAACGGUAACUCCAGAAACAGAAACGAUAUUGGUAUUUCGGAAACAUCGGAAACGAAAGUUUGAUACGGAAAAUACACCAAUAACGGUCGAAAUCUAAAAUACGGUCGAUAAAUAUAUCAAACUUCACAAUACAACAAAGUUGACAAAAGAUCACAAAGACCACAAGUUCACAAUUCAUGAUAUAACAAGUUCACAAUAUAACAAGUUUAUAAGGAUCACAAAUUUAUAAUAUAAAAAGUUUACAAAGAUCACAAGUUCACAAUAUAACAAGUUCACAGUACAACAAGUUCAUAAAGAUCACAAGUUCAUUAGAUCAAAGUUUACAAUUCACAAUAACCACUCGAUCUAGCUGACAUGACAUGCUUACUUAUGAAAUAUUUUUUCUCACAUAAAGAGUUUUUUCACAGCCUCACAGGAAAAUCCUAAAACCUAGUGUGGAAAAGACGGACUGUCGGCUCUCUAUUAUUAUAUAUUACUAAUACAUAACAUGUGCAUAGAAAAAAGGGUGGAUUCAUUCGAGAGACCAAAUCGUUAAUCCCAACUGCCUUCCAACACCAUCUAUCCCAAAAAAAUCUUAAGGAAUCCAAAAAAUACAAAAAUAAGUAAUCCUUAUCUAGAUACGUACAAGCGAUGCGAAAAAUCACAUGCUGGAAAAUUCCGAAAAAUCUAAGACACAAUUCUGAAAAAUUUUGAGACACAAAUCCGGUAAUUUUCGACAAAAACCGGUAACCGAAGUAAACGAUCGGUAAAACACCACGCCGAUUCCGAUAGAAAAUUACGAAAACCGAUUCCGUUUAUGAAAAAUACUGUUACCGGUGAAUCCGAUCGAAAAAUUUCGAAAUCGAUUUUCGAAAUACCGAAAAAUUCUGAAAUUGUUUUCAUCCCUAUAUUUAGGGCUGUUGGGGAAUAGCUCCCCGUAACCGUAACUAUGACAAAAAAAAUUUCCCACGGUUCUCACGAACGCUUAACAGAAUGCAUUAGAACUCAUAUAAAAGUUCCAUACAGGGAUAAAUCCCAACGAAGAUCCCCGUCCCAGUUUAAAUUAUAAAUAAGACAUACAUUCCUUGUUAUUAAUACAAAACAUUUUUACUAUACAUAUUGUUAGAUAUAAGAAACAUCAAAAUAAAUAUAUUUGUACAAUAAGUGAUCGUGACAAGGUAAUUAUUUAUUUUUAUCAUUAACUAGUAUACGAAAAUAUCGUACAUGCAGGUUUAACGCGUCCCGCGAGGAACAAUGAUAGGAAAUGCUUUUCUGUCCCCAUUUCUGUUUAUCCGUCGGAGAAAGAAUUUUCUCUGCUUACAUCCCCAUGGAGGAAGAAACUUUCCAAUCCCCUAAGAGCUUGUUCAGUUACACAAUCUAGAAGCGGAUUGGAUGGCCCCUCCAAUCCCAUUCUAGAUUAGCGUCACCGAACAAACCCUAACCAAAGAAUUCCCUCGGGGAAUCAAUGAUCGUGGCCCAUUGCCAUCCCUAAAUAUAUUCAUGUAAAAAUUCAACAUAAUUCCAAUGUUUUUUGGGUUUGAAAGGGUCCCUAAGCCUAAACAUAGUUAAGCAAAUCUGAGAGGGGUGUUUGAAUGUCCUAGAACUAAUAGUUAGUUGGCUAAAAAUUGUUAGUGAAAUUAGCUAGCUAACAAAUAACUAUCUAACUAUUAACUAAUUUAACAAAAAUAGCUAAUAGCUGAACCAUUAGUUAGGGUGUUUAGACGUCUCAACUAAUUUUAGUCAUUAAUUAUUAGUUUUAGUGCAUUUAAAUACCCCCAUAAGUUCUAAGUGUCCUCGAAGAUAAAAAAGACAUCCGCUUUGAGCUAAAGCGGCCUCCAAGAUGCCUUGGACGAUUAGGUCAGAUCCCGGCAGAAUGAGGAACCCUGGAAAACCCAAUUCCACAUCAACUAUUUAUCAUCCGAAGAAGCUUUAAUCUGUAGAUCAGUCUGCUACAUUUUUUUUCAACCAAAAAUAUAUAGACCAUGGAGAGUCCAUAAAUUAUACUCCCUCUAACACAAAAACAAAACAACUAUUGCUUUGCAAGAAGUUAAAUAGGUUUAAGUUUAGCCAAAUAUAUUUAAAAAAUACUAAUACUCCUUCCGUUCCAAUUUAUAAUUUGUUUGAUUUUUUUAACCCAAAUUUGACCGGCUUGUCUUAUUCAAAACAUUUCACAAAAUUUUUGAAUAAGACAAGCCAGUCAAAGUUGACAAAAAAGUCAAACGAGUUAUAAUUUAUAACAAAGAGUAUUUUAUAAUAUUAAAUAAGUAUCAAUAAAAAAUAUGACAUGUAGAAGAUAAGACAGUCACCGUUAAUUGUAUUAAGAUCUCACACAGGUUUAAAAACCCUCCAACUCCUGCCACGCCCAUACACAGCAGCCCAUAGGUCAGUGCUCUACCCAUCCCAUAGGUCAGUGCUCUACCCAUACAUAACAUCACCUUAGCCUGUAUGUCACCAGGACCAAAAUUUAGACUUGCUUUAAUGUAGGACAAACAAAAGAGUUUCGUUAACCCUAGUCUAAAAUUCGAAUUCAAGACUUAAGGAGUGUUACUCGAACCACCUAACUCACUCGGAGAUGCUUCGCAAUAAGUAUCAAUCAUGAAAAAUACUUUUACAUGAUAAACUUAUUUAGAAUCAUAAUAUUGUUAUUUAUAAACUUAAUCGAACUUAAGAAUGUUUGACCGAUGAGCAAGAUCCCAACACAGUAUGUACAUGCCAGAUGAGCAGGGUGAUGUACACAGAACUAGGUUUUUCCUUAGGCAUAUUAUAUGGUUCACCACGAUGGUUAACAGAGCCGUCUUCCAAACAGGGCGGCAGCACGCUAAUAAACUGAAUACGGGCGCCCACUGAGAUGUCGUCUUCAGUUAAAGCGAGUAUGGGUGCCCGCUAUUC